rnacentral:lncRNA from 1 species
GACCCUUAGGAGCUUGUCAUGUGGUUAAAAUCAAGAUUCACUUGCACGUUCACUCGUAUAUGCUACUUCUACUCCGAAAGUACGCAUCCACAUACAUCCACUCAUUUCCAUCUCCAGAUUCACCAAAAAUUAUUCUACUCCUAAUCCGGGAGAGAAUAGCCAAAAACAUUAUCCUAUCCCUAUUAUUCCCUGUGGAAUAAAUGCUCGAGUUAUCUUGGUUACUACCACUUAUUGCUAUAUUAUUUCAGGAAAUGAGUGCUCUCUAGUAAAAAAGAGAGGAUACGAGGAAAUAAAAAGGGGCAAGUACCCGGAACCUCGAACAAAAAAAAAAGAGUGAGACGAGAGGUAAAAAUGGACAAGUGUCCAACAGUAGAAUUAGGGGUACAAGAUACCCACCUUAGAGGAAAGGAAAAAAAGAAAAUAUAGAGCAACUCAUUCUCCCCAAAAAGCUUCAAAGUGCAAGAAAGGUAUGUAUCCCUUCAAAAGAGCAAAAGUAGAAUUAGACUUCCACCAUUGUUAUCACCAUUAUCACCAUACACCAUUCACUCGCCACACAUGCACAUCUUGAUUUGACUUAUUGACUUGUUCUUCUGGAUCCAUGGUUUGACUAUGCAAUAAAUGUCUUAUAAGUAUGUAUUAUCUGUCUCCCACCUAUGAGCUCUAGAUAUCAAAACCUUAUUAGAGUAGGGUGAGAGAGAAGGCAAUAUCACUAUGCCUAAUACCAAAAAUACCACAUACUUUGAGAGAAGGCAUAUACCAUUACUGCCUUGGAAAGGAUCCAGAAAUACCACAAAAGAGAGAUUUGAGAGAGUCAUACAAGGAAUCUCUGAGUUUUAUUUGAAAAUCUGCAAAAACUCCAGAACUAUAGCUGAUCAAGAAUAAGAGACAUGGCACUUGACUUGACCGUUCUAUCUUUUAACUGCUCAAGACACAAGUGAUGGUUACAAGCCCCAUGGUGAAAGGUAAAAUGAGUAAGUUUUAAGUCUUAACAGUUUAUUCUAACUCAGAGAUGAGCUCUUGCUUGAAUGCGUGUGUACUUUUAAAGCAUGAAACCACUGCAGAAACUCUUGAGUUCAUCCUUGCUCAGGGACGAGCAAGAGGUAAGCUUGGGGGAGUUGUUGACGGUCCUUAAGUACCAAAUAUAAUCAUCAAAUAAAUAAAGAAAAGGAUCCAAAUGCAACCAACACCCAGACUUUGGGUUUUAAUUGACAGAAUUCCACGAGUUUUGGUGUUUUUCUAUUUCUGCAGGGGGUUAUCAGGAAAUAUGGAAGAAAGGCCCACACGUCGGGAUUACAUAGAGAUAUUAACGUGCCGCGCAAUUUUCUAUCAUCUAGAAGACUCCAGAAGCCAUGGGAACGAACGAGAAGGCGAACGGGCCCGAGGGCAGGGCGCCCGCCCACCCCCCUUGGGCGCCCGCCCAGGAGUUGUAGUCAAACACGUCCAACUUUGCGGACCAAGCUCCACCGACCCAAAGGAUCAAGGAUAACCGUCCAAUCAAUGUCGGUUUGAUCCAAUGGCUCACGUUCACUUGAGGGGACUAUAAAACCAGACCCCCUGGCCCCUGGAGGAGACAAGUUCAUCAUAGAGUUGAGAGGAGCCCUCAAAGGAAUACCUCUUCUCUAAAUAAAAUUUCUUUUUAGGCUUAGCAUCCAAUGUGAGUAGAAUUAGAUCUACUAGUUUUUACUAUAUUGAGAGAUAUAGAGUGGAGGUGUAGAUCGGAGGAAGCUCAGUCUGUCGGUGUCUACUCCCGAGAUUGUACCUACGGGAUCAAAUCUCCUAACCUGAGGCUUGCUCCUAGAAUUCUUCAGUAAUUCGACUUCUAAAUUCUAGUAAGUUCUUGUUUUAUUGUUCUUUGGUUUAUGAGUUUACUUUAAUCUCUUCUGGUGGAGUAUUAGAGCAAUCAUUGCUAGCGUGAACGUGGUGUUUAGGCUAGGGUACUCAUAGAUAUCCCCUGACUAGCUGGACCAUGGUAGUAGCGAGGAACGUGACAUUUCCAAGUUACCUUUGCAUCCCAUAUCUUGUUAGCAGGACGGGUAGGGUUUAUAGAUGCGGGUCGAACAUCCUUUGUGGUGUCUAGAUUCCGUAAGCUUCCCCAAUAGAACAGUAGAUCAUCCUUACCAAGGUUAGAAUGAGACUACGGUUGCAGUCUUCUCUAUACAUCACUCACAUCGAGAAACAUUCUUUGUAGCCUAAAGGGGUAGUAGCAAUAGAUUUGGUUAGUCAGAUGCACCCCGGGUGAAAUGCUCACCGAUAUCCAUGCGCUUGCGGAUCAAUUCAUUAUUGCGUUACCAAAUAUCAACAAUCGGCAGUUUGCUCAACCACAUCGGCUGGUGCUUCUCGAGGCUGAUGUGCUUCCUAUAGUUGAGGUGAAGAUGGUGCUUGCUGUGUCUGGACUUCUGGUGAAGAAGGGGAUGAUUCCACUUGAAUCGGUGACACUGGAGGAGGAGAGGAAGGUGGUGCUGUCUUCUGGCAUUUUGCUUGUGACUUGGUGCUCUUGGGGCCUUUUCUCUUGACUUGGCUAGAUUGGGGGGCAUCGGCACUUGUCUUGGUACUUCUAGUCUUUGCCGAUUUGCCAAUUUGCUGAUACAACAACAGAAAUUUUAUAAGUACAGAUGUAACAGGAUGUUAAUGAGAAUUUUUGCCAAAAGACAGAAGUUACCGAUGAAGUUCCCAAUGUAGCCGAUGUAUCCUGAAAAGAUUGUGUAAGUAUAGAACGGAGUCAGUAUAAAUUGAGAAAAUCAAAAGAUUUACCUUGAAAGAUUGUGCCAAGGUAGCAGCAGCAACCGAUGGAGAUGUCUUUGCUCGUCUGGUGGUGAUCUUCUUGAAACACACGUUCCGGUGCAAUAGGGCUGCCAGGCUUGGUGCAUUGUUGCCGAUUAGAGAAAUCGGGCCCGACGGAAGGAGCUCGAUCGGCUUACCACUCCUGUUGAUGGUUGAUGGUGUGUCAUCGACCUGUUUAAAAAGGGAUAAAGUGAGUUACUGAUAAGAGUAAAAGUGAUGGAAGGAUUGAAGCAUCGGUUAAAAACUUAUAGUGUUUUUAGGGACUUUAUACUUGGGGUCGAUCAUACCGCGGUAUGUGAGAGCCGAUGUGCAGAACAAAUGCUCUUUCCACUCCUCCCACCACUGUUUGUAUGCUUGAGUAAUGAAGAGAGCUAGGAUCCAAGACGAUAGAUCGAUAUCUGACAUAUCGGCAUUUGGCUGAAGCUGAGCUACUCUUAUCCACUCAAGACCGCUGGUUAUGGUCUCCCUUGUGAAAGCCCUAGCUUGGUUUUGGAUAAUUGAUGAAACCCUAAGUACUAACCUCUAUACUAAGUGUGUGUAGACUUAAUGAGGUUGGUACAUGCUAAGUGAUGGAGCAAGUGAUGAUCAUGGUGAUAAUGGUGAUGACCACAAGAUGAUCAAGUGCUCAACUUGGAAAAGAAGAAAGAGAAAAACAAAACCCUAUGGAGAUCAAGGCAAAGGUAUUGUCUAGAGUUUUGGUUUUGGUGAUCAAGACACCAUAGAGGGUGUGAUCACAUUUUGGAUAGAUAGCCAUACUAUAAAGAGGGGAAUUCUUUGGCUAAGCAGUUAUCAAGUGCCACUAGGUGUCAUUUUUCUUGUGCAUGCAUUUAGAACCUAGUGAGCUAACUUAACUCCUUCGAAGAAAAUGAUUGUGAAAAUGCUAACACACGUACACUUGUUGGUUUACACUUUGUGGUGUUGGCACACUUUGAGAAGGGAGUUGAAGUUUGAAUGGGUAGAUAGAGGAUGGGUUCCUCUCUCCCUCCCGCCGAGCUUGCAAGGCGGGAUUCGGCGCUUUUGAGAAAAUGAAGUGCAUAUUUUCGAUUGCGCCGGUUGGAAAGUUGGACAAGUCGCGGGAGUGUUUCUCGCUGAGGAACACUCACCGGACGCUGGCUUCUGGAGCACCGGACGCUGAGUCUGAGCGUUCGGUGCAGUCAGUGCCUGGCUCAGCUAGGGUAAGGCACCGGACGCCAGGCACCGGACGUUGGCUGGAGCGACCGGUGUUCUGAGUCCGGUGUCCGAGCGUUUUACAGUGCUCUCUGGGUUUUAGUCCGGUGAGCACCGGACAUAGGCUGGAGCGUCCGGUGCUCAGCAUCCGGUGACCCUGCGCGUUUGUAGACCUCUCUGAGUUGAGGACCGGUGUGCACCGAACGCGUCCGGUGGUAACUUGCUCAGCGUCCGGUGCUUUGCAGGUUACCGUUAGACUCUGACACGCAGCUGACGCUGGAGCACCGAACGCAGGAGUUGAGCGUCCGGUGCCCCUUUAAGAGCGUCCGGUGACCCCGCAGUUUGCCCAGUGAAAGAGCCAACGGCUCUUUUUGUUUGAGGGGCUUAUAAAUAGUUGUUGGCCAGCUUAGGGCUCACUCUCUUGGCAUUCUUGACUACUAGACAUCCUUGUGAGCCUAAGCAAACACCUCCCACUCAUCUCCUUCAUAGAUUAAACAUCUUUGUGAGAUUGGGAGUGAUUCCAAGUGCAUUUGCUUGAGUGAUUGCAUCUAGUGGCACUUGGGGAUUGAUUUGGCUGCGGUUUUCUUGUUACUCUUGGUGGUUGCCGCCACCUAGACGGCUUGGAGCAGCGGAGGAGCAUUGGCACGAGUUGGUGAUUGCUCGUGGCUAUCUCCUGGUGAUUGUGAGGGGUCUUGUACCUUGCCCGGCGGAGAGCCGAAAGGUAACUCUAGUGGAUUGCUCGUGUCAUUGAGUUACCUCAACUUGUGGGUAGGUUCUUGUGGUGUCCUAGUGAGGACGAGGUUCGUGCUACACCUCUUAGCCACCGAACCACCAAGUGUUGGUCGACACAACUAGGACGUAGCGUGCCGGCAAACACGUGAACCUCGGGAGAAAAAUUGUGUGUCUCCAUUGUGAUUGUUCAUUGGAUUUCUCCCGAUGAUUGGACUUGAUAUUAUUGAUUGGUUCAUCCCCUCUAUGCGUCGGUAUAAAGUUCAAACCAUCUCUUUUACAUUCCCACAAACUAGAGUAGCUUACUUACUUGUAUAGAAACUUUAGGUAGCUUUCUAGUGUAAGUAGUGACAUAGUUCUUGUGUGCCUAGUGAUUAUAUCAACUAGAAUUUUUGGAUAGGUGGCUUGCAAACACCCCAUUAGAGCUAGAGCAAAAAGCUUCGCUUUGUUAUUUACUAACCUCUUGCUCUAGUGAGUUUGUAGAUUUUUUUUAAAUAGGCUAUUCACCCCCCCCUAUAGCCAUAUUAGGACCUUUCAAGUGGUAUCGAAGCCGUGGUCACCGUUUGUGAAGGCUUAACAACCUCGGUGCUCAAAUUAUGGCUCAAAUAGUGUUCAACCAUGUUGGGGGCAAACCACCGUUCUUUGAUGGCACAAGCUCUUUUGACUAUUGGAAGAGAAAAAUAAAGAUGUACCUUGGAUCAAUCAAUGAUAGAGUGUGGGAAGUCACGGAGAAUGAUUUUGUGAUCCUUGACCCCGCAAACCCCACCGACAAUGAGAGAGCAAACAAGCAAUGCAAUACGAUGGCUCUCAACACAAUCUAUAAUGGCAUUGAUUCAAAGGUAUUUGAACAAGUCAAAGAUCUUGAGAGAGCGAGUGAAGUGUGGACUAGGCUAGAAAAAACAUAUGAGGGCACUACAAUUGUAAAAAGUGCCAAAUUGUAUAUGCUCAAGGACAAGCUAUCCAACUUCAAGAUGAAGGAUGAUGAGUCUAUACCGGAGAUGUUCUAUAGGCUCCAAGUCAUCAUCAAUGAUCUCAAGGGCCUUGGUGAGAAAGUGAAGGAUGAGGACUUCAUUCACAAGUUCUUGAUGUGCUUGCCUAAGAGGUUCAAGACAUUGAGAACAAUCAUCUUUAGAGGUGGAUUGAUGGGUGUAUCUCCCAAUGAGGUACUUGGAGAUGUGAUGACCGAAGAUCAAUACAAUGACAAUGAUGAUGAUGAGGUCAUGAAGAAGGAUGAUGAUGACAAAAAGAAGAAGAGUGUAGUAUUCAAAGCUAGCUCUUCAUCCAAGAGCAAGAAUAAGGGCAAGGCUAAGAAGGAAGAGUCAAGCGAUGAUGAGUGCUCCAAUGAUGAUAGUGAUGAUGAAGUACUAGCACUCUUUGUCCGCAAGUUUGGCAAGAUGAUGAAGAAGAAGGGCUACCAUACAAGAAAGAGAAGGGACAACUCCAAAAAUAAGGAAUAUGUGAGGCUAUGCUACAAGUGCAAGAGCCCCGACCAUAUUGUGGCGGAUUGUCCACAAAAUAGUGAUCAUGAUGAGCAUGAGAAGAAGAACAAGAAGGAGAAGAAAGAAAAGAAAGAGAAAAAGAUGGUCUUCAAGAAGAAGAAGAAGGGUGGAUCCUAUGUUGUGACAUGGGAUAGUGAUGCUUCUUCGGAUGAUGAUUCUAUUGAUGAUGACAAGGCAUCCAAGAAGAAGGCGCUUGCAAGCAUUGCUAUCAACAAGCCAUCACUCUUCGACACUCCUUCAUGCUUCAUGACCAAGGGCCACAAGGUACAAUAUGAUGAAAGUGAAAGUGAAAGUGAACAUGAACAUGAUAGUGAUAGUGAUGAUGAAAAUGAAUUCACUAAUGAACAACUCACGGACAUGCUAGAACAAGUCGAUUCACUUAUUCAAUCUAAAAACAAGAAGUGCAAAGAAUUGGCCAAGAAGUUAAAAGCUCCUGAGCAAUCCUUUGAUGAGCUCAAUGCUAAUCAUGAGAGGCUAGUGGAUGCCCAUGAGAAGCUUGGCCAGGCUCACACCAAGCUUGAGAAAGCUCACUACCUGUUGUUAGAAGAGAACAAGGAAAAGGUUGUUGUAUCAUGUGAUGUGGGCACAACAUGUGACUUAAUUAAAGAAUCACAUAACCCACCUAUUGUUGUGGCCACUAACUCUUCUUGUAGGUCUUCAUCCACCACCACAAACUCUACCUCCACUUCUAGUGUUAGUGUCACUUGUGAUGCUUCACUAAAGGUUGAGAAUGAGACUCUCAAGAGAGAGGUGGAUGAGCUCACUCACGCCCUAGGCAAGGCCUAUGGUGGUGAGGCUCGCUUGCUAAAGUGCUUGGGUAGCCAAAGGUUUUCUCUCAACAAAGAGGGAUUAGGCUAUACCCCCAAGAAAGGGAAGGCGGCCUUUGCAACUCACAAGCCUAGCUUUGUGAAGAGCAAUGGUCGGUUUUGCAACAAAUGCAAGCAAGUUGGGAACCUAGAGCUUAAUUGCAAUAAAAUUAACAAGAACAAGAAAAAUGCUAAUGUACCUUACAUUCCUUUUGAUACUUGUUAUGUGCUUACCUAGGGUGAGAACGGUGUGCAUGAUAAGUUUGCUGGAAUUGUCGUUGAAACUAUGUCAGCUGAAAGAUUGACAGAAGUGAUUAAUAAAGUGGAAAAAUAGGUUCAUCGGCAAUAAAUAGAAAGUAUGUUACCUUGAGGGGGUGCAGUACUUGUCUGAAUCGAGGAGACUACCGAUGCUAUGAUUAGACUUGCUGGACCGGCGGUCUGCUCGUGUACAUCAGCCGAUGUUUCUUCUGGCUGAGGUUCUUCUGGCUGGAGUUCUUCCGUUUGGGGUUCUUCUUGUGGCUGAGGAGGAGAUGGUACUUGUUGUGUCUGGGCUUCUGGAGAAGAAGGGGAUGAUUCUACUAGGAUCGGAGACCUUGGGGGAGGAGGAGGCGUUGCUGUUCUCUGGCGCUUCGCUUGUGAUCUGGUACUCUUGGAACCUUUUCUCUUCGGUUGACUGGACUGGGGGGCAUCUGCAGUCGUACUUCUGGUCUUUGCCAAUGUACCGGUCUGCUGAUACAACAAUGAGAAGUUUAUGAGUACAAGUGUAAUAGGUAUAAGAAUGGAAUCGGUACGAGUUAAAGAAUUUGAAAAUUUACCUUGAAGGCUUGUGCUAAGGCAGUGGCAGCUACCGAUGGGGAUGUCUUCAUCCGCUUGGUGGUAACUUUCUUGAGACGCACACCCCGAUGCAUUAUAGCAGCCAAGGUUGGAGCGUUGUAGCCGAUCAAAGAGAUCAGGCCCGAUGGAAGGAGUUCAAUCGGCCUACCACUCCUGCUGACUAAUGGUGGCAUAUCAUCGACCUGUAUAUGACAAAGAAAGUAAGUUACUGAUGGAAAAUGAAAGUGAAAGGAUUGAAGAAUCGGUAUUAAAAUACUUAUAGUAUUAUCAGGGACUUUGUACUUGGGGUCGAUCAUGCCACAGUAUGUGAGAGCCGAUCUACACAACAGGUGUUCUUUCCACUCUUCCCACCACUAGUGAUGAAGAGAGCUGGGAUCCAAGCUGAUAGAUCGACAUCUGUAUCGGCGUUUGGUGGAAGUUGAGCUACCCUGAUCCAUUCCAGGUUGCUAGUGAUGGUCUCUCUCGGCUUUAUCACAUUGGUGUAGCAAAGUGCAAUCGGCAGUUGGCCGAAAGCCAGUUGGCGAGCUAGUGCCGAUGGGUUAUAAAACUCGUAGGUAAGAUUGGAAGCUUUCCCACUACCAAAGAAGUUCACUGGUAUGGCUCUUGGGGUGAUAAUUGCCAUCAUCACGUCAUGAUCCUUGUUGAGGGCAUCAUUGAAGGGGUGGAAAGUCAAGGGGAAUCUGGUGUCUAGGUCUUCGUAUGGCAUCCAUGCCCGCUGUUCUCUGGUCAGACCCUCGUAUAGAGUUUGGAAGAAUUGGCUGACCUGGUCUUUGUUACCACCAGUGCCAGGUAAGACUAUGGCCAUUUCGCCAAAGUUCAAGGGAGAGCGAGUUGCCCAUUCUUCUUCAUCCAGUUUAUAAUCUUUGGCUAUGUCCCUAGGAAAGUGUUGUGCAAAGAUGUUGAAUUCAUGGCGCUUGUGCAUGUGGAUAUUAAGCCACAUGUUGAUAAACCACCAAGGACCCCCUAAGUUACCGAUGGGUUGGCCGAGCAGAAGUUUCCAGGCUACUUGGUGGAGGAGGUGAUAAGCCGAGCCGAGCAAGUAUCGGCCAAGAGGAAAUCGGCCGCCAUCGGCUAGUCUUUCUGCUGCCGAUAAGUAAACAGAAGUUGGUCCUGCCGAUCGGCCACAGAAUACAAAUUUAUCUACCCACGUGUUCAGAAAAGUGGUCUAUUCCUUUCAAUUGACAGGACCUGUUCUUCGGUACUUCUGAAUGUACCCUGACCAACUGCCGAUAGCACAAGUUUCCACCUUAGCACUGGGUUUGGUGUCGAACAGGUGGCUGUUAUCGGCAAUGGAUAUAUCUAAGCCGGUGAGCAUAAGUACAUCGCCAAGUGUAGGAGAAACAGGGCCAUGGCCAAACACAAAAGCAUUGAGUGUGUCUGACCAAAAGUAUGAAGCGGCGAUCAGCAGUGACAAAUUCCUCUCCAUAUCGGCAAGGGAGAACCUAAUGCACUGGUCCAAUUUUCGCUCGCCCCAUUGAACCUCAUUUGAAUGACUGACUCUCAAGAACCAAUCCUUCCAUCCCUUGGUAGGACUAGGCCAAGAACGGAAGGCAUCCUUCCAUAGAUCUAGGGAGAAAUUUUCGGCUCUAAAAGGAACUCUAUUUGUCUCUGCGUUUAUCAGAUCGGUGGGAUCUGGGUUUCCUAGCGGGCCAAGACAUUGGAGGUGAGGUUGAUCGGUAGGAAUAAUGAUCUUAUCAGCCAGAUCCUAAAGGUUUGUGGGGAUAAAAGAAAGAACAAAAAAUAAAAAAGGAGUAUUCAGUAAAAGAAAUCGCGGAUGAACAGGAGUACGGUAAAUAUGUAGAAAAGAAGGGUAGUGAACUGACCUCAGGCACGGUGAAGUUGAUGGCCAUUUUCUUGUGAGGAAGAAGAUCGAAGACUUGGGAGAUUGGUGAAGAAGGCCUUCGUUGAAGUUCUUGGAGUCCUCGGGUGGUGCCGCCGCCGUGAAAGUGGAUUUUGGGCUGUAGAAUGACAAGAUGUAGAAGGAGUACCUGAGAAGGAAGUAUUUAUAGGACAAAACGGGUAGGGGCAAAUUUGACUUAUCUAUUUACCGCAUCCGUGAAAUCCGAGGGUGUUCAGGUAGAUAUGGUAACUGUUUGCGCGGUAAUCAAGGGAUUGUGUAGGUGAUUUGACAGCAACCGGUCAUGAUUUUAGAGAUAUUUACUGUGCGGGAUCUCUUGGUCGGUCCAUCGGCAGUUCCCUCUAACGGUAAUAUUGCUGAUGGGCGCAUAAAGUGGAGAGAUCCGGUUCGGGAGGUUGAGGAAUUUGAGGAAUCUGCAGGAGAAUCGGGCCAAGGUUGUUCAGAUUUAAUGGUCGGUUACCAAAUUGGGAGAAUUAAUUGCGGAAAGGCAUCAUUACUGCAGAGAAUUUUGAAGCAUUAAUGAUUUUAUACUCUGAAAUUGGGGGGCAUGUGUUGACACCAUUUUUAGACACGUACCCAGGGACCAGUAAAGUAUAGAUCGGCAGGUGGAGCAACGGUAACUAGUCUGCAAAGAAGUUGCCGAUGAGGGUCUUUGCCGAUGAAGAGACGGUUGAAUGUGACUAAGUCUAGAGGAGGUGACGUGUUCUUACCAAUGGUCAGUAUCAGUGUUUGCCGAUGGCCAUAACAGGAGGUCUGCCGAUGACUCUGAAGGAAAGCGUGGAGAUUGCCGAUUGAUCUGUGGCGGUGUCCGGGUCGGUUACAAAGGGAUAGUUGUAUAUUUUCCUUAGUUAUUUAAAAUCGUUUUGUAUGCGGAUUCUGUUUAAUUUGGAAUUCGAGUUCUAGUCAUGUCUGAUUGUAGCUCUUUGAGCAGGGUAUAAAUGUAGACCCUAGGGCCUUGUAAUGAAGAAUCUAUCAAUCAAUCAAACACAAGUUUUUACUCAUAUUCCAGCAUCUACUUUUUCGAUGACUUCGUCAUAUUUUCCUUUUUACUACGAGUUCCUAGGAAUUCGUCGACUUAAGCUCGACGUAUUCUUGAGUUCCGCAGGAAUAUCUCUUGGCCGUGACUUCCGGGCGUAUCGCUGUUAUCGGGACCAAAGUGUUCGAGUUAUCACCUUUGCCGAUAGUAAGGUCAAAUCGGCUGGCACGCCUUAACGUUUAGAUCUUGUAUUAGCCCUUUGUAUUUGCAGAUCAGCUUUUGCAUCAACAAAUCUACUAUCUUGGGCAUACCUAUAGGUAGACUGUCAACCAUAUUUUAUCGACACACACAACUUACCAUAGGUUAGAGGAAAACUAACGAAGGAAUUCUGUCUAUAUCACUUAAUUCUCGCUAUCUUGUCUUGCUGCCCUGGAGUAGUAGUUAAGACCAGGUUAGCCUUUUGCACGUUUUCUCGUUGCAGAUAAAUAAAUACCAUACUCUAGAAUUAUCUACUGCGUGAAGUGCUCACUGAUAUCCGUGCACUUGUGGAUUAUUUCUCUUAGAUUCUUUUGUGUGCGUAACCAAUAUCAACAGCUAUUCAUAUGUGCGAAGAUAGUCAAGCUACUACACUAGCAUGGUGAAGAGCAUAAGAAAGAUGUUAUGGGGAGGCAUGUGGCCGAUAGGCUUGACUAGAGGAUUAUCAAUACUAUGUUCUAUAAGAACAUUAGCGGAGAGGUAAGACACCUUUGGGUUGCAUUGAGCACAGAUGGGAUGAAUUCUUUCGACCAGGUCAGAAGCAACCAUAGCACUUGGCCAGUGACACUUUGUAUAUAAAACCUUCUACCUUAUCUCUGUAUGAAGCUGUCAUACUUCCAGAUGGCACUACUGAUCUAAGGGCCAAAACAACCAGGGAAUGACAUCGACACGUUCCUAGAACCAAUGAUCGAUGAACUUGUGUAGUUGAUUAACAAGGGUGUGGAGCAUGUUUGGGAUGAGUACAAAAAGGAACAUGUCACGAUUAAGGUUGUGCUUAUUGCUAAAAUUAACAAUAUACCAGGGCGAUGUUGCCUGUCUAGUGAGAAGAGAAAAGGCUAUAUGGAUGCGUCAUGUGCUUAGAUGACACCAAUGCGGUACAUCUAAAGAAUAACUCGAAACUUGUUUAUAUGGGACACCAUAAGUUCCUGCAUAUGGAACACUCGUACCGCAGGAACAAAAAUGAUUUUGAUGGCACUGUUUAUAGACGUAGGCCUCCAAACUAUCAAGCUAUUGGACUCAAAGAAGGAACCAUUUGCACAUUUGCAACCACAAGUGGCGGUGUUGAAUUCGUACGCGCACCAUGUAACAUAUUAUUAUCUGAUCAUACAUAUCUCUUUCUAAUGUUUCACCUUUUAACUAUUUAUUAUAAUAUCGAACAGUGUUCAAAAAGGCAUAGAGGUGAGACACAAAGCAAUUUCAAGGUUGCUGAAAUGCAACACAUUCCAUACUUAAAACAACUAGCGGGAAACAAUCAGUGUUGGUUCUAUGUGAUAAGGGCAAUGCAUUCCUACAUCGGCUUCAAUAUGAAAGAGGGAGAUAACCUGGUGAGUAGUGGUAUUAUUAUUAUUAUUAUUAUUAUUAUUAUUAUUAUUAUUAUUAUUAUUAUUAUUAUCAUCAUCAUCAUCAUUAUUAUUAUUAUUAUUAUUAUUGCUACUACUACUAAUACUACUUGGUGGGUACCAUAAAAAGGGAUACCCAAAUAAGAGGAAGAAAAAUUGCAAAAAGGAGAUAAGGCAAAUACCUAAGAUUAUCAUGGCUCGGGCACGGACUUCGUCUCGCCCGACCCCUUGGCCUCGGACGCAAGUUCUGCCUCGCCCGACCCCUCUUGGGCUCGGGCACAAACACCGCCUCGCCCGAGCCCCCAUCUCGGAGCGAGGCUUCCAACGCACGACGAACGUACCCCCGAUGUGACGCUCACCACAUCUCCCAUGCUACGGCAGGGCAUAAUGGCAACUAUUACAACCACCCCAGUCACUGUGUAGCCCUACCUCUUUCACUGUGAAGUACCGCCUCAUAGUAAAAGAGGUAUGGAGGAGAUUAACCUACGUCACUGUGGCUGUCUUUUCUACUAUUACAGGACACGCUGCAGUAUCACUGACCCGACCCCCACGACCUCAACAGGACUCGGCAACUCUCCAUAGGAGCAACCAUGCUAUCAGCCAUACCCCAAGGACGAGAUGGGCAAGCCACCACAGGGUCAGAACUAUUGCUUCCCCAUUUACCAGAAGUAGAUCGCCAGUCAACAUAUGUAAAAACCUUGUGACCCCUUGAGACUAUAAAAGGGGAGCCAGGGAACACAUCCAAGACACAACAUUAGAACUCAAGGCAAGACCACGCACAUACACACCCCAGAGUAGCAAGAAUUACUCUGUCCACCACACAAAGCUGAGACUUGGGAUUUAGCCCUCUCUCGCGACCAGCUUGUACACCCCGACUACAAGCACUCUCGGGUGCAAGGCAAUAUAGACUCCGACUCUCACAUUGGACGCAGGGCACACUUAGCCCAAACCAGUAUAAUUCUCUAUGUUCCACAUGCAUCACCAUUUGGGUUUAGGAGGACACGCAGACUUAUCACUCGUUAGUGUCUAGAUGACGAGUCUAGACGCCAACAGUUGGCGCACUAGGUAGGGGCAUCUGCGUUGUACUUUCCGUUCCCUGUUGGGGAAAGCCCGGAUGGCAGACGGAUUUCACCCACUCCGCCUCGGCACCAUCAUGAUGUUUGGGAGUUUGGAGUUCAUGUCUCUGGGCUCUGGCUAUGACAUGGUCCUCCUCCCACCGUGUGACGACGCCGAGCCUCAUCCCGAGACGAUCCCACCACAACCGGUUCGUGGGAGGCGCUCAGGGCAUCAUGCAGGGGGGAGGCCGGCACGGGCGUCAAAGGUCUAGCAUCUCUGACCCUGCCAUCGAGGCAAAGGCCCCGUCCAGCCCUACCCCAGCAUAUCCCUCGCUAGAUUGCCUAUUGUUGACACUAUUUUUGGACUCGUAUCUUUGGAUGCGCACCUGGAGUUAAUGAAGUGUAGAUCGGUAGGCGGAAAAAUGGUGACUAGUCUACAGGAGAGUUGCCGAUGGGGGUUAGUGGCGAUGGGAAAACGGCAGGAUAUGACUAAGUCUAGGAGUGGUGAUGGGUUUGUGCUGAUGACUAGUAUUGAUGGCUGCCGAUGGCUGUGAAAGGUAGUCUGUCGAUGGUUAUGAAGAAAAGCACAGGGGUUGCCGAUUGACUCGUGAUGAUGUACCGAUCGGUUGUGGAAGAUAAUUUAAUGCUUUGCAUAGUUAUUAGAGUUUGUUUUGUAUACAGAUUCUGUUUAAUAUGGAGUUCGAGUCCUAGUCGUGUCUGGUUGUAGCUCUUUGGGACAGGGUAUAAAUUUAGACCCGUGGCAAUGUAAUGAUAUAUCUAUCAAUCAAUCAAACACAAGUUCUUACACAUAUUUUAGAAUCUACUUUUCAACGACUUCGUCAUAUUUUAUUUUUUACUACGAGUUCUUAAGGAUUCUUUGAGUCAAUCUCGACAAAUUCUCUAGUUCCGCAUGAACACCUCUUGGCCAUGACUUCCGGGCGCAUCGCUGUUGUCGGGACCAAAGUGUUCGAGUUACCACCUUUGUCGGGUGUAAGGUCAAAUCGGCUGGCACGCCUUAACGUUUGAAUCGGGUAUUAGCCCUUUGUGUUUGCAGAUCAGCUUUUGCAUCAACACAUCUUUUGGCAUGCUCGGUGGGACAUAGAUUCAAGAUCAAGAUCAAGAUGCCGAACACCAAUUUCGACUUGGAGAACGUCAUCCCCGUGACGGAAGCCAAUCUCAGAGAUGAGCAGAGGCAAACUAUGGCAAAAGCUAUGGAGGACUACAAGCAGUUAUGCUUGAAAUCCUUCAGCAUCAACAGGAGUGUCGAGAUGAUCCAAAAGGAAGCAUUGCCGAUGCCUUAGCAAAUCACUUUUGAAGCCAAUCCUAGUAAACUUCAAGAGAUGGUUGACAGUGCUAUUAAUCGUGCUCUAAUCAAUCAAUCUAGUGUGUUGUCCAAUACAGUUUUCAAUGCUGUGGCUAGAACUUUCAAAGAAGGACAAGUGCCACCAUCUUAUGUGGGUCCUGCCUACCAUCAGCCAGGGUCAUCAUUGGUUACAGCUCCAUCGGCUACUACAGCCGUUGCGGGUACAGAGGCUACUUCUCUGCCAAGCACAUUAGGAAUCACUAAUGCACAGUCUACAGCAAUGACGACUAAUUCAUCAACGUCAGAUGGGCAAAUCAAACUUGCAACAGAUUUGUUGGCAUCGGCAAUGUCAGGAUCUGUUCCUCCCAACUGGUGGGGAUAUAAUAUGCCCCCGGAGUUUAUUACAAAAGGCCCUGGGACAUCUCAAGCGGCUAACGUGACAGGCAAGACUCCUAUGGCAUCGGCACCUCUAGGUUCGCCGAUGACUCAGAAUCUCUAGUAUUCUACAGCUACUACUGCAAGACCUUUUACUGGGAAUUCUCAAGCAACAACGUUCUAGAUGCCUAAUGCAUCGGCAGAUCUAAUGCCGAUGCAGCAGAGGUUUAUGACACAGCCAGGGUAUGUCAAUUCAAUGAUGAUGCCCAACUAUCACUCAUUGGUAGGACCUACGCCGAUGAAUGUUAAUAAUGGAUGGACAGGGUAGUUUGUCUUUCCACAAGUACCUCACCAGAAUCAUCAGGCUAUGGGAUUUCAGCAGGGACCAACGCAACCUGGAUUUUAGAAUCAAGGGUUGAUCAAUCAGCCGAUGAAUCUUGGUCAGCAAGUUGGUGGUCAGCAGGCAAUGGUUAAUCCAAUAUUCCCUAGAGAUCGUGCACCACAAAGACAUGUGGAAGCUUAUCAGCAGGUGCCAGAUCCGCAACCGCCCCAUCGGCAAGAUGCCGAUGCUUAUUGGGCCGAUAAGUGACCAAUUUGGGAUAAAACCCAAAGUCAACACUUAUUCUUAUCGGACACCGUUUCCUCCUGCGUAUGACUUAAUUCCACUACCAAAUCGGUACAAGGUACCAGAUUUCACCAAGUUUUCUGGGCUGGAUGAUACAUCGACUAUGGAACAUGUUAAUAGGUUCAUCAUCUUGUGUGGAGAAGCUGCUAACAGAGAUGAGUUGAGGGUUCGCUUGUUCUCAUCAUCUUUGUCUGGAUCGGCCUUUACUUGGUUUAUUUCAUUACCUCCUAACUCAGUGAUCACUUGGGCUGAUCUAGAGAAAUAAUUCCACAAAUACUUCUUUUCUAGAGUUCAUGAAAAGAAGAUUACCGAUUUAGUUAGGCUAAAGCAACGCAAUGAUGAAUCGGUUGAAAGCUUUGUGCAAAGGUUGCGAGAGGUUAAGAAUAAGUGCUAUAGUCUGGUUCUGGACGAUCGGCAGCUAGCCGAUUUGGCUUUCCAGGGAUUGUUGCCACAUAUCAGAGACAAGUAUGCUUCUCAAGAGUUCGAAAGUCUGAGUCAUUUAGUGCAGAGAAUUUCCGACCAAGAUAUCAAACCUUUUGAGCCUAAGAGAGCAUGGAAUAAAAAAGUGUCAUUUGUCGAUGAGGCAACAAGCUCAGAUUCUGAUGAAGAACCAGUCAUCGGCUUAGCAGAAUGGGUGAAAAAUAAGAAGCCGAUGUCUUGCCCUUUUGGGCAUAAAGAGCCAGAGAAGUUUUGCAUUUGAUAUCACCAAAGCCGAUAGGAUAUUUGAGUUUCUAAUUCAGGAAGGGCAAAUCAAGUUGUCGCCCAAUCAUGUGAUUCCAUUGACUUAGGAAUUAAAGAAGAUUAAGUACUGCAAAUGGCAUAAUGCAACAUCUCAUAGUACAAAUGAAUGCAAAGUUUUCAGGCAGCAGCUGCAAUCGGCUAUAGAGUCUGGGAGAAUUAAAUUCAAUAGCUCCAAAGAUCAAGAGCCGAUGAAGAUCGAUCAACAUUCUUUCCCUACAAAUAUGUUGGAUGCUAAGGGGAAGACCAAAGUUUUGACAUUAGAGGCAGCUGAAAGAAGUGCAUCGGUAGAUCCUCAGCACUAGAUUACUGCCGAUGAUGCCAAGGGCAAAGGUUUGAUCUAGGAAUGAACUAGCUCAGGAAGACCUCCCUGAUCUGGCAUUGUGAUUACUCAUGGAAGGCAUCAGGAAACCUGACAGCAGCGUGAGGAUCGGUAUCGGCGCCAACAGGAGGAUCGUCGUCAGGAAGAAGAAAGAUGCCGGCAAGAGUGGAAUCGGCAUAAGGAUCACUGAAACUGCCCGUUCUUUAUCCACUAUUGGGAGCAAAAUAUCAAGCUGCCCACUGCUAGAGACUGCCCUGAGUGCAAUGGCUAUGAUCGUUAUGAUAAACCAAGUCAUCAGUAUCAAAACAAUGAUCGGCGUUCUGAUGGGCCGAUUAGGGGAAGAGCCUCGGUACAUGAUCGGCUAGGGGGCAGGCUCAGUGUGCAUGACAGGCUUGGUGACCGUGUCGGGUAUUUUCCCACGAACCAAGAGGAGCUUGAGGAGAUGGCAGAUGCACAGGUUCCCAAUGAGUUCAUAUUUUGCAGAGAUGCUAAUACUCAUCGAGUGGAAUCAAGGGAGAAUCGUCGCCAGACGGUAAGGCAGCCACAACUUCCUCCAUGGUGUCCAGAGGGGCUGACCAGGACACAGAAAAGAAUGCUGCAGCGCGAAAGACGAGAAGAGCUAAGUAAAGGAGAGAAUUCUGCUAAAUCUGAAGAUCAGCAGCAGCCAGAUCCUAAGGGAAAAGGGCCAUCGGGAGAUGUUAAUAUGGUGUUUAUGUUGCCGAUGGAGUUCCUUGCGCCUGCCAGUGAUGAUGAGGUGGAUUUUUCCGACCAGAUAGCGCAGUUGGCUCUGGAUCCGAUGACGGCUAUCUUUGAAAAGCCUGCCGACAAUGAAAGACAGCAUCUUAAAGCUCUGUUUGUCAAACAUAGGGUUGAUGGACAGCCGAUGACCAAAAUACUUAUUGAUGGUGGGGCUGCUAUCAAUAUCAUGCCAUAUGCAGUCUAUCGAAAGCUUGGUAGAGGAGAUCAAGACUUGACCAAGACCGAUAUGAUGUUAAAGGACUUUGAAGGGAAUGUUUCUCCGGUUAAGGGAGCAAUAUGUGUCGAGUUGACCAUCGGCAGCAAAACCUUGCUGACGACUUUCUUGGUUAUCAGUGGAAAGGGUGCUUAUAAUCUACUGCUAGGAAGAGAUUUGAUCCAUGCCAAUUGUUGCAUCCCAUCUACAAUGCACCAAUGUUUGGUUCAGUGGGUAGGUGACAAGAUUGAGGUUGUCUUGGGAGAUUCUUCAUAUGUUAUAGCAUCGGCAUAGGCAGAUACUUAUGAAAGGACCAGAUGCAUCUCGGGAGAAGUUUGGGAGAAAGAUUUCUCAAAGUUGCCGAUUACGAAAUUCCAUCGAUCCAAGCAGUCGGUUCUGACGAGGAGUUUUAAUGGAUUGGUUCACCGAUGAUGGAAAAUUAGGCCAGGGGUUUACAUCGGCCGAUGAUUUAGUAGAAGUAGAUAUAGGUAAUGGUGAUAGGCCUAGGCCUACGUUUAUUAGUGCUACGUUAGAUUCUGAGUGUAAGCAACAGUUAACUGAUUUGUUAAGGGAAUAUAAAGAUUACUUUGCUUGGGAUUAUACUGAGAUGCCUGGUUUAGACCGAUCUAUUGUUGAACAUCGGUUACCUAUCAAGUCUAGAUUUCAGCCACAUCAGCAGCCAGCUCGGCGAUGUAAUCCCGAUAUUCUUCCUGAUAUUAAGGCCGAAAUAACUAAACUUAUCGAAGCUAAAUUUAUUCGGCAAUGUCGGUAUGCCGAGUGGAUUUCCAAUGUCGUUCCAGUUUACAAGAAAAAUGGGAAGCUUCGAGUGUGCAUUGAUUUCCGGAAUCUUAACAAGGCUACAGCGAUGGAUGGUUAUCCAAUGCCAGUUGCUGAUUUGCUAGUUGAUGUUGCGGCUGGAAAUUGGAUCAUUAGCUUUGUGGAUGGUAAUGCAGGAUACAAUUAGAUAUUCAUGGCUGAAGAAGAUAUUCCAAAGACCGCGUUUAGAUGUUCUAGUCAUGUUGGGUUGUUUGAAUGGAUAGUCAUGACCUUUGGCUUGAAAAACGCUGGUGCUACUUAUCAGAGGGCUAUGAAUUUUAUCUUUCAUGAGUUCAUCAGCAAGCUGGUAUAAAUUUACAUUGAUGAUGUGGUUGUUAAGUCUGGGGAUUUCACAAAGCAUCUUGCCAAUCUGCGAAAAGUGUUGGAGUGCACAAGGAAACAUGGUUUGAAGAUGAAUCCUAACAAGUGUGCAUUUGGCGUAUCGGCAGGGCAAUUUCUUGGUUUCAUGGUGCAUCAGAGAGGAAUUGAAAUUAGUAGGAGAUCUAUUGAUGCCAUCAAUAAAAUAGUUGCUCCUACUAACAAAACUGAACUCCAGUCUUUGAUCGGCAAGAUAAAUUUUAUCAGACGGUUUAUAUCUAAUUUGUCUGGUAAAAUUCGUGCUUUUAGUCCUUUACUUAAAUUGAAAGCCGAUCAAGAGUUUGUGUGGGGAAAAGAGCAACAAUCAGCCUUGGAUGAAAUCAAGAAUUAUUUAACAAGUCCUCUAGUUCUGAUUCCACCACAGCAAGGAAAGCCUUUCAAAUUAUAUUUGUCUACCAAUGGGAUGGUCAUCGGUUCGGCUUUGAUUCAAGAAUUUGAAGGGAAGGAGCGCGUGAUUUAUUAUUUAAGUAGAAGAUUGAUUGAUGCUGAGACCAGGUAUUCGGCAAUUGAAAAGUUAUGUUUGUGCUUAUACUUCUCAUGUAUUAAGUUGAGACAUUAUUUGCUAUCGGCCGAAUGCACUGUUAUAUGCAAAGAUGAUGUAGUCCGAUACAUGCUACCUAUACCGAUUAUGAGUGGUAGAAUCGGCAAAUGGAUUUUGGCGCUAUCGGAGUUUGAUCUAUGUUACGAAUUGGCUAAGGCAGUUAAUGGGCAAAUUAUGGCCGAUUUUGUGACUCAGCAUUGUGGUGUAGUGGGGACUUUGGAAAUUGUUCCUUGGACGCUCUUCUUUGAUGGAUCUACGUGUGACCGGGGGGCAGGAAUCGGUAUAGUAUUAGUUUCUCCUCAGGGAAAGAAGUAUGAGUUCUCUUUGCCGAUUGUUGCCACGUCAACAAAUAAUCAAGCUGAAUAUCAUGCUUUGAUCAAAGGGUUGGAAUUUUUAAAAGAGGUUCAUGCUGAUGCUGUUGAAAUCUUCGGUGAUUCUAUGCUUGUUAUAAAUUAAUUGGCUGAAAUUUAUGAAUGCCAAAGCGAAGUCUUGAUAACCUAUUAUGAAAAGAGUAUGCAGCUAUUAAAGGAAUUCAAGGAUUUCCGAUUAGAGCAUGUUCCUCGAUUACAUAAUGAGGAGGCUAAUUGGUUGGCUCAGCAUGCCUCGGGAUAUCAACCCAUAUUAAACACGUUAUCGGCAAUCGGUGUCGAUGAUUGGAGAAAGGAGAUCAUUGAUUAUUUAAAAGAUCCAUCUAAAAAGGUUGAGAGGCGUGUUUCAAGCUACCAAGUAUGUACUCCUUGGGGAUGAGCUAUAUUAUCGAACAAUAGAUGGGGUUCUUCUCAAGUGCUUACGUGAUGACGAGGCUAAAACUUUGAUGGAUGAAAUCCAUGAAGGAGUAUGUGGAGCGCAUCAGUCGGCUUUUAAGAUGAAAUGGAUGAUUAGGAGAAAAAGGUAUUAUUGGCCGAGUAUACUCGAGGAUUUCUUUAAAUAUUUCAAAGGAUGUCAAGGAUGUCAGAAAUUUGGCAAUAUUCAAAGGGCACCCACAUCAGCUAUGAAUCCCAUUAUUAAGCCUUGGCCGUUACGGGGGUGGGCUAUUGAUCUAAUCGGCCAGAUUUACCUGCCAUCAAGCAAAUGGCAUAAGCUCAUCUUAAUUGCCACUGAUUAUUUCACUAAGUGGGUUGAAGCUAUUCCUUUGAAGAAAGUAACAUCGGCUAAUAUGAUUGAUUUUGUGAAAGAGCAUAUUGUUUACCGAUUUGGUAUUCCUCAAACAAUCACUACCGAUCUGGGUACUAUGUUUACAUCGGGAGAGUUUGAUGAAUAUGCAAUCGGCAUGGGGAUUAAAGUGUUGAAUUAUUCUCCUUAUUAUGCUCAAGCCAAUGGACAAGCCGAGGCGUCUAACAAAGGAAUUAUUAAACUCAUCAAGCGAAAGAUUGAAGAAAAUCCUAGGAGGUGGCAUAUAUUAUUAAAUGAAGCUUUAUGGUCAUAUCGGAUGGCAUGUCAUGGAUCGACCAAAGUUUCACCUUAUCAGUUAGUGUAUGGACACGAUGCAGUGCUACCAUGGGAAAUUAAGACUCGAUCUAGGAAACUAUCUUUUCAAGACCAAUUGACUGCCUAUGACUAUGCUACUUUGAUGAAAGUUGUGGUAGACGAUUUAGCAGGGCACCGGCUGAGGGCUUUGAUAACUAUAGAAGAGAAUAAAAAGAGAGUUGCUAGGUGGUAUGAUAAAAGGGUAAAAACUAAGGAGUUUGCCGAUGGAGAUUUGGUAUGGAAAUUAAUUUUACCAAUUGGGACUAAAAGUUCAAAGUUUAGAAAAUGGUCUCCUAAUUUGGAAGGUCCUUAUUGGAUAAAUCGGUCUGCUCCUGGUAAUGCUUAUAUCUUGGAAACUCUCGAAGGUGUUGAAUUUCCUAGAGCAUUAAAUGGAAAAUACUUAAAGAGAUAUUGCCCAAGCAUUUGGGUUGAUGCAUGAAAGUUUAAAGUGCCGAUAACACUCCUAUCGGCUGGAUUAAGAUGUAUCUGGGACUGAGCAUGAUGUUUUAAAGGAUGCCGAUAACAAUCCUAUCGGCUAGACCAAAAUAAUCAGAAGUUUCUAAAGGCAGAACAAAACGCGCCGCCGAUGAAGAGUUCAUACGUUCAGCAAGGCUUGGAUGGCUGAUAUGGCAUGCAGACGGAUUUGAUUGGCUUCUUCUAUCUCCCGGAUGUCCUCAUCGGUAGAGCCCUCCACUAGCUUCAACUUCUUCUUCAUCUGCAGCGCCUUGCGGGCCUAAAUGUUUUGCUCUUGUUGGAGGGUCUUGAUCAUUUCGGGCAGCUGAUUUUCUUCUUGCUGAGCUUGAGAGAGAGCCUCUUCUACUUGCUUAAGCUCUGCCAGCAGGGUUUCCCUUUUUACCGAUAGGUCAGAGAUCUUCUGCCUUAGCGUCUCUCCUGAGGAUUGUAGAAUGUCGAUGCUCUUGUGUUUCUCAUCGUCAAGGUGUUUCACUUGCAUUACCUCCUCCUAGAGUUGGGUGUGGGUGGCUCUGUCGGCAAGACGCUGGGUAGCCUUUCGGUACUGGAGUUGGCGGCUCUCCAAGUGCGCAGCCUGGAAGAGAAUCUCUUCGACAUCAGCUGGGAUUUGACCCCUAAGAGCUUUGAACAGAGCUUUGGCUGGAUCAGAGUCAUCAACUAAUUGAGCAGUGUCUUGCUGUAGCAAGGCUAGCAGAUCCUUCAUUUUGCUCUAAUUUCUGCCGAUGAAAUCCCUAUUGCUUGAGAAGAGGUUGCUUCCUUGCCUUCAUCAUCAGAAAUUUCGAUGGCAAAGGAAAACAGGCUAUCCGGAGAAUCUUGUUCAUGAAAAGAAAAAUAAGAUAAGUUAUUUGAUGGUCAAGUACUAGUAAUAUAAAUAGUAGAAAUAAGAUGACUUACUUGUUUCAGAGCUAUUUCUCGCCUCUGGCUAGUUGAUGCCGAUGGUACCACAGGUUGAGCGGCUAGAGUUGCCGAUGGAACGAUGUCAACUGAAAAAUAACAAAGAUAAUUAUGAUUUGAAAGAAUAAACCCAUCGAUGAGAAUUUUAUAGAUAGUACUCUACCUUGAGGGGGAGCGGUGCUUGUCUGUUCCGAAGAAAUUACCGAUGGUAUGAUUGGAUCGGCAGUUUGCUCAAGCACAUUGGCUGGUGCUUCUCGAGGCUGAGGUGCUUCCUAUAGUUGAGGUGAAGAUGGUGCUUGCUGUGUCUGGACUUCUGGUGAAGAAGGGGACGAUUCCACUUGAAUCGAGAACACUGGAGGAGGAGAGGAAGGUGGUGCUGUCUUCUGGCGUUUUGCUUGUGACUUGGUGCUCUUGGGGCCUUUUCUCUUAACUUGGCUGGAUUGGGGGGCAUCGGCACUUGUCUUGGUACUUCUGGUCUUUGCUGAUUUGCCAGUUUGCUGAUACAACAAUAGAAAUUUUAUAAGUGCAGAUGUAACAGGAUGUUAAUGAGAAUUUUUGCAAAAGACAGAAGUUACCGAUGAAGUUCCCAUAGCAGCCGAUGUAUCCUGAAAAGAUUGUGUAAGUAUAGAACGGAAUCGGUAUAGAUUGAGAAAAUCAAAAGAUUUACCUUGAAAGAUUGUGCCAAGGUAGCAGCAGCAACCGAUGGAGAUGUCUUUGCUCGUCUGGUUGUUAUCUUCUUGAAACGCAUGUUUCGGUGCAUUGGCUGCCAGGCUUGGUGCAUUGUUGCCGAUUAGAGAAAUCGGGCCCAACGGAAGGAGCUCGAUCGGCUUACCACUCCUGUUGAUGGUUGGUGGUGUGUCAUCGACCUGUUUAAAAAGGGAUAAAGUGAGUUACUAAUAAGAGUAAAAGUGAUGGAAGGAUUGAAGCAUCAGUUAAAAACUUACAGUGUUUUCAGGGACUUUAUACUUGGGGUCGAUCAUACCACAGUAUGUGAGAGCCGAUGUGCAGAACAGAUGCUCUUUCCACUCCUCCCACCACUUUUUGUCUGCUUGAGUAAUGAAGAGAGCUGGGAUCCAAGCCGAUAGAUCGAUAUCUGACGUAUCAGCAUUUGGCUAAAGCUGAGCUACUCUUAUCCACUCAAGACCGCUGGUUAUGGUAUCCCUUGUGAAAGCCCUAGUUUGGUUUUGGAUAAUUGAUGAAACCCUAAGUACUAACCUCUAUACUAAGUGUGUGUAGACAUAAUGAGUUUGGUACAUGCCAAGUGAUAGAGCAAGUGAUGAUCAUGGUGAUGAUGGUGAUGACCACAAGAUGAUCAAGUGCUCAACUUGGAAAAGAAGAAAGAGAAAAACAAAACCCAAUGGAGAUCAUGGCAAAGGUAUUGUCUAGGGUUUUGGUUUUGGUGAUCAAGACACCAUAGAGGGUGUGAUCACAUUUAGGAUAGAUAGCUGUACUAUAAAGAGGGGAAUUCUUUGUCAUUGUUCUUGUGCAUACAUUUAGAAUCUAGUGAGCUAACUUAACUCCUUCGAAGAAAAUGAUUGUGAAAAUGCUAACACACGUACACUUGUUGGUUUACAUUUUGUGGUGUUGGCACACUUUGAGAAGGGAGUUGAAAUUUGAAUGGGUAGAGAGAGGAUGGGUUCCUCUCUCCCUCUAGCCAAGCUUGCUCGGCGGGAUUCAGCGCUUUUGAGAAAAUGAAGUGCAUAUUUUCGAUUGCGUUGGUGGGAAAGUUGGACAAGUCGCGGGAGUGUUUCUCGCUGAGGAACACUCACCGGACGCUGGCUUCUAGAGCACCGAACGCUGAGUCUGAGCGUCCGGUGCAGUCAGUGCCUGGCUCAGCUAGGGUAAGGCACCGGACGCCAGGCACCGGACGCAGGCUGUAGCGUCCGGUGUUCUGAGUCCGGUGUCCGGGCGUUUUGCAGUGCUCCCUGGGUUUUAAUCCGGUGAGCACCGGACACAGGCUGGAGCGUCCGGUGUUCAGCGUCCGGUGACCCUGCGCGUUUGCAGACCUCUCUGAGUUGAGGACCGGUGUGCACCGGACGCGUCUGGUGGUAACUUGCUCAGCGUCCGGUGCUCUGCAGGUUACCGUUAGACUCUGACACGCGGCUGACGUUGGAGCACCAGACGCAGGAGUUGAGCGUCCGGUGCCCCUUUAAGAGUGUCCGGUGACCCCAUAGUUUGCCCAGUGAAAGAGCCAACGGCUCUUUUUGUUUGAGGGGCUUAUAAAUAGUUGUUGGCCGGCUUAGGGCUCACUCUCUUAGCAUUCUUGACUACUAGACAUCCUUGUGAGCCUAAGCAAACACCUCCCACUCAUCUCCUUCGUAGAUUAAACAUCUUUGUGAGAUUGGGAGUGAUUCCAAGUGCAUUUGCUUGAGUGAUUGCAUCUAGUGGCACUUGGGGAUCGAUUUGGCUGCGGUUUUCUUGUUACUCUUGGUGGUUGCCGCCACCUAGACGGCUUGGAGCAGCGGAGGAGCAUUGGCACGAGUUGGUGAUUGUUCGUGGCCAUCUCCCAGUGAUUGUGAGGGGUCUUGUACCUUCUCCGACGGAGAGCCGAAAGGUAACUCUAGUGGAUUGCUCGUGUCAUUGAGUUACCUCAACUUGUGGGUAGGUUCUUGUGGUGUCCUAGUGAGGAGGUUCGUGCUACACCUCUUAGCCACCGAACCACCAAGUGUUGGUCGACACAACGGGUACGUAGCGUGCCGGCAAACACGUGAACCUCGGGAGAAAAAUUGUGUGUCUCCAUUGUGAUUGUUCAUUGGAUAUCUCCCGGUGAUUGGACUUCAUAUUAUUGAUUGGUUCAUCCCCUCUAUGCGGCGGUAUAAAGUUCAAACCAUCUCUUUUACAUUCCCACAAACUAGAGUAGCUUAAUUACUUGUAUAGAAACUUUAGGUAGCUUUCUAGUGUAAGUAGUGACAUAGCUCUUGUGUGCCUAGUGAUUAUAUCAACUAGAAUUGUUGGAUAGGUGGCUUGCAAACACCCCAUUAGAGCUAGAGCAAAAAGCUUCGCUUUGUUAUUUACUAAUCUCUUGCUCUAGUGAGUUUGUAGAUUUUUUUUUAAAUAGGCUAUUCAACCUUUCAAGUGGUAUCGGAGCCGUGGUCACCAUUUGUGAAGGCUUAACAACCUCGGUGCUCAAAUUAUGGCUCAAAUAGUGUUCAACCAUGUUGGGGGCAAACCACCGUUCUCUGAUGUCACAAGCUCUUUUGACUAUUGGAAGAGAAAAAUGAAGAUGUACCUUGGAUCAAUCAAUGAUAGAGUGUGGGAAGUCACGGAGAAUGAUUUUGUGAUCCUUGACCCCGCAAACCCCACCGACAAUGAGAGAGCAAACAAGCAAAGCAAUACAAUGGCUCUCAACAUAAUCUAUAAUGGCAUUGAUUCAAAGGUAUUUGAACAAGUCAAAGAUCAUGAGAGAGCGAGUGAAGUGUGGACUAGGCUAGAAGAAACAUAUGAGGGCACUACAACGGGAAAAAGGGCCAAAUUGUAUAUGCUCAAGGACAAGCUAUCCAACUUCAAGAUGAAGGAUGAUGAGUCUAUACCAGAGAUGUUCUAUAGGCUCCAAGUCAUCAUCAAUGAUCUCAAGGGCCUUGGUGAGAAAGUGAAGGAUGAGGACUUCAUUCACAAGUUCUUGAUGUGCUUGCCUAAGAGGUUCAAGACAUUGAGAACAAAUCAUCUUUAGAGGUGGAUUGACGGGUGUAUCUCCCAAUGAGGUACUUGGAGAUGUGAUGACCGAAGAUUAAUACAAUGACAAUGAUGAUGAUGAGGUCAUGAAGAAGGACGAUGAUGACAAAAAGAAGAAGAGUGUAGCAUUCAAAGCUAGCUCUUCAUCCAAGAGCAAGAAUAAGGGCAAGGCUAAGAAGGAAGAGUCAAGCGAUGAGGAGUGCUCCAAUGAUGAUAGUGAUGAUGAAGUACUAGCACUCUUUAUCCACAAGUUUGGCAAGAUGAUGAAGAAGAAGGGCUACCAUACAAGAAAGAGAAGGGACAACUCCAAAAAUAAGGAAUAUGUGAGGCUAUGCUACAAGUUCAAGAGCCCGGAUCAUAUUGUGGCAGAUUGUCCAUACAAUCAUGAUCAUGAUGAGCAUGAGAAGAAGAACAAGAAGGAGAAGAAAGAAAAGAAAGAGAAAAAGAUGGUCUUCAAGAAGAAGAAGAAGGGUGGAUCCUAUGUUGUGACAUGGGAUAGUGAUGUUUCUUCGGAUGAUGAUUCUAGUGAUGAUGACAAGGCAUCCAAGAAGAAGGCGCUUGCAAGCAUUGCUAUCAACAGGCCAUCACUCUUCGACGCUCCUUCAUGCUUCAUGGCCAAGGGCCACAAUGUACAAUAUGAUGACAGUGAAAGUGAAAGUGAACAUGAACAUGAUAGUGAUAGUGAUGAUGAAAAUGAAUUCACUAAUGAACAACUCACGGACAUGCUAGAACAAGCCGAUUAACUUAUUCAAUCUAAAAACAAGAAGUGCAAAGAAUUGGCCAAGAAGUUAAAAGCUCCUGAGCAAUCCUUUGAUGAGCUCAAUGCUAAUCAUGAGAGGCUAGUGGAUGCCCAUGAGAAGCUUGGCAAGGCUCACACCAAGCUUGAGAAAGCUCACUCCUUGUUGUUAGAAGAGAACAAGGAAAAGGUUGUUGUAUCAUGUGAUAUGGGCACAGCAUGUGACUUAACUAAAGAAUCACCCAACCCACCUAUUGUUGUGGCCACUAACUCUUCUUGUAGGUCUUCAUCCACCACCACAAACUCUACCUCCACUUCUAGUGUUAGUGUCACUUGUGAUGCUUCACUAAAGGUUGAGAAUGAGACUCUCAAGAGAGAGGUGGAUGAGCUCACUCACGCCCUAGGCAAGGCCUAUGGUGGUGACGCCCGCUUGCUAAAGUGUUUGCAUAGCCAAAGGUUUUCUCUCAACAAAGAGCGAUUAGGCUAUACCCCCAAGAAAGGCAAGGCGGCCUUCGCAACUCACAAGCCUAGCUUUGUGAAGAGCAAUGGUCGGUUUUGCAACAAAUGCAAGCAAGUUGGGCACCUAGAGCUUAAUUGCAACAAAAUUAACAAGAACAAGAAAAUUGCUAAUGUACCUUACAUUCCUUUUGAUACUUGUUAUGUGCUUACCUAGGGUGAGAAGGGUGUGCAUGCUAAGUUUGUUGGUACACCAAUUGUGGGUCCAAAGAAGAAGGCCAUUUGGGUACCAAAGAGCUUAGUCCCUAACCUCCAAGGACCCAAACAAGUAUGGGUACCUAAGAAACAUUGAUUUGUUUUGUAGGUAAACUAUAAAGCCGGAGGAAGGCAUUGGGUGCUUGAUAGUGGGUGCACACAACACAUGACCGGUGAUUCAAGAAUGUCCAAUUCAAUCAAUCCAAAUGAUGACAAUGGUGUUGGUAGUAUCACAUUUGGUGACAAUAGCAAAGGUAAGGUCAAAGGGCUUUGUAAAAUUGCUAUAUCUAAUGACUUGAGCAUUUCCAAUGUGCUACUAGUAGAGAGCUUGAACUUCAAUUUGCUAUCCGUAGCUCAACUUUGUGAUCUUGGUUUCAAAUGCAUAUUUGGAGUUGAUGAUGUAGAGAUCAUAAGUGUAGAUGGCUCUAACUUGAUAUUCAAAGGCUUUAGAUAUGAGAAUCUAUACUUGGUUGAUUCCAAUGCUAGUGAAGCACAAUUGUCAACAUGCUUGCUCACCAAAUCUAGCAUGGGUUGGUUAUGGCAUAGAAGGCUUGGUCAUGUUGGAAUGAAACAAUUAAACAAGUUAGUCAAGCAUGAUCUUGUUAGAGGCUUGAAAGAUGUCACAUUUGAGAAAGACAAGCUUUGUAGUGCAUGUCAAGCCAGAAAGCAAGUUGGCAACACUCAUCCAAAGAAAAGCAUCAUGAGUACAUGCAAGGCAUUUGAGUUUUUGCACAUGGACUUAUUUGGACCAACCACAUACACAAGCAUUGGUGGAAACAAAUAUGGAUUUAUGACAGUGGAUGAUUUCACAAGAUACACAUGGGUAUUCUUUCUUAGUGACAAGAGUGAUGUUUUUGCAACUUUCAAAUCAUUUGUCAAGAGAAUACACAAUGAGUUUGAAUCAACCAUCAAGAAAGUGAGAAGUCAUAAUGGAAGUGAAUUCAAGAAUACUAGAGUUGAUGAGCUUUGUGAUGAAUUUGGCAUUAGGCAUCAAUUCUCGGCCAAGUACACUCCACAAUCAAAUGGUCUUGUAGAGAGAAAGAAUAGAACCUUGAUUGACAUGGCAAGAUCAAUGUUGAGUGAGUACAAUGUGAGUCAUUCUUUUUGGGCCGAAGCAAUCAACACGGCUUGCUACUAUAGCAACAGACUCUAUUGUCACCCAAUGAUGGAGAAGACUCCAUAUGAGCUCUUGAAUGGAAGAAAGCCCAACAUUGUAUACUUUCGAGUUUUUGGUUGCAAAUGCUACAUAUUGAAGAAAGGCACUAGAUUGAGUAAAUUUGAAAAGAAAUGUGAUGAAGGCUUCUUGCUUGGUUACUCAACUACUAGCAAAGCUUAUAGAGUUUGGAAUUUGGCUAGUGGUACUCUUGAAGAGGUGCAUUAUGUUGAGUUUGAUGAAACCAAUGGCUCUCAAGAGGAAGAUGAGAAUCUAGAUGAUGUGAGAGGCACUUAAUUGGCCGAUGCAAUGAAGAAUAUGGACAUUGGUGAUUUAAGGCCUAGAGAGGUGAUUGAUGUUGAAGAUGACAAAGAUCAAGUGCUUCCUACCUCUAUUGUGCAAGCUAGUGGUUCUCAUGAUCAAAAUCAAGUUAGUACAAGUGGUACACAAGUGCAAGAUCAACAAGCUAGUACAUCAUCUCAUGAUCAACCAAGUGCGAGCAAUCAAGUGCAAAUACACCAACCAACAAACAUUGCAAGAGAUCAUCCAUUGGAUCAUAUCAUUGGUGACUUUCAAAGAGGAGUGCAAACUAGAUCAAGAUUAGCAUCUUUUUGUGAGCAUUUCUCCUUUGUGUCUCACAUUGAGCCAAAGAAGAUUGAUGAAGCAUUGAGAGACGUCGAUUGGGUUAAUGCUAUGCAUGAAGAGCUUAACAACUUCAAGAGAAAUCAAGUAUGGGAAUUAGUUGAGAGGCCUAGUGAUCACAAUGUCAUUGGUACUAGAUGGGUCUUUCGCAACAAACAAGAUCAAGAUGGGAUAGUUGUAAGAAGCAAAGCAAGAUUGGUAGCACAAGGCUAUACUCAAGUUGAAGGUCUUGACUUUGGUGAAACAUAUGCCCCGGUUGCAAGAUUGGAAGCAAUUAGGAUAUUGUUAGCCUCUGCUUGUGCUCAUAAUAUCAAGCUAUAUCAAAUGGAUGUGAAGAGUGCAUUUCUCAAUGGCUAUAUCAAUGAAGAAGUCUAUGUUGAGCAACCUUCCGGUUUUGAAGAUGACAAGAAACCCAACCAUGUUUACAAGCUAAGAAAGGCAUUGUAUGGUUUGAAGCAAGCACCAAGAGCAUGGUAUGAGAGAUUGAGAGAUUUCUUACUCUCUAAAGGUUUCAAGAUGGGCAAGGUUGACAUCACUCUCUUCACCAAGAAGAUUGGCAAGGACUUGUUUGUGUUGCAAAUCUAUGUUGAUGAUAUCAUAUUUGGAUCAACCAACCAAAAAUUUUGUGAAGAGUUUGGCAACAUGAUGGCUACUGAGUUUGAGAUGUCAAUGAUUGGAGAGCUUAGCUACUUCCUUGGUCUUCAAAUCAAGCAAUUGAAGAAUGGCACAUUUGUGAGUCAAGGCAAGUACAUAAAAGACAUGCUCAAGAAAUUUGGUAUGGAUGAUGCAAAGGCAAUUAGCACUCCAAUGGGAACAAAUAGAAGCCUAGAUAGUGAUACAAGUGGAAAUAUGGUGGAUCAAAAGUUAUAUCGGUCUAUGAUUGGAAGCCUACACUAUGUGACCGCAUCAAGAGCGGAUGUCAUGUUUAGUGUAUGCAUGUGUGCAAGAUUCCAAGCCUCACCAAGAGAAAGUCAUUUGAAAGCAACAAAGAGAAUAUUGAGGUAUUUGAAGCAUACAUAAAAUGUUGGUUUGUGGUAUCCCAAAGGUGCAAAGUUUGAACUUGUUGGAUAUUCCGAUUCGGACUAUGCGGGAUGCAAAGUUGAGAGAAGAAGCACAUCGGGCACAUGUCAACUACUGGGAAGAUCACUUGUCUCAUGGUCAUCCAAGAAGCAAAAUAGUGUUGCACUAUCAACCGCCGAAGUGGAGUACAUUGCGGCCGGUAGUUGUUGUGCACAAAUCCUAUAGAUGAAGGCAACUUUGAAGGACUUUGGAAUCAACUUCAAACAAGUGCCAUUGCUAUGUGACAAUUAAAGUGCCGUGAAGCUCACCAACAAUCCGGUUCAACACUCAAGAACAAAGCACAUAGAUGUCCGCCAUCACUUCAUAAGAGAUCACCAACAAAAAGGGGACAUUUGCAUUGAGAGUAUAGGCACCGAUGAUCAACUUGACGAUAUAUUCACCAAGCCCUUGAUGAGAAGAGGUUUUGCAAGCUAAGGAAUGAAUUGAACAUACUUGACUUCUCAAAUAUGUGUUGAUGCACCCCCACUAUAUGACAUGCCUCUCCUUCGAGCAAAGCAAGGUAACAUCGAUUCACUUGUCAUUCAUCCUAUGCUAAGGACUUGUUUAGUGCAUCUAGUCAUUCCUUACAUGUCUUAGGAUCAUUCAUGAAAAUCAAAUGAAUUUGAUGCUUAUAUGGUACCACUAUUGCUUCUAUGCUUGACAUGAUCUAGUGGUAGCAUAUGACAUGUUUUUGGGUUUGCAAUCCCAGUGUUUGAUCUAGAAUAUGAGCUAUAAGUGUUUAACUCAACAUGGUACAAGAUAACCCUUAUUUGGAGGUGUGAAGAAGCUUGUCCUUGGAUCAAUUUGGGAAAAUGAUCUCACUUCACAUAGGUUUCACACUAACCUAUCUAAAAUUUGAGCUCACCUUUUGUGGUCAUUGAUGACAAAGGGGGAGAAAAUUAAAAUUUCCCAAAGAUUUAAGAUAGGGAAGUAACAUGAUAAAACAAGGGGAUCAAUUAAAAUUUUGAAGCACACAAGUAGGGGGAGCAAGCUCAUAAACUUGUUGUUGCAUUUGUAUGUGCAUCACAUAUGUUUGCUUGCAUUUGCAUUAGCCUUAGUAGCUUUCUCUCUGAUACCUUGCUUGUGUGGUGUAUGCUAGUUGUAGGCUUGAUUGAUGAAAUGAAGAACUUGCAUGCAUAGGUAGUGUAACUAGAUUUUUAGUUAUUUCACAAGUGGUACUAGAACGUUGUUUAUAAUGUUGAUCUCACGGGGUGUUCUAGUUUCGUGAAUGUCUAGUUAUUAAUGGUGCUAAGGAUGGUGUACAUUGGCAACUCUGAUUGGUAUCACGCUUCAAGGGUCCAUUCUUUACACCUUAGCAUCAUUUGGUAGAAAUUGACUCCUAUAUUUCCUGUUUAAGCAUAUGUGCAAGCUUUCAAAUCCAAACUCUUAGCACAUAUGUAGGGGGAGCAAUUGCUACCAUUUUGGGUUUAUGAAACUUGUCCAUAAUCUUUGCACAUGGUAAAAUGCUUGGACAAGCAACAUAAAUCUAAGAAAAUUUUAUUGAAAAUCUUUGUAAAAAGGGUUGUCAUCAAUUACCAAAAAGGGGGAGAUUGAAAGCCCUAGUUUGGUUUUGGAUAAUUGAUGAAACCCUAAGUACUAACCUCUAUACUAAGUGUGUGUAGACUUAAUGUGGUUGGUACAUGCCAAGUGAUGGAGCAAGUGAUGAUCAUGGUGAUAAUGGUGAUGACCACAAGAUGAUCAAGUGCUCAACUUGGAAAAGAAGAAAGAGAAAAACAAAACCCUAUGGAGAUCAAGGCAAAGGUAUUGUCUAGGGUUUUGGUUUUGGUGAUGAAGACACCAUAGAGGGUGUGAUCACAUUUAGGAUAGAUAGCCGUACUAUAAAAAGGGAAUUAUUUGGCUAAGCGGUUAUCAAGUGCCACUAGGUGUCAUUGUUCUUGUGCAUGCAUUUAGAACCUAGUGAGCUAAAUUAAGUCCUUCGAUGAAAAUGAUUGUAAAAAUGCUAACACAUGUACACUUGUUGGUUUACACUUUGUGGUGUUGGCACACUUUGAGAAGGGAGUUGAAGUUUGAAUGGGUAGAGAGAGGAUUGGUUCCUCUCUCCCUCCCGCCAAGCUUGCUCGGCGGGAUUCGGCGCUUUUGAGAAAAUGAAGUGCAUAUUUUCGAUUGCGCCGGUGGGAAAGUUGGACAAGUCGUGGGAGUGUUUCUCGCUGAGGAUCACUCACCAGACGCUGGCUUCUGGAGCACCGGACGCUGAGUCUUAGCGUCCGGUGCAGUCAGUGCUUGGCUCAGCUAGGGUAAGGCACCGGACGCCAAGCACCGGACGCAGGCUGGAGCGUCCGGUGUUCUGAGUCCGGUGUCCGGGCGUUUUGCAGUGCUCCCUAGGUUUUAGUCUGGUGAGCACCAGAUACAGGCUGGAGCGUCCAGUGCUAAGCGUCCGGUGACCCUUGUUGGGUAUUUUAAACGCAAACAGAAAAAUCCGCAAGCGCACGGAUACCGAUGCAGCCUUCACCCGGGAGUAUUCCAGAGUAUCGAUUUUCCACAGGGAACGUGAGUGUACUAAUUAAGAUCCAAGAUCGCCCAAGGAUAACUAUAUGAUUAUUUUUUGGUGGGAAGAGAGGAAGUUUCCUGAGAGUUCUCUAGUUGAUCUAAGAAUCAAGAAUUACUUCAAGAUUAUCUAUUUCGGGACAUCAGAACACUAACCACAGAAAGAGAUGAGAAGGGGGCUAGGAAGCUCCGACUACGGUCCUACAAACACCGAUCCGAACGUGGUGGAAUACGUCGACCGUUAGAGCUGUCACUACCCUAAGGCUACCACAACAAUCCGCAGGAUUGGGUGCAAUUCCAUGUAAUUGCAAGACUAAACACCACGUCUAAUCUAUUAAUUACUACUCUAAUGUUUCAAAGAUUAGAGCACUUGAUGCAAGCGGGAAUCCAAUAAAUAACUUGAAUGUAAAUAAAAGUAAUAAAAGAACUCAGGAAUUAUGAGUUGAAGAACCUGGAGAACGAUGAAGAACGAACCAGAUGCUGCAAAAGUAUAAUGUUGAGGAAGAUCCGACAGAUCCGGCUCCUCCUCCGCUCUCCUCUUCUCUCUCCCUAUUUUCUAGAUUACAACUAGAACUAACUAGAACUAGAACUAGAGGAACUAGAACUAGAACUAGAUGAACUAGAACUAAAUCUAGAUGAACUAGAGGUAGAACUAGAAGAACUAGAGGGAUCCUCUCUACUUGGAUGAAGAAUUGAAACCCUAGCUUUGAUUCUGUAGAAGAAAUAUGAUCUCCAGGGGCCAGGGGGUCUGGUUUUAUAGUCCCUUCAAGUGAAUCUGGGCCGUCGGAUCAAACCGACAUUGAUUGAACGGUUAUUGUUGAUCCUUUAGGUCGGUGGAGCAAUAUCCCGAAAGAGAGUCCUGAUUGGACUCUGGCUGAGGGCGGGCGCCCAGGAAACGAGGGCGGGCGCCCUGUCCCUGUGUCCUCUCGGCCUCCGCUUCGGUCCCGUGGCUUCUGGAGUCUUCUAGAUGAUAGAAAAUUGCACGGCACGUUAAUAUCUCUAUGUAAACCCGACGUGUGGGCCUUUCUUCCGUAUUUCCUGAUAACCCCUGCAGAAAUAGACAAACACCAAAACUCGUGGAAUUCUGUGAGAUAAAACCCUAAGUCUGGGUGUUGGUUGCAUCUGGAUCCUUUUCCAUGAUUAGUUGAUGGUUAAAUAUGAGCAUUAAGGACCGUCAACAAGCUCCCCCAAGCAUAACCUUUGCUCGUCCCUAAGCAAAGAUAAACUCAAAAGUUUAUCUGCAGUGGUUUUAUGCCUUAAAAUACACAUUCGUUCAAACAAGAUCUCAUCUCUGGGUUAGGGUAAUCUGUUAAGAUUUAAAACUUACUCAUUUUACCUUUCACCAUGGGACUUGUAACCGUCACUUCUGUCUUGAGUAGUUAAAAGAUAGAACGGUCUAGUCAAGCGCCAUGUCUCUUGUUCUUCGAUUAACUCAGAGAUUCCUUGUAUGACUCUCUCUAGUCUCUCUUUUGUGGUAUUUCUAGAUCCUUACCAAGGCAGUAAUGGUAUAUGCCUUCUCUCAAAGUAUGUAGUAUUUUUGGUAUAAGACAUAGUGGCAUUGCCUUCUCUCUCACCCUACUCUAAUAAGGUUUUGAUAUCUGGAGCUCAUAGGUGGGAGACAGCUAAUACAUACUUACAAGACAUUUAUUGCAUAGUCAAACCAUGGAUCCAGAAGAACAAGUCAAUAAGUCAAAUCAAGAUGUGCAUGUGUGGCGAAUGAAUGGUGUAUGGUAAUGAUGGUGAUAACAAUGGUGAAAGUCUAAUUCUACUUGUGCUCUUUUGAGGGGAUACAUACCUUUUAUGCUCUUUUGAAACUUUUUGAGGAGAAUGAGAUGCUCUAUAUUUUAUUUUUCUUUUCUCUCAGAUGGGUAUCUUGUACCCCCAAUUCUACUGUCGGACACUUGUCCAUUUUUACCUCUCGUCUCACUUUUUUUUCGAGGUUCCGGGCACUUGCCCCUUUUUAUUUCCUCGUAUUUAUUUUUUUCUCUCUUUUUUUUAUAUUAGAGCACUCAUCUCGUGAAAUAAUAUAGCAAGUGGUAGUAACCAAGAUAACUUGAGCAUUUAUUUCAUAGGGGAAAAACAGAAAUGUUUUUGGCUAUUCUCUCCCAGAUUAGGAGUAGAAUAUUUUUAGGUGGCUCUGGAGAUGGAAAUGAGUAGAUGUGUGUGGAUGCGUACUUCCAGAGUAGAAGCAGCAUGUAUGAGUGAACGUGCAAGUGAAUCUUGACUUAACCACAUGACAAGCUCCUAAGGGUCUACACAGCUUGACCACACUCAAUGCUCAUAAGCAGUAAAAAGUAAAUGUGUGGCUCAAAGUCUAGCAAGCAUGUAUAUAUGGCUGUGGUAGGAAUUUAAACUCUCAUCAUACAGGAACUCAUCAUGUAAUAUUUUAAAGAUUUUCAAAGAGAAAAUUCUCUAGAAUUCUUGCAUCUCUAGGAACAGAUAAACAGCAGAUCAACCUUCCCAUAUCAUAUCCGUUAACGACUUAGACUUCAGAUCAAGUACUCUUCCCACAAGUUCAGGUUUAGAGCAAAUCUUAAUUAAUAACAGUCAUGCCUAAACUUGAGAGAGAUUUCAAUUUUUAGAACUAAUCAUGGCAGAGCAACUAUUCAUCAUUUCCAUGUGAGAGCUUAUCAUGAGGGUUCAUAGCAAACUUUAUUUAUUUAUUUAUUUAGCAAGCUAAGCAAAGAUAUAUAUAUAUAUAUAAGCACAAAAUCUUUAUUUGGGUUUUUAUGAUUAUGCAUCUUUUUAUUAUUUGAGUAAAGUAUAAACAUGAGUAGAACACUUAGCUGGAUAAAUGGGGGUGCUCUCCCCCAAGCUGGGUUUGAUGCAAUUUCUUCUGAUGUAGCUAGCAGGUGGCGGAGGUGUAUUUGAAUGUCGGCAGCACCCUGACAGUGAUUAGGAUGUCCUCCGUCUGCUAGUCUUCUUUGAUCCCUGAAUUCUGUGGAGCUCAAAUAGACAACAAAGCUUUGUGGAACUAGUUAAGUGUUAGCAUAAAUACCUAGCCUUUAUCAUGUUGAGCCUCCUCAAUAAAUAUUACUCUCUUUAGUAGGAUCAUAAAUUUAUUUUUAUAAUUUAAUGUUUAUAGGACAGGAAUAUACUUAUUUCAUUUUUACGCCACCAUAGUGGAUGUACUUAUGGGUUUUAUGCCAUGAGCAUACUCACAUGGGGCUACUAUUUUUAACAUUUUUAUUUUCUUUUCAAGAUGAUAUGAACCUGAUUAACUAAGCAAACUAUUUUAAAUAGUUGAAAGGAAAAAGAUAACUACCAAGUUUACCUCUUGGCAAGGCGUUCGGUGUUUUUAAGUCCUCCAAACGGGACUCUCCAUUUUCUCAGUCGUCCUGGGAUUCGCUGGAUGGUGUAGUCGGUGGUUCCGGUGGAGCCUGCUCUUCAUGUAUAACUAUCUUUUUUCUCCACACCUGACUCGAUGCUACGGUCUCCUCAGGACAGUUCUAUUCAAGUUGUAUGUCUUCAGACCUUACAACUUCUCCUUCAUAGUCUACCCAUCCAUCCUUGAUGAUUUGCCUCCUCUGGUUGCGGUUGCGUCGUCGUCUUCUUGUCCUGACCUGCUUAGAGUCUUCAACUAUAUAGUUAGGGUCAGUAAAACAGUGGCGUACCUUCUUUGAGGGGAAGUGCAUAUGGACUUCUCUGGUUCCAAUGUAUAUGAUUGCUUUAAUGGUGCUGAGGAACGGUCUUCCAAGGAUGAUGGGUGGAUCGUACUUGUCUUCUCCCAUGUCAAUAACCUUCAAUCUUUCAGAAUGUCUGAUCUGCCAUCUGGAGCUGAAUGUAUGUUGGUUGUAGGGACAUGGUUCCAUGCAGGAGCUGAUAAGUGACUGCGGCCAUUAUGUUGACGUUAGAUCCAGUGUCGUAGAGUGUCUUCUGAAAAGAAUAUCCAUUGAUUGUGCACUCGAUGCUUGGGACACCAGGGUCGUCCUUCUUGAUCAAGAAAGGUGACUUGAGUUGACGAUCUUGACCUCCUUGAGCUGCAAUGACCAUCUUAGAUGACUCGGUACACAUUUGCUUGUUCCUGUUCCUCCUGUUGGUCCUCUUCUUUGGUUCAUGUCGGGAUUGCUCUAAGAUUUGUGUAGUCUUGUUCUUGAAGGAAAACGUCUCCUUCUUCCCCUUGAUAUAGAAACUGAUCUUGGCAGCACUAGCAUAGAUGACAGCUAACGAGGUGUUCAGGAAUGGCCUCCCUAGGAUGAUGGGUGCCUCUCAUCAGUACCAGUCUCUAUUACCAAGAAGUCUGCUAGGGCGUACAAGGUACCAACUCGGACGCAGAGGUUCUUCAAUAUUCCCUUUGGGAAACUUAGUGUCUGAUCCUGGGCAUAAUGUUGACGCUGGAGUCAAAGUCACAGAGUGCUUCUAGGAAGUCCACCAUGCCGAUGAAGAUCGGGAUGACGGGGCGUCCUGGAUCAUCUCUCUUGACCGGCAGAAUGUCAGUAAUUACUUCCACAAUGGGGUUACUCCAGUAGUUACAUCCUCAAGCAUCUCAAGGCAGUGAUUGCCUGAGUGUCCAGUAUCUCCAGUGUGUUUGUAGGUUCUUCACUUGGUGGAGUCUGGGAGUUGUAAAACUCCUUCAUAUUUUGCUCGAAGUGUACCUGCUCAUAGAGACAAGGCAGAGAUCAAGUGCAUGGGCUCUAUUGGUGGAAAACACCAACAGAACCAAAAGUGUAUUUGUUCUCUCUAAGCUUAAGCAUAGUGAGCAAGACAAAGUUGAUGGAUAAAAAGAUCAUGAGUGUAGCAUUUAAAACAUUUGUCAGAUCAGAUCACUCAACCUUAUGGAAAGAUAAUCUAUCUAUACUUAUGCUUUUUUUUAUAUAUAUAUCUUCCAAAGAUUGAGUGUGCGACAUUUUAGCUCAUAAGAUUAGGAGUGUGGGAUCACAAAGGUGGAAGGACUAAACAUGUUGAAUCUAUUGGGUUGGUUAAUCUAGAGUUGAAAAUCAUACAUGUUUGUCUCUUUUAUACAUGUGAACGCCAGAACCAAGGAGAAGCUUUAUAGAAGUGAUAGUCAAGUACCUUAAGAUGUUACCUUUCUUGAAGAGUGAUGGUACAAUAUCACCUUGUGGAAGCUUUCCUUUCUUAGCGGUUGUGCAUCGUGUUUGUGGCACCCUCCAUGGAUCAUCUCUUGUGAGCUAUGCAUUCCUUGUGUAAAUUGUUAACCUUCAUGUGUCUCUCUCUUUGUCUCCAAUGUGAGUUUAUCUCAGGACUUCCCAGGUCGAUAUUGAAAGUUUUCCCUAAGGGGUUAGUCCAACAAAAUAUACCAAUGUCUACACAAGCAGUUUUUAGUUCAAUAACCAAACUAGACUCCAUGUCUAAUUAGAUUAAGGAAGGCUGUUUAACCUAAGCACCAUGCUUAAUUUAAAAACCAAUAGAAGUAUGUACAGUACUUCCAAACUAACACUUACUAGGAUAAACAAAGGUAGCGUGAUGGCUUUUAUAGAGAUCUACUCAAGUGGAGAUGAAGUAGUGUGAUUACUAUUUAACAAAUUGAGCAUGUCUCAAAGGUAGGGACAACCAACAUAGCAACAUGGCAAAUGAUGUUUUUAUAUAAAGUACUCCCCCAAGCUUGAAUUUUGCAAAAUUCAAGUUUGGAUGAAUUUAAUUCAAUGUUGUAUGAUGAUUGGUUGUACAUACCUUGUGCUUGUCAUUCAUCCAAUCUUCUUGCUCCCAUCCUAGAAAGGUUAGUGAAAAGAAUACCCGAAGGAAUUUUUUUUUUACAAUUAUCCUUAUAUGCUCAAUACACAAGGUAGUGUUGCAAAUAAUUAAAAGCUUCUGUUACGAUCUGAUCACUGCUUGUUUUAGGACACUAAGCUUGUUCUUGGGAAACCAUCAAUUUAUGUCAGCGAAGUGGUUUCCCCUCCAACGCUGACCUAUAUCAAGAUCAACUCAACGAGAUCUGCAAAAUUUAUUAUAGACAUAUGCAUCGACAACCGCCCUUUUAAAGUUUUUAUAAAUAGAAAGGAAGUGGGGGUUGGAGAUCUCGAAUGUGGUGAUGUUGGAGAGACCAAUGGAUUGUGAAGAUGUUGCAUAUGAGCAUGGAGUAAAUGAAGUGGCUAUGAAAUAAAUUCCAUGCUCAUUAAUGCUUAGAGUGAAAUCCAUGUGGUAUGGUGAAAAUGAUAAGGUGAGUGUGGUAAAAAAGGAAAAGAAAAAGGAUACACGGAUGACUUGGUUCGAAACUAGCACAGCUACCGUUCCCCGGCAACGGCGCCAGAAAGCUUGUUGGGUAUUUUAAACGCAAACAGAAAUAUCCGCAAGCGCACGGAUACCGAUGUAGCCUUCACCCGGGAGUAUUCCAGAGUAUCGAUUUUCCAUAGGGAACGUGAGUGUACUAAUUAAGAUCCAAGAUCGCCCAAGGAUAACUAUAUGAUUAUUUUUUGGUGGGAAGAGAGGAAGUUUCCUGAGAGUUCUCUAGUUGAUCUAAGAAUCAAGAAUUACUUCAAGAUUAUCUAUUUCGGGGCAUCAGAACACUAACCACAGAAAGAGAUGAGAAGGGGGCUAGGAAGCUCCGACUACGGUCCUACAAACACCGAUCCGAACGUGGUGGAAUACGUCGACCGUUAGGGCUGUCACUACCCUAAGGCUACCACAACAAUCCGCAGGAUUGGGUGCAAUUCCAGGUAAUUGCAAGACUAAACACCACGUCUAAUCUAUUAAUUACUACUCUAAUGUUUCAAAGAUUAGAGCACUUGAUGCAAGCAGGAAUCUAAUAAAUAACUUGAAUGUAAAUAAAAGUAAAAAAAGAACCCAGGAAUUAUGAGUUGAAGAACCUGGAGAACGAUGAAGAACGAACCAGAUGCUGCAAAAGUAUAAUGUUGAGGAAGAUCCGACAGAUCCGGCUCCUCCUCCGCUCUCCUCUUCUCUCUCCCUAUUUUCUAGAUUACAACUAGAACUAACUAGAACUAGAACUAGAGCAACUAGAACUAGAACUAGAUGAACUAGAACUAGAUCUAGAUGAACUAGAGGUAGAACUAGAAGAACUAGAGGGAUCCUCUCUACUUGGAUGAAGAAUUGAAACCCUAGCUUUGAUUCUCUAGAAGAGGUAUGAUCUCCAGGGGCCAGGGGGUCUGGUUUUAUAGUCCCUUCAAGUGAAUCUGGGCCGUCGGAUCAAACCGACAUUGAUUGAACGGUUAUUGUUGAUCCUUUAGGUCGGUGGAGCAAUAUCCCGAAAGAGAGUCCUGAUUGGACUCUGGCUGAGGGCGGGCGCCCAGGAAAGGAGGGCGGGCGCCCUGUCCCUGUGUCCUCUCGGCCUCCGCUUCGGUCCCGUGGCUUCUGGAGUCUUCUAGAUGAUAGAAAAUUGCGCGGCACGUUAAUAUCUCUAUGUAAACCCGACGUGUGGGCCUUUCUUCCGUAUUUCCUGAUAACCCCCUGCAGAAAUAGACAAACACCAAAACUCGUGGAAUUCUGUGAGAUAAAACCCUAAGUCUGGGUGUUGGUUGCAUUUGGAUCCUUUUCCAUGAUUAGUUGAUGGUUAAAUAUGAGCAUUAAGGACCGUCGACAACCCUGCGUGUUUGCAGACCUCUCUGAGUUUAGGACCGGUGUGCACCGGACGCGUCCGGUGGUAACUUGCUCAGCGUCCGGUGCUCUGCAGGUUACCGUUAGACUCUGACACGUGGCUGACGUUGGAGCACCGGACGCAGGAGUUGAGCAUCAGGUGCCCCUUUAAGGGCGUCCGGUGACCCCGCAGUUUGCCCGGUGAAAGAGCCUGUUGACGGUCCUUAAGUAUCAAAUUUAACUAUCAAAUAAACAAAGAAAAGGAUCCAAAUGAAAUCAACAUCGAGACUUAGGAUUUUAUCUUACAGAAUUCCACGAGUUUUGGUGUUUGUCUAUUUCUGUAGGGGGUUAUCAGGAAAUAUGGAAGAAAGGCCCACACGUCGGGAUUACGUAAAGAUAUUAACGUGCCGCGCAAUUAUCUUACAUCUAGAAGACUCCAGAAGCCACGAGACCGAAGCGGAGGCGAAUCGGGGCCAGAGACAGGGCGCCCGCCCUGUCCUACUGGGCGCCCGCCCACCUCUUGUGGCCAAUCACGCUCAAUCUCGCGGAUUAUGCUCCACCGACCUAAAGGAUCAAGAAUAACCGUUCAAUCAAUGUCGGUUUGAUCCGACGGCCCAGGUUCACUUGAGGGGACUAUAAAACCAGACCUCCUGGCCCCUGGAGGAGGCACCCCCUUGAUCAUUAUUCAUUAUUCAUAGACAGAGCAAAAGCUAGGGUUUAGAGAUGAGAGCUCUCCUCUCUUCUCUAAACUAGAGUAGAUCUAGAUAGUAGCAAGAUGGAGAGCGAAGGAGGAUUAGAGGAGAGGCCGGCCUGUCGGUUCUUCCUCCGGUUGUACUUCGCCAUGAUCAAGCUCUAAUCAAGCUUGCUCAUGGGAUGACUCUGGUAAUCUACUUCUAAUUCAUUAUGCAAUUACUAAUCAUGUAUGUUCUGGUUCACAACUCUUUUGAGUACUUCUAAUCUAUAGGACCCUAUAGGUUAGAGUUGUAGUAUAGGUGUAAGCGUGGUGCUUAGACCUAGAUUACUUGUGGAUAUCCCCUGACUAGUUGGAUCGUGUGGUAGGCCGCGUAGGUGACAGUUACGUUGGUCCCCUGUAGUCCACCUCUCGUUAGCAGGAUGGGUAGGGUUUAUCGGCCUAUGGAUAAGCAUCCUUUGUGGUGUACUCUUAUCACGUGGUUCGUCCCAGACAUAGACAUACCCCUUUGAAGUAGAGAAACCAUAGUUAUCCUCUCUAUUCUGCUACCAUCGCCCAUAUACUAUAAUUGCUCUAUUCUCUAUUCCCAUAUUAUCACUCACUGUUAUCUUACCUUUAAUAUAGUUCUUAUUCAAUUCUACUAUCUUUCCUAUUUAUACCUAUCUAUCUAUCUUGGUUAAGUUAGAGCGUAGUUGGUUCUCCCGUUUCCCUGUCGAUACGAUAAAACCUUUAACCGGGUAAAAGCUUCAACGGUAUCCGUGCGCUUGCGGAUUAUCUGUGUGCGUAUAAAUACCAUAGUACACUCUAGUGCCAUGCUGGGGAUGACAACCUAGUAUUCAAGUGGUGUUAGCAAGUGUCAACAAGCAUUUUUGGCGCCGUUGCCGGGGAAACGGUUACUGAGUUGACUACGAACUAGUUUAAUCAUUUUAUAAAAAAAUAUAUAUAUAACAAAAAAAAAUAUUUUCCUUUUAUCCUUUGCCUCAUCUCUGCUAUUCUUUCUUCUUAUCUAAUCCUUGAUCUCUGGUCUAUUAUGAAUUCAAACAUGUCUAUCUAUGAAUUUCAUAGACCUACGGGCACACAUCUCGAACCACCAAAAUCUUCAAAGCCUAUCAUAGCAUCUAGUUUUGAGAUAGACCCCGAAUACAUAGAAUUUAUUCAAAAACAACCUUUCUCAGGAGAAGGUGAGGAAAACCCAUACACACACCUAAGAGAGUUUUAUCGAGUCUGUGACAUCCUUCGCAUAGAAGGCAUGUCCGAUGGGACCCUUAAAUGGAAGCUCUUUCCGUUCUCUUUAACGAGAAAAGCUAGACACUGGUAUAAACUCAAAGUAGGGAGUGUUCAUGGAGAUUGGAAGGAGUUAUAUAGUAGUUUUAUUUCUAAAUAUUUUCCAAUCUCCAAAGUGGUGGAACUUCGGCGUGAGAUUCUUUCUUUUAGACAACUGGAAGAAGAAUCUCUUGGCAAAUCAUGGGACCGCUUUAUUAACCUUACUCUCACUGGCCCAAAACUUUCUAUUCCAGAAGAAGUUCUUCUAAUUCACUUUUUUGAGGGCCUUAGUAGGAAAAAUAAGCAAACCCUUCAUGCGGCCUCUGGAGGAUCUUUCCACCACCUAUCCGCUAGUGAAGCUUGGAAUUUGAUUGAUUUAAUGAGCGGAAAGUCUCCUAGCUUUUAUAUCCCUGAGAAAGAGAAAGAACCAGUUCCUAGACAAGAAGAAGAAGUUUCGAUAGCCAGAUCACAACCACUUCAAUCCCAAACUUUAGCUAUCGAUCCUAAACCAUCAAUACCCCAAAAUUCUCCAAGGGAGGAAGGAAUUCUGACCUUAAAUCUUUUAGAUGCUGAUGGUUUAGACUUCUGGUUCUAUAAGAGACCUUCAAGCAGGGAUAAUUCAAAUCAUUGCAAUAAUGUUUCUCUUAGAGAAUGUCCUGGUUCCUAUCAUGAAGAAGUCGAGGAUGACAUAUCAAGUGAAGGAGAUCUAAGCCAUAUAGACAAUUCUAUCUACUCCCCUUCCAUAUUCACAAGUUCUAAAUCCAUCAUUGACCUUAGAGAUCCCUCUUAUCCCUCUUCUUUUCAGUAUCAUGAUGAUCCUAGCAAUUCACCAAGACGACCAAACCAUAGGAGUCAUGAAGACCAUAAGGAUGGCAUGUCAAGUAAUGCCAUAGAAGGAGAGCUAAGCCAUAUAGAAAAUUCUAACACCUCCCCUAUUUUGAUCACAAGUUCUAAAUGGCUAGAAUGUGUAGAAUGGAUGGAUAAGGAAGAAGCCUUAAUGGAUUUUGACUUUGGCUCAAUUUCAAAUAGUGAGUUCUUGACUCCCUUUGAAGAUGAGAUUCAUCCAACUAUAGAAGAGGACAUAAGUGAGACCAAUUCAAGAGAAACUCUAAACAUUCAGAUUGGAGAUGAAGAUAACAUUAAUGAGCAUGGAAUUUAUUUCAUAGCCACUUUGUUUACUCCAUGCUCAUAUGCAACAUCUUCCCAAUCUAUUGGUCUCUCCGACAUCACCACACUUGAGAUCUCCAACCCCCUCUUCCUUUCUAUUUAUAAAAACUUUAAAAGGGCGGUUGUCGAUGCAUAUGUCUAUAAUAAAUAUUGCAGAUCUCGUUGAGUUGAUCUAGAUAUAGGUUGGCGUCGGAGGGGAAACCACUUCGCCAACAUAAACUGAUGGUUUCCCAAGGACAAGCUUAGUGUUUUAAAAUAAGCAUUGAUCAGAUCGUAACAUGAGCUUUUAAUUAUUUACAACAUUACCUGGUGUAUUGAGCAUAUAAGGAUAAUUGUAAAAAAAAUAUUCCUUCGGGUAUUCUUGUCACUAACCUUUCUAGGAUUGGAGCAAGAAGAUCGGAUGAAUGACAAGCACAAGGUAUGUCCAACCAAUCAUCAUACAACAUUGAAUUAAAUUCAUCCAAACUUGAAUUUUGCAAAAUUCAAGCUUGGGGGAGUACUUUACAUAAAAACAUCCUUUGCCAUGUUGCUAUGCUGGUUGUCCCUACCUUUGAGACAUGCUCAAUUUGUUAAAUACUAAUCACACUACUUCAUCUCCACUUGAGUAGAUCUCUUUAAAUGCUGUCAUGCUACCUUUGUCUAUUUACUAGCAAGUGUUGGUUUGGAAGUACUCGCCAUACUUCCAUUGGCAUUUAAAUUAAGCAUGGUGCUUAGGUUAAAUAGCCUUCCUUAAUCUGAUUAGACAUGGAGUCUAGUUUGGUUAUUGAACUAAAAAAACUGCUUGAGUAGAUAUUGGUAUAUUUUGUCGGACUAACCCCUGCAGAAAAACUUUUGAUAUCGAUUUGGGAAGUCCUGAGAUAUACUCACAUCAGAGACAAAGAAAGUGACACAUGAAGUUUAACAAUUAGCACAAGAAGGACAUAGCUCAUUCAUCAUAGAGAGAUGAUCCAUGGAGGGUGCCACAAACACGAUGCACAACCGCUAAGAAAGGAAAGCUUCCACAAGAUGAUACUGUACCAGCAGUCUUCAAGCAAGGUAACAUCUUAAGGUACUUGACUAUCACUUUUAUAACCUUCUCCUUGGUUCUGGCGUUCAUAUAAAUAAAAGAGACAAACGUGUAUGAUUUACAACUCUAGAUUAACCAACCCAACUGAUUCAACAUGUUUAGUCCUUUAAUCCUUGUUCUUAGUACUACCUCCAUGAUCCCACACUCCUAAUCAUAUGAGCUAAAAUGUUACACAUUCAAUCAUUGAGAGAUAUAAAGAAAAAGACAUAUACAUAGACAGAUUAUCAUUCCAUAAGGUUGAGCGAUCUGAUCUGACAAAUGUUAUAAGUGCUACACUCAUGAACUUAUCAUCCAUCAACUUGUCUUGCUCACUAUGCUUAAGGUUAGAGAAGAACAAAUACACUUUUGGUUCUGUUGGUGUUUUCCACCAACAGGGCCCAUGCACUUGAUCUCUGCCUUGUCUCUAUGAGCAGGUACACUACGAGCACAACACACACUGAGCAAGAUACUGCUAACACCUCACUUCGAAUUGCUGGGCAAACGAAGAACAUGGGUGACACCGUAUUAAAAGGUGCAGACGUCAAGGUCCGCACCUGGAUCAAAUGACGCACCUGAAGAAUGAACACGGUGAGAAGUAUUGUCAAGAAGACUUUAAACAUUGAACCCUCGCCGAAAGGUAAGAUUGGUAGUUAUCCAUAUAUAUCCUUUCUGCAUUCCCUUUUCUCUUUAAUUAUUUACUUGCCUUAAAUAGAUUAUUAGUUAAUCAUGCUAUCUUGAAAAGAAAAUAAAAAUGUUAAAAAAAUACUAAGCCCCAUGUGAGUAUACGAGUGGCAUAAAACCCAUAAGUACCUUCACUGUGGUGGCAUAAAAAUAAAAUAAAUAUUUCUUUUUUACUUUAUAAAAUAAAAAUAUAAAAACAGGGAGUAAUAUUUAUUGAGGAAGCUCAACGUGAUGAAGGCUAGAUAUUUAUGCUAACACUUAAUUAGUUCCACAAGCUUUGUUGUCUAUUUGAGCUCCAAAGAAUUUAAGAAUCAAGAAGACUAGCAGAUGGAGGACAUUCUAAUCGCUGUCAGAAUGCUGCUGACUUUCAAAUACACCUCUGCCACCUGCUAGCUACAUCAAGAGAAAUUACGUCAAAAUUCAGCUUGGGGGAGAGCACCCCCAUUUAUCUCGCUAAGUAUUUCUACCUAUCUUUAUACUUAUAUUAUAUUAGAAUAUUAAAAUACAUAAACUAUGAAAAACCAAAUAAAGAUUUUGUGCUUAUAUAUAUAUCUUUUGUUUAGUGUGUUUAAUAAAUAAAUAAAGUGGUUAUGCUAAUCUGAAUCUUAAUAAUAAAACUCUAGCAUGGAUAUGAUGAAUAGUUGCUCUGCCUAAUUUGCAAAUUUGAAGUUCUGUCUCAAGUUUAGACAUAACUGUUAUAAUUUAAAGCUUGCUCUAGAUGUAAACUUGUGGGAUGAAAACUUGAUCUGAAAUCUAAGUUGUUAACGGAUAUGAUAUGGGAAGGUUGAGCUGCAGUUUAUCUGUUCCUUGAGAUGCUAGAAUUCUGGAGAAUUUUAUCUUUGAAAAUCUUUAAAAUGUUGCAUGAUGAGUUCCUGUAUGAUGAGAGUUUAAAUUCCUACCACAGCCAUAUAUACAUGCUUGCUAGACUUUGAGCCACACAUUUAUUAUUUACUGCUUAUGAGCAUUGAGUGUGGUCAAGCUGUGUAGACCCUUAGGAGCUUGUCAUGUGGUUAAAUCAAGAUUCACUUGCACGUUCACUCAUAUAUAUGCUACUUCUACUCCAGAAGUACCAUCCACAUAUAUCCAUCCAUUUCCAUCUCCAGAAUCACCUAAAAAUAUUCUACUCCUAAUUCGGGAGAGAAUAGCCAAAAACAUCUGUGUUUUUCCCUUGUGAAAUAAAUGCUCAAGUUAUCUUGCUACUACCACUUGCUAUAUUAUCUCAAGAGAUGAGUGCUCUGAAAAAAAAAAGAAAAAAAAAUAAACGAGGAAAUAAAAAGGGGCAAGUGCCCGGAACCUCGAAAGAAAGAAAAAGUGAGACGAGAGGUAAAAAUGGACAAGUGUCUGACAGUAGAAUUAGGGGUACAAGAUACCCACCUGAGAGGAAAGAAAAAAAGAAGAGCAUCUCAUUCUCCUCAUAAAGUUUCAAAAAGCAAGGAAGGUAUGUAUCCCCUCAAAAAAAGCAAAAGUAGAAUUAGACUUUCACCAUUGUUAUCACCAUCAUCACCAUACACUAUUCAUUCGCCACACAUGCACAUCUUGAUUUGGCUUAUUGAUUUGUUUCUUUGGAUCCAUGGUUUGACUAUACAAUAAAUGUCUUGUAAGUAUGUAUAUUUUAUCUCCCACCUAUGAGCUCCAGAUAUUAAAGCCUUAUUAGAGUAGGGUGAGAGAGAAGGCAAUGUCACUAUGCCUUAUACCACAAAUACCACAUAUCUUGAGAGAAGGCAUAUACCAUCACUGCCUUGGUGAGGAUCCAGAAAUACCACAAAAGAGAGAUAUAAGAGAGUCAUACAAAGGAAUCUCUGAGUUUUAUUUGAAAAUCUACAAAAACUCCAGAGCUAUAGCUGAUCAAGAAUAAGAGACAUGACACUUGACUAGACUGUUCUAUCUUUUAACCACUCAAGACAGAAGUGACGGUUACAAGUCCCAUGGUGAAAGGUAAAGUAAGUAAGUUUUAAGUCUUGACAGUUUACUCUAACUCAGAGAUGAGACCUUAUUUAAAAGCAUGUGUACCAUCAAUUUUUAAAGAUAUUGCAACAACUUAUGAUCCAUAGCUGAGUCUAUCCUUGCUCAGGGACGAGCAAGAGGUAAGCUUGGGGGAGUUUGUUGACGGUCCUUAAGUUUCAAAUUUAACUAUCAAAUAAACAAAGAAAAGGAUCCAAAUGAAAUCAACAUCGAGACUUAGGAUUUUAUCAGACCCUUGUUGAGAGAUUUAUCAUGCUCCUAAGUCAAGACAUUUUUUUAGAAUGAUUCACUCUUCCAAAGUAUUAUUGCAUUAGAGGCAUGGGCUAUGCAAAAAUAAGGAUAUAUCGAGGAAAUAAAAAGGAUCAAGUGCAAGAUAACCUCGCAGAAAAAAUGGACAAGUGUUCGGCAGUAGAAUUCGGGGUACCUCGAUAUUCACUUAAAAAAAGAGAAAAAGAAAGAAAAUGAUAGCCCAUGGUCCCUCUAAUAAGCAAUAUGCCAGCAAGAGUUGACAAAGAUUUUAAUUUCCAAAGUCUUUGAUCUAAGAGUAUGACAUCCCCCUCCUCGGAUCCCGUUUUGACCAGGCAAUAAAUGCAAAGUAAGUAUGCUUGAGAAUUUUUGCAAAUUAAAACAGCCUCAGUGAGAUAUAUAAAAGAUAAUGAGUGAUCUGAGAGAACCUAUGAGGAUAAAAGGUAUGCUAAAUUUCUUUCAAAAAUAUACAAAAACUCCAAGUGAGAGGAUUAAGAAGAAAGGAUCUCUACUCUUGACCAUAUAUUUCACUGACUAUAGUACACAGUGGAUUUUAACACACUACAGAUAUGAAGAAAAUGUUUUACCCCAGAUAUUGUUCUUAACCAUCCUUUUCUCGAGGACGAGUAAAAGCCUAAGUAUGGCGGAAUUUGUUGACGUUUCUUAAGUAUCAAUUUUAAUUAUCAAAUAAACAAGAGAAAGGACCAAUAUGCAAACAACACCUAGAAUUAGGGUUUGAUCUGACAGAAUUCCACGAGUUUUGUUGUUUAUCUAUUUCUACAGGGGGUUAUCAGGAAAUAAGGAAGAAAGACCCACAUCUCGGGAUUACAUAGAGAUAUCAAUGCACCGCGCAAUUUUCUACCAUCUAGAAGACUCCAGAAGCCACGGGAACAAAGCGGAGGCCGAACGGGGCCUCGCCCAGGGCGCCCGCCCUGAGGACCAGGGCGCCCGCCCCCUCCUGGAUUCCAAUCAGAACUCUUUUCGCGGACGACGCUCCACCAACCUAAAGGAUCAAGGAUAACCGUCCAAUCAAUGUCGGUUUGAUCCAACGGCUCACAUUCACUUGAGGGUACUAUAAAACCAGACCCCUGGCCCCUAGAGGAGACAAGUUCAUCAUAGAGUUGAGAGGAACCCUCAAAGGAAUACCUCUCCUCUAAAUAAAAUUUCUUUUAGGCUUAGCAUCCAAUGUGAGUAGAAUUAGAUCUUCUAGUUUCUACUAGAUUGAGAGAGAUAGAGUGGAGGUGUAGAUCGGAGGAAGCCCGGCCUGUCGGUGUCUACUCUGAGUUUGUACCUGUGCGAUCAAGUUCUCCUAACCCGAAGAUUGCUCCUAGGAUUCUUCAGUAUUUCGACUUCUAAAUUCUAGUAAGUUCUCGUUUUAUUGUUCUUUGGUUUAUGAGUUUACUUUAAUCUCUUCGCGUAGAGUUUAGAGUAAUCAUCUCUAGCGUAGACGUGGUGUUUAGGCUAGGAUACUCAUAGAUAUUCCCUGACUAGCUAGACCGUGGUAGUAGCGAGGAAUGUGACAUUUCCGAGUUACCUUUGCAAACCAUAUCUCGUUAGCAGGAAGGAUAGGGUUUACAGGUGCGGGUUGAACAUCCUCUGUGGUGUCUAGAUUCCGUAAGCUUCCCCAAUAGAACAGUAGAUCAUCCUUACCAAGGUUAGAAAGAGAUCAUGCUUGUAGUCUUCUCUAUUUAUCACUCACAUCGAGAAACAUUCUUUGUAGCCUAAAGGUUAGUAGUAAUAGACCAGAUUAGUCAGAUGCACUCUUUCUCCUAGUGGUAAAAAAAUAAAUAUGAUACUCUAGAUAACCUCCCGGGUGAAGUGCUCACCGAUAUCCGUGCGCUUGCGGAUCAAUUCCUUAUUGCGUUCCCAAAUAUCAACAAGUAGUAGUUAAGACCAGGUUAGCCUUUUCCACGUUUUCUCCUUGUAGAUAAAUAAAUACGAUACUCUAGAAUUAUCUACUGGGUGAAGUGCUCACUGAUAUCCGUGCACUUGCGGAUUAUUUCUCUUAGAUUCUUUUGUGUGCGUAACCAAUAUCAACAGCUAUUAAUAUGUGCGAAGACACCCAAGCUACUACGCUGGCAUGGUGAAGAGCAUAAGAAAGACGUUAUGGUGAGGAAUGUGGCCGAUAGGCUUGACUAGAGGAUUAUCAAUACUAUGUUCUAUAAGAAAAUUAGCGGAGAGGUAAGACACCUUUGGGUUGCAUUGAGCAUAGAUGGGAUGAAUUCUUUCGACCAGGUUAGAAGCAACCAUAGCACUUGGCCAGUGACACUUUGUAUAUACAACCUUCUACCUUAUCUCUGUCUGAAGCGGUCAUAAUUCUAGAUGGCACUACGGAUCUAAGGGCCAAAACAACCAGGGAAUGACAUCAACACGUUCCUAGAGCCAAUGAUCGAUGAACUUGUGUAGUUGAUUAACAUGGGUGUGGAGCAUGUUUGGGACGAGUACAAAAAGGAACAUUUCACGAUCAAGGUAGUGCUUAUUGCUAAAAUUAACAAUAUACCAGGGUGAUGUUGCCUGUCUAGUGAGAAGAGAAAAUGCUAUAUGGAUGCGUCGAAUGCUUAGAUGACACCAACGCGGUACAUCUAAAGAAUAACUCGAAACUUGUUUAUAUGGGACACCAUAAGUUCCUACAUAUGGAACACCCAUACUGUAGGAACAAAAUAGAUUUUGAUGGCACUAUUGAUACACAUGGGCCUCCAAACUAUCAAGCUAUGGGACUCAAAGAAGGAACCAUUUGCACAUCUGCAACCACAAGUGGCGGUGUUGAAUUCGUACGCGCACCAUGUAACAUAUUAUUAUCUGAUCAUACAUAUCUCUUUCUAAUGUUUCACCUUUUAACUAUUUAUUAUAAUAUCGAACCGUGUUCAAAAAAGGCAUAGAGGUGGGACACAAAGCAAUUUCAAGGUUGUUGAAAUGCAACACAUUCCAUACUUAAAACAACUAGCGGGAAACAAUCAGUGUUGGUUCUAUGUGAUAAGGGCAAUACAUUCCUACAUCGGCUUCAAUAUGAAAGAGGGAGAUAACCUAGUGAGUAGUUGUAUUAUUAUUAUUAUCAUUAUUAUUAUUAUUAUUAUUAUUAUUAUUAUUAUUAUUAUUAUUAUCAUUAUUAUUAUUAUUAUUAUUAUUAUUAUUAUUAUUAUUAUUAUUAUUGCUACUAGUACUACUACUAAUACUACUUGUUGGGUACCAUAAAAAGGGAUACCCAAAUAAGAGGAAUAAAAAUCGCAAAAAGGAGAUAAGGCAAAUACCUAAGAUUAUCAUGGCUCGGGCACGGACUCCGUCUCGCCCGACCCCUUGGCCUCGGGCGCAAGUUCUGCCUCGCCCGACCCCUCUUGGGCUCGGGCACAAACACCGCCUCGCCUGAGCCCCCAUCUCGGAGCCAGGCUUCCAACACACGACGAACGUACCCCCGAUGUGACGCUCACCUCAUCUCCCAUGCUGCGGUAGGGCAUAAUGGCAACUAUUACAACCACCCCAGUCACUAUGUAGCCCUACCUUUUUCACUGUGAAGUACUGCCUCAUAGUAAAAGAGGUAUGGAGGAGAUUAACCUAUGUCACUGUGGCUGUCUUUUCUACUAUUACAGGACACACUGCAGAAUCACCGACCCGACCCCCACGUCCUCAACAGGACUCGGCAACCCUCCACAGGAUCAACCAUGCUGUCAGCCAUACCCCAAGGACGAGAUGGGCAAGCCACCACAGGGUCGGAACUAUUGCUUCACCAUUUACCAGAAGUAGAUCGCCAGUCAACAUAUGUAAAAACCUUGUGACCCCUUGAGACUAUAAAAGGGGAGCCAGGGCACACAUCCAAGACACAACGUUAGAACACAAGGCAAGACCACGUACAUACAAACCCAGAGUACAAAGAAUUACUCUGUCCACCACACAAAGUCGAGACUUGGGAUUUAGCCCUCUCUCGCGACCAGCUUGUACAGCCCUAUUACAAGCACUCUCGGGUGCAAGGCAAUACAGACUCCGACUCUCACACCGGACGUAGGGCACACUUAGCCCGAACCAGUAUAAUUCUCUUUGUUCCACUUGCAUCACCAUUCGGGUUUAGGAGGGCACGCAGACUUAUCACUCGUUACUGUCUAGACGACGAGUCUAGAUGCCGACAGUUGGCGCGCCAAGUAGGGGCUUCUGCGUUGUACUUUCCUUUCCCCGUAGGGCAAAGCCUGGAUGGCAGAUGGAUUUCACCCACUCUGCCUCGGCACCAUCAUGAUGUUUGGGAGUUUGGAGUUCAUGUCUCUGGGCUCCGGCUAUGACAUGGUCUUCCUCCCACCGCAUGACAACGCCUCGCCUCGUCCCGAGCCGAUCCCACCACAACCGGUGCAUGGGAGGCGGUCGGGGCAUCAUGCAGGGGGAGCCCGGCGCGGGCGUCAAAGGUCUAGCAUCUCUAACCCUGCCAUCGAGGCAAGGGCCCGUCCGGCCCUCCCCCAGCAUAUCCCUCGCUAGAUUACCUAUUGUUGACACUAUUUUUGGACACGUAUCUUUGGAUGCGCACCUGGAGUUAAUGAAGUGUAGAUCGGUAGGCGGAAAAAUGGUGACUAGUCUACAGGAGAGUUGCCGAUGAGGGUUAGUGCCGAUGGGAAAAUGGCAGGAUAUGACUAAGUCCAGGAGUGGUGAUGGGUUUGUGCCGAUGACUAGUAUUGAUGGCUGCCGAUGGCUGUGAAAGGUAGUCUACCGAUGGUUAUGAAGAAAAGCACAGGGGUUGCUGAUUGACUCGUGAUGAUGUACCGAUCGGUUGUGGAAGAUAAUUUAAUGCUUUGCAUAGUUAUUAGACUUUGUUUUGUAUACAGAUUCUGUUUAAUAUGGAGUUCGAGUCCUAGUCGUGUCUGGUUGUAGCUCUUUGGGAUAGGGUAUAAAUUUAGACCCCGUGGCAAUGUAGUGAUAUAUCUAUCAAUCAAUCAAACACAAGUUCUUACACAUAUUUUAGCAUCUACUUUUCAAUGACUUCGUCAUAUUUUCUUUUUACUACGAGUUCUUAAGGAUUCUUCGAGUCAAUCUCGAUGAAUUCUUGAGUUCCGAAUGAACACCUCUUGGUCGUGACAUCUGGGUGCAUCGCUGUUGUCGGGACCAAAGUGUUCGAGUUACCACCUUUGUCGGUUGUAAGGUCAAAUAGGCUGGCACGCCUUAACGUUUGAAUCGGGUAUUAGCCCUUUGUGUUUGCAGAUCAGCUUUUGCAUCAACACAUCUUUUGGCAUGCUCGGUGGGACAUAGAUUUGAGAUCAAGAUCAAGAUGUCGAACACCAAUUUCGACUUGGAGAACGUCAUCCCCGUGACGGAAGCCAAUCUUAGAGAUGAGCAGAAGCAAACUAUGGCGAAAGCUAUGGAGGACUACAAGCAGUUAUGCUUGAGAUCCUUCAGCAUCAACAGGAGUGGCGAGGUGAUCCAAAAGGAUGCAUUGCCGAUGCCUCAGCAAAUCACUUUUGAAGCCAAUCCUAGUAAACUUCAAGAAAUGGUUGACAGUGCUAUUAAUCAUGCUCUAAUCAAUCAAUCUAGUGUGUUGUCCUAUACAGUUUUUAAUGCUGUGGCUAGAACUUUCAAAGAAGGACAAGUGCCACCAUCUUAUGUGGCUCCUGCCUACCAUCAGCCAGGGUCAUCAUUGGUUACAGCUCCAUCGGCUACUACAGCCGUUGCGGGUACAGAGGCUACUUCUCCUCCAAGCACAUUAGGGAUCACUAAUGUGCAGUCUACACCAAUGACGACUAAUUCAUCAACGUCAGAUGGGAAAAUCAAACUUGCAACAGAUUUGUUGGCAUCUGCAAUGUCAAGAUCUGUUCCUCGCAACUGGUGGGGAUAUGGUAUGCCCCCGGAGUUUAUGGCAAAAGGCCCUGGGACAUCUCAAGCGGCUGACGUGACAGGCAAGACUCCUAUGGCAUCGGCACCUCCAGGUUCGCUGAUGACUCAGAAUCCCUAGUAUUCUACAGCUACUACUGCAAGACCUUUUAUUGGGAAUUCUCAAGCGCCAACGUUCCAGAUGCCUAACGCAUCGGCAGAUCCAAUGCCGACGCAGCAGAGGUUUAUGACACAGCCAGGGUAUGUCAUUUCAACGAUGAUGCCCAACUAUCACUCAUCGGCAGGACCUACGCUGAUGAAUGUUAAUAAUGGAUGGACAGCGCAGUUUGUCUUUCCACAAGUACCUCACCAGAAUCAUCAGGCUAUGGGAUUUCAGCAGGGACCAACGCAACCUGGAUUUCAGAAUCAAGGGUUGAUCAAUCAGCCGAUGAAUCUUGGUCAGUAAGUUGGUGGUCAGCAGGCAAUGGUUAAUCCAAUAUUCCCUAGAGAUCGUGCACGACAAAGACAUGUGGAAGCUUAUCAGCAGGUGCCAGAUCCGCAACCGCCCCAUUGGCAAGAUGCCGAUGCUUAUUGGGCUGAUAAGAUAGCUGAGGUGAUGAGAGACCAAUUUGGGAUAAAACCCAAAGUCAAGACUUAUUCUUAUCGGACACCGUAUCCUUCUGCGUAUGACUUAAUUCCACUUCCAAAUCGGUACAAGGUACUAGAUUUCACCAAGUUUUUUGGGCAGGAUGAUACAUCGACUAUGGAACAUGUUAACAUGUUCAUCAUCCAGUGUGGACUAGCUGCUAACAGAGAUUAGUUGAGGGUUCGCUUAUUCUCAUCAUCUUUGUCUGGAUCAGCCUUUACUUGGUUUAUUUCAUUACCUCCUAACUCAGUGAUCAAUUGGGCCGAUCUAGAGAAAUAAUUCCACAAAUACUUCUUUUCUGGAGUUCAUGAGAAGAAGAUUACCGAUUUAGUCCGGCUAAAGCAACGCAAUGAUGAAUCGGUUCAAAGCUUUGUACAAAGGUUGCGAGAGGUUAAGAAUAAGUGCUAUAGUGUGGUUCUGGACGAUCGACAGCUAGCCGAUUUGGCUUUCCAGGGAUUGUUGCCACAUAUCAGAGACAAGUAUGCUUCUCAAGAGUUCGAAAGUCUGAGUCAUUUAGAGCAGAGAAUUUCUGACCAAGAUAUCAAACCUUUUGAGCCUAAGAGAGCAUGGAAUAAAAAAGUGUCAUUUAUCGAUGAGGCAACAAGCUCAGAUUCUGAUGAAGAACCAGUCAUCGGCUUAGCAGAAUGGGUGAAAAAUAAGAAGUCGAUGUCUUGCCCUUUUGGGCAUAAAGAGCCAGAGAAGUUUGCAUUUGAUAUCACCAAAGCCAAUAGGAUAUUUGAGUUUCUACUUCAGGAAGGGCAAAUCAAGUUGUCGUCCAAUCACGUGAUUCCAUCGGCUGAGGAAUUAAAGAAGAUUAAGUACUGCAAAUGGCAUAAUGCAACAUCUCAUAGUACAAAUGAAUGCAAAGUUUUCAGGCAGCAACUGCAAUCGGCUAUAGAGUCUGGGAGAAUUAAAUUCGAUAGCUCCAAAGCUCAAAAGCCGAUGAAGGUCAAUCAACAUCCUUUCCCUGCAAAUAUGUUGGAUGCUAAGGGGAAGACCAGAGUUUUGACAUCAGAGGCACCUGAAAGAAGUGCAUCGGUAGAUCCUCAGCACUAGAUUACUGCUGAUGAUGCCAAGGGCAAAGGUUUGAUCCAGGAAGGAACUAGCUCAAGAAGACCUCCCUAAUCUGGCAUUGUGAUUACUCAUAGAAGGCAUCGGGAAACCUGGUAGUAGCGUGAGGAUCGGUAUCGGCGCCAAUAGGAGGAUCAUCGUCGGGAAGAAGAAAGACGCCGGCAAGAGUGGAAUCGGCAUAAGGAUCACUAGAGCUACCCAUUCUUUAUCCACUGUUGGGAGCAAAAUAUCAAGCUGCCCACUGUUAGAGACUGCCCUGAGUGCAAUGGCUAUGAUCGAUAUGAUAAACCAAGUCGGCAGUAUCAAAAUAAUGAUCGGCGUUUUGAUGGGCCGAUUAGGGGAAGAGCCUCGGUUCAUGAUCGACUGGGGGGCAGGCUCAGUGUGCAUGAUAGGCUUGGUGACCGUGUCGGGUAUUUUCCCAAGAACCAAGAGGAGCUUGAGGAGAUGGCAGAUGCACGGGUUCCCGAUGAGUUCAGUUUUGUAGAGAUGCUAAUACUCAUCGAGUGGAAUCAAGGGAGAAUCGUCGCCAGUCGGUAUGGCAGCCACAACUUCAUCCAUGGUGUCGAGAGGGGCUGACCAGGACACAGAAAAGAAGGCUGCAGCGUGAAAGACGAGAAGAGCUAUGUAAAGGAGAGAAUUUUGCUAAAUCUGAAGAUCAGCAGCAGCCAGAUCCUAAGGGAAAAGGGCCAUCGGUAGAUGUUAAUAUGGUGUUUAUGUUGCCGAUGGAGUUCCUUGCGCCUGCCAGUGAUGAUGAGGUGGAUUUUUCUGACCAGAUAGCUCAGUUGGCUCUGGAUCCGAUGACGGCUAUCUUUGAAAAGCCUACCAAUAAUAAAAGACGGCAUCUUAAAGCUCUGUUUGUCAAAGGUAGGGUUGAUGGAUAACCGAUGACCAAAAUACUUAUUGAUGGUGGGGCUGCUAUCAAUAUCAUGCCAUAUGCAGUCUAUCGGAAGCUUGGGAGAGGAGAUCAAGACUGGACCAAGACCGAUAUGAUGUUAAAGGACAUUUAAGGGAAUGUGUCUCAGGUUAAGGGAGCAAUAUGUGUCGAGUUGACCAUCGGCAGCAAAACCUUGCCGGCGACUUUCUUGGUUAUCAGUGGAAAGGGUGCUUAUAAUCUACUGUUAGGAAGAGAUUGGAUCCAUGCCAAUUGUUGCAUCCCAUCUACAAUGCACCAUUGUUUGGUUCAGUGGGUAGGUGACAAGAUUGAGAUUGUCGUAGGAGAUUCUUCAUAUGAUAUAGCAUCGGCAGAGGCAGAUACUUAUGAAAGGACCAGAUGCAUCUUGGGAGAAAUUUGGGAGAAAGAUUUCUCAAAGUUGCCGAUUAUGAAAUUCCACCGAUCCAAGCAGUUGGUUCUGACGAGGAGUUUUAAUGGAUAGGUUCGCCGAUGAUGGAAAAUUAGGCCAGGUGUUUACAUCGGCCGAUGAUUUAGUAGAAGUAGAUAUAGGUAAUGGUGAUAGGCCUAGGCCUACGUUUAUUAGUGCUAAGUUAGAUUCUGAGUGUAAGCAACAGUUAACUGAUUUGUUAAGGGAAUAUAAAGAUUGCUUUGCUUGGGAUUAUACCGAGAUGCCUGGUUUAGACCUAUCUAUUGUUGAACAUCGGUUACCUAUCAAAUCUGGAUUUCGGCCACAUCAGCAGCCAGCUCGUCGAUGUAAUCCUAAUAUUCUUCCUUAUAUUAAGGCCGAAAUAACUAAACUUAUCGAAGCUAAAUUUAUUCGGCAAUGUCGGUAUGCCGAGUGGAUUUCCAAUGUCGUUCCAGUUUACAAGAAAAAUGGGAAGCUUCGAGUCUGUAUUGAUUUCCGAAAUCUUAAGAAGGCUACACCGAUGGAUGGUUAUCCAAUGCCAAUUGCCGAUUUGCUAAUUGAUGCUGCGGCUGGACAUCGGAUCAUUAGCUUUAUGGAUGGUAAUGCAGGAUAUAAUCAGAUAUUCAUGGUUGAAGAAGAUAUUCCAAAGACCGCGUUUAGAUGUCCUGGUCAUGUUGGGUUGUUUGAAUGGAUAGUCAUGACCUUUGGCUUGAAAAACGCUGGUGCUACUUAUCAGAGGGCUAUGAAUUUUAUCUUUAAUGAGUUCAUCGGCAAGCUGGUAGAAAUUUACAUAGAUGAUGUGGUGGUUAAGUCUGGGGAUUUCACAAAGCAUCUUGCCAAUCUGCGAAAAGUGUUGGAGUGCAUAAGGAAACAUGGUUUGAAGAUGAAUCCUAACAAGUGUGCAUUUGGUGUAUCAGCAGGACAAUUCCUUGGUUUCAUAGUGCAUCAAAGGAUCUCCUACUAAUUUCAUCCCCCGUUUUUCCCCCUAGAAACAACGAAAUUCUCUCGCUUAUUCAUAGCAAUGCUGCCCNNNNNNNNNNNNNNNNNNNNNNNNNNNNNNNNNNNNNNNNNNNNNNNNNNNNNNNNNNNNNNNNNNNNNNNNNNNNNNNNNNNNNNNNNNNNNNNNNNNNGAACGUUGGUAACAUAUGUGGACAGAUAAACCAUGCUUCCUUGUGCAUUCUAACACCUUUCGCAAAUCGGCAAGAUGCUUUCUGAAGUCUCCAGACUUAACCACCACAUCAUCAAUAUAAAUUUCCACCAGCUUGCUGAUGAACUCAUGAAAUAUAAAAUUCAUAGCCCUCUGAUAGGUAGCACCAGCAUUUUUCAAGCCAAAGGUCAUGACUAUCCAUUCAAACAACCCAACAUGACCAGGACAUCUAAAUGCAGUCUUUGGAAUAUCUUCUUCAGCCAUGAAUAUUUGAUUGUAUCCUGCAUUGCCAUCCAUAAAGCUAAUAAUCCGAUGCCCAGCCGCAGCAUCAACUAGCAGAUCCGCAACUGGCAUUGGGUAGCCAUCCAUCGGUGUAGCUUUAUUAAGAUUCCUGAAAUCAAUGCAAACCCGAAGCUUCCCAUUUUUCUUGUAGACUGGAACAACAUUGGAAAUCCACUCGGCAUAUCGACACUGCUGAAUAAAUUUAGCUUCAAUAAGUUUGGUUAUUUCAGCCUUGAUAUCAGAAAGAAUAUUAGGAUUACAUCGGCGAGCUGGCUGUUGAUGUGGCCGAAAUCCAGACUUGAUAGGCAACCGAUGUUCAACAAUCGAUCGGUCCAAACCACGCAUCUCAGUAUAAUCCCAAGCAAAGCAAUCUUUAUAUUCUUUUAACAAAUCGGUUAAUUGCUGCUUACACUCAAAAUUUAACUUAGCACUAAUAAAAGUAGGUCUAGGCUUAUCACCACUACCUAUAUCUACUUCUAUCAAAUCAUCGGCCGAUGUGAAUCCCUGGCCCAAUUUUCCAUCAUCGGCGAACCUAUCCAUUAAAAACCUUCAUCAGAACCGACUGCUUGGAUCGGUGGAAUUUCAUAAUCGGCAACUUUGAGAAAAUCCUUCUCCCAAAUCUCUCCCGAGAUACACCUAGUCCGUUCAUAAGUGUCUGCUUCUGCCGAUGCGAUGACAUAAGAAGAAUCUCCCGGGACAAUCUCAAUCUUGUCACCUACCCACUGGACCAAGCACUGGUGCAUUGUAGAUGGGAUGCAACAAUUGGCAGGAAUCCAAUCUAUUCCGAACAGCAAGGUAUGAGCACCUUUUCUGCUGAUCACGAAGAAAGUCAUCCGCAAGGUUUUGCUGCCGAUGGUCAACUCGACGCAUAUUGCCCCCUUAAUCGGAGACACGUUUCCCUCGAAGUCCUUUAACAUCAUAUCGGUCUUGGUCAAAUCUUGAUCCCCUUUUCCAAGCUUCCGAUAUACUGCGUACGGCAUGAUGUUGAUAGCGGCUCCACCAUCAAUUAAUAUCUUGGUCAUUGGCUGACCAUCAACCCUUCCUUUGACAAACAAAGCUUUGAGAUGCUGCCUUUCAUUGUCGGCACGCUUUUCAAAGAUAGCCGUCAUCGGAUCCAGAGCCAACUGAGCUUUCUGGCCGUCAUCGGAUCCAGAGCCAACUGAGCUAUCUGGACAGCGCAAGGAAUUCCAUCGGCAACAUAAAUACCAUGUUGACAUCUACUAAUGGCCCUUUCCCCUUAGGAUCUAAUCGUUGCUGAUCCCCAGAUUGGCCAGAGUUCUUGCCCUUGCUUAGCUCUUCUCGUCUUUCGCGCUGCAGUCUUCUUUUCUGUUUUUUAGUCAACCCCUCCAGACACCAUGAGGGAAGUGGUGACUGCCUUUCCGAUGGACGACGAUAUUCCCUUGACUCCAUCCGAUGAGUAUUAGCAUCUCUGCAAAAUAUGAAUUCAUCGGGAACACAUGCAUUAGCCAUCUCUUCAAGCUCUCCUGGUUCCUAGGAAAAUAUUCAACACAAUCACCAAGCCUAUCGUGCACACUAAGCCUGCCCCCCAGCCGAUCAUGAACGGACGCUCUCCCCCUAAUCGGCCCAUUAAAUCUUUGAUCAUCAUUUUGAUAGCGCCGAUCGGAUCUAUCAUACUGAUCAUAUCCAUUGCACUUAGGGCAAUCUCUAACAGUGGGCAACUUGAUGUUCUGCUCCCAGCAAUGGAUAAAGAACGGGGAGUUCCAGUGAUCCUUGUGCCGAUUCCACUCCUGUCAGCGUCUUUCUUCUUCCCAAUGAUAAUCUUCAUGCUGGCGCCGAUACCGAUCCUCAUGUUGCUGCCAACUUUGCCAAGGCCUUCUAUGAGUUAUCACAAUACCAUAUCGGGGGGGCCUUCUCGAGUUAGUUCCCUCCUGGAUCAAGCCUUUUCUUUUUGCGUCGGCAGUAGUGAUCUGAUGCUGAGGAUCCACCGAUGCACUUCUUUCAGCUGCUUCCGAUGUCAAGACCUUGGCCUUUCCCUUAGCAUCCAGCAUAUUUGUUGGGAAAGGAUGUUGAUCAAUCUUCAUCGGCUUCUGAGUUUUGGAGCUGUCAAAUUUGAUCCUCCCAUAUUCUAUAGUCGAUUGUAGCUGUUGUCUAAAAACUUUGCACUCAUUGGUGCUGUGAGAAGUUGCAUUGUGCCAUUUGCAGUACUUCAUCUUCUUUAAUUCUUCAGCCGAUGGGAUUACAUGAUUGGGUGACAAUAUGAUCUGACCUUCCUAAAGUAGAAAGUCAAAUAUCCUAUCGGCUUUGGUGAUAUCAAAUGUGAACUUCUCUGGCUCUUUAUGCCCAAAAGGACAAGACAUUAGCUUCUUGUUCUUUACCCACUCUGCCAAGCCGAUGACUGGCUCCUCAUCAAAAUCUGAGCUUGCUGCCUCGUCAACAAACGACACCUUUUUGUUUCAAGCGCUAUUGGGUUCAAAGGGUUUGAUAUCAUGGUCGGAAAUCCUCUGGACCAAGUGGCUCAGGCUCUCGAACUAUUGAGAAGCAUAUUUGUCCCUUAUAUGUGGCAACAAACCCUGGAAAGGCAAAUUGGCUAGCUGCCGAUCAUCCAAAACCAGACUAUAGCACUUGUUCUUAACUUCCCGUAAUCUCUGUACAAAACUUUCAACCGAUUCAUCAUUUCGCUGUUUCAAUCUGACCAAAUCGGUAAUCUUCUUCUCAUGGACUCCAGAAAAGAAGUACUUGUGGAACUGCUUCUCCAGAUCGGCCCAAGUAAUCACUGAAUUAGGAGGCAAUGAUAUAAACCAAGUGAAAGCCGAUCCAGAUAACGAUGAUGAAAACAGUCGAACCCUCAAUUCAUCCCUAUUAGCAGCUUCUCCACAUUGGAUGAUAAACCUAUUGACAUGCUCCAUGGUUGAUGUAUCAUCCUGUCCAGAAAAUUAAGUGAAAUCUGGCACCUUAUACCGAUUUUGGAAGUGGAAUCAAAUCGUAUGCAGGAGGAUACGGUGUCCGAUAAGAGUAAGUGUUGACUUUGGGUUUUAUCCCAAAUUGGUCUCUCAUUACUUCAGCAAUCUUAUCGGCCCAAUAAGCAUUGGCAUCUUGCCGAUGAGGCGGUUGCGGAUCUGGUACCUAUUGAUACACUUCCACGUGUCUAUGUGGUGCACGAUCUGCAUGGAACAUUGGGUUAAUCAUUUGACCACCAACCUGUUGUCCAAGAUUCAUCGGGUGGUUGGUCAUCCCUUGAUUAUGGAACCCAGGUUGGAUCUGGCCUUGUUGAAACCCUGUAGCCUGAUGAUUCUGUUGGGGCAUCUGUGGAAAGACUUGCUGCCCAGGCCAUCUACUAUUAGCAUUCCUCGGCAUGGGUCCUGCCGAUGACUGGAAAUUGGGCAUCAUCAUUGAAUUGACAUACCCUGGCUGAGUCAUAAACCUCUGUUGUGUCGGCAUUGAAUCUGCCGAUGCAUUAGGCAUCUGGAACAUUGGAGCUUAAGAAUUCCCAUUGUAAGUUCUGGUAGCAGUAGUUGUAGUAUACUCGGGACUCUGAUUCAUCGGCAUAUUUGGAGGUGCCGAUGCCAUAGGAGCUUUGCCUCUCAUAUCAGCUGUUUGAGAUGUACUAGGUGUCUUCAACAUGAACUCUGGGGGCAUACCAAAACCCCACCAGUUAGGAGGAACAGAUCCCGACAUUGCCGAUGCCAGUAGGUCUAUAGUGAGCUUGAUCGACUCAUCUGAUGUUGAUGGAUUGGCUGACAUUGGCGUGGAUUGCGCGUUAGCGACUCCUAACGUACUUGGAGGGACAGCCAUUUCUGCGCCUGCAGUGGCUGUUGCAGCCGAUAGGGCUGUGACAACUGGUGACCCUGGCUGAUGAUGGGAAGGACCAACAUAAUUUGGUGGCAAUUGUCCUUCUUUGAAUGUUCUAGCCACAACAUUGAAAACCAUAUUGGACAGCACACCAGCUUGAUUGAUCAAGGCACGGUUAAUAGCACUAUCAACCAUGUCUUGAAGUUUACCAGGAUUGGCUUCAAAAGUAACCUGCCGAGGCAUCGGCAGUGCUUCCUUCUGGAUCACCUUGCCACUCCUGUUUAUACUGAAUGACUUGAGACAUUGUUGCUUGUAAUCCUCCAUGGCCUUUGCAAUAGCUUGCUUCUGCUCAUCUUUGAGAUUAGCGUCCGUCACGGGGAUGACAUUCUCCAAAUCGAAAUCGCUCGAUUCAAACGUUAAGGCGUGCCAGCCGAUUUGACCUUACUAUCGGCAAAGGUGAUAACUCGAAUACUUUGGUCCCGACAACAGCGAUGCGCCCGAAUGUCACGGCCAAGAGGUAUUCACGCGGAACUCAAGAAUACGCCGAGCUUAAGUCGACGAACUCCUAAGAACUCGUAAUAAAAAGGAAAAAUAUGACGAAGUCGUCGAAAAAGUAGAUGCUGGAAUAUGAGUAAAAACUUGUGCUUGAUUGAUUGAUAGAUUUAUUAUUACAAGGCCCUAGGGUCUACAUUUAUGCCCUGCUCAAACAGCUACAAUCAGACACGACUAGGACUCGAAUUCCAAAUUAAGCAGAUUCCGUAUACAAAACGAUUUAAAUAGCUAAGGAAAACACAAAACUAUCCUCCCGUGACAAACUGGGACACCACCAUGGACCAAUCGGCAACCUUCAUGUUCUUCUUCCGAGUCAUUGGCAGACUCCUCAUCGUAGCCAUCGACAAGGGCUAACGCUGACCAUCGGCAUGAACGCCUCACCACUCAUGGACUUAGUCACAUUCAGCUGUCCCUUCAUCGGCAACCACCCACAUCGGCAACUCCCCUGCAGAUCAGUCACUGUUGCCCUGUCUUGCCGAUCUACACUCUACCGAUCCUGGGUACGUGUCCAAAAACGGUGUCAACACAUGCCCCCCAAUUUCGGAGUAUAAAAUCAUUAAUGCUCCGAAGUUCUCUGCAGUAAUGAUGCCUUUCCGCAAUUAACCUUCUCAAUUUGGUAACCGACCGUUGAAAUCGAACAACUCUAGCCUGAUUCUUCCGCAGAUUCCUCGAAUUCCUCAACCCCCCAAACUGGACAUCUCCACUAUAUUUGCCCAUCGGCAAUACUACUGUUAGAAGGAGCUGCCGAUGGACCGACCAGGAAAUCCCGCACAGUGAAAUAUCUCCAGAUUAUGACCGCUUCCUGUCAAAUCACCUGUGCAAUCCCUUGAUUACCGUGUGAACAGUUACCAUAUCUACCUGAGCACCCUCAGAUUUCACGGAUGCGGCAAAGAGAUAUGUCAGAUCUGCCCCUGCCCGUUUUGUCCUAUAAAUACUUCCUUCUCAAGUACUCCUUCUUCAUCUGUCAUUCUACAACCCCAAAAUCCACUUCCUUGGCGGCGGUACUGUUCGAGGACUCCAAGAAUUCUAGCAAGAACUUCGUCCAACAACCCUCGAGUUUUCGAUCUUCUUCCCUGCGAGAAAAUGGCCAUCAACUUCAUCGUGCCUGAGGUCAGUUCUACUUCUCUCCUGUAUUUUCACUGCACUCCUGUCCAUCCGCAACUCAUCUUACUGAAUACUUGUUUCUUUCUUUUGCUCUUCUUUUUACCCCCAAAAACUUCUAGGAUCUGUCCAAUAGAAUCGUCAUCCCUAACGAUCAACCACACCUCCAAUGUCAUCGGCAGACUCCUCAUCGUAGCCAUCGACAAGGGCUAACGCUGACCAUCGGCAUGAACGCGUCACCACUCAUGGACUUAGUCACAUUCAGCUGUACCUUCAUUGGCAACCACCCUCAUUGGCAACUCCCCGCAGACCAGUCACUGUUGCCCUAUCUUGCCGAUCUACACUCUACCGAUCCUGGGUACUUGUCCAAAAACGGUGUCAACAAUAGAACUCAUAGGUAAUGUUGGAGGUUUUCCCACUGCUGAAGAAAUUCACUGGUAUAGCUCUCGAGGUGAUAAUUGCCAUCAUCAGAUCAUGGUCCUUAUUGAGGGCAUCAUCAAAGGGGAGGAAAGUGAGCGGGAAUCUGGUUUUUAGAUCCUCAUAAGGCAUCCAUGCCCGCUGGUCUUUGGCUAGACCCUCAUAGAGAGUUUGGAAGAAUCAGCUGACCUGGUCUUCGUUACCACCAGUACCAGGUAGGACUAUGGCAGCCUCACCAUAGUUCAAAGGGGAGCGAGUUGCCAAUUCUUCGUCAUCCAGUUCAUAAUCUUCAGCUAUGUCUCUGGGAAAGCGCUGUGCAAAAAGGUUGAACCCCAGGCGCUUAUGCAUAUGAACACCGAGCCACAUAUUGAUGAACCACCAGGGACCUCCCAAGUUGCCGAUGGGUUGGCCUAGCAGGAGUUUCUCAGCUACCUGAUGGAGAAGGUGAUAGACAGAACCAAGCAAAUAUCGGCCAAGAGGAAAUCGGCCGCCAUCGGCUAGUCUUUCUACUGCCGAUAGAUAGACAGAGGUUGGCCCUACCGAUCGGCCACAGAAGACGAACUUAUCUAACCACAUAUUCAGAAAAAUAGCAUGUUCCCUCUGUCCGAUUGGCCCUAUUUUUCGGUAUUUCUGGAUGUAUCCUGACCAACCGCCUAUGUUGCGGGUUUCUACUUUGCGCUCGGGUUUGCGGUCAUAUAGAUGGUUAUCAUCGGCAGAUGAUAUGUCCAAACCAGUAAGCAUCAGCACAUCGGCUAAGGUGGGGGAUGCAGGACCAUGGCUGAAUACAAAAGCAUUGAGGGUGUCAGACCAGAAGUAUGAAGCAGCUAUCAACAGUGAUUCAUUCCUCUCCAUAUCGGCAAUGGAUAACCUAAUGCAUUGGUCUAAUUUUCGCUCGCCCCAUCGGACUUCGUUCGAGUUGCCGAUUCUCAGGAACCAAUCUUUCCACCCCUUGGCAGAACUAGGCCAGGAGCAAAAAGUAUCUUUCCACAUGUCUAAAGAAAAGUUCUUGACUCUAAAUGGGAUCCUAUUUGUCUCUGCAUUUAUCAAAUCAGUGGGAUCUGGAUUUCCCAAUGGGCCAAGACACUAAAAGUGGGGUUGAUCAGUAGGAAUCACAAUCUUAUCAGCCAACUCCUAAAAGGGUUGAAGGUUGGAAGAACGGAAAAGGAAACAAAGAAGAAAAAACGUACUCAGUAAAUAGAUUCACGGAUGAAUAGGAGUACAAUAAAAGUAUAAAGAAGAAAGGGGGUGAUUGAGUUAACCUCAGGGACGAUGAAGUUGAUGGCCAUUUUCUCUCAAAAAGAGAAAAAACUCAAAGACCCGGAAGAUUGUCGAAGGAGAUCCUUGAUCGGAGUUCUUGAAGUUCUUGAGUAGUGCCGCCGUCAGAAAGGUGGGUAUGAGGCUGUAGAAUGACAAGAUGGAAGAAGAGUAUCGGAGAAGGAAGUACUUAUAGGAUAAAGAGGGCAGACGCAAAUCUAACAUAUCUCUUUGCCCAAUCUGUGAAAUCCGAGGGUGUUCAGGUGGAUAUGGUAACUAUUCGCACAAUAAUCAAUGGAUUGCGCAGGUCAUUUUACAGCAAGCGGUCAUGAUUUUGGAGAUAUCUUACUGUGCAAGAUCUCCUAGUCGGUUCAUCGACAGUCCUUUCUAAUGGAAAUGUUGCCGAUGAAAGUAUUCUGGGGAGGUUCGGUUCGAGAAGUUGAGAAAUUCGAGGAACCUGCAGGAGGAUCAGGCUGAGGUUGUUCAGAUUUGGUGAUUGAUUACCAAAUUGGGAUAAGUAAUUGUGGAAAGGCGUCCUUACUGAAGAGAAUUUCGGAGCAUUAAUGAUUUUAUACUCCAAAAUUGGGGCGCAUGUGUUGACACCAUUUUUGGACACUAUUUUUGGAUGCGCACCUGGAGUUAAUGAAGUGUAGAUCGGCAGGCGGAAAAAUGGUGACUAGUCUACAGGAUAGUUGCCGAUGAGGGUUAGUGCCGAUGGGAAAAUGGCAGGAUAUGACUAAGUCCAGGAGUGGUGAUGGGUUCGUGCUGAUGACUAGUAUUGAUGGCUGCCGAUGGCUAUGAAAGGUAGUCAGCCGAUGGUUAUGAAGAAAAGCACAGGGGUUGCCGAUUGACUUGUGAUGAUGUACCGAUCGGUUGUGGAAGAUAAUUUAAUGCUUUCCAUAGUUAUUAGAGUUUGUUUUGUAUACGGAUUUUGUUUAAUAUGGAGUUCGAGUCCUAGUCGUGUCUGGUUUUAGCACUUUGGGACAGGGUAUAAAUUUAGACCCGUGGCAAUGUAAUGAUAUAUCUAUCAAUCAAUCAAACACAAGUUCUUACACAUAUUUUAGCAUCUACUUUUCAAUGACUUAUCUUAUUUUCUUUUUACUACGAGUUCAUAAGGAUUCUUCGAGUCAAUCUCGAUGAAUUCUCGAGUUCCGCGUGAACACCUCUUGGCCGUGACAUCCGGGCACAUCGCUAUUGUCGGGACCAAAGUGUUUGAGUUACCACCUUUGUCGGUUGUAAGGUCAAAUCAGCUGGCACGCCUUAACGUUUGAAUUGGGUAUUUGCCCUUUGUGUUUGCAGAUCAGCUUUUGCAUCAACACCUAUUCUUCUGGCCCACGAGGCGCUAGGGAAGGGCCCGUGGAGCGUCAAGCUCAGCUCCACAAACCAGCAGGGGAACGUCACGACCCCCUGUUCCGCCCCGGUCAAUGGGCAAAGCGCGGCUCCCGUCUCCUCCUUAGAAGAGGGACCAGGGGACCUCGACUUCUCGUUGCCCUCCUCCUGCAAGCGGACAGAUGGCAGCUGCGCCUUCUGAGCUCGCUUAUGGGUUCAGGAGCACAGCCGCCACGUAUGCCUCUUCUGCGAGCACUUCUUUAAGUGCGUAUGCGGACCUCCCGGGGCAUCACCUGAGGUCUGCUCUGGACCUCAUCACGACACCACCCGUUUCAUCAUACCCCGAGGAUCCCACCUCGGGGGAAGACGAAUGGGCUGGCGCUGAUUUUUCCGGUUGUGGCGACCCGGAAACUUUCAUGCAUUUCCUUGAGGCUAGCAACUACUGCCUCGGCUACUCCAGCUCUGACGAUGACGGCUAUGACCCAUCGCGUGAGUGCUUCAACCUCAAAGUUGGAGGAGCAUCCCCUGAUGCCCAAGGUGGCGCAGGACCCUUUGAGCAGUAGAACGCAACUCCACCUUCCAACACGACUCCCGGAAGCCAUCCUAUAGCGCGCGGGGCCACGUCAGCCCAUGCAGAGGUUUGACACCCUGACCUUGAGCAGCUCGACGAGCUAGAGGCCAGGCUCGAAGAAGAGCGUGUACGCCUCCAGCAACUGCACGAGACCCUAGUGCAGGACCAGUCCGCCCAGGGGGAUGGAGGCAUGGCUAGACGCCGUGCCCAGAACGUCAACCGCCGCAUUGUUGAGGACGAAGGGGGAGACAAUCCCCCAGUCAUCAGCACAGCUAGCCUGAAUGUAAUGGCUGCCGCAUUCCUCCUUAGAGCGAUGACCGAGGCAUCGACUCCUGAGGGGAGAAGGGUGCACCAAGGACUACGUGGUCUCCUGGAGCAAGCCGUGGUACAAAACGCAGAGAGUUCUGCGUCACAGUCCCACGGUGCGAGACACCUAGGCGAUCAACCCCCUCCUAACAAGGUGCCAACGGUGCAGGGCCCGGCACCCCCUAAUCCGCAAGGGGGCGCCAGAGCCCCAUCUGUCCACGAACGCGUCGGGACCAAUGUGGACGCACGAGCCACCCUUGAGGCCAGACAACGUGAUAGGGAGGAGGCCGAAUCGCGACGCUACCGACCACACCGAGGCGGGAGGUACGACCCCGACCACGAUCGCAACACGUCGCCGGAGCCUUCGGGUCCCCAUGUCUUCAGGGAAGCCAUCCGCAGGGCCAAAUUCCCAGCCCGAUUCUGACAGCCCGCUAACCUCACGAAGUACUCAGGGGAAACCAACCUUGAGCUCUGGCUAGCGGACUAUCGCCUGGCAUGCCAGCUAGGUGGAGCGGACGAUGACCUGCUCAUCAUCCGCAACUUGCCACUGCACUUGGCUGAUUUGGCCAGAGCGUGGCUCGAGCAUCUUCUUGAGCGCAUGAUCCAUGGCUAGGCUAACCUAGUCAGGAUCUUUGUCGGGAACUUCCAGGGCACAUACAUGCGUCCAGGAAAUUCCUAGGAUCUCAGGAGCUGCCGAUAGAAGUGUGAUGAGUCCGUCCGAGAUUUCAUCAGGCGAUUUUCCAUGCAGUGCACCGAGCUCCCAAACAUCACGGACUCUGACAUCAUCGGAGCCUUCAUCACUGGCACCACCUGCAAGGAGGUGGUACAUGAGCUCGGCCGCAAGACCCCCAUGAGCACUAGUCAGUUGCUCGACAUUGCGACCAACUUCGCCUCGGGCGAAGAGGCGGUUGGUGCAAUUUUCUCUGAUGACACUGCCAAGGGGAAACAAAAGGCCAAGGCCUCUGAGGCCUUGGGCUCCUGCAACCCUAAGAAAAAGAAAAAGGGCCGCAAGGGAAAGCAGGGUCGGUCGGACGACAACUUGGUAGCCGCGGCGGAUCGCAAGAACCCCAAGUGGGCUCCCGCUGGCCCCGGCCUCUUCGACGAGAUGUUGAAGUAGCCAUGUCCCUACCAAAGGGGACCAACCAAACACACCCUAGAGGUGUAAACCGUCUUACGUCGGUACUACACCGACAUCAUAUCCAAGGAAAGCGUCGAAGAGCCUCCUAAGGAAAACAACGCCGAGGGAGAAGGCUUCCCCAAGGUCAAGAUCUGCCUCUUGAUCUUUGGGGGACGUGCGGCUUGCCACACAGCGAGUCAAAGGAAGCGCGAGCUCCGAGAGGUUUGCGCGGUUAGCACAGCCGCGCCCUCAUACCUCAAGUGGUUAGAGAGCGUAAUCACGUUCUAUCGGCAGGACCACCCGGAUCGGAUCCCCAAUCCGGGGUGCUAUCCACUGAUCGUUGAUCCCGUCAUAGAUGAGACUCGUCUCUCCAAGGUGUUGAUGGAUGGAGGCAGUGGCCUCAACAUUCUUUACGCCGAGACCUUGGCCCUCAUGGGGAUCAGCAAGUCUCGGCUGAGGAACGAUGCAUCACCAUUCCACGGAGUCAUGCAGGGACAUCGUGCCCAUCCCCUCGGGCAGAUCGACCUGCCCGUCUGCUUCGGGACCCCCGACAACUUUAGGCGGGAGGUCCUCACUUUCGACAUGGUUGGGUUCCCACAGACCUACCACGCGAUCCUAGAGUGACCAUGCUACGCCAAGUUCAUGGCCGUCUCCAACUACACCUACCUCAAGCUCAAGAUGCCGGGUCCGAACGGCAUCAUCACCAUCGGCACGACGAGCCAGCACGCCUACCAAUGUGACGUGGAGUGCAUUGAGUAGGCUCAGGCUCUGGCCGAGUCACUGUCCAUCAUCACCAGCCUCGGUGAUGGCGACCAGGACAUCCCUGACCCCAAGCGUCACGCUGGGAGCUUCGAGCCGGCGGAGGAGACCAAGCUCGUCUUCCUCGACCCCGAGGCCUCAGAAGGCAAGGCAUUGAGGAUGAGCUCGAGUUUCGACCCCAAAUAGGAACCAGUGCUUGUUGACUUUCUACGUGCAAACAACGAUGUGUUUGCAUAGAGUCCCUCGGACAUGCCAGGCAUACCGAGGUAAGUCACCGAGCACUUCUUGGACAUCCGAGCCACCUCAAAGCCCGUGAAGCAGCGCCUACGCCAAUUCGAUGAGGAGAAGCGUCGGGCCAUCGGGGAGGAGAUCCACAAGUUGCUGGCGUCCGGAUUCAUCAAGGACGUAUUCCAUCCUGAGUGGUUAGCUAACCCUAUACUAGUCAAAAAGAAAAAUGGGAAGUGGAGGAUGUGUGCAGACUAUACUAGUUUAAAUAAAGCAUGUCCUAAGAAUCAUUUUCUAUUACCUCGUAUUGACCAAAUAGUUGACUCUACCGCGGGGUGUGAAACUUUGUCUUUCCUUGAUGCUUAUUCUGGAUACCACCAAAUCAAGAUGAAAGAGUCUAACCAGCUCGCGACUUCUUUCAUCACCCCUUUUGGAAUGUUUUGAUACGUAACCAUGCCGUUCGGCCUUAAGAACGUAGAGGCUACAUACCAGCAAUGUAUGCUCCAGGUCUUCGGGGACCUCAUAGGCAGAACGGUAGAAGCUUAUGUAGAUGACAUUGUGGUCAAAUCUAGGAAGACAAGCGGCCUUGUGGCCGACCUGGAUGAGACAUUCCGGUGCCUCAGGGCUAAGGGCAUCAGACUGAACCCUAAAAAAUGUGUUUUCGGGGUACCCCGAGGCAUGCUCCUCGGGUUCAUAGUGUAUGAGUGAGGGAUCGAGGUCAACCCCGAGAAGGUCUCGGCCAUCGCGAACAUGGGUUCGAUCCGUAACCUAAAGGGAGUACAGAGAAUCAUGGGAUGCCUAGCAUCCCUCAGUCGUUUCAUCUCUCGCCUCGGGGAGAAAGGACUACCUAUGUAUAGGUUACUUAGAAAAUCUGAGCAUUUUUCCUGGACCCUCGAGGCCCAGGAAGCCCUUGACAAGUUCAAGGCCUUCCUUACUAGCCCUCCCAUCUUGGUACCCCCGUCAAGGGGGAACCAUUACUCCUCUAUGUUGCAGCCACCGAUCAGGUGGCCAGCGCAGCUAUCGUGGUCGAAAGAAAGGAAGAAGGGCACGCCCUACCGAUCCAAAGGCCGGUGUACUUCGUUAGUGAGGUACUAUCCGAAACAAAGACCUGAGACCCCUAGAUCCAGAAACUACUCUAUGUAGUAGUCUUAGCCCGACACAAGCUCUGCCGUUCUUUUGAGUCUCAUCGAGUCUCGGUAGUAUCGUCCUUCCCACUAGGUGAAGUGAUCCAAAACCGAGAAGCUAAUGGCAAAAUCGCUAAAUGGGCUAUAGAACUCAUGGGUGACGGGAUCACCUAUGAGCCUAGGAAAGCUAUAAAAUCCCAAGUCUUAGCGGAUUUCGUAGCUGAGUGGACGGGAACCCAACUCCCUCCGCCAUAGAUCCAGUCUGAGUGCUGGACCUUGUACUUCGACGGGUCUCUAAUGAAAACUGGUGCCGGCGCAGGCCUCGUCUUCAUCACACCCCUCGGAGUAAGGAUGCGAUACGCAAUCCAACUCCAUUUCCCUACCUCAAAGAACAUGGCGGAGUAUGAGGCCCUAAUUAAUGGUCUUCAUAUCGCUAUCGAGCUUGGGAUCAAGCGACUCGAUAUCCGGGGCGACUCUAGGAUCAUCAUCGACCAAGUCAUGAAAGAGUCCAGUUGCCACAAUCCCAAGAUGGACGCAUACUGCAAGACGGUCCGGCGCCUAGAGGAAAAGUUCAACGGCCUCGAGCUUAAGCACGUGUUAAGAAAAUACAAUAAAGCUACCGAUGCGCUCGCCAAAAUGGCAUCCGAGCGGGCCACGGUCCCCCGGAUGUCUUAGUGAGUAACCUCUACAAGCCUUCCGAGCCUCCCGCACCCAACGACUUGCCAGAUUGGCGUUACCCACUGCUGCAUGUUGAUAUUUGGUAACACAAUAAGGAAAUGAUCCGCAAGCGCACGGAUAUCGGUGAGCAUUUCAUCCGGGAGGUUUUCCAGAGUAUCGUAUUUAUAUUUUUACCACUGGGAGAAAGGGUGCAUCUGACUAACCAAAUCUAUUGAUACUAUCCCUUUAGGCUACAAAGAAUGUUUCUCGAUGUGAGCGAUGUAUAGAGAAGACUGCAACCGUAGUCUCGUUCUAACCUUGGUAAGGAUGAUCUACUGUUCUAUUGGGGAAGCUUAUGGAAUCUAGACACCACAAAGGAUGUUCGACCUGCACCUAUAAACCCUACCCGUCCUGCUAACAAGAUAUGGGCUUCAAAGGUAACUCGGAAAUGUCACGUUCCUCGCUACUACCACGGUCCAGCUAGUCAGGGGAUAUCUAUGAGUACCCUAGCCUAAACACCACGUUUAUGCUAGCAAUGAUUACUCUAAUACUCAACCGGAAGAGGAUUAAAGUAAACUCAUCAACCAAAGAACAAUAAAACAAGAACUUACUAGCCUCGGGUUAGGAGACUUGAUCCCGAAGGUACAACUCGGAGUAGACAUCGACAGGCUGGCCUUCCUCCGAUCUACACCUCCACUCUAUCUCUCUCAAUCUAGUAGAAACUAGAAGAUCUAUUUCUACUUACAUUGGUUGCUAAGCCUAAAAAGAAAUAUUAUUUAGAGAAGAGGUACUCCUUCGAGGGCACCCCUCAAUCUCUAUGACAACUUCUUGUCUUCUCCAGGGGCCAGGGGGGUCUCCUUAUAUAGUCCUCCUCCUCUAUGCGUUUUUGGGUCGGUAGGCGAUGUGGUACUAUGUUAUCCUUGAUCCUUUAGGUCGGUGGAACGUCGUGUGCGAAGAGAGUCCCGAACGGAGUCCAGGACAGGGCGGGCGCCCUGGGCUUGGCCCCUUUCAGCCUCUGCUUUCUUCCCGUGGCUUCUGGAGUCUUCUAGAUGGUAGAAAAUUGCGCAAUGUGUUGAUAUCUCUAUGUAACCCCGACAUGUGGGCCUUUCUUCCUUAUUUCCUAAUAACGCCCUGCAAAAAUAGACAAACACCAAAACUCGUGGAAUUCUGUCAGAUAAAACCCUAAGUCUAGGUGUUGGUUGCAUUUGGAUCCUUUUCUUUAUUUAUUUGAUGAUUAUAUUUGGUACUUAAGGACCGUCAACAACUCCCCCAAGCUUACCUCUUGGUCGUCCCUGAGCAAGGCUGGACUCAAAAGUUUCUGCAGUGGUUUCAUGCCUUAAAAGUACACACGCAUUCAAGCAAGAUCUCAUCUCUAAGUUAGAGUAAACUGUUAAGACUUAAAAGCUUACUCAUUUUACCUUUCCCCAUGGGGCUUGUAACCGUCACUUGUGUCUUGAGCAGUUAAAAGAUAGAACGGUCAAGUCAAGCGCCAUGUCUCUUAUUCUUGAUCAGCUAUAGCUCUAGAGUUUUUGCAGAUUUUCAAAUAAAACUCAGAGAUUCCUUAUAUGAUUCUCUCAAAUCUCUCUUUUGUGGUAUUUCAGGAUCCUUACCAAGGCAGUAAUGGUAUAUGCCUUCUCUCAAAGUAUGUGGUAUUUUUGGUAUGAGGCAUAGUGAUAUUGCCUUUUCUCUCACCCUACUCUAAUAAGGUUUUAAUAUCUGGAGCUCAUAGGUGGGGGACAACUAAUACAUACUUACAAGACAUUUAUUGUAUAGUCAAACCAUGGAUCCAGAGAUAGAAAUGAGUGGAUAUAUGUGGAUGGUACUUCCGGAGUAGAAGUAGCAUGUAUGAGUGAACGUGCAAGUGAAUCUUGAUUUUAAUUGCAUGACAAGCUCCUAAGGGUCUACACAGCUUGACCACACUCAAUGCUCAUAAGCAGUAAAAAGUAAAUGUAUGGUUCAUAGUCUAGCAAGCAUGUAUGUAUGGCUGUGGUAGGAUUUUAAACUCUCAUCAUAUAGGAACUCAUCAUGUUAUAUUUUAAAGAUUUUUUCAAAGAUAAAAUUCUCCAGAAUUCUAGCAUCUCUAGGAACAGAUAAACAGCAGCUCAACCUUCCCAUAUCAUGUCCGUUAACAACUUAGACUUUAGAUCAAGUACUUUUCCCACAAGUUCAGGUUUAGAGCAAGCUUUAAAUUAUAACAGUUAUGCCUAAACUUGAGAGAGAUUUCAAUUUUAAGAACUAGUCAUGGCAAAGCAACUAUUCAUCAUUUCCAUGUGAGAGUUUAUCAUGAGGGUUCGUAGCAAACUUUAUUUAUUUAUUUAUUUAGCAAACUAAGCAAAGAUAUAUAUAAAAGCACAAAAUUUUUAUUUGGGUUUUCAUGAUUAUGCAUCUUUUUAUUAUUUGAGUAAAGUAUAAACGCGAGUAGAAACACUUAGCUGGAUAAAUGGGGGUGCUCUCCCCCAAGCUGGAUUUUGACGUAAUUUCUUCUGAUGUAGCUAGCAGGUGGUGGAGGUGUAUUUGAAAGUUGGCAGCACCCUGACAGCGAUUAGGAUGUCCUCCGUCUGCUAGUCUUCUUUGAUCCUUGAAUUCUAUGGAGCUCAAAUAGACAACAAAGCUUUGUGGAACUGGUUAAGUGUUAGCAUAUAAUCUCUUUGCCUUUAUCAUGUUGAGCCUCCUCAAUAGAUGUUAUUUAUUUAACAGGAUCAUGCACUUAUUAUUUUAAUAUUUUUAUUGUAAGAUGAAAACAUAUUUAUUUAUGCCACCACAGUGAAUGUACCUAUGGGUUUUAUGCCAUGAGCAUACUCACAUGGGGAUUACUAUUUUUAACAUUUUUAUUUUCUUUUCGAGAUGAUAUGAACCUGAUUAACUAAGCAAACUAUAAUUGAAUAAUUGAAAGUAAAAGGAUAACUACCAAGUGUACCUCUUGGCAAGGCGUUCGCUAUUUUUUUAAGUCCUCCGAACGGGACUCUCCGUUUUCUCAGUUGUCCUAGGAUUCGCUGGAUGGCGUAGUCGGUGGUUCCGGUGGCGCCUCUUCUUCGUGUAUAACUGUCUUCUCUCUCCACACAUGACUCGGUGCUACGGUCUCCUCAGGAUAGUUCUGUUCAAGCUGUAUGUCUUCAGACCUUACCACUUCUUCUUCGUAGUCUACCCAUCCGUCCUUGAUGAUUUGCCUCCUCUCGUUGCGAUUGCGUUGUCUUCUUCUUAUCCUGACCUGCUUAGAGUCUUCAACAAUAUAGUUAAGGUCAGUAAAAUAGCGGCGUACCUUCUCAGAGGGGAAGUGCAUGUGGACUUCUCCGGUUCCAAUAUAGAUGAUGGCUUUGAUAGUGUUGAGGAACGGUCUUCCAAGGAUGGUCGGUGGAUCAUACUCAUCUUUUCCCAUGUCAAUGACCUGAAAAUCAUCUGGAGCUAAAUGUAUAUUGGUUGUAGGAACAUGGUUCCAUGCAGGAGUUGAUAAGUGACUGCGGCCAUUAUGUUGUCGUCAGAUCCGGUGUCGUAGAGUGUCUUCUGAAAAGAGUAUCCAUUGAAUGUGCACUUGAUGCUUGGAACACUAGGGUCGUCCUUCUUGAUCAGGAAAGGCGACUUGAGUCGACGAUCUUGACCUCCUCCGACAAGGAUUCAAUGUUUUAAGUCUUCUGGACAAGACUUCUCACUGUCUUCAUCCUUUAGGUGCAUCAUUUGAUUGGGUGUGGACCUUGACAUCUGCACUACUUGAUACGGUGUCACCCAUGUUCUUUGUUUGCCCAGUAGUUCGAAGUGCGGCGUUAGCAGCAUCCUGCUCAGUGUGUUUGUGCUCAUAGAUCCAAGUCCUUCACUUGGUGGAGUCUGAGAGUUGUAGAACUCCUCCAUGUUUUGUUUGAAGUGUACCUAUUCAUAGAGACAAGGCAGAGAUCAAGUGCAUGGGCCCUGUUGGUGGAAAACACCAACAGAACAAAAGUGUAUUUGUUCUUCUCUAACCUUAAGCAUAGUGAGCAAGACAAAGUUAAUGGAUCAUGAGUGUAGCAUUUGUCAGAUCAGAUGGCUCAACCUAAUGGAAAGAUAAUCUAUCUAUAUUUAUGUUUUGUUUAUAUCUUUCAAAGAUUGAAUGUGCAGCAUAUUAGCUUAUAUGAUUAGGAAUGUGGGAUCACGAAGGUAGUAUUAAUAACAAAGAUUAAAGGACUAAACAUGUUGAAUUAAUUGAGUUGGUUAAUUUGGAGUUACAGAUCAUACAUGUUUGUCUCUUUAUUUUAUGUGAACGCCAGAACCAGGGAGGAGCUUAUAAAAGCGAUAGUUAAGUACCUUAAGAUGUUACCUUACUUGAAGAGUGAUGGUAUAUUAUCACUUUGUGGAAGCUUUCCCUUCUUAGCGGUUGUGCCUCGUGGUUGUGGAACCCCUUUGUCUUGUUCCAUGGAUCACCUCUCUAUGAUGAAUGAGCUAUGUCCUUCUUGUGCAAAUUGUUAGACUUCAUGUGUCUCCUUUAUCUCCAAUGUAAGUUUGUAUCUCAAGACUUCCUAGGCUGAUAUUGAAAGUUUUCCUGCAGGGGUUAGUCCGACAAAAUAUACCAAUGUCUACUCAAGCAGUUUUUAGUUCAAUAAUCGAACUAGACUCCAUGUCUAGUCAGAUUAGGGAAGGCUAUUUAACCUAAGCACCAUGCUUAAUUUAAAAGCCAAUAGAAGUAUGUACAGUACUUCCAAACUAACACUUACUAGGAUAAACAAAGGUAGCGUGAUGGCAUUUAUAGAGAUCUGCUCAAGUGGAGAUGAAGUAGUGUGAUUAGUAUUUAACAAAUUGAGCAUGUCUCAAAGGUAAGAACAACCAACAUAGCAACAUGGCAAAGGAUGUUUUUAUGUGAAGUACUCCCCCAAGCUUGAAUUUUGCAAAAUUCAAGAUUGGAUGAAUUUAAUUCAAUGUUGCAUGAUGAUUGGUUGGGCAUACCUUGCGCUUGUCAUUCCUCGGAUCUGCUUGCUCCAAUCCUAGAAAGGUUAGUGACAUGAAUACCCGAAGGAAUAUUUCUACAAUUAUCUUUAUAUGCUCAAUACACAAGGCAAUGUUGCAAAUAAUUAGAAGUUCAUGUUACGAUCUGAUAAGUGCUUGUUUUAGGACACUAAGCUUGUCCUUGGGAAACCAUCAAUCAACUCAACGAGAUCUGCAAUAUUUAUUAUAGACAUAUGCAUUGACAACCGCUCUUUUAAAGUUUUUAUAAAUAGAAAAGAAGAGAGGGUUGGAGAUCUCUAAUGUAGUGUUGCUGGAGAGACCAAUUGAUUGGGGAGAUGUUUUAUAUGAGCAAGGGCUUGGUGAGGUAUUUAUGAAAUAACUUCCAUGCUCACUAUUGUUUAUCUCAUUCUCAAACUCCAAGGAUGAUUUUUCAUGAAUGCUUAAAAUUCCUCUAGGAUUGUCUCUCAAGUCUGUUUUAUCUAUCCAUUCAAUGGUGAUAGCACAUGGAUUUUUAAUGCCCUCUAGCCAUUGAUGUUGCUCUUCUCGAUCCUCCUUGUGGUCUUGGUGACUCUUAUGCAUGGGAUGUCUAGAGAGACUCAUAGGAUUAUCGGGAGGUUCAAGAGAAAGAGCAUAAUAGAAAUUAUUAAGCUCAAGGAUGGGUUGGAUAGCCGAAUUAUGGGAUUGAAAUGUUUGGAAAUUGGCUAUUAAAACUUCCUUUCCUCGUCUGGGAGAUGAUUCCUUCUCUAUCUCUAGGAAUUUUUUAUGAACACUAGUACAAGAAGGAUGUCCACGAAUGAAGACAUACCUUCCUUUACUAAUAGAUAAAGAAAGAAGGACUCUACCAAAGGUUAUAUGAUUAAGACCAAUGUGAAAAUAUCUAGGAAGAACAUGGUCUUGUAGGGCUAGGUAUAAACCAGAAUUUAUAGAAAGAUUAACAGAUUCCCUAGGUGUAGCUAAAAGUGCAUUAUCUUCUUGAUUAAAAGAUAGGACCUCGGCUAUAGAAAAGGGUUGGUUUUGACCUAUUGCAAUCAACUCUGGACACAGAUCAUAAUUAGGGGCAGGACUUGUUGAGUCCCAUGGUCUAUGGCUGGUCUCCGAAGGUGCAAAGAAUUCAAUGAUAGAUAUGGAAUUUGAGUUAUCCAUAAAAAUAUAAAGAUAAAAGAAUAAAAGUAUAAAAAUAUAAUACAAGAUAAUAGCAAGACUCAAAGUUAUCUCAGCAAACCGUCUUUCUCCCCGGCAACGGCGCCAGAAAUGCUUGUUGAUAUUUGGUAACGCAAUAAGGAAAUGAUCGGCAAGCGCAUGGAUAUCGGUGAGCAUUUCACCCGGGAGGUUUUCCAGAGUAUCGUAUUUAUAUUUUUACCACUGGGAGAAAGGGUGCAUCUGACUAACCAAAUCUAUUGCUACUAUCCCUUUAGGCUACAAAGAAUGUUUCUCGAUGUGAGCGAUGUAUAGAGAAGACUGCAACCGUAGUCUCGUUCUAACCUUGGUAAGGAUGAUCUACUGUUCUAUUGGGGAAGCUUACGGAAUCUAGACACCACAAAGGAUGUUCGACCUACACCUAUAAACCCUACCCGUCCUGCUAACAAGAUAUGGGCUUCAAAGGUAACUCAGAAAUGUCACGUUCCUCGCUACUACCACGGUCCAGCUAGUCAGGGGAUAUCUAUGAGUACCCUAGCCUAAACACCACAUUUACACUAGCAAUGAUUACUCUAAUACUCAACCGGAAGAGGAUUAAAGUAAACUCAUAAACUAAAGAACAAUAAAACAAGAACUUACUAGAAUUAGAAGUCGAAUUACUGAAGAAUCUUAGAAGCAAGCCUCGGGUUAGGAGACUUGAUCCCGCAGGUACAACUCGGAGUAGACACCGACAGGCCGGCCUUCCUCCGAUCUACACCUCCACUCUAUCUCUCUCAAUCUAGUAGAAACUAGAAGAUCUAUUUCUACUUACAGUGGUUGCUAAGCCUAAAAAGAAAUAUUAUUUAGAGAAGAGGUUUUCCUUCGAGGGCACCCCUCAAUCUCUAUGACAACUUCUUGUCUUCUCCAGGGGCCAGGGGGGUCUCCUUAUAUAGUCCUCCUCCUCUAUGCGUUUUUAGGUCGGUAGGCGAUGUGGUACUACGUUAUCCUUGAUCCUUUAGGUCGGUGGAACGUCGUGUGCGAAGAGAGUCCCGAACGGAGUCCAGGACAGGGCGGGCGCCCAGGGAAGGAGGGCGGGCGCCCUAGGCCUGGCCCCUUUCUGCCUCUGCUUUCUUCCCAUGGCUUCUGGAGUCUUCUAGAUGGUAGAAAAUUGCGCGGUGCGUUGAUAUCUCUAUGUAACCCGGACAUGUGGGCCUUUCUUCCUUAUUUCCUGAUAACCCCCUGCAGAAAUAGACAAACACCAAAACUCGUGGAAUUCUGUCAGAUAAAACCCUAAGUCUAGGUGUUGGUGGCAUUUGGAUCCUUUUCUUUAUUUAUUUGAUGAUUAUAUUUGGUACUUAAGGACCGUCAACACUGCAACGCCUCGUCGAUGACACUUUGCCCCCAGAUCAAGCCAAGGCACGGCGUGUAGCUCGUCGCGCCAAGACCGUCAUCCUGCUCGAUGGAGAGAUGUACAAGCGUAGCCCCUCUGGCUUUCUCAUGCGCUGCAUCACCCGUCGAGAAGGAAUCAAGCUCCUUGAGGACAUACACUUGGGUGCUUGUGGCCACCAUGCUGCGCCUCGGAUGUUAGUGGGGAAUGCCUUCCGACCGCCGUGGCUGAUGCCACACAGAUCGUGCGAACCUGUGAGGGAUGCCAGUUCUAUGCUCGGCAGAUUCACCUCCUAGCUCAGGCUCUGCAAACGAUCCCCAUCACUUGGCCCUUUGCUGUUUGGGGCCUCGACCUCAUCGGGCCACUGUAGAAAGCGCCCGGGGGCUUCACCCACUUGCUUGUCGCGAUCGACAAGUUCUCCAAGUGGAUUGAGGUCCGACCCAUCAUAAGGAUCAAGGCUGAACAGGCUGUGCUAUUUUUCACAGACAUCAUCCAUCGAUUUGGAGUGCCCAACUCCAUAAUCACUGACAACGGCACACAGUUCACCGGAAGGAAAUUCCUGGAGUUCUGCGACAGGCACCACAUACAUGUGGACUGGGCAGCAGUGGCUCAUACAAAGACUAAUGGCAAGGUAGAAUGUGCCAAUGGCAUGAUCCUCCAAGGUCUGAACCUCAGAAUCUUCAACUAGUUGGACAAGUUCGGAAAGAGGUGGCGCAAAGAGCUACCGGCCGUGAUCUGGAGUCUAAGGACUUCCCGAAGCCGAGCCACUGGCUUCACCCUGUUCUUCAUGGUUUAUGGGUCCGAGGCCGUCCUCCCCAUGGACCUAGAGUACGGGUCUCCAAGGGUACAAUCCUACGACAAAAAUAGCUACAAGACUAUUGAUGCCAUUUUUUGACCCGUAUCUGGGAGUUAAUGAAGUAUAGAUCGGCAGAUGAAGGAGUGGUAACUGGUUAUUAUAGGAGUUGCCGAUGGGAUUGACGCUGAUGGAGAAACAAUAGGAUGUAGCCAAGUCCAAGGGUGGUGGUCGAUCUUUGCUGAUGAUUGAUGCAGGUGAUUGCCGAUGCCGACAGAAGGUGAUUUAUCGAUGAUAAGCGAGGGAAAGUGUAGGAUUGGUAACGAUGAUGGUGACGAUGUGCCGAUCGGUUGUGGUGGACAAAUUAAUGCUUUCCAUAGUUAUUAGAGUUUGUUUUGCAUACGGAUUCCAUUCAAUCUGGAAUUCGAGUCCUAGUCGUCUCUGAUUGUAACUCUUUUGAAUAGGGUAUAAAUAUAGACCCCAUGGCAAUGUAAUGAAUAUACAAUCAACCAAACACAUGUUUUUACAUCUAUUUCAGCAUGUACUUUUUUGACGACUUCAUCAACCUGCGUAUUUUCCUUUUUACUACGAGUUCUUAGGAAUUCUUCGAGUCAACCUCAGCGAGUUCUCGAGUUCCGUGUGAAUACCUCUUAGCCGUGACAUCCGGGCGCAUCGCUGUUGUCGGGACCAAAGUAUUCGAGUUAUCACCUUGGUCGAUUGUAAGGUUAAAUCGGCUGGCACGCCUUAAUGUUGAAUCAGGUAUUAGCCCUUUGUGUUUGCAGAUCUACUUUUGCACCAACACAUCUUUUGGCACGCCUGGUGGGACAGAGAUUCAACAUCAAGAUCAACAUGUCGAACACCGAUUUCGACUGGAGAACGUCAUCCCCGUGACGAAAGCCAAUCUCAUGGAUGAACAGAAGCAAGCUAUGGCCAAAGCUAUGGAGGACUACAAGCAGCUAUGCUUGAAAUCCUUCAGUAUCAAUAGGAGCGGCGAGGUGAUCCAAAAGGAAGCAUUGCUGAUGCCUCGGCAAAUCACUUUUGAAGCUAAUCCUGGUAAACUACAAGAGAAGGUUGACUGUGCUAUCAAUCAUGCUCUAAUCAAUCAAUCUAGUGUGCUGUCCAAUACAAUUUUCAAUGCUGUGGCUAGAACUUUCAAAGAAGGACAAAUAUGACCAUCUUAUGUGGGCCCUGCCUUUCAUCAGCCAGGAUCAUCAUCGGUUACGGCUCCAUCGGCUGCUGCAGCCAUUGCAGGUACGGAGGUUAUUUCUCCUCCAAGCACAUUAGGGAUGACUAAUGCGCAAUCUACACCGAUGACGACUAAUCCAUCAACAUCAGAGGGACAAGUUAAACUCGCUAUAGAUUUAUUGGCAUCGGCCAUGUCAGGGUUUGUGGUUAAAGGCUCACAAGUUCAUCCCAAUUGGUGGGGAUAUGGUAUGCCCCUAGAAUUCAUGGCAAAUAGUUCUGGGACGUCUCAAGUGGCUGACACGACAGAAAAAGGCUCCUAUGGCAUCAGCACCCCCAGCAUCACCGAUGAAUCAAAAUCCUCAUUAUUCCACAACUACCACUGCAAGACCAGUUACUGGAAAUUCUCAAAUACCAAUGUUCCAGAUGCCUAACGCAUCGGCAGAUCCCAUGCCGACGCAUCAAAGGUUUAUGACACAACCAGGGUAUAUCAAUUCAAUAAUGAUGCCCAAUUAUCAACCAUCGGCAGGGCCAUCGCCGAUGAAUGUUAAUAGUGGAUGGAUAGGGAAGUUUGUCUUUCCACAGAUGCCUCAGCAAAAUCAUCAAGCUAUGGGAUUUCAGCAGGGACCAAUGCAACCUGGAUUUUAGAAUCAAGGGUUAAUCAACCAACCAAUGAAUCUUGGUCAGCAAGAUGGUGGCCAAUAGGCGGUGGCUAAUCCUAUGUUCCCUGGAGAUCAUGCACCGCAGAGACACGUGGAAUCUUAUCAGCAGUUGCUAGAUCCACAACCAGUUCAUCAGCAAGAUGCUGAUGCUUAUUGGGCCGAUAAGAUAGCGGAAGUAAUGAGAGAUCAAUUUGGGAUAAAACUCAAAGUCAACACUUACUCUUAUUGGACACCAUAUCCUCCUGCGUAUGACUUGAUCCCGCUUCCAAAUCGGUACAAGGUGUCGGAUUUCACCAAGUUCUCUGGACAAGAUGACACGUCAACCAUGGAGCAUGUUAACAGGUUCAUCAUCCAGUGUGGAGAAGCUGCUAAUAGAGAUGAGUUAAGGGUUCGUUUAUUCUCGUCAUCUUUAUCUGGAUCGGCCUUUACCUGGUUUAUUUCAUUACCUCCAAACUCAGUAAUCACCUAGUCUGAUCUAGAAAAACAAUUCCAUAAAUAAUUAUUUUCUGGAGUCCAUGAGAAGAAGAUUACCGAUUUAGUCAGGCUGAGGCAGCGCAAUGAUGAAUCGGUUGAAAGCUUCGUGCAAAGGUUGCGAGAUCUUAUGAAUAAAUGUUAUAGUCUGGUUCUGGAUGAUCGGCAGCUCGUCGAUUUGGCUUUCCAAGGAUUGUUGCCACACAUUAAAGACAAGUAUGCUUCUUAAGAGUUUAAAAGUCUGAGCCACUUAGUGCAGAGGAUUUCUAACCAAGAUAUCAAAGCUUUUGAACCCAAGAGGGCAUGGAACAAAAAGGUGUCAUUUGUCGAUGAAGCAACAAGCUCAGAUUCUGAUGAAGAACCAGUCAUCAGCUUGGCAGAAUGGGUGAAAAAUAAGAAGCCGAUGUCAUGCCCUUUCGGGCAUAAGGAGCCAGAAAAGUUUGCAUUUGAUAUCACCAAAGCCGAUAGGAUAUUUCACUUUCUACUUCUGGAGGGGCAAAUUAAGUUGUCACCUAACCAUGUGAUUCCAUCGGUAGAAGAAUUAAAGAAGAUUAAGUAUUGCAAGUGGUAUAAUGCAACAUCUCAUAGUACAAAUGAGUGCAAGGUUUUCAGGCAACAGCUACAAUCGGCUAUAGAGUCUGGGAGAAUUAACUUCGAUAGCUCCAAAGCUCAAAAUCCGAUGAAGAUCGAUGUAACAUCCCUGAUGUUACGGUUACUAAAAUUCGGAUCAUGGCAUCAUCAGCAUUGCACAACAUAGUUGUUAAGCACACCUUGAUGCAUCAACUUAAAAUGAGUUUAAUUUGAUGGAAUGUGCUUAGGGAAUUAAAGUGUGUUUAUCUUGUAUAUUGAUGCUUGAGUUGGUUGCUAAAACCCUAGGGUAAAAGAUUUCCGAAAGAUUAGGGGGGGGGAACCCUGAUUUUUGAACCCUAGAUUUGCCCCCUUUUGCACAAUUUAAAAACUAAGCAAAAUUUGAAGUUGAGUUCAAAAGCAAAGUUGUAGAUCUUGUCAAGAUGUACAACUUUGGUGUUUUGAGUUUUUGAAGUUUCAAUACAAAAUUCAAAGUAAUUUUGAAAAUACAGAUUUCCAGAAAGUGUUCCCUUUUCCAAUUUGAAUCUCCAAUUCAAAAUCUAUUUGGAAUUUUGAAAAGUGACCAACAUGAAAGUUGUAGAGCUCAAAAAGUUGAACAACUUUCAUGUUGGGAGUUUUUCAAGUUGUUUGGAAAAAUCAAAAGUAAUUUUGGAAACCCUGAUCUGCCCCAAUUCAAAAAUUUGAAUUUCCCCAAAUUGGAUUUUGAACUUCAAACUGUUUGGUCAAAUUCACCAUGUUCCACUCAAAAUUUGCUCUGGUCACCAAAAUAUGAUUUGUAGCUUAUAAAAUUCUGAACAACUUUUGUUUUGGUGGGUUUUUGACUGUAGUUCAAAUUUUGGCCGAAUUUCACAAAAAAACAGAGAAGAGGCGAUAAGGGUCAGCUACAGUGAUCCGAUAUGGAUCACGGCGCCCCUGUCCAGCGCGGCCACCGCGCGCGCAGCGCUGCGUGCGCGCGUGCAGGCACGCAGCCUGCUUGCUUGCCUGCAUCGCCAAGCGACGUGGAAGUCGAGCGUCUUCUCCAUUCGCGAUUUAAGUCUCUCCACCGGCCGACACGCCUCCGUUUGCUCCCACGAACGCCGACGGGCAACACCCGCGCCACCGUGAAAUUCGUCCCCCUUGAUCCCUUUCCAAGCCACCUGAGCGCACCACCAUCUUCGCCACCUCCUUGUGAACCUAGCGCACCCCCGAGCUCACUCCCUAACCCACUCAAUCGCCGGUGCUCCUCGGUCUUCUCCAACUCCGGCAAAAACCUCCGUCGUGAAACCCCCUCCGUGGCCGUGCUGUUCCAGUGAGUGGCACACCUUACUCAUGGUUGUUUCCGGUUCCUUUUCCGCCCCUGCAACUUAUGCGCUCGCUCUUUCGCUUUGGACGCGAACAGGAUCGCCGGAACGAGCUCGCCGGAGCCGGAGCACCCACCCGACCGCACGGCCACCGUCGCCAAGCUCUUCUACUGCUUCUCCCGCUGUGGUGACGUGAGCACCGUGCUCCUGAACUCUCCCCGAAGCUCCCUGUUCCAUUUGUUUACGCUCUACCGAGCCCUAGUGGCCGGUCCGUGGUCGGCCAUGGCGGCCACCCGCCGUUUGCGUGGCCGGAGUGGAAGGGAGAGGGUAGAGCGUGAGUAGAGGGUGUCAACGGGGUCGCGAAGUCGAGGCGAAGACGAUGCGCACGCGCACUCCGGCUGAGACCCUCGCUAACGGCGGCCGAAGCCGCGGCAGUGCCGCCGCGCGUGAAGGAGAAGGAGCUGACGGGUGGGGUCUCCCCGUCAGCGUCCUGCAGAGAGAGAAGGGGGAAGAGGGUCUGACGGGCGGGACCUGCCCGUCAGUGACCGCGUGAGGGGGGAGAAAGCGCGCGCAGCGCCCACGUCGGCCGAGCGGGAGCGGGCCGGCCUGCGGGCCGAUUUCCCGGCGGCUCGCUGCACAGUGUUUUUCUUUUUCUUUUUAUGCAGAUUUUGCUUUAUAUUUGAAUUUGUGUAAUAAAUCUUGUGUUGAUCCAAAAAUCAUGGAAAUUUUUGUAUAGAUUUCCUGAAAUAAGUACAACCCAAGAAAAAUAUUAGAUUUUAUUUUCUGAUAGUUUACAUGUGUAUGAAAAUUGCCUCUUUUGUUUAAUAAAUGAAACUUCUAUGAAUUUUAAUAAUUUAUUGAUAUGUCCAAAAAUCACCAAAAUUUAUGGGGAGUCUCUGAAUAUUAUUCCCUGGCUCCACACAAAAUUUGGUGGCAUUUGGAUAAUGUUUGAAUAAAAUAUUAUUAAACCCCUAUUUGGUAAUUAAAUAAUAUUUCUAGGAUAAUUAGGUAAUAAUUAGUUAAAUUCUCAAAAUUAGGGUUUGAGUGAUUUUGGGAUUAUGUGAUGACCUGAGGUCAUUAACCCUAAUGACCUUUGGCAUUUAAUUAUUGUUUGGUCUUAAUGCUUAAUUGCUGUCAUUAAUAAUUACUUAAGAAGUAAUUAAGGUAAAUAGGAUUAAUAAUUAGUUAAUUUAAGAUAUUUAUGAAUUAAGAAAAAUACUAAAUUUUACAGAUGCAACCUCUUGGGUAAAGACACUAAGAUGUUAAACAACUUUAAUUAUUGUUUAUUCUGUGUUGCACCGAGGUGGCCAGUUGUAUUUAACUUGGUCCCUUUUUGCAUAUUUGUCAUACGCAUAUCAUGAGCAUAUAUCAUUUUUGCGUGUAGUGCACGUGACCGAAGGAGCGACCGUUGAACCGAACCCCGAGGUCGGUGCUCCGUUCGUGGAAGUAGGAUCCGAGACUUGGGAAGUAUCCGAGGGACCCUCUCUGCCCUGCAACCAAGGCAAGCCCCGGAUGCAUUAACCCCUCCUUGAAUGUUUAAAUCUUUUAUCACUUAUGAAUUGAAAAUGCUACAUUAGGUAGUCAAGAAUUGGGUUAUCCUACUUGCUGCAUUUACUACCUUGAUAUUUGUUAUCUUGUCCUUGGCACCUGUUUUAUUUUAAAAACUGCGUAGUGAUGCUUAGCCCUGCUACUAGAUAGGUUUUCAAACAAGAAAGUUUGAAGGGUUGUUGUGGAAUACACUUAUGAUCAAUGAUGUUUCAACUUGAGACCAGUCGGUGGACUUGCUUUAAGAAUGGAGUCUUAAAGUAGUGUCUCCAACUGUGUCGGUUAAGGACCGGUCCGUUGAUGGCCUCCUGGGUUGAGAAUUUAUAGUACUAGCCACCUGCCCUCGGUAAGCCCGAUCUUGUAAUCCCGACGCGAACAGCUACUCGCGCACUGGGCGUGGAGCGAUGGCGAGAGUAGUGUGUACCCACCUUACAGAUCUGAGAUGACCGGGAAACAUCUAGAUCGGCUGUAUGAUGGUGGAGUACUAUGCUCUCGGGUGCCGCGAACCUGGUCAAAUUUGGGGAGAGCUUGCUUUGGGUUGACAUAUGCAAGAUUUGGUUCUACAUAUGUCGGGUGGUUAGGAACUCCAGCUGGAUUGCUAAGCGAUUCGAAUCGUCGUUUCUCCCCGAUUGGGAGACUCAAUUCCUUCGACCCUCAUCGUAGUUAAUUAUGCAACUAAGUGAUAAAACGAGAAAGGGGAAAUGUCUUAUGAGGUUCGGAUCCCAAUUCCCGGACUCAGAGUGACAUGAAGCUAUGGCCGUUGGAUGUCUAAUACUUUAAUUUAGGACUAGGAACUCACAGACCUGUCUGUGGGAGGCAACUAGAUAGACUGUCUUCGAACUCCUCGGCCUCUUCAGGAGAGGAAUUCGCGGGUAAAACUUGAAAGUAAGGAUGCACUAUUAGUAAGCUUUUUGGCAAAACACUUUGGCUCCUUGCUCAGCCACCCCUUGUCUACCCUAAGUCUGCAUUCCUAACUUCUCCUCUUUUUCUACCGGGUAAGUCUUGUUGAGUACUCCCGUACUCAGGGUUUCAUAACCCCUGUUGCAGGUGAAGUUCAGGAGCCGACUUGUUUCGGACCCUGUUGUGUGACCGUCGUCGAGGGUGACGACGAAGAAGAGUGAGCGUGACCCAUGGGCAGGGUCUGUAAAUUUGUAAUCUCUGUGUUAAAGUUUAAGUUGCUCCGCUGGACCUGGUUUGUAAUAACACUCUGCUAUUUGGAAGAACUCCUUUUGUAAAAUAAGUUAUGUAAUACUUCCGCUGUUUUACUCUGAAAUAUUAUUUUGGUCUUGUGUCAUCUGUGAUACUGCAAUGUCUUCACAACGAAUGAUCCUGGUGUUAAGGUGGCCACUUGCUAUCAUGUAAGGGUGAGGAGAAGAAAGUUUCGUUAAUUGACCAUCAUUGGUGGUCAGGACGAGCCUGGUUGAUACGCCCCAGCUAGCGUGGAAUGAGCAUCCUGAGAUGCUCAUCGGACUUCUAAUGUGGAAGGAUCCUCGGCACCACCGUCUGAGGUCUUUGGGACAAUGACAGGUGCCGGUGGGCCCAAACACUUAGGGGGUUCUGCCACAGCUGGUAUCAGAGCAUUCGUUGCUAGGAUGACUGCGGUAUCUCUUGAAAAACUUCAAAACUCAUUUGGAUCUAAUACUAUAAACUUGCCUAUUUUGAGUCCAAGUGCCUUAGUCUUAUCUUACCCCUGUCGGUAGGCCUUUUUAGAAUUUUUGGUAGUGGUUUGGAGGAGCAACAUAAAGUAUUGCCCUAUGUUGUAAAAAUUUUGAAAUGAUAUCAUUAUGAUUUGCUUAUAGGAAUCGUAAGUACGUGCAUGCAUCAUGAUAUAUCACUUGGUUAAAUUCCUUCCUCCUUGUUUUGGUUGGGUUGUAUAGAAUCAAUCCCCUUCUUGCUAACCCGUAAGGUCUCUCUUACUAAUCCAAACUUAACCUCUACAGGAUGGGCCGUUGGAAACAGACCCCGCGUAAGAGGACAGGUCCAAAAGGGGUCCCAAAACACCAGAUGGCCCCACGAAGCGAUCAAGCAAGCAGUAGCCAUUCACCGCCCCAGCAGGAGGUGGAUAAGUUGUCCGCCGAGCUGACCGAAGUGAUGAGAGAAAGGAUGUACAACGUCAUGGAGAUCGGCGAGCUUAAAGCUCAACUAGGCAAAGAAAAACAAGCCACAGAGAACUGUGAGGCCAUGCUGUCCCGUAAGGUGGAGGAGAGGAAUGCUGCUAUUGCCAGAGAAGAGGAGGCCAGGAGCGCACACAGGCACGAGCUGACUAGGAUGAAUGCGAAGCUGGGUAAGGCCAAGUACCUCAAAGAUCUGUACGUGAAGAUGGCGGCCACGGUCACCGCGUAGCGGGAUGUCGCGUGGCAGCGGGAGGACCAGCUCCAGUUGGAGAAGCUGGAGCUGGCACAUCAUUUAGACACCGUUAAUGACUUGGCAAUGCAAUAUCGUGAUAUUGCAUUUGACCUAUAUCAUCAGCUCCAUCCACCUCCCGGCGAAGGAGAGAUGGAUACGGACGGAGAGUUGGCGGAUGCAGGGGAACCCGACCAAGACCUCAGUGAUGAAAAGGAGUCCGACCCCGAUGACGACAACCCGGGGGGUAAUCAUGACGAUGGCAAUGACGACCCGGGCUACAGCUCUGGCCACAACGACUAGUUCGGUGAAGCCGUGGGCAACAUCGCUGUAGGAAUCCUAGUUUGCCGUAGUGGGGUUGGGUCUAUAGUAUAAAGUUUUCUUUCAGUUUAAGAAGUUGUACUCGUUUGUUCCUGAUGUGUUGAACUAAUGUUUGAUGAAUAAAUAGAAGUAUGUAAGAUAUGUUCUAAGUUAUGAAUUUCAUGUGGUAACAAGUACCUAUGACUCUUGUAGCAGAUGUCGAUGCGUACACGAGGAUCUGAUGGAGCCGGGACAUCUCAGGGAGGGGAUGAUAUCCCCAACCCUCCACCUGCUCCACCUUCUUUGGCUGAUGCCAUUGCUGUUCUUUUGAGUGCCACUACCGACAACGCUCGCUUGUUACGUGAGUUAGCACAACGCCAACCACACCACGCCCCAAACUUCAGGGCACCGCACAAUGUGGACGGAGAACCUCGGUACGUGGACUUUACCGAGACAAGGCCCCCGGUAUUCACUAAGGCUGAUGAGCCGUUAGAAGCGGAUGACUGGCUCCGGACCAUGGAGCACAAGUUCAGUUUGAUUCAGUGUUCGGAAACUCAGAAGCCCCUAUUCGCAGCUCAGCAGCUUCGGGGAGCUGCAGGUGCCUGGUGGGAGAACUUCCUAGCUAUCCAAGCUCCAGGACACCAGGUCACCUGGACCGAGUUUAAGGACGUGUUCCGCGCCCAUUACAUCCCUGAAGGGCUCAUGGCCAUGAAGGCCGAAGAAUUUCUCGCCUUGCAGCAAGGCGACAAAAGUGUCAUGGAGUAUGUGGCAAAAUUUAAUCUCUCAAUAUGCCACAGACCAUGUGAACACGGAUAGAAAGAAGAAAGCCUACUUCAUGCGUGGUCUAAAUACCAAACUUCAGACCAUGAUGACCACCUGUCAAAAUGCUACCUUCUACGAGGCGGUAAAUAUUGCCAUCGCCUUAGAAGAAAAGAAUAGAAAGCACAAAGAAGCCAAGAAGAAGGCUGCUUCUUCCUCCUUCUCUGGUCGUGGUCAAAAGCGCUAGAGAAUCAUUUAUCAUCCGCAAGGACACGGACGCUUUCCAGCGCCGACAUCUUAUUGUGGUCCUUUUUCCCCUCCACAAUAUAGACCAGGGCAGCAGGUAUAUCCUCGAGCUACUGCCAUCGCUAUCGCACCACGCCAGCCGAACGCCUCAGGUGUUCGCCCAAUUGCUCCGGCCAACCACAAUUACCCUUGUUUCAAUUGUGGUAAGCCUGGGCAUUUUUUCAAAGAGUGCCCAAACCCCCGCCAAACCAACACCACUUUCCAAAGGCCACCUAUGGGCCAACCCCAGCCGAGUCAAUUCAGGACUGGGGCUCAGAAAGGACAAAAUGUGCAAAGCGGGAAACCAGCGAACAAAGUGGGACAAGUCUUCCAUACGGAGGUGGAGACGAUUCCGGAGGGUGAACCAGUAAUGAUGGGUACGUUUCCUGUUGCGAAACAUCCUGCUUUAAUGCUUUUCGAUUCUGGUGCAUCUCAUACAUUCAUCAAUCGCACCUUUGUGUUAAAGCAUGGCAUACCCAUUGGGGAAACACAAGAUCAUUUUUAUAUACAGUCGCCAGGAGGACGGCUGAAUUCUAAAGAGAUGGUUCACCAGAUACCCAUCGAAUUUGGUGGGCAUAAUUUUCCCACUAGCAUGAUUGUUCUUAAAGACCAGGAGAUUGAUGUCAUACUAGGCAUGAAUUGGAUGGCACAACGAGGGGUUGUGCUUGAUACCUUGCAUCGAACCAUUAAAAUCCCAUUGCCCAAUGAGAAAUCUUACCUUCUGAUCCAGUUAGCUACUCCCAAGCGGACAAUUGGGCAAGUUCAUGCCGCUAAUGUGUCUGCAGUCAACGAUAUCCCGGUAGUUCGAGAUUUUCUGGAUGUAUUUCCUGAAGACUUACCAGGUCUGCCACCGGACUGGGAUGUCUAGUUCAGUAUAGAAUUGAAAGCAGGGACAGCCCCAAUAUCUCGAAGGGCCUACAGAAUGGCACCGAAAGAACUGGCCGAAUUAAAAACCCAACUACAAGAGCUGUUGCAGAAAGGUUUUAUUCAGCCCAGUUCUUCUCCAUGGGGUUGCCCAGCCUUAUUCGUGAAAAAGAAAGAUCAAACAUUAAGGCUGUGUGUCGAUUAUCGUCCCCUGAAUGAGGUGACGAUUAAGAAUAAGUACCCAUUGCCCCAUAUUGACUUACUGUUUGACCAGCUAGCCUGGGCCAAAGUAUUCUCAAAAAUUGAUCUAAGAUCUGGGUACCACCAAAUUAAAAUUAGCCCAGAAGAUGUACCCAAGACAGCUUUUACAAAAUGUUACGGGCUGUAUGAAUACUUGAUAAUGUCUUUUGGGUUGACUAAUGCACUGGCCCAUUUCAUGUACUUGAUGAACUCUGUCUUCAUGCCAGAACUAGACAAAUUUGUGGUCGUCUUCAUUGAUGACAUCUUGAUCUAUUCCAAGACCAAGCAAGAACAUGCUGAACAUCUGAGAAUUGUGCUGACCCGUCUUAGGGAGCUUCAGCUAUAUGCCAAGUUCAGCAAAUGUGAGUUUUGGCUGGACAAAGUCCAUUUCCUGGGUCAUGUAUUAUCAGUGGAGGGAGUCGCUGUAGACCCAGGUAAAGUAGAAGACGUGUUGAAUUGGAAACCCCCGGCUACGGUACAUGAGGUCCGUAGUUUUUUGGGUAUGGCAGGAUAUUACCGUCGUUUUAUCCCGGACUUUUCAAGAGUCGCCAAACCAAUCACGACCUUGCUCAAGAAUCAAACAAAAUUUGUUUGGUCACCUCAGUGUGAGCAAGCCUUUCAGACUCUGAAAAGGUUAUUGACAACUGCACCUGUCUUAGCCCAGCCAGAUAUUGAAAAACCCUUUGAUGUGUAUUGUGACGCAUUAGGGAUUGGGAUAGGCUGUGUGCUAAUGCAGGAGGGUCGAGUAAUUGCAUAUGCUUCCAGACAGCUUAAACCACAUGAAGAAAAUUACCCGACCCAUGAUCUUGAACUAGCCGCCGUAGUACAUGCAUUAAAGAUCUGGCGCCAUUAUCUGUUGGGGAAUACAUGUCAUUUAUAUACCGAUCACAAAAUCUUGAAGUAUAUCUUUACUCAAGCCGAGCUUAAUAUGCGCCAGCGGAGGUGGCUAGAACUAAUCAAAGAUUACGACCUUGAGGUGCAUUAUCACCCUGGCAAGGCGAAUGUAGUAGCUGAUGCCCUCAGUCGUAAAGCUCACCUUAAUUGCUUAACAGUGACGCCUAAAGAUAUAACUUUGUGCCAAGAGCUAGAUGUUGACGGUCCUUAAGUAUCAAAUUUAAUUAUCAAAUAAAUAAAGAAAAGGAUCCAAAUGAAAUCAAGAUCUAGACUUAGGGUUUUAUCUGACAGAAUUCCACGAGUUUUGGUGUUUGUCUAUUUCUGCAGGGGGUUAUCAUGGAAAUAUGGAAGAAAGGCCCACAUGUCAGGAUUACGUAAAGAUAUUAACGUGCUGCGCAAUUAUCUUACAUCUAGAAGACUCCAGAAGCCACGAGACCGAAGCGGAGGCGAAACGGGGCCAGACCCUGGGCGGCCGCCCAGUUGGUCAGGGCGCCCGCCCUGCCCCUGAGUCCAAUCAGGACUCUGCUUUGCGGGAGAUCUCCACCGACCUAAAGGAUGAAUCUAAACCAUACAAUCUAUGUCGGUUUGAUCCAAGGGCUCAUAUUCACUUGGAGGGACUAUAAAACCAGACCCCCUGGCCCCUGGAGGAGAGAGCCUCUCAACCCUAAUUCAUUGUUCCUCAAGGGAGAAGAAGCCUCUGAUCAAGAUUAGAGCCACCACAUCAAUUAGAUAUCUAGAUUAGCAUAGCUACAUAGGAUUAGAACUAGAAGGAGUCAAUCUUCGAUUGGUUUCCGGAUCUGUCAAGAGGAUUCUUGGUAAUUCUCUAAUUGUGCUUCUAAUUGCUUUCUAAUUAUCUUUGUUCUUCAAUAUUAUGAAUAUGACUUUGUUCUACUUCAAUAUAUUGCUUAUGACUUUGCUCUACUUGCUUAUAUUCAAGAUUAUAUUGUUCUUAGUUUAUCAUAGUUAUGUACUUGGCUUAGUUAGAUACGAUCUAUAUACAUGCUUAGGAUCCUAUAGCGUUUAUCCAUCGGAUCCAUGGGUAAAUGAUAGAUAUUGUGUAGGCGUGGUGCUUAUACCGUAUUUAUCUGCGAUUGUACCCAAUAUGCCAGAUUGUGGGGUAGUUCGUGAUAGUGACAGCUUCAUUGAUUCUUAUAUAGUCCCCCUCUCAUGUAUUGGGCUGGCAGAGCAACAUUAUUACAGGGGAGUGAUUGCUAUGUUUCUCAUAUUCCUUGCUAAUAUCACUAUGCAUGGGCGUAGUCUUGUCUUGCAUUGAUUGCUAAGUAUGCUUGCACUAAUUAUGAUAAUGCUAGACUAUAUAGUUAAGAAUAACUUAGGGAAUAUUCUUGUAGUUCGUUCUAAUACCAUGCUAAUGACUUUCUAGAGUAUCUAAUUGAGGUGCUUAUCAUAUUUAUUAUGUGGCUAGAUCAGAUUAGUUAUCCUUGUCACUAUUAUUAUUUCAUAUAUCUUUUAUGUGACACUUAUCCCUGUAUGAUGAGUUAGAUAUAAUGUUCUCAAUUAUACAUGCAAUGAUAGAUGCUCAAUCUCAUAUUCUAUUCUGUAAUCAUUAGUGAUGAUUUCUAAUCCCUUCCCAGUGGUAAAAAUAUAAAUAACGAUACCUGGAAUACUUCCCGGUUAAAAUGCUACAUCGGUAUUAAUCUGUGCGCUUGCAGAUCCCAUUCAUUAUUUAUUUAGAAGAGCAAUUUCAUAUUUCAAUACCGCGUCUCUCAUAUCAUGCUGGGGAUGACAACUUGGCUUAAGUGGUGUGAGGGAUAGGUUUGGCAUUUUUGGCACCGUUGCUAGAUUUAGAACUUAGUCUACUUUUGGUAAUGAUGUUAAGAAUACCCAACACUAGAGAACCUGGGGAUAGAAAUGAUUUCCCAAGGAAGCCUUGCACUCUAAAGAUUGAUUUCAAUCUCGAAGCUCAAAUCAUAGAGGCACAAAAGGAAGACAAAGGUAUGAAAUAUCUUAAAGAGAAAAUUUCAAAUAGAGCACCCACAGACUUUAAGGUGAAUGAUGCAGGAGUAAUCUGGUUCAAGAACCGGUUAGUGGUUCCAAAGGUACUUGAGCUACAUCAACAAAUCCUGGAUGAAGCUCAUACCACGAGGUAUUCUAUUCAUCCGGGAAGCAAUAAGAUGUAUCAGGACCUAAAACAAAGGUUUUGGUGGACAAAAAUGAAGAUAGAAAUAGCUCGCUAUGUGGCCCAAUGCGAUACCUGCCGAAAGGUCAAAGCUAUUCAUCUCAAAUCCACGGGAGAGUUGCAACCUUUGCCUAUUCCAGCGUGGAAAUGGGAUGAUAUAAGUAUGGAUUUCAUAGUAGGGUUGCCCAAGACAGCCAAAGGCUUUGAUUCAAUUUGGGUCAUAGUGGAUCGUCUCACCAAAACCGCACACUUCUUGCCUGUAAAGCUAUUGUAUCCUGCCUCCACCUAUGCUAAGAUUUAUUUUGAUCGUAUCCUAAGUCUGCAUGGGGUCCCAAAGACAAUAGUGUCAGAUAGAGGCACACAAUUUGUCUCCCAGUUCUGGAAAUGCUUACAUGAAUCCUUGGGCAACAAACUUUUAUACAGCACAGCCUACCACCCUCAAACAGGUGGGCAGACAGAGAGGGUAAAUCAAACCCUAGAAGAUCUAUUAAGAUCUUGUGCCCUGAAUUUUCUGGAUAAGUGGGAUGACUGCUUGCCUCUAGCAGAGUUUUCUUACAAUAAUAGAUACCAAGAAAGUAUCAAGAUGGCUCCCUUUGAGGCACUAUAUGGCCGUCAAUGUCGAACUCCGCUACACUGGUCGGAACCCGGAGAAAGAUGGUUCUUCGGGGUUGACUUAGUGAAAGAGACUGAGAACAAAGUUAGACAAAUCCAAAAUAACUUAAAAGUUGCUCAGUCCCGACAGAAAAGCUAUGCCGAUAAAAGACGUCGACCGUUAAGGUUCGCCAAAGGUGAUUAUGUGUAUUUGAAGGUAUCCCCAAUGAAAGGAGUAAAUCGUUUUGGUGUUAAAGGCAAGUUAGCGCCCCGUUACAUUGGUCCAUUUCCAAUCAUUGACCGAUGUGGACAGGUAGCUUACCGCCUUAAACUGCCCGAACGAUUAUCUAGGAUACAUAAUGUAUUCCAUGUGUCUCAAUUGAAGAAGUGUCUUCGGGUACCAGACCGAGUUCAAGAUAUUGAAGAUGUGGAACUUGAACCGGAUCUAACUUAUUCGGAGUAUCCUAUCCGAGUAUUGGACCAAAUAGAUAGAGUUACUCGAAGAACAACUACCAAGUGGUACAAGAUACAAUGGAGCCAGCACUCGGAAGAGGAAGGCACCUGGGAAUCUGAAGAUUACCUAAUGGAGAAUUUUCCUGAAUUCCACGCUUCUCUUCAAGACAACACCUGAUAAAUAGGGAGUGUACUCUAGUGAAGGAAAAGAGUAGCCAAAGUCAUGUACUUAGUGUACAUGUAUGUUAUAAUUGAGUAAUCUUUUCCCCGCUCUUGUUUUUUUUGAGAUAGUUGAAGAUGAAAGAGUUUUGACAAAUUUCAUUUUCCAUUACUUACCCUAAGGCUUUAAUCUCGGGGACGAGAUUUCUUUAAGGGGGUUACUAAAAUUCGGAUCAUGGCAUCAUCAGCAUUGCACAACAUAGUUGUUAAGCACACCUUGAUGCAUCAACUUAAAAUGAGUUUAAUUUGGUUGAAUGUGCUUAGGGAAUUAAAGUGUGUUUAUCUUGUGUUUUGAUGCUUGAGUUGGUUGCUAAAACCAUAGGGUAAAAGAUUUCCGAAAGACUAGGGGGGGGAAACCCUGAUUUUUGAACCCUAGAUUUGCCCCCUUUUGCACAAUUUAAAAACUAAGCAAAAUUUGAAGUUGAGUUCACAAGCAAAGUUGUAGAUCUUGUCAAGAUGUACAACUUUGGUGUUUUGAGUUUUUGAAGUUUCAAUACAAAAUUCAAAGUAAUUUUGAAAAUACAGAUUUCCAGAAAGUGUUCCCUUUUCCAAUUUGAAUCUCCAAUUCAAAAUCUAUUUGGAAUUUUGAAAAGUCACCAACAUGAAAGUUGUAGAGCUCAAAAAGUUGAACAACUUUCAUGUUGGGAGUUUUUCAUGUUGUUUGGAAAAAUCAAAAGUAAUUUUGGAAACCCUGAUCUGCCCUAAUUCAAAAAUUUGAAUUUCCCCAAAUUGGAUUUUGAACUUCAAACUCUUUGGUCAAAUUCACCAUGUUCCACUCAAAAUUGGCUCUGGUCACCAAAAUAUGAUUUGUAUCUUAUAAAAUUCUGAACAACUUUUGUUUUGUUGGGUUUUUGACUGUGGUUCAAAUUUUGGCCGAAUUUCACAAAAAACAGAGAAGAGGGGAUAAGGGUCAGCUACAGUGAUCCGAUAUGGAUCACGGCGCCCCUGUCCAGCGCGGCCACCGCGCGCGCAGCGCUGCGUGCGCGCGUGCAGGCACGCAGCCUGCUUGCUUGCCUGCGUCACCAGGCGACGUGGAAGCCGAGCGUCUUCUCCAUUCGCGAUUUAAGUCUCUCCACCGGCCGACACGCCUCCGUUUGCUCCCACGAACGCCGACGAGCAACACCCGCGCCACCGUGAAAUUCGUCCCCCUUGAUCCCUUUCCAAGCCACCCGAGCGCACCACCAUCUUCGCCACCUCCUUGCAAACCUAGCGCAACCCGGAGCUCACUCCCUAACCCUCUCAAUCGCCGGUGCUCCUCGGUCUUCUCCAACUCCGGCAAAAACCUCCGCCGUGAAACCCCCUCCGUGGCCGCGCUGUUCCAGUGAGUGGCACACCUUACUCGCGGUUGUUUCCGGUUCCUUUUCCGCCCCUGCAACUUAUGCGCUCGCUCUUUCACUUUGGACACGAACAGGAUCGCCGGAACGAGCUCGCCGGAGCCGGAGCACCCGCCCGACCGCACGGCCACCGUCGCCAAGCUCUUCUACUGCUUCUCCCGCUGUGGUGAUGUGAGCACCGUGCUCCUGAACUCUCCCCGAAGCUCCCUGUUCCAUUUGUUUACGCUAUACCGAGCCCUAGUGGCCGGUCCGUGGUCGGCCAUGGCGGCCGCCCGCCGUUUGCGUGGCCGGAGUGGAAGGGAGAGGGUAGAGCGUGAGUAGAGGGAGUCAACGGGGUCGCGAAGUCGAGGCGAAGCCGAUGCGCACACGCACUCGGGCUGAGACCCUCGCUAACAGCGGCCGAAGCCGCGGCAGUGCCGACACGCGUGAAGGAGAAGGAGCUGACGGGUGGGGUCUCCCCGUCAGCGUCCUGCAGAGAGAGAAGGGGGAAGAGGGUCUGACGGGCGGGACCCGCCCGUUAGUGACCGCGUGAGGGGGGAGAAAGCGCGCGCAGCGCCCGCGUGGACCGAGCGGGAGCGGGCCGGCCUGCGGACCGAUUUCCCGGCGGCUCGAUGCGCAGUGUUUUUCUUUUUCUUUUUAUGCAGUUUUUGCUUUAUAUUUGAAUUUGUGUAAUAAAUCUUGUGUUGAUCCAAAAAUCAUGGAAAUUUUUGUAUAGAUUCCCUGAAAUAAGUAGAACUCAAGAAAAAUAUUAGAUUUUAUUUUCCGAUAGUUUACAUGUGUAUGAAAAUUGCCUCUUUUGUUUAAUAAAUGAAACUUCUAUGAAUUUUAAUAAUUUAUUGAUAUGUCCAAAAAUCACCAAAAUUUAUGGGGAGUCUCUGAAUACUAUUCCCUGGCUCCACACAAAAUUUGGUGGCAUUUGGAUAAUGUUUGAAUAAAAUAUUAUUAAACCCCUAUUUGGUAAUUAAAUAAUAUUUCUAGGAUAAUUAGGUAAUAAUUAGUUAAAUUCUCAAAAGUAGGGUUUGAGUGAUUUUGGGAUUAUGUGAUGACCUGAGGUCAUUAACCAUAGUGACCUUUGGCAUUUAAUUAUUGUCUGGUCUUAAUGCUUAAUUGCUGUCAUUAAUAAUUACUUAAGAAGUAAUUAAGGUAAAUAGGAUUAAUAAUUAGUUAAUUUAACAUAUUUAUGAAUUAAGAAAAAUACUAAAUUUUACAGAUGCAACCUCUUGGGUAGAGGCACUAAGAUGUUAAACAACUUUAAUUAUUGUUUAUUCUGUGUUGCACCGAGGUGGCCAGUUGUAUUUAACUUGGUCCCUUUUUGCACGUGACCUAAGGAGCGACCGUUGAACCGAACCCUGAGGUCGGUGCUCCGUUCGAGGAAGUAGGAUCCGAGACUUGGGAAGUCUCCGAGGGACCCUCUCUGCCCUGCAACCAAGGCAAGCCCCGGAUGCAUUAACCCCUCCUUGAAUGUUUAAAUCUUUUAUUACUUAUGAAUUGAAAAUGCUGCUUUAGGUAGUCAAGAAUUGGGUUAACCUACUUGCUGCAUUUACUACCUUGAUAUUUGUUAUCUUGUCCUUGGCACCUAUUUUAUUUUAAAAACUGCGUAGUGAUGCUUAGCCCUGCUACUAGAUAGGUUUUCAAACAAGAAAGUUUGAAGGGUUGUUGUGGAAUACACUUAUGAUCAAUGAUGUUUCAACUUGAGACCGGUCGGUGGACUUGCUUUAAGAAUGGAGUCUUAAAGUAUUGUCUCCAACUGUGUCGGUUAAGGACGGUCCGUUGAUGGCCUGCUGGGUUGAGAAUUUAUAGUACUAGCCACCUGCCCUCGGUAUGCCCGAUCUUGUAAUCCCUCGACGCGAAUAGAUACUCGCGCACUGGGCGUGGAGCGAUGGCGAGAGUAGUGUGUACCCACCUUACGGAUCUGAGAUGACCGGGAAACAUCUAGAUCGGUUGUAGGAUGGUGGAGUACUAUGCUCUCGGGUGCCGCGAACCUGGUCAAAUUUGGGGAGAGCUUGCUUUGGGUUGACAUAUGCAAGAUUUGGUUCUACAUAUGUCGGGUGGUUAGGAACUCCAGCUGGAUUGCUAAGCGAUUCGAAUCGUCGUUGCUCCCCGAUUGGAAGACUCAAUUCCUUCGACCCUCAUCGUAGUUAAUUAUGCAACUAAGUGAUAAAACGAGAAAGGGGAAAUGUCUCAUGAGGUUCGGAUCCCAAUUCCCGGACUCAGAGUGACAUGAAGCUAUGGCCGUUGGAUGUCUAAUACUUUAAUUUAGGACUAGGAACUCACAGAUCUGUCUGUGGGAGGCAACUAGAUAGACUGUCUUCGAACUCCUCGGCCUCUUCAGGAGAGGAAUUCGUGGGUAAAACUUGAAAGUAAGGAUGCACUAUUAGUAAGCUUUUUGGCAAAACACUUUGGCUCCUUGCUCAGCCACCCCUUGUCUACCCUAAGUCUGCAUCCCUAACUUCUCCUCUUUUUCAACCGGGUAAGUCUUGUUGAGUACUCCCGUACUUAGUGUUUCAUAAACCCUGUUGCAGGUGAAGUUCAGGAGCCGACUUGUUUCGGACCCUGUUGUGUGACCGUCGUCGAGGGUGACGACGAAGAAGAGUGAGCGUGACCCAUGGGCAGGGUCUGUAAAUUUGUAAUCUCUGUGUUAAUGUUUAAGUUGCUCCACUGGACCUGGUUUGUAAUAACACUCUGCUAUUUGGAAGAACUCCUUUUGUAAAAUAAGUUAUGUAAUACUUCCGUUGUUUUACUCUGAAAUAUUAUUUUGGUCUUGUGUCGUCUGUGAUACUGCAAUGUCUUCACAACGAAUGAUCCUGGUGUUAAGGUGGCCACUUGCUAUCAUGUAAGGGCGAGGAGAAGAAAGUUUCGUUAAUUGACCAUCGCUGGUGGUCAGGACGAGCCUGGUUGAUACGCCCCAGGUAGCAGUGGAAUGAGCAUCGUGAGAUGCUCAUCGGACUUCUAAAGUGGAAGGAUCCUCGGCACCACCGUCAGAGGUCUUUGGGACAAUGACAGGUGCCGGUGGGCCCAAACACUUAGGGGGUUCUGCCACAAUCGACCAAUAUCCUUUCCCUACAAAUAUGUUGGAUGCUAAGGGAAAGACCAAAGUAUUGACUUCAGAGGCGGCUGAAAGAAGCACAUCGAUAGAUCCUCGCACCAGAUUACAGCCGAUGAUGCCAAAGACAAGGGCUUGAUCCAGGAAGGAACUAGCUCGGGAAGGCCUCCUCGGUCUGACAUUGUAAUCACUCAUAGGAGGCAUCGGGAAACCUGGCAUCAGCGUGAGGAUCAGUAUCGUCGCCAACAGGAAGAUCGUCGUAGGGAAGAAGAAAUACGCCGACAAGAGUGGAAUCGUUAUAAAGAUCAUUGGAAUUGCUCAUUCUUCGUCCACUGUUGUGACCAAAAUAUCAAGCUACCAACUGUUAGAGACCGCCCUGAAUGCAAUGGUUAUGAUCGAUAUGAUAGACCAAAUUUGCAGUAUCAGAACAAUGAUCGACGUUUUGGUGGGCCGAUUAGAGGAAGGACAUCAGUUCAUGAUCAGCUGGGGGUAGGCUCAGUGUGCAUGAUAGACUUGGUGAGCGUGUUGGCUAUUUUCCAAGAAACCAAUAGGAGCUUGAGGAGAUGGCGGAUGCACGGGUUCCCGAUGAGUUCAUAUUUUGCAGAGAUGCUAAUACUUAUCGGAUGGAAUCAAGGGAGAAUCGUCCUCAAUCGGUAAGGCAACCACAACUUCCUCCAUGGUGUCUAGAGGGGUUGAUGAGGACACAAAAAAGAAGGCUGCAACGGGAGCGACAAGAAGAGCUGAGUAGAGGAGAGAAUUCUGCUAAGUCUGUAAAUCAGCAGCCGUCAGAUUCUAAAGGAAAAGGCCCAUCGGCAGAUGUUAAUAUGGUGUUUAUGUUGCCGAUGGAAUUUCUGGCACCUUUCAAUGAUGAUGAGGAGGUAGAUUUUCUCGAUCAGAAAGCUCAGUUGGCUCUAGAUUCAAUGAUAGCUAUCUUUGAAAAGCCCGCCGAUGAUGAGAGACAACGUCUUAAAGCUUUGUUUGUCAAUGGUAGGGUUGAUGGACAGCCGAUGACCAAGAUACUUGUUGAUGGUGGGGCUCCUAUCAUUAUUAUGUCGUAUGCAGUCUAUCGGAAGCUUGGGAGAGGAGAUCAAGAUUGACCAAGACCGAUAUGAUGCUAAAAGAUUUUUAAGGGAAUGUGUCUCCAGUCAAGGGAGCCAUAUGUGUUGAGUUGACCAUCGGCAGCAAAACCUUGUCGACAACUUUCUUUGUCAUCGGUAGAAAGGGUGCUUAUAAUUUGCUAUUGGGGAGAGAUUGGAUUCAUGCCAAUUGUUGCAUCCCAUCUACAAUGCACCAAUGCUUGGUUCAGUGGGUAGGUUACAAGAUUGAAAUUGUCCUAGGGGAUUCUUCAUAUGUUAUUGCAUCAGCAGAAGCAGAUACUUAUGAAAGGACCAGAUGCAUUUCAGGAGAAAUUUGGGAGAAGGAUUUUCUCAAGGUCGCCGAUUAUGAAAUUCCACCGAUCCAAGCAGUCGGUUCUGACGAGGGGUUUUAAUGGAUAGGUUCGCCGAUGAUGGAAAAUUAGGCCAGGGGUUUACAUCGGCCGAUGAUUUAGUAGAAGUAGAUAUAGGUAAUGGUGAUAGACCGAGGCCAACUUUUAUUAGUGCUAAGUUAGAUUCUAAGUGUAAGCAGCAGUUAACCGAUUUGUUAAAGGAAUAUAAAGAUUGCUUUGCUUGGGAUUAUACCGAGAUGCCUGGUUUAGACCAAUCUAUUGUUGAACAUUGGUUACCUAUCAAAUCCGGAUUUCGGCAGCAUCAGCAGCCAGCUCGCCGAUGUAAUCCUAAUAUUCUUCCUGAUAUUAAGGCCGAAAUAACUAAACUUAUCGAAGCAAAUUUAUUCGGCAAUGUUGGUAUGCCGAGUGGAUUUCCAAUAUUGUUCCAGUUUACAAGAAGAAUGGGAAGCUUCGUGUCUGCAUUGAUUUUAGGAAUCUUAACAAGGCUACACCAAUGGAUGGUUAUCCAAUGCCAGUUACCGAUUUGCUAGUUGAUGCUGCAGCUGGACAUCGGAUUAUUAGCUUUAUGGAUGGCAAUGCAGGAUAUAAUCAAAUAUUCAUGGCCGAAGAAGAUAUUCCGAAGACCGCAUUUAGAUGUCCUGGUCAUGUUGGGUUGUAUGAAUGGAUAGUCAUGACCUUUGGCUUGAAAAAUGCUGGUGCUACUUAUCAGAGGGCUAUGAAUUUUAUCUUUCAUGAGUUCAUCGGCAAGUUGGUGGAAAUCUAUAUUGAUGAUGUGGUGGUUAAAUCUGGAGAUUUCACAAAGCAUCUUGCCGAUCUAUGAAAGGUGUUGGAGUGCACAAGAAAACAUGGUUUUGUUGACACCGUUUUUGGGCACGUGUCCAGGAUGGCAGGAUAGGGUGGCAGUACAAUGCGGGUUGCUGAUGAGGAUGGUUGCCGAUGAGGGAGAGGUUGAAUGUGACUAAGUCCACAGGCAGUAAUAUGGUGCCGAUGGCUGGAUUAAAAAGGUCUGCCGAUGACUAUGGCAAGGGGAUUGCUGAUGACGCGGAGGAGGAGUCCGGAAGCUGCCAGUUGUCAUCUGGAGGAGUUUCGGUUUGUUACGAAGGAUAGUUUUAUUAUUUCCUUAGUUAUUUGCAUCGUUUUGUAUACGGAUUCCGUGUAAUUUGGAAUUCGAAUUCUAAUCGUGUCUGGUCGUAGCUCUUUGAGCCGGAUAUAAAUAUAAACCCUAGGACCUUGUAAUCAAGAUAUCAAGAAAUCAAUCAAACACACGUUUUUACUCAUAUUCCAGCAUCUACUUUUCGACGACUUCGUCAUAUUUUUUCCUUUUAUUACGAGUUCUUAGGAAUUCGUCGACUUAAGCUCGGCGUGUUCUCGAGUUCCGCGUGAGUACCUCUUAGCCGUGACAUCCGGGCGCAUCGCUGUUGUCAGGACUAAAGUAUUCAAGUUAUCACCUUUGCCGAUAGCAAGGUCAAAUCGGCUGGCACGCCUUAACGUUUGAAUCGGGUAUUAGCCCUUUGUGUUUGCAGAUCAGUUUUGCAUCAACACAUCUUUUGGCACGCCCAGUGGGACAGAUUCAAGAUCAAGAUCAACAUGUCGAUCUCUGACCUCGAUCAAGACAACGUCAUCCCCGUGACGGAGGCCAACCUCAAGGAUGAGCAAAAGCAAGCUAUUACCCAAGCCAUGGAAGAAUUCAAGCAGCAAUGCCUGAAGUCUUUCAGCAUAAACAGGAGCGGCGAAGUGGUCCAGAAAGAUGCACUGCCGGCACCACGGCAGGUCACCUUUGACGCCAAUCCUGGCAAGCUUCAAGAUAUGGUUGACAAUGCCAUCAAUCGAGCGUUGAUUAACCAAGCUGGUGUACUGUCUAAUACGGUUUUCAACGCCGUGGCAAGAACUUUCAAGGAAGGACAAAUCCCGCCAGAUUAUGUGGGGCCCUCCCAUCAUCAGCCAACGGCACCAGAGGUCACGGCUCCAUCGGCUGCCUUGACGAAUGCAAGUGCACAGUCUGCCGUCCCUCCAAGUACAUUGGGGACUACUGGUACACUAUCUAUGCCGAUGGCAACCAACCCACAAAUUUCAGUUGGGCAGCAUAAACUGACAACAGAUAUGUUGGCAUCGGCAAUGUCGGGGUUAACUCUUCCUCCCAACUGGUGGGGUUAUGGUAUGCCUCCAGAGUUGACGCCGGGAACAUCACAGAUAACUGACAUGAGGGGCAAAACUCCUGUGACAUCGGCACCUUCCAAUGUGCCGGUGAACCAGAGUCCUCGGUAUACCACAACUACUACUGCAAGGCCUCACACUGGAAAUCCUCAAGAUUCAAUGUUCCAGAUGCCCAACGCAUCGGGAGAGUCAAUGCUGAUGCAACAGAGGCCUAUGGCCCAGUUGGGGUAUGUCAAUUCAACGACGGUACCCAAUUACCAAUCAUCGGCAGCACCUAUGCCGAUGAACGCUAAUAAUGGAUGGCUUGGACAGCAAGCCUUUCCACAAUCGCCCCAGCAGGGUUAUCAGACUACGGGGUUCCAGCAAGGGCAGGUUUAUCCCGGGUUCCAAGGUCAGGGAAUUCCCAACCAGCCAAUAAAUUUUGGACAGCAACUCGGAGGACAGCCAAUCGGUGGACAGCAGUUUGGUAGUCCGCAGAUUGGAGGACAGGUGACCAAUACGAUGUUCCAUAUAGGUCACGUCCCAAACAGACACGUGGAGGUUCGCCACCAAGUGCCAGAUCCGCAGCCACCUCAUCGGCAAGAUGCCGAUGCGUAUUGGGCCGAUAAGAUUGCUGAAGUAAUGAGGGAACAAUUUGGGAUAAAACCCAAAGUCAACACUUAUUCUUAUCGGACACCGUAUCCUCCAGCGUAUGAUUUGAUCCCGCUUCCACAUCGGUACAAGGUACCGGAUUUUACAAAGUUUUCCGGACAGGAUGACACGUCAACCAUGGAACACGUCAACAGGUUCAUUAUUCAAUGUGGAGAGGCUGGUAACAGGGACGAAUUGAGGGUUCGUCUAUUUUCAUCAUCAUUGUCUGGAUCGGCCUUUACUUGGUUCAUAUCAUUACCUCCAAACUCAGUAAUUACUUGGGCCGAUCUAGAGAAGCAAUUCCAUAGAUACUUCUUCUCGGGGGUUCAUGAGAAGAAGAUCACCGACUUGGUCAAGUUGAGGCAACGUAAUGAUGAUUCGGUUGAGGGAUUUGUGCAGAGGAUACGAGAGGUCAAGAAUAAAUGCUAUAGCCUGGUUCUGGAUGAUCGGCAGCUAGCCGAUUUGGCUUUCCAAGGUUUGUUGCCACAUAUCAGGGAUAAGUAUGCCUCUCAGGAGUUCGAAAGUUUAAGUCAUUUGGUGCAGAGGAUAUCUGAUCAAGACAUCAAGCCUUUCGAGCCUAAGAGGGCAUGGAAUAAGAAAGUGUCAUUUGUCGACGAAGCAACAAGCUCAGAUUCCGAUGAGGAACCAGUAAUCGGUUUGGCAGAGUGGGUAAAAAACAAGAAGCCGAUGUCUUGUCCUUUUGGGCAGAAGGAACCAGAGAAGUUUGCCUUUGACACCGCCAAGGCCGAUAGGAUAUUUGACUUUCUACUUCAGGAAGGUCAAAUCAAACUGUCACCUAACCACGUGAUCCCGUCGGCAGAAGAGUUGAAGAGGAUGAGAUAUUGCAAGUGGCAUAAUGCAACUUCACAUGACACCAACGAGUGCAAAGUAUUCACACAGCAGCUGCAAUCGGCUAUAGAGUCAGGGAGAGUCAUGUUUGACAGUUCCAAAGCCCAGAAGCCAAUGAAGAUAGACCAACAUCCUUUCCCGACAAACAUGUUGGAUACUAAGGGGAAGGCUAAGGUCUUAACGUCGGAGACAGCUGAGAAGAGUGCAUCGGUAGAUCCUCAGCAUCAAGUUACUACCGCCGAUGCAAGAAGUAAGGGCUUGGUCCAGGAAGGAGCUAGCUCAGGAAGACUUCCUCGAUCUGGUAUCGUCAUAACUCAUAGAAGGCCUCGAGAGAGAUGGCAACAACGGGAAGAUCGGUAUCGGCGCCAGCAGGAAGAUUAUCAACGGGAAGAAGAAAGACGCCGACAGGAGUGGAAUCGGCACAGGGAUCAUUGGAAUUGCCCAUUCUUCAUCCAUUGUUGGGAGGAAAAUAUCAAGCUUCCUACUGUCAGAGACUGCCCUGAAUGCAACGGUUAUGAUCGGUACGAUAGGAACGAUCGGCGUUAUCAUGAUGAUGAACGGCGAUUUAAUGGGCCAAUCAGAGGAAGCGCGUCAGUUCAUGAUCGGCUGGGGGGCAGGCUUAGCGUUCGCGAUCGGCUCGGUGACCGUGUCCAGUAUUUUCCCAGGAACCAGGAAGAGCUCGAGGAGAUGGCUAAUGCGCGGGUUCCCGAUGAGUUCAUAUUUUGCAGAGAUGCUAACACACAUCGUAUGGAGUCAAGGGAGAACCGACGCCCGAUGGCAAGACAAAGGCCACUUCCUCCAUGGUGCCCUCAAGGAUUAACCAAGACACAGAAAAGGAGAUUGCAACGAGAAAGGCAAGAGGAGCUAAACAAGGGAGAGAACUCUGGAAGUCAGCAGCCGUCAGACACUAAGAGGGAAGGUCCAUCGGCAGGCGUCAACAUGGUCUUCAUGUUGCCGAUGGAGUUUCUUGCGCCAGCCAGUGACGAUGACCUGGAAUUUUCUGAUCAGAUAGCUCAGUUGGCUCUGGAUCCGAUGACGGCUAUCUUUGAGAAACCUGCCGAUGACGAGAGGCAGCAUCUUAAAGCUUUGUUCCUCAAAGGAAGGGUUGAUGGGCAGCCAAUGACUAAGAUCCUAGUUGAUGGUGGAGCUGCUAUUAACAUUAUGCCGUAUGCAGUAUAUCGGAAGCUUGGGAAAGGGGAUCAAGAUUUGACCAAGACCGAUAUGAUGCUCAAAUACUUUGAAGGAAACGUGUCUCCAGUCAAGGGGGCGAUAUGCGCAGAGUUGACCAUCGGCAGCAAAACCUUGCCGACAACUUUUUUCGUGAUCAGCGGAAAAGGUGCCUACAAUUUAUUAUUGGGGAGAGAUUGGAUUCAUGCCAAUUGUUGUGUCCCAUCUACAAUGCACCAGUGUUUGGUUCAGUGGGUAGGUGACAAGAUUGAGAUCGUCCCAGGGGAUUCUUCUUAUGUUAUCGCAUCGGCAGAAGCGGAUACUUAUGAAAAGACUAGGUGCAUUUCAGGAGAAGUUUGGGAGAAAGAUUUUCUCAAAGUUGCCGAUUAUGAGAUUCCACCGAUCCAUGCAGUCGGUUCUGACGACGGUUUUUAAUGGAUAGAUUCGCCGAUGAUGGAAAAUUAGGCCAGGGAUUCACAUCGGCCGAUGAUUUGGUAGAAGUAGAUAUAGGUAGUGGUGAUAAGCCUAGGCCUACUUUUAUUAGUGCUAAAUUAGAUCCUGAGUGUAAACGGCAGUUAACUAGUUUGUUAAAGGAAUAUAAAGAUUGCUUUGCUUGGGAUUAUACAGAGAUGCCUGGUUUAGACCGAUCAAUUGUUGAACAUCGGUUACCCAUCAAGUCUGGAUUUCGGCCACAUCAGCAACCAGCCCGCCGAUGUAAUCCUAACAUUCUACCUGAUAUUAAGGCCGAAAUCACUAAACUUAUUGAAGCUAAGUUUAUUCGGCAGUGUCGGUAUGCCGAAUGGAUUUCCAAUGUUGUUCCGGUUUACAAGAAGAACGGGAAGCUUCGGGUGUGCAUUGAUUUCAGGAAUCUCAAUAAAGCUACGCCGAUGGAUGGAUACCCAAUGCCUGUCGCCGAUCUACUGGUUGAUGCUGCGGCUGGCCAUCGGGUCAUCAGCUUCAUGGAUGGUAAUGCGGGUUACAAUCAAAUAUUCAUGGCAGAGGAGGAUAUUCCAAAAACCGCAUUCAGGUGUCCUGGUCAUGUUGGACUAUUUGAAUGGAUAGUCAUGACUUUUGGGUUAAAGAAUGCUGGUGCUACUUAUCAAAGGGCUAUGAAUUUUAUAUUUCAUGAGUUCAUCGGCAAGAUCGUAGAAAUUUAUAUUGAUGAUGUGGUGGUUAAGUCUGGAGGUUUCUCAAAGCAUCUUGCCGAUUUACGAAAAGUGUUGGAGUGCACCAGGAAGCAUGGAUUGAAGAUGAACCCCAACAAGUGUGCAUUUGGCGUAUCGGCAGGGCAGUUUCAUGGUUUUAUGGUACAUCAGAGGGGUAUUGAAAUUAGUUGAAGAUCUAUUGAUGCCAUCAAUAAAAUAGUGGCCCCUACCAAUAAAACCGAGCUCCAAUCCUUGAUCGGCAAGGUGAAUUUUAUCAGAAGAUUUAUAUCGAAUUUAUCUAGGAGAAUUCGUGCUUUCAGUCCUCUUCUUAAAUUGAAAGCCGAUCAGGAGUUUGUUUGGGGAGAAGAACAGCAGUUGGCUCUGGAUGAAAUCAAAAAGUAUCUAGUAAAUCCUCCAGUUUUAGUUCCACCUCAACAAGGGAAACCCUUCAAAUUAUAUUUAUCUACCGAUGGAUCGGUUAUCGGUUCAGCUUUGGUUCAAGAAUUUGAAGGGAAAGAGAGAGUAAUUUAUUAUUUGAGUAGGAGGUUGAUUGAUGCUGAAACCAGGUAUUCGGCCAUUGAGAAACUGUGCUUAUGCUUAUAUUUUUCAUGUAUCAAGCUGAGACAUUACCUGUUGUCGGCUGAAUGUGCUGUUGUUUGCAAAGAUGACGUGGUCCGAUACAUGCUAUCUAUGCCGAUUAUGAGUGGUAGGAUCGGUAAAUGGAUUUUAGCGCUGUCGGAGUUCGAUUUGCGUUACGAAUCGGCUAAGGCGGUCAAAGGGCAGAUCAUGGCCGAUUUUGUGACUCAGCAUUGCGGUCUAGUGGAAACCUUGGAAAUUGCACCCUGGACGCUCUUCUUUGAUGGAUCUACCUGUGACCGGGGGGCAGGAAUCGGCAUUGUAUUGGUUUCUCCUAAGGGGAGGAAGUAUGAGUUUUCCUUGCCGAUUGUUGCUACAUCAACAAAUAAUCAGGCUGAGUAUCAAGCUCUGAUCAAGGGAUUGGAGUUGUUAAGAGAAGUUCGUGCUGAUGCUGUCGAAAUAUUCGGGGAUUCCAUGUUGGUUAUAAAUCAAUUGGCCGGAAGCUAUGAAUGCCGAAGUGAAGUUCUCAUAACCUAUUUCGAGAGAAGUAUGCAACUGUUAAAGGAAUUCAAGAACUUCCGAUUGGAGCAUGUUCCCCGAUUACAUAAUGAAGACGCUAAUCGGUUAGCCCAGCAUGCCUCAGGAUAUCAGCCAAUGAUUAAUGCGACAUCGGCAGUCAGUGCCGAUGAUUGGAGGAAAGAAAUUAUCGACUAUCUAGAAGAUCCAUCCAAAAAGGUUGAAAGACGGGUUCGAUUUCAAGCGACCAAGUAUGUGCUCCUUGAAAAUGAAUUGUAUUAUCGAACUAUCGACGGAAUUCUUCUCCGAUGCAUGGGUGGUGAUGAAGCCAGAAGUUUGAUGGGGGAAAUCCAUGAAGGAGUGUGUGGAGCGCAUCAGUCAGCUUUUAAGAUGAAGUGGAUGAUUCGAAGGAAUGGAUAUUUUUGGCCAACCAUACUUGAAGAUUGUUUUAAAUAUUUCAAGGGAUGUCAAGGUUGUCAAAAGUUCGGUAAUAUCCAGAGAGCACCCGCAUCGGCUAUGAAUCCUAUAAUAAAACCUUGGCCGUUCCGGGGGUGGGCCAUUGAUCUGAUCGGCCAGAUUUAUCCACCAUCUAGCAAAGGGCAUAAGUUCAUUCUAGUUGCCACUGACUAUUUCACUAAGUGGGUCGAAGCUAUUCCUUUGAAGAAAGUCACAUCGGCCAAUAUGAUUGAUUUUGUGAAGGAGCAUAUUAUUUACCGAUUUGGGAUUCCCCAAACGAUUACUACCGAUCAGGGCACCAUGUUCACGUCGGGGGAGUUCGAUGAAUUCGCAAUCGGUAUGGGAAUUAAAGUGUUGAAUUCUUCUCCUUACUAUGCUCAAGCCAACGGGCAGGCCGAAGCGUCUAACAAAGGAAUUAUCAAGCUUAUUAAACGAAAGAUUGAAGAAAAUCCUAGGCGGUGGCAUACAUUGUUAAAUGAAGCACUGUGGUCUUAUCGGAUGGCUUGUCAUGGAUCAACCAAGGUGUCACCUUAUCAAUUGGUGUAUGGACAUGAUGCAGUGUUGCCUUGGGAGAUUAAGGCUGGAUCUAGGCGAUUAUCUUUUCAAGAUCAAUUGGCUGCCGAUGAUUAUGUCACUUUGAUGACCGAUGAGUUAGAUGAUUUAGCAGGGCAUCAGUUAAAGGCUUUAAUGAGUAUAGAAGAAAAUAAGAAGAGAGUUGCUAGAUGGUAUGAUAAAAAAGUAAAGGCUAAGGAGUUUGCCGAUGGGGAUUUGGUAUGGAAGUUGAUUUUGCCAGUCGGGACUAAAAGUUCGAAGUUUGGGAAGUGGUCUCCUAAUUGGGAAGGUCCUUAUCGGAUAAGACAUUCAGCUCCUGGUAAUGCCUAUAUUCUAGAAACUCUCGAAGGAGUUGAAUUUCCCAGAGCAUUAAAUGGCAAAUAUUUAAAGAAGUACUACCCCAGCAUAUGGGUUGACGCAGAAAAGUUUAAGUGCCGAUAACACUCCUAUCGGCUGGAUUUAAAUGUUCGGGGGCAGACUUAAUGUUUCAAAAGAUGCCGAUAACAGUCUUAUCGGCUAGACUAAAAGCUAAAAGCGGAAAAACAAAGGUGUGUUGCCGAUGAAAGCUUCAGAUGUUCAGCAGCGCUUGGAUUGCUGAUAUGGCGCGCAGCCGAAUCUGAUUGGUUGUCUCUAUCUCUUUGAUAUCAUCAUCGGCAGAACCUUCUAUCGGCUUCAGCUUCCUCUUCAGCUGCAGCGCUUUGCGACCAUGGACGUUUCGUUCUUGUUCAAGGUGCUUGAUGGUCUCCGGCAGUUGACUCUCUUCUUGCUGGGCUUGGGACAGAGCGUCCUCUACUUGCUUGAGUUCGGCCAGUAGAGCUUCUCUUUUUGCCGAUAGAUCAGACACUUUCUGCUUCAGUGCAUCACCUGAGGACUUUAAGGUGCCGAUGUUCUUAUGUUUCUCAUCGGCUAGGAGUUUUUCUUUCAUCAUCUCCUUAGAAAGCUGGAUUCGAGCGGCUCUAUCGGCAAGGCGUUGAGUGGCUCUCUGGUACUGUAGCUUGCGGCUUUCUAGGUGUGCAGCAUGGAAGAGUGUUUCUUCAGCAUCGGCAGGAAGUUGGCCUCUAAGGGUCUUGAACAGGGCUUUGGCUGGGUCAGAAUCAUUGACCAGUUGAGUUGUGUCUUGAUGAAGUAUGGCCGAUAGCUCUUCCAGCUUAGCUCUGGUUUCUGCCGAUACAGUUCCAACUGCCCGGGAGGAGCUUGCUUCCUCGCCUUCUUCUUCGAAGAUAUCAAUGGCGAAGGAGAAUAAGCUGUUGGGAGAAUCUUGUUCCUGAAAAUGAAGACGAAAUAAGUCAGUUUUAUGGUCAAAACUUCGGCAGACGAUACUGGUGGAAAAUUGGAUGACUUACUUGCUUCAAGGCGAUUUCUUGCCUUUGACUCAAAGAUGCCGAUGGAGCUACAGGUUGAUCGGCAAAUGUUGCCGAUGGAACGAUAUCGCCUGAAAGAAGACAGGAAGGAUUAUGAGACUAAAUGAGAAUAAGUUUAUCGGCGGAAGUAUUGUUGAGAUAUGUUACCCGGAGGAGAGAGAACAGCUGCCUGAGUCGGGGAAACCGCCGAUGAUAUAACUGGGCCUGCCAGGCCAGUUGUUUGUUCACUUACGUCAGCUGAUGUACCUGCCGUUUGAGGUUCUUCCUGCUGGGGUUCUUCCAUUUGUGGUGCUUCCUGCAUUGGUUGGGGACAUGGUGCUUGCUGUGUCUGGACUUCUGGAGGAGAAGGGGAAGAUUCCACCGGGAUUGGGGACACCGGAGGAGCAGGAGUUGCCACUUUCUGGCGCUUUGUUCCAGCCUUAGCACCUUGGGUGCCCUUCCUCUUUGGCUGGCUAGACUGGGGGGCAUCGGCACCUUGGCGUUUGGCUUUUGCCGAUGCACCAGUUUGCUGCAACAACAAAAAGGAGUUUAUGAGCACAGAUAACCGAUACAAAGAUAGUCAGCAUAAAUGAAAAAGGUUUUAACAGAUUGCCUUGAAAGCUUGCGCCAGAGUAGAAGCAGUUACCGUUGGUGAUGUCUGAGUUUUCCUGGUGGUAACUUUCUUGAGACGCGCACCCCGGUGCACGAUGGAAGCCAGAGUGGGAGCAUUAUGGCCGAUUGAGGAGAUCGGGCCUGAUGGGAAUAAGUCGAUCGGCUUGCCACUCCUGCUAACCGAUGGGGGGGUGUUGUCAAUCUGCAAAAGGAAUACAGGGGUAAGUUACCGAUGGGAAUAGUAUUGGAAAAUGAGACAUCGGUUUAAAAUACUUACAGUGUCAUCAGGGACUUCGUAUUCGGGGUCGAUCAUGCCGCGGUAUGAGAGGGCCGAUCUGCAGAAUACAUUCUCUUUCCAUUCUGCCCACCAUAGCUUGUAUGCCUGAGUGAUAAAGGCAGCUGGAACCCAUUCUGACAGAUCUACAUCUGUAUCGGCAUUUGGUGGUAGCUGGGCUACUCGAGUCCACUCGAGGAGGUUGGCGAUGGGUUCUCUGGGCUUUAUUACAUCGGCAUAAGGAAGUGCAAUCGGCAAUUGGCCGAAAGCUAGCUGGCGAGCUAAUGCCGAUGGAUUAUAAAAUUCAUAGGUUUGGGGGGAGGUUUUCGUGCUACCGAAGAAAUUCACUGGUAUGGCUCUGGGAGUCACGAUUGCCAUCAUCACCUCAUUGUCCCUGUCAAGAGCUUCAUCAAAUGGGUUGAAGGUCAGAGGGAGCAUGCUGUCUGGGUCGUCAUAAGCCAGCCAUGGUCGUUCAUCUCUGGCCAGACCCUCAUACAGAGUCUCGAAGAAUCGGCCGAUCUGAUCCGGAUUGUUCCCUGAACCGGGUAAGACUAUAACGGCUUCACCAAAGUUCAAGGGGGCACGCGUUGCCGAUUCCUCUUCACCUAACACAUGAUUCUCGGCUAUAUCUCUUGGGAAGUGCUGUGAGAACAAGUUGAAAUCAAGGCGCUUAUGCAGGUGCAGAUUGAGCCACAUAUUAAUAAACCACCAGGGGCCUCCCAAGUUGCCGAUGGAUUGGCCAAGCAGGAGUUUCUGGGCUACCUGAUGAAGAAGGUGGUAAACAGCGCCGAGCAAAUAUCGGCCGAGAGGAAAUUGGCCGCCGCUAGCCAGUCUUUCUGCUGCCGAUAGAUAGACAGAGGUCGGUCCUGCCGAUCGACCACAGAAUACAAACUUGUCCAGCCACAUGUUCAGAAAGGUGGUUUGCUCCUUUGUGGUGACAGGCCCUCUCCCGCGGUACUUCUGGAUGUACCCUGACCAACCGCCGAUAGCGCGAGUCUCCACUUUGGCACUGGGGGCGGUAUCAAAAAAGUGGGUGCUAUCGGCAGAAGAUAUAUCUAGCGCAGUAAGCAUGGCUACAUCGGCAAGCGUAGGAGAAGCAGGGCCGUGGCCAAAAACAAAAGCAUUGAGAGUGUCUGACCAAAAGUAGGAUGCAGCUAUCAGCAAUGACUCGUUCCUGUGCAUAUCGGCAAUGGAUAGCCUAAUGCAUUGAGCUAGCUUCCUCUCACCCCAUUGAACUUCAUAAGAAUUGCUGACCCUCAAGAACCAAUCUUUCCACCCUACAGUAGGGCUGGGCCAAGAACGAAAGGUGUCUUUCCACAGAUCUAAAGAAAAGUUUUCAGCUCUAAAGGGAAUCCUGUUGGUUUCUGCAUUGAUAAGGUCGGUUGGAUCUGGAUCCCCUAGAGGGCCGAGGCACUGAAGGUGUGGUUGAUCGGUAGGGAUGACAAUUUUGUUGGACAACUCCUAGUGUUUUGGGGAAUAAAAAUACAAAGAAAAAGGAAAAGGAAAAUGUUCGGUAAGAUGAAUCGCAGAUGAACAGGAAUGCGAGAAAAAGGUACAACAGAUGAGAUGGAAGUCUGACCUCAGGGACGAUGAAGCCAAUGGCCAUAUUGUCGUGAAGAGGACGUUGGAGGGCACCGGAGUUGAUGAAGAAGAGUGCUUGUCGGAGGUCUUGAGGGUUGUAGAUGGCGCCGCCGCUGGAAAAGCAAAGUUGGAUAGUAGAAUGGUGUGAUGGGGGAGGAGUACCCAAGAAGGAACUAUUUAUAGGACAAGAUGGGCAAGGGCAAAUCCGUCUUAUCUCUUUGCCGCAUCCGAGAAGCCCGAGGGUACUCAGGUGGAUAUGGUAACUGUUCGCACGGUAAUCCAGGGAUUGUGUAGGUGAUUUGACAGGAAGCGGUCAUUAUCUAAAGAUAUUUUACUGUGCGCGAUCUCCUGGUCGGUCCAUCGGCGAUAUUCUAUAACGGUCAUCUUGCCGAUGGGCGGAUAGACGGGGGGUAACCGUUUUUUGCGAAUAUCCUGGUCAGAGCAUCGGCAGAUCUUUAUAACGGAAUUGUUGCCGAUGCACUACCAAGAAAGAUGCCCGUUUAGGAAGUUGGGAAUUUCGAGGAAUCUGCGGAGGAUUAGGAUCAGAGUUGUCCAGAUUGAGGUUGUCGGUUACCGGAUUAGGAGCAUUAAUUGCGGAGAAGGCAUCAUUACUGCAGAGAAUUUCGGAGCAUUAAUAGUUUUAUACUCCGAAACUGGGGGGCAUGUGUUGACACCGUUUUUGGGCACGUGUCCAGGAUGGCAGGAUAGGGUGGCAGUACAAUGCGGGUUGCUGAUGAGGAUGGUUGCCGAUGAGGGAGAGGUUGAAUGUGACUAAGUCCACAGGCAGUAAUAUGGUGCCGAUGGCUGGAUUAAAAAGGUCUGCCGAUGACUAUGGCAAGGGGAUUGCCGAUGACGCGAAGGAGGAGUCCGGAAGCUGCCAGUUGUCAUCUGGAGGAGUUUCGGUUUGUUACGAAGGAUAGUUUUAUUAUUUCCUUAGUUAUUUGCAUCGUUUUGUAUACGGAUUCCGUGUAAUUUGGAAUUCGAAUUCUAAUCGUGUCUGGUCGUAGCUCUUUGAGCCGGAUAUAAAUAUAAACCCUAGGACCUUGUAAUCAAGAUAUCAAGAAAUCAAUCAAACACACGUUUUUACUCAUAUUCCAGCAUCUACUUUUCGACGACUUCGUCAUAUUUUUUCCUUUUAUUACGAGUUCUUAGGAAUUCGUCGACUUAAGCUCGGCGUGUUCUCGAGUUCCGCGUGAGUACCUCUUAGCCGUGACAUCCGGGCGCAUCGCUGUUGUCAGGACUAAAGUAUUCAAGUUAUCACCUUUGCCGAUAGCAAGGUCAAAUCGGCUGGCACGCCUUAACGUUUGAAUCGGGUAUUAGCCCUUUGUGUUUGCAGAUCAGUUUUGCAUCAACAGGUUUAAAGAUGAAUCCUAAUAAAUGUGCAUUUGGUGUAUCGGCAGGGCAAUUUCUUGGUUUUAUGGUGCAUCGGAGAGGAAUUGAAAUUAGUAGGACAUCUAUUGAUGCUAUCAACAAAAUAGUUGCUCCCACCAACAAGACUGAAGUCCAAUCUCUGAUCGGCAAGAUAAAUUUUAUCAGGCGAUAUAUAUCUAACUUGUCUGGUAAGAUUCGUGCUUUUAGUCCUUUACUUAAGUUAAAAGCCGAUCAAGAGUAUAUAUGGGGAGGAGAGCAACAGUCAGCAUUGGACGAAAUCAAGAAUUAUUUGACAAAUCCCUCCAGUUCUAAUUCCACCUCAGUAAGGAAAACCUUUCAAAUUGUAUUUGUCUACCGAUGGAAUGGUCACCGGUUCGGCUCUAAUUCAAGAAUUUGAAGGGAAGGAAUGUGUGAUUUAUUAUUUAAGUAGAAGAUUGGUUGAUGCUGAGACAAGGUAUUCGGCAAUUGAAAAAUUAUGUUUAUGCUUAUACUUUUCAUGCAUCAAGUUGAGACACUAUUUGCUAUCGGCCGAAUGCACUGUUAUAUGCAAAGAUGAUAUAGUCCGGUACAUGCUAUCUAUGCCGAUUAUGAGUGGUAGAAUCGGCAAAUGGAUCUUGGCACUGUCGGAAUUUGAUCUACGUUAUGAAUCGGCUAAGGCAGUUAAGGGGCAGAUUAUGGCCUAUUUUGUGACUCAACAUUGCAGUGUAGUAGGGACCUUGGAGAUCGUUCCUUGGACGCUCUUCUUUGAUGGAUCCACGUGUGACUGGGGGGCAGCAAUCGGUAUAGUACUAAUUUCUCCUUGAGGAAAGAAGUAUGAGUUCUCUUUGCCGAUUGUUGCCACGUCAACGAAUAAUCAAGCUGAAUAUCAAGCUCUGAUCAAAGGGUUGGAAUUGUUAAAAGAGGUUCAUACCGAUGCUGUUGAGAUCUUCGGCGAUUCUUUGCUUGUUAUAAAUCAAUUGGCUGGAAUUUAUGAAUGCUGAAGUGAAAUUUUUAUAACCUAUUAUGAAAAGACCAUACAACUAUUAAGAAAAUUCAAGGAUUUCUGAUUGGAGCAUGUUCCUCGAUUACAAAAUGAAGAGGCUAAUCGAUCGGCUCACCAUGCCUCGGGAUAUCAACCUAUCUUAAAUAUGUUAUCGGCAAUCAAUACCGAUGAUUGGAGAAAAGAAAUCAUUGAUUACUUAAAGGAUCCAUCUAAAAAGGGUGAAAGGCGUGUCAGGUUUCGAGCUACCAAGUAUGUACUCCUUGAAGAAGAGUUAUAUUAUCGAACGAUAGAUGGAGUUUUACUCAAGUGCUUAGGUGAUGAUGAGGCUAAAAGCUUGAUGGUUGAGAUCCAUGAGGGAGUGUGUGGAGCACAUCAAUCGGCUUUUACGAUGAGUGGAUGAUUAGGAGAAACGAGUAUUAUUGGCGGACUAUACUUGAGGAUUGCUUUAAAUAUUUCAAAGUAUGUCAAGGAUGCCAGAGGUUUGGUAAUAUUCAAAGGGCACCCGCCUCGGCCAUGAAUCCUAUUAUUAAGCCUUGGCCAUUCCGGGGAUGGGCUAUCGAUCUAAUCGGCCAGGUUUAUUCGCCAUCAAGGAAGGGGCAUAAGUUCAUCUUAGUUGCCACUGACUAUUUUACAAAGUGGGUUGAAGCUAUUCCUUUGAAGAAAGUAACGUCGGCCAAUAUGAUUGAUUUUGUAAAAGAGCACAUUGUUUACCGAUUUGGUAUUCCCCCAAACAAUCACUACCGAUUAGGGUACUAUGUUUACAUCGGGGGAGUUUGAUGAAUUUGCAACCGGUAUGGGGAUUAAAGUGUUGAAUUCUUCUCCUUAUUAUGCUCAAGCCAAUGGACAAGCUGAAGCAUCUAACAAAGGGAUUAUUAAGCUCAUCAAGUGAAAGAUUGAAGAAAAUAUUAGAAGGUGUCAUACUUUGCUAAAUGAAGCUUUGUGGACAUAUCAGAUGGCAUGUCAUGGAUCGACCAAAGUUUCAACUUAUCAGUUGGUAUACGGACAUGAUGCGGUGCUACCAUGGGAAAUUAAGACUGGAUCUAGGUGGGUCUCUUUUCAAGAUCAAUUGGUUGCCGAUGACUAUGCUAUUUUGAGGAAAGAUGAGUUGGAUGAUUUGGCAGAGCAUCGGUUGAGAGCUUUGAUAAGUAUAGAAGAAAAUAAAAAGAGAAUUGCUAGAUGGUAUGAUAAAAAGGUAAAAGCUAAAGAGUUUGCUGAUGGAGAUUUGGUAUGAAAAUUAAUUUUACUGAUUGGGACUAAAAGUUCAAAGUUGGGAAAAUGGUCUCCUAAUUGGGAAGGUCCUUAUCGGAUAAAUCGGUCUGCUCCUGGUAAUGCUUAUAUCUUGGAAACUCUCAAAGGAGUUGAAUUUCCCAGAGCAUUGAAUGGAAAAUAUCUAAAGAGGUAUUACCCAAGCAUCUGGGUAGAUGCAUAAAAGUUUAAGUGCCGAUAGCACUCCUAUAGGCUGAAUAAAUGUAUCUAGGGUCAUGCAUAACGUUUUAAAAAGUGCCGAUAAUAGUCCUAUCGGCUAGACCAGAAUGAUCAAAAGUUUUCUAAGGGCAGAAAGAAACAAGUUGUCGAUGAAGAGCUCACAAAUUCAGCAGGGCCUAGAUAGUGGAUAUGGCCCGCAGAUGGAUCUGGUCGGCUUCUUCUAUCUCUCGGAUGUCUUCAUCGGCAGAACCUUCCACUGGCUUCAACUUAUUUUUUAUCUGCAGUGCCUUACGAGCCUAGAUAUUUCAUUCUUGCUGAAGAGUCUUGAGCAUCUCAGGCAGUUGGCUUUCUUCUUGUUGUGCUUGGGUCAGGGCUUCUUCCACUUGUUUGAGCUCAGCCAACAAAGCCUCCCUUUUUGCCGAUAGGGUGGAGAUCUUUUGCUUCAAUUCAUCUCCUGAGGACUGCAAGAUGCUGAUGCUUUUAUGCUUCUCAUCGGCAAUGCGCUUUACUUGCAUUACUUCCUCUGAAACUUGGGCAUAGGCAGCUCUGUCGGCAUGGCGUUGGGUACCUUUCUGGUACUGAAGCUGACGGCUUUCUAGAUGGGCAGCUUGGAAAAUAGUCUCUUUAGCAUCGGCUGCAAUUUGACCGCGAAGGGUCUUAAACAGAGCUUUGGCCAGAUCGGAGUCAUUGACCAACUGAGCAGUGUCUUGAUGCAGUAGGGCCAACAAGUCUUCCAGCUUGGCUUUUAUUUCUGCCGAUGAGAUCCCUACUACAUGGGAGGAGCUCUCUUCUUCGACCAUCAUCAUCAGAAAUAUCGAUGGUGAAUGAGAAUAAGCUGUCUGGGGAGUCCUGUUCUUGAAAAGAAGAUAAAAAUAAGUUAUUUAAUGGUAAGAUAUUAGUGAUAUAAAGGAUGGAGAUCAGAUAACUUACUUGCUUCAAAGCCAUUUCACGCCCCUGGCUUGUUGAUGCGGUCGGUGCUACAGGUUGAUUGGCUGGAGUUGCCGAUGGAUCAAUGUCAACUAAGAAAUAACAAAGGUAAUUAUAAUUUUAAAAAAUAAAUCCAUCGGUGAUAAUUUUGUGGUCGGUACUUUACCUUGAGGGGGUGCAGUGCUGGUUUGUUCUGGAGGAACAACCGAUGAUAUGAUCAGAUCUAUUGGAUCGGCAGUCUGCUUAAGCACAUCGGCUGGUGCUUCUUGUGGUUGAGGUGCUGGUUGAGGAGGAGACGGGACUUGUUGUGUCUAGAUUUCUGGUGAAGAGGGGGAUGAUUCCACAUGAAUCGGUGACACUGGACGAGGAGGAGAAGAUGGUGCCGUCCUCUGACGCUUUGGUUGUGACUUGGUGCUCUUAGGACCUUUUCUCUUGGCUUGGCUGGGCUGGGGGCAUCGGCACUUGUUUGAGCGCUUUUGGUCUUUGCCAAUUUGCCAGUUUGCUGUUACAACGACCAAGAUAUCAUCAGAAGGGAUAUGGAAGAAUAUUUAUGAAAUUUUGUUAAACGAUAAAAGUUACCGAUGAGGUCCCCGUAGCAGUUGAUGUGCCCCAAAAAGAUUAUGUAAGUAUGGGAUAAAAUCGGUAGAAGCCAAGGAAAUUGAGAGUUUACCUUGAAAGCCUAUGCUAGAGUAGCAGUGGCAACCGAUGGGGAAGUUUUUGACCGCCUGGUGGUCGUCUUCUUGAAGAGCACAUUCCGAUGCACCAGGGUUGCUAGACUUGGCGCGUUAUGACCGAUUAGGGAGAUUGGGCCUGAUGGAAGGAGUUCGAUCGGUCUUCCACUCCUGCUAACUGUCAGUGGUUGGUUGUCAACCUGUUUAAAAAGGAGAGGGUGAGUUACCGAUAAGGAUAAAAACAACAAAAGAACUGAGAUAUCUGUUGAAGACUUACAGUGUUAUCGAGGAUCUUAUAGUUGCGGUCGAUCAUGCCGCGGUAUGUUAGAGCCGAUGUGUAGAACACGUGUUCUUUCCACUCUUCCCACUACUGCUUGUACAUCUGAGUGAUGAAAAGGGCUAGGAUCCAUGCCAAUAAAUCAAUGUCUGACGUAUUAGCAUUCGGCUGAAGUUGAGCUAUUCUUAUCCACUCAAGUCCGCUGGUUAUGACGAUGGGUUAUAAAAUUCAUAACUGGGGUUGGAAUUCUUCCCACUGCCAAAAAUAUUCACUGGUAUGGCCCUUGGAGUGAUAAUUGCCAUCAUCAGGUCAUGGUCCUUGUUGAGAGCGUCAUCAAAAGGGUGAAAAGUGAACGGGAAUCUGGUUUCCGGAUCUUCAUAAGGCAUCCAUGCCCGCUGAUCUUUGGAAAGGCCCUCAUAUAGAGUUUGGAAGAAUCGGCUGACCUGGUCUUAAUUGCCAUCAGUACCAAGUAGAACUAUAGCAGCCUCCCCAUAGUUCAAGGUGGACGAGUUGCCGAUUCUUCAUCAGCCAAUUCGUGAUCUUUAGCGAUAUCUCUGGGAAAGCGCUGUGCGAAGUGGUCGAAUCCAAGGUGUUUGUGCAUGUGAACACUGAGCCACAUGUUAAUGAACCACCAAGGACCUCCUAAGUUGCCGAUAGGUUGGCCAAACAGAAGCUUCUCAGCUACUUGAUGAGGGAGAUGAUAAACAGAACCUAACAAGUACUGGUCAAGGGGGAAGCGACCACCGCCGGCUAGUUUCUCUGCUGCCGAUAGAUAAACGGAAGUUGGUCCUACCGAUCGGCCGCAAAAUACAAAUUUAUCUAGCCACAUGUUCAGAAAGAUGGCGUGUUCCCUUUGCCCAACUGGUCCUGUUUUCCGGUACUUCUGAAAAUACCCUGACCAGCCGCCGAUGUUGCGAGUUUCCACUUUACAUUCAGGCUUACUGUCGAACAGGUGGCUAUCAUCGGUAGUUGCUAUUUCCAGACCAGUGAGCAUAAGUACAUCGGCAAGGGUAGGAGAAGCAGGGCCAUGGCCAAACACAAAAGCAUUGAGGGUGUCUGACCAGAAAUACGAAGCUGCUAUCAUUAGUGAUUCGUUUUUCUCCAUAUCGGCAAUAGAUAGCCUAAUGCACUAGUCUAGUUUGCGCACACCCCAUUGGACUUCAUUUGAGUUGUCGAUUCUCAGGAACCAAUCUCUCCACCCCUUGGUAGAACUUGGCUAGGAUCGAAAGGUGUCUUUCCACAGAUCUAAUGAGAAGUUCUCAGUUCUAAAGGGGAUCCUAUUUGUUUCUGCAUUUAUCAAAUCGGUAGGAUCUGGGUUUCCCAAUGGACCAAGGCAUUGAAAGUGGGGUUGAUCGGUGGGAAUAACAAUUUUCUCGACCAAUUCCUAAAGGUUUGAAGGUUGAAAAAAUAGGGAAAAUAAAGAGAGAAAAUACCAAGUGAAUAACUUUGCGAGAGAUCAAAAAUACGGUGAAAAGCAGAAAGGUGAUGCUGAAUUGACCUCAGGUACGACGAAGUCGAUGGCCAUUUCUUCCCGAGAGGAGGAAGGGAUCGAACACUCGGAAGAUCGUUGGAGGAGAUCCUUGUCAGAGUUCUUGAGUUUCUGGAACAGUGCCGCCGCCAGGAAGGUGGGUUUGAGGAUGCAGAAUGACAAGAUGGAGGAAGAGUACCGGAGAAAGAAGUAUUUAUAGGACAAAGAGGGCAGGGGCAAUUCUGACUUAUCUCUACACUGUAUCCAUGAAAUCCGACAGUGUUCAGGUGGAUAUGGUAACUGUUCACACGGUAAUCAAGGGAUUGUGCAGGUGAUUUGAUAGCAAGCGGUCAUGAUUUUGGAGAUAUUUUACUGUGCGAGCUCUCCUGGUCGGCUCAUCGGUAGUUUCUCUCUAACAGAAAUAUUGCCGAUGAACAUAUAUUUAGGAGAUUCGGUUUAACAAGUUGAGGGAUUCGAGGUAUAUGCUAGAGAAUUGGAUUGAGGUUGUUUGGAUUUGGCAAUUAAUGACCGUCUGGGGGAAAUGAUUGCGAAAAGGGCAUAUUUAUUGGAGAGAAUUUUGGAGCAUCAACGAUUUUAUACUCCGAAAUUGGGGGGCAUGUGUUGACGCCAUUUCUGGACGCGUAUCUGGGAGUUAAUGAAGUAUAGAUCGGCAGAUGAAGGAGUGGUAACUGGUUAUUGUAGGAGUUGCCGAUGGGUUUGACGCCGAUGGAGAAACAACAGGAUGUAGCCAAGUCCAAGGGUGGUGGUCGAUCUAUGCUGAUGAUUGAUGCAGGUGAUUGCCGAUGCCGACAGAAGGUGAUUUGCCAUUGAUAAGCGAGGGAAAGUGUAUGAUUGGUAACGAUGAUGGUGACGAUGUGUCGAUCGGUUGUGGUGGACAAAUUAAUGUUUUCCAUAGUUAUUAGAGUUUGUUUUGCAUACGGAUUCUGUUCAAUUUGGAAUUCGAGUCUUAGUCGUGUCUGAUUAUAACUCUUUUGAACAGGGUAUCAAUAUAGACCCUGUGGCAAUGUAAUGAACAUACAAUCAAUCAAACACAAGUUUUUACAUCUAUUCCAACAUCUACUUUUCCGACGACUUCGUCAACUUGAGUAUAUUCCUUUUUACUACGAGUUCUUAGGAAUUCUUCGAGUCAACCUUGGCGAGUUCUCGAGUUCCAUGUGAAUACCUCUUGGCCGUGACAUCCGGACGCAUCGCUGUUGUCGGGUCCAAAGUAUUUGAGUUAUCACCUUUGUCGAUUGUAAGGUCAAAUCGGCUGGUAUGCCUUAACGUUGAAUCGGGUAUUAGCCCUUUGUGUUUGCAGAUCUACUUUUGCACCAACAAAGACGUUCCAAGAAGAUGCGCUGGACCAACUAGACGAGGCUAGGGAUGUAGCCCUCCUACAUUCCGCCAAGUACGAGCAAGCCCUCCGACGCUACCACGCCCGACAAAUCCGAGGCCGAGCCUUUGAAGUCGGUGACCUAGUGCUAAGGCUCAGGCAGAGCAACAAGGGCCGUCAUAAGCUCACACCUCCCUAGGAAGGACCCUUCGUCAUCGCCGAGGUCCUCUGACCCGGCACAUACAAACUCACCAAGGAAGCGGGAGAAGUCUUCAGCAACGCAUGGAACAUAGAGGAGCUACGUCGCUUCUACCCUUAAAAAAAUUUUUGUAAUGAAAUUCAUUUAUUCUUUACCACGGAGAAAUAAUGAAAAUUCAAAUCAUAUGAUCGUUUCUUUUUAGAGAGUAAGCCUCGGCCCUGCCCCGCAGAAUUCGAUCCUCCUUCGGGGGAUACACGGGGGGAACCCCCUGUGAUAACUCCGAGAUUUUUUCUUUUUGCACAAGUUAAAGCACCCCGAUCCAAGGUCUUCCCUUCAUUUUCUUAAGAAUCUAAAAAGCCACAGACUCAUCACCCAAAUCUUUAGAAGGCCUGAGCCUGAGGGAUGAUCCACGCCCACGGGCUAAGACACCCUCUACUCGCCCCCUAAGAUCGGGAAAUGAACCUACCCAGAUUUCUAGAUUACUAAGGAAAAGAAAGAAACUCAGGCUCAGGACGCUCUAACUAACACAGGCCCUAAGUGGCUCGCCCGACCCCGCGGUGCCGAGGUUGGGUUGGCCCAGGGUAUAGAUAACAAAAAGACAAGGAAAAUCCUAAAAAGAGCACUCAUAUUAAAACAUUCACACUAAACAUCAAGUUUGAUAAAAGACAAGACCCAUCGGCCUUUGAUGUUCAUAAACACAAAAUAACUAAUUACAAGGGCCUCACUGCCCUGACUACCCAGGUCUUUGCGUGCCGAGAGGAGGAAGUUCCAUUUCGGCGUCGAAGUAGGUGGCCAAAGCGUCCCCCAGGGCGUCCGUGGCGUCAGCAAGCUUCUGCAGCUCCUCCUGGGCCUCCGCCUCGUCGUCGGGAAGGACAUAGCCGUCACUGACCGCCGACAAGUCAAUGCCGACGUAGUGAGAGCUCACCACCACCAGGGCUUUUUUCACCCCAGCGUGGAGUGCCUCCCUCUGCCUCUCCCCGGCCCUCAAUGCGGCUCCGCAGGGAUGACCCCGACGUGCUCGCCACGACCCCGAGCCCCUCACACGCCGAGGCGACCAUGGCCUCCAGCGCCGAGCGGUCCGCCACCUCGGAGUCAAGGGACUUCUUUAAGGCGUCGGCGACAGAGGCUGCCUAGGCCACCUUCUUUUCCAGCUCUGUCAAAAAACAUAACGGAUGAACGAAAGUCAGGAAAAUAAGCCCGCACAUCAAAAAAGCAAAGGUAAAAACAUAACUCUUACCUUCAGCCCGCUUCCGGUUCUCCUCCGAGCGCCAAUGCCAUAGGGGCACCUCGCCGUGAGCCCAAGAAAAGUCAGCCUGGGUUUGGUUAAGGGCAAGGUCCUUCUCGGCGAGCAAAGCCACCACCCGAGCAACCUCGCCCUUAUACCUCUCGGCGGUGGUGCUCUGCUCUUGGGAUUCCAGGGUAAGGUCACUGACCCUUUUAUCCAAGGGAGCAACCUUCUCCCGGGCUUCCCGAGCCUCGGUCGCGAGAUCCGAGCACUUCUGUCGAAGCUCGGCAGAUAUCUCGCACUCUUUCGCAAGCUCCCCCUCGGCCGCUUCCCAGGCAGCCUUCUCAUUAUCGCAGGCCGCCCAAGCAUCCCGCUCCCCACGGAGGAACGCCGAUUUCUCCAAGGACGCGACUUGGAGCGCCUGCAAAAUUGGAUGUUACGUAAGUAAUUAACCUAAAGACACAAACGAAGGACACUUCACCGAAGCGAUAGAGACCUUACCUACGCAAACUUGAACAUGUCCCAGCCCAUGAGCUCGGACGUUCGGUUGAUUGCAUCGACGCUGGCGCACCCGGACUCCUCAAGGCCCCGCCAGAGGUAGGCCUCCGACGGGUCGUCCAGCACGAACCUGGCCCUCCCCUCCGGGUCGUCAGGGUUGGGCCAGAUCAUGGGACUCUGACCCCAGGCCAUGCUUCCUCCUCCCUCCCUUGCGGGAGCCUCGGGUCGGGCCGGGCCCUUCCCGUGGGACCUCUCAGCAGGCACCACGCCGAGUGCCGCCUCGACCAGGCCCUCCUCAGUCUGCCCGGGCCGACCCUGACCCCCCAGAUUGGCAUCCCCUAAAGGGGGUGUUGACACUUGCUAACACCACUUGAAUACUAGGUUGUCAUCCCCAGCAUGGCACUAGAGUGUACUAUGGUAUUUAUACGCACACAGAUAAAUCCGCAAGUGCACGGAUACCGUUGUAGCUUUUACCCGGCUAAAGGUUUUAUCGUAUCCACAGGGAAACGUGAUAACCAACUACGCUCUAACUUAACCAAGAUAGAUAGAUAGGUGUAAAUAGGAAAGAUGGUAUAAUUGAAUAAGAACAAUAUUAAAGGUAAGAUAACAAUGGGUGAUAAUAUGGGAAUAGAGGUUAGAGCAAUCUAGUAUAUGAGCGAUGGUAGGAGAAUAGAGAGGAUAACUAUGGUUUCUCUACUUCAAAGGGGUAUAUCUAUGUCUGGGACGAACCACGUGAUAAGAAUACACCACAAAGGAUGCUUAUCCAUAGGACGAUAAACCCUACUAGUCCUGCUAACAGGAGGUGGACUACAGGGGACCAACGUAACUGUCACCUACGCGGCCUACCAUACGAUCCGGCUAGACAGGGGAUAUCCACAAGUAAUCUAGGUGUAAGCACCACGCUUACACCUAUACUACAACUCUCACCUAUAUAGAUUAAAGUACUCAAAAGAGUUGUGAACCAGAACAUACAUGGAUAGUAAUUGAGCGAAAUAAGAAGUAGAUUACCAGAGUCAUCCCAUGAGCAAGCUUGAUUAGGGCUUGAUCAUGGCGAAGUACAACUAGAGGAAGAAUCGACAGGCUGGCCUCUCCUCCAAUCCACCCUCACUCUCCAUCUCGCUACUAUCUUGAUACACUCUAGUUUAGAGAUGAGAGGAGAGCUCUCAUCUCUAAACCCUAGCUUUUGCUCUGUCUAUGAAUAAUGAAUAGGGAUCAAGGGGUGCCUCCUCCAGGGGCCAGGGGGUCUGCUUAUAUAGUCCCUCCAAAUGAAUAUGGACCGUCGGAUCAAACCAACAUUAAUUGCAUGAUUUUCCUUGAUCCUUUAGGUCGGUGGAGCAUAAUCCUCGAGACGGAGCCUGAUUGGUUCCUGUAGGUGGGCGGGCGCCCAAGGGGGGAGGGCGGGCGCCCUGCCCCCGAGCCCGCUCGGCCUCCAGUUCGUUCCCGUGGCUUCUGGAGUCUUCUAGAUGAUAGAAAAUUGCGCGGCAUGUUAAUAUCUCUAUGUAAACCUGACAUGUGGGCCUUUCCUCCAUAUUUCCUGAUAACCCCCUACAGAAAUAUACAAACACCAAAACUCGUGGAAUUCUGUUAGAUAAAACCCUAAGUCUGGGUGUUGGUUGCAUUUGGAUCCUUUUCUUUAUUUAUUUGAUGAUUAUAUUUGGUACUUAAGGACCGUCAACAGGGGGAAUGGCCCCGAGAGCCAGGACUGUUUCCUCUAGCUCCUGGGGCCGCGGCGUCCCCUCCUCCCUCGCCGGGGGAUCCGGUGUCUUCUGCCUCGUCUCUUGCCCCCUUUCCUCGUGGGGGCGCUCGUCUUCUUCACGAUUCAAGGGGGGUGACCUGGGCCUUGCUGACCCAGGGGUCUCCUCUGCCCCCCUCAUCACAGCCUUUAGGGGUGCGAGCCCCACUGAAGCCACCUUAUGCUUCCGACUGGUGGAGAGACCACGUGAAUUAGAAGGAAAAGAAAAACAAAAAAGCAAAGAAAGACCAAACACUAGAGUUUACCUUGCCCGGGGGGCAGCGUUCUUCUGGGAGCUUGGAGCUCCCUAGGCGCCUCCUGGAGCGCUAAGGGUCAUCGGGCGAGCUCCCGUCUCCCCCAUAGAAGGCACAUGGGCUCCGAGGGUCGUCUCAGCCCUCGACGCCUCUGCCACCUCAACCCCAGGACGGGGCCCGGUUGGGCCUUCCGGCGCCACUGGCUCUUGGGGCGCCUCGAGCCCACCGCCGGGCGCCCUUUCCCCCUCCUCGGGAUCCGAGGGGACUGGGCCCCCUUGCGGGGCUCCAUCCUCCUCAUCGUCAACAAUAAUAUAGGAGGCGACUCUCACGCCCCCUGGAACAUGAGACCCCUUAGGGGCCUCCGACCCCCCUCGGGCCCUCGACCCCUCUGGGACCUGUUGAUAGUCCUUAAGUAUCAAAUUUAAUUAUCAAAUAAACAAAGAAAAGGAUCCAAAUGAAAUCAACAUCUAGACUUAGGGUUUUAUGUGACAGAAUUCCACGAGUUUUGGUGCUUGUCUAUUUCUGCAGGGGGUUAUCAGGAAAUAUGAAAGAAAGGCCCACACGUCGGGUUUACAUAGAGAUAUUAACGUUCCGCGCAAAUUUCUACCAUCUAGAAGACUCCAGAAGCCACGGGAACGAACGGAAGGCCGAUCGGGCCUAGGGGCAGGGCGCCCGCCCAAGUCCCUUGGGUGCCCGCCCAGCUACAGUAACCAAUUAGCUUCAACUUCGCGGAUCAUGCUCCACCGACCUAAUACAUCAAGAAUAACCGUUCAAUCAAUGUCGGUUUGAUCUGACGGCCCAGGUUCACUUGAGGGGACUAUAUAACCAGACCCCCUGGCCCCUGGAGGAGGCACCCCUUGAUCAUUAUUCAUUAUUCAUAGACAGAGCAAAAGCUAGGGUUUGGAGAUGAGAGCUCUCCUCUCUUCUCUAAACUAGAGUAGAUCUAGAUAGUAGCAAGAUGGAGAGCGAAGGAGGAUUAGAGGAGAGGCCGGCCUGUCGGUUAUUCCUCCGGUUGUACUUCGUCAUGAUCAAGCUCUAAUCAAGCUUGCUCAUGGGAUGACUCUGGUAAUCUACUUCUAAUUCAUUAUGCAAUUACUAAUCAUGUAUGUUCUGGUUCACAACUCUUUUGAGUACUUCUAAUCUAUAGGACGCUAUAGGUUAGAGUUGUAGUAUAGGUGUAAGCGUGGUGCUUAGACCUAGAUUACUUGUGGAUAUCCCCUGUCUAGCUGGAUCGUGUGGUAGGCCGCGUAGGUGAUAGUUACGUUGGUCCUCUGUAGUCCACCUCUCGUUAGUAGGACGGGUAGUGUUUAUCGGCCUAAGGAUAAGCAUCCUUUGUGGUGUAUUAUUAUCAUGUGGUUCGUCCCAGACAUAGACAUACCCCUUUGAAGUAGAGAAACCAUAGUUAAUCUCUCUAUUCUGCUACCAUCGCCCAUAUACUAGAAUUGCUCUAUUCUCUAUUCCCAUAUUAUCACUCAUUGUUAUCUUACCUUUAAUAUUGUUCUUAUUCAAUUCUACCAUCUUUCCUAUUUACACUUAUCUAUCUAUCUUGGUUAAGUUAGAGCGUAGUUGGUUCUCCCGUUUCCCUGUGGAUACGAUAAAACCUUUAACCGGGUAAAAGCUUCAACGGUAUCCGUGCGCUUGCGGAUUAUCUGUGUGCAUAUAAAUACCAUAGUACACUCUAGUGCCAUGCUGAGGAUGACAACCUAGUAUUCAAGUGGUGUUAGCAUGUGUCAACAGGACCUUGGUUCCCCCACCAAUGGGGGGAUCCCUUCGUCUUCGUCCUCCUCGUCGGCAAGCUCGUUCAACCAGUGGGUUGCUCCCCACCUUCCAUCUUCGAGAAGUGAAGUCUCGGGAGAUUCGGGCACGGGAAGCCCUACCUUCUCGGCCUCAUGGCGGUUCUUGUCAGAGGUCUCACGGCACUUAGCCUUCCUCGCCUUCUUCGCUUUCUUCUCCUCCUUGGCUCGUUUCUACUCCUUGUUCCGGGCCCGAUUUUUGGCUCGGAGCUCCCUGUCCUCCGAGACUGGGGGCAGGGAGUCCCUGACGACCCCCAUCCCCUGCAAACAAAUGGCAAUCAAGACCAAAGCGAGGAAAAGGGGAAUCCAGGGCAAGAUCGGAGAAAAAGAUGGCAUCUUACCAGCAAAAUGUAGCCUCUGUUAAGGCGCAUCGGUGCCACCCGGGAAUCCUUCAGAUCUGAGGAUAUAGUCCUCGAGAUCCGGGUGCUUAUCUCCAUCACAAACACUAGCGCCUCCAGCAUCCGCGUCCUGACCCAAGGGGUCUCCCGGGUCAUCUCCCACAUGAAUACCAUCCGCUGCGCCAGCGGCAGCAGGCUCCGCUUGUGGAAAGCCACCGCCACCGUGGCCGCGGUAACCCCGGCGUGGCGGAGCUUCUCGAGGCUGACAAGAAGGAUGUCAAGCCUCUUCUGCUCAUCCGCGCGGGCGCCCCACCCCCACUUCAUGGGGCACUCAACCGCCAUCUUCUCGGUGUACUUCGGGAGCAGCCCGCCAUCAUUCUAGAGGUAGAACCAUCCGUUCUGCCACCCCCGGUUCGACGAAGGCAUGAUGCUCCGGAUGUAUAGGUGGGAGCGCGACUGAUGAAGUUGCAGCGUGCAACCGCCAGCCCGUAGGAGCCUCUUCUCCCCUCCCUCGCUGCAGGAGGACAUCUCUACCUUGAAAAGGUGGAGCCAGAGUUCCAGUGGGGAGAAAUCCCCAAGAAACCCUCGCACAUCGUGGCGAAGACUGCCACCUGCAUGAUGGAGAUGGGAUUAAGGUUGUGCAGCUCCACCCAGUAGUAAUGGAGGAUGGCUCGGAUGAGCCAGCCGGCGGGUGUUCCGAACCCCCACUCUAGGAACGAUAGGAAACAGACCACGUAGCCCAGAGGCGGGUUUUGUUCCCUGUCGUUCACCGGGGGAACGAUCCACUCCGGCGCACCCUCGUCUGUGAUGGGGCGGAGGAGCCCGCUCUUCACAUGGGCGUCCAACGCUGCUUUGGUUGUGUUGCAGGGGUACCACACGUCAUCGCCGCUCAUGGCUACAGACGGAAGGGGGCGUUAGCACUAGCAAACAAAUGUCAAGGAGGCAGCGGCAGAAGCUUUGCGAGGCAAGGGUGUCUGAGGGCAAGAGCAUGUAGAAAGGCAAAGGUGCCCCGCGGCAGCUUUUAUAGAAAGGGCAUACCGUGGCUCCACCUCCCAUGCAGCAAACCGACGAGAAAAAGGGCAACCGUCGUUCCCUCGCUAAUCAGGUGAGAAACUUGAAGCGCCCACUUCUCCCAAUUCUCACGCCCACUGCGCCCACACGCGCAUUAAAUUCGUAGGUGAGGCGUCACGUCUGGCUCAGGCACAACGGCACGACCGUUCUGGCUCCGCAUGCGAGUCACCUCAAAAGGAGCACCCAGAAAAGCUAUGUCAGGGCGGUUCCUUCCAGGGUAAGCGGCGCCAGACCUCGUGUUGGGCCCGAGCCAAGAAGCAAGGCGGUUCCUUCCAGGGCAAGCUCUGUCGCGGCCGACCCCCCUGCUGCAACCAAUCCAAAAUCUCUCAAGGUAAAAAUCCCCAGGCCAUGGCCACCUACGAUCUAGAGGUUGCGAGACUGACCCACUAAGUAGGUUCGAACAGUCGCCUCAGGAUGACCGAGCAAGGGAUGACUGAGGAUGAGCACAAUAAAGGCCAUGGUCCGAGCCCCCCAGGGGCUCGACGCAUCUUCUCCAGUCGUAUCCGUGACCCAUGCGGGUAUCACGCGAGUGGGAUCCCAUUGAGGGAGGCACCAAGCCCUCGGAACCUAUCGAACCAUUCCGACAUCCACCGUGUCUGCCCUCGGGUGUUCUGAGAUGUGCCCAUAGUGCCACAAGCCGACCCCUAUCGAAUGGCACUCGGGCAUCCACUUGGAUUUACCCACUUGUAGCUCUCCAGGAAUGUCGAUACUCGCCCACCGAGGGUAGUACGGCGCCACCCAUCCCUCCUCCGCGUGAAAGGACGAAUGAGGGGCGUAACGACAAGACGGGAAAGAACCUUAUCGACCCUUCUGGGGAAAGGGCUCGGGGGCUUCCCCGCAUAAGGGGAACAAGCACUGCGUGUAAAGAACACGUAACCUAUCCUCCGAAUGCUCCUGACUACAACAUUCGGGAGUAAAAGCCUUUGAAGGAAUAACACCAUUCCUCCAAAAGGCUCGGGGACUACACCCGGCGGGUGCGCUUGCGCGCACCCCCGAAGGAAAUAAGAAACUCCAAUUCAGCAUGAUUGUCCCUUAAGAAAGAACCUCUGAAGGGGUGCCUUCACCCCUCCAAAGGCUCGGGGGCUACUCUUGGGUACCAUAAAAAGGGAUACCCAAAUAAGAGGAAUAAAAAUCACAAAAAGGAGAUAAGGCUAAUACCUAAGAGUAUCAGGGCUCGGGCACGUACUCUGUCUCGCCCGACCCCUUGGCCUCGGACGCAAGAUCCGCCUCGCCCGACCCCUCUUGGGCUCGGGCACAAACACCACCUCACCCGAGCCCCCAUCUCAGAGCCAGGCUUCCAACGCACGAUGAACGUACCCCUGAUGUGACGCUCACCAUAUCUCCCAUGCUGCGGCAGGGCAUAAUGGCAACUAUUACAACCUCCCCAGCCACUGUGUAGCCCUACCUCUUUCACUAUGAAGUACCGCCUUACAGUAAAAGAGGUAUGGAGGAGAUUAACCUGCGUCACUGUGGUUGUCUUUUCUACAAUUAUAGGAGACGCUGCAGUAUCACCGACCCGACGCCCAUGACCUCAACAGGACUCGGCAACCCUCCACAGGAGCAACCAUGCUGCCAGCCAUACCCCAAGGACGAGAUGGGCAAGCCACCAUAGGGUCGGAACUGUUGCUUCACCAUUUACCAGUAGUAGAUCACCAGUCAACAUAUGUAAAAACCCUGUAACCCCUUGAGACUAUAAAAGGGGAGCCAGGGCACACAUCGAAGACACAACAUUAGAAGUCAAGGCAAGACCACGCACAUACACACCCUAGAGUAGCAAGAAUUACUCUGUCCACCACACAAAGUCGAGACUUGGGAUUUAGGCCUCUCUCGCGACCAGCUAGUACACCCCUACUACAAGCACUCUCGGGUGCAAGGCAAUACAGACUCCGACUCUCACACUGGACGUAGGGCAUACUUUGUAACACUCUGUUGACGGUCCUUAAUGCUUACAUUUAACCAUCAACUAAUCAUAGAAAAGGAUCCAAAUGCAACCAACACCUAGACUUAGGGUUUCAUCUGACAGAAUUCCAUGAGUUUUGGUGUUUGUCUAUUUCUGCAGGGGGUUAUCAGGAAAUAUGAAAGAAAGGCCCACACAUCGGGUUUACACAGAGAUAUUAACGUGCCACGCAAUUUUCUACCAUCUAGAAGACUCCAGAAGCCACGGGAACGAACGGGAGGCCGAUCGGGCCCGGGGGCAGGGCGCCCGCCCAAGUCCCUUGGGUGCCCGCCCAGCUACAGUAACCAAUCAGCUUCAACUUCGCGGAUCGUGCUCCACCGACCUAAGGGAUCAAGGAAAACCGUGCGAUUAAUGUCGGUUUGAUCCGACGGCCCAGAUUCAUCUGAAAAGACUAUAUAAGCAAGGCCCCCUGGCCCCUGGAGAUCAUACCUCUUCUACAGAAACAAAGUUAGGGUUUCAAUUCUUCAUCCAAGUAGAGAGGAUCCUCUAGUUCUUCUGGUUCUACCUCUAGUUCAUCUAGAUCUAGUUCUAGUUCAUCUAGUUCUAGUUCUAGUUCCUCUAGUUCUAGUUCUAGUUAGUUCUAGUUGUAAUCUAGAAAAUAGGGAGAGAGAAGAGGAGAGCGGAGGAGGAGGAGCCAGAUCUGUCGGAUCUUCCUCAACAUUGUACUUUUGCAGCAACUGGUUCGUUCUUCAUCAUUCUCUAGGUUCUUCAAUUCAUAAUCCUGAGUUCUUUAAUUACUUUUAUUUACAUUCAAGUUAUUUAUUGGAUUCCCGCUUGCAUCAAGUGCUCUAAUCUUUGCAACAUUAGAGUAGUAAUUAAUAGAUUAGACGUGGUGUUUAGUCUUGCAAUUACCUGGAAUUGCACCCAAUCCUGCGGAUUGUUGUGGUAGCCUUAGGGUAGUGACAGCCCUAACGGUCGACGUAUUCCACCACAUUUGGAUCGGUGUUUGUAGGACCGUAGUCGGAGCUUCCUAGCCCCCUUCUCAUCUCUUUUUGUGGUUAGUGUUCUGAUGUCCCGAAAUAGAUAAUCUUGAAGUAAUUCUUGAUUCUUAGAUCAACUAGAGAACUCUCACGAAACUUCCUCUCUUCCCACCAAAAAUAAUUAUAUAGUUAUCCUUGGGCGAUCUUGAUUCUUAAUUAGUACAUUCACGUUCCCUGUGGAAAAUCGAUACUCUAAAAUACUCCCGGGUGAAAGCUACAUCGGUAUCCGUGCACUUGCGGAUUUUUCUGUUUGCGUUUAAAAUACCCAACACACUCCUAGUGUUAGCUUGCAUGUUAACCAUGAGCAUUGCAUCAACAUAAGCAUCAUCAUGCUCAUUCAUAAACAUACAUCAUGAUCACAUGUCAUCUUAUGUGUCCCAAGUAUGAUUAAAUUACUUGUGUGGCUUGAUUUGAGUGACUUUAAUAGGUGACCAAUGCAUACAAGUAUACAUUGUCUUCCAAAAUACUUUAAUUAUGUUUAGAACAACAUUUUGAACAAAGUUCAUGUUGGAGGUUUUGGCCAAAAAUGUCUCUAAGCCAUGGUUAACCCUAGGUUGCCCUAAUUGUCCCCCUAGACCUAUUUCCAAAGAUGUUUAAUGAAACUGGUGUUAGAAACUUUGCAUGUAAAUGACACAUGAAACAAAGUUGUAGAGAAUUUCAUAAGCUACAAAAGUUAUGUUGAUGACUUUUUAUAAAAAAGCUUAGAACACAUCCAAAAUUUACUCACAAGCCAAAAAUCAGGGCUGAUUUCACACUUAGCCGAAUUAGGCUAAGUCUUGAAUCACACAGUUUCGAGGUAGGGUUGUUGGGAACGUUGUAGUUUGAAAUCCAGACCGAUUUAGACUGAGCUUGUGUAAUCAAACUUGUAGAACUCGUGUAGCUCUAUCCAGAGGAUCAAAUUCGAGCCAAAACCAUAGAUUGAACUGAGAGUAAAACGUUGUUAAACUUCGGGAUUCAGUCACUGCAAUCGGCGUUUCAGAAAAACGUUUCAGACUGGACAGAGCUCACCCGCCGCCGCGUGUCCAGCCACCUGUCGGCCGUACGCCGUCAACGGCCCCCUCUGUCAGCUCCCAUGGCGUCCACAAGUCGCCAUGCACCGAGUGGAUGCCUCAGACGCGAUCUCCACUCGCUCAGAGCCUCCCAUUUCGCUCCGCCAUUGCCACAGCGAGCUCCGCCGCGCUUCGGCGAGCUUUCCCGACCGUUCCUCCGCGUCUCCGGCCGAGCCAGUCCGCCCAGAGCUCCGCCUCGACGUCCUCCACCUCGGCGUCACCUCCUUGGCCACUGUCGAGCACAGGUGAGACGACAUUGCCGAGCUCCGGGCCGUUCUCCCUCGCCAGAGUUCCGCCCGAGCUCACUGGCGACGUGGCCCGGCCUCUCUGCUCCACCAUUUCCCUCCAUUCUUGUUUCUAUCGCUUUCCCUUGGCUCACUGAUGCUCGGCGUGAAGCUCUACCGCAUCGCCAUUGCCUUGAUCCGCCGGUGUAACGCCGCGCAGCACCGCCGAGCCGCCAUUCCCGACGGCGAGCACCCUAGGGUCUAGUAGAGCGCGGGUAAAGUAGGUCACUGAGUCCGCCUUGAGGAGAGGAACACGUAGGUGCCCUUGGAUCCGACCGAGACCUCGCCGUCGUCGAGUUUCGCCGGCGACGAGCGUCUCCCCUGUCUCUGUCUCUCUAUCGCGUGGGUCCCGGGUGUCAGUCUCUCCCUCUCACAUCCUUGGUUCACUAUUUGCAGAUCCUGUGUUGAUUUUGUAAAAUUCAUAUCUCGAGUUUUAUAGGUCCAAAUGACAUGGUUCCAGUUUUGCUAGGUUCCUGUAUAAGUCUUGUUUUUCAUAAAAAUAUGAAACAUGUCAUGUUUUUGCAGAAAUAAAUAGAUAUAAUUUAAUCUUGGUUUAUUAGGAGGUAAUUAUAUCUUGAGAUCUGUUGAUCUGUUGACUAUGCAAAUUUAGUGUGUUGUUACUUAUCAUAUGAAUGGGCUCUGAUAAAUUUAUCAUGAUUUUUGCAAGCCUGAUUGUGAAGUUAUAAAUAUUUCUUGUUUAAAUAGGAGUUCCUUGUGGUAUUUUUAAUAAAUAAGUUAUAACUCCUUUUGUCGUAAAACUUGCUGAGUGAUCUACCCAUGUGUAAACAAAGCUAGGAAAAAUCUGAAAUCUGUUGUUUGACACUUUUUGAUAGGGUUUCACAUUUAUGCCUUGCAUGCCUUUGUUAGCUUGUUAUUUUUAUAUCUCACAAUCUGUAUGUGCAAAUGUCCUGAAAAUUUUACAUUAAUCUUACGUUAGCAUAAGUAGCUUGCUGUAAUUUUCUCAGAAUUUUUGGAACAAUUGGAAUGCAUGAUCAUUAAAUCACCUUAAUAAUUAAAUAAAUGAAAAAGGUGAUGAUAGAAAUAAGUCCAGCCCCUGCCAUGAUGUUUUCUAGUGUUUCUUAGAUAUGUUCUACCUACUGGUGCAUUUGGAUUGACCCUUUAAUACAAUCUUGUUAUGUGCAAAAUAUUAUUUUUGCUAUUUAUGCCUUUCUUAGAGUAAUCCUGUGUAGCUAAAAGCAAUUGCUUAAGAACUAAUUGAAGAUGAUGUUUUCUGGGAAGCUUGUCUACAACAAACUUGUAGCUAACUUGCUUAUCUACUUCGUGUCCAAGUUUCAUGACAUUUGGUUGAGUGGUUUAAAAGUUAUGAAUGUUACAAGUAGCUGCUGCAAAGUGCUUGCUCUCUGGAUUUUCCAGGGCAGCCAGCCAACUUUGUAUGUUUUAGCAUAUUUCAGUUGGGAAUCAUUCUAGGAUGUCUAAAAGUGAAUUGUAGACAAUUUGCUAAGCUUUCUAGAGAGUAUCUACUUCCUUAGUUUGGCCAAAUGAUGCUUAAGUUAUAGCUGAAACUUGUGACAAGUUGGUUUGUCUAUGAAACCAGUGACUAAGUAGGAAUAGCUAAGGUUGAUUAACUUGUCUCGUUAGCCUCUCUACCAGAGAAGAAGUAUGCACUUACUUGUUAUUCUAUAAUCCACUUAACUUUAAGAGCUUAUGCUCAUGUUUAUACCUGGUUGUGUGUUCUUUAGUUCUUCAUCAUGACAUCAUGCUUCAUAUGUGCAUUCUCUAUAUUUAUUCCGUUGUCAUGCAUACAUAGGUGUACCCAAGGGCGUGACGGUUCUGGAGUUCGAGCUGCCGGAAUCAGAAGGUCAACAAGGAGAGCCACCUCAAGGAGCUGAGGAGGAGGAGGACUUGCCGGAGUGUCCCGACCAUCGCCCGUCCACCUACGUUGAAGGCAAGCCCCGGAGCAUUAUAAGCCUCCCACUAUUUUAUUAUCAUGUUCAGCUAUCAACUGACUAUGGUCAUAUAUUGUUGCAUUAAGUGUUAGGCAUCUGACUACGAUCCGCAAGCGCACGGAUAUCGGUGAGCAUUUCACCCGGGAGGUUAUCCAGAGUUAUCGUAUUUAUAUUUUUACCACUGGGAGAAAGGGUGCAUCUGACUAACCAAAUCUAUUGCUACUAUCCCUUUAGGCUACAAAGAAUGUCUUUCGAUGUGAGUGAUAAAUAGAGAAGACUGCAACCGUAGUCUCCUUCUAACCUUGGUAAGGAUAAUCUACUGUUCUAAUGGGGAGGCUAACGGAAUCUAGACACCACAAAGGAUGUUCAACCCGCACCUAUAAACCCUAUCCUUCCUGCUAACGAGAUGUGAUCUGCAAAGGAAACUCGGAAUUGUCACGUUCCUCACUACUACCACGGUCCAGCUAGUCAGGGAAUAUCUAUGAGUACCCCAGCCUAAACACCACGUUUACGCCAGCAAUGAUUACUCUAAACUCUACGCGAAGAGAUUAAAGUAAACUCAUAAACCAUAAGAACAAUAAAACAAGAACUUACUAGAAUUUAGAAGUCGAAAUACUGAAGAAUCCUAGGAGCAAGCUUCGGGAUAGGAGAACUUGAUCCCGCAGGUACAAGCUUGGAGUAGACACCGACAGGCCGGGCUUCCUCCAAUCUACACCUCCACUCUAUCUCUCUCAAUCUAGUAGAAACUAGAAGAUCUAUUUCUACCUUACAUUGGUUGCUAAGCCUAAAAAGAAAUAUUAAUUAGAGAAGAGGUUUUCCUUCGAGGGCACCCCUCAAUCUCUAUGAUAAUUUCUUCAUGUCUUCUCCAGGGGCCAGGGGGGUCUCCUUAUAUAGUCCUCCCCUUCUAUGCAUUUUUGGGUCGAUAGGCGAGGUGGUACUAUGUUUUCCUUGAUCUAAUAGGUCAGUGGAACAUCCCGAGCGAAGAGAGUCCUGAUCUGGUUCCAACAGGGGGCGGGCGCCCAGGUCACCAGGGCGGCGCCCUAGGCCUGGCCCCGUUUCGCCUCCGCUUCGGUCUCGUGGCUUCUGGAGUCUUCUAGAUGGUAGAAAAUUGCGCGGUGCGUUGAUAUCUCUAUGUAAUCCUGACAUGUGGCCCUUUCUUCCUUAUUUCCUGAUAACCCCCUGCAGAAAUAGACAAACACCAAAACUCGUGGAAUUCUGUCAGAUAAAACCCUAAGUCUAGAUGUUGAUUUCAUUUGGAUCCUUUUCUUUGUUUAUUUGAUAAUUAAAUUUGAUACUUAAGGACCGUCAACAAGCUCCCCCAAGCUUACCUCUUGCUCGUCCCGGAGCAAGGAUAGACUCAGCAAUGGAUUAGAAGUUGUUGCAAUAUCUUUUAAAAAUUGAUGGUACACAUGCUUUUUAAAUAAGAUCUCAUCUCUGAGUUAGAGUAAACUGUCAAGACUUAAAACUUACUUUACCUUUACCAUGGGACUUGUAACUGUCACUUCUGUCUUGAGAGGUUAAAAGAUAGAACAGUCUAGCCAAGUGCCAUGUCUCUUAUUCUUGAUCAGCUAUAGCUCUGGGUUUUUUGCAGAUUUUCAAAUAAAACUCAGAGAUUCCUUGUAUGACUCUCUAAAUCUCUCUUUUGUGGUAUUUCUGGAUCCUUACCAAGGCAGUGAUGGUAUAUGACUUCUCUCAAGAUAUGUGGUAUUUGUGGUAUAAGGCAUAGUGACAUUGCCUUCUCUCUCACCCUACUCUAAUAAGGCUUUAAUAUCUGGAGCUCAUACGUGGGAGAUAAAGUAUACACACUUACAAGACAUUUACUGUAUAGUCAAACUAUGGAUCCAAAGAAACAAAUCAAUAAGCCAAAUCAAGAUGUGCAUGUGUGGCGAAUGAAUGGUGUAUGGUGAUGAUGGUGAUAACAAUGGUGAAAGUCUAAUUCUACUUUUGCUAUUUUGAGGGGAUACAUACCUUCCUUGCUUUUUGAAACUUUAUGAGGAGAAUGAGAUGCUCUUCUUUUUCUUUCCUCUCAGGUGGGUAUCUUGUACCCCUAAUUCUACUGUCGGACACUUGUCCAUCUUUACCUCUCGUCUUACUUUUUCUUUCUUUCGAGGUUCUGGGCACUUGCCCCUUUUUAUUUCCUCAUUUAUAUAUUUUAUUUCUUUUUUUUUCUCUUUUUUUUUCAGAGCACUCAUCUCUUGAGAUAAUAUAGCAAGUGGUAGUAACCGAAAUAUUUGGAGCAUUUAUUUCACAGGGAAUAACAGGGAUAGGAAAAUGUUUUUGACUAUUCUCUCCCGGAUUAGGAGUAGAAUAUUUUUGGGUGAUUCUGGAGAUGGAAAUUGAUGGAUAUAUGUGGAUGGUACUUCCGGAGUAGAAGUAGCAUAUAUGAGUGAACGUGCAAGUGAAUCUUGAUUUAACCACAUGACAAGCUCCUAAGGGUCUACACAGCUUGACCACACUCAAUGCUCAUAAGCAGUAAAAAGUAAAUGUAUCGUUCAUAGUCUAAUAAGCAUGUACAUAUGGCUGUGGUAGGAUUUUAAACUCUCAUCAUACAGAAACUCAUCAUGCAACAUUUCAAAGAUUUUCAAAGAUAAAAUUCUCCAGAAUUCUAGCAUCUCUAGGAACAGAUAAACAGCAGCUCAACCUUCCCAUAUCGUAUCCGUUAACAACUUAGACUUCAGAUCAAGUUUUCAUCCCACAAGUUUAGGUCUAGAGCAAGAUUUAAAUUAUAACAGUUAUGUCUAAACUUGAGAGAGAACUUCAAAAUUGCAAAUUAGGCAGAGCAACUAUUCAUCAUAUCCAUGCUAGAGUUUUAUUAUUAAGAUUCAGAUUAGCAUAGCCACUUUAUUUAUUUAUUAAACAUACAAAGCAAAAGAUAUAUAUAAGCACAAAAUCUUUAUUUGGUUUUUCAUAGUUGAUGUAUUUUAAUAUUAUAACAUAAUAUAAGUAUAAAGAUAGGUAGAAAUACUUAGCGAGAAUAAUGGGGGUGCUUUCCCCCAAGCUGAAUUUUGACGUAAUUUCUCUUGAUGUAGCUAGCAGGUGGCAGAAGUGUAUUUGAAAGUCAGCAGCAUUCUGACAACGAUUAGAAUGUCCUCCAUCUGCUAGUUUUCUUGAUUCUUAAAUUUUGUGGAGCUCAAAUAGACAACAAAGCUUGUGGAACUAAUUAAGUGUUAGCAUAAAUAUCUAGCCUUCAUCAUGUUGAGCUUUCUUAAUAAAUAUUAUUUAUUUAGCAGGAUCAUACACUUAUUAUUAUAUAUAUAUAUAUUUAUAUUUUUUUGUAAGAUGAAAACUUAUUUAUUUUAUUUUUUAUGCCACCACAGUGAAUGUACUUAUGGGUUUUAUGCCAUGAGCAUACUCACAUGGGGUUUACUAUUUUUUAACAUUUUUAUUUUCUUUUCAAUAUAGCAUGAACCUGAUUAACUAAGCAAAUUAUAAUUGAAUAAUUGAAAGGAAAGGGUAACUACCAAGUUUACCUCUUGGCAAGGCGUUCGGUAUUUUUAUGUCCUCCUGAACGGGACUCUCUGUUUUCUCAGUCGUCCUGGGAUUCGCUAGGUGGCGUAGUCGGUGAUUCCGGCGGCGCCUCUCUUCUUGUAUAACUAUCUUCUCCCUCCACACCUGACUCGGUGCUACGGUCUCCUCAGGACAGUUCUGUUCAAGCUGUAUGUCUUCAGUCCUCAUCACUUCUCAUUCGUAGUCUACCCAUCCGUUCUUGAUGAUUUGUCUCCUCUCGUUGCGGUUGCGUCGUCUUCUUGCUCUGACCUGCUUAGAGUCUUCAACUAUAUAGUUAUGGUCAGUAAAAUAGUUGCGUACCUUCUCAGAGGGGAAGUACAUGUGGACUUCUCCGGUUCCAAUGUAGAUGAUUGCUUUGAUAGUGUUGAGGAACGGUCUUCCAAGGAUGGUGGGUGGAUCAUAUUCGUCUUCUCCCAUGUCAAUGACCUGAAAAUCAUCUGGAGCUGAAUAUAUUGGUUGUAGGGGCAUGGUUCCAUGCAGGAGCUGAUAAGUGACUGCGGCCAUUAUGUUGUCGUCAGAUCCGGUGUCGUAGAGUGUCUUCUAAAAAGAGUAUCCAUUGAUUGCGCACUCGAUGCUUGGAACACCAGGGUCGUCCUUCUUGAUCAAGAAAGGUGACUUGGGUCGACGAUGUUGACCUCUUCCGACAAGGAUCCAAUGUUUUAAGUCUUCUGGAUAAGACUUUCCACCAUCUUCAUCCUUUAGGUGCAUCAUUUGAUUAGGUGUGGACCUUGACGUCUGCAUCUCUUGAUACGGUGUCACCCAUGUUCUUCUUUGCCCAACAGUUCGAAGUAUGGUGUUGGCAAUAUCCUGCUCAGUGUGUUUUUUUUUUCUUGAAGUGUACCUGUUCAUAGAGACAAGGCAGAGAUCAAGUGCAUGGGCUCUGUUGGUGGAAAACACCAACAGAACCAAAAGUGUAUUUGUUUUUCUCUAACCUUAAGCAUAGUGAGCAAGACAAAGUUGAUGGAUAAUAAGAUCAUGAGUGUAGUAUUUGAAACAUUUGUCAGAUCAGAUGGCUCAACCUAAUGGAAAGAUAAUCUAUCUAUAUUUAUGUUUUGUUUAUAUCUUUCAAAUAUUGAAUGUGCAACAUAUUAGCUUAUAUGUUUAGGAGCGUGGGAUCACGAAGGUAGUACUAAGAACAAAGAUUAAAGGACUAAACAUGUUGAAUUAAUUGAGUUGGUUAUCUGGAGUUAUAAAUCAUACAUGUUUGUCUCUUCAUUUAUGUGAAUGCUAGAACCAAGGAGAAGCUUAUAAAAGUGAUAGUCAAGUACCUUAAGGUGUUACCUUACUUGAAGAGUGACGGUACAGUAUCACCUUGUGGAAGCUUUCCUUUCUUAGUGGUUGUGCAUCGUGUUUGUGGCACCCUCCAUGAAUCAUCUCUUAUGAGCCACGUCUUUCUUGUGCAAAUUGUUAAACUUCAUGUGUCACUUUCUUCAUCUCCAAUGCGAGUUUAUCUCAGGACAUCCUAGGUUGAUAUUGAAAGUUUUCCUGCAGGGGUUAGUCCAACAAAAUAUCCCAUAUCUACUAUAGCAUACUAUCGGCUUAAAAUCAACCUAGACACCAUGUCUAAUUUGAUUUAGAAGGGCAUUUUAACCUAAGCACCAUGCUUAAUUUAAAAUCCCUUGGAAGUAAGAUCAUCAUUCCUAAACUAAGCACCAUGCUUAAUUAAGAGAUAAAUGAAACUAUUCCAAACCUAGACAUAUACUAAAGCAAAUAAAGGUAGCAUGAGAGCAUUUAUAGAGAUCUACUUAAGUGGAGAUAAAGUAGUGUAAUUAGUAUUUAACAAAUUGAGCAUGUCUCAAAGGUAAGGACAACCAACGUAGCAACAUGGCAAAAGAUGUUUUUAUGUAAAGUACUCCCCCAAGCUUGAAUUUUACAAAAUUCAAGUUUGGAUGAAUUUAAUUCAAUGUUGUGUGAUGGUUGGUUGGACAUACCUUGUGCUUGUCAUUCAUCCGAUCUUCUUGCUCCAAUCCUGGAAAGGUUAGUGACAAGAAUACCCGAAGGAAUAUUUCUACAAUUAUCUUGAUAUGCUCAAUACACAAGGCAAUGUUGCAAAUAAUUAGAAGUUCAUGUUAUGAUAUGAAAAGUGCUUGUUUUAGGACACUAAGCUUGUCUUUGGGAAACCAUCAAGUUAUGUUGGUGAAGUGAUUUCCCCUCCAACACCUACCUAUAUCAAGAUCAACUCAACGAGAUCUGCAAUAUUUAUUAUAGACAUAUGCAUCGACAACCGCCCUUUUAAAGUUUUUAUAAAUGAAGAGGAAGAGAGGGUUGGAGAUCUCAAAUGUGGUAAGGAUGGAGAGACAAAUUGAUUGGAGAGAUGUUUUAUAUGAGCAAGGACUGGGUGAGGUAUUUAUGAAAUAACUUCCAUGCUCACUGUUGUUUCUCUUAUUCUUAAACUCCAAGGAUGAUUCUUCAUGAAUGCUUAAAAUUCCUCUAGGAUUGUCUCUCAAGUUUAUUUUAUCUAUCCACUCAAUGGUGAUAGCACAUGGAUUUUUAAUGCCCUCUAGCCAUUGAUGUUGCUCUUCUCGAUUCUCCUUCUUAUGCAUGGGAUGUCUAGAGAGAUUCAUAGGAUUAUCGGGAGGUUCAAGAGAAAAAGCAUAGUAGAAAAAGCAUAGUAGAAAAAGCAUAGUAGAGACUCAAAGUUAUCUCAGCAAACCGUCUUUCUCCCCGGCAACGGCGCCAGAAAUGCUAGUUGAUAUUUGGUAACGCAAUAAGGAAACGAUCCGCAAGCGCAGGGAUAUCGGUGAGCAUUUCACCCGGGAGGUUAUCCAGAGUUAUCGUAUUUAUAUUUUUACCACUGGGAGAAAGGGUGCAUCUGACUAACCAAAUCUAUUGCUACUAUCCCUUUAGGCUACAAAGAAUGUCUUUCGAUAUGAGUGAUAAAUAGAGAAGACUGCAACCGUAGUCUCCUUCUAACCUUGGUAAGGAUAAUCUACUGUUCUAAUGGGGAGGCUAACGGAAUCUAGACACCACAAAGGAUGUUCAACCCGCACCUAUAAACCCUAUCCUUCCUGCUAACGAGAUGUGAUCUGCAAAGGAAACUCGGAAUUGUCACGUUCCUCACUACUACCACGGUCCAGCUAGUCAGGGAAUAUCUAUGAGUACCCCAGCCUAAACACCACGUUUACGCCAGCAAUGAUUACUCUAAACUCUACGCGAAGAGAUUAAAGUAAACUCAUAAACCAUAAGAACAAUAAAACAAGAACUUACUAGAAUUUAGAAGUCGAAAUACUGAAGAAUCCUAGGAGCAAGCUUCGGGAUAGGAGAACUUGAUCCCGCAGGUACAAGCUUGGAGUAGACACCGACAGGCCGGGCUUCCUCCAAUCUACACCUCCACUCUAUCUCUCUCAAUCUAGUAGAAACUAGAAGAUCUAUUUCUACCUUACAUUGGUUGCUAAGCCUAAAAAGAAAUAUUAAUUAGAGAAGAGGUUUUCCUUCGAGGGCACCCCUCAAUCUCUAUGAUAAUUUCUUCAUGUCUUCUCCAGGGGCCAGGGGGGUCUCCUUAUAUAGUCCUCCACUUCUAUGCGUUUUUGGGUCGAUAGGCGAGGUGGUACUAUGUUUUCCUUGAUCCAAUAGGUCGGUGGAACAUCCCGAGCGAAGAGAGUCCAGGUCACCAGGGCGGGCGCCCAGGUCACCAGGGCGGGCGCCCUGGGCCUGGCCCCGUUUCGCCUCCGCUUCGGUCUCGUGGCUUCUGGAGUCUUCUAGAUGGUAGGAAAUUGCGCGGUGCGUUGAUAUCUCUAUGUAAUCCCGACAUGUGGGCCUUUCUUCCUUAUUUCCUGAUAACCCCCUGCAGAAAUAGACAAACACCAAAACUCGUGGAAUUCUGUCAGAUAAAACCCUAAGUCUAGAUGUUGAUUUCAUUUCGAUCCUUUUCUUUGUUUAUUUGAUAAUUAAAUUUGAUACUUAAGGACCGUCAACAGCGUUGAUAUGACACCCUUGCUGCAUAAUGACUACCUUGUCCAUCUCAUAUCUCACCUAAGUAGGUCCAGGAUCGAAAUAACGCUUAGCCAUGCUUAGCUCGGUAGAAGCCGGGUGAUUUCCUGUCACCUGCGAGAGUUAGGUGGAUGAUGAUCACGGUUGGCUAUAUUUGCUAUCGUGAAAAUAAACAUGAGCUAAUAAUGAACUUAAGACCGGGCGGGAUGACGAUAGUGCAGCAACAAGGCAUGGAGGUCUUGGGUGUGAAUCUAUCCCAGUCUGUGUCGUUUAAGGACCGAAUCGCUGUACGUCCCUGUGUCAUGUUGAACGCAUGCCUAUCUCUUAGUUGGCCGGAUAAGUCGUUCCGACCGUGAAGCCUACGAGUGCAUCUCCAGCCGGAUACCCCGUUCGGUUUAAGUGCGCACCCCGGUUGGUAGCAAGGAUGUGCGGGGAGUCAAUGGCGUAAGACCGAGGUGUCAGGUUAGAGCCCUGACCCUGGCAGAUUGGCGGUCCCUGGGGGUGCGGCGCUGUACGAACCCGCGAAUUGGUCCGGAGUUGUGCUAAAGGUGAUCCGAGCUGCCGUCAUGAAGUAUGCUUGGGUGAGUGUUAGGAAUACCCCUUCAGCUGGAUAGGAAUCGAUUCGAAUCGCCGUCUCUCCCAGAUAGUGAGAACUUGACUUGGGCAGCGGCAACGUAGAAUUCACUAAGUAAACAUAAUGGUUAUGAUGAGAAUGUUGAUAGCAAAGUGAUAAUCCGGAUAUGGUUAUUAUUGUGAUGCUUAAAUAUUCAAGUGUAUGCUUAGAACAGGUGCUAAUCUAGUGGAUAGUUGUUAAGUAAUAAACCUACUGCUGAAAUAUUAUUAAAUGGGUCACUUACAACAAAGGCUUUUUAUGCAAAAGGUGAGUCAAACCUGUCCACCAAGAUCAGCCUUGCAUACUCCUUGGUGUCACUUUAUUUCUAGUUUAUGACGGGUAAGUCUAGCUGAGUACCUUCUCGUACUCAGGAUUUUAUUUACCCCUGUUGCAGAUGAUGUCGUUUAUCAUGGCUACUGUGCUAACUGCCAUCAUCCGGCUGCGGACGAUGAAUAGAUCAUGGGCGUGAUCACCUUCUAUAUCUUCGGUUGUGCUUUUGUUGGGUUUGACCAUGGAACUGGCUUGUAAUAUAAACUGAGUGUGUGAUGUUCAAAACUACUUUGUUUCCGCUACUACUCUGGUUUGUAAUAACCACUUUUAAUCUCUGAUGUGAUGUAAAACUAUGUUCAGUGAUGAAUGUAUGUAAUCUGUGAUGGUGAUGCUUGAUCAUGUACGAUCUUGGUUGUAUGUUGGUUGAAUCGAGGUCUUUUGAAAUUUCGUCGGACUACGGGGUUUAUAUGGGUUCAAGUCCAUUGGCUUGACUGCCUCUGUGGUCGCUAAUUCACUUGAAUUCUUAUAAAUUGGACGGUUCUGUUACAGCUGGCAUCAGAGCAAGAUUAAGCAUUUAACCAUCAUAGAUGUAUUUAAAAACAAAUGAAUUUGGUUUCCACAAGCUAAUUUGGCAAAUUAGACUAUACAUAGGGCUGUUUAAAAAUUUCUUAAUAACUUAUACCAUGCCAGUGGUCAUACCCUUUAUGCCCAUAUAAGGACUUCUAGGUGGCUUAAUAUUACUAACAUGGGGGUUUUUCCUUUCGUCGUCCAUAUGGCGUAUAAUUAUAUGGAUACCGCUUACUUAAGUGGUAAUGAAUGGAUCACAUACCUCUAUGCCAUGGUAAGCUUUGUUUGUUUUCUUUCGUCAUCCAAACGGCGUGAAAUUGUAUGGAUGCCACUUGCUUGAGUGGUAACGUAUGGAUCUAUAUGCCUCUACGCUACGGUAAGUGUGAGCUGUGAGAGCAUGACCGUCCAACCGUCGGUCUAGGGGAGUGUUAGUUGUGGUUACUGGAAUAUUUACAUGUUUUACACAUGUAUAUAUGAAAGUACUUAAUUAUGGGUAGUAGGUGCAGCCAUGUAUACAUAUUUGAUGUAUAUGUGGGUGUAUCCAAAAUGGGUAGUGUGCUGCGAUAUAUAUUCAGGAAUAUAUAUCGGAGUACCUAGCUUGAUUGUUGAUGAUUGGAUUUACAUUUCUGCACAUAUACUAUUGUGGGGUUGGGCUGCAAUGAAAUUUUCUGCAGGUACACUAACAAUGAAACGUGUAGACUGUGCAGUUGCGUAUAAGGAGUGCAUGUAUGUAUGCCACCGACUAAACUGUUAGAACCUUCUUCUAGGAAUGGAAAGGACGUAUGGAACGUGCAUGCAUCAUGAAUCAUUCAUACAUUCCUUAUGCACUACUUAAGUAUUAAAUUCUAAAAUAUAUCUAUUUACCUUUCCUUGUAAUUAAUCUCCCUUACUCAAAUGUGGUCUUUCUACAGAUGGCAACCCCACACGCAAGUGAGACUUUCCUAGACAUGUUUGGCACUCCUACUUUGUUGUGGAGGGUGCUAAGCUCAGUUGGAUAUGAGGAACCACCAAAGUACACUUGGACCGAGUCUGAGCCUUACCUUGGGUGAUGUCUAAAUUACAGUUCCCCCUUGUCCAAAUAACCCACAGUGGCUAGGUUGGAUAGUAGACUGCGAUGGCCAAACUCCUUGGGAGGGUGCCCAAGUAGCAGCCUUAGAAGUAUUGCUGGAUAUAUGCUAAGAUUAUGGUGAUGAGCUAGUGAAUGGACCAGCUCGAUCCAUCCCUAGAGUGAGUGUGACUGACACAUUUGUGUCUCAGAUAGGAAAUGAGCCUUUAGAGAUGAGAGAAACCAUGCUAGGAUACAGCUCUAGCCCUGCCAUGAGUGCCAUGCUUGUGGUACUUAAGCUGUACUAUGUACGCCAGGACACCUACAUAGAUGCCAUGCUAGCACUCCAACAAGCUCAAGUUGGGCAGCGCAAACUGCGCAAGCGUGUGCGCAAGCACCGCAAGGCUUUUAGGGAUGCACAAGCUGAAAUCCAAAACUAUCACACCGCUUUGCAAGCCGGCCGCAACCAAGUUGAAAACGCAGUUAGGGAGCAAUGAGGCACAAGCCCGCAUGAUGCAAAUGACUAGAGAGAGAGAUGAGGCUAUGCGUUUGGCAGAGAAUAGAGAAGCUGCUAGAGUUAGAGCUUUGUUCCAUGCUGAAAUUAGAGAUGAAGAACUGAUCACUAGGAUUGCUGAGCUGCAGUUAGAUGUCCAUCGCCUAAAUAAUAUCAUAAAUCCUAUCCCACAUCCUGUCCCCUUUAAUCAUGAAGAAGCUCCAAGUGAGGAAGAUCAGGAUGAUGGCAUAAUUUCUAAUGGUGAAUCUUAGGAAGAUAUGUAGCCUAGUAGUGAUUCCAUGUUCAUGUAUCAGUUUCCAUCUCUUUAUGUAAUAAACUUCUAAUCUGUAAUUGGCCAUGGUGCCCUUUCUAUAGGACUUAAGUUGUGGCAAUGACUCUAUGUAACCCUAUACACUCAAUUGUGAUGCUCCAUAUUUAUGUUAAGCUUAAAUAAUUUCUCCCUGCAAUGACUUAAUCGUUGUGAAUUGUGGCUGUGAAUGAUCGCGAGAAUAACCAAGUGUCGUGGAUGAUAUUCUCUUGUUGUACAUGGAUUAUUGUGCCUUAAAUUAUGUGAAUUUAUUUCAUUAAAUUCCGUAUAGCAGCGAUUGAGGUUCAUGGCAAUUAUAUCUGUUGUCCUAAACGGUCACUUGGUAUGCCUUUUGCAGAUGGCUCGCAAUACUCGCUCCGGUCACAAUGAGUUGCCGCCACCACCACCUCCUCCCCUACCUACGCCUACUGAGCUCUUGGCAGCUCUUGUUGAGGGCCAGCGAAUGCUCAAUGAAGCUAUGCAGACCAUGGCGCAGCAAAACCGGGGUGGUCACCAUGUCCGUCAAGGUGGAGAGGCAAAUCAACACAGUAGUUUCAAAGAUUUCCAGGACACAAAGCCGCCACUUUUUAAGGAGGCUGUUGAACCUCUAGAAGCUGAUGAGUGGCUGAACACUCUCGAGCAGAAGUUCUGCUUGCUGAGGGUGACGGAGGAGCUAAAGGCGGAAUAUGCAGCCCACCAGUUGGAGGGCAAAGCAGGUGUCUGGUGGAGUCAUUAUAGGACCAGCUUGCCUGUUGUGACCAGGGAUCAGUUCAAAACUGCUUUCAGGAACACCUAUAUUCCACAAGGCUUGAUGACUAUCAAGCACACUGAGUUCAUGAACUUGACACAGGGCACUAAAAGCUUGAUUGAGUAUCUUCAUGCUUUUAAUAAUUUGUCUCGCUAUGCUCCCGAAAUGGUUGACACCGAAGCCAAGAAGCUUGCUAGUUUCAAGAAGGGUUGGGACCCAAGUUGUCCAAGAACAUGGCUGGUAACAAGAGUACCACCUUUAAUGAGUUUGUGAGUGAUGCAUUGACUCAAGAGAACUCCAAUGCCGUGUAUGCCGCGUCCAAGAACCGCAAGAGGGCCUAUGAGGCAGGUGCUUCACAGUCCAAGGCUCCAGCGACGAAUAAGCCGGCCUAUCGCCCACCAAAUGCUGUGACAAGGUAUAGGCCGCCGCAGAAGAUGUCAAAUGUGAAGACGGGAGUUCGCAAGUCCUUCACAGUUGCUCUUCCAAGAGGUGUCACAGGCCAAGGAGGUCCCAAGACUCCCCCUGAUAACCGUCCCUGCUUUAACUGCAAACAAGUUGGUCAUUGGGUGAGAGAUUGCCCUUAUCCCAAGAGGAAUUCUGCAGCUGGAGGUAACAACCGUACUGGCCGAGUGCACUAUAGCACUGUUGAAGAAAUCCCUGAAGGUGAAGAGGUCACCGCUGGUAUGUUUCUUGUUAAUCAACACCCUGUAGUUGUCUUGUUUGAUUCUGGGGCUUCGCAUUCAUUUAUGAGUCAAGCAUUCGCAUCUAAGCAUGGAUAACAUGUAGUUGAUCUUGACAGUGGCAAGUUCUGCAUUAGUGCUGCUAGGAACCAAAUUUCCACAAACCAAUUAGUAAAGGAUGUGAAUAUUGCUAUUGAGGGUCGUAACUUUUCAGCAAACCUUGUAAUUUUGCCGGGAUUGGGCAUAGAUGUUAUCUUAGGGAUGAAUUGGAUGAGCAAUAAUGGGGUGCUAAUAGACACCUCCACGAGGGUAGUCAUGUUGCGAGAGCCUGAUAGCAAAGAAGCCUUCUUAGUUCAGCUUCCCAAGAAUGAUGACAUCCGUCAUGCUGCCAAUGCUAUUAGACCACUCGCUGUGGCAGAGAUUCCUGUAGUGUGUGAGUUUCCGGAUGUCUUUCCUGAGGAUCUGCCCGGUUUGCCACCGGACAGGGACAUAGAGUUUAAAAUUGAUCUAAUUCCGGGUACCACACCUAUCUCUAGAAGGCCAUAUCGAAUGCCACCCAACGAAUUGGCAGAAUUGAAAAAGCAAUUGCAAGAACAUCUCGAGAAAGGUCUUAUUCGGCCUAGUUCUUCUCCAUGGGGUUGUCCGGCUCUCUUUGUCAAGAAGAAGGAAAAGUCUCUACGUAUGUGUGUAGACUAUCGUCCGCUCAAUGCCGUGACUGUUAAAAACAAGUAUCCACUGCCUCGCAUUGAUAUCCUGUUUGAUAAAUUAGCCAAGGCCAAAGUAUUCUCCAAGAUUGAUCUGAGAUCUGGGUAUCAUCAAAUCAAGAUCCGACCUGAAGACAUUCCUAAAACGGCUUUCUCUACCAGGUAUGGGUUAUAUGAGUAUCUAGUCAUGUCCUUUGGUCUGACUAAUGCCCCUGCUCAUUUCAUGUACCCGAUGAAUUCGGUGUUCAUGCCUGAACUGGAUAAGUUUGUAGUGGUGUUCAUCGAUGAUAUAUUGGUGUAUUCUAAAAAUGCACAAGAACAUGAGAAGCAUCUUCGGAUUGUACUCACUAGAUUGCGAGAACAUCAGCUCUAUGCCAAGUUCAGCAAGUGUGAGUUUUGGCUGAAGAAAGUGCCUUUCCUAGGCCAUAUUCUAUCCGAAGAGGGUAUUUCGGUUGACCCAUCAAAGGUGUAGGAGGUUCUAGACUGGAAGGCCCCAACUUCAGUGCACGAGGUUCGGAGUUUUCUCGGUCUAGCUGGAUAUUAUCGUCACUUUAUUCCGGAUUUCUCCAAAAUAGCUAAUCCUAUGACCAAGCUACUGCAAAAAGAUGUGAAGUUUGUGUGGUCCCAGGAGUGUGAAGUCGCUUUCACCACUUUACGUCAUUUGCUGACCACCGCUCCUAUUCUGGCACAGCCUGACAUUGAAAAGCCAUUUGACGUCUUUUGUGAUGCUUCUGGCACUGGCCUAGGUUGUGUGCUUAUGCAAGAAGGCCGAGUUAUUGCCUACGCCUCUCGGCAGUUGCGGAAACAUGAAGCCAACUACCCAACUCAUGAUCUAGAGUUAGCAGCAGUUGUACAUGCGUUGAAACUCUGGAGGCAUUAUCUGUUAGGUAAUCUAUGUCACAUUUACACUUUCCAUAAGAUCCUCAAAUACAUAUUCACUCAGCCCAAGUUGAACAUGAGACAAAGAAGAUGGUUGGAAUUUAUAAAGGACUAUAACCUUGAAGUACACUAUCAUCCAGGUAAAGCCAAUGUUGUAGUCGAUGCUCUCAGUCAGAAAGAACAUGUUAAACCUCUUCUAGAGGAAGGCUUCAAUUUAUUGCAUCCAGUGGUCCUACACAACAUCUUAGUCAGCUGCUCGUUAGAGAGUCAAAUCAUAGAGCUCCAAAAGUCUGAUCCUGGUAUUUUCCAUAUCAAAAGAAAAAUGCAAGAGCAAGACACCAAGCAUUUCAGGGUAGAUGAGAAGGGUGUACUGUGGUUUGACGAUCGAUUAGUUGUACCUAAAGACCGUGACCUACGCAACAAAAUUUUAGAUGAAGCUCAUUCUUCCAAGUUGUCCAUUCAUCCGGGAAGUAGCAAAAUGUACCAAGACUUGAAACCUCGUUUCUGGUGGACCAAGAUGAAGAAGGAGAUAGACCAAGAUGAAGAAGGAGAUAGCAGCUUAUGUUGCUAGGUGUGAUACUUGCUGCAGGGUAAAAGCAGUUCACCUCAAAACUGCAGGUUUGUUACAACCGUUGUCAGUUCUAGGUUGGAAAUGGGAAGAAAUCAGCAUGGAUUUCAUUGUCAGCCUUCCCCCUACCCAAAAGGGACACGACUCCAUAUGGGUGAUUGUUGACCGUUUGACCAACUCAGCUCACUUUAUUCCCGUACGUUCUACAUACCGACCAUCCGACUAUGCUGAGCUGUACUUCUCUCAGAUUGUCAGACUGCACGGAGUGCCUCACACUAUUAUUUCUGAUAGAGGUCCAUAGUUUACUGCCCGCUUUUGGGAGCAUCUGCAUUCACUCCUUGGUACGAAAUUGAUUCGCAGUUCAGCAUACCAUCCUCAAACCUCCGGUCAGACUGAGCGUGUGAAUCAAAUUUUAGAGGAUAUGUUGAGGGCAUUUGUUAUAUCUUCCAAGGGUGCAUGGGAGAAAUGGCUACCCUUAGCUGAAUUCUCUUACAACAAUAAUUAUCAAGAGAGUAUCCAAAUGGCUCCUUUUGAAGCUUUAUAUGGCCGCAAGUGUAGAACUCCUCUAAACUGGGUCGAACCUGGCGAAAGGAGGUACUAUGGGAUUGACUUUGUCAAAGAAGCCGAAGAGCAAGUUCUCAUUAUCCAGCAACACAUGAGAGCCGCCCAGGCUAGGCAGAAAAGCUAUGCUAACCGAAGAAGAAAACCACUCUAGUUCGAAGUAGGUGACUUUGUGUACCUAAAGGUAUCGCCCAUGAAGGGAGUAAAUCACUUUGGCGUAAAAAGAAAACUUGCCCCUAGGUAUGUGGGUCCCUACCAAAUCAUUGAGAAGAGCGGCAAGGUAGCUUACAAAGUACAACUACCCCCAGAAAUGAGAGCUAUUUUCCCCGUAUUCCACGUGUCUCAACUCAAGAAGUGUCUUCGUGUGCCCGAAGAGAGAGUUGAAACAAGAGAUAUCAAGUUGCAGUCCGAUCUAUCCUACGAAGAAAAGCCUGUACAAGUUCUUGAUAUCAAGUAAAGGGUUACUCGUGGGAGAGUAAUCAAACUUUUUAGAGUUUUGUGGAAUCGUCAAAGUGAGAGAGAUGCCACUUGGGAAAGGGAAGACUAUUUACAAGUAACCUAUCCCUCAUUCUACGAAAAAUGGUACGUCUUUCAAAUCUCGGGAUGAGAUUUUUGUAAGGGGGGAGGGCUGUAACACUUCUAGUGUUAGCUUGCAUGUUAACCAUGAGCAUUGCAUCAACAUAAGCAUCAUCAUGCUCAUUCAUAAACAUACAUCAUGAUCACAUGUCAUCUUAUGUGUCCCAUGUAUGAUUAAAUUACUUGUGUGGCUUGAUUUGAGUGACUUUAGUAGGUGACCAAUGCAUACAAGUAUACAUUGUCUUCCAAAAUACUUUAAUUAUGUUUAGAACAACAUUUUGAACAAAGUUCAUGUUGGAGGUUUUGGCCAAAAAUGUCUCUAAGCCAUGGUUAACCCUAGGUUGCCCUAAUUGUCCCCCUAGACCUCUUUCCAAAGUUGUUUUAUGAAACUGGUGUUAGAUACUUUGCAUGUAAAUGACACCUGAAACAAAGUUGUAGAGAAUUUCAUAAGCUACAAAAGUUAUGUUGAUGACUUUUUAUGAAAAAGCAUAGAACAAAUCCAAAAUUUAUUCACAAGCCAAAAAUCAGGGCUGAUUUCACACUUAGCCGAAUUUGGCUAAGUCUUGAAUCACACAGUUUCGAGGUAGGGUUGUUGGCAACGUUGUAGAUUGAAAUCCAGACCGAUUUAGACUGAGCUCGUGUAAUCAAACUUGUAGAACUCGUGUAGCUCUAUCCAGAGGAUCAAAUUCGAGCCAAAACCAUUGAUUGAGCUGAGAGUAAGACGUUGUUAAACUUCAGGAUUCAGUCAUUGCAAUCGGCGUUUCAGAAAAACGUUUCAGACUAGACAGAGCUCACCCGCCGCCGCGUGUCCGGCCACCUGUCGGCCGUACGCCGUUGACGGCCCCCUCUGUCAGCUCCCACGGUGUCCACAAGUCACCACGCACCGAGUGGAUGCCUCAGACGUGACCUUCUCGCUCAGAGCCUCCCAUUUCGCUCCGCCAUUGCCACAGCGAGCUCCGCCGCGCUUCGGCGAGCUUUCCCGGCCGUUCCUCCGCGUCUCCGGCCGAGCCAGUCCGCCCAGAGCUCCACCUCGACGUCCUCCACCUUGGCGUCACCUCCUUGGCCACUGUCGAGCACAGGUGAGACGGCAUUGCCGAGCUCCGAGCCGUUCUCCCUCGUCGGAGUUCCACCCGAGCUCACCGGCGACGUGGCCAGGCCUCUCUGCUCCACCAUUUCCCUCCAUUCUUGUUUCUAUCGCUUUCCCUUGGCUCACUGAUGCUCGGCGUGAAGCUCUACCGCAUCGCCAUUGCCUAGAUCCGCCGGCGUAACGCCGCGCAGCGCCGCCGAGCCGCCAUUCCCGACGGCGUGGGUCCCGGGUGUCAGUCUCUCCCUCUCACAUCCCUGGUUCACUGUUUGCAGAUCCUGUGUUGAUUUUGUAAAAUUCAUAUCUCGAGUUUUAUAGGUCCAAAUGACAUGGUUCCAAUUUUGCUAGGUUCCUGUAUAAGUCUAGUUUGUAAUAAAAAUAUGAAACAUGCCAUAUUUUUGCAGAAAUAAAUAGAUAUAAUUUAAUCUUGUUUUAUUAGGAGGUAAUUAUAUCUUGAGAUCUGUUGAUCUGUUGACUAUGUAAAUUUAGGGUGUUGUUACUUAUGAUAUGAAUGGGCUCUGAUAAAUUUAUCAUGAUUUUUGGAAGCCUGAUUGCGAAGUUAUAAUUAUUUAUUGUUUAAAUAGGAGUUCCUUGUGGUAUUUUUAAUAAAUAAGUUAUAACUCCUUUUGUGGUAAAACUUGCUGAGUGUUGUACUCAUGUGUAAACAAAGCUAGGAAAAAUCUAAAAUCUAUUGUUUGACACUUGUUGAUAGGGUUUCACAUUUAUGCCUUGCAUGCCUUUGUUAGCUUGUUAUUUUUAUAUCUCACAAUCUGUAUGUGCAAAUAUCCUGAAAAUUUUACAUUAAGCUUAUGUUAGCAUAAGUAGCUUGCUGUAAUUUUCUCAGAAGUUUUGGAACACUUGGAAUGCAUGAUCGUUAAAUCACCUUAAUAGUUAAAUAAAUGAAAAAGGUGAUGAUAGAAAUAAGUCCAGCCCUUGCCAUGAUGUUUUCUAGUGUUUUUUAGAUAUGUUCUACCUACUGGUGCAUUUGGAUUGACCCUUUAAUACAAUCUUGUUAUGUGCAAAAUAUUAUUUUUGCUAUUUAUGCCUUUCUUAGAGUAAUCCUGUGUAGCUAAUAGCAAUUGCUUAAGAACUAAUUGAAGAUGAUGUUUUCUGGGAAACUUGUCUACAACAAACUUGUAGCUAACUUGCUUAUCUACUUCGUGUCUAAUUUUUAUGACAUUUGGUUGAGUAGUUUAAAUGUUAUGAAUGUUACAAGUAGCUUCUGCAAAGUGCUUGCUCUCUGGAUUUUCCAGGGCAGCCAGCCAACUUUGUAUGUUUUAGCAUAUUUCGGUUGGGAAUCAUUCUGGGAUGUCUAAAAGUGAAUUGUAGACAAUUUGCUAAGCUUUCCAGAGAGUAUCUACUUCCUUAGUUUGGCCAACUGAUGCUUAAGUUAUAGCUGAAACUUUUGACAAGUUGGUUUGUCUAUGAAACCAGUGACUAAGUAGGAAUAGCUAAGGUUGAUUAACUUGUCUCGUUAGCCUCUCUACCAGAGAAGAAGUAUGCACUUACUUGUUAUUCUAUAAUCCACUUAACUUUAGGAGCUUAUGCUCAUGUUUAUACCUGGUUGUGUGUUCUUUAGUUCUUCAUCAUGUCAUCAUGCUUCAUAUGUGCAUUCUCUAUAUUUAUUCCCUUGUCAUGCAUACAUAAGUGUACCCAAGGGCGUGAUGGUUCUGGAGUUGGAGCUGCCAGAAUCAGAAGGUCAACAAGGAGAGCCACCUCAAGGAGCUGAGGAGGAGGAGGACUUGCCGGAGUGUCCCGACCAUCGCCCGUCCACCUACGUUGAAGGCAAGCCCCGGAGCAUUAUAAGCCUCCCACUAUUUUAUUAUCAUGUUCAGCUAUCAACUGACUAUGGUCAUAUAUUGUUGCAUUAAGUGUUAGGCAUUGAUAUGACACCCUUGUUGCAUAAUGACUACCUUGUCCACCUCAUAUAUCACCUAAGUAGGUCCAGGAUCGAAAUAAUGCUUAGCCAUGCUUAGCUCGGUAGAAGCCGGGUGAUUUCCUGUCACCUGCGAGAGUUAGGUGGAUGAUGAUCACGGUUGGCUAUAUUUGCUAUCGUGGAAAUAAACAUGAGCUAAUAAUGAACUUGAGACCGGGCGGGAUGACGAUAGUGUAGCAACAAGGCAUGGAGGUCUUGGGUGUGAAUCUAUCCCCGUCUGUGUCAUUUAAGGACCGAAUCGCUGUACGUCCCCGUCUCAUGUUGAACGCAUGCCUAUCACUUAGUUGGCCGGAUAAGUCGUUCCGACCGCGAAGCCUACGAGUGCAUCUCCGGCUGGAUACCCUGUUCGGUUUAAGUGCGCACCCCGGUUGGUAGCAAGGAUGUGCGGGGAGUCAAUGGUGUAAGACCGAGGUGUCAGGUUAGAGUCCUGACCCUGGCAGAUUGGCGGUCCCUGGGGUUGCGGCGCUGUACAGACCCGCGAAUUGCUACGGAGUUGUGCUAAAGGUGAUCCGAGCUGCCAUCAUGAAGUAUGCUUGGGUGAGUGUUAGGAAUACCCCUCCAGCUGGAUAGGAAUCGAUUCGAAUCGCCGUCUCUCCAGGAUAGUGAGAACUUGAAUUGGGCAGCGGCAACAUAGAAUUCACUAAGUAAACAUAAUGGUUAUGAUGAGAAUGUUGAUAGCAAAGUGAUAAUCUGGAUAUGGUUAUUAUUGUGAUGCUUAAAUAUUCAAGUGUAUGCUUAGAACAGGUGCUAAUCUAGUGGAUAGUUGUUAAGUAAUAAACCUACUGCUGAAAUAUUAUUAAAUGGGUCACUUACAACAAAGGCUUUUUAUGCAAAAGGUGAGUCAAACCAAUCCACCAAGAUCAGCCUUGCAUACUCCUUGGUGUCACUUUAUUUCUAGUUUAUGACGGGUAAGUCUAGCUGAGUACCUUCUCGUACUCAGGGUUUUAUUUACCCCUGUUGCAGAUGAUGUCGUUUAUCACGGCUACUGUGCUAACUGCCAUCAUCCGGCUGCGGACGAUGAAUAGAUCAUGGGCGUGAUCACCUUCUUUAUCUUCGGUUGUGCUUUUGUUGGGUUUGACCAUGGAACUGGCUUGUAAUAUAAACUGAGUGUGUGAUGUUCAAAACUACUUUGUUUCCUCUACUACUCUGGUUUGUAAUAACCACUUUUAAACUCAGAUGUGAUGUAAAACUAUGUUCUGUGAUGAAUGUAUGUAAUCUGUGAUGGUGAUGCUUGAUCAUGUAUGAUCUUGGUUGUAUGUUGGUUGAAUCGAGGUCUUUUGAGAUUUCGUCGGACUACCGGGUUUAUAUGGGUUCAAGUCCAUUGGCUUGACUGCCUCUGUGGUCGCUAAUUCACUUGAAUUCUUAUAAAUUGGACGGUUCUGUUACAUACUUAGCCCAAACCAGUAUAAUUCUCUGUGUUCCACUUGUAUCACCAUUAGGGUUUAGGAGGACACGCAGACUUAUCACUCGUUAGUGUCUAGACGACGAUUCUAGACGCCAAGACUACUACUACUAGGAUUAUUAUGGUGAUGUACUGAUUCCCCUUCAUCUUUUCGAACGACGGCACAAGAAAUAUAACCAAGGAAGGCUACUAGAAAUGGAGAUCAUCGGACUGCAAAUGGAGAUUGCAAAAUUCAUCUUGUCUGAAGUACUUUCAAAAGAUGGAUCAUAUUCCAUUACACAAUUCCAAAACUACAAUGACCAAUUUGGGUGAGAGCAGAUUGCUAGGCUCUUGUAAUUUCUUUUUUAGUAUUAGUGAUCGAGAUCUUGUAUACAACACUUGAAUUGUAAGUGUACCAGAUAUUGUCAUGACUUUUGUUCUUUUGAUCUUUUUUAGACCAUUUGAAUUAAAAUGGCCAACUAGAACCCAAAAUAUUAGAAAACUAAAUUAAAAAAAACAUAAAACCUAUGUGUCACUGCUAGCUAGAGUGAACCGACAGUGUUGAUGACCAAGAGCACUGCCGAAUAACAACUAGAACCGGCAGUGUUGGCUCAAGCUAACACUGCCGGUUCUUGUGAUAGCUGGCAAUGUUGAUGGCCAAGAGCUGGUGGGUAGCUACCAGAACCGGCAGUGUUGGCUGUCGCUAACACUGCCGGUUUUUGUUACAGCCAGCAGUGUUGUUUGCAAUAACAUUGUCGGUUGGCUACCUGAACCGGCAGUGUUGGUGAUAGAUAACACUGUCGGUUGUUUGUGUGCUCCGACAGUGUUAUGGACGAUCACUGCUGGUUUAUAGAAAUCAAUAGUGUUUUGGUCUCCACAUCAUUGCCGCUUUGGUACUGCUGAUUCAAAAUCAGCAGUGAUCGUAUCUGUAGUAGUGAAUGAGGAGGAUGAGAAAGGAUGACACACAUGAUGUAGAUGAUGACGUCCUGGCUUACUAGUUUCUCUCUUAACACUGCUAAUGUUCACGAAGGAGCCUAAGAAACAUGUGAUGAUGAGGCACUUGGCCGAUGAGCUUGACCAGAGGACUAUCAAUACUAUGUUCUAUACAAACAUCAGCUCAGAGGUAAGACACCUUUGGGUUGCACUGAGCACAUAUAGGAUGAAUCCUUUCAACCAGGUCAAAAGCAACCAUAGCACUUGGCCAGUGACACUUUAUAUAUAGAACCUUCUACCUUAACUCUGUAUGAAGCAGUCAUACAUCCAGAUGGUGCUACUGAUCCAAGGGCCAAAACCACCAGGGAAUGACAACGACACAUUCCUAGAACCAAUGAUUGAUGAACUUGUACAGUUACUACAAUCACCGAUCUGCCAGGGCGACGUUGCCUGUCAAGACAGAACACAAAAGGGUAUAUGAAUGCGUCGAGUGCUUAGACGACACCAAUGUGGUACAUCUAAAGAAUAACUCAAAAGUUAUUUAUAUGGGACACCAUAAGUUCCUGCAUAUGGACCACCCGUACCGUAGAAACAAAAAAGAUUUUGAUGGCACUGUUGAUAGACGCAAGCCUCUAGAGUAUGGAGGUGUAGGACUCAAAGAAUGAACCAUUUGCACAUUUGCAAUCACAAGUGGCGGUGUUGAAUUUGUACGCACUCCUCAUAACAUAUUAUUUUUUGAUUAUACAUAUCCCUUUCUAAUGUUUCACCUUUUAACUAUUUAUUAUAAUAUUGCACAGUAUUUGAAAAAGGCAUAUAGGAGGGACGCAAACCAAUUUCAAGGUUGUUGAAAUGCAAGACAUUCCAUACUUCAACCGGCGGGAAACAAUUAGUGUGGGUUCUAUGUGAUGUGGGCAACGCUUUCUUACAUCGGAGUCAAUACGAAAGAGGGAGAUAACUUGGUGAGUAGUGGUAUUAUUAUUAUUAUUAUUAUUAUUAUUAUUAUUAUUAUUAUUAUUAUUAUUAUUAUUAUUAUUAUUAUUAUUAUUAUUAUUAUUAUUAUUAUUAUUAUUAUUAUUAUUAUUAUUAUUGUUGUUGUUGUUGUUGUUGUUGUUGUUGUUGUGGUUGUUGUUGUUGUUGUUUUGUCGUCGUUGUUAUUGUUGUUGUUGUUGUUAUUAUUAUUAUUAUUAUUAUUAUUAUUAUUAUUAUUAUUAUUAUUAUUAUUAUUAUUAUUAUUAUUAUUACUACUACUACUACUACUACUACUACUACUACUACUAUUAUUAUGGUGAUGUACUUAUUCCCCUUCAUCUUAUCGAACGACAGCGCAAGAAAUAUAACCAUUGAAGGCUACUAGAAAUGGAGAUCGUCGGACUGCAAAUGGAGAUUGCAAAAUUAAUCUUGUCUAAAGUACUUUCAAAAGAUGGAUCAUAUUCCAUUGCAUAAUCCCAAACCUACAAGGACGAAUUUGGGCCAGAAUGGAUCGCUAGGCUCUUGUAAUUUUUUUUUUAAUUUUAGUGAUCGAGAUCUUGUAAACAACACUUGAAUUUGUCAUAUCUAUUGUUGUUUUGAUCUUUUUUAGAACAUUUUAAUUAAGAUGGCCAACUAGAACUCAAAAUAUUAGAAAACCAAAUUAAAAAACCCUAAAACCUACAUGUCACUGCCAGCUAGAGUGAACCGGCAGUGUUGAUGACCAAGAGCACUGCCGAAUAGCAACUAGAACCGGCAGGGUUGGCUCAAGCUAACACUGCCGGUUCUUAUGCUAGCCAGCAGUGUUGAUGGCCAAAAGCACUGCCGGGUAGCUACCUGAACCGGUAGUGUUGGCUGUCAGCUAACACUAUCGAUUCUUGUUGCAGCCGACAGUGUUGUUUGCAAUAACAGUGUCGGUUGGCUACCUAAACCAGCAGUGUUAGUGACGGAUAACACUAUCGGUUGUUUGUGUGCUCCGGCAGUGUUGUGGACGAUCACUGUUGGUUUAUAGAAACCGAUAGUGUUUUGGUCUCCACAUCACUGCCUCUUUGGUACUGCUGGUUCAAAAUCCAGCAGUGAUAGGUGUUACAAACCGGCAGUGAUCGGAUCUGUAGUAGUGAAUGAGGAGGAUGUCAUGCAUGCUGAAGAUGAUGACGUCUUGGCUUACUAGUUUCUCCCUUAACACUGCUAAUGUUCAUGAAGGAGCGUAAGAAAGAUGUUAUGAUGAGGCACCUAGUCGAUGGGCUUGACUAGAGGACUAUCAAUGCUAUGUUCUAUAAAAACAUCAGCGGAGAGGUAAGACACCUUUGGGUUGCAUUGAGCACAUAUAGGAUGAAUGUUUUCGACCAGGUCAGAAGCAACCAUAGCACUUGGCCUAUGACACUUUGUAUAUACAACCUUCUACCUUAUCUCUGUAUGAAGCGGUCAUACAUCCAGAUGGCAGUACUGAUCCAAUGGCCAAAACAACUAGGGAAUGACAUCGACAUGUUCCUAGAACCAAUGAUCGAUGAACUUGUGCAGUUGUUUAACAAGGGUGUGGAGCAUGUUUGGGAUGAGUACAAAAAGGAACAUGAUCAAGGUAGUGCUUAUCGCUACAAUCACCGAUCUGCCAGGGCAACGUUGCCUGUCAAGAGAGAAGACAAAAGGCUAUAUGGAUGCGUCGAGUGCUUAGACGACACCAAUGUGGUACAUCUAAAGAAUAACUCAAAACUUAUUUAUAUGGGACACCAUAAGUUCUUGCCUACAGACCAACCGUACCAUAGAAACAAAAAAAGAUUUUGAUGGCACUGUUGACAGACGCAGGACUCCAAACUAUGGAGGUCUAGGACUCGAAGAAGGAACCAUUUGCACAUUUGCAACCUUGGCGGUGUUGAAUUCGUAUGCGCUCCUCAUAACAUAUUAUUUUCUGAUCAUACAUAUCCCUUUCUGAUGAUUCACCUUUUAACUAUUUAUUAUAAUAUUGCACCGUAUCGAGGAUAUCAAUGAGGGGGUACCCCAGUAGACAUCCCAAAAAGAAGCAAAGGUCCCACCUGCUCUGACAGGGGUAAAAAGCCCGGCAUACAGCCAUCCAAGGCCAGCUCAAGAACAGGCCUCGACGUCUCACCAACCAUGUGCUAAUCGUGACCUUGACUCGACAUACCAAGAAUGCUUGUAGCAUACCGAUCGACGUAACACUCAUCAACGGAAAAUAGCUCAAGUGAACGCCUAAACCUCGAGAUCACACAUCCCUUGAUUGCGGAAUCAAGGUCGAGCGAACCGCGCUGCCUCAAGUGUGGGACGCACCCCCUCUGCCAGCCGUUAGUAUGGAUUCUAGAGCAUUUAAUGCGACUGACAAGCCCCCACUUAACGCCAUGGCGGCCAAAGCUGUGAUGAUGGGUCGUACUCCCAUCAGGUCACAGUUUUUAUCAGCUUUAUCUUGAAACCCAGGAAAGGGUACGCGCCAGUACUGUAACGGACAGUGUAACAUCCCAUCGGGCAACCCCUCAAGACGUAAUGGUCAACACUUCCUUCACCGGGCCCUACCCGGUCGGCCUGAACCUCGAGGCCAUCGGACACUUCACAGGGAAGGAGUUGUGAUGCGACAUGUUGGCCCAAUCUUCAGGACGUAGGAAGAACACCAAUAACUAUCCGAAGAACAGCCGGAUAACUUGCUCCAAGCAGCGAUAACUAGUGAACCUGGCAAAUAAAACUCGAAACCAACCACCAUCUUUAACCGGCAAUCUGAAUCGAGGAUUCGCCCAACCACACUCUCAAAGAACCAACCAACACAACCUACAAUCAAUCAAGGAAUACCUUGAAGGGAGUAGGAGCACCAAUUGGGAGCGGAUGAAGCCACCGCCUAUGUAAUCCCGUGAGGAAAUCACAAGAGCAAGGGGUAGAGAUCACUCUCUGAAUAUUUGUUAGCACAUAGCUAAACAAAAGGGGUUUUGUAUUUCAAUUAUCAAAAGUCUUAGAUUACAAAGAGUCUUAGGGGGUACUUAUACUAGCAACAGCCGUGCUAGGUUGGUAUGAAAACGAAAUAGUGUUUCUGAGGGAAGGCAAUGUGAAAGGUCCCCUCGGAAUGGAUUCUCGAACUGGCUUCGCGUGACUGUUGGCCUCCAGAGCAGUUUCCAAUAAACUGAACAUAACUUCUUAUUGGGUAGACCAAAUGAUGAACCGUUUCUUGGGUGUGAAACUAGACUCAAAGGGCUUUCCAUAAAUGUAUGCCAACCAGCAUGAAACAUUGCAGAUUGGUACAGUUUUACUUAGCAAGUUGUACCAACAUUCUGUCACGACACACUGUUGACCAUCUGAGCAAUCUAUACUAAUUCUAGUCUGUAGGCAAUAUGUUGUAUCCAAACUGGUCGCCACUAGAUUCAUUGGAAAGUAGACUCAACAGUCUUUCCAACAAGUCCUCAUGGACCUUCAUAGCCUUUGUGAGUAAAAAGUUAUUAAGAUUUCUUUGCACUGGUCCAUUCUUGACUCUACUGGUCCGUUUUUAACUCUUCUGGUCCGUUUGGCUAGUGUUGCACUGGUCCGUUAUUUAGGGUCCGAUUCAUCAUUCUCUUCUUCUAUAUACCUGAGUACAAUCAAGGUACAACACUUAGGUAGUAUAUAAUUCUCAUUGAUGUUAAAAUGAAUCUCACAAUGUAGCGCGUGGACCUCUUGUUGUAGCUUCUUUGCACGACUACGUGUAAUCGUUCCAUCGAUGACUUGGGUUGGUGUCGGGGUAGGUGAAACUUGAGUUGGUGUAGCUUACAUGGAGCUUGUGACAUCUUGCUUGGUAGCGUGGUCAUAUCAUCCUCCCCCUCUUGAAAAGUAGUCGUCCUUGACUCUAAAGGAUCUUGACUUGUGAAUGGAGAGAGAUCAGCAACAACAUUGUCCUUACCUUUCUUGUAUUUUACAAUGUAUGGAAAUGUUUCGAUGAACUCAACCAAUUUGCCAUGACGAUGGUUCAGUGUUGCUUGUCCUUUCAAGUACUACAAAGCUUCUUGAUCAGAGUGAAUAAUAAAUUCUUUUGGCCAUAAGUAGUGCUGCCAUGUUUCAAGCACACGCACUAAGGCGUAUAUUUCUUUAUCAUACAUAGAAUAAUUCAGUUGAGCACCUCCUAGUUUUUCACUAGAAUAUGCUAUAGGUUUUCCUUGUUGCAUUAAAACUCCUCCUAUUCCAAUUCCACUAGCAUCACAUUCUAUUUCAAAAGUUUUAGUGAAAUCAGGAAGAACAAGUACAGGUGCUUCAGUCAAACGUUUCUUUAAUUCUUCAAACGCAUUUUGUUGUGAUUUUCCCCAUUUAAAGUCAACACCUUUCUUUGUCAAUUCAUUUAAUGGAUCAGCAAUGGUACUGAAAUCUCUCACAAACCUCAUAUAAAAACCAGCAAGGCCAUGCAAACUUCUUACUUGACUUACAUUCAUUGGAGUUGGCCAAUCCCCGAUGGCUUUCACCUUGCUUUCAUCCACUUCUAUGCCUUAUCCUGAAACAACAAAGCCAAGAAACACAACAUGGUGUGUGCAAAAACUGCACUUCUCAAGAUUAGCAAAUAAUUUCUCCUUUCUGAGCUCUUCCAAGACUUGCCAAAUAUGAUUCACAUGUUCCUCAAAAGACUUGCUGUAAAUUAAGAUAUCAUCGAUGUAGACAACAACAAAUUUUCCAAUGAAAGCUCUCAAGACUUGGUUCAUUAAUCUCAUGAAUAUACUAGGAGCAUUAGUCAAACCAAAAGGCAUAAAUGAACUUUAGUGAAUAUGGUGGAACCACUCAAUUCAUCAAGCAUGUCAUCUAAACAUGGAAUGGGAUGUCGAUAGCAUACAUUGAUAUUAUUUAUAGCUCUACAGUCAACACACAUCCUCCAAGAACCAUAUUUCUUAGGUGCUAAAAUUACAGGAACUACACAAGGACUUAAACUUUCAUGAACAAAACCUUUAUCAAGAAGUUCCUGCACUUGCCUUUGUAUUUCCUUUGUUUCUUUUGGAUUGGUUCGGUAUGGUGGUCAAUUAGAUAGUGCAGCCCCUGGAAUGAGAUCAAUUUGAUGCUCAAUCCCACGAAUUGGAGAUAGUCCAACUGGUGUCUCCUUUAGAAAAACAUCUUCAUAGUCCUGCAAAAGAUGAGACAUGUAACACCCUAGGUGUUAAGCAUGCACUUAGUCUCAUCAAAGUCAUGCAUAAGCACUCUCAUCAAUCAUAAGCAUCAUGAGCAUGUCAUUCUUUUAAGAAUAUGGUUUUAUGUGCAUCAUUUCAUGUGCUUUAAUUAUGUUAAAAAUGUGAUGUUUGUUUCUAAAAUUGUGAAAUAUUCAAAUUAGGUUGCUUUAUGUGUAAGAAGAAUUUAGAACAUUUUUGUGCAAUUUUUUGGAGCUAUGGAAAUUGAGAAAUGGAAUUUAUACAAAAUAUCCAAAAUAACUUUAUUUAAAAACCUAGAACUAAGUUUUAAUUUGUAAUUCAAAUUCUAUUUAGAAUUUGGUCUUACCUAUUAAAGCAAAGUUGUAGAGCUUUUAGUUUGGCACCACUUUGCUUUUGGGUGAAAAUGGUGAAAAUAAUUUGAACAUGGUCAAAAUGCUUUUGGAAGAGGAUUUAAGAAAAGAAAAUUUAAAAAAAAAUGGAAAAGGGAAAAGGGGGCGCUAGCAGGCCGCGGCCUCGCUUCUGGCCCACUGGCCGAAGCCGGCUCGGCCCGCCCACGCUCUCCCCUCCCCCUUCCCCGCGCUCGCGCCCGCGUCCGCGCGCGGACGGCCUCGCCGCGACGCCGUGCCGCGCCGGCAGGACUCGGCCGCCGCGUGGCGGGCAUGCGGCAGCGAGGACGCGCCCCGGUCGGCCACCAAAGCGCCCCGGUCGCGCUCGCCUCCGCCCCCGCUCCCAUUUGUGCCCCUCAGCUCCCUCUCUCUCGCUCUCUCGCCCUCGCCCCGCACGCGCAGAGCGCCGCCGUCGCCAUUGGAGCCCGAGCUCCGCCUCGGCUGUUCCUCCCCCGUGCGUGCGCCAUUCUUCGAUUAGUUCUUCCCCGAGCUUCGCCCUCGCUCCGCCGUUGCGGAACGCUCAUCUGAGCGCUCGGUAAGGCACGGUGAGCCCCGCUCGCCCUCGCUUUCUUUUCCGUCGAGAGCUCCGCCGCCGCACGCGUGGUCCGCGCGUCUCCAUGCCUUCCGGUGCUGCGUAGUUGGCGCAUCGUGUUCGCCUUGGCACCGCGAUGCUCGCAAGCCCCUCCAGCCAUGCUCUACCGAGCCGGCGUCCCGUACCGACGAUGAGCAGCGCCGCCGCUCCGCCAUGGCCGGUGGCGAGCCUGCUCCGGUCCGUGUUAGGCCGCGCAAAUGGGCGCGCUAGGUCCGCCGUGAGCCGUAGAGCGUGUAGAGCCGCUUGAUUCGCCGAAAGGCGUCGCCGACGGUGAGCUCCGGCCCCCUCUGCGCUCUGACCAGCGGGCCCGGCUGGCAGGCGGGUCCGCUCGUCAGCGGCCGCGGGUGCACUGCACCGGGUGCACCUAGCAGGUCUCGGGGUGGAUUUGAUUUGUUUUCAGAAAAAUAAUUUCCAGGAAAUGAUUUAAAUGUUCAAAAAUCCAUAUCUUGAUGAAUAUAGUUCCAAAAAUUGUGAAAUAAAUUUUGGUGCAAUCCUUGUUUCCAGAUCUAUAGCCUAGUAUGAUUGCAUGUCAUGUUUGAGUAACUUUCCUGUAAGAAUAUAAUUAAUCCAUGUUUUUCCUAAACUUGGAAAAUGCAUAGUAAAUAAAAUAGGGUUCAGAAAAAUGUAAAACUUGUUUUGCUGGCUCUGCAUGUGUGUUUACUCACUGAGAAAAUAUUGUUACAUAUUAUUUGGUGUAUAAAUGAAUUUAUGGUAAUUUAAAUGCUUGCAUGGCAGUGAUUUAUGAUUUUUAAUAAUUAAUUGGGUCAUGCAAUAAAUCUGGAAAAUUUUGUGGGUGUUUCUUAUGAUAUUAUGCAAAUUGUAAAAAUAUGAAAUCUGUUGUUUGACACUUGUAUCCCAGUAGAGUGAUUUUACUUGCCUUAUUAAUUAAUCUUGUGAUUUUUGUGGCUCAAAAUAAGUAUCCAAAAAUCAUGAAAACUUUACAGUAGACUUUAUGCUUAGCUGGUAGUCUCCUGUAAUUUUUUUGAAAUUUAUUGAUGAACAGAAUUGUAUGUGAUUUUUAAUGGGCUUAGAAAUGAAUAAAGAACACCAUGAAAGGUGUAUAUAUAUAGGUUGAAUGGAAUAAGUUGGGUUUGGUGUAUCUUUGAAGCAUCAUGGGGGUUGCUGGUUGCAUUUGAAAAAUAUUUGUAGAAGAGAAUGCAACAGAUGCUUAAUUUAGUUAUUGUUCCCGGAUGAUGUUGACUACCUUGUAAUAAGCAUGACCAAGUGCAUCACCUAUGCAUCAUAACAUGACUCCUUUGACACUCUCUCUUACAAGCAUCCACUCGGGCAUCUCACACUCCACUCAUGAGCAUAUAUGCAUCAUACAGGCUCGCAGGAGAACGAGGUGGGACCCGAGGAGCCAGAGGAGAUUCAGGAGCAGGAACCUCCGGAAGCACCCGAACCCGGAGAGGAACUGCAGGAGUGUCCGGAUCACCGACCCAGCACGUUUGAGAAAGGCAAGCCCCGGAGCAUUCUAAGUCUCCCUAUUCUUGCUAACUUAUAUAAAGUGCUAUACUUGUUCUACUGUAUUGCAUAUUAAGUGAUAGGAGUUGCCUGAUACCGUUGCUGCAUGAGUACUCCUUGUUAUUCCUACCCGUUCAACUACCUUGUCCUAUGUAGAUAGGCACGGAGUCUAUGCUUAGCUUGCUUAGUUCGGUAGAAGUCGGGUGAUUCCCUGUCACCUGCGAGACAUAGGUGGAUACCUGCUUGUUUAAGCAUUGGUUGCUCAGGGAAAAGAAUAACCAGGUGUGGAAUGAAUUUGGAGACCGGGCAGGGUCUUAUGGUGGGUUGACCCUAGUACCCCUGCCUGUGUCGAUUAAGGACCGGUCGUUGAUGGCCCUCUUGUCAUGUUGAACGCAUGCCCCACACUUAGCUGGAAGGAUAAGUCGUUCCGACCGCGAAGCCUGAGCACUAUCCGGGCUGGGAAUCGGCCCGAUGUACGCGCUGUAUUGGUGAUGGUUGAGGAGAACGACGAGGGCGCGGCGCGCAACCUUGGUAUACCUUGGAUACCUCGGUCGCCGGAACGGUCCUCGGGUACGAGCGGUGCCUGUCGAACCCGCGAAUUGGUCCUGGAUAGUGCAACAUGGUGACCUGUAGCUCACUUGAUCAGUGAGUGUAGUUUGUGUGGGGAAUAAACUCGCCAGCUGGUUAGAAAUCGAUUCGAAUCGCCAUCGCUCCUGGAUAGUGAGCACUUGACAUGAGCUUCGUCCUCGUAGUAAGGACUAUGGAACACUUGGGUUAUAAUGAUGAAUGGUUUUUAAGAAAUGCUAUGAUGAGGUACUAUCAUAGUCUCAUGCUUGCUUGUAAUAGAGCAGGUGCAAACCUAGAUGAUAGGAAAUGAUACUUUCAACUUGAGCCAAUUAAAAUGGAUAAAGACUUAUGUAGGUUAUGUUAGCGAAAUACUGCGGUUGUGCAAAUUGGUCGUCAGCUCCCCCACUAUAUAGCCUUCAUGAUCCUUCAUGAGUCUUUAUUUUAAGUUUAUGGCGGGUAAGUCUAGCUGAGUACCCUCUCGUACUCAGGGUUCUAUUCCCAUGUUGUUUUGCAGAUGGUCAAAUGUACUAUGGUUAUUGUAUCCUCUGUCUGUACCCAGCUAUGGGUGAUGACUAGACCAAGGGCGAUGGUCACUCUGUCUCUUCCUUUGCUUUUGUGGGAAUGACCAAACUAUGGCACUGUAUCAGACUUAUCGUGUGUGUAGUAAUUUCGAAUCAUGAAGCUUCCGCUAUUUGAAGAACUUGGUUUGUAAUAACUUUAAGCACUCCGAUGUAUUUUAUGAAUGUUGUAAUCUGGAUGUACUUGUGGAUGGCGACCGCUAAACUUAUUACGAUCUUGGCUGUAUGCGAUGUGUGGUUUGAAAUCCUUCGAGAUUUCACGGACUACCGGGAUUAUAUGGGCUUAAGCGUGAUGGUUCGACUAUGCAAAUGGUCACUAUUAGGCUUAAUCUCUUAUAAUUUGGUCGGUUCUGUUACAUCUGGCAUCGGAGCAAGGUUUAGCGAGUUACUGUUCAUAAGUACGUUUUAAACAAAAAUCUAAACCGGUUUAGUAAAAGAUUUUAUUUAUUAAUUAAUAAUGAUCAAGGUGUUAAACUAAGUUUUGGGAAAAUUAUCUAGUGUGCCAUGGUCAUAUCCUUUAUGCCCAGUUAAGGACUCUAAGGUGGCUACCUAAGUACUGACUUGGGGGUUAAUGCAUCAUAUUUUUAUUCCGUCGCUCAUACGGCGUGCAAUAGUAUGAGUGCCAUUCAUUUGAGUGGUAAUGUAUGGAUCAAUUCUUCCUCUACGCCAUGGUAAGUGGGAGUUGUGAGAGCAUGAUCGGAUACACUGCCGGUCUAGGGAAGUGUUGUCAGGUGCUGUGUCAUGCACACAUGUUGGUGUGUCUUGGGAACAGUACCGCAUGCUGGGAAUUCCGUCCUGAGAGGCGAUGCCGUCAUUAGGGCGAUGAUGUGGGUAGUGACACGUCACAUGCAUGGACGGGUGUCUGUGUAUGUGAAGUGUAUAGUUUUAAAUUUUGUUCUGCACGAUCAUACUGUGGGUGGGCUGAAAUGAGUUUUCUGCAGGUACCCUAACCACGUUCUCGCUUAGAACGCUAGCUACGUUAUGAGCGAACGUUGUAUGCCACCGCGUAUACCGCUUAGUGUUAACCUUUGUUUUCUAAGUUUGUGAGAUCGUAAGUUCGUACAUGCAUCAUGUGCAUUUCAUAUCAUUGCUUACUUUCCCCCUUAAUUUAAUCUGUCCCAAUUUUAAAUGAAAUAAAUAAAGGUAAUCCUCGCUCUUACCCACGGUAUUCCAUUUGCAGCAGAUGGCAUGCACUAGGCUCACCGCUCGCAAGUCCACUGGUGGGCGGGCCCCUCGCCGUCCGUUGGCAGCUAGGAGCUCGCGACAUAAGAGCAAGUUCCUAGAGGAGUUUGGGAUGCCCACUUUGCUUUAGAGGGUGCUCAGUUCGAUGGGGUAUCCCGAAGGAAGGGAGCCUCGCUACUAUUGGGAUAAGGAGCCGCUUGGUGACGAGACCCUAGAGGGGAUCGAGGCAGUUGUCCCUACCAGUGGAGGAGACCCUGCUUGGGGCGGUUGGGUGUACGAGUCCCGAGGUGUCACGCCUUUCCACGGUGCCAGCAGGGCAGCUUUCGCAGUUUUGAGGGACCUCAUGGAGAGGUUUCCACAGGAGCUGGCCCACGCCUUCGCUGGGGUGUUUCCCCGGGGUGACCCUUACACUUUGGUGUGGGAUCAGUCCGAGGUGAAUGCUCUAGAGAUGAGUGCGGAUGAGGACCAGCACAGUGACAGUGCAGCUACGAGUGCCAUGUACGCGUUGAUGAAGACCUAUGGAGGCCUGGAGCGUUGUUUGGGUCGCUUGUCCGGGUCUCUUCUCACCGUCCAGGAUGAGAAGCGUCAGUUGCAGCGUGAGUUUGACUCUGAGGUUGAGAGGCUACAGGCAGAGUUGGCUCGUGUGACCAGAGAGAGAGAUCAGGCAGUCCAGAAGAACAGUGAGCUGAGUCAGGACCUGCUUGCAGUGCGGGAGCAGAAGGACAGGGUGACUACUGCUCACAGGAACUGCGAGCGCAUGCUAGUCCAUGUGCUUGGGCAGAGGAAUGAAGCCUGGCACGAGGAGGACACUUUGAGGGCCCGACAGCUGGAGCUAGAGCAGCAGCUAGCUAAUGCCGAGGAGUACAAUGAGAACUUGCAUGAGGAGAUCCACCAGCUGCAUAACCAGCUCCACCCUCACCACCUGCCUGGAGCAGCGGAGCUAGACUCUGAGGACGAGAUUGACGCGGAUCCCGAGAUAGGAGCAGUUGCUAGUGGUGACAAGGAUGAGGAUGGCUCUGGCAUGGACAGUGAUCAUAGCGACUAGAUGCUAGGGCUCUAGAGCUAGUCUUUCCACUUUUGUGAUGUAUGUUGCAUGGCAUGUCAUGUACUUGUGGAUCUGGGCUGUGUAAGACUUUAUGAGUUGAUGCUGAAAGUCCAGUGUAUGUAUGCUGGCAAGUUGGAUGUACGCGAACCUUGUUGCGUGAAUGUUAAGUAAUCUGUUAGUGAUGUUGUGCGUGGAUGAUGAGUUGUUGUGCCUUUGUUUAUUGUGUGAAUUUAUUCCCUCAGUAAAUUCAGUAUGGCACGAUUUUACACAUUUUCUACCGGUUGAUGGCAACUCCUAACGAUUGCUUAUCAUUGGCGUAUGCAGAUGGUACAAACAUGUGGCGGGGGUAACGGCCAUCCGGGUCUUGGAGCAGGUACAUCCGGAAAUGGGGCUCAACGGAAUGAGGACUGAGCACCAACACCACCACCACCUCCCUCGUACACUGCGGAUGUGUUUUUCGCGCAGUUUCUGGGGAGCCAACGCAACAUGGAACAGAUGCAGCGCAACAUGGAAGAAGCUUUGCGCAACAUAGCUGACAACACCCGUCGUGGGGAUAAUCAGGGUGGCCGGGAGGUCAACCAGUACAGUUCGUUCAAGGACUUCAUGGAUACCAAGCCACAAAUCUUUAAGGAGGCCUUGGAACCGCUCGAAGCAGAUGAGUGGAUCAACACCAUGGAGCAGAAGUUUCGUCUUCUCCGAAUGACAGAAGAACUCAAGGCUGAGUAUGCGGCACAUCAGUUGCAAGGACCCGCUUCACCACCGCUUUCCGAGGAAAUUACGUUCCUCCUGGUGUGGUUGAGAUGAAGGUUGGGGAGUUCAUGAGGCUGUCCCAAGGGACGAAGUCUGUGAAGGAGUAUCUACACGCUUUCAACAAUCUCGCUCGCUAUGCCCCUGAGUUUGUGAACACGGAAGCUAAGAAGAUUGCUAGUUUCCAGAGAGGCUUGAAUCCAAAGAUGCUGAAGACCAUGGGUACCGGGGCCAGGGCUACUUUCAAUGCCUAUAUCAGUGACUGUCUGACCCAAGAGAACAAUAACAACAACUACAGUGCAUCCAAGUCACGUAAAAGGGCUUUUGAAGCAGGAUCAUCCCAGUCCAGGGCACCAGUGGCAGGGCGACAGCAGUAUCGUCCUCCUGCCCCGGGUGCAAGGUUCCGACCACCACAGAGAAGGAACACCGGGCAUCCAACCCAGCAGAAGCCGUACAAGGUGGCGAUAGCUCCUGCCAAGCCAAAGGCAAUUCAAGCCGCAGCACCUGCCGCCAACAAUGCGCCCAAGGGUCCGUGCUAUAACUGCCACAAGAUGGGACACUUUGCCAAGGAGUGUCCCUACCCCAAAAGGCAGCAGCCAACCUAUCCAGCUCGUGUGCAUCAUACCUCGAUUGAGGAGAUCCCGGAAGGAGAACCGGUGACAGCGGGUAUGUUUUCUGUCAACCAACAUCUUGCAGUUGUUUUGUUUGAUUCUGGAUCAUCGCAUUCUUUCAUGAGUCAAGCAUUUGCACAAAGGCAUGAUCAGCCAUUUACUGAGUUAGGUUAUGGCUAUCGCAUCAGCUCAGCCGGAGCCGAUGUGUUGACUAAUAAGACGGUAACAGGAGUUACUUUGGAUAUCAGUGGCCGGAGGUUUCGUGUAAACUUUGUGGUCAUGCCAGGACUGGUUUUGGACGUCAUCAUUGGAAUGAACAAGAUGACUGACUGGGGCACGGUUAUAGAUGUUGGGAAUAGAACCCUUUUCCUCAGAGAGCCGCAAGGGAAGGGUGUGUUUCAGGUCAAGUUGCCCCGGCGGUUGGACUUCGCCAGUCUUUCGUGUGCAGUACAGGUAGUUCCCCUAGAACACAUACCCGUGGUAUGUGAGUUCCCUGAUGUGUUUCCCGAGGAGUUACCAGGACUUCCCCCAGAUAGGGAGGUAGAGUUUGCAAUCGAGUUGAUACCAGGUACAGCACCAAUAUCUAGAAGACCGUACCGGAUGCCGCCAAACGAACUCGCAGAGUUGAAGAAGCAACUGAAGGAGUUACUAGAAAAAGGGUUCAUCCGGCCAAGCUCGUCGGAAUGGGGUUGUCCAGCGUUGUUUGUGAAAAAGAAGGAUCAGUCGUUGCGCAUGUGCGUGGACUAUCGUCCACUCAAUGCAGUGACAAUCAAAAAUAAGUACCCCUUGCCAAGGAUUGAUAUCCUGUUUGAUCAGUUAUCCAAGGCCAGAGUGUUUUCUAAGAUAGAUUUGAGGUCGGGGUAUCAUCAGAUCAAGAUUCGUCCGCAAGAUAUCCCGAAGACUGCUUUUUCCACCAGAUAUGGGUUGUAUGAGUAUCUUGUCAUAUCCUUUGGGUUGACAAAUGCUCCUGCUUACUUUAUGUAUCUGAUGAAUUCAGUCUUUAUGCCAGAAUUGGAUAAGUUUGUUGUGGUGUUCAUCGAUGAUAUACUGGUGUAUUCAGAAAAUGAGCAAGAUCACGCCGAGCAUCUGAGAACCGUGCUGACACGGUUACGAGAGCAUCAGUUAUAUGCCAAGUUCAGCAAGUGUGAGUUCUGGUUAAAGAAAGUUCCUUUCCUAGGGCACAUUCUGUCUAAAGAAGGAAUUGCUGUGGAUCCAUCAAAAGUGCAGGAAGUCAUGGACUGGAACGCACCAACUUCGGUCUCGGAAGUUAGAAGUUUUCUUGGUCUGUCCGGGUAUUAUCGUCGUUUUAUACCUGACUUCUACAAGAUUUCUAAGCCAAUGACAAGUUUGCUACAAAAGGACCGUAAGUUUGUCUGGACGGAAGGGUGUGAGUUAGCCUUCCGCACCUUGCGAAAGUUGCUAACCACUGCUCCCGUUCUGGCACAACCUAAUAUAGAGAAGCCUUUUGAUGUAUUUUGUGACGCAUCGAAGAGUGGCCUGGGGUGUGUGUUGAUGCAAGAUAGCAGGGUGAUAGCUUAUGCUUCUCGACAGUUGAGAAAGCAUGAAGUCAACUAUCCGACGCACGACCUUGAGUUAGCAGCAGUGGUACAUGCUUUGAAGAUCUGGAGACAUUAUCUGCUAGGAAAUAAGUGUCACAUUUACACCGAUCACAAGAGUUUGAAGUACAUCUUCACUCAGUCCGAGCUGAAUAUGAGGCAGCGACGGUGGUUAGAGCUAAUCAAGGAUUAUGAUUUGGAAGUUCACUAUCAUCCAGGCAAAGCUAAUGUGGUCGCAGAUGCUUUGAGUCGCAAACCGCACUAUCAAAUGGUUCACCCGUUAUUUGAAGAUGGGUUCGAUCUUAUGCAUCCUGAGGUCUUAUGUCAUACACAACUCAGUUGUUCACUCGAGAGUCAAGUCAUUGAAGGUCAGAAAAUAGACAAGGGUAUUUUCCACAUCAAAGAGAAGAUCAAAGAUGACCCAAAGACUCAGUUUCGGGUUGAUGAGAAGGGGGUACUGUGGUUUCAACAGCGGUUAGUGGUCCCGAAAGAUCGGGAGUUGAAGAAUCGCAUCAUGGAUGAAGCCCAUCUCUCUAAGCUUUCUAUUCAUCCUGGCAGCAGCAAAAUGUAUCAAGAUCUAAGGCCCCACUUUUGGUGGACCAAGAUGAAGAAAGAAAUAGCCGCUUAUGUGGCCCGUUGUGACACGUGUUGCAGAGUUAAGGCCAUCCAUAUGAAACCUGCGGGUCUGUUACAACCGUUAUCAGUUCCGGAGUGGAAAUGGGAAGAGGUCAGUAUGGACUUUAUCACCGGCUUACCGACAACCAGGAAGGGGAAUGACUCGAUUUGGGUAAUCAUAGAUCGAUUAACCAAGUUGGCUCAUUUCAUUCCAGUCAAGAACACAUACAGACCUCCCGAGUAUGCUGAUAUAUAUAUGGCUGAGAUCGUCAAGUUGCAUGGUAUCCCCAAAACCAUUAUAUCGGAUAGAGGACCGCAGUUCACUGCUCACUUCUGGGAGCGCAUGCAUAAGAGUUUGGGGACCAGUUUGAUAAGAAGCACGGCGUAUCAUCCCCAGACUUCAGGCCAAACAGAGAGGCUAAACCAAGUGUUAGAAGAUAUGCUAAGGGCCUGUGUGCUAUCGUCCAAGGGAUCGUGGGAAUCAUGGUUACCUUUGGCUGAGUUCUCAUACAAUAAUAGUUAUCAAGAGAGCAUCAAGAUGGCCCCGUUCGAAGCUUUGUAUGGGCGGAGAUGUCGAACCCCGUUAAACUGGGUGGAACCUGGUGAAAGGAGAUACUAUGGUAUCGACUUUGUGAAUGAUGCCGAGAAAAAGGUGCAGAUUAUACAACAACAUAUGCAAGCAGCGCAAUCACGACAGAAGAGUUAUGCUGACAAGAGGAGAAGGCCGCUUGAGUUCAAAGUAGGCGACUAUGUGUAUCUCAAGGUUACGACAAUGAAGAAAAUUCAACGUUUCCGAGUUCGAAGCAAGCUUGCACCCAGAUAUGUGGGACCAUACCAAGUGCUAGAAAGGAAAGGCCCAGUGGCCUACAAGAUUCAGUUACCUGAAGAGAUGACCUCGAUCUUUCCGGUCUUCCAUGUGUCGCAACUACGGAAAUGUUUGAAGGUGCCGGAGCAAAGAAUUGAACCUCGAGGAAUCAAGAUAAAAGCAGACCUGGAGUACAAAGAGCAGCCAGUGGGGAUUGUGGAUACCAAGGAGCGAGUAACCCGAAACAGAGUUGUUCGAACGUACAAGGUGGUGUGGAGUCAUCAUGACGAUAGGGAUGCCACUUGGGAAACAGAGGAUUACUUAAAAACAGUUUAUCCAAAAUUUCACAAGAAAUGGUUGGUAACCCUAAAAUCUCGGGACGAGAUUUCCCUAAGGGGGGAAGGGCUGUAACACCCUAGGUGUUAAGCAUGCACUUAGUCUCAUCAAAGUCAUGCAUAAGCACUCUCAUCAAUCAUAAGCAUCAUGAGCAUGUCACUCUUUUAAGAAUAUGGUUUUAUGUGCAUCAUUUCAUGUGCUUUAAUUAUGUUAAAAAUGUGAUGCUUGUUUCUAAAAUUGUGAAAUAUUCAAAUUAGGUUGCUUUAUGUGUAAGAAGAAUUUAGAACAUUUUUGUGCAAUUUUUUGGAGCUAUGGAAAUUGAGAAAAGGAAUUUAUACAAAAUAUCCAAAAUAACUUUAUUUAAAAACCUAGAACUAAGUUUUAAUUUGUAAUUCAAAUUCUAUUUAGAAUUUGGUCUUACCUAUUAAAGCAAAGUUGUAGAGCUUUUAGUUUGGCACCACUUUGCUUUUGGUGAAAAUGGUGAAAAUAAUUUGAACAUGGUCAAAAUGCUUUUGGAAGAGGAUUUAAGAAAAGAAAAUUUAAAAAAAAAUGGAAAAGGGAAAAGGGGGCGCUAGCAGGCCGCGGCCUCGCUUCUGGCCCACUGGCCGAAGCCGGCUCGGCCCGCCCGCGCUCUCCCCUCCCCCUUCCCCGCGCUCGCGCCCGCGUCCGCGCGCGGACGGCCUCGCCGCGACGCCGUGGCGCGCCGGCAGGACUCGGCCGCCGCGUGGCAGGCAUGCGGCAGCGAGGACGCGCCCCGGUCGGCCACCAAAGCGCCCCGGUCGCGCUCGCCUCCGCCCCCGCUCCCAUUUGUGCCCCUCAGCUCCCUCUCUCUCGCUCUCUCUCGCCCUCGCCCCGCACGCGCAGAGCGCCGCCGUCGCCAUUGGAGCCCGAGCUCCGCCUCGGCUGUUCCUCCCCCGUGCGUGCGCCAUUCUUCGAUUAGUUCUUCCCCGAGCUUCGCCCUCGCUCCGCCGUUGCGGAACGCUCAUCUGAGCGCUCGGUAAGGCACGGUGAGCCCCGCUCGCCCUCGCUUUCUUCUCCGGCGAGAGCUCCGCCGCCGCACGCGUGGUCCGCGCGUCUCCAUGCCUUCCGGUGCUGCGUAGUUGGCGCAUCGUGUUCGCCUUGGCACCGCGAUGCUCGCAAGCCCCUCCAGCCACGCUCUACCGAGCCGGCGUCCCGUACCGACGAUGAGCAGCGCCGCCGCUCCGCCAUGGCCAGUGGCGAGCCUGCUCCGGUCCGUUUUAGGCCGCGCAAAUGGGCGCGCUAGGUCCGCCGUGAGCCGUAGAGCGUGUAGAGCCGCUUGAUUCGCCGAAAGGGGUCGUCGACGCUGAGCUCCGGCUCGCCGGAGCUCCUCCCCCUCUGCGCUCUGACCAGCGGGCCCGGUUGGCAGGCGGGUCCGCUCGUCAGCAGCCGCGGGUGCACUGCACCGGGUGCACCUAGCAGGUCUCGGGGUGGAUUUGAUUUGUUUUCAGAAAAAUAAUUUCCAGGAAAUGAUUUAAAUGUUCAAAAAUCCAUAUCUUGAUGAAUAUAGUUCCAAAAAUUGUGAAAUAAAUUUUGGUGCAAUCCUUGUUUCCAGAUCUAUAGCCUAGUAUGAUUGCAUGUCAUGUUUGAGUAACUUUCUUGUAAGAAUAUAAUUAAUCCAUGUUUUUCCUAAACUUGGAAAAUGCAUAGUAAAUAAAAAUAGGGUUCAGAAAAAUGUAAAACUUGUUUUGCUGGCUCUGCAUGUGUGUUUAAUCACUGAGAAAAUAUUGUUAUAUAUUAUUUGGUGUAUAAAUGAAUUUAUGGUAAUUUAAAUGCUUGCAUGGAAGUGGUUUAUGAUUUUUAAUAAUUAAUUGGGUCAUGCAAUAAAUCUGGAAAAUUUUGUGGGUGUUUCUUAUGAUAUUAUGCAAAUUGUAAAAAUAUGAAAUCUGUUGUUUGACACUUGUAUCCCAGUAGAGUGAUUUUACUUGCCUUAUUAAUUAAUCUUGUGAUUUUUGUGGCUCAAAAUAAGUAUCCAAAAAUCAUGAAAAAUUUACAGUAGACUUUAUGCUUAGCUGGUAGUAUCCUGUAAUUUUUGUGAAAUUUAUUGAUGAACAGAAUUGCAUGUGAUUUUUAAUGGGCUUAGAAAUGAAUAAAGAAAACCAUGAAAGGUGUAUAUAUAUAGGUUGAAUGGAAUAAGUUGGGUUUGGUGUAUCUUUGAAGCAUCAUGGGGGUUGCUGGUUGCAUUUGAAAAAUAUCUGUAGAAGAGAAUGCAACAGAUGCUUAAUUUAGUUAUUGUUCCCGGAUGAUGUUGACUACCUUGUAAUAAGCAUGACCAAGUGCAUCACCUAUGCAUCAUAACAUGACUCCUUUGACACUCUCUCUUACAAGCAUCCACUCGGGCAUCUCACACUCCACUCAUGAGCAUAUAUGCAUCAUACAGGCUCGCAGGAGAACGAGGUGGGACCUGAGGAGCCAGAGGAGAUUCAGGAGCAGGAACCUCCGGAAGCACCCGAACCCGGAGAGGAACUGCAGGAGUGUCCGGAUCACCGACCCAGCACGUUUGAGAAAGGCAAGCCCCGGAGCAUUCUAAGUCUCCCUAUUCUUGCUAACUUAUAUAAAGUGCUAUACUUGUUCUACUGUAUUGCAUAUUAAGUGAUAGGAGUUGCCUGAUACCGUUGCUGCAUGAGUACUCCUUGUUAUUCCUACCCAUUCAACUACCUUGUCCUAUGUAGAUAGGCACGGAGUCUAUGCUUAGCUUGCUUAGUUCGGUAGAAGUCGGGUGAUUCCCUGUCACCUGCGAGACAUAGGUGGAUACCUGCUUGUUUAAGCAUUGGUUGCUCGGGGAAAAGAAUAACCAAGUGUGGAAUGAAUUUGGAGACCGGGCAGGGUCUUAUGGUGGGUUGACCCUAGUGCCCCUGCCUGUGUCGAUGAAGGACCGGUCGUUGACGGCCCUCUUGUCAUGUUGAACGCAUGCCCCACACUUAGCUGGAAGGAUAAGUCGUUCCGACCGCGAAGCCUGAGCACUAUCCGGGCCGGGAAUCGGCCCGAUGUACGCGCUGUAUUGGUGAUGGUUGAGGAGAACGACGAGGGCGCGGCGCGCAACCUUGGUAUACCUUGGAUACCUCGGUCGCCGGAACGGUCCUCGGGUACAGGCGGUGCCUGUCGAACCCGCGAAUUGGUCCUGGAUAGUGCAACAUGGUGACCUGUAGCUCACUUGAUCAGUGAGUGUGGUUUGUGUGGGGAAUAAACUCGCCAGCUGGUUAGAAAUCGAUUCGAAUCGCCAUCGCUCCUGGAUAGUGAGCACUUGACAUGAGCUUCGUCCUCGUAGUAAGGACUAUGGAACACUUGGGUUAUAAUGAUGAAUGGUUUUUAAGAAAUGCUAUGAUGAGGUACUAUCAUAGUCUCAUGCUUGCUUGUAAUAGAGCAGGUGCAAACCUAGAUGAUAGGUAAUGAUACUUUCAACUUGAGCCAAUUAAAAUGGAUAAAGACUUAUGUAGGUUAUGUUAGCGAAAUACUGUGGUUGUGCAAAUUGGUCGUCAGCUCCCCCACUAUAUAGCCUUCAUGAUCCUUGAUGAGUCUUUAUUUUAAGUUUAUGGCGGGUAAGUCUAGCUGAGUACCCUCUCGUACUCAGGGUUCUAUUCCCAUGUUGUUUUGCAGAUGGUCAAAUGUACUAUGGUUAUUGCAUCCUCUGUCUGUACCCAGCUAUGGGUGAUGACUAGACCAAGGGCGAUGGUCACUCUGUCUCUUCCUUUGCUUUUGUGGGAAUGACCAAACUAUGGCACUGUAUCAGACUUAUCGUGUGUGUAGUAAUUUCGAAUCAUGAAGCUUCCGCUACUUGAAGAACUUGGUUUGUAAUAACUUUAAGCACUCCGAUGUAUUUUAUGAAUGUUGUAAUCUGGAUGUACUUGUGGAUGGCGACCGCUAAACUUAUUACGAUCUUGGCUGUAUGCGAUGUGUGGUUUGAAAUCCUUCGAGAUUUCACGGACUACCGGGAUUAUAUGGGCUUAAGCGUGAUGGUUCGACUAUGCAAAUGGUCACUAUUAGGCUUAAUCUCUUAUAAUUUGGUUGGUUCUGUUACAAGACACGACACUAGGGAAAGAGGUCAUGCGUUAGCUGAAAUUAAAAUGUCUUUGUACACAAGUACAAAGAGCACUUGUUCGGGGUUGUUCCUCACUUCUCAUUUCAGAUUUUGUGGCUAGCAUGACUAAAUGCUCUCCCUCUCCUUUCUUUUUCUCACUCAAAUUUGGCUUGUGGCACUCAAUUUCUUUUGCUCUCCUUCCUCUCUACUCAUUGGAACAAUUUCAGAUUUCUUUUGUAAAUGUUCAGCCAUGAUUUGUUGGGUGCCACAGGCUUGAGAACAAACUUCUUCCCUUUUAGAUUGAUAGUGAACUGAUUUGUUCUCCCACAAUGUUGGCUAUAUCAAUCAUAUUGCCAUGGUCUUCCAAGCAGCAAGUGACACACCGACAUAGGUGCCACAUUACAUUCUACUGUGUCAACAUAUUCACUAAUCUUGAAUGGAACGUUUACUUUAUAUCCAAUCUUGAUAUCUCCCGAAUCAUUCAGCCACUGUACGUGAUAUGGAUGAGGGUGUCGUAGCAGCUUCAAGCCAAUUUUAUCACCCAUCUCACGACUAGCAAGAUUAUGGUAGCUCCUUCCAACAAUAAUCACCUUCACCACUUUAUCAUGCCCCUUUGCUCUAGUUUGAAAUAAAUUUUGUCACUGCCCAAUUUUAGCUUCAUUUGCCUGAACACUGAAGAUUUGAGUCACCUCAAGAGCAGCUCCUUGAUCAAACUCACAACAAGUAAGGUCCUCGUCUCCAUGGGCUUCCUCCUCAAUUCCCUCUUCACUAGCUGAUUCAUACUUUCCAUCAUCAUUAACAAUGAUCACCUGAUUAUUGGGGCACUCCUUACUUAUAUUCCUAAGGCCUCCACACCUGAAGCUCUGAAUUCCACUACUCCUGGAAGUAGAACGCACUGAAGUAGUGGAUGAUGCUGCUGGUUUUGAAAUUGGGACAACAGUGUUCUUUCCACUAAAAGUACCCUGAAAAUUAGAUUGAGAGCCUCCACUUGAGCUUUUCACCGUGGACGGUUCAGCAGCAAAUUACUGAUUGAUUUGCUUCGUCCAGAGAAAUUCCUCAUGGAUGGUUCAGCAGCAAAUUUUGGCAUGGUAAAUUUCAGUUUGCCAAAUCUUUGUUCAUGGUUGCCUCUUCUAUGAUGUCGGCAACCAAAAUUGAGUUGGGAGUGGUUGUCAUCAUCCUCAUCUUCAGUUUCAUCAUCAUUUCUUCCACUAUGUCUUCUUCCUUUAGCAUGUUGUAACAUCCCUGAUGUUACGGUUACUAAAACUUGAUCAUUACAGCAUGAGCAUUGCAUAGCAUAUUGAUUAAGCACCACCUGAUGCAUCAAAUUAAAAUAAGUUUAUUUUGGUUGCUUGUGCUUAGGGAACUAAAGUGUGCAUAUAUGGUGAAAUGAUGCUAGCGUGGUUGUGAAAUCCCUUGUGUUGGAAGAUUCCGAGAAAAAGGGGGGGGCUGAUUUUAAAACCCUAGUUUUGCCCCCUUUUGUGCAAUUUAAAAAACUAAGCAAAAUUUGAGGUUGAGUGAAAAAGCAAAGUUGUAGAUCAUGUCAAGAUGUACAACUUUGGUGUUUUGAGUUUUUGAAGUUUCAAUACAAAAUUCAAAGUAAUUUUGAAAAUACAGAUUUCCAGAUAUUGUCCCCUUUUCCAAUUCGAAUCCUAAUUCAAAAUCUAUUUGGAAUCUUGAAAACUGACCAACAUGGAAGUUGUAGAGCUCAACAAAAUGAACAACUUUCAUUUUGGGAAUUUUUCAAGUUAUUGAGAAAAAUCAAAAGUAAUUUUGAAAUUUCUAAUCUGCCCCAAUUCAAAUAGGAAUUUCCCCAAAUUGGGAUUUUCGAAUUCAAACUGUUUUGCCCAAAUUCAAACUCUUCCACUCAGAAUUAGCUUUCGGCACUUAAAGAUGUUUUGUAGCUUUUAAAGUUCUGAACAACUUUUGUUUUGGUGGAAAUUUGACUUCCGUUCAAAUUUUGGAUGAAUUUUGCAAAAAACCAAAUCAAGGUGGAUAUGGAUGGCAACAGUGUCCUGAUGGGGAUCACAGGCGCCCCUGCCACCGUCCGCAGCGGCGAGCGCCACCGCGUGCGCGCGUGCGAGCACGUAGCUGCCCGCCUACCUGCGUCACCGAGCUACGUGGACGCCUCGGACUCGCUUCCCUCUAACCUUGAGCACCAGCACGGACGGCGUCGCGCGGUUUCCCAGCCCAAAGCCAGAGAACACCGACGACCCUCUCGCAAAUACACCGCACUCGAUCCAUCUCCAGCCAAAUUGAGCCUUCCACCACCUUCGCCAUGCUCUUGCGAACCCAGAGCGCUCUGUAGAACCCCUCUAACCCGCCCAAUCACCGGAACUUCCUCUUCGCCCCCAACUCCGGCCGGAACCGCCGCCAUGGAGCUUUUCUCAAUGCCACAUUGUUCCAGUAGGUGCCACGCCUUGCUAGCGGUUGUUUCAAGUUCCUCUCAUUCCCCAGAAGCACAUGCGCUUGCUCUUUCUCUCUGGACGCGAACAGGUUCACUCGAACGACCUCGCCGAAGCUAGAGUGCCAGCCCGGCGACACUGCCACCGUCGCCAGAGCCCUCAGCCGCUUCUCCCACCGUGGUGAUGCGAGCACCAUGCUCCCUACUCCUUCCCGAACCUCCCCGUUGUUGACACUUGCUAACACCACUUGAAUACUAGGUUGUCAUCCCCAGCAUGGCACUAGAGUGUACUAUGGUAUUUAUACGCACACAGAUAAUCCGCAAGCGCACGGAUACCGUUGAAGCUUUUACCCGGUUAAAGGUUUUAUCGUAUCCACAGGGAAACGGGAGAACUGAUCUACGCUCUAACUUAACCAAGAUAAGUAAAUAAGUGUAAAUAGGAAAGAUGGUAGAAUCGAAUAAGAACAAUAUUAAAGGUAAGAUAACAGUGAGUGAUAAUAUGGGAAUAGAGAAUAGAGCAAUUCUAGUAUAUGGGCGAUGGUAGCAGAAUAGAGAGGGUAACUAUGGUUUCUCUACUUCAAAGGGGUAUGUCUAUGUCUGGGACGAACCUUGCUGUUAGCAAGUGUCAACAACGGGGAGGUUCGGGAAGUGAGUGAUGACAUGUUUACUGUUGAACCUUGCUCCGAUGCCAACUGUCACGGAACCGUCCAAAUUAUAAGAGCACAAGUACAAAAACAAUCGCCGAAGUGAUCAAUUUAUCAUACUUGAGCCCAUAUAAUUCUGGUAGUCCAUCAAAAUCAUGAGGGAUUUCAAACCAACCAACAUACAAGCCAAGAUCGUAGUGAUUCAACAUAACAAGUCACACGUUACAUGCAUUUCACGAGUAGUUCAAGUAUAUCGGAGUUCGAUAAGAUUAUUACAACUCAAGUUUACAAAUAGCGGAAGCAAAGUAAUUUGAAACCAAUAUCACUUUUAUUUCAAAUACAUGCCAGUACCAUGGUCCAUUCCAACAAAAGCAUCAUAGAUGAGGUAAGUAGGAAGGAUCAUGCCCAUGAUCUUACUCCUUCCCUAAAGCAGGAGUCAUCCAAGUCUUGCAGUAGCUAUGAUACAUCACAACCUGCAACAAGUGGGAAUAAACCCUGAGUACGAGAAUGUACUCAGCUAGACUUACCCGUCAUAAACCAGAAAUAAAUGACACCAAGGAGUAUGCAAGGCUGAUAUAUAAGUGGAGCUUGUUGGACAACAUUUUGCAUAAAAAGCUUAAGUAUAAAGAGUUAAACCUUUCUUAUUUAGCAUCCAUUUAAUUCUCAUUAACCUAUCAACUAGAUUAGCACCUGUACUAUAGCAAUCACUUGAUUAAUAUCAAUCAAUAAUAACCAUAUCAGGUUUGUCAAGGCCGUCAUCAUCAUCAUCAUCAUCAUAGAACCAGUAAGUUAUUUAGUGAAUGCUACGUCUGCCGCUGCUCUGUCAAGUUCUCACUAUCCGGGAGAGACGGCGAUUCGAAUCGAUUCCUAUCCAGCUGGAGGGGUAUUCCUAGCACUCACCCAAGCAUCCCCCGUCGGAGAGCCAACGGGUCACCUUUGGUACGACUCAGGAAUCGCGGUUCCGAUCAGCGCCGCACUCCCAGGGCUACCACUCUGCCAGGGAGGUCAGGAAUUUUAACUCACCUGCCUUUGGACUUACGCCAAUGGUCCCCCGCACACCGCACUUCCUCCGGUAGUGCGCACUUUAUACUUGCCGGUCUUCCGGCCUGAGUCAUACUACUAGGCUUCGCGGUCGGAACGACUUAUCCGGCCAACUCAGUGUUAGGCAUGCGUUCAACAUGACAAGAGGACGUACAAAGAUCGGUCCUUAAUCGACACAGACGGGGAUAGAUCCACACCCAAGACCUCCAUGCCUUGUUGCGUCACUAUCAUCAUUCCGCCCGGUCUCCUUUCAUAUUAUUAACACAUGGUUCUUUUCCACGAUAGCAAAUAUAGCCAACCGUGAUCUGGAAUCCACCUAUAUCCUGCAGGUGACAGGAAAUCACCUGGCUUCUACCGAGCUAAGCAUGGCUAAGCAUAGACGUGAUCCUGACUAAUUAGGAUUCAGGUUAUAUAUAUACUGGACAAGGAAGGGUAUAUAUAUGCAGCAAGGGUUACAUCCAACCCCUAUACUUAAUGCAACAAUACAUAUAUAACAUAUAUAUACUCAUUCACUUUCAAAAAGUAGGAGGCUUAUAAUGGUCCAGGGCUUGCCUGGAAUGUGACACCAAGUCAGAUUAGUUAGCUUGCUCCGUCUUGGUGACAUCUAAGAUCAUAACACUUGCUUAAUCAUUCCAUCUCCGGGAUGAUCCACCAUCACGUCCUUCACGUGGUUCAUCUAGCGUACCUAGAUGACAUGCAAGAUGCAAGUGCAUGAACACAUGUUUCAUAGGAUCACAUAACACUAAUUAACACCACCAAGACAUGAGUCACUUAAAACCACACACAAUGUAAGUUAAUCAAGCAUUCAUGCAUUUUUAGAAAUUCUGGACAUACAUGCAACAGUUGAGUAAAUAAAUCAUAACCAGAGUUCUACAGACCCAAAAUCCAUGCAACAAGACAUUAUGGAAAGCUUAUAAAAUUAUAUACAAUUCAUAUUUAAUCAUCUUAGCAUGAUUAGAAAGUUACCUAAGUCAAACAUACAUAUUUACAGAAUCUGGUCCAGGAAUUCCAGAGAACAAGCAUUUUGACAGAUAAACUUUAUACCCUUAUAACUCACAAACCAUUUAUCCAAAUGAUAUGAAACUAUAACACAAGCGAGAUGAAAGAGUUAUCUACAACUUUUGUAUAGACAAGUUUCACAGCAAACAUAAUUUAUACUAUGGAAUUAAUUGCACAAUCAGGACUGCGCAUGUUGCCCCAAACAGUAGGGUACAAUUAUAGGCAGGAAAACUGAUAGGAACUUCAAACAAGCAUAACUGGAGUUGUAGCCCUCCAACAAACAUGAUUUUUAACUUCACAGAAAGCUUAUAAAGUUACCUACAACUUUCUUAUUCUCAUAUAAAGAUGAUUUCAUAGUUAACAAGAUCAAUUAACCCCAUGAAGACAUCUCUGUUCAAAGCAUAGACAGGACAUACCAUGCCACAUUAAACAGAUAUAACAUCAUUUUCACAUGUCCACAAAUUAUGAUUAUGGACUCUCUAGAAAUCUUAAUAAAUUGUGAACAACUUUGUUAUAAACAUCAAGAGCACAUUCUAUCACUAAAAAUAUCACACAUAGCAAUAUACCAAGCAAACAACUAUAAAAGCAAUCUAUCAUUUUUAGGACAGCCCACAACAGCUUCUUGUUUAAAUCAUAACUGGAGUUACAUAACUCCAAAAGACAUGCAAGAAGACAUUCUGGAAAGCUUACGAAAUUAUCUACAUUUGAUAUUUAGACAUCAAAGCAUGAUUCUCAACUUAAGCUGGUCGAAAUAUUAGGAUUACUGAAUCAGGUCGUAACAGGACAGAGAGCAACCAUUUCUGAAAUUCAACUUUGAACAGACAUAACUCACAAACCACAAGGCCAAAUACUACCAAAUUUUAACAGAAGCUAGAUAAAUGAAUUAUCUACAACUUUUCUAUAAACAAGACUCCCAGAAAACAUCAUUUACGUAUUGUAAUCCAAAUAGUUCCAAAAACUGUUUAGAAACAACAAUUGCACGCAAUUAAUUAUUAACUUAUGUUUCAAACAUGCAUUUGAGCAAAACCAUUGUUACCAACAGUUUGCACAUAUCUAAAGAACACCAGAAAACAUAGUGGUCAUUACCAAAUAAAUUUAUUUAAUGCAUUUCUUAAUUUAUUUGGACAAUAAGGUGAAUUAAAGAACAUAUAACAAAAGUGCUCAAUAACUUCCACCAAAAUUACAGUAGCUUCUAAACACUAUCCAUAGCCCACUGUAUAAAUUUCACUGCAUUUGAAUAAAGAUAUCAACAUCUAUGAAAAAGACAAAUUGCUAUUGCAAUUAACCAUGUGAGAACAAGAUAAAUCUAAAACUCACAUUUUCUUCAAACACAUGACCAUAAUAUAUAUCAACAUGAUACAACAAUAUCACAGAAUGGUAGUGGAACAACAUUUUCUAUUUUUACAUUUUAAUUUAUAAUUAUAAACUAUUUAUCAAGCCCUAAGAAAGUUAAAUUAAUAACUCAUUUAUACAGCACUCAAAAAUCCUAACACUUUUACCAGACAUCAAUCAUGACAUGAAUACCAAGCCACAAAAGUUUAACAUCAAUUGGAGCUCUACAGCAGCAGUUAUACAAACAGACAAACUCAACUAGUAUUAAAAACCUAGCUGCAAAAAUCAUUUUCCACAGCUAAAACUUUAACCUAAAACAUGGCAUAUUAUAGAUCAACUGCAAAGAGAAUUUCAUAAGGAUUCUAAAAAGUCUACAUUUGCUAAUUUACGAUUUGUCUAUGAUUUUAUAUUGAUUUUCAAAGUUCCAGCAUUUCUCCAAAACAAAUAGGUCCUCGAAGCACUAUUCAUAUGAGUCAUGAGUUCUGCAGAAAACCCCCUGGGUUUUGUCGAAUUUGACCCGUGGUCCUUGGUCGCGAGGAAAACAGAGGACCUCGCCGGAGCUCCCUGUUCCGGCCGGCUGAGGCCUCGUCGGCGGCGAUGGAGGGGUGGGGAAGCACCAGGAGGUCACCGCACACCCGCUGGUCGCCUUGGAUGGCCGGGAGAGGGCCCGUGGCGGCUUGGCCACGUGCACACGUCGGCGACGGCGGCGGUGGCCGGUGAUCGGCUGCUCCGGCGGUCUUCCACCUCGUCCGAGGGGCGCUGGGUGUAGAGGAGGAAGAGGCGGAGGCGGUGGUGAUGCUGGCUGAGCGUGGGAGCGCUUGGAUGAGAAGGAACAGCGGCGGCCAUGGAGCUCCAGGAGCUCAGCCAUGGCCAUGGCCGACAUGCUCCCGUCCCUGCGGUAGAGAGCGAAGGAAGGGGCGAGGAAGUGGAUGGGGAUGUCCGCCAGCGACCCAGCAGUCCAAAACACGACGAGGAGACGGCAGGCGCGCGUGGCAUGGAGGUGGGACGUGCUGCCCUUGCAUGACGACCACGUCGGCAUUCUGUCGAAUACGUGGCGCGCGCCGGAGUACACAGAGUGGGACGCGAAUUUGGACCCUUUCUGGGCCGAAUUUGGACAUGGGCCGAAAACGAAGUUUGCCAAGCUCGGCCUGCUCUCCAACUUUGAUUAAGAGUACAGAGCCAUUAGAGUUAUAGAUUAGUAGAUAAUUUGAUGCCAACCUUUGAGUGUCAAUGAAUUGAUAGUGAUUAGCAAAACUCGAAAUUGAUGACCAAAACAAAAUCAAACUGGUGUCACCUUUUGGCAUGUUCUAGCCCACAAUAUGUAAUCCAACUUUUAUUUUGGUACCCAAGCAAGUUGUUCAUAAGAAUUAGGAGAACGCGGGAUGCCAACAUGACGAACUGAAAUUCCAGACUUAGAAAUCCGAAAUGCUGGAAUUUACAGCAGAUUCGAUCUUGUGACUAUUAUUUGACAGGCUUAGAAGAUGAUUCGGACUUGGUCACUUUAACAAAGUUUGUAGCAUACAAACUAUACUACAACUUUUAUUAAAGACCUUAUACUGUUUCUGCCUGGUUAGUAAGAUACAAGGCUCCCAACUAGGGUACCCGAACCUGAGCACCUUGAGGACUUAGCCAAAUUUUGUGAGAUCCAAAACAACACUGCAUUGAAUCUUGUGAGCUUAAUUUCACUAGGAUAGGUACCAAACUGGCUCUUGACCUUUAAAUAAAGUUUGUUCUACAGAAGCAAAACUACAACUUUUAUUUAAGGUCCAACCUCAUAACUGGUACUGAAGUCAAACUUUAACUUUGGUCAAAGUAUCAACUUGAUAAAGCUCAAACUAGAAUUUUAGAGCAAAUAAAGCAUUUUCUUGGCACAAGCUCAACAUGAACCCUUCAUGACUUUUGUUGUAGAGUUCAUCUAGAGUCAUUUGGUCAAGAUUGCAAGGUUAGGUUAGUAACCUAAGGUUCCGUUCACUUGAUAAGGUCAUUCCAACAAGCAUGUAACUUAUCCUUUCAUUUGACCUUUUGAAUCCAAACUUCAUAAAACUUUUUGAGUGAUCAACCUGGGUAGAGAUGGAGAUGAUACACAUGAAAGAAGCACCAUCAGCACCCACAAGCUUUACUAUGCAGGAUCAUCAAGCAUUCACUUGUCGCCACAUCAAAGUAUGUUUCAUACUAUCAUAUAUGGACAAAUGAUGCUUAUGCUCAUGAAAUGUAAGUGCCAAAACGCAAGACAAACACCUGGGGUGUUACAGCCCUCCCCCCUUAAAAAUAAUCUUGUCCCAAGAUUCGGUGCGAAAGACUUUCAAGGGAAGAGAAACAAUGUCAUGCAUUUCCGAACCUCAACGGUAGCAUUUGAACAUCAGAGAAGCUAAGUUGGACAAAAAGUUUUCUGAUACUUACUUUUCAUAGUAAACUUUGGUCUGAAGAUGAAGCAUUGUUACUUUGGGAGGAAUCCAAGAAAGCAUUGUCCUGUGCACUUUGUGCUCAAAGUAUGAAGGGUGGUUCAGAGCAUAAGGAGCUACCUAUAUCAUCAAUAUCUUUAGUGAAACUAAUACAAACCAUAAGAACCUUGCACCAAGUCACAAGCUUCUAAGGGUUUCUCAUUAUAUUGGUUCCAGGCUCAUUCACAACAUUUGAAAACUAGUCUUCUACCAAAAUGGUUGGAGUACAACUUUCCAAGCAUGCAGUUCUCUUUCUCUGAUGACAAAAUUGUACUUACCAACCUGGUUGAGGGAACGAUGAAUGUGAUAGCUGACUUUGUGGGUUCAACACAUUCCAUGAUCAUUUACUUCAAGGGGAUCCUCGUAUGCAAACAACAAAAGUUAUUUGGGUGGAAUCAGGUGCAACUUCUUAGGUAACACAUAGAAGGUAUCCAAGACAUGUAGGUAUUGGAUAACCACUACUGAAGAAGGAUGAUUGUGUGACCCAAAGGUCUCCAACAGUUGCAAGUAUUCAACCAAUUACCACUCAAUUCUGCAUGAAGCUUGAUAAAUUUCAGAUCCAUGCGUCUUCUCACCUCUGACCAAAAUUCAGCUCAAACAGGCAACAUUUGCAUAAGCAGAACAUGUACAUACUAAACUUGUUUGGUGCUGCAAUGGCAGUGUUGUGGACUGACAAGACAUCUCUCAACUCCAUGUUUAAUUCACUUUCUCAUAAAACAUAUCCCUUGUGGCUAUCACUCCAUCAUUACUUUCCUUAAGAUUAGCCUUGCUACUAGCAACCAAUCAAUUGCCUCUCAGCCCAAUAUUUUCCAAAGCUUCACUCUUAACCACAACAAUUACGGCUGAUGCUCAACAAUUGGUAACCUCCAAAGCUAGGAGAUAAGGAUUCAUGCCUCUUGGUUGACUUUAGCUGUCACCAUGAUGCACAUAAAGAUAAAGACUUAGGAAAACUUGGUCAUAAGCACAAUGGUGAUGAUCGAUGAUUGUUUAACAGAUAACUUGUCCAACAUUAAGUGUUGGGUGUCCUUUUGGUUCGAUGAGGAUGACUCAUGGUGUUCACUUAAUGCUCAUCGUCAUUGUAGGGAUAGUGAAAUACUGCCAGUUGUCUACCAUCUCUUACAGUCAGUUAGUUUUUAUGUCAGUGACUUGUUCUUCAAAGGUUAACCUCUAGUUGACUUCAGAAGAAUGGCCUAUGAGGUCUGGUUGGAUAUAGGGAAAUUUCGAUAUGAUAUGGUGAGAUUUUCAAGGGAAAAGUCACAAGAAGACAUUUCAUUGGUAUAGUUCCAUAAUGGAUCACGACUAGAAACCUCGAUACCAGCGCGUGCCGAGCAGCACAUCCUUGUGUCGGCCGCCCACAAGAGGCUCUCGGUUUCGUCGCGGCACCGUUAGCUAUUGCUCAUGACACCAUUAUUGAUCAUGUACUCAAUGAAAAUUUUCAUGUGGCACAAAAGUUGGUUGUAUGAACAAGCAUUGUGCUUAGGAGGGAUAGCAAAGCAAAGGUAGUCACAAGGUUGGGAGUCAACAUGGAAGUGACCUGAAGAUCCAAAACACAACACAGGAGAACAUAUCUUACUUGUCGAAGACAACUGAUCAUGGAUCUUGCUUUAAUUUCCACAAAAUCAUUGUGUUAACCAAGAUAGUUACCAGAUAAAUGAUUAACAUGAGAUCAUGACUGAUAAUAUUUAAGAUUAGGGAGAAUUGGAGGUUCAAUAAACGAGAUUCAAGAGACCAAGCUGAUACUUAGAUUAGGGCUUCAUCAACACAGCAGCAACAUGAUCUGUCAUGAAAAGAUUAUGAGGCUCAUGCAACAACAGAUAAGCAUUGCACUAGAUCCACUAUAGGACAGGGAACCAAGUGGUCUGAAAGGAUUCUUGGGGUAAGGUUUUCGCACAUAGAAGGAAGACACCCAAGACAUAAGCAAGCAUGUGAGAACAUAGAUGAAAUUAUCUCCAGCAACCAUUACUAAAAGCAAAGGUUGUAGAUAGUAAACAGAACAUGAUGGGAAUGUGUUGUUAUCCUUUAUUGAGUAGGUGCAUACUCUUCUUAAGUCGAGAAGAUAAAUCUCACUUAUGUCCAAAAAGGCCAGCCAUCUCAAACAUAUGCAUCAUGUUGACAGAUGGCACAGAUUGACCAAAACAUAAGCAAGCCAUUGAGAUAGAUAAAAGGGUAACCUAGUUAAAUGGGUAGCAAGCACAAGAGCUGAAGAAUGUUCUUUAGAAAGAUACUCACUAAGAUGAUUGCAGUUAGGAUACAACAUGAAUAUGGUGUACCCCACUAACUGUGAGCAUACCUCCUUCUACAUGCACGUGUGCAUGUGGUUCAAGGAUUUAGGUAAUUAUGACAUUGAUGCAUAACCAAUCCAGUAAGUUGCAUGAUUAAGAAUGAUUGGCAUCAUGAUAUGAGAUUCAUGAUUUGACAAAUAACCAUUAUGCAACCCAACAUCUGGUUCUUAGGACAAGGAUCAUGAUACGAGAUUGUACCACAAAGUUGGUAGAUAUGAUCAUGUCUUUAGGAACAGGAUGAUUUUUUUUAGUAGCAAAGUGUCCAAAAGAAUUUGGGCAAAGCUCAAACCAGGACAUAUCAUGGGCAAAAGUUGAUAUUCAAGAAAACCCAAUGAGGUUUGGUUAGGUACAGAUGCACAAGCUCAUGUGUUCUAAGCAAGAAGGUGUACUUGAGGCAACUUAUGAGAUAAGCACAAUGAUAAGGCUUGAUGACAACUCUUGGUCUCACCGAGGACAAGAGGUUAGACAACUUGUGCUGCAACCACACCUAGAAAGCAAGGCAACCACACAUAAAAAGAACUACUGUGUAGGUAACAAAAAGGAAGAACCUAACACCAAGCAUAGCUACUCAAGCAACAUACAACAAGGCAUUUUAUCUAACUUUACACAAGCAAAGUGACAUCAUAUUAAUUCACAAGUUACUUAUUGUUAGAACAAGGGUGACAAGAGCAAAGUUAUGCAUAGGGCAAUCAAUCAUGAUGAUGCAUGCUUCGUCCUAUUCGUCCUCACAAAAUUACCAGCCUAAGGUGGUAAUCACGUUCUAUAUCGGUGGCAUAAUACGCACACUCUCGACAUAUAGCUAGUCGUUAGCUACAAACAAUCUACGCAUUCGUGGUUAGCGUACCUGCAGAAAAUUUCAUUUCAGCCCAACCGAACAAUGAUAUAAGUGCAUGAAAUGAAAUACUAGACUAUAGGUUGAAAGCUAGAUGCUUCCAUAUAUAUAUAUAUAUCCCAAUAUAUAUAUUUCAGCAUCAAACUACCCGAAAUGAGAUACGCCUAUACAUACAUAGCGACAUGUAUAUAUGGCCAUACCACUAACCCACAAUUAAGUACCUUCAUAUAUACAUGCGUGUAACAUGUAAAUAUUCCAGUAACCAAAGCUAGCUCUCCCCUAGAUCGACGGUUGGACGAUCAUGCUCUCACAACUCACACUUACCUGAGCGUAGGUGCGACAUUGCAAAAUUUGAAUCUAUCAACAUAUAUGGCUAAUUCAUAUAUGAGGGCUACCUCUACCAUUUGACCACAGGGUAGCAUAGUGCGGUCAUCAUACAUACAUACCUUGGCCUGGGCGUCGAUGUAAAUUGAUCCAUACAUUACCACUCAAGUGAAUGGCAUCCAUACAAUAGCACGCCGUAUGGACGACGAAAUAAAAAUUGCAGUAUGUAAAUCCCCCCAUAGUUAGUACUUAACUUAGCCACCUAAAGGUCCUUAGUUGGGCAUAGAGGAAUGACCACUGGCAUACUUAGAUUAAAAGUUUAGAUUUGAACACACCUAUAUAUAGCUAUAUGUUACCAAAACUGAUUUUUUUAUACAGAAAAGUUUUGUUUCAAAUACACAUGUGACAUGUUUACUGCUGAACCUUGCUCCGAUGCCAGCUGUCACGGAAACGUCCAAAUUAUAAGAGCACAAGUACAAAAACAAUCGCCGAAGUGAUCAAUUUAUCAUACUUGAGCCCAUAUAAUUCCGGUAGUCCAUCAAAAUCACGAGGGAUUUCAAACCAACCAACAUACAAGCCAAGAUCGUAGUGAUUCAACAUAACAAGUCACACGUUACAUGCAUUUCACGAGUAGUUCAAGUAUAUCGGAGUUCGAUAAGAUUAUUACAACUCAAGUUUACAAAUAGCGGAAGCAAAGUAAUUUGAAACCAAUAUCACUUUUAUUUCAAAUACAUGCCAGUACCAUGGUCCAUUCCAACAAAAGCAUCAUAGAUGAGGUAAGUAGGAAGGAUCAUGCCCAUGAUCUUACUCCUUCCCUAAAGCAGGAGUCAUCCAAAUCUUGCAGUAGCUAUGAUACAUCACAACCUGCAACAAGUGGGAAUAAACCCUGAGUACGAGAAUGUACUCAGCUAGACUUACCUGUCAUAAACCAGAAAUAAAAGACACCAAGGAGUAUGCAAGGCUGAUAUAUAAGUGGAGCUUGUUGGACAACAUUUUGCAUAAAAAGCUUAAGUAUAAAGAGUUAAACCUUUCUUAUUUAGCAUCCAUUUAAUUCUCAUUAACCUAUCAACUAGAUUAGCACCUGUACUAUAGCAAUCACUUGAUUAAUAUCAAUCAAUAAUAACCAUAUCAGGUUUGUCAAGGCCGUCAUCAUCAUCAUCAUCAUAGAACCAGUAAGUUAUUUAGUGAAUGCUACGUUUGCCGCUGCUCUAUCAAGUUCUCACUAUCCGGGAGAGACGACGAUUCGAAUCGAUUCCUAUCCAGCUAGAGGGGUAUUCCUAGCACUCACCCAAGCAUCCCCGUCGGAGAGCCAACGGGUCACCUUUGGUACGACUUAGGAAUCGCGGUUCCGAUCAGCGCCGCACUCCUAGGGCUACCACUCUGCCAGGGAGGUAAGGAAUUUUAACUCACCUGCCUUUGGACUUACGCCAAUGGUCCCCGCACACCGCACUUCCUCCGGUAGUGCGCACUUUAUACUUGCCGGUCUUCCGGCUUGAGUCAUACUACUAGGCUUCACGGUCGGAACGACUUAUCCGGCCAACUAAGUGUUAGGCAUACGUUCAACUUGACAAGAGGACGUACAACGAUCGGUCCUUAAUCGACACAGACGGGGAUAGAUCCACACCCAAGACCUCCAUGCCUUGUUGCGUCACUAUCAUCAUCCCGCCCGGUCUCCUUUCAUAUUAUUAACACAUGGUUCUUUUCCACGAUAGCAAAUAUAGCCAACCGUGAUCUGGAAUCCACCUAUAUCCUGCAGGUGACAGGAAAUCACCUGGCUUCUACCGAGCUAAGCAUGGCUAAGCAUAGACGUGAUCCUGACUAAUUAGGAUUCAGGUUAUAUAUAUACUGGACAAGGAAGGGUAUAUAUAUGCAGCAAGGGUUUCAUCCAACUCCUAUACUUAAUGCAACAAUACAUAUAUAACAUAUAUAUACUCAUUCACUUUCAAAAAGUAGGAGGCUUAUAAUGCUCCGGGGCUUGCCUGGAAUGUGACACCGAGUCAGAUUAGUUAGCUUGCUCCGUCUUGGUGACAUCUAAGAUCAUAACACUUGCUUAAUCAUUCCAUCUCCGGGAUGAUCCACCAUCACGUCCUUCACGUGGUUCAUCUAGCGUACCUAGAUGACAUGCAAGAUGCAAGUGCGUGAACACAUGUUUCAUAGGAUCACAUAACACUAAUUAACACCACCAAGACAUGAGUCACUUAAAACCACACACAAUGUAAGUUAAUCAAGCAUUCAUGCAUUUUUAGCAAUUCUGGACAUACAUGCAACAGUUGAGUAAAUAAAUCAUAACCAGAGUUCUACAGACCCAAAAUCCAUGCAACAAGACAUUAUGGAAAGCUUAUAAAAUUAUAUACAAUUCAUAUUUAAUCAUCUUAGCAUGAUUAGAAAGUUACCUAAGUCAAACAUACAUAUUUACAGAAUCUGGUCCAGGAAUUCCAGAGAACAAGCAUUUUGACAGAUAAACUUAAUACCCUUAUAACUCACAAACCAUUUGUCCAAAUGAUAUGAAACUAUAACACAAGCGAGAUGAAAGAGUUAUCUACAACUUUUGUAUAGACAAGUUUCACAGCAAACAUAAUUUAUACUAUGGAAUUAAUUGCACAAUCAGGACUGCACAUGUUGCCCCAAACAGUAGGGUACAAUUAUAGGCAGGAAAACUGAUAGGAACUUCAAACAAGCAUAACUGGAGUUGUAGCCCUCCAACAAACAUGAUUUUUAACUUCACAGAAAGCUUAUAAAGUUACCUACAACUUUCUUAUUCUCAUAUAAAGAUGAUUUCAUAGUUAACAAGAUCAAUUAACCCCAUGAAGACAUCUCUGUUCAAAGCAUAGACAGGACAUACCAUGCCACAUUAAACAGAUAUAACAUCAUUUUCACAUGUCCACAAAUUAUGAUUAUGGACUCUCUAGAAAUCUUAAUAAAUUGUGAACAACUUUGUUAUAAACAUCAAGAGCACAUUCUAUCACUAAAAAUAUCACACAUAGCAAUAUACCAAGCAAACAACUAUAAAAGCAAUCUAUCAUUUUUAGGACAGCCCACAACAGCUUCUUGUUUAAAUCAUAACUGGAGUUACAUAACUCCAAAAGACAUGCAAGAAGACAUUCUGGAAAGCUUAAGAAAUUAUCUACAUUUGAUAUUUAGACAUCAAAGCAUGAUUCUCAACUUAAGCUGGUCGAAAUAUUAGGAUUACUGAAUCAGGUCCUAACAGGACAGAGAGCAACCAUUUCUGAAAUUCAACUUUGAACAGACAUAACUCACAAACCACAAGGCCAAAUACUACCAAAGUUUAACAGAAGCUAGAUAAAUGAAUUAUCUACAACUUUUCUAUAAACAAGACUCCCAGAAAACAUCAUUUACGUAUUGUAAUCCAAAUAGUUCCAAAAACUGUUUAGAAACAACAAUUGCAAGCAAUUAAUUAUUAACUCAUGUUUCAAACAUGCAUUUGAGCAAAACUAUUGUUACCAACAGUUUGCACAUAUCUAAAGAACACCAGAAAACAUAGUGGUCAUUACCAAAUAAAUUUAUUUAAUGCAUUUCUUAAUUUAUUUGGAUAAUAAGGUGAAUUAAAGAACAUAUAACAAAAUUGCUCAAUAACUUCCACCAAAAUUACAGUAGCUUCUAAACACUAUCCAUAGCCCACUGUAUAAAUUUCACUGCAUUUGAAUAAAGAUAUCAACAUCUAUGAAAAAGACAAAUUGCUAUUGCAAUUAACCAUGUGAGAACAAGAUAAAUCUAAAACUCAUAUUUUCUUCAAACACAUGACCAUAAUAUAUAUCAACAUGAUACAACAAUAUCACAGAAUGGUAGUGGAACAACAUUUUAUAUUUUUACAUUUUAAUUUAUAAUUAUAAACUAUUUAUCAAGCCCUAAGAAAGUUAAAUUAAUAACUCAUUUAUACUGCACUCAAAAAUCCUAAAACAUUUACCAGACAUCAAUCAUCACAUGAAUACCAAGCCACAAAAGUUUCACUUCAAUUGGAGCUAAACAGCAGCAGUUAUACAAAUAUACAAACUCAACUAGUAUUAAAAACCUAGCUGCAAAAAUCAUUUUCCACAGCUAAAACUUUAACCUAAAACAUGGCAUAUUAUAGAUCAACUGCAAAGAGAAUUUCAUAUGGAUUCCAAAAAGUCUACAUUUGCUAAUUUACGAUUUUUCUAUGAUUUGAUAUUGAUUUUCAAAGUUCUAGCAUUUCUCCAAAACAAAUAGGUCCUCGAAGCACUAUUCAUCUGAGUCAUGACUUCGGCAGAAAACCCCCUGGAUUUUGUCGAAUUUGCCACCGUGGUCCUUGGUCGCGAGGAAAAUAGAGGACCUCGCCGGAGCUCCCUGUUCCGGCCGGCUGAGGCCUCGUCGGCGGCGAUGGAGGGGUGGGGAAGCACCAGGAGGUCACGGCACACCCGCUGGUCGCCUUGGAUGGCCGGGAGAGGGCCCGUGGCGGCUUGGCCACGUGCACACGUAGGCGACGGCGGCGGUGGCCGGUGAUUGGCUGCUCCGGCGGUCUUCCACCUCGGCCGAGGGGCGCUGGUUGUAGAGGAGGAAGAGGCGGAGGCGGUGGUGAUGCUGGCUGAGCGUGGGAGCGCUUGGAUGAGAAGGAACAGCGGCGGCCAUGGAGCUCCAGGAGCUCAGUCAUGGCCAUGGCCGACAUGCUCCCGUCCCUGCGGUGGAGAGCGAAGGAAGGGGCGAGGAAGUGGAUGGGGAUGUCCGCCAGCGACCCAGCAGUCCAAAACACGACGAGGAGACGGCAGGGGCGCGUGGCAUGGAGGUGGGACGUGCUGCCCUUGCAUGACGACCGCAUCGGCAUUCUGUCGAAUACGUGGCGCGCGCCGGAGUACACAGAGUGGGACGCGAAUUUGGACCCUUUCUGGGCCGAAUUUGGACAUGGGCCGAAAACGAAGUUUGCCAAGCUCGGCCUGCUCUCCAACUUUGAUUAAGAGUGCAAAGCCAUUAGAGUUAUAGAUUAGUAGAUAAUUUGAUGCCAACCUUUGAGUGUCAAUGAAUUGAUAGUGAUUAGCAAAACUCGAAAUUGAUGACCAAAACAAAAUCAAACUAGUGUCACCUUUUGGCAUGUUCUAGCCCACAAUAUGUACUCCAACUUUUAUUUUGGUACCCAAGCAAGUUGUUCAUAAGAAUUAGGAGAACGCGGGAUGCCAACAUGACGAACUGAAAUUCCAGACUUAGAAAUCCGAAAUGCUGGAAUUUACAGCAGAUUCGAUCUUGUGACUAUUAUUUGACAGGCUUAGAUGAUGAUUCGGACUUCGGCACUUUAACAAAGUUUACAUCAUACAAACUAUACUACAACUUUUAUUAAAGGACCUUAUACUGUUUCUGCUUGGUUAGUAAGAUACAAGGCUCCCAACUAGAGUACCCGAACCUGAGCACCUUGAGGACUUAGCCAAAUUUUCUGAGAUCCAAAACAACACUGCAUUGAAUCUUGUGAGCUUAAUUUCACUAGGAUAGGUACCAAACUGGCUCUUGACCUUUAAAUAAAGUUUGUUCUACAGAAGCAAAACUACAACUUUUAUUUAAGGUCCAACGUCAUAACUGGUACCGAAGUCAAACUUUAACUUUGGUCAAAGUAUCAACUUGAUAAAGCUCAAACUAGGAUUUUAGAGCAAAUAAAGCAUUUUCUUGGUACAAGCUCAACAUGAACCCUUCAUGACUUUUGUUGUAGAGUUCAUCUAAAGUCAUUUGGUCAAGAUUGCAAGGUUAGGUUAGUAACCUAAGGUUCCGUUCACUUGAUAAGGUCAUUCCAACAAGCAUGUAACUUAUCCUUUCAUUUGACCUUUUGAAUCCAAACUUCAUAAAACUUUUUGAGUGAUCAACCUAGGUAGAGAUGGAGAUGAUACACAUGAAAGAAGCACCAUCAGCACCCACAAGCUUUACUAUGCAGGAUCAUCAAGCAUUCACUUGUCGCCACAUCAAAGUAUGUUUCAUACUAUCAUAUAUGGACAAAUGAUGCUUAUGCUCAUGAAAUGUAAGUGCCAAAACGCAAGACAAACACCUGGGCUGUUACACCUACCACACGAUCCAGCUAGACAGGGGAUAUCCACAAGUAAUCUAGAUCUAAGCACCUCGCUUACACCUAUACUACAACUCUCACCUAUAGCGUCCUAUAGAUUAGAAUACUCAAAAGAGUUGUGAACCAGAACAUACAUAAUUAGUAAUUGCAUAAUGAAUUAGAAGUAGAUUACCAGAGUCAUCCCAUGAGCAAGCUUGAUUAGAGCUUGAUCAUGACGAAGUACAACCGGAGGAAGAACCGACAGGCCGGCCUCUCCUCUAAUCCUCCUUCGCUCUCUAUCUCGCUACUAUCUAGAUCUACUCUAGUUUAGAGAAGAGAGAAGAGCUCUCAUCUCUAAAUCCUAGCUUUUGCUCUGUCUAUGAAUAAUGAAUAAUGAUCAAGGGGUGCCUCCUCCAGGGUCCAGGGGGUCUGGUUAUAUAGUCCCCUCAAGUGAACCUGGGCCGUCGGAUUAAACCGACAUUGAUUGAACGGUUAUUCUUGAUCCUUUAGGUCGGUGUAGAUCUCCCGAGAGAAAGAGUCCUGAUUGGGCUCCAAGUCAGGGUGGGCGCCCAGGGCAGGAGGGCGGGCGCCCUGCCUCUGGCCCCGUUCGGCCUCCGCUUCCUUCCCGUGGCUUCUGGAGUCUUCUAGAUGUAAGAUAAUUGCGCGGCACGUUAAUAUCUCUAUGUAAUCCCGACGUGUGGGCCUUUCUUCCGUAUUUCCUGAUAACCCCCUGCAGAAAUAGACAAACACCAAAACUCAUGGAAUUCUGUCAGAUAAAACCCCAAGUCUAGAUGUUAAUUUCAUUUGGAUCCUUUUCUUUGUUUAUUUGAUAAUUAAAUUUGAUACUUAAGGACCGUCAACAAACUCCCCCAAGCUUUCCUCUUGCUCGUCCCUGAGCAAGGAUAGACUCAGCAAUGGAUCAGAAGUUGUUGCAAUAUCUUCAAAAUUUGACGGUACACAUGCUUUUAAAGAAGAUCUCAUCUCUGAGUUAGAGUAAACUGUCAAGAACUAGAACUUACUUACUUUAUCUUUCACCAUGGGACUUGUAACCGUCACUUCUGUCUUGAGUAGUUAAAAGAUAGAACAGUCUAGCCAAGUGCCAUGUCUCUUAUUCUUGAUCAGCUAUAGCUCUGGAGUUUUUGCAGAUUUUCAAAUAAAACUCAGAGAUUCCUUGUAUGACUCUCUAAAUCUCUCUUUUGUGGUAUUUCUGGAUCCUUACCAAGGCAGUGAUGGUAUAUGCCUUCUCUCAAGAUAUGUGGUAUUUGUGGUAUAAGGCAUAGUGACAUUGCCUUCUCUCUCACCCUACUCUAAUAAGGCUUUAAUAUCUGGGGCUCAUAGGUGGAAGACAGCUAAUACAUACUUACAAGACAUUUAUUGCAUAGUCAAACCAUGGAUCUAGAGAAACAAGUCAAUAAGCCAAAUCAAGAUGUUCUUGUGUGGCGAAUGAAUGGUGUAUGGUGAUGAUGGUGAUAACAAUGGUGAAAGUCUAAUUCUACUUCUGCUCUUUUGUGGGUAUACAUACCUUCCUUGCUUUUUGAAACUUUAUAAGGAGAAUGAGAUGCUCUUCUUUUUAUUUUCUCUCUGGUGGGUAUCUUGUACCCCUAAUUCUACUGUCAGACACUUGUCCAUUUUUACCUCUCGUCUCACUUUUUCUUUUCUUUCGAGGUUCCGGGCAAUUGCCCCUUUUUAUUUCCUCCUUUAUUAUUUUUUUUCUUUUUUUUCUUUUCAGAGCACUCAUCUCUUGAGAUAAUAUAGCAAGUGGUAGUAGCAAGAUAACUUGAGCAUUUAUUUCACAAGGGAAAACAGAAAUAUUUUUGGCUAUUCUCUCUCGGAUUAGGAGUUGAAUAUUUUUGGGUGGUUCUGGAGAUGGAAAUGAGUGGAUAUAUGUGGAUGGUACUUCCGGAGUAGAAGUAGCCUAUAUGAGUGAAUGUGCAAGUGAAACCUUGAUUUAACCACAUGACAAGCUCCUAAAGGUCUACACAGCUUGACCACACUCAAUGCUCAUAAGCAAUAAAUAGUAAAUGUGUGGCUCAAAGUCUAGCAAGCAUGUAUAUAUGGCUGUGGUAGGAAUUUAAACUCUCAUCAUACAGGAACUCAUCAUGCAAUAUUUUAAUGAUUUUUCAAAGAUAAAAUUCUCUAGAAUUUUAGCAUCUCUAGGAACAGAUAAACAGCAGCUCAACCUUCCCAUAUCAUAUCCGUUAACAACUUAGAUUUCAGAUCAAGUUUUCAUCCCACAAGUUUAGAUCUAGAGCAAGCUUUUAAUUAUAACAGUUAUGUCUAAACUUGAGAGAGAACUUCAAAUUUGCAAAUUAGGCAGAGCAACUAUUCAUCAUAUCCAUGCUAGAGUUUUAUUAUUAAGAUUCAGAUUAGCAUAGCCACUUUAUUUAUUUAUUAAACACACUAAGCAAAAGAUAUAUAUAUAAGCACAAAAUCUUUAUUUAGUUUUUCAUAGUUUAUGUAUUUUAAUAUUCUAAUAUAAUAUAAGUAUAAAGAUAGGUAGAAAUACUUAGCGAGAUAAAUGGGGGUGCUCACCCCCAAGCUGAAUUUUGACGUAAUUUCUCUUGAUGUAGCUAGCAGGUGGCAGAGGUGUAUUUGAAAGUCAGCAGCAUUCUGACAGAGAUUAGAAUGUCCUCCGUCUUCUUGAUUUUAAAUUAUGUGGAGCUCAAAUAGACAACAAAGCUUGUGGAACUAAUUAAGUGUUAGCAUAAAUAUCUAGCCUUCAUCAUGUUGAGCUUCCUCAAUAAAUAUUACUCCCUGUUUUUAUAUUUUUAUUUUAUAAAGCAGAAAAGAAAUAUUUAUUUUAUUUUUAUGCCACCACAGUGAAGGUACUUAUGGGUUUUAUGCCACUCGUAUACUUACAUGGGGCUUAAUAUUUUUAAACAUUUUUAAUUUCUUUUUAAGAUAGCAUGAUUAACUAACAAGCUAUUUAAGGAAAGUAAGUAAUUAAAGGGAAAAGGGAAUGCAAAAAGGAUAAAUAUGGAUAACUACCGAUUUUACCUUUCGGCGAGGGUUCAAUGUUUUAAGUCUUCUUAACAAGACUUCUCACCGUGUUCAUUCUUCAAGUGCGUCAUUUGAUUCAGGUGCGGACCUUGACGUCUGCACCUCUUCGUUUGCCCAGCAGUUCGAAGUGCGGUGUUAGCAGUAUCCUGUUGAGUGUGUUUGUGCUCGUAGAUCCAGGUCCUUCACUUGGUAGAGUCUGAGAGUUAUAAAACUCCUCCAUGUUUUGCUCAAAGUGUACUGGCUCAUAGAGACAAGGCAGAGAUCAAGUGCAUGGGUCCUGUUCGUGGAAAACACCAACAGAACCUAAAGUGUAUUUGUUCUUCUCUAACCCUAAGCAUAGUGAGCAAGACAAAGUUGAUGGAUGAAAAGUUCAUGAGUGUAGCACUUAUAACAUUUGUCAGAUCAGAUCGCUCAACCUUAUGGAAAGAUAAUCUAUCUAUGUAUAUGUAUUUUUCUUUAUAUCUCUCAAUGAUUGAAUGUGUAACAUUUUAGCUCAUAUGAUUAGGAGUGUGGGAUCAUGGAGGUAGUACUAAGAACAAGGAUUAAAGGACUAAACAUGUUGAAUCAGUUGGGUUGGUUAAUCUAGAGUUGUAAAUCAUACAUGUUUGUCUCUUUUAUUUAUAUGAAUGCCAGAACCAAGGAGAAGCUUAUAAAAGUGAUAGUCAAGUAACUUAAGAUGUUACCUUGCUUGAAGAGUGAUGGUACAGUAUCACCAUGUGGAAGCUUUCCUUUCUUAGCGGUUGUGCAUCGUGUUUGUGGCACCCUCCAUGGAUCAUCCCUCUAUGAUGAAUGAGCUAUGUCCUUCUUGUGCAAAUUGUUAAACUUCAUGUGUCACUCUCUUCGUCUCUGAUGUGAGUUUGUCUCAGGACUUCCCAAAUCGAUAUUGAAAGUUUUUCUGCAGGGGUUAGUCCGACAAAAAUAUACCAAUGUCUACACAAGCAGUUUUUAGUUCAAUAACCAAACUAGACUCCAUGUCUAAUCAGAUUAAGGAAGGCUGUUUAACCUAAGCACCAUGCUUAAUUUAAAAACCAAUAGAAGUAUGUGCAGUACUUCCAAACUAACACUUACUAGUAAAUAGACAAAGGUAACAUGACAGCAUUUAUAGAGAUCUACUCAAGUGGAGAUGAAGUAGUGUGAUUAGUAUUUAACAAAUUGAGCAUGUCUUAAAGGUAGGGACAGCCAACAUAGCAACAUGGCAAAGGAUGGAAAGUACUCCCCCAAGCUUGAAUUUUGCAGAAUUCAAGUUUGGAUGAAUUUAAUUCAGUGUUGCAUGAUGAUUGGUUGGACAUACCUUGUACUUGCUUGUCAUUCAUCUGAUCUUCUUGUUCCAAUCCUGGAAAGGUUAGUGACAAGAAUAUCCGAAGGAAUAUUUUUACAAUUAUCCUUAAAUACUCAAUACACAAGGUAAUGUUGCAAAUAAUUAAAACUCAUGUUACGAUCUGAUCAGUGCUUAUUUUAGGACACCAAGCUUGUCCUUGGGAAACCAUCAAUUUAUGUCGGCGAAGUGGUUUCCCUUCCAACGCUGACCUAAAUCAAGAUCAACUCAACGAGAUCUGAAAUAUUUAUUAUAGACAUAUGCAUCGACAACCGCCCUUUUAAAGUUUUUGUAAAUAGAAAGAAAGAGGGGGUUGGAGAUCUCAAAUGUGGUGAUGUUGGAGAGACCAAUAGAUUGGGAAGAUGUUGCAUAUGAGCAUGGAGUAAACAAAGUGGAUAUGAAAUAAAUUCCAUGCUCAUUAUUGUUAUCUUCGUCUCCAAUCUAAAUGUUCAGAGUUUCUCUUGGAUUGGUCUCACUUAUGUCCUCUUCUGUAGUUGGAUGAAUCUCAUCUUCAAAGGGAGUCAAGAACUCACCAUUUGAAACUGAGCCAAAGUCAGAAUCCAUUAAGGCUUCUUCCUUAUCCAUCCACUCUACACAUUCUAGCCAUUUAGAACUUGUGAUCAGGAAAGGGGAGGUGUUAGAAUUUUCUAUAUGGCUUAGCUCUCCUUCUAUGACAUUACUUGACAUGUUAUCCUCGUGGUCUUUAUGACUCCUAUGAUUUGAUCGUCUUGAUGGAUUGCUAGGAUCAUCAUGAGACUUAAAAGGAGAUGGAUAAGAGGGGUCUCUAAGGUCAAGGAUGGAUUUAGAAUUUGUGAACAUGGAAGGGGAGCAGUUAGAAUCUUCUAUAUGGUUUAGCUCUCCUUCACUUGAUAAGUCAUCCUUGACUUCUUCACAACAGGAACCAGGACAUUCUCUAAGAGAACCAUUAUUGCGAGGAUUUGAAUUAUCCCUGCUUGAAGGUCUCUUAUGGAACCAGAAGUCUAAACCAUCAGCAUCUGAAAGAUUUAAGGUCGGAAUUCCUUCCUCCCUUGGAGAAUUUAGGGGUAUUGAUGGUUUAGGAUCGAUAGCUAAAGUUUGAAAUUGAAGUGGUUGUGAUCUGGCUAUCGAAACUUCUUCUUCUUGUCUAGGAACUGGUUCUGUCUCUUUCUCAGGGAUAUAAAAGCUAGGAGACUUUCCACUUAAUAAAUCAAUCAAAUUCCAAGCUUCACUAGCAGGUAGGUGAUAGAAGGAUCCUCUAGAGGCUGUAUUCAAGGUUUGCUUAUUUUCCCCACUAAGGCCCUCAAAAAAGUGAAUUAGAAGAACUUCUUCUGGAAUAGAUAGCUUUGGGCCAGUGAGAGUAAGGUUAAUAAAGCGGUCCCAUGAUUUCCUAAGAGAUUCUUCUUCCAGUUGUCUAAAAGAAAUAAUCUCACGCCGAAGUUCCGCCACUUUGGAGAUUGGAAAAUAUUUAGAAAGAAAACUACUAUGUAACUCCUUCCAAUCUCCAUGAACACUCCCUAUUUUGAGUUUGUACCAAUGUCUAGUUUUUCCCGUUAAAGAGAACGGAAAGAGCUUCCAUUUAAGGGUCUCAUCGGACAUUCCUUCUAUGCGAAGGAGGUCACAGACUCGAUAAAACUCUCUUAGGUGUGUGUAUGGGUUUUCCUCACCUUCUCCUGAGAAAGGUUGUUUUUGAACAAGUUCUAUGUAUUCAGGGUCUAUCUAAAAACUAGAUGCUAUGAUAGGCUUUGAAGAUUUUGGUGGUGCGAGAUGUGUGCCUGUAGGUCUUUGAAAUUCAUAGAUAGACAUGUUUGAAUUCAUGAUAGACCAGAGAUCAAGGAUUAGAUAAGAAGAAAGAUAGCAGAGAUGAGGCAAAGGAUAAAAGGAAAAUAUUUUUUUUUAGAAAAUGAUUAAGCUAGUUCGUAGUCAACUCAGCAACCGUUUCCCCGACAACGGUGCCAAAAAUGCUUGUUGACACUUGCUAACACCACUUGAAUACUAGGUUGUCAUCCCCAGCAUGGCACUAGAGUGUUCUAUGGUAUUUAUACACACACAGAUAAUCCGCAAGCGCACGGAUACCGUUGAAGCUUUUACCCGGUUAAAGGUUUUAUCGUAUCCACAGGGAAACGGGAGAACUGAUAUACGCUCUAACUUAACCAAGAUAAGUAAAUAAGUGUAAAUAGGAAAGAUGGUAGAAUCGAAUAAGAACAAUAUUAAAGGUAAGAUAACAGUGAGUGAUAAUACGGGAAUAGAGAAUAGAGCAAUUCUAGUAUAUGGGCGAUGGUAGCAGAAUAGAGAGGGUAACUAUGGUUUCUCUACUUCAAAGGGGUAUGUCUAUGUCUGGGAUGAACCAUGUGAUAAGAGUACAUCACAAAGGAUGCUUAUCCUUAGGCCGAUAAACCCUACCCGUCCUGCUAACGAGAGGUGGACUACAGAGGACCAACGUAACUGUCACCUACGCGGCCUACCACACGAUCCAGCUAGACAGGGGUAUCCACAAGUAAUCUAGAUCUAAGCACCUCGCUUACACCUAUACUACAACUCUCACCUAUAACGUCCUAUAGAUUAGAAUACUCAAAAGAGUUGUGAACCAGAACAUACAUAAUUAGUAAUUGCAUAAUGAAUUAGAAGUAGAUUACCAGAGUCAUCCCAUAAGCAAGCUUGAUUAGAGCUUGAUCAUGACGAAGUACAACCGGAGGAAGAACCGACAGGCCGGCCUCUCCUCUAAUCCUCCUUCACUCUCCAUCUCGCUACUAUCUAGGUCUACUCUAGUUUAGAGAAGAGAGAAGAGCUCUCAUCUCUAAAUCCUAGCUUUUGCUCUGUCUAUGAAUAAUGAAUAAUGAUCAAGGGGUGCCUCCUCCAGGGGCCAGGGGGUCUGGUUAUAUAGUCCCCUCAAGUGAACCUGGGCCGUCGGAUCAAACCGACAUUGAUUGAACGGUUAUUCUUGAUCCUUUAGGUCUGUGGAGAUCUCCCGAGAGAAAGAGUCCUGAUUGGGCUCCAAGUCAGGGCGGGCGCCCAGGGCAGGAGGGCGGGCGCCCUGCCUCUAGCCCCGUUCGGCCUCCGCUUCCAUCCCGUGGCUUCUGGAGUCUUCUAGAUGUAAGAUAAUUGCGCGGCACGUUAAUAUCUCUAUGUAAUCCCGACGUGUGGGCCUUUCUUCCGUAUUUCCUGAUAACCCCCUGCAGAAAUAGACAAACACCAAAACUCGUAGAAUUCUAUCACAUAAAACCCUAAGUCUAGAUGUUGAUUUCAUUUGGAUACUUUUCUUUGUUUAUUUGAUAAUUAAAUUUGAUACUUAAGGACCGUCAACACCCGUCGUAUUCGUUCGCGCUCUAGAGAGCCCUAGUGGCCGGUCUACGAGCGACUGUUGCGGCCGUCCGCCAUUCGCAUGGCCGGGGUGGAAGGAAGAGAGUAGAGCGCGCUUGGGUGAUGGCAAUAGAGUCGCGAGGCUGAGGCGAAGCCGUUGCGUACUCUAGCGUGGGCUGAGACCCCCGCUAGCGGCGGCCGGAGUCGCGGCAGAGCCGCCGAGAGCGAGGAAGACGAAGCUGAUAGCGGGGGCCCGCUGUCAGCGAUGCCGUGAGUAGGAGAGAAGGCGCGCGCAGCGUGCGCGUGGGCCGAGCGUGAGCGGGCCGACCUCCGGGCCGAGUUCCUAGGCCGCUCGCGGCACAGUGUCUUUUUCUUUUUCCUUUUGUGCAAAAAAUUGAUUUAUGUUUGAAUAUGUAUAGAAAAAGCUGUGCAGAUUCAAAAAUGGUGAAAAUUUUUGUAUAGGUUCUGUGCAUUGAGUAGAACAUAGGAAAAAUGCUAAAUUUCAUUUUUCUGAUACUGUGAACAUGUAUAAAAAUUAUGUCCUUUAUUUAGUAAAUGACACUUCGAUGAAUUUUAAUAAUUUAUUGAUAUGUCCAAAAAUCACCAAAAUUUGUGGGAUGCCUCUGAAUAUUAUUCCCUGACUUCGCACAAAAUUUGGUGGCAUUUGGAUAAUGUUUCAAUAAAAUAUUAUUAUACUCUUAAUUAGUAAUUUAGUAAUAAUUCCAAAAUAAUUAAGUAAUAAUUAGCUUAAUCUCUCAAAUUAGGAUUUGAGUGCUUUUGGGAUUGUAUGAUGACCUAAGGUCAUUAACCUUAAUGACCUUUGGCAUUUAAGUAUUGUUUGGUAUUAAUGUUUAAUUAUUGUCAUUAAUACUUAAUUAAGAAUUAAUUAAGAUAAAAAUGUUUAAUAGCCAGUUAAUUAAGAAUACUUGUAAAUUAAGGAAAAUAUUAAUUUACUGAUGGAACCUCUUGGGUAAAAACACUAAAACGAUAAACAACUUUAAUUACUGUUUCCUCUGUCCUUGCACCGAGAAGGCAAGUUGUACUCGAUUCGGUCCUUCUUAUAUGUUUGUCAUAAGCAUAUCAUGAGCAUACAUCAUUCUACGUAUAGUGCACGUGACCGAAGGAGCGACCGUUGAACCGAACCCCGAGGUCGGUGUUCCGUUCGAGGAAGUAGGAUCCGAGACUUGGGAAGUCUCCGAGGUGCUCUGCAACCAAGGCAAGCCCCAGAUGCAUUAACCCCUCCUUGAAUGUUUUAUAUCUUUUAUCACUUGUGAAUUGAAAAUGCUGCAUUACAUAGUCAAGAAUUGGGUAUAACCUUUCUGUUGCAUUUACUACCUUGAUAUUUGUUAUCUUGUCCUUGGCCCCUGUUUUAUUUUAAAACUGCGUAGUGAUGCUUAGCCCUGCUACUAGAUAGGUUUUCAAACAAGAAAGUUUGAAAGGUUGUUGUGGAAUACUUUUAUGGUCAAUGAUGUUUCAACUUGAGACCAGUCGGUGGACUUGCUUUAAGAAUGGAGUCUUAAAGUAGUGUCUCCAACUGUGUCGAUUAAGGACCGGUCCGUCGAUGGCCUGCUGGGUUGAGAAUUUAUAGUACUAGCCACUUUCCCUCGGUAAACCCGGUCUUGUGAUUCCUCGACGAGAACGGCUACUCACGCACUGGGCAUGGAGCUAUGGAUAGAGUAGCGUGUACCCUCCUGGCAAAUGGGCUGGACGGUGGGGUACUGUGCUCUCGGGUGCCGCGAACCCGGUCAGAUCUUGGGAAAGCUAGAUUUGGGUUGACAUAUGCAAGAUUUAGUUCUACAUAUGUCGGGUGGUUAGGAACUCCAGCUGGAUUGCUAAGCGGUUCGAAUCGUCGUUGCUCCCCGAUAGGGAGACUCAAUCCACUGACUCUCAUCGUAGUUAAUUAUGCAACUAAGUUGAAAAAUGAGAAAGGGUGAAAUGUCUCAUGAGGUUUGGAUCCCAAUUCCCAAACUCAGAGUGACAUGAAGCUAUGGCCAUUGGAUGGAUAAUAAUUUUAUUAAGGACUAGAGAUUUACAGACUUGUCUAUGAAAAGCAACUAGAUACACUGUCCUCGAACUCCUCGGCCUCUUGAGGAGAGGAAGUCAUGGUUAAAACUUGAAAGUAAGGAUAUACUAUUAGUAAGCUUUUUGGCAAAACAAUUUGGCUCCUUGCUCGGCCACCCUUUGUCUACCCUAAGCCUACAUUUCUAAGUUCUCCUCUUUUUCUGCCGGGUAAGUCUUGUUGAGUACUCCCGUACUCAGGGUUUUAUAACCCCUAUUGUAGGUGAAGCUCAGGAGCUGACUUGUUUCAGACCCUGUUGUGUGACUGUCGUCGAGGAUGACGACGAGGAGGAGUAAGCAUGACCCUUGGGCAGGGUCUGUAAAGUUGUAAUCUCUAUACUACGGUUUAAGUUGAUCCGCUGGACCUGGAUUGUAAUAACACUUUAUCUAAGUCUACUUUGAAGAACUACUUUUGUAAAUUAAGUUAUUUAAUGCUUCCGCCGUUUUUCUCUGAAAUGUUAUUUUGGUUGUAUGUCGUUUGUGAUACUGCAAUGCCUUCACAACGAAUGAUCAUGGUGUUAAGGUGGCCACUUGUUAUCCUGAAAGGGCGAGAAGAAGAAGUUCUCGUUAAUUGAUCAUCACUAGUGGUCAGGACGAAUUCUGAUAUUACGCCACAAGUAGCAGUGGACUGAGUGUCCUGCGACGCUCAUUGGGCUUCUAGAGUAGAUGGAUCUCCGGCAUCACUGUUAGAGGUCUUUGGGACAAUGACAGAUGUCGAUGGGCCCAACUACUUAGGAGGUUCUGCCACAGCUGGUAUCAAAGCAUUCGUUGCUAAGAUGACUGCUGUAUCCUUUGAAAAACAUCAAACUUAUUUGGAUCCAAUAAUAUAAAAUUUCCUAUUUUGAGUCCAAGUGCUUUAGCUCUACCUUAUCCUUGUCUGUAGGCUUUACUAGAAUUUUUGAGGUCAUGUGGAGGAGAAACAUAAAGUAUAGCCCCAUGUUGUAAAAGUUUAAGUGUUAUAGCUAUGAAUUUCUAUUGCGAGUCGUAAGUACAUGCAUGCAUCAUGAUUUGUCACUUGGUUAAUUUCCUUCCUCUUUAUUCGGGUUGGGUUGUAUAGGAUCAAUCCUAUUCUUGCUAACCUUUAAGGUCUCCUUCACUAAUCCAAACUUACCCUCUACAGGAUGGGCCGUUGGAAGCAAACUCCUCGCAAGAGAACCGGUCCCAAGGGGGUGCCUCGACACCUGUUGGUCCCAAGAAAUGAUCAAGCUAGUAGUAUCCGCUCCCAAUCUCACCAGGAGAUGGAGAGGUUGUCAGCGGAGUUGGCCGAAGUAACAAGAGAGAGAAUGUAUAACGUUAUAGAGAUUGGUUAACUAAAAGCUCAGUUAACAAAUCAAAGACAAGCCACCGAGAAUUGCGAGGCGAUGCUGACCCGCAUGGUGGAAGAAAGAAAUGCAGCUAUUGCUCGGGAGGAGGAAGCCAAGAGCACAUAUAUGCACGAGCUGACCAGAAUGAAGGCCAAGUUGACCAAAAGCAAGUACACUGAUAAUUCGUACAAGAAGAUGGCAGCCACUGUCAGUGCACAGAGGGAUAUCGCAUGGCAGCGGGAGGAUCAGCUGCAGCUGGAGAAGCUCGAGUUGGCGCAUCAUCUGGACACAGUCAGCGACAUGGCGAUGCAAUACCGCGAUAUUGCAUUCGACUUAUACCAUCAGCUUCAUCCACCUCCAGGAGAAGGGGUGAUGGACACUGACGGAGAACUGGCAGAUGGUGGAGAGCCCGACCAAGAACCCCGUGAUGAAGAGGAAUCCGACUCCAGUGAGGAUAACCCAGGGGACGACUAUGGCGAUAACGACGACGACCCGGGCUAUGGCUCUGACCCGGACUAGUUCGGUAGGUUGCGGGCGACGUCGUUAUAGGGUUCUUAGUCUACCGUAGUUGGGUCGGGUCCGUAGUGAAGUGUUUUUCUUAAGUUAAAAGUUGUACUCGUUUGCUUCGGUAUGCUGAACUGUUGUAUGAUAAAUAAGUUGAAGUAUGUAAAAUAUGUUUCUAAGUUAUGGGUUCCAAGUGGUAAUGAGUACAUAUAAUUCUUGUAGCAGGUGCUGAUGCGCACACGUGGAUCUGAUGGAGCCGGAUUUUCCCAUGGACGGGAGGACAUCCCCAACCCACCACCUGCUCCGCCUUCCAUAGCGGAUGCAAUUGCUGUUCUUCUGAGUGCUACCACAGACAAUGCUCGCUUGUUGCGUGAAUUAGCAUAGCGCCAACCUCACCCUCUCCCAAACCUCCGAGCACAACAUAAUCUGGAGGGAGAAACUCGGUAUGUGGAUUUCACCGAAACAAGGCCACUAGUGUUUACCAAGGCAGAUGAGCCUUUAGAGGCUGACGACUGGCUCGAGACAAUGUAGCAUAAAUUCAGCCUGAUCCGCUGUUCAGAGACUCAAAAGCCCCUCUUCACCGCCCAACAGCUUCGGGGAGCUGCGGGGGCCUGGUGGGAAAUUUUCCUUGCUAUCCAAAAUCCAAGACACCAAGUCACCUGGGUAGAAUUCAAGGACGCUUUUCGCACCCAUUAUAUUCCAGAACGGCUUAUGGCAAUGAAAACGGCAUAAUUUCUGGCCUUGUGACAAGGCGACAAAAGUGUGAUGGAAUACGUGGCCAAAUUAAAUCACCUUUCUCAGUAUGCCACAGGCACGUGAAUACUGAUCGGAAGAAGAAGGCCUGCUUUAUGCGCGGCCUCAAUACAAAGCUUCAAACAAUGAUGACCACAUGCCAGAAUGCCACUUACUACGAGGCGGUUAACAUUGCCAUCACCUCAGAAGAGAAGAACAGAAAACAUAAAGAAGCAAAGAAGAAGGCCACUUCUUCCUCUUUCUCUGGUCACGGCCAAAAGCGCCAGAGAAUCAUCUAUCACCCACAAGGCCACGGGCGCUUUUUGGCGCAGCCACCUUUUCGUGGUUCCUUUCCACCUUCACAGUAUCGACUCGGGCAGCAGGUCUAUCCUCUAUCUACUGCCAUCACCACAGCACCACGCCAGCCGAACGCCCCAGGUGUUUGUCCUACUGCUCUGCCAAACCACAAUUACCCCUGCUACAAUUGUGGUAAACCCGGUCAUUUCUCUAAAGAAUGCCCCUACCCUCGACAAAAUAACCCCACUUUCCAAAAGCCACCCAUCGGCCAACCCCAACCGAGCCAGUUUAAAAAUGGGGCUCAGAAAGGGCAGAAUGCACAAAGGGGUAAACCUUCAAAGAAGGUGGGAUAAGUUUUUCAUACAGAAGUUGAAACAAUACCGAAAGGAGAGCCGGUAAUGAUGGGGACGUUCCCCGUUGCUAAACACCCUGCCUUAAUGCUUUUUGAUUCUGGUGCAUCUCAUACAUUCAUCAAUCGCACCUUUGUGAUGAAGCAUGACAUACCCAUCGGGGAAACUAAGGAUCAUUUCUAUAUACAGUCGCUAGGAGGACGACUGAGCUCUAAGGAAAUGGUUUAUCAGAUACCCAUCAAAUUUGGUGGGCAUAGUUUUCCAACCAGUAUAAUUGUUCUUAAAGAGCAACAUAUUGAUGCUAUACUAGGCAUGAAUUGGAUGGCACAACGAGGGGUUGUGCUAGACACCCUGCAUCGAACCAUCAAGAUGCCCUUGCCCAAUGAAAAUUCUUACCUUCUAAUCCAAUUAGCCUCUCCAAAAUGGGCAAUUGAACAAGUUCAUGCCACUACUGUGACAGAAGUUGAAAAUAUCCUGGUAGUUCCGGAGUUUCCGGAUGUGUUCCCCGAGGACCUACCAGGUCUGCCACCAGACCGGGUUGUUCAAUUUAGCAUAGAAUUGAAACUAGGGACAGCCCUGAUUUCUCGAAGAGCCUAUCGAAUGGCACCAAAAGAACUGGCUGAAUUGAAAACCCAAUUACAAGAGUUAUUGCAGAAAGGUUUUAUUCAACCCAGUUUAUCUCCAUGGGGUUGCCCAGCCUUAUUUGUGAAAAAGAAAGAUCAAACAUUAAGGCUAUGUGUUGAUUAUCGUCCCUUUAAUGAGGUGACAAUUAAAAACAAGUAACCAUUGCCCCAUAUUGACUUGUUAUUUGACAAGUUAGCCGGGGCUAAAGUAUUCUCAAAGAUUGAUUUGAGAUCGGGGUACCACCAAAUCAAAAUCAAGCCGGAAGAUGUCCCCAAGACGGCUUUUACAACCCGUUAUGGGUUGUAUGAAUAUCUGGUGAUGUCCUUUGGUUUAACCAAUGCACCAGCCCAUUUCAUGUAUUUGAUGAACUCCGUCUUCAUGCCAGAGCUGGAUAAAUUUGUAGUCGUCUUCAUUGAUGACAUUUUGAUCUACUCCAAAACAAAGAAAGAACAUGAUGAACAUUUGAGGAUUGUGCUGACCCAUCUCAGAGAUCAUCAAUUAUAUGCCAAGUUCAGCAAGUGUGAGUUCUGGCUAGACAAAGUCCAAUUCCUGGGCCAUGUAUUAUCAGUGGAGGGAGUCACGGUAGACCCAGGUAAAGUAGAAGAUGUUUUGAAUUGGAAGCCCCUGACUACGGUGCAUGAGGUCCGUAGUUUUUUGGGUAUGGCAGGAUAUUACCGCCGCUUCAUUCCGGACUUUUGAAGAGUCGCUAAGCCAAUCACAGCCUUGCUCAAGAAUCAAACAAAAUUUGUUUGGUCAUCUGGAUGUGAGCAAGCCUUUCAGACUGAAAAGGUUUUUGACUACUACACCUGUGUUAGCCCAACCGAAUAUUGAAAAGCCCUUUCAUGUGUAUUGUGACGCAUCAGGAAUAGGGAUAGGCUAUGUACUAAUGCAGGAGGGUCGAGUAAUUGCAUAUGCCUCGAGGCAGCUUAAGCCACAUAAGAGAAUUACCCGACCCAUGAUCUUCAGCUAGCUGUCAUAGUGCAUGCUUUGAAGAUUUGGUGCCACUAUCUAUUGGGAAACACUUGUCAUCUAUACACAGAUCAUAAGCGCAUGAAAUAUAUUUUUACUCAAGCUGAACUUAAUAUGCACCAACGAAGGUGGGGAAUUGAUCAAAGAUUAUGAUCUUGAGGUGCAUUAUCACCCUGGCAAGGCGUAUGUAGUAGCUGAUGCCCUCAGUCGUAAGGCUCACCGUAAUUGCUUAACAGUGACGCCUAAAGAUAUAACUCUGUGCCAAGAGCUAGAAAACGUGGGAAUAGAAAUGAUUUCUCAAGGAAGCCUUGCCAAUCUAAAGAUUGAUUUCAAUCUUGAAGCUCAAAUCAUAGAGGCACAAAAAGAAGACAAAGGCAUGAAAUACCUCAAAGAGAAGCUUUCUAACACCACAGACUAUAAGGUGGAUGAUGCAGGAGUAAUCUGGUUCAUAAACUGGUUAGUAGUUCCAAUGGUACCUGAGCUACGUCAGCAAAUCCUAGAUGAAGCCCAUACCACAAAAUAUUCUAUUCAUCCAGGGAGCAAUAAAAUGUAUCAGGACCUGAAGCAGAGGUUUUGGUGGACGAAAUGCGACACUUGCCGAAAGGUCAAAGCUAUUCAUCUCAAAUCUGCUAGAGAGUUGCAACCCUUGCCUAUUCCAGCAUGGAAAUCGGAUGAUAUUAGCAUGGACUUCAUAGUGGGAUUGCCCAAGAUGGCAAAAGGCUUUGAUUCUAUUUGGGUCAUUGUGGAUUGUCUUACCAAAACGGCACACUUCUUACCUGUGAAGAUAUCAUAUCCUGCUUCCACCUAUGCCAAAAUCUAUUUUGAUCGUAUACUGAGUCUACAUGGGGUGCCAAAGACAAUAGUGUCAGAUAGAGGCACACAAUUUGUCUCCCAAUUUUGGAAAUGCUUACAUGAAUCUUUGGGCACUAAGCUUUUAUACAGUAUAGCCUACCACCCUCAAACAGGUGGGCAAACUGAAGGGUGAAUCAAACACUAGAAGAUCUAUUGAGAUCUUGUGCCCCAAAUUUUCCAGAUAAGUGGGAUGACUGCUUGCCUCUAGCAGAAUUUUCAUACAACAAUAGCUGCCAAGAAAGUAUUAAGAUGGCUCCAUUCGAGGCACUAUAUGGCCGUCGAUGUCGGACUCCACUACACUGGUCUGAACCCGAUGAAAGAUGGUUCUUUGGGGUUGACUUAGUGAAGGAAACUGAAGACAAAGUUAGACAAAUUCAAAAUAACUUGAAGGUUGCUCAAUCCCGACAAAAGAACUAUGCUGAUGAAAGACGUCGACCCUUAAGAUUUCCCAAGGGUGACCAUGUAUAUCUUAAGGUAUCCCCAAUGAAAGGAGUGAAUCAUUUCAGAGUUAAAGGCAAGUUAGCACCUCGCUACAUUGGUCCGUUUCCAAUCAUUGACCGGUGUGGACAGGUAGCUUACCGCCUUAAAUUGCCCGAACGAUUAUCCGGGGUACACAAUGUGUUUCAUGUAUCUCAACUGAAAAAGUGUCUUCGAGUACCUGACCAGGUUCAAGAUAUUGAAGAUGUGGAACUUGAACCAGAUCUGACUUAUGCAGAAUAACCUAUCCGAGUAUUGGACCAAAGAGAUAGAGUUACCCGAAGAACAACUACCAAUUGGUACAAGGUACAAUGGAGCAAACAUUCUGAGGAAGAAGCCACCUGGGAAUCUGAAGACUAUCUAAUGGAUAAUUUUCCUGAGUUUCACGCUUUUAUUCAAUAUAACAUCCAAUAAAAAGAAGUGUACUCUAGAGAGAAAAAGGGUAGCCGAAGCCAUGAACUUAAUGUACAUAUAUGUUUAUAAUGAAAUAUUCUUCCCCAACUGCGUGUUUUGUGAAACAGCUAAUAAUAAAUUAGCUUGACAAAUUUCCUUUUCCAUUACUUACCCUAAGGCUUUAAAUCUCGGGGACGAGAUUUCUUUAAGGGGGAAGGGCUGUAACAUCCCUGAUGUUAUGGUUACUAAGACUGGAUCAUGACAUCAUGAGCAUUGCAUAAAGCACCACCUGAUGCAUCAAAUUAAAAUAAGUUUAUUUUGGUUGCUUGUGCUUAGGGAACUAAAGUGUGCAUAUAUGGUGAAAUGAUGCUAGCGUGGUUGUGAAAUCCCAUGUGUUGGAAGAUUCUGAGAAAAAGGGGGGCGGAAACCCUGAUUUUAAAACCCUAGUUUUGCCCCCUUUUGUGCAAUUUAAAAACUAUGUAAAAUUUGAGGUUGAGUGCAAAAGCAAAGUUGUAGAUCUUGUCAAGAUGUACAACUUUGGUGUUUUGAGUUUUUGAAGUUUCAAUACAAAAUUCAAAGUAAUUUUGAAAAUACAGAUUUCCAAAAAUUGUCCCCUUUUCCAAUUUGAAUCCCUAAUUCAAAAUCUAUUUGGAAUCUUGAAAAGUGACCAACAUGAAAGUUGUAGAGCUCAACAAAAUGAACAAAUUUAAUUCUGGGGAUUUUUCAAGUUAUUGAGAAAAAUCAAAAGUAAUUUUGAAAUUUCUAAUCUUCCCUAAUUCAAAUAGGAAUUUCCCCAAAUUGGGAUUUUGAAAUUCAAAUUGUUUUGCCCAAAUUCAAACUCUUCCACUCAGAAUCAGCUUUGGGCACUUAAAGAUGUUUUGUAGCAUUUAAAAUUCUGAACAACUUUUGUUUUGGUGGAAAUUUGACUUCAGUUCAAAUUUUGGAUGAAUUUUGCAAAAAACCAAAUCAUGGUGGAUAUGGAUGGCAACAGUGUCCCGAUGGGGGUCAUGGGCGCCCCUGCCACCGUCCGUAGCGGUGAGCGCCACCGCGUGUGCGUGUGCGAGCACGCAGCUGUCUGCCUGCCUACGUCACCAUGCUAUGUGGACGCCCCGGACUCGCUUCCCUCUCUCCUUGAGCACCAGCGUGGAUGUCGUCGCGCGGUUUCCUAGCCCAAAUGUACACCGACGACCCUCUCUCGCAAAUACACCGCACUCGAUCCAUCUCCAGCCAAAUUGAGCCUUCCACCACCUUCACCACGCUCUUGCGAACCCAAAGCGCUCCCUAGAACGCCCUCUAACCCGCCCAAUCGCCGGAACUUCCUCUUCUCCCCAACUCCGGCCAGAACCGCCGCCGUGGAGCUUUUCUUGUGGCCACAUUGUUCCAGUAGGUAACACGCCUUGCUAGCGGUUGUUUCAAGUUCCUCUCGUUCCCCAGAAGCUCAUGCGCUUGCUCUUUCUCUCUGGACACGAACAGGUUCACCGGAACGACCCAGAGCCCUCAGCCGCUUCUCCAGCCAUGGUGAUGUGAGCACCAUGCUCCCUACUCCUCCCCGAACCUCCCCGUCGUAUUCGUUCGCACUCUGCUGGGCCCUAGCGGCCUGUCUACGAGCGACUGUUGCGGUCGUCCGCCAUUCGCGUGGCCGAGGUGGAAGGAAGAGAGUAGAGCGUGUUUGGGUGAUGGCAAUAGAGUCACGAGGCUGUGGCGAAGCCGUUGCGCACCCUAGCGUGGGCUGAGACUCCCGCUAGCGGUGGCCGGAGUCGUGGCAGAGCCGUCGAGCGCGAGGAAGACGAAGCUGACAGCAGGGGCCCGCUAUCAGCGACGCCGUGAGUAGGAGAGAAGGCGCACGCAGCGCGCCGUGGGCCGAGCGUGAGCGGGCUGGCCUGCGGGCCGGGUUCCUAGGCCGCUCGCGGCACAGUGUCUUUUUCCUUUUUCCUUUUGUGCAAAAAUUUAAUUUAUGUUUGAAUAUGUAUAGAAAAAGUUGUGCAAAUUCAAAAAUGGUGAAAAUUUUUGUAUAGGUUCUGUGCAUUGAGUAUAACAUAGGAAAAAUGCUAAAUUUCAUUUUCUGAUACUGUGAACAUGUAUAAAAAUUAUGUCCUUUAUUUAGUAAAUAACAUUUCCAUGAAUUUUAAUAAUUUAUUGAUAUGUCCAAAAUAACCAAAAUUUGUGGGAUCCCUCUAAAUAUUAUUCCCGGACUUAACACAAAAUUUGGUGGCAUUUGGAUAAUGUUUGAAUAAAAUAUUAUUAUACCCUUAAUUAGUAAGUUAGUAAUAAUUCCAAAAUAAUUAAGUAAUAAUUAGCUUAAUCUCUCAAAUUAGGAUUUGAGUGCUUUUGAGAUUGUAUGAUGACCUAAGGUCAUUAACCUUAAUGACCUUUGGCAUUUAAGUAUUGUUUGGUAUUAAUGUUUAAUUACUGUCACUAAUACUUAAUUAAGAAUUAAUUAAGAUAAAAAUGUUUAAUAGUCAGUUCAUUAAGAAUACUUGUACAUUAAGGAAAUAUUAAUUUACUGAUGCAACCUCUUGGGUAAAAACACUAAAAUGAUAAACAACUUUAAUUACUGUUUCCUCUGUCCUUGCACCGAGAAGGCAAGUUGUACUCGUUUCGGUCCUUCUUAUAUGUUUGUCAUAAGCAUAUCAUGAGCAUACAUCAUUCUACGUAUAGUGCAUGUGACCGAAGGAUGGACCGUUGAACCGAACCCUGAGGUCAGUGUUCCGUUCGAGGAAGUAGGAUCCGAGACUUGGGAAGUCUCCGAGGAACCCACUCAGCUCUGCAACCAAGGCAAGCCCUGGAUGCAUUAACCCCUCCUUGAAUGUUUAUCUUUUAUCACUUGUGAAUUGAAAAUGCUGCAUUAUGUAGCCAAGAAUUGGGUAUAACCUUUCUGUUGCAUUUACUACCUUGAUAUUUGUUAUCUUGUCCUUGGCACCUAUUUUAUUUUAAAAUUGUGUAGUGAUGCUUAGCCCUGCUACUAGAUAGGUUUUCAAACAAGAAAGUUUGAAGGGUUGUUGUGGAAUACUUUUAUGGUCAAUGAUGUUUCAACUUGAGACCGGUCAGUGGACUUACUUUAAGAAUGAAGUUUUAAAAUAGUGUCUCCAACUGUGUCGAUAAAGGACCGGUCCGUUGAUGGCCUGCUGGGUUGAGAAUUUAUAGUACUAGCCAAUUGCCCUCGGUAAGCCCGGUCUUGUGAUUCCUCGACGAGAACGGCUACUCGCGCACUGGGCGUGGAGCGAUGGCGAGAGUAGCGUGUACCCUCCUGGCAAAUGGGCUGGACGGUGGGGUACUAUGCUCUCGGGUGCCGCGAACCUGGUCAGAUCUUGGGAAAGCUAGAUUUGGGUUGACAUAUGCAAGAUUUAGUUCUACAUAUGUCGGGUGGUUAGGAACUCCAGCUGGAUUGCUAAGCGGUUCGAAUCGUCAUUGCUCCCCGAUAGGGAGACUCAAUGCACUGACUCUCAUCGUAGUUAAUUAUGCAACUAAGUUGAAAAAUGAGAAAGGGUGAAAUGUCUCAUGAGGUUCGGAUCCCAAUUCCCGGACUCAGAGUGACAUGAAGCUAUGGCCGUUGGAUGGAUAAUACUUUUAUUAAGGACUAGGGAUUUACAGACUUGUCUGUGAAAAGCAACUAGAUAGACUGUCCUUGAACUCCUCGGCCUCUUGAGGAGAGGAAGUCAUGGUUAAAACUUGAAAGUAAGGAUGCACUAUUAGUAUGCUUUUUGGCAAAACAAUUUGGCUCCUUGCUCAGCCACCCCUUGUCUACCCUAAGCCUGCAUUCCUAAGUUCUCCUCUUUUUCUGCCGGGUAAGUCUUGUUGAGUACUCCCGUACACAGGGUUUUAUAACCCCUGUUGUAGGUGAAGCUUAGGAGCUGACUUGUUUCGGACCCUGUUGUGUGACCGUCGUCGAGGUUGACGACGAGGAGGAGUAAACGUGACCCAUGGGCAGGGUCUGUAAAGUUGUAAUCUUUGUACUGCGGUUUAAGUUGCUCCCGUGGACAUGUCUUGUAAUAACACUUUAUCUAAGUCUACUUUGAAGAACUACUUUUGUAAAUUAAGUUAUUUAAUGCUUCCUCUGUUUUACUCUAAAAUGUUAUUUUGGUUGUAUGUCGUUUGUGAUACUGCAAUGCCUUCGCAACAAAUGAUCCUGGUGUUAAGGUGGCUACUUGCUAUCCUAAAAGGGCGAGAAGAAGAAGUUCUCGUUAAUUUACCAUCACUAGUGGUCAGGACGAAUUCUGUUAUUACGCCACAGGUAGCAGUGGAAUGAGUGUCCUGCGACGCUCAUCGGGCUUCUAGAGUAGAUGGAUCCCUGGCAUCACUGUCAGAGGUCUUUAGGACAAUGACAGGUGUCGAUGGGCCCAACUACUUAGGAGGUUCUACCACACAUGUGCAGCCCUCUGGUUCCUCCGACCUCCUCUUCUUCCAUCACUAUCUUCUCUAUCUCCACUAUGGUUGCUUGCAUCAUCAUGAGGUGGUCGAUGCCUUCUAAUUUCAGUCAUAAGAUUUUGAAGAUUUUGUGUUAACCCCUGUUGCGUUUCUUCCAUGCUUUGUUAAAGUUUAUUAAAUUGUGCUAUGGUAACACAAUCUUUGAUGUCCACUUGACCCAUCUUCAUGUAAGGUUAGCUGAAUACAAAUAAUUUGUAUUUGUCGAAUAUGAAAAUUUGGUGGUACUCAUAACUCACCUCUCUAACCAUCGAAGCUCUUAUGAAUUCCUCUACUGCGGAUUACAAAGAAAACAAAUGUGUGGUGGCAACUGAAAGUGAUGGCGAGGCGAAUACAAGAACAGAGAGUACCGAUUACGAUGGUUUUUAUGUGGAGCUUGAUGGGGAGUAUUACACAAGGUAUGCAAUCUGAAUUUUAGUUGUUGUAAAGUUAAGUAAUGAUCCAAACUAAAAGUUAUCUGCCUAGUGUUGACCACAAGAUAUGAAAGAAGUAAAUGAUCACACACAUGCGCAAAGAUAAUUCAGAUUUGAUGCAAACAAGGAGUAUGAUUGGGAUGCAAGGUUUGCGAUCAGACCCAACUAAAAUUUUGCACCAAAUAAUGAUAGUAAUCUAGUUGUUCAACUCAACAUGAUACUUUCAGCACUGAUGCACUUGACAUAACCUGAUCUUUCAACUUUCUUUCUGAAUUUUUUUCUCUUUUCUUUCUUCUCUUUUUUUUGACACACUUUUGUUUUUAUAACUAAACACAAUGAUCAGAUAUAAUACUUGCAAACCUGAUUUUAGAAACCAAGCACAAACAGAAACUAUAACUUAAUAGGAUCAAAGAUAACACAAAGGAUGAUAUAGGCUAUAGAGAUAUUUUUUGUGGGAAUUUUUAGGUAUAAAAAAGGCACAAAGAACACGCGAAGGAUAAAUGAUCAGUAACUAAAACAAAGACUCUAGUGGACUGCGACUUAACCGAACUCACUAAAAAUAACAUAUUAAAACAAAGGUCUAAGCAAUAUAUUUUUCUGGCUUUUUGGUUGUUAGCACGAUGCAAAAAUAUAUAUGUAGCUAGGGAUAAAAUUCCUACCGUGGUAACGAAAGCUUUGAUACCAGAUGAUACGACACGUUGGCCCGAUCUUCACGACGUAGGAAGAACACCGAUAACUAGCUGAAGAACAGUCGGAUAACUUGCUGCAAGCAGCGAUAACUAGUGCAACCUGGCAAACAAAGCUCGAAGUCAACCACCGUUUUUAACCGGCAACCUGAAUCCAGGAUUCACCCAACCACACUCUCAAAGAACCAACCAACACAACCUACAAUCAAUCAAGGAAUACCUUGAAGGGAGUAGGAGCACCAAUUGGGAGCGGAUGAAGCCGCCGCCUAUGUAAUCCCGCGAGGAAAUCACAAGAGCAAGGGGUAGAGAUCACUCUCUGAAUAUUUGUUAGCACACAGCUAAACAAAAGAGGUUCUGUAUUUCAGUUAUCAAGAGUCUUAGAUUACAAAGAGUCUUAGGGGGUACUUAUACUAGCAACAGCCCUACUAGGUAGGUAUCAAAACGAAAUAGAGUUUCUGAGGGAAGGCAAUAUGAAAGGUGCCCUCGGAAUGAAUUCUCGAACUGGCUUCUUGUGACUAUUGUCCUCCAGAGCUGUUCCCAAUAAACUGACCAUAACAUCUUAUUCGUAAGACCAAUUGAUAAACAGUUUCUUGGUUGUGAACCUAGACUCAAUGGGCUUUCCAGCAGUGUAUGCCAACCAGCAUGAAACAUUGUAGAUUGAUAUUGUUUUACUUGGCAAUUUGUACCAACAUUCUGUCACGAUAGACUAUUGACCUUCUGAGCAGUCUGUACUAAUACUGGUUUGUAGGCAAUAUGGUAUAUCCAAACUGGUUGCCACUAGAUUCAUUGGAAAGUAGACUCGACAAGCUUUCCAACAAGUCCUCAUGGACCUUCAUAGCAUUUGUGAGUAAAAAGUUAUGAAGAUUUAUUUGCACUAGUCUGUUCUUUACUCUACUGGUCCGUUUUUGACUCUUCUGGUCCGUUUGGAUAGUGUUGCACUAGUCCGUUCUUCAGGGUUUGAUUCAUCCUUCUCUUUUUCUAUAUACCUGAGUACAAUCAAGGUACAACACUUAGGAAGUACUCAAUCCAUCCCAAAUUGUAAGUCGUUUGACUUUUUUAAUAUCAAGUUUGACCACUCGUCUUAUUCAAAUUUUUGUACAAAAUAUUACUUUUUUUUGUUGUGUAUUGGUUUAUUAAUAAAAGUUCUUCAAGAAUGACUUAAAUUUGACUAUAUUUGCACAAAUUUUUUGAAUAAGACGAGUGGUCAAACUUGGGGUAAAAAAAGUCAAACGACUUACAAUUUGGGAUGGAGGGAGUAUAUAAUUCUCAUCAAUAUUAAAAUGAAUCUCAGAAUGUAUCACGUAGACCUCUUGUUGUAGCUUUUUUGCACGACUACGUGUAAUCGGUCCAUCGAUAACUUGGGCUGGUGUCGGUGUAGGUGAAACUUGAGUGGGUGUAGCUUGACUUGGAGCUUGUGACAUCUUGUUUGGUGGCGUGGUCAUAUCAAGUUGUUAGGGGAAGUCAGUGCUCCAACAACUUCCAACACGGCGACUGCAAUGAUGUACAGGCGUGCGUACAUAUGGACCAAUUACCCAGCGAUAUACAGGGAUUCAGCCCAGGGAACGCACGCGCCAUCAUCACCGAGUACACCAAAACAAUACCCAUCGAAGCCACGAUAGUACGGAGGCCUCGAGUUGUCUUGUGCCCAUGCCCCUGUCGAGGCCUACUUUAACCGCUACACCAUGUCACCUUGUGCCUCAUGACUGCUACAUGAUCUAUGGCGGGCCCAUGACUCAGCUCACGUCUUAACAGCGCAAGAGGGAAUGUCAGGAAGUUUUCGUGGCUCGGAUGGUGGUGCCCCAGUACCUCGACUGUUCUAACAUCCCCAUCACCUUCAACUGCGACGACCACCCCGACCGCGUCAUCAGCCCUGGUGUGUACCCGCUCAUCAUCGACCCCAUCAUUGUCAACACCCAACUCUCAAAGGUGUUGAUGGAUGGUAGGAGCAGCCUCAACAUCAUCUACCUUGAGACACUUGGCCUCCUGAGAAUCGAAAGAGCACAACUCAAACCAAGUGCAGGAGGCUUCCAUGGAGUUGUACGAGGAAAGAAGGCCUUCUAGGUGGGUCAAAUCGACCUCCCGGCCUGUGUUGUCAUGGCGGUCAACUUCAGAAAGGUGGACCUGACUUUCGAGGUAGUGGGUUUCUGCGGAACCUACCAUGCCAUCAUCGGACAUCUAGGAUACACCAAGUUUAUGGCCAUCCCCAACUACACGUAUCUCAAGCUGAAGAAGCCAGGGCCUAAGGGAGUCAUCACCGUCAGCACCUCCUACGAGCACGCCUACGAGUGCGACGUCGAGUGUGUCGAUUAUGGGGAGGCGGCCGAGAACUCCACCGAGCUUGCCUCGAGCUUGAGACCCUGGCCGCUGAGGCCCCAGAACCAAAGCACCAUGCGGGAAUCUUUGAGCCGAUAGAAGGCACCAAGAAGAUCCCUCUCGACCACAACGGCUCCAAUGACAAAGUGCUGACGAUCAGCGCCGACCACGACGCCAAAUAGGAAGUUGUGCUUGUUGACUUCCUCCACGCAAAUGCCAACAUGUUUGCGUGGAGUCCCUCUGAUAUGCCUAGCAUACUGAGGGAGGUCGCCAAGCACGCCUCGGAGAUCCAGGCCAGUUCCAAGCCAGUGAAGCAAUGCUUGCGCUGCUUCAACGAGGAGAAGCGCAGGAUCAAUGGGGAGGAAGUUCACAAGCUUUUGGUGGCUAGAUUAAUCAAGGAGGUUCAUCAUCCUGAGUGGUUAGCUAAUCCUGUACUUGUUAAGAAAAAGAAUGGAAAAAUGCGAAUGUCUAUUGAUUAUACUAGUUUGAAUAAAGCAUGUCUAAAAGUUUUGUUUCCUUUAACACAAGUUGAUCAAAUUGUCAAUUCUACUGCGGGAUGUGAUACCCUUUCCUUUUUUGAUGCUUAUUCCGGUUACCAUCAAAUAAAAAUGAAGGAGUCCGACCCGCUCGUGACUUCCUUCAUCACCCCUAUUGGUAUGUACUUCUAUGUCACCAUGCCCUUCGGCCUUCGAAACGCUGGGGCAACAUAUCGACGGUGCAUGUUACAUGUUUUUGGUAAGCAUAUAGGGUCGACGGUCGAGGCCAACAUUGACGACAUUGUGGUCAAGUCGAAAAAAGUAGGGAAUCUCAAACAGAACCUAGAGACCAUGUUUAGUUGUCUAUGGGCCAAUAACAUUAAGCUCAACCCUGAGAAAUGUGUCUUUGGCAUGCCUCGAGGUAUGCUCUUAGGCUACAUUGUCUCCCAGCACGGCAUCAAGGCCAAUCCCGAGAAGGUCUCGGCCAUCACAAAAAUGGGACCGAUUUGAGACAUCAAGGUCAUAUAGAAGGUUACGGGCUGUCUAGCAGCACUCAUCCGCUUCGUCUUAUGACUAGGGGAAAAAGCUCUGCCGCUAUAUCGCCUCCUGGAAGAAAGCUGAGCGCUUCACAUGGACCGUCGAGGCUGAGGAGGCCCUCGACAAACUUAAAAGCAUGCUGACUUCCGCUCCAGUCCUAGUUCUACCCCGACCUGCCGAGCCUCACCUCCUCUAUGUCGUAGUGAUGACUCAGGUCGUUGUUGACACUAGCUAACACCACUUAGAUACUAGGUUGUCAUCCCCAGCAUGGUGCCAGAGUGUACAAAGAUAUUUAUAAAUGUAAAGGCUCUCUAGAAAAUAAUCUAUUCUAUCCGCAAGCGCACAGAUAAAACACCUCAUUGUAGCAUUUCACUAGCAUAAGUAUUCCAGGUAUCGUUAUUUAUAAUUUUGCUAAAGAGAACAAAGGGUAAAAUUAAGAUAAGGAUUGAGUCUAUCAAGGCAUAGACUAGAGAUAAACUUGGAAGAACAUGAUUACUAAUGAGGAACUCGUCACAUAGUCACUUACUUUGGCAGGGGGUAAACCAUAAAGAUAAUGAUAAUUAAUUAUAAGUUCAUGGGUAAAUAACACAGCGAUUAGAAAAUAGACUACUCCUCAUAUAUGUAAGGUGACGUCGGAUUAGCUAGAGAAUAGAUUCUAAGUUAUCUACUAUCUACUAAGUCACAAUCUACUCUAGUUAUCUACAAGAUCAUGUAUAGUAUAAAAGACUCUUCAUUUAUGUAUAAGGAACAUUGCUAAAGUAAAUCGGAGCAUCGCAGGACUUACUCCGCAAUACAAAUUCUUCCUGUCCUAUCAACGGAGGGUGGACUAUAUAAGAAUCAACGAAGCUGUCACUAUCACGAACUACCACACAACUCGGCCAAUAGGAUACAUUUGCAGGUAAAUAACAUCUAAGCACCCCGCCCACAUGUGAUCUACCACUUAACUCCCGCGCGUCAAGAGCUAAGCGCUUUGCAAACUUAUACAUGAACUCAUUAUCAAUCAUAACUAUAUCAAAUAUAGACCUAGAGCAAACUAAGAACAUAAUAAAUAGAGACAUAAUGCAAUUAGAACAAAGUAUUAGAGAAAGAUAUGAAUAAUACAAAUCUUUAUUACCGAAGAUCCGAAUGUAGAGCGUAGUGCUCUACUUCUCUAAUUGCUAUCUAAUCAAUCCUCUAAACUUGAAGGAUUAGGGAGUAGCUAAUUCUAAUUCUCUGUGGGAGAGAAGUUCUAAACCCUUACUUUGAUGGCUACCUCUGAUAAUGAUUUCUCCUCUUCUCUUCUCUCUCCCAGGGGUGGAGAGGCCUUAUAUAGUCCUUUCAAGGGAAUUUGGGCCGUCGGAUCAGACCGACAUUGAUCGCAUGGUUUUUCUUGAUCCUUUAGGUCGGUGGAGCAUGAUCCAAGAGUUUGGUUCGGAUUGGACCCGAGACCUAGGCGGGCGCCCAAGCGGGGAGGGCGGGCGCCCUGCCCCCGAGCCCGAUCGUCUUCUCGUUCGUUCACGUGGCUUCUGGACCCUUCUAGAUUGAGGAAAAUUGCGCGGCACGUAAUUAUCUCAUUGUAAACAUGACAUGUGGGCCUUCUCUCCAUAUUUUCUGAUAACCCCCUGUAGAAAUAGAUAAACACCAAAGCUCGUGGAAUUCUGUCAGAUAAAACCCUAAUUCUAGAUGUUUGGUGCAUAUUGAUCCUUUUCCAUGUUUAUUUGAUGGUUAAAUUUAGUACUUAAGGACCGUCAACAAACUCCCCCAAGCUUACCCUUUGUUCGUCCCUGAGCAAACAGCUAAACUCAGAUGGAUCAGGAGUUGCUUCGAUGUUUUCUUUCCUGACAGGCACACAUGCUUUUAUAUAAAAAUUCUUCCAGAUUAGAGUGAAGUGUCAUGGAGCUUAGUACCUGCACUUAAGUCUUAAGUAAUCAAAAGAAAAAAUAGUUAAGUCAAGCACUAUUCCUCCUGUCUAUACUUCACCUUUGUUCCAGAGUUUUUCAUAAGUUUUCAAAAUAAAACUCAGAGUUCCUAGCAAUUGUCACGGAACCGACCAAAUUAUAAGAGUUCAAGUGUAGAAACGAUCGACAAGCAAUCAAGUUUCCAAACUUGAGCCCAUAUAAUCUCGGUAGUCAACUGAAAUCACGAAGGCAAACCAACUUGCAACAAACCAAGAUCGUAAUAGUUCAACAUAACACAGCGAAUGUUACAAAGUCAUUCAUUGCCGUCGAAGCGGCACCACAUCGGAGUUACUUAGUUAUUACAACACAUGUUCGUAGUAGCGGAAGCAAAAUAUUUUACAACACAUACUUCAAAGUUCAUUGCACAAGUUCUUGUUUGGCCAGGGUCUCAUGCCAUCCAUCCAAAAGCAACAGGUAUGAAGUAGUUAGAGAACCGUGCCCAACGGUUUAGUCCUCAUCCCCAGCGGGAUGGAGACAGGUCUUGCAGAAGCCAUCAUAAAAGAUAUCAUCUGCAACAGGUGGGAAUAAACCCUGAGUACGAGGAUGUACUCAGCUAGACUUACCCGUCUAGUAAAACAUAAAAGACACCAAGGAUCAUGCAAUUUUGAGAGUAAGUGUGGCUGGCUUGACUCAACAUUUCCCAAAAGCUUAAUUAAUUAUCUACCAAUUGGUAUUAGCAUCAUAUUGAUCAGCAUUAACCUACCACUAGAUUAGCACCUGUACUAAAACACAUCACUUGAUUAUUACAAGCAAUAAUAACCAUAUCAAGUUCAUCAAGUGUUUUUCCUUGCUAUAAUCAUUAUCACAAACCAUUGUUCUUUAGUGGAUGCUACGUUUGCCGCUGCUCUGUCAAGUUCUCACUAUCCGGGAGAGACGGCGAGUCGAAACGAUUCCUAUCCAGCUGGAGGGUUAUUCCUAUCACUCACCCAAGCAUCCCCCGUCGGAGAGCCAGCGGGUCUCCUUUGGUACGACUCAGGAAUCGCGGCUCCAAUCAGCGCUGCACUCCCAGGGCUACCACUCUGCCAGGGAGGUCAGGAAUUUUAACUCACCUGCCUUUGGUCUUAUGCCAAUGGUCCCCCGCACACUGCACUUCCUCCGGUAGUGCGCACUUUAUACUUGCCGGUCUUCCGGCCUGAGUCAUACUACUAGGCUUCGCGGUCGGAACGAGUUAUCCGGCCAACUAAGUGUUAGGCAUGCGUUCAACAUGACAAUAGGACGUACAACAGUCGGUCCUUAGCUGCCACAAAUGGAGUUACUACAACCUUGCAAAACUCCAGCCGGCUUAAGCCAAUUUAAUCAGGUUCCAACCACGAUAGCACAUAUAGUCAAUCGUGAUCCGACACAACCCUAUAUCGUGUAGGUGACAGGAUAUCACCCGACUUCUACCGAUUAAAACACGGCUAAGCUGCUACUCGUUCCAAACUCUAUAACCAGGUAGUGGUAAGAUAUCUGGACAAGGAUUUAGUAACAUGCAGCAAGGGGUUUCAUCACAACUCCUAUACGUAAUGCAUCAAUAGAUAUAACAUAAUCAAGUAAGCUUUUGAGAUUAAAGUGGUAGACUUAAAAAUGCUCUGGGGCUUGCCUUUCACGAACGAUGCGGGCUCGUGAUUCGGGCACUCAACCUCCUCUUCGGGCUCCUCGAAUCCGGCCUGCUGGACCUCCGCCUCUGGAUUUCCCUCUUGGCCUUCGGGGUUCACCUGAAGCUCGAAUGAAGACGUCGCGUCCGGUGCACCUAUUGCAUGCAUGAUAAGUAAGAACGGGUGCAUGCUAGACGGGGAUGAAUGCUUGACAAAGUAAUUAGGACUUCACUGGACACUCAUUUACUGAGUAAACUCCCAAGAUAGACUCACAAGGGAUAACCAACUAACUUAGCAAGACCUAACAAGUCCAACUAUAAACAGCAAGCAUUUCAUAACAGAGCAGCUCAGUAAACAGGUCAUAACUAUAGCUAUAAAGAUCCAACAAAUAUAAAUGAGGACAUUCUGGAAAGCUUAUGAAAUUGUCUACAAUUCAUCUUUAAACAUCACAACAAGAUUCAUAAGUUAUACAAGUCAUUUAAACAAAGUCCCAGGUUCUGUCCCAGAAAAACAGAGAACACCUAUUUCUGGAACCUAACUUGGAAAAGCCAUAACUUCAAAACUACUGGACCAAAUGAUCCCAAAUUUAAACCACAGCUAGUUCAUAAAGUUUACAACAACUUUUAUUUAGACAAGUCUUCUAGAAAACCAAGUUAUGAAUAUGCAAAGGUUGAAUUAUUUCCUUGCUGUCCAGAACAGCUAUAAACCUUCAAUUAAUUAUUUAAUGACAUAUCCAAAAUAUACUCAGUGUCCACCACACAACUUAUAAGCACAAACAUACUAUGAGAUUAUCAGAACAACAUAUGUUAACCCCAAAACACUUAAUAACAAGGCAUUUAUUAAUUUAAUUCUAUAAAGGGACAUAAUUAUAAGAUACUAGCAAAAGUGCUCAGAAAAAUCUAUAAACAAUACAGAAGCACAAGCAUGGCAUCUUGACCUUACCACAAAAAUUUCAUAGCAAUUGCACAUGCCAAACUUAAGAUAAAUAUUUAACAUGUAACAACGUGCUUAUUUCACAAAUUAAGAAACAUGGCUUAUAUAGUGUCAAACAACAGAUUUCCGAUUAUUUACAUGUUACUAAUACCAUAAGCAAGUUUGACACCAGAGUAGAGCACCAGCAUAAGCACUAAUUAUUUACUAUGAUUUAAAUAAGAAAACAAGCCAUAGAAUCAACAUAAAUUACAUAUCACAGAUAUAUCACUCCAAAAAUCAUGAAAUAUUUAUCACAGCAUUCUCAUACCACUCAGAGCCUAGCUUAAAAAUUUCAUAGCAAAAGGAGCAGUAUAUCAAGAGAUAUGAAUUUAUACAUAAGUAACAAGAUUAAAUCCUAAUAAUUAUUUUUUCCAGAGAACAUGGUUCAUUUUAUAUUUUUAUUAGAAAACUAGCCAUCUCAAGGAACAUCACAAAAUUGGUUUCACAAAUUUUGGAUCACAGGAACCAGAGAUAUGAUUUUUGCAAAAACUGCUCAAACCCUAAAUCAAACAAAGGAGAAAGAGAGGCUGACAGGGGGACCCCGCAAGUCAACGGACCCCACACGUCAGCGACCCGAGAGCAGAGGUGCGACUUGACCGCCGGAGAUCUUAUCGACGGCGAGGUUUCGGCGAUGGCCUAGGGCGCCAUCGUGCUCCUCGCUCCAUUCCGCAUCGAAUGGUACUCAAAACCGUAACUCUACCGGACCCUAGGUAGCUCGUCCUCGCCAAUGGCGGCACGGCGGUGGUGCGCGGCCGACCGCCGGUAUCUCUGGUCGGAGACAGGGUGAAAGAGAGCUCGUACGAGCAUCAGCACAACCUAGCGGAGCUUUUUGGACAAGAAUGAAGUGAAAUGGCGGACUACAGAGCCCUGGCCACGACGCCGGUGACCAUGGCGGAGCUCCGGCGAGGUGAGCUCCCGACGGAGAAGACAAUGCGGCUUACCGAGGCUCGGCAGCCGUAGCCAACUUGACGACGGCGUUGUGGAGAAGCUAGCGGAGCGCUGGGCGGAGUCGCUUGGCCGGAGACGCUGAGACGCGAGCGCGCGAGCUUGCCGAAGCAGCGGCGGCGACGCGGAGAAGACGACGCACGCGAGAGAGAGCGAACCGGGGUGGAAUGGCGCUGUCCACGUGACCGGGGGCGCCGUGGCGAGCUGUAGGACACGCCGAGGACUGACGAGCGGGGCCAACGGCGACGUACGGACGCCACGGGUCCAGACACACGGCAUCACUGGUGAGCUCCCCUCUGCUGACGGCGACCCCAUUCAGUCGUUGAUCCCGACUGAAACUUGAUUUUUCACCGCGCUUAACUCCUAAAUCACUUGAUGAUUUUGCUGGCUAAUUGCUCUAUGUUGUAGAGCUACAUGAGGACUCCAACAUUGCUUACAAGAUCAAGGUUUGAUUCGGCCUAGAAUUCAAACUGGAAGCUAAGCAACAUACCCUCGAGCAAACUGUUGCGAUCCUAGACUUAGAAAAUCUUCUAAGUGUUGGAAACAGCCCCAAAUCUGCCUUGUGGGUCACUUUUGAGCUAGAUGUGAUCAUUUUCAUGAGAUAGUCAUAAAACAACUUUUCUUUAUUAUAAAAUUUGCCACAACUUUGCUGUAGAAAGUUUUGACAUGCAAACAUUUUAUGAAACACAUUUUAAAAGCCUAAGCAAAAGAGGUUUCUAGGGGCUAUACAUGUAAGUAGGCCUUAGGUGAUUAUUUUGGAGAAGUGAUCAACAUGAACAUUGCUCCUAAGGUUGAGUUAAGCAUAAUUAAACUAAUUACCAAGGCAUAGCACACAAACAUAAGCAUGGUACACACCAACACAAGCAUAGGAAGCAUGAUUAAUCAAAUUAAAGCAUACUUAAGCAUAAAUUGACAUGGCUCAAGGUAGAUGAUGAUCAUGGAAUGCUUGAGUAGAUGAUAAUGCUCAUGUUAUGCAUGUGACUUAUGCAACCAUAACACUGGGGUGUUACAGCCCUCCCCCCUUACAAAAAUCUCGUCCCGAUAUUUGGAAGCUUACUGAUUUUCGAAGAAGGUUUUUUAAUCUUCUUUUAAGUAGUCCUCCGUUUCCCAAGUGGCAUCUUCCUCCCCGUGGUUACUCCACAACACCUUGUAGAACUUAACCACAUGAUUACGAGUCACCCGUUCCUUGCGGUCAAGAACCGCUACAGGUUUCUCCUCAUACACCAAGUCAGAUUUUAACUUGAUAUCCCAAACUUCUACUCGUUCCUCCGGGACACGAAGGCACUUCUUCAAUUGUGAUACGUGGAAAACAGGGAAAAUAGCUCAAAGUUCAACUGGUAGUUGAACUUUGUACGCUACAUUUCCUUUCCUUUUGAGAAUCCGAUAAGGUCCCACAUAACAAGGUGCAAGCUUUCGCUUGACUCCGAACCUUUGUACACCUUUCAUCGGAGACACCUUGACAUACACAUGGUCACCGACUGAAAACUCAAUCGGCUUCCUUCUCUUAUCAGCACAACUUUUUUGACGAGCUUGAGCAGCUUCUAGAUGUUGCUGGAUGGUAUGGACUUGCUGCUCCGCUUUGUUCACGAAAUCGAUGCCAUAAUACCUUUGUUCCCCGGAUUCCACCCAAUUCAACGGGGUUCGACACUUUCAACCAUACAGGGCUUCAAAUGGAGCCAUCUUGAUACUCUCUUGAUAACUAUUGUUAUAAGAAAACUCAGCUAACGGCAACCACUUAACCCAAGAACCCUUGGAGGAGAGAGCACAUGCCCUCAACAUGUCUUCUAGGAUUUGGUUGACCCGUUCAGUUUGGCCGGCCGUUUGGGGAUGAUAUGCUGAACUACGGAACAAGUGAGUACCAAUCUGCUCAUGUAGACACUCCCAAAAACUGGCAGUGAACUGUGGCCCACGAUCUGAUAUGAUAGUUCAAGGCACACCAUACUGACGAACAAUGUGCUCAAAAUACAACUCCGCAUAUUGAUGUGGACGAUAAUCAGUUCGAACUGGAAUAAAACGAGCAACCUUGGUCAAACGGUCUACAAUCACCCAGAUAGAGUCGUAACCCUUGACAGAAGUUGGGAGUCCAACAAUGAAAUCCAUACUGACUUCUUCCCAUUUCCAACCAGUAAUUGAUAAGGGUUGAAGUAAGCCUGCUUUCAUGUGAACGGCCUUCACACGACAACAAUUGUCACAACGAGCGACAAAAGCAGCAAUCUCCUUUUUCAUCUUUGUCCACCAAAACAGAGGAUGGAUAUACAACUUGGAUGAAUGAGCUUCGGACAAGAUCUGAUUUCACAGCUCACGGUCUUUUGGGAGCACAAGUCGAUCUUUGAACCAAAGAAUUCCGUUUUCAUCGACCCGGAAGUGCUUGGUUUCUUCUUCCUUCAUUUUCCUCUUUAUAUGGUGGAUGCCCACAUCGGUUUGCUGCAAUUUGAUGACUUGUUUGCGAAGAGUACUCUCUAGAGAAAUCUAGUUGAGCACAAGUGGCUGCAUAAGAUGGGAUAGUAAUGGAUCUUCCACCUGAACUGAGUGACAGUGCGCUUUCCGACUCAAGGCAUCCGCAACCACGUUUGCCUUGCCCGGAUGAUAGUGCACUUGUAGAUUAUAAUCUUUAAUCAACUCAAGCCACCUCUGCUGCCUCAUGUUCAAUUCAGGUUGAGUGAAGAUGUACUUGAGACUCUUAUGAUCAGUGUAGAUAUUACACAAAUUACCCAGCAAAUAGUGCCUCCAGAUUUUCAAAGCAUGGACAACUGCAGCCAAUUCUAAGUCAUGAGUAGGGUAAUUUACCUCAUGCUUUCAAAGUUGGCACGUGUCAUACAACACGACCCUCCUACAUCAGCACACAGCCUAGACCAAUACCCGACGCGUCAGAGAAGACAUCGAAGGGCUUCUCGAUAUCAGGUUGAGCUAGGAUAGGAGCCGAUGUUAGCAUUGUCCUCAACUUGUGGAAUGCCUCUUCACACUCCGGCGUCCACACAAACUUCUCAUCUUUCUGGAGUAGGCGAGUGAUAGGCUUGGAUAUCUUUGAGAAUUUCGGAAUGAAUCGACGAUAAUACCCCGCCAAUCCCAGAAAACUCCUAACCUCAUGUACCGAAGUUGGAACUUUCCAAUCCAGCACUUCUUGCACCUUAGCCGAAUCCACCGAUAUGCCUUCUUCAGAUAAGACAUGGCCCAAGAAAGGUACUUUCUUUAGCCAAAACUCGCAUUUGCUGAACUUAGCAUAAAGCUGAUGCUCACGCAAACGUGACAACACCACACACAGAUGCUCUGCAUGCUCUUCUUCAUUGCAAGAAUAUACCAGGAUAACAUCAAUGAAGACCACCACAAACUUGUCCAAUUCGGGCAUGAACACCGAAUUCAUAAGAUACAUUAAGUGAGCAGGUGCAUUUGUAAGACCGAAGGACAUGACGAGAUACACAUACAACCCAUACCUCGUCGAGAAAGUUGUCUUAGGUACAUCUUCAGGAUGGAUCUUGAUCUGAUGGUACCCAGAUCGCAAAUCAAUCUUUGAGAAUACCUUAGCUUUAGACAACUGAUCAAACAUGAUAUCAAUGCGAGGAAGAGGGUAUUUAUUUUUGAUGGUCACCGCAUUCAGGGGACGAUAGUCCACACACAUGCGCAAGGACUGAUCCUUCUUCUUCACAAAGAUAGCUGGACAACCCCAAGGAGAAGAAUUAGGACAGAUAAGACCCUUCUUCAACAACUCAUUCAACUGGGUCUUAAGCUCAGCUAGCUCAUUUGGCGGCAUUCUAUAAGGUCUUCUAGAGAUAGGAGCGGUACCUGGAAUCAAUUCAAUUUUGAACUCCACAUCUCGAUCUGGAGGAAGCCCGGGUAAAUCAUCAGGGAAUACAUCAGGAAACUCAGACACCACCAGAAUAUCCUUGAUGGUCCUAGAUGUAACUGCAUUCAUCAUGCUACGGAUAUGAAUAUCCCGAGGAAGUUGCACUAAGAACGCCUCUUUGGUAUUCAUGUCUCUCAACAUCACUACACGAGUGGUGGAGUCGACAAGAACUCUGUUGCCACUCAUCCACUUCAUACCUAGAAUUACAUCUAUACCCACACCAGGUAAAACAACCAGAUCAGCAAGAAACUGACGGUCUCCUAUUUCCAGAGUUGCCCCCCAAACCACUUGAUUGGUAGAAAUAUCAUUCCCAGCAGCACUAAUGCAAUAACUGACCUUAUCAAGUGUAAUUGCCUUGAGAUUAUGCUUAGACACAAAGUCUGAACUCACAAAAGAAUGCGAUGCUCCUGAAUCAAAAAGCACAAGUGCAUCACAUUGGUUAACCAAAAACUUACCAGACGCAACUACCUCACCAGCAGGGAUUGCCUCCACAGUUGUGUAGUGAACACGCCCCAGGCGGACGAUCCCUUGGUUGCCCUUCUUUGGCGGGUAAGGACAAUUGCUCUGCCCGUGCCCAGUCUGAUUGCAGUUCCAGCACGGACGGUUGGCAGGUGGAGUCUUGGCAUAGCUGGGACCCGUGUUGCCCCUAGGAAGAGCAAUAGAGUACCCCUUGCGGAAACCCGUCUUCGCCUGAUUCUUCUUCACAGAGGGCGAUACCGCUGGUUAGGAGUUGGAGCACGGUACGGGGGUCUAGCUGCCACUGGAACCUUGGACUGAGAUGCCCCUGCUCCGGCCUCAAAAGCCCUCUUGCGAGUCUUGGUCGCAGUGUACACAGUGUUAUAGUUCUCUUGAGUGAGAGCAUCACUAACGAACUCAUUGAAACUUGCACACUUAGAGCGGCCCAUAGUUUUCAGCAACUUGGGGCCGAGACCCCGCUUGAAACUAGCAAUCUUCUUCGUCUCAGUGUUCACAAACUCAGGAGCAUACCUUGACAGGUGAUUGAAAGCAUGCAAGUACUCCUUCAGAGUUUUGUUGCCCUAAGUCAACUGCAUAAACUCAGUAUGCUUCAUCUCCAUAACACCAGGAGGGAUGAAAUGCCCCUUGAAGACUUCACGGAUGAGAUUCCAGUCAAUCACAGUAUUAUUAGGGAGAGCCUCCCGAUACUGAUUCCACCAUAUGCCUGCCGGGCCCUGCAGUUGGUGAGCUGCAUACUCGGCCUUCAAACCCUUGGUCAGCCGAAGCAAGCGGAACUUUUGUUCCACCGUGUUCAGCCACUCCUCAGCUUGAACGGGUGCUUCAGCCUCUCUGAACGAUGGGGGCUUUGUAUCCAUGAAAUCCUUGAAGCUACUGUACUGGUUAGGUGCUGGCCCUUCUUGUGCAUUACGACCACCCUGAUUUGCCAUCCGGUUGAUGGUCUCAGUGAGCAUCCUCUGAUUUUCCACCAUCAUUUGCAUCAGCUCAGCUGGAUUUGGUGGUGGAGGAGGAGGGGGUGGAUUCAUGUUUGCACGCUGUUUCGCACCUCGAGUGCCACGAGACAUCUAUAAAAAUACCGUCAGUGAGUCUUGAUGAUGACAAGAUUUGCCGUAGAAGAACUUAUAUUCAUGCCUGAAAGUAUUCGAGAGAAUAGCUUUACAGAAAAGGCACAAUAAUUCAAUUCCACAAAACAACAUCACCAAUCCAACAUAUGACAAAGAUAUCCAUAAUAUGCACCACAAAAAACAUCGUCAUAACUGAUCGAACAUGUUAAGGUUACACAUUGGGUCCAUAAAGUUAUUACACCAUCACCGUAGAUGACAUGAGUCAAAGAUCAAGGUUCCGGAUUACAUCAUGAUUACAAAAGCACCACUGCUGACUGCCCUACUACAAAAGAUCCUCACAUAUCAACUAUCCACUACACUCCCAGCUUGUCGUCUGAGUCAGCGUCGAAGAUUGCCUCUCCAUCCUCGUCGCUAACUGGCUCCAGCUCCUCGUCCUCCACAUCCUCGUGCAAAGGUGGUGCAGCCACGGCUGGUCCAUCUACCUCUAUGCCGUCAUCAUCGGCCACAAUCACCUGGGAUCCCACCUCUAGGUACACUUGGGCGGGGCGAGGAAUAGGGUGUAGUAGGUUGUUGAGACAGUGAAUCUCCAUAAGACCAGCCUCAAUCUGAUCCUGUAGAUAGUUCUCCCGCUCAAGCGACUGGAUCUGUUGCAUCUCCCAUGCCCGGCGCCUGUUCUCCGACACACGGAGCGCAGCAUCCCUCUCACGAGUGACCUGCACCAAGCGCCCCUGCACUGUCUCCCUCUCUCGAGCUAACUGACUCAUCUGAUCCUGCUUAUGAUCUCUCUCCCUAAUGGCCUUCACCCAUUGCUGCCUACGGUACUCCGCAAUGUCUUCCCAGUCAUUGCGGUCCUUCUUAGCUUGCCCCAGGAGUCUAGCCUACUUGCAAAACUUGCGAGCACGCUUUUCAGCCUUCUGUUGCAUGUCCUGAGCCUGGCGAACAGCCACCAUCACCUGUGCAUAGGUGUCCUCUCGCAGACUGAACAGCUUGAGCAUAGCCAUCAUAGCACUCAUAGCAGGACUGGAACUCUCAGCUCGCUCUCCUCUACCUCGGACCAACGCACAACCAUCAGCCUGCUUCCACUCCGCUGCUACUGGGUCAGCACGGGGAAUGGAGGCCGCUGGUCCUCUUGUCAGCUCAUCACCAAACCUUUGACAGAUGUUGAGCAGCAUAGCAUGGGCUGCAACCUGAGCUGCUUCCCAUGGAGUCUGCCCAUCUGAGUUACAGUUCCACCCAGUCCAUGCAGGUCUGCCCCCAUGUGGAGGGGCAACUCCCUGCACCGCAAACCACUCCGACUCUCCUGUCACAUCCGCCUCCCACCAAGAAUACUGAGGUGGCUCAGUAUACCCUAUAGACUGCAGCACCCUCCAGAGCAAAGUAGGAGUGCCAAACUCGCUCAAGAAGGUGUCACUGGGGCGUGGUGAAGCGGGCACGUCCAUCUGUGGAAAGGAAUAGGAAUACCAUGGGUAAGAGAGGAUUAGUUUAAGCAACAUUUAUUUAAUUAAAAGGGAUGGCAUUGUAAGGGAAGGAGUAGACAGAAUAUAUGUUUGAAUGCGACAUGAUACAUGCACGAAUCGUACGUCCUCACAAACUUAGAAAAUUAAUAUUCUAACAGAUAUACGGUGGCAUACAUUCGUCUCUCAAUACGAUAACUAGCGAUUUACACGCGCGCUGUUAGAGUACCUACAGAAAACUUCAUUGCAGCCCAACAGUUCCCAAUAUAUAACUGAAGAAAGCAGUAAACUAAGUGCGCAUUGCUUAUACAUGCCCAACAUGCACAAACAAUGACACCACAACUACCCGAGAAAUUAAAUACUCCCCAAUUUAGUUUCUUUGGUGGUUCCAUGGUUUUGGCACGUAACCACACCAGAAAACCACCGCGAACACUCCCCUAGACCGCCGUUUGGACGACCAUGCUCUCAUAGCUCACACUUACCAGAACGUAGGUGCGACGUUGCAUAAUUUAAAUCUAGCGACAUAUGUGGCUAACUCACAUAUGAAGGCUACCUCUACAAUUAGACCAUAGGGUAGCAUAGUGCGGUCAUCACACAUCCAUACCUGAGUACUGCCGGAGAUGCAUAAAUAAAACCCCCCAAGUCAGUACUUAAAUAGCCACCUAUAGUCCUUAUAUGGGCAAGGAGGAUUCGACCACUGGCAUAACUUAAGUAUUGAUUUUCACAAUUUUAUUUAAAAACUCUUUUGUUUUUAAGUACACAAACACUGCAUUUAUAAUGCUGAACUUGCUCCGAUGCCAGCUGUCACAGAACCGACCAAAUUAUAAGAGUUCAAGUGUAGAAACGAUCGACAAGAAAUCAAGUUUCCAAACUUGAGCCCAUAUAAUCCCGGUAGUCAACUGAAAUCACGAAGGACUUCAAACCAACUUGCAACAAACCAAGAUCGUAAUAGUUCAACAUGACACAACGAAUGUUACAAAGUCAUUCAUUGUCGUCGAAGCGGCACCACAUAGGAGUUACUUAGUUAUUACAACACAUGUUCGUAGUAGCGGAAGCAAAAUAUUUUACAACACAUAAAUCAAAGUUCAUUGCACAAGUUCUUGUUUGGCCAGGGUCUCAUGCCAUCCAUCCAAAAGCAACAGGUAUGAAGUAGUUAGAGAACCAUGCCCAACGGUUUAGUCCUCAUCCCCAGCGGGAUGGAGACAGGUCUUGCAGAAGCCAUCAUAAAAAAUAUCAUCUGCAACAGGUGGAAUAAACUCUGAGUACGAGGAUGUACUGAGCUAGACUUACCCAUCUAGUAAAACAUAAAAGACACCAAGGAUCAUGCAAUUUUGAGAGUAAGUGUGGCUGGCUUGACUCAACCUUUGCCAAAAGCUUAAUUAAUUACCUACCAAUUGGUAUUAGCUUCAUAUUGAUCAUCAUUAACCUACCAUUAGAUUAGCACCUGUACUAAAACACAUCACUUGAUUAUUACAAGCAAUAAUAACCAUAUCAAGUUCAUCAUGUGUUUUUCCUUGUUAUCAUCAUUAUCACGAACCAUUGUUCUUUAGUGGAUGCUACGUUUGCCGCUGCUCUGUCAAGUUCUCACUAUCCGGGAGAGACGGCGAUUCGAAACGAUUCCUAUCCAGCUGGAGGGUUAUUCCUAGCACUCACCCAAGCAUCCCUGUCGGAGAGCCAGCGGGUCACCUUUGGUACGACUCAGGAAUCGCACCUCCGAUCAGCGCCGCACUCCCAGGGCUACCACUCUGCCAGGGAGGUCAGGAAUUUUAACUCACCUGCCUUUGGUCUUACGCCAAUGGUCCCCCGCACAACGCACUUCCUCCGGUAGUGCGCACUUUAUAGUUGCCGGUCUUCCAGUCUGAGUCAUACUACUAGGCUUCGCGGUCGGAACGAGUUAUCCGGCCAACUAAGUGUUAGGCAUGCAUUCAACAUGACAAUAGGACGUACAACGGUCGGUCCUUAGCUGCCAUAGACGGAGUUACUACAACCUUGCAAAACUCCGCCCGGCUUAAGUCCAUUUAAACAGGUUCCAACCACGAUAGCACAUAUAGUCAAUCGUGAUCCGACACAACCCUAUAUCGUGCAGGUGACAGGAUAUCACCCGACUUCUACCGAUUAAAACAUGGCUAAGCUGCUACUCGUUCCUAACUCUAUAACCAGGUAGUGGUAUGAUAUCUGGACAAGGAUUGAGUAACAUGCAGCAAGGGGUUUCAUCACAACUCCUAUACGUAAUGCAUCAAUUGAUAUAACAUAAUCAAGUAAGCUUUUGAAAUUAAAGUGAUAGACUUAAAAAUGCUCCGGGGCUUGCCUUUCACGAACGAUGCGGGCUCGUGAUUCGGGCACUCAACCUCCUCUUCGGGCUCCUCAAAUCCGGCCAGAUGGACCUCCGCCUCCAGAUUGCACUCCUUGCCUUCGGGGUUCACCUGAAGCUCGAAUGUAGAUGUCGCUUCCGGUGCACCUAUUGCAUGCAUGUUAAGUAAGAACGGGUGCAUGCUAGACGGGGAUGAAUGCUUGAAAAAGUAAUUAGGACUUCACUGAACACUCAUUUACUGAGUAAACUCCCAAGAUAGACUCACAAGGGAUAACCAACUAACUUAGCAAGACCUAACAAGUCCAACUAUAAACAGCAAGCAUUUCAUUUUUUUUAGAUAAAGGAUAUAUUAUCCGGCUUCAUCUAUCCAAGGAUAGAAUCAGGCCAAUUAUUACAGAGUUUAAAAUGGGCGUAAAUAUUGGCUACAGCAGAUUACAACCGUGUACAUAAAAACCGGGACAAAAGGAAGUUUUUGACUAAACAUAGCCAGCAUGCCUUCGAGAAAACCUGAAAAAAUCUAAGGCGCACGUCUCUAGAUGCUGAGCCCCCGAGAUGAGCUGAUCUUUAAGAUCAUCAUGCCGUUGCAAGCUUGCCCACUGACGUAACCAAUGCGUUCCUCGAAAUAGUACCUACAAAAGAGAUUUUGGUCUACAUCUGUCAAAGACCACCUCAUUCCUUGUUAGCCAAAUAGCCCAGAGCAGUGCAGCAGCCGCUGUUAAUAAAAAUAAAUUAUACUUUUUGGUUCCCAAUUUAGACCAACUAUUAAACAAAUCAGACAUACAAAUGGGCGGAAUAAUCCCAAAAAGCAAAUGUAUAGAACGCCACAAAAAUUUGGCAUAAAAGCAGUCGAAAAAUAGGUGUUGAAUGGACCCAGGCAAAUGAAAGAAGCAACAACAUUUGUCCCCAUGCCAAUUACGCCGUGCCAAAUUAUCUUUUGUUAGAAUCACACCUCUUUUUAAAUACCACAUGAAAAUUUUAAUUUUCAUAGGAAGCUUUGUUUGCCAAACAUCUAGUGACACUCUGACCCCAUUGUUAAUUAAAGCAGCAUACAUCGACUUGACUGAAAAAACCCCUGAGGCCAUCAAACCCCAUAUAAAGACAUCUCUUUCCUCGGACAGGUUAACCUGCUGUACAGAAGCAACAAUUCAGUUCCAAUUUGUUAAGUUUUGUCCCACUAAAUUUCUUCUAAAAGAAAUAUUUAGUACGGGUGAACUUAAGACUUUAGCAACCGUGUCUUGUUUCCUUCUAACAAUAUUAAAUAAACCCGGAAAUUUAAAUUUGAGAGGUUUGUCUCCUAGCCAAGUAUCUUCCCAAAAUCGAGUUUGCUUUCCAUUAUUAAUUUUGAAAUGACCCAAUUACAAGAAGGAAUCUCUAAUAUUCAAAAGACUUUUCCAAAAGUGUGAAUCAGUAGGUUUUUUGACAUAGCUCCCUAUCGUCUUUUCUUUAAUAUAUUUAUUUCUUAAGAGUUCUUGCCACAUGCCAUCCUCAUUGAGUAAUUUAAAUAACUAUUUACUUAAUAAACAUUUAUUUUGAAUGUUUAAAUUUUGAAUUCCUAGACCCCCUUGGUCUCAAACGUCGGGCUUGGUAAAUUGUUGGCCCAGGUGAACUUUCUUCCUGACAAAUCUAACUCCCUUAAAUUAAGUGCAUCUAUUACAGCAUUAAACAAAAAACGCCAUCUAUCAAUGUAAUUAUCAUUAUUCUUGUCAUCCGCCUUACGGAUAAUGUUAAAGUCGCCACCUAUGAGAAUAGGUAAGGUUUCUUUUGAGCAUACCCGGACCAUUUCAGAUAAAAAGGCAGACUUAAGUUCACCUUGCGCUAGGCCAUAGAUAGAAAUCAGAUUAAAUUUAAAGUCACUUUCUUUAUGCCUUAAUUUAAAGCGAAUAAAAAAAUCACCUUCCUCAAUAGCGCCUAUAUCAAAAGUUAACAAAUGAACGCCUAGUAACUUGCCACCGGAUCUGCCACGAGGAGCCUUGCAAUGCCAAAUAAAAUCUCUACCAGCACAAAUAGUGUUAAGAGUAUUAUUUGGAAAAUUGUCUCUACCAGUUUCCGAUAAGGUAAUGAAAUCUAGGCUCUUCUCCUUUGUUAAAUCUGAAAGGAACCUAUACUUUUUACUAUCAGCGAAACCAUUACAAUUCCAGAAAAUACCUUUCAUUGUGACUAAGAUUUAAUUUUAAUCUUUUUCUUUGAACGAGGGCCUCCCUUAAGUUUGUGUGAUACAGGAGUCUGUAGAUGUAAAGAAUCACAACCCCCAUCACCUAAGCCCUCAGCGAUAUCGGAGCAAAUUAAAUUUAAAGCCUCUAGGUCAACAAAAUCCUCAUAAGAACAAACAGUAGAUGCAUCUUCUACUACAACACAGCUCCCAAAAUUUUUAUUAGCAGCCUCUGACAGUCUAUUGUACUCAACAUCUCUUAAAACUUUUAAAGAAUGCAAAGUAUCCUGAUCAUUAUUGCCUAAGACAACCCCUAGAGAACUUGCAGAUAGAGAUAAAGAGGCAUCAUCACAUGAAAUAAAAGAGAUCGGGCUAUGUGUAUUACCUUUGUUCUUAGGAGUCUCCAGGUUCUUGCUUGCCUUGAGCCUUGAAGCUUUCUCAAGGGAGUCCUGAUCCACAAUGGAGACAUUCCUCUUACUGGAUCUCCCCGGUGAAGCUACCCCACCAAUACUUGUAUUAUCUUUAACCCCAGAGUCACUCUGCAAUAUAAUUUUAGCAGCUUCUUGCUGAGGCAACAGCACUACAGUCUUGUUAUUUGCAUUGCCUGUCUCACUGGCCUUCUGCUUAUCCCCUUUGAGUGUGCCAGUUCUUGCUCCAUCUACAUCCAUCUUUCCAUCUGCAUCUUUACCAAUUGUAUCACUAUCCUUGGGAUCAUCUCCCUCAUUUUCUUUUUCCUUGGGGUCCUCCUCACUAGUAGAGUCCAUAUCGAUGACCUGUGGCUCACCAGUAGGAUUUUCCUCCUCAAUUUUAAACUGUAGACUGUAAACCUGAUCACCAAUAACCACAUCCACAAAAUCUGGGAUAAGAUUAGGUGCUAGCACAGCUACUUUCAUUCUACACCUACCAGUGUUAUUAGUAAAGACCAUAUCAACAGCACGAGGUACACCUAAAAUAGUUCCAAUUGCCCAAAUAAUGGAAAAAUUUUUAAGCUCUUUAGGUAGUCCUCUGAACUGCACCCACACUUUUCCUAUCUCAUAUUUGUAAACCUCAGGAUCUAUACCUUUCUCCAAACGGAUUCUCCCCUCCUUAGCUUUCGCAUCCAUUGCUCCCCAAUUCACCAUAUUAUCCAGUAUACUAGCAUGAGGGAAAUUAAUAAUGAAAGCAUCAUUGCCUUUCAAUUCAAUUCCCCAAUUAUGGUUCUUGUGACUUGGCAGAAGUCUUUGCAGUUCCACUGCCAAAUCCUGGACAGUAAAGGAACCUUCCAAAACACGUACUAGAGCCAAUUUCUCAUCACUAUGCACCUUAGGAUUUUCAGGCACUGGAAUAUAAUAAAAACCCAAACCUUCAACAGCAUAACCACACGGAAUGGCAUUAACAAUUGUUUUUUUAAAGUUCUGGCAAAGUUUAGUGACAUGUUCCCCAAAACAGAUUGCACAGCAUAAGGCAACAGUGCAUUCAUGAAUUGUGUGACCUUUGGUGCGGCAUCUAUAACAAAAGGGCUUGCCCUUAUUCUUCUGUGCACCCUUGUCAGAGGACUCUGGGAUAUCUAACACUGCAUUAGAUGGGGUAGUCACCUUAGGGUUCUCUGCAGCCUUGUUCUCAGUUGCUUUGCCAUUCUCUGAGUCCACCACCAUAGCUGACGCGGACUCGUUGCUUGCUGCCCCAUUACCACCACCAAGCCCUGCACCGGCCUCCUGUUGGGGAGGAGGCAAUUGGACAGCGGUAGAGGCGGCCUGGAGCACAACGCCCCCUCCCUGAGGAGCAGCGUUGGGCGCCUGUUGGGGCACCAGUUGAUGUGCAGCAGCAGGGACGGCCUGAGGGGCGCCACCACCCUGCUGACCCACUACCGACGCCUGUUGAUGAAGCCCACCAGAGCAGCUCAGUAAACAGGUCAUAACUAUAGCUAUAAAGAUCCAACAAAUAUAAAUGAGGACAUUCUGGAAAGCUUAUGAAAUUAUCUACAAUUCAUCUUUAAACAUCACAACAAGAUUCAUAAGUUAUACAAGUCAUUUAAACAAAGUCCCAGGUUCUGUCCCAGAAAAACAGAGAACACCUAUUUCUGGAACAUCACUUGGAAAAGCCAUAACUUCAAAACUACUGGACCAAAUGAUCCAAAAUUUAAACCACAGCUAGUUCAUAAAGUUUACAACAACUUUGAUUUAGACAAGUCUUCUAGAAAACCAACUUAUGAAUAUGCAAAGGUUGAAUUAUUUCCUUGCUGUCCAGAACAGCUAUAAACCUUCAAUUAAUUAUUUAAUGACAUAGCCAAAAUAUAAUCAGUGUCCACCACACAACUUAUAAGCACAAACAUACUAUGAGAUUAUCAGAACAACAUAUGUUAACCCCAAAACACUUAAUAACAAGGCAUUUAUUAAUUUAAUUCUAUAAAGGGACAUAAUUAUAAGAUACUAGCAAAAGUGCUCAGAAAAAUCUAUAAAAAUUACAGAAGCACAAGCAUGGCAUCUUGACAUUACCAUAAAAGUUUCAGAGCAAUUGCGCAUGCCAAACUUAAGAUAAAUAUUUAACAUGUAACAAGGUGCCUAUUUCACAAAUUAAGAAACAUGACUUAUAUAGUGUCAAACAACAGAUUUCAGAUUAUUUACAUGUUACUAAUACCAUAAGCAAGUUUGACACCAGAGUAGAGCACCAGCAUAAGCACUAAUUAUUUACUAUGAUUUAAAUAAGAAAACAAGCCAUAAAAUCAACAUAAAUUACAUAUCACAGAUAUAUCACUCCAAAAAUCAUGAAAUAUUUAUUACAGCAUUCUCAUACCACUCAGAGCCUAGCAUAAAAAAUUCAUAGCAAAAGGAACAGUAUAUCAAGAGAUAUGAAUUUAUACAUAAGUAACAAGAUUAAAUCCCCUAAUAAUUAUUUUUCCCAGAGAACAUGGUUCAUUUUAUAUUUUUAUUAAAAAACUAGCCAUCUCAAGGAACAUAAAAAAAUUGGUUUCACAAAUUUUGGAUUACAGGAACCAGAGAUAUGAUUUUUGUAAAAACUGCUCAAACCCUAAAUCAAACAAAGGAGAAAGAGAGGCUGACAGGGGGACCCCACAAGUCAACGGACCCCACACGUCAGCGACCCGAGAGCCGAGGUGCGACUUGACCGCCGGAGAUCUCGUCGACGGCGAGGUCUCGGCGAUGGCCAAGGGUGCCAUCGUGCUCCUAGCUCCAUUCCGCAUCGAAUGGUACCCGAAACCCUAACUCUACCGGACCCUAGGUACCUCGUCCUCGCCAAUGGCGGCACGGCGGUGGUGCGCGGCCGACCGCCGGCAUCUCUGGUCGGAGAUAGGGCGAAAGAGAGCUCGGACGAGCAUCAGCACGACCUAGCGGAGCUUUUGGGACAAGAAUGAAGCGAAAUGGCGGACUACAGAGCCCUGGCCACGACGCCGGUGACCAUGGCGGAGCUCCGGUUAGGUGAGCUCGCGACGGAGAAGACAAUGCGGCUUACUGAGGCUCGGCAGCCGCAACCAACUUGACGACGGCAUUGCGGAGAAGCUAGCGGAGCGCUGGGCGGAGUCGCUUGGCCGGAGACGCUGAGACGCGAGCGCGCGAGCUCGCCGAAGCAGCGGCGGCGACGCAGAGAAGACGACCCACGCGAGAGAGAGCGAACCGGGGUGGAAUGGCGCUGUCCACGCGACCGGGGGCGCCGUGGUGAACUGUAGGACACGCCGAGGAUUGACGAGCGAGACCAAUGGCGACGUACGGACGCCACGGGUCCAGACACGCGGCGUCACCGGUGAGCUCCCCUCUGCUGACGGCGACCCCAUUCAGUCGUUGAUCCCGACUGAAACUCGAUUUUUCACCGCGCUUAACUCCUAAAUCACUUGAUGAUUUUGCUGGCUAAUUGCUCUAUGCUGUAGAGCUACAUGAGGACUCCAACAUUGAUUACAAGAUCAAGGUUUGAUUCGGCCUAGAAUUCAAACUGGAAGUUAAGCAACAUACCCUCGAGCAAACUGCUACGAUCCCAGGCUUAGAAAAUUUUCUAAGUGUUGGAAACAGCACCAAAUCUGCCUUGUGGGUCACUUUUGAGCUAGAUGUGACCAUUUUCAUGAGAUGGCCAUAAAACAACUUUUGUUCCUUAUAAAAGUUUCUACAACUUUCUUGUAGAAAGUUUUGACAUGAAAAGAUUUUAUGAAACGCUUUUUAAAAGCCUAAGCAAAAGAGGUUUCUGGGGGCUAUACAUGUAAGUAUGCCUUAGGUGGUUAUUUUGGAGAAGUGAUCAUCGAGCUUGGGGUCUGACUAUACAGAAUAUGAUGCCCUCGUCAACAAGCUAAGGAUUGCCAUCGAGCUUGGGGUCUGACUCCACGACGUUUGAGGCGAUUCACAGCUUGUCGUCGACCAAGUUAUGAAGGCCUCGAGAUGCCACAAUCCCAAGAUGGAGGCCUACUGCAAGGAGGUACACAAGCUGGAAGACAAGUUCCAUGGCCUCGAGCUCAACCACAUCGCCAGACGAUACAACAAAGCCAUGGAUGAGCUCGCCAAGAUAACAUCCACUCGAGGCAUCGUCUCGCUAGAUGUGCUCUUGAGGGAUCUCCUCGAGCCCUCGGUUGACCUAGGCACGGGGGCUCAUGUUGAGGCGUCAGCACCUAAGCCUGUAGAUGUGGUCGAGGCCCUUCUAGCAGCCGUAGAGGUCAUUGACGUCGAUCAGUCAUCUUGGCGACCAAGCCGACUGUUCGAUUGGCCCACCCCUUUUCUCAAUUGCCUGAUCUGAGGGGAACUCCUAGAAGAACGGACAGAGGCCCGCCGUAUCACUCGACGGGCCAAAUCUUAUGUAAUCUAUGGCGACAACAAGGACCUGUAUCAGCAAAUUCCGAUAGGAGUUCUACAACACUGUAUCACCCUCAAAGAAGGCCAAAAACUCCUCGAGGACCUACACUCGGGGGCUUGCGGCCAUCAUGCGGCACCCAAGACCCUCAUUGAGAACACCUUCCAACAAGGCUUCUACUAGCUUACUACCAUCGUUGACGCCAUCGAGCUUGUCUGCUCGUGCCACGGGUGUCAAUUCUAUGCCAAGUAGACCCACCUCCUGGCUCAUGCUCUACAAAUGAUCCCCAUCACCUAGCCAUUUGCGGUCUGGAUCAUCGACCUUGUGGGGCCCCUCCAAACGACGACGGGGGGAUACACGCAUCUGCUGGUAGCCGUCGACAAAUUUUCCAAGUGGAUCGAGGCUCGACCCAACACAAACAUCCGCUCCGAACAAGCCGUCCUGUUCCUCACCGACAUUAUCCACCGAUUCGGGGUAUCCAACAUCAUCAUCACCGACAACGGCACACAGUUCAUGGGCAAGAAGUUCCUAGACUUUUGCGACCGCCAUUAGAUCCAUGUGAACUAGUUUGCAGUCGCUCAUCCUCGAACUAACGGCCAGGUUGAGCAUGCCAAUGGUAUGAUCCUACAAGGCCUCAAAACUAGAAUCUAUAAUCGACUGAAAAAGUUUGGUAAAAAAUGGAUCAAGGAGCUGUCCUCAGUCCUAUGGAGCUUAAGGACGACACCCAGUCGAGCCACAAAAUUCAGUCCAUUCUUCAUGGUCUAUGGUUCCAAGGAGGUUUUACCCACAGACCUCGAGUAUAGGCCCCCCCAGCUCAAGGUGUACAACGAGCAAACCAACAAGGAAACAUAGGAAAACACAGUCGAUCAGCUCAAGGAGGCUUGAGACAUGGCCCUCCUCAACUUAGCAAGAUAUCAAUAGAAGCUUCAACACUACCAUGACAAGCACAUACGUAAAAGGGACCUACACAUCAGCGACCUCAUACUGCAUCGACGACAAAGCAAUCAAGGAUGCCACAAGCUGACCCCACCCUGGGAGGGCCCAUACAUGGUAGCUGAAGUCUUGAAGCCAGGAACGUACAAGCUAGCAGACGACAAGGGCACAGUCUUCACCAACACAUGGAACAUCGAAUGGCUACAUCACUUCUACCCCUAGAGCCUCGAAGCUUUGUACAUUCUAUGCAUUUUGUACCCAUGCGACACCUUGAAUGAAUAAAAAUACCUUUCAACAUUAUGUAUCGUUACUUUAAGAAUAAAGAGAGUCUCGACCAUGCCCCACCAUAGUCGAAACAUCCUCGGGGGCUAACAGGGGGGAACCCCCAUGCUCUUAAAAAACUCGAAUGUUUUUCAAAGCUCGACGUUAUCUCUUUCCUUUCACGCCCCGAAAUUUUCCGCAUGUUUAAGUAGAAAACACCUCGAGCCCCUUAAGGGCUAAGGGACAUCGAGCCCGAGGAUCCCUAUGCCUCUGCACUAUGGUAACUCUACUCGCUCCCCCACCCUUGAGGCGAACGAAUCUGUUUCGGAAACUUAGUCAAGGAAUAAAACUCAGGCGAUAAGGGAACAAAGAAAACACAAGCAUAAAAUAUCAUAGCAGACAUUUAUACAAAUCUCAAGGCCAUCUAGGCCAUAGUAUCAACAAAUAACAAAAGACUAAUUUAUUACAUUGGGCUUAGGUACCUGGAUAAGGCUCAUAGGCCUUGGUCGCCAUCACUGCCUUCCCCAUCCUCACCUCCUUCAUCACCGCCUGCACCAGUCUCUAGGGAAAGCACCUCUCGCUCGAAUAACGUCACCAACCUCUCGACAGGUCCCUCAGUGACAUCGCUUAGGGCAUGGAGCCUCUCCUCGUUCUCGACAUCAGUCUUGGUGAUGUAAGAAACAAAGCCAUGAGAGACCACCUCCAAGUUGUCCAAGAAGCUAGAGUAGAUGACUGCCAUGGCUCGCUUCACACCAGUGUGAAUGGCGUCCCAGACCUAAUCCCUCAUGGUCACUCUUAGGUAGCACAACUAAUCAACAAGGGCAUCGCCUCGAGCCGUCUCCCCAGCCUCGUUUACAAACUCAAGCUCCCAAGAGGCGAAGAGGUUGCUGACCGCAGUUCGGAGCCGACCAGUCAACGCGACCUCCCCCUCGAGGUCAUUUUAGAGGGUCUAUGAGGUGGUCUGGGCUCCAAGUAAAUCGUCCUUAAGCUCUGAAUGUCCAGCGCAAAAAUUAGCCAAAAGAAACAAAUGUGCCAGAAAGACAAAUCUGAAGAAUAGACACUCACCAUGGACACGCUCGUGGAGGGUCGUGUUCUCACCGAUCAGGUCAGUGUUCUCCUUCUUGAUCUUUUUGAAGCAGCAAGCCAUUUCUAUCUUCUUGACCCGCAGAUCCUCGAUCAAUUUUCUACAAGUGGUGAUCGCUCCAUCCUUCUCCUAAAGGACCUCCUUUAGCCAAUCAACGUCGGUGCCAAGGGCAUGGGAACGGGUUUUCUCCUUCUCGAGCUCAUACUUGGCCUUUCUCUCUCCAUCCUCAGCGACACUUUUUGCAGUCGAGUGUUCCAUGAGCAGCUCCAUUACCCCAGCAUAGUUUCCUUUAGCAGCAGCCAAAUCAGUCUCGAGCUUCUUGAUUCGCUCUGUUAACAGUAUGAUGUCAUCUUCUAUCACCUUCUUGUCCUCUUUCGCCUUGGCAGCUUCCUACUUGGCCUGGAUAGCCUGCUCUCGAGCCUACUCAGCCACUACCUUAACCUUCUCAGCAUCUGUUGGGUAUUCUUAACAUCAUUACUAAAAGUAGACUAAGUUCUCUAAAUCUAGUAACGGUGCCAAAAAUGCCAAACCUAUCCCUCACACCACUUAAGCCAAGUUGUCAUCCCCAGCAUGAUAUAAGAGACGCGGUAUUGAAAUAUGCAAUUGCUCUUCUAAAUAAAUAAUGAAUGGGACCUGCAAGCGCACAGAUUAAUACCGAUGUAGCAUUUUAACCGGGAAGUAUUACAGGUAUCGUUAUUUAUAUUUUUAGCACUGGGAAGGGAUUAGCAAUCAUCACUAUUGAUUACAGAAUAGAAUAUGAGAUUGAGCAUCUAUCAUUUGCAUGUAUAAUUGAGAACAUUUAUCUAUCUCUUCAUACAGGGAUAAGUGUCACAUAAAAGAUAUAUGAAAUAAUAAUAGUGACAAAGAUAACUAAUCUGAUCUAGCCACAUAAUAAAUAUGAUAAGCACCUCAAUUAGAUACUCUAGAAAGUCAUUAGCAUGGUAUUAGAACGAACUACAAGAAUAUUCCCUAAGUUAUUCUCAACUAUAUAGUCUAGCAUAUCAUAGUUAGUGCAAGCAUACUUAGCAAUCAUUGCAAGACAAGACUACGCCCAUGCAUAGUGAUAUUAGCAAGGUAAAUGAGAAACAUAGCAAUCACUCCCCUUUAAUAAUGUUGCUCUGCCAGCCCAAUACAUGAGAGGGGGACAAUAUAAGAAUCAAUGAAGCUGUCACUAUCACGAGCCACCCCACGAUCUGGCAUAUUGGGUACAAUCGCAGAUAAAUACGGUAUAAGCACCACGCCUACGCAAUAUCUAUCAUUUACCCAUGGAUCCGAUGGAUAAACGCUAUACGAUCCUAAGCAUGUAUAUAGAUCGAAUCUAACUAAGCCAGGUACAUAACUAUGAUAAACUAAGAACAAUAUAAUCUUGAAUAUAAACAAGUGGAGCAAAGUCAUAAGCAAUAUAUUGAAGUAGAACAAAGUCAUAUUCAUAAUAUUGAAGAACAAAGAUAAUUAGAAACUAAUUAGAAGCACAAUUAGAGAAUUACCAAGAAUCCUCUUUACAGAUCCGGAAACCAAUCGAAGAUUGACUCCUUCUAGUUCUAAUCCUAUGUAGCUAUGCUAAUCUAGAUAUCUAAUUGAUGUGGUGGCUCUAAUCUUGAUCAGAGGCUUCUUCUCCCUUGAGGAACAAUGAAUUAGGGUUGAGAGGCUCUCUCCUCCAGGGGCCAGGGGGUCUGGUUUUAUAGUCCCUCCAAGUGAAUAUGGGCCAUUGGAUCAAACCGACAUAGAUUGUAUGGUUUAGAUUCAUCCUUUAGGUCGGUGGAGAUCUCCCACGAAGCAGAGUCCAGAUUGGACUCCCAGAGGGGGCGGGCGCCCAGGGCAGGAGGGCGGGCGCCCUGCCUCUAGCCCCGUUUCACCUCCGCUUCGGUCUCGUGGCUUCUGGAGUCUUCUAUAUGUAAGAUAAUUGCGCGGCACCUUAAUAUCUCUAUGUAAUCCCGACGUGUGGGCCUUUCUUCCGUAUUUCCUGAUAACCCCCUGCAGAAAUAGACAAACACCAAAACUCGUGGAAUUCUGUCAGAUAAAACCCUAAGUCUAGAUCUUGAUUUCAUUUGGAUCCUUUUCUUUAUUUAUUUGAUAAUUAAAUUUGAUACUUAAGGACCGUCAACAAGCUCCCCCAAGCUUACCUCUUGCUCGUCCCUGAGCAAGGAUAGACUCAGCUAUGGAUCAUAAGUUGUUGCAAUAUCUUUAAAAAUUGACGGUACACAUGUUUUUUAAAUAAGAUCUCAUCUCUGAGUUAGAGAAAACUGUCGAGACUUAAAACUUACUUACUUUACCUUCACCAUGGGACUUGUAAUUGUCACUUCUGUCUUGAGUGGUUAAAAGAUAGAACAGUCUAGCCAAGUGCCAUGUCUCUUAUUCUUGAUCAGCUAUAGCUCUGGGGUUUUUGCAGAUUUUCAAAUAAAACUCAGAAAUUCCUUGUAUGAUUCUCUCAGAUCUCUCUUUUGUGGUAUUUCUGGAUCCUUACCAAGGCAGUGAUGGUAUAUGCCUUCUCUCAAGAUAUGUGGUAUUUAUGGUAUAAAGCAUAAUGACAUUGUCUUCUCUCUCACCCUGCUCUAAUAAGGCUUUAAUAUCUGGAGCUCAUAGGUGGGAGAUAAAGUAUACAUACUUACAAGACAUUUAUUGCAUAGUCAAACCAUGGAUCCAAAGAAACAAAUCAAUAAGCCAAAUCAAGAUGUGCAUGUGUGGCGAAUGAAUGGUGUAUGGUGAUGAUGGUGAUAACAAUGGUGGAAACAAUGGUGGUGGAAAUCUAAUUCUACUUUUGCUCUUUGAGGGGAUACAUACCUUCCUUGCUUUUGAAACUUUAUGAGGAGAAUGAGAUGCUCUUCUUUUUCUUUUCUUUUCUCUCAGGUGGGUAUCUUGUACCCCUAAUUCUACUGUCAGACACUUGUCCAUUUUUACCUCUCGUCUCACUUUUUCUUUUCUUUCGAGGUUCCGAGCACUUGCUCCUUUUUAUUUCCUCGUAUAUAUAUAUAUAUAUAUUUUUAUUUUUUUUAUUGAAGUACUCAUCUCAUGAGAUAAGAUGGCAAGUGGUAGUAACAAGAUAACUUGAGCAUUUAUUUCACAAGGGAAAAACAGGAAUAUUUUUGGUUAUUCUCUCCCAAAUUAGGAGUAGAAUAUUUUUUUGGUGAUUCUGGAGAUGGAAAUGGAUGGAUAUAUGUGGAUGGUACUUUCGGAGUAGAAGUAGCAUAUAUGAGUGAACGUGCAAGUGAAAUCUUGAUUUAACCACAUGACAAGCUCCUAAGGGUCUACACAGCUUGACCACACUCAAUGCUCAUAAGCAGUAAAUAUUGAAUAUGUGGCUCAAAGUCUAGCAAGCAUGUAUAUAUGGCUGUGGUAGGAAUUUAAAACUCUCAUCAUACAGGAACUCAUCAUGCAACAUUUUAAGGAUUUUCAAAGAUAAAAUUCUCCAGAAUUCUAGCAUCUCUAGGAACAGAUAAACAGCAGCUCAACUUUCCCAUAUCGUAUCCGUUAACAACUUAGACUUCAGAUCAAGUUUUCAUCCCACAAGUUUAGGUCUAGAGCAAGCUUUAAAUUAUAACAGUUAUGUCUAAACUUGAGAGAGAACUUAAAAUGUGCAAAUUAGGCAGAGCAACUAUUCAUCAUAUUCAUGCUUAAGUUUUAUUUAGAUACAGAUUAGUAUAGCUACUUUAUUUAUUUAUUAAUCACACUAAGCAAAAGACAUAUAUAUAUAAGCAUAAAAUCUUUAUUUGGUUUUUCAUAGUUAUGUAUAUUUAUAUUCUAAUAUAGUAUAAAUAUAAAGAUAGAUAGAAAUACUUAUCGAGAUAAAUGGGGGUGCUCUCCCCCAAGCUGAAUUUUGACGUAAUUUAUCUUGAUGUAGCUAGCAGGUGGUAGAGGUGUAUUUGAAAGUCAGCAGCAUUCUGACAGCGAUUAGAAUGUCCUCCGUCUGCUAGUCUUCUUGAUUCUUAAAUUCUGUGGAGCUCAAAUAGACAACAAAGCUUGUGGAACUGAUUAAGUGUUAGCAUAAAUAUCUAGCCUUUAUCAUAUUGAGACUCCUUAAUAAAUAUUACUCCUAUUUUUAUAUUUUUAUUUUUAUAGAGCAGAAAAAUAAUUAUUUUAUUUUUAUGCCACCACAGUGAAUGUACUUAUGGGUUUUAUGCCACUCGUCUACUCACAUGGGGCUUACUGUUUUUCACAUUUUUAUUUUCUUUUAUUUUUAAGAUAGUAUGAAUAUGAUUAACAAAGUAAACUAUUUAAAAUAAUUGAAAGGGAAAGGAUAACUACAAAGUUUACCUCUUGGAAAGGCGUUCGGUGUUUUUAAGUCCUCCGAACGGGACUCUUCAUUUUCUUAAUCGUCCUGAGGUUCGUUGGGUGGCGUAGUCGGUACUUCCGGCAGCGCCUCCUCUUCUUGUAUAGUUAUCUUCAUUUUCCAUACCUGACUCGGUGCUUCCGUCUCCUCUGGAUAAUUCUGUUUAAACUCAACGUCUUCUGAUCUUAUAACUUCUCCUUCAUAGUCUGCCCAUCCGUCCUUGAUGAUCUGGCUCCUCUGGUUGCGGUUGCAUCUUUUUCUGACCUGCUUAGAUUCUUCAAUGAUAUAGUUAGGGUCAGUAAAAUAACGGCGUACCUUCUCUGAGGGGAAGUGCAUAUGGACUUCUCCGGUUCCAAUGUAGAUAAUUGCUUUAACGGUGCUGAGGAACGGUCUUCCAAGGAUGAUGGGUGGAUCAUACUCGUCUUCUCCCAUGUCAAUAACUUGAAAGUCUGUGUAGACAAAAUGAUCGUCUAUUUUGACUGGCACAUCAGAUACUAUUCCUUUGACUUCUCGAAACGUCUGAUCUGCCAUCUGGAGCUGAAUGUAUGUUGGUCUUAGUGGCAUGGUCCCGAACAAGAGCCGAUAGGUGACUGCGGCCAUUAUGUUGACGCCUGAUCUGGUGUCACAAGUUGCCUUGUAGAAGUUGUAUCCAUUUAUGGAGCAGUAGAUGCUUGGCAUUCCUAGGUCGUCCUUCUUGGUCAAAAGCGGUGACUUAAGUUGGUGAUCUUGGCCUCCUUGAACUGCAGUGACCAUCUUAGCUGACUCGGUCCACACUUGCUUGUUCCUAUUCCUCCUGUUGGUCCUCUUCCUUGAUUCACGUCUGGAUUGAUCUGGAAUUUAUGUAGUCUUGUUCUUGAAGAAAAAUGUCUCCUUCCUCCCUUUGACGUAGAAACUGAUCUUGGCAGCACUAGCGUAGAUGAUAGCUCCCGUGGUGUUCAAGAAUGGCCUCCCUAGGAUGAUAGGUGCUCUCUCAUCAUUUCCGGUCUCUACCACUACGAAGUCUGCUAGAGCAUAUAAGGUACCAACUCGGACGCAAAAGUUCUUCAAUAUUCCCUUUGGAAAAGUUAUCGUCUGAUCUGCAAACUGCAAACAUAUGGUUGUCUCUAGUAAAGGAUAUGUAAAGAAUUUUUCAUAGAGUACCCUGGGUAUAAUGUUGACGCUAGAGCCAAAGUCGCAGAGUGCUUCUGGAACGUCCACCAUGCCGAUGGAGAUCGGGAUGACGGGGCGUCCUGGAUCGCCUCUCUUGACCGGCAGAAGGUCAGUAGAGAAUUCAGUGACGGGGUUACUCCAAUUACCUGCAUCAAACAUGUCUACAAGAUUUGCAGAUUCUAAUCCUUCCGGUUGUGAUGGUAUACCGGGGUUAGUAGUAGGAACAGCAGCAGCUAUUUGAUUUAACUGAGAUUCAAUCAUUUUAUUAAAGCUAAUUUGAUUCUUGAUGGCAGUAGAGCAAUUAUCCAUUCUAUUAUUUAUAUUUUCUAGCAUUUUAUCAUUAGAUGCCAAUUUCUUAGAUAGGUUAUCCAUUAACUUUCCUUAAUUAGACACUAACUCUCUCAGAGGUGGAAAAUUAUUAUUAUUGUUGUAAGAAUUGUUACCUUGAUAAUUACCUGAGUAGUUAGGCCUCUGUUGAUUCCAACCUUGAUUUUGUUGAGGACGGUUGUAGUAGUAGUAGUUGUUGUUGUUGAUGUAGUUCAUAUCCUCAAGUAUCUCAGGGCAGUGGUUGCCUGAGUGUCCAGUGUCUCCACACUCCUCACAAGUCAUGUGAGAGUCGUAGAUGUGCAUAACUUCUUUCUUGUCUCCAGCUCUAUCGUCGAGCUUCUUCAUGAGCAGGUCUAGCUUUGCAGACAGCAUGUCUACCUCCUUCAGCUGAUGCAUACCUCCACCUCUCUUGCGUGUCUGGGUCCUCUCUUCAUUCUAGCUUUGGUUGGACGCCAUCUUCUCCACAAGAGCUGUGGCUUGUGAUAUAGUAAGUGAUAAGAAUGCUCCUCCAGCUGCAGCAUCCAUGGUCUCUCAGGCACUGUUGCCGAGCCCAUGAUAAAAUGUUUGCAUCAAUAGCCAACUCUCCAUUCCAUGAUGGGGACAUUCUAGGAUGUAGUCUUGAAAGCGCUCCCAUGCUUCUGGAACGGAUUCAUCAUUUUGUUGCUGAAAACUGGUAAUCUUCCCACGGAAAGCAUUGGUCUUGCCCAUGGGAAUGAACUUUGCCAGGAAGUUUGUUGAGCAGAGUGCCCAUGUAGUAUUCUUCUACUUUGUAGUGUAGAACCACUGCUUCGCUCUUCCUAGCAGUGAGAAUGGGAAGAGGCGAAGUAGUAUAGCAUCUUUGGAAACUCCUGAUAUGGUGAAUGUGUUGCAAAUCUCCAGGAAGUGUUGUAAAUGAGCACUAGCAUCUUCAUGUGCCUUCCCACAGAACUGGUUGGAUUGCACCAUGUUGAUAAGUCCAGGCUUGAGCUCAAAGUUGCCGUCGAUCUCAGCAGCAGGUCCAGUGCGGAUGUUGUCCGUAGUGGGAGCUGAGAACUCGCGUAUGGAUUUGUUCGCCAUGCCUUCAAACUCUGAAGACAAGUUCCGGUGAUCUUCUUGAUUGGAUGAAGCUUCUUGCUGAAGUGUUGAUGAUCUCUUCUUGAGCUUGGCUCUCGUCUUCUUGAAUAAUGCUUCGGGAUUGUCAACAAAAUUUCCUGGAAGAUGUCUUCUAUUCAUACAUUCCCCUGCAUAAGAUGAAAUAGAAAAAUAUCGGGGUAAAACUGUAUGAGAGAAUAGAUAAGCUCAAUCAUAUUAGUGAUGCGAAUGAUAACUCAAAAUCUUUUAUUCCAUUCCUGAUUAGUAAUCAACUUUCCCCGGCAACGGCGCCAAAAAUGCUUGUUGGGUAUUCUUAACAUCAUUACUAAAAGUAGACUAAGUUCUCUAAAUCUAGUAACGGUGCCAAAAAUGCCAAACCUAUCCCUCACACCACUUAAGCCAAGUUGUCAUCCCCAUCGUGAUAUAAGAGACGCGGUAUUGAAAUAUGCAAUUGCUCUUCUAAAUAAAUAAUGAAUGGGAUCUGCAAGCGCACAGAUUAAUACCGAUGUAGCAUUUUAACCGGGAAGUUUUCCAGGUAUCGUUAUUUAUAUUUUUACCACUGGGAAGGGAUUAGCAAUCAUCACUAUUGAUUACAGAAUAGAAUAUGAGAUUGAGCAUCUAUCAUUUGCAUGUAUAAUUGAGAACAUUUAUCUAUCUCUUCAUACAGGGAUAAGUGUCACAUAAAAAAUAUAUGAAAUAAUAAUAGUGACAAGGAUAACUAAUCUGAUCUAGCCACAUAAUAAAUAUGAUAAGCACCUCAAUUAGAUACUCUAGAAAGUCAUUAGCAUGGUAUUAGAACGAACUACAAGAAUAUUCCCUAAGUUAUUCUCAACUAUAUAGUCUAGCAUAUCAUAGUUAGUGCAAGCAUACUUAGCAAUCAUUGCAAGACAAGACUACGCCCAUGCAUAGUGAUAUUAGCAAGGUAAAUGAGAAACAUAGCAAUCACUCCCCUGUAAUAAUGUUGCUCUGCCAGCCCAAUACACGAGAGGGGGACUAUAUAAGAAUCAAUGAAGCUGUCACUAUCACGAACCACCCCACGAUCUGGCAUAUUGGGUACAAUCGCAGAUAAAUACGGUAUAAGCACCACGCCUACACAAUAUCUAUCAUUUACCCAUGGAUCCGAUGGAUAAACGCUAUACGAUCCUAAGCAUGUAUAUAGAUCGAAUCUAACUAAGCCAAGUACAUAACUAUGAUAAACUAAGAACAAUAUAAUCUUGAAUAUAAACAAGUAGAGCAAAGUCAUAAGCAAUAUAUUGAAGUAGAACAAAGUCAUAUUCAUAAUAUUGAAGAACAAAGAUAAUUAGAAAGUAAUUAGAAGCACAAUUAGAGAAUUACCAAGAAUCCUCUUGACAGAUCCGGAAACCAAUCGAAGAUUGACUCCUUCUAGUUCUAAUCCUAUGUAGCUAAGCUAAUCUAGAUAUCUAAUUGAUGUGGUGGCUCUAAUCUUGAUUAGAGGCUUCUUCUCCCUUGAGGAACAAUGAAUUAGGGUUGAGAGGCUCUCUCCUCCAAGGGCCAGGGGGUCUAGUUUUAUAGUCCCUCCAAGUGAAUAUGGGCCAUUGGAUCAAACCGACAUAGAUUGUAUGGUUUAGAUUCAUCCUUUAGGUCGGUGGAGAUCUCCCACGAAGCAGAGCCCUGAUUGGACUCCCAGAGGGGGCGGGCGCCCAGGGCAGGAGGGCGGGCGCCCUGCCUCUGGCCCCGUUUCGCCUCCGCUUCGGUCUCGUGGCUUCUGGAGUCUUCUAGAUGUAAGAUAAUUGCGCGGCACGUUAAUAUCUCUAUGUAAUCCCGACGUGUGGGCCUUUCUUCCGUAUUUCCUCAUAACCCCCUGCAGAAAUAGAAAAACACCAAAACUCGUGGAAUUCUGUUAGAUAAAACCCUAAGUCUAGAUCUUGAUUUCAUUUAGAUCCUUUUCUUUAUUUAUUUGAUAAUUAAAUUUGAUACUUAAGGACCGUCAACAGCAUCUUCCUAUGCAACGUAGAUCUUCAUGUUCAUCAUCGCUAGGGUACCCCAAUCCUCGACCAAGGCAUCCUCCUUCUUCUAUUUGUCAUCUAGGGCCUAAAGCAGUCUAUUUUGUGACACGAGGAGCACCUCCUGAGACUUGAGGAGCUUAUGCUCAAGGACAGGAACCUGCUCCCACCCACCUUUGGUGGCAUGGAUAAACUGGGAUUUCGACUAGGAAGUCUCUUUCUGAUCCUAAGGAUGAAAACACCAGAGCAGAUGUCAAAAGAAGUAUGUUUGAAACUCACAGUGACAAAAUACACAGCAAGAAAGGCACUUAUGAAUAAGGCCUUAGCAAGGUCCAUGCUGACGAUGUCGACGGUCAGGUCUAGAGCAUGCUUCAUCCAAAGCCGUAGCUCUUCGACAUGCUCCCACUUCUCGACCUCAGCCCGUUCGUCCAUCUCGAGCAAUGUCUCCUUUGGGACGGUCAGGUCUCGCAAGUAGAGUUUGUGAGACCCCCAGUACGGGAGUUCCUCCUUGGCACGCUCCUUUAUUGAGCAUAGGAGCUUCUCUGCGAGCUCAGUCGAGCCUCCGUUACGUAGCAUUAGGUCGACCAAGGUGGGGAACCUUGGAUCUUCCUCGCUAGUCUCAGAGGGACUAGCCUAGUCCAUCCAUAGCACCUUACUGGCAAAAUAGCCUAGAGUGACCCUCUCGACGCCGUACAGGGUCCCUCUAUUCUCUGAAUCAGGGUCAGCAGGUGUACACGCAAGAAGUGCCAGUGCCAUGACCCCGUCGUCUCGACCUAACUUAGCCGAACAAGUUGAAGGCCACCCUAGUUUCAGCCAUGCGGGAGUCUCAGGGUUGUAGAUCGGCGGCUCUGACUCCCACGCCUCUUGCUCCUCUUGGUGCUGGUCCUGCCCCUGCCGCUCUUGCCGCUGGUCCUGCCCCUGGUGAUCCUGCUGUGGCGUCUACUGCUGCUAUUGCUGCUGCCCUUGCUACUGUAGCUCCUGUUGUUGUUGUUGUUGCUGCUGUUGCCGCUGUGGGCUCAAGUUUGGAGCUCCCUCCUCGAGCUAGCUGGGUGACUGAGAUGCAUCAUUGUGCCUGUUCCUUUCCUCUUCAUCUUUCUUCUUCCCUUCUUCUUCUUCUUUCCUACUCUUCUCCUCCUAAGCCAAGUGGAGCCUAGUGAGCCACGGCACCCACCCCUCGAUCCGAGGAACCUCGACGCCCUCUGCCGUGGCACGCUCGCCGUGCGGAGGUGAACCCAUCAUUGUGUCGCCACCAAUAUUGGUCGGAGCAACCUCUCCCCUAGUUUUAGGGACUCGGAGGCUUUUGACACUUCAAACAUCAUUACCAAAAGUAGAUUAACUAAUCAUGAUAAUGAUGCCAAAAACGGUAACCACCUCUCAUGCCACUUAAGCCAAGUUGUCAUCCCCAACAUUACAGAGCGAUGCUGUAUUGAAAUAUGCAAAUGCUCCUCUAACAACUCUAUGAAUGUGUAUUUGCAAGUGCACAGAUAAUACCGAUGUAGCAUUUUAACUAGAAAGUAUUCCAGGUAUCGUUAUUUAUAUUUUUACCAAUGGGAAGGGAAUGCUAAGGAAUAAAUGAGGAAUAUGAGUAUCAUUGCAUGUGUAAUGAUAAGGUUCCAUCUAUCUCUCUCAAUACAGGGUAAGUGUCAGAUAAAAUAUAGACAAUGAAUGAAUAGUGCCAAAAGGUAAAUACACUGAUUAGCAUAAACAACCACAUAAAAUAAUGAUAAGCACCUCAAUAGAUAUUCUAUCAAGUCAUUAGCAUGGAAUUAGGAUGAACUAAGAGAAUAUUUCCUAAGUCAUUCUAAUUAUAUAGUCUUAGCAUAUUAUGGUUAGUGCAACUAUACAUGGCAAUCAUGGCUAGAUAAAAAGUUCAUUCAUGUGUAGUGAGUAUUACUAAGGAAUAUUAAUAAUAGAUUAAUCACUUCCCUGUAAUAGUACUGCUCUGCCUACCCUAUAAAUGGGAGGAGGACAAGAGAGGAUUCAACAGUACUGUCACUCCCGCGAUCCACGUCAUGUUCCAGAAUAUAGGGUACAAUCGCAGAUAAAUACGGUAUAGGCACCACGCCUACACAAUAUCUAUCAUUUACCCAUGGUACCAAUGGAGAAGCCAUUAUUGGAUAAACUUUAUACGAUCCUAGACAUUGAUAAAACUUAGAUCUAACUAAGCCAAGUGUAUAAGCAUAAUAAUCUAAGAACAAUAUAUUUAAGAACAUAAGAAAAUAGAAUAAAGUCAUAAUCAAUAUAAUGAAAUAGACCAAAGUCAUAUUCACAAUAAUGAAGAACAAUGAUCAACAAUGAAGAACUAGAGCGAGAAUUACUAAGAAUCUUCUUGACAGAUCCGAAAACCAAUUGAAAAUUGACUCCGUCUAGUUGUAAUCCAAUGUAGCUAUGCUAAACCAGAAAUCUAGUUGGUGUGGUGGCUCUAGGGCUUGAUGAGGGGCUUCUCCUCUUGAGAUUUAUAUGAAUAAUGAAUUGCUGGCUCUCUCCGGGGGGGCAGGGGCCUUGCUUAUAUAGCCUCCUCAAAUGAACAUCGGCCGUCGGAUCAAACCGACCUUAAUUGUGUGGUUUAGAUUGGUCCUCCACGUCAGUGGAGCAAGAUCUGCGAGGGGGAGCCCGAUUAGCCAGGGGGCUAGGGCGGCCGUCGCACCCCCUAGGGCGGGCGCCCUAGUGUUGGCAACCCUCGGCCUCCCACUUAUGCCCUCCUCUUUUAGAGUCUUCUAGAUUGUAGAAAAUUGCAUGGUUGGUUAUUAUCUCUAUGUAAUCAUGAUAUGUGGGCCUUUCAUCCAUAUUUCCUGAUAACCCCCAGCAGAAAUAGACUUUCACCAAAACUCGUGGAAUUCUGUCAGGUUAAACCCUAAUUCUAGCUAUUAGUUGCAUAUAGAUCCUUUUCCAUGAUUAGUUGACGGUUAAAAUUGAUACUUAAUGACCGUCAACAACUCCCCAAGCUUACCUUUUGCUUGUUCCUGAGCAAACAUAAACUCAGUGGUGGAUCAGGAGUUGUUGCAAUGCUUUCAUGCCUUAAAGGUACGCAUGCUUCCAAAUAAGAUCUCAUCUCUAAGUUAGAGCAAACAAUUAAUAUUUAAAACUUACUCAUUUUACCUUUCACCAUAGCGCUUGUAACCGUCACCUAUGUCUUGAGCAGUUGAUGGAUAAAAUGGUCAAGUAAAGCGCCAUGUUUCUUGAUCUUUGAUGAACUAUAAUUCCAGAGUUUUUGCAGAUUUUCAAAUAAAACUCAGAGAUUCCUUGUAUGUCUCUCUCAAUUCUCUCUUUUGUGCUAUUUCUGGAUCCUCACCAAGGCAUUGAUGGUGUAUGCCUUUCUCUCAAGAUAUGUGGUAUUUGUGGGACGAGGCAUAGUAACAUUGUCUUCUCUCCCACCCUACUUCUAACAAGGCUUUUGCUAUCUGGAGCUUACAGGUCGGAGAUAGAGUAUACAUAUUUACAAUACAUUUAUUGCAUAGUCAAAUUGUGGAUCCAUAGGAACAAGUCAUAAAGUCAAAUCAAGAUGUGUAUGUGUGGCAAAUGAAUGGUGAUGAUGGUGGUAGUGAUGAAAUAGUAAUGGAAGUCUUCUUUUGCUCUUCUGAAGGAUACAUACCUUUAUUGCACUUGUAGCUUUCUGAAGGAACUGAGAUGCUCGAUUAUUUUUUUCUCACUCAGGUCGGUCUCUUGUACGCCUAAUUCUACUAUCGGACACUUGUCUAUUUUUACCUCUCGUUUCACACUUUUUCUUUUCCGAGGUUGGCGGGCACUUGCCCCUUUUUAUUUCUCAUCUUUCUUUCUUUUUCCGAGCAGUCAUCCUUCUUGAGCAACAAAGCAAGUGGUAGUAACAAAUAAGACUGGAGCAUUUAUUUCAUAGGGAAUUACUAGAAUAUUUUUUUAGUGGAUGUAGAGAUUGAAAUGAGUGGUUGUGCAAGUGAAUCUUGAUUCAAACAGCAUGACUAGCUCCUGAGGGUCUGCACAGCUUGACCACACUCAAUGCUCAUAAAUAGUAAAAUGUAAAUCUGUGGUUUCUUGAUCUAGUAAACAUGUAUGCAAGGUUGUGGUAGGAUUUUGAACUCUCGUCAUACAGAAACUCAUCAUGCAGCAUUUUUAAUGUUUUACAAAUAAUAAAUUCUCUAGAAUUCUAAUAUCUCUAUGAAUAGAUAAACAACAGCUCAAACCUUUCCAUAUCAUAUCGGUCAACAACUUAGACUUCAGAUUAGGUACUCUUCCCAAAAGUUCAGGUUUAGAGUAAAUUUCAAAUCAUAAAAGAUAUGCCUAAACAUGAGAGAGAGUUCGAAUUUGAAAACUAGGUACUUGAAAGGAAUUACGGUAGAGCAAGUAUUUAUCAUAUCCAUGUUAAGGCUUUAUCGUUGAGGUUCAUUUUAGCAUAGCUACUUUGUUUUAUUCUCUCCUAAUAGAAAACUUCUAAACUAAGCAAAGAUAUAUAAGGAGGAAAAUAUUUAUUGGGUUUCUAAGAUUAUGCAUAUUUUUAUUUUAGCAGAGUGUAGGUAUAAAGACUAUUAGAAAUACUUAGCUGAGUACAUGGGGGUGCUCUUCCCCAAGCUUGAUUUUGACAUAAUUUCUUCUGAUGUAAUUGGUAGAUAGCAGAGGUGUACUAGUCUGUUGGAGUGACUACCGAGACAGCACUCUGACAGCGGGUAGGAUGUCCUCUGAUUGCUGUUCUCCUUUGAUCCUUGAAUCCUAUGGAGCUCAAAUAGACAAAGCUUGUGGAACUGAUUAAGUGUUAGUCAUAAAUUCUAGCCUUGACCAUGUCGAGCUUCCUUUAAUGAGUGUUAUCUUUCUAGUAGGACCAUAAACUCAAUAUUUUUAUAUUUUUAUUUUAUAAAACAAAAACAUAUUUAUUAUUUUUAUACCACCACAGCGAGUAUACUUAUGGGUUUUAUGCCACGAGAGUAUUCACCUAGGGCUUAGCAUUUUUAAAGAAUUUUUUUAUUUUCUCUUAAAGACAGCGUAAACAAGAUUAUACUAUUUAGGGAAAGUAAAUAAUUAAGAGGAAAGGGAUAACUACCAAGUGUUACCUCUUGGCAUGGUGUUUGGUGGCUUAAGUCCUCCGAACGGGACUCCUUAUGUCCUUAGUUGCCCUGGGGCUCGUCGGAUGGCGUAGCUGGUGCCUUCGACUGUGCCUCCUCUUCUGCUAUGAUCUCUUUAUCCUCCCAUACUUGUGUUGUGGGGUAUUUAUCUUUGUAUCUCGACACUUCUCCUUCAUAGUCCGCCCAUUCGUCCUCGGUGUUCUGUUUCUUUUGGUUGUGGUAGCGACAUCUUCUUCUCAUUCUGUUCUGCUUAGAUCCAUCAACAAUAUAGUUAUCAUUAAAGUGAUGACAUACCUUCUCAGAGGGGAAGUGUAGGUGCACUUCUCCUGUCCCAAUGUAGAUGAUAGCUUUAGUAGUACUUACGAAUGGUCUUCCAAGGAUGAUAGGUGGAUCAUAUUCAUCUUCUCCCAUGUCAAUGACUGAGAAGUCUGUUGGGAUGAAGUGGACAUCUUUUGCUAUACCUUCGACAAUUCGAUAUGUUUGAUCUACCAUAUGGAGUUGGGUGUAUGUUGGAUAUAGAGGCAUUGUUCCGUAUAGAAACUCAUAAGUCAAUUUGGCCACAAUGUUGAUGCCUGAUCUGGUGUCGCAGACUGCCUUCUGAAAGGAGCAUCUAUUGAUUGUACAUUCAAUUGUUGGGACACUAGGAUCAUCCUUCUUGAUCAAAUGAGGGGAUUUGAGUUGGUGAUCUUGAUCAUUGUGAAAUGCAGUGACCAUCUUGGUUGAUUCUGUCCAUACUUGCUUCUUAUUCUUGUUUUGCUUGUUCCUCCUAUUGGUCCUCUUUCUUGGCUUAUAUUGGGGUUGUUCUGGAAAUUGUGAGGUUUUAUUCUUCAAAGAAAAUGCCUCCUUCCUCUUGACGAUGAAUUUGAUCUUGGCAGCGCUAGCAUAGAUGACAACUCCAGCAAUGUUUAGAAAUGCUCACCCUAGGAUGAUGGGUGACCUCUCAUCAACACCGGUCUCUAUUACUACGAAGUGUUUUGGGACAUAUAAGGUACCAAUUCAGACACACACAUUCUUUAGGAUUCCUCGUGGGUAGCACAGUGUCUGAUCUGCAAGCUAUAAACACAUAGUUGUAUCUGAUAAAGGAUAAGUAAAGAUUUUUUCAUAGAUUGCUCUGGGCAUGAUGUUGACGCUUGCGCCAAAGUCGCAAAGUGCUUCAGGGAAUCCGUGCUGCCAAUGGAGAUUGAGACGACUAGGAGUGCGGGAUCUCCUUUCUUGACUGGCAGAGAUUCAUCAUACCACCCUCCUGCGGGGUUGCUCCAAUAGGCACCUGUAUCAAAUAUGUCUACAAGAUUUGUAGAUUCCAAUCCGUCCGGUUGUGAUGGUAUACCGGAGUUAGUGGUAGGAACAGCUGCAGCUAUUUGAUUUAUCUGAGAUUCUAUCAUUUUAUUAAAUCUAGUCUGGUUCUUAAUGGCAGUUGAAAAAUUAUCCAUCCUAUUGUUUAUAGUUUCUAGAAUUUUGUCAUUGGACGCUAAUUUCUUAGACAGGUUAUCCAUCAACAUACCUUGAUUAGACACUAACUCUCUCAAAGGUGGUAAAUUAGAAUUGUUGUAAGAAUUGUUACCUUGAUAAUUACCUAUAUAGUUAUCUGAGUAGUUAGGCCUUUGUUGUUGGUUACAACCUUGAUUUUGCUGAGGACGGUAGUAGUUGUUGUUGUUGUUGUUGAUGUAGUUCACAUCCUCGUGCACCUUAGGGUAGCGGUUGCCUGAGUGUCUAGUUUCUCCACACUCUUGACAGGUCAUGUGAGAGUCAUAUAUGUGCUGACUUCCUUCUUAUCUUCAACUUCAUCGAGUCUCUUCAUGAGCAGGCUUAUCUGCACAGACAGCAUGUCUACCUCUUUGAGCAGGUGCAUACCUCCACUCUUCUUGUGAAUUUGAGUUCUUUCUUCAUUCCAACCUUGGUUGGAUGCCAUCAUCUCCACAAGACCUGUGGCUUGUGGUAUGGUGAGUGAUAGGAACGCUCCUCCAGCAGCAGCAUCCAUGGUUUCAUGAGUGCUGUUGCUGAGCCCAUGUGAAAAGGUCUGCAUAAGUAGCCAAUUUUCAAUUCCAUGAUGGGGACAUUCUUCGAUGUAGUCUUGAAAGUGCUCCCAUGCUUCUGGAAUAGACUCGUCAUGUUGUUGCUGAAUGCUUGAAAUCUUCCAACGGAGAGCAUUGGUCUUGCCCAUGGGAAAGAACUUUGCUAGAAAAUUGGUGGAACAGAGUGCCCAUGUAGUAUUCUUCUCCUUGGUUGCAUAGAACCACUACUUCGCUCUUCCCAAGAGUGAGAAUGGGAAAAUGUGAAGUAGUAUGGCAUCCUUGGGAAUGUCCUUGAUACAAAAGGUGAAGUAGUAUGGCGUCCAGGAAGUGUUGGAGAUGAGCACUAGCGUCUUCUUGCGCCUUCCCAUAAAACUGGCUUGCUUGCACCAUGUUUAUGAGCACAGGCUUAAGCUCAAAUGACCGCUCAAUGUCCAUAGCAGGUCCAGUACGGAUAUUGUCCAUAGUGGGAGCUGAGAGCUCACGGAUUGACUUUUUCGCCAUGGCUUGAAACUCUGAUGUCAAGUCUCAAACAAUGUUUGGAUGAUCUUCCUGAUUGGAUUGAGCUUAGAGCUGAGAUGUUGAUGAUGAUAGUUCUGUUACUCUCCUGAACUUGGCUCUUGUCCUUCUGAUAAUGCUUUGGAGUUUUCAACAAAGUUUUUUUGGAGACAAACUUAUUCAUACAUCACCCUGCAUAAAAUGAUAAAAAAUAGCAAAGUAGUAGGGGUAAAAUGGUAUGAGUAUAGAAUUAAUGUUCUGCUUAAUCACAUUAGGGAUGCAAAUGAUAACUCAUUAAUUCCUUUUGAUAGCUAAUCAACCUUCCUCGGCAAUGGCACCAAAAAUGCUUGUUGACACUUCUAACAUCGUUACCAAAAGUAGAUUAACUAAUCUUGAUAACGGCGCCAAAAAUGGUAACCACCUCUCAUGCCACUUAAGCCAAGUUGUCAUCCCCAGCAUGGCAGAGAGAUGCGGUAUUGACAUAUGUAAAUGCUCUUCUAACAACUAUAUGAAUGUGUAUCUGCAAGCGCACAGAUAACACCGAUGUAGCAUUUUAACUAGGAAGUAUUCUAGGUAUCGUUAUUUAUAUUUUUACCCCUAGGAAGGGAAUGCUAAGGAAUAAAUGAGGAAUAUGAGUAUGAUCGCAUGUGUAAUGAUAAGCUUCCAUCUAUCUCUCUCUAUACAGGGUAAGUGUCACAUAAAAUAUAGAUAAUGAAUGAAUAGUGACAAAAGAUAAAUACACUGAACAACAUAAAUAGCCACAUCAAAUAUCGAUAAGCACCUCAAUAGAUAUUCUAGCAAGUUGUUAGCAUGGAAUUAGGACAAACUACAAGAAUAUUUCCUAAGUCAUUCUAACUAUACAGUAUCAGCAUAUUAUGAUUAGUGCAACUAUACAUGGCAAUCAUGGCUAGAUAAAAGGUUCAUUCAUGUGUAGUGAGUAUUACUAAGGAUGAUGAAGAAUAGAGUAAUCACUUCCCCGUAAUAGUACUACUUUUCCUGCCCUAUAAACGGGAGGAGGACUAUAGAGGAUUCAACAGGACUGUCACUCCCACGAUCUACCGCUUGUUCUAGAAUAUAGGGUACAAUCGCAGAUAAAUAUGGUAUAGGCACCACGCCUACACAAUAUCUAUCAUUUACCCAUGGCACCAAUGGACAAGCCAUUAUUGGUUAAACUUUAUACGAUCCUAAAUAUAGAUAAAACUCAGAUCUAACUAAGCCAAGUAUAUAAUCAUAAUAAACUAAGAACAAUAUAAUUGAGAACAUAAGCAAAUAGAAUAAAUCCAUAAUCAAUAUAAUGAAAUAGACUAGUGUCAUAUUCAUAAUAAUGAAGAACAAUGAAAAACUAGAGUGAGAAUUACCAAGAAUCCUCUUAACAGAUCCAGAAACCAAUCGGAGAUUGACUCCUUCUAGUUCUAAUCCUAUGUAGCUAUGCUAAACUAGAAAUCUAGUUGAUGUGGUGGCUCUAGGGCUUGAUCAGGGGCUUAUACUCUUGAGAUGGAUAUGAAUAAUGAAUUGUUGGCUCUCUCUAGGGGGAUAGGGCCCUUGCUUAUAUAGCAUCCUCAAAUGAACGUCGGUCGUCGGAUCAAACCGACCUUAAUUAUGUGGUUUAGAUUGAUCCUCAAGGUCGAUGGAGCAAGAUCCGCGAGGGGGAGCCUGAUUGGCCAGGGGGGCAGGGCGGGCGCCCUAGGGUUGGCGCCCCUUGGCCUCCCGCCUCUUCUGGAGUCUUCUAGAUUGUAGAAAAUUAUGCGGUUGGUUAUUAUCUCUAUGUAAUCAUGACAUGUGGGCCUCUCCUUCAUAUUUCCUAACAACCCCCUGCAGAAACAUGAUUUUACCAAAACUCGUGGAGUUCUGUCAGUAUAAACCCUAAUUCUAUCUAUUUGUUGCAUAUAGAUCCUUUUCCAUGAUUAGUUGACGGUUAAAAUUGAUACUUAAGGACCGUCAAUAGGGGCUCCUUAUGAACCCUGAGUGUGAGGGACCUCAAGUUGGCCUGAGACGGGAGGGUCAGGCAUCCGGACAUCACCACCCUCUGGUGCCUAGGGCUGGCGUCGACACCCAGCGGGAGACCUCGAGUCGGAGGGUCCUACAGCGGAAAAAACAAACAUUAAACUCACUUGCAACCAAGGCACCCUGCACUAGCAUAACACCUGUCGAGAACACAAAAAAGAAUAUAGGGACAUACCCUCGAGUUGGACGCACGACUUGAAGCCCACCACUAUCUUGAGCCUCUUGGCACUAGAGGGUUGCACUUGCUCCAACUGCCGGUUAAGCCUGAAGUGAACUAGUAGGUCAUGCAUAAGCUAAAAUAGGAACAAACAGAGGUGGGAAAAAGACAAAGAUAUCGGUUUUCAAGGCCUCACCCAAUAGGAAGACCGACUUUCCUCCCAGUGCCGCGGUAGCCACUAGGCGGCCUUGAAGAGCCGCUGCGUGUUGGGCCCGUGGGAGUUCCGAGCCGACGUUAGACACUGGUUUUGUUCGCGCCCCCUGAUGUCCCUUAGGGCUCGAACUUCCCCUACGCACCUCCUCUUAGCAUAAGGUAGCCACGGCUCGACCCUCCGAGGUAGCGCAACCUCAAGUUCGAGGCCCCAGUGUGGACGUCUUGACUCGAUGCCCGAGCACAAAAUCCUUGGGCGGACACGGGGGUAGCUUGACCCAGCCCUGAGUGGGGGUAGGAGGGGAACCACCAUGUGAGCGUUGACGUGGGGAAUCCACACGUGGAUCUCCUUGCGUCUCCUCUUGCGGCUCCUUGGGAACAUCUUCCUACAUCCAUGAUACGUUAGCUCGAGGUGGGGGUUGUAGGAGGCAAUCGAGACACGCCGCCAUUCCCUCGACAUCCUCGCCAUCAUUAUUAUCGUCAUCCUCGUCUUCCUUUUUUGGGGAAUCCUCUUCAGGUUUCCUCUCGUGCCUCGCCUUGGCACGACGCCGCUCGAGCCCCUGCCAGGCUAUGUUUUUCUUCUUUUCCUUCUUCUCUGCGUCAAGCUUUUUCUUAUGCUUUUGAGCAGAAAGACGUCUUACCUCAUGACCUAAUGUGAAUUUCCCCUUAUAAAGAAAUAUCCAGGAGUUAGGAAAACUAGAUGUGGAAAACCGGGCUCGGGAUACCACGACUCGAAACUCUAUUGCUUGGGAUACUCAACAUAGCGAUGUAGCCUGCCUUGGUCUUCAUGGGGAACAAGUUGACGUCCUCGACCUGGAAGGCACUGGAGAUGACAGCCCUGACCCUUGCCGCCACCACCUUAUUGGGUAGCGCCUCGCUCGACAUCCGGCACACCUCGAGGUCCCUGGACAUGGCACGUGGACUCAUCUCAUACAUCCUCAAUGGAUGAGCCAUCAACAAGAGCACCCGUCGAGGGUGGACGACCAAGAGGACAAGGGCUAUCGUCAGACCCUCCUCGCGAAGGCGCUGCAGGGCACCAAGGAGGGGGCGUAGUUGAGGCUGCUGCUCCAUGGUUAUGUCAUACCUCCAAUGCAGUGGUCGCGCCGUGAUGAGCUGUCCAGUGUAGGGAGGGAGGAGACCCUCGUCAUUGCGCAGGUAGAACCAUUGCGAGUCCCACUGGGCAUGAUUUGACAUCAGCCUCGUGGGAAUGUACUCAAAGGUUCCUCCGAGCACCCAGACUUCAAUACCUGGUUGAGGCAGCUCGCUCGCACGGGCUUCCUCAUGCCGGUAGCUCCGCCGGGGGCAUGGAAAAGCUCGGCCCAGAAAUGGUGGAGCCAUAGCUCCUAGUGGGGCAUCAUGACCAGGUAGCCCUCACACACCACGGUGAAAAUCGCCACAUUGGAGAUGGCGUUGGGGGAGAGGUGCUGCAGCUCGACCCUGUAGUAAUGGAGGAGCGCCCUCAUGAAGCGAUUUGUGGGGGAGCCGAAACCGUGGCAAUGGAAUUUCAUGAAGCUAACGACGUAGCGCUCCAGCGGGUUUUGCUCCCGGUCUUCCGCGGGAUCCACUCGGGCCGAGUCGAGGAAGUGAUGUGGUGGAGAAGCCCCUUGCUCACCAAGUCGUGCAGCCAGUUGAAAGGUCCUAAUAUGGCAAGAGGGGGGGUGAAUAGCCUAUUUAAAAAAAUCCACAAACUCACUAGAGCAAGAGGUUAGUAAAUAACAAAGCGAAGCUUUUUGCUCUAGCUCUAAAGGGGGUUUGCAAGCCACCUACCAAACAAUUCUAGUUGCUACAAUCACAACGCACACAAGAACUAAGUCUCUACAAGUUACACUAGUGAACUAUGCUACACAAGGCAAAGUAAGCAACUAAAGUAAUUGCACUAGUUUGUGGUAAGUAAGGAUAGGAUGAGAUAUUUAUACCGCCGUGUAGGGGAUGAACCAAUCACCAAUAUAAACAAUCAAGCACCGGGAGAAUGCCAAUCAAACCCAAUUGAGAUACCAAUUUUUCUCCCGAGGUUCACGUGCUUGCCGGCACGCUACGUCCCCAUUGUGUCGACCAACACUUGGUGGUUCGGUGGCUAAGAGGUGUAGCACGAACCUCAACCUCACUAGGACACCAGAAGAACCUACCCACAAGUGAGGUAACUCAAUGACACGAGCAAUCCACUAGAGUUACCUUUCGGCUCUCCGCCGAGGAAUGCACAAGACCCCUCACAAUCACCGGGAGAUGGCCACGAACAAUCACCAACUCGUGCCAAUGCUCCUCCGCUGCUCCAAGCCGUCUAGGUGGCGGCAACAACCAAGAGUAACAAGAAAACCGCAGCCAAAUCGAUCCCCAAGUGCCACUAGAUGCAAUCACUCAAGCAAAUGCACUUGGAAACACUCCCAAUCUCACAAAGAUGUAUAAUCUAUGAAGGAGAUGAGUGGGUGGUGUUUGCUUAGGCUCACAAGGAUGUCAAGUAUUCAAGAAUGCCAAGAGAGUGAGCCCCAAGCCAGCCAAACACGUAUAUAUACCCCCUCAAACAAAUAGAGCCGUUGGCUCUUUCACUGGGCAAACUGCGGGGUCACCGGACGCUCUUAAAGGGGCACCGAACGCUCAACACCAGCAUCCGGUGCUCCAACGUUAGCCACGUGUCACCUUUUGAAACGCUCGUGUCAGAGUCUAACGGUCACCUGCAGUGCACCGGACGCUGAGCAAGUUAGCACCGGACACGUCCGGUGCACACCGGACUCAUGCGCAGAGAGUUCCGCAAACCUGUGGGUCACCGGACGCUAAGCACCGGUAGCGUUCGGUGCUCACCGGACCCAUGCGCAGAGAGGGUCGCAAAACGCCCGCACACCAGACGCUAACCACCGGACGCUCCCUGAGCGUCCGGUGCUUUCAGUCAAACACUCCGACCGAAGUCAGAUAGCACCGGACGCAUGAACAGGAGCUCCCCAGCGUCCGAUGUUCACCGUCCGGUGCUUAACCCUAUCACCACAGCACACCGGACGCUCAGCCUCAGCGUCCGGUGCCUCAAAGGCCAGCGUCCGGUGAGUGUUUCUCAGAGAGGAACACUCCCGCAACUUGUCCAAAUUUUCCCACCGGCGCAAUAGAAAAUAUGCACUUCAUUUUCUCAAAAAGCACCGACAUGUGCACGUGUGUUAGCGCUUUCACAAACAUUUUGCACGUGUGUGCACUUCAUUUCCCUGAACCCAUCCUCUCUCUAACCUUCAAACUCCACCUCAUUCUCAAAGUGUGCCAACACCACAAAGUGUAACCCAACAUGUGCAUGUGUGUUAGCGCUUUCACAAACAUUUUCUUCGAAGUAGUUUGGUUAGCUCACUAUUUUCUAAAUGCACACACAUGAACAAUGACACCUAGUGGCACUUGAUAACCGCUUAGCCAAAGAAUUCCCCUCUUUAUAGUACGGCUAUGUAUCCUAAAUGUGAUCACACCCUCUAUGGUGUCUUGAUCACCAAAACCAAAACCCUAAGCAAUACCUUUGCCUUGAUCUCCAUAGGGUUUUGUUUUUCUCUUUCUUCUUUUCCAAGUUGAGCACUUGAAAAUCUUGUGGUCAUCACCAUCAUCACCAAGAUCAUUACUUGCUCCAUCACUUGGCAUGUACCAACCUCAUUAAGUCUACACACACUUAGUAUAGAGGUUAGUACUUAGGGUUUCAUCGAUUAUCCAAAGCCAAACUAGGGCUUUCACAAGUGCUCCAUCACGAUCGAUAGGCACCACUUGUCGGUGGCCACCAGGGUCAGAGGCACGGCGACAUGGACCGGCUUGACAGUGAGACGACUGGGGAAGUUCUUGACUUUAUCUCUCUCUCUUUCUCUCUCCCUUUGGGCUUCAUUUCCCUCUCGCACGUAGGAACGUGGAAGAAUAAGGCUAGAAGGCAAGGGCAAAAAGAAGAAGUGGGAGCAGCAGGACGAACCCCUCGAAUAUAUAGGACCAACCGCAACGGGCAGAUCUGACAAUCACGGUAAUUCUCUGCCUUAAAUGCGCCAUCUAACUAUCCCUAGAUUCCCGGCACAGGACACCUGCCAUUUUUGCCUGAGGCAGAUGACGUUGCAACAGCUCCCUCCUAAAAUGGUACGCGCAAUGGGCAAGAAGACGGAUCGCCACCACAACUCCUUCCACAGUAAGGUAUGCCAGGCUCUCGCCAAUGAUAGAACCUCGAUAGAGCAGAAACUAGCCCUCAUUUAGGGUUCGACAGCCACUCUCAAGUACUUGAGUUAGGGACACCUAAAGAGGGGCCAACGCAAGGAAAUGCUCAAGAUUGAAUCAACGAGACCCCCCUAGGAGUAUCCAAGGCUAAGACAAGCAGGAAGGUGUGGAAUCCCCACGGAGGGAGGCAUCGAGCCGCCGGACUCUAUCAAAUGGGACUGGUAUCCACGCCCACGUGAGUCCGGUAUCAAUUCGAACGCGUCAGGGCUGACGACCAAACCCUGUUGAAUGUGGCAUGGGUUCUCACUUGUAUUACCCUAUACCAGCUCACUGAGGAUGUUGUUGCUCGCCCGAUCGAGGGCAGCAUUACGCUUCUCGCCUCACAUCCGAUCGAAAGCAUCCGCGAGUUGAAAGUUGAGACCAUUAAAGCCAUGAGUGUGUGAGGCUCGGGGGCUCUACUGGAUCUGACACCCUUUGAUAAAAGAGGGUCGAGAUUGGUCAAACCCGAUUACACAAAGGCUCGCCAGGAAAGAAGAGACUAAUAUAGCCCUCGAAGGAGUCUACCGACUCCUCUAAGGCCAUGGGGGCUACCCUCGCGAGGGACGCUGUGCGUUCCCCAUGGAAACUCAACCACCAAUGAACCCCUACUCGACCACCAAUGCUCGAAUAGGGGCUCGGGGGCUACUGUUGAGGAUAUCAAUGAGAGGGUACCCCAGUAGACAUCCCAAAAAGAAGCAAAGGUCCCACCUACUCUGACAGGGGGAAAAAGCCCGGCAUACAGCCAUACAGGGCUAGCUCAAGAACAGGCCUCAACGCCUCACCAAUCAUGUGCCAAUCGCGACCUUGACUCGACGUACCAAGAAUGCUUGCAGCAUACCGAUCGACGCAAGUCUCAUCAAUGGAAAAUAGCCUCGAGUGCAGGACGCGCCCCCUCCGCCAGACGUUAGUAUGCGUUCCAGAGCAUUUAAUGUGACCGACAAGCCCCCACACUACUACAGAAUGAGGCAUUGGUCGAUGCCCAAAAUGGCCAAAAACCUCAGCCUUUUUGCGGCCCGGGGUUAAAGGCCCCUUUAACACCGGUUCGUAACACGAACCAGUGCUAAAGGGUCCUGCCCAACGGCUACUGACAGGUGCUGUCGGGGCAGGGACCCUUUAGCACCGGUUCGUGUUACCAACCGGUGCUAAAGGGACCCCUUUAGCACCGGCCAGUGCCACGGGCCGAGGCAAAGCCUUUAGCACCGGUUUGUGUCACAAACCGGUGCUAAAGGGUGACCCUUUAGCACCGGUUUUUUCCCUGAACCGGUGCUAAAGCUCUGGUUUAUGUGUCCGCCUUCUCCUCCCCUCUGCCCAUUUGAAACCGAGAGCACCAUUGUUGUUCUUGGAGAUUCUUCUUCCUCGUUCUUCAUUUGUUCUUCAUCUCCGACGCCCAUCGUUGAUCUUCUUCGACUCCGUCAUCGUUUCUUCGUGCUUGGAGGUGACUAACUUUAGUAUUUCUUGUCUUUUUCAUGUUGUUUUUGGCUUGUGAUGUUCCCAUUAUUUUUAGCUCAAAUCCACUUUGUUAUUUUGAAUCAUUCACAUGAAUUAGUAUCCAUAUAUAUAUGUCAUAUUUCAUGGUUGACCUAGUACUAAUGUAGUUUGCAAGAAUGAAUUAUAGUAUCUUUUUAUGAUCUUAGAAUGUAGGAUAAUUAAAAUUAAUUGGUUUGUUAAUAUCACUUGAUUUAUUUUUAUUACUACAUAAUGUCCAUUGUAUAAUUUAGAAGAUUUGUUGAAGUAACUAGACAAAUAAAGGAUAUUAUUAGGUUCUUCUUAUCAUUUAGGAUUAUACCCAUAGGAGCGACCAGUGUCGAAGGCACCGGCGGCUCCAUUCGCACUAGUCGACAUAGUGCGUUGCUUGAAGUAGCGGACCAUAGUCGAUGCAGGAAGAUGUUCACGGGGCAGUCCCAUGAACAUCCACCACGAAGAGGACGAUGUAGCCGGUCUCUCGUGACCAUCAAGAAGAAGCCGAUCUGAGGUAGCGGGAAGUAGCCAAACUCGCCGAUCCGAGGUAGCAGGAAGUAGCCGAUCUCGUCGAUCCGAGGUAGCGAGCAAUCGCGGAAGACGCUCCGCAGAAACCUGAUUGCCCGUACACCCGAGCAGGUGUCUCGAUGCAAGCCAUCAGGUUACGGAGGCAUGCUCUCCUGUUCUCUAUCCGCGUAGAGGUUCGGGACAGAGAUGAACCAGCCCAAAAACCAGAUUGCCCGCACACCCGAGCAGGUCUCUCGAUGCAAGGUGUCAGGUUCCGGAGGCUUGCUCUCCCGAUCUCUGUGCGCGCAAAGGGUCGGGAUGGGGUUGAACCAGAGCAACUCGACAGGGAGAUAAGAGGAGAGGACUGAUGUGUUGUACAUAGCAGGGAAAGAGGAUGUGGGAAAGAAAUAUAUAUGCUAGAGAGGAAACGUCUAGUAAAUUGCAAUCAAUGACAAUCAAUUGCCUUUAACCAUUAACCAGACAACGGUCACAUCCCGAUUCACGGGCUCGGCGGUGGCGGCUGUGGGGCGCGCGUGUGGGCACCUAUUUUCCUUCGUCAACUUCUCUAUAAAAGCUAUCACAGGCCGCCUAUUUAAGUUGAGUUAACACAUAGUCAACUAUCAAUUCGGUAUUAAACCGUUUUUAUUAUAGCAUUUAUUAUGGACCCUUGAAUUAAUUAUCAUCAAAAUUGAAUAUAGGCUAAAAGCCCAAAUAAUAUUCAAUAAGGCAUGCUUAUGCUUUGGAGGGAAAUGCGAAUUGUUCCUUUUGAGAUGGUUAUAUUACUUGGACAGCCCGUUGCUAUGAUUGUGGAUUAAUAUAGGCAGCUCCUCACAAUAGGGCUUUGAUCGUUGUACAAUGCAAUCGAUAUUUUUGUGCUCCAUACAAUUUUUUUUUUUCACUACAUGCAUACAUUUUUCUCGCCCACUCGUCAUUUCCGGGUUAAGGAAAUAGCCAGGGCUGCAUGGAUGUACUUGAUUUGGGAUAAUAAUGCUGCAUGGAAACACAUAACACGGUACAAAGAAAAAAAAUCAGGGACUCCAAAUAUAAUGAAAGAAGGCAACGGAAAAGGCGCACGAACCACAAAAAUCACUAAUAUUAGGUUGCAUAAUGGGUGAUGGGACGCAAUGGCUGGCCACUAGAUCCUCCGGUGGAGGCGCUUACGUGAGGCACGCCAAAGCACACACUUGGCGGCCCUCCCAUGGCCGUGUGGGCUGCACUCUUGUACGCUACAAAACUUUUCUUCCCUCCUCACCUCCUCAACACUUCCAAAUUAACCCUAUGCACCAUUGAUCGCCCAAUGCUGCUGACAAAACACACCACAGCUUGACGUGCCCUCUCGCAUAAUUUGAGCAGUGUUUCCUCGUUCCCUUGUCCAUUGGUGUUAGUUUACAUUCUUUCCCUAGCCCCCCCAAUCAACAGUGUUGGAAACACAAGCACAGGAAUAGGUCAUGGAUGAUAAUAAGGAGAAAGAGCAUGAGCAUGAGCAUGAGCAUGAGAAGCAUGAUGGGACUGACAUUGAGGAAGAAGAAGAGGAUGAAGAAGGUCACAAACGCGUUGUCGUUCUUGGGCCCCAAGUCCCCCUCAAGGAACAGCUCGAGCUCGACAAGGUAUCUGCAUUAACAUCUUCAAUUCAUCUCUGAUCUGACCAUUUAGAAAAGAAGUGAUAUUUUACUUGUUAAAUGUAGGAUGAUGAGAGCCUGAGGAGGUGGAAGGAGCAACUCCUUGGGCAAGUUGACACAGAGCAGCUCGGAGGUAAUUUUAGCCUCUUCUUUGCACCUUUUUUUCUAAUAUUCAUACAGACUCUGGUGGAUUUCUGAACAUAUAACAAAAUUUGUUGCAGAAACUGCGGAGCCAGAGGUUAAGGUGCUUAACCUGACCAUCCUAUCACCGGGCCGGCCAGAUCUAGUCCUACCAAUCCCAUUCCAGGCAGACGAUAAGGGCUAUGCAUUUACACUCAAGGAUGGCAGCCUCUAUAGCUUCCGUUUCUCCUUCACUGUCUCCAACAACAUCGUGUCAGGCCUCAAGUACACCAACACCGUCUGGAAGACUGGAGUAAGAGGUGUGCAACUCCAAAUAUGCCUGUGAAUCUGCUGAUCAUCGUCUUGUUCUGCUCAUACAAUUAUCAUUGCAUCUGCCGAUCGAAUCAUAUAUUACAGAUCACGGAGAGUUUGAAUCUCAAAGUCCAUAUAUAUAUGAACUUACUAAAAAUAGAUAUCAGUGUGAAACUCGCACUUUUAAUUUUGUUUUUGUUUGAAAGACAACUUAUUAUUUCUCCAGUUCAUGAUAUAUACUUAAAAUUGCAGUAAGACUUGCAGCAUUAGUGACAUUUGAAGACAUUUUUUUGUCUUAAUAUUCGAAGACAGUUUGUCUAGUUCAUAGUAAUCCUCUUAUGAGGCAAUGCAUGCUUCACUUUAAUGUGCCACUAAUUUAAGAUGUAAAAAUAAUAACAUGGUACAUAAGUGCUGAAAACCAAAACAAAAAGAAUCAGGGAAUCAGGUUCACGUUGCAGGAUAAGUCAUUGCAUUAGUCAUGAAACAAAAAGAAUAACACGAGUACUGAAGACAUUUCCAUAUGGUACAGGAGUAGGCUUUGAUCCUUCAUGGCCUACCUACUAUUAUCCCUUUGAUGUCGUUGAUAUUUUGCCCCAUUAUUGCAGUGGAGAACCAGAAGAUGAUGCUGGGGACAUUCAGUCCCCAGCUAGAGCCGUACGUCUACGAGGGUGAAGAAGAGACCACACCUGCUGGCAUUUUUGCAAGAGGUUCAUAUUCUGCUAAACUAAAGGUACCUCUACUUACCAACUUUAAUUUCUCAUUAACCCUUCAUCAUUGUUGCUUCACCAAUCAUUAACGUUAUGUAUUCUCUUACAGUUUUUUGAUGAUGAUGGCAAGUGCUAUUUGGAGACGAGUUACUACUUUGAGAUUAGAAAAGAGUGGCCAGCAACCCAAUGAUAUGGAGCAGUGUUGGCUUCUCUAAAUAUGUUAGAACUAUUAGUUAAGACAAGCAGAAGAUCUAUUCUAUUGCUUCUAGAGAAUGAUUGCUUCACAUGUCAUCGCUGUUAACCACCUUGUAAUUUGCUUUGAGUCCAUUAUUUUACGCUCUCUGUUGCACAAUAUUGUUAAUUCACAUUAUAGAAUCAGUCAUGUAUGAAGAUUUGAAGAUAUAUUUAUGUACUGAUGACCUUCUUGUUUCUCUCAAGUGCGCACGCUCCCAGCUUCCUUCACGACAUCAUCAAUUGUUUACCAUUUGUCUAUGCUGUAGUCACUUUGUUAUCAUUCAUUUUCAAAAACUAAUCACUUAUUGUAUGAAUACAUUCCACCCAGUUGUCAGGUCAAGGUGUUUUGUUUGCAAGGCUGCGAGCUAAGCUGUUUUUUAAGCUACCUUUUUUUAGAACGAGCAAAACUCUUCUUCUUGGAAAGCAAUUCAGAGCACGAUAAGCUGUGUUACAAGGCUCCAAUUCUGGGAUUACGAGCUUACAUGAAACAACAAGAAACUCUCAGAACUCAACUGAACCUCCACCCUCGCGAACAUUAGCAGUGUUACGAGAGAAACUAGUAAGCCAGGACAUCAUCAUCUUCAGCAUGCAUGUCAUUCUUUCCCAUCCUCCACAUUCACUACUGCAGAUCCGAUCAUUGCUGAUGUGGAGACCAAAACACUAUCGGUUUCUUUGAACCGGCAGUGAUCGUCCACAACACUGCCGGAGCGCACCCACAACCAGCAGUGUUAUCCAUCACCAACACUGCCGGUUCACGUAGCCAACCGAUAGUGUUAUUGCAUACAACACUGCCGACUAUAACAAGAACCGGCAGUCUUAGCUGACAGCCAACACUACCGGUUCACGUACCUACCCGGCAGUGCUCUUGGCCAUCAACACAGCCGGCUAUCACAAACACUGGCAGUGUUAGCUUGAGCCAGCACUGCCGGUUCUAGAUGCUAUUCGGCAGUGUUCUUGGUCAUCAACACUGCCGAUUCACUCUAGUUGGCAGGGACACGUAGGUUUUAGGGUUUUUUUAAUUUGGUUUUCUAAUAUUUUGGGUUCUAGUUGGCCAUCUUAAUUAAAAUGUUAUAAAAAAGAUCAAAACAACAAUAAACAUGACAUAUCUGGUACACUUACAAUUCAAGUGUUGUAUACAAGAUCUCGAUCACUAAAAUUUAAAAAAAAGGAAUUACAAGAGUCUAGCGGUCCGUUCUAGCCCAAAUUGGUCGUUGUAGGUUUGGGAUUGUGCAAUGGAGUAUGAUCCAUCUUUUGAAAGUACUUCGGACAAGAUAAAUUUUGUAAUCUCCAUUUGCAGUUCCACGAUCUCCAUUUCUAGUAGCCUUCCAUGGUUAUAUUUCUUGCGCUGUCGAUUCGAAAAGAUGAAGGGGAAUCAGUACAUCACCGUAAUAAUAGUAGUAGUAGUACUAAUAAUAAUAAUAAUAAUAAUAAUAAUAAUAAUAAUAAUAAUAAUAAUAAUAAUAAUAAUAAUAAUAAUAAUAAUAAUAAUAAUAAUAAUAAUAAUAAUAAUAAUAAUAAUAAUAAUAAUAAUAAUAAUAAUAAUAAUAAUAAUAAUAAUAAUAAUAAUAAUAAUAAUAAUAAUAAUAAUAAUAAUAAUAAUAAUAAUAAUAAUAAUAAUAAUAAUAAUAAUAAUAAUAAUAAUAAUAAUAAUAAUAAUAAUAAUAAUAAUAAUAAUAAUAAUAAUAAUAAUAAUAAUAAUGCUAAUUAUUAUUAUUAUUAUUAUUAUUAUUAUUAUUAUUAUUAUACCACCACUCACCAAGAUAACUCCCACUAUCGUAAUGAAGCCGAUGAAAGAGAGCGUUGCCCACAUCACAUAGAACCCACGCUAAUUUUUUCCCACAGGUUGUUUUAAGUAUGGAAUGUCUUGCAUUUCAACAACCUUGAAAUUGGUUUGCGUUCCACCUCUAUGCCUUUUUCGAACACUGUGUGUCGGUGUUUUCACCCCGGGGGCUAGCACCAAUGACUAAAUUUGUGUGUGUGCUUCCCUUUCCAGAUGGUGAUGCAAGAUAAAUGUUGACGGUCCUUAAAUAUCAAAAAAAUCAACAAAUAAACAAAGAAAAGGAUCCAAAUGCAACCGACAUCCAGACUUAGGGUUUUAUCUGAUAGAAUUCCACGAGUUUUGGUGUUUGUCUAUUUCUGCAGGGGGUUAUCUGGAAAUAUGGAGCAAUGGCCCACACGUCGGGUUAACAUUGAGAUAUUAACGUGCCGCGCAAUUAUCUAACAUCUAGAAGAGUCCAGAAGCCACGGGAACGAACGGGACGUCGAUCGGGCCCGGGGGUAGGGCGCCCGCCCUCCCCCCUUGGGCGCCCGCCGUGGCCUGAGAGCCAAUCAGAUUCUACUUCGCGGAUCAUACUCCACCGACCUAAAGGAUCAAGGAAAAUCGUGCGAUUAAUGUCGGUUUGAUCCGACGGCCCACAUUCAUCUGGAAGGACUAUAUAAGCAGACCCCUGGCCCCUGGAGGAGAGAGCCCUGAAACCCUAAUUCAUUUAUCCAUCUCGGGAGAAGAAGCCUCUGAUCAAGCCCUAGAGCCACCACAUCAAUAGAUCUCUAGUUUAGCAUAGCUACAUAGGAUUAGAACUAGAAGGAGUCAGUCUUCGAUUGGUUUCCGGAUCUGUCAAGAGGAUUCUUGGUAAUUCCUCUACUGUUCUUCAUUUGUUCAACAUUGUUCUUCAAUAUUAUGAAUAUGACUUUGCUCUACUUCAAUAUAUUGAUUAUGACUUUGCUCUACUUGUUUAUAUUUGCAAUUAUAUUGUUCUUAGUUUAUGAUAGUUAUAUGCUUGGCUUAGUUAGAUUGGAAUUAUAUACAUGUUUAGGAUCGUAUAGCGUUUAUCCAUGUGUACAGUGGGUAAAUGAUAAGUAUUGUGUAGGCGUGGUGCCUAUACCGUAUUCAUCUGUGAUUGUACCCUAUAUGCCGGAUCGCGGGGUAGUUCGUGGUAGUGACAGCUUCGUUGAUUCUUAUAUAGUCCCCCUCUCGUGUAUAGGGCUGGCAGAGCAACAUUAUUACAGUGGAGUGAUUGCUAUGUUUCUCGUCUUCCUUGAUAAUAUCACUAUGCAUGGGCGUAGUCCUGUCUCGCAAUGAUUGCCAAGUAUAAUUGCACUAACUAUGAUAUGCUAGACUUUAUAGUUAAGAAUAACUUAGGAAAUAUUCUUGUAGUUCGUCCUAAUUCCAUGCUAAUGACGUACUAGAAUAUCUAUUGAGGUUCUUAUCAUUAUUAUAUGUGGCUAAGUUAUGCUGAUCAGAUUAAUUAUUCUUGUCACCGUUCAUACUUUAUCUAUCUUUUAUGUGACAUUUAUUCCUGUAUGAAAGAGAUAGAUAAAUGCUCUCAAUUAUACAUGCAAUGAUAGAUACUCAAUUCUAUAUUCCAUUCCAUAAUCAAGAUUGAUGUUUAGCAAUCCCUUCCUAGUGGUAAAAAUAUAAAUAACGAUACCUGGAAUACUUCCUGGUUAAAAUGCUACAUCGGUAUUAAUCUGUGCGCUUGAAGAUCUUAUUUAUUAUUUAUUCAGAAGAGCAAUUGCAUAUUUCAAUACCGCAUCUCUCAUGUCAUGCUGGGGAUGAUAACUUGGCUUAAGUGGCAUGAGGGAUAGGUUCGGCAUUUUUGGCGCCGUUAUCAGAAUUAGAAAACUAAGUCUACUUUUGGUAAUGACAUUAAGAAUGUCCAACAAGCAUUUUUGGCGCCGUUGCCGGAGAAGGUUGAUUACUAAUCAGGAAUGAAUAUGGAAUUUGGAGUCACCAUUCGCAUCACUAAUAUGAUUGAGAUUAUCAAUUCUCUCAUACAGUUUUACCCAGUUAUUUUUCUAUUUUAUUUUAUACAGGGUAAUGUAUGAAUAGAAGACAUCUUUCACGAAAUUUUGUUGACAACCCCGAAGCAUUAUUCAGAAAAACAAGAGCCAAGCUCAAGAAGAGAUCAUCAACACUUCAGCACGAAGCUUCAUCCAAUCAAGAAGAUCACCGAAGUUUCACCCGGAACUUGUCUUCAGAAUUCGAAGUCAUGGUGAACAAAUCGAUCCGCGAGUUCUCAGCUCCCACUACAGACAACAUCCACACUGGACCUGCUGCAGAGAUCGAUGGCAACAUUGAGCUCAAUCCUGGACUUAUCAACAUGGUGCAAUCCAACCAAUUCUGUGGGAAGGCACACGAAGAUGCUAGUGCUCAUCUCCAACACUUCCUAGAGAUUUGCAGUACAUUCACCAUAUCAGGAGUCCCUAGAGAUGCUAUACUACUUUACCUCUUCCCAUUCUCACUGUUGGGAAGAGUGAAGCAGUGGUUCUACGCUACAAAAGAGAAGAAUACUACCAACAACAUGAUGAAUCCGUUUCAGAAGCAUGGGAGCGCUUCCAAGACUACAUCCUAGAAUGUCCCCAACAUGGAAUGGAGAGGUGGCUACUGAUGCAGACGUUUUAUCAUGGGCUCGGCAAUAGUGCCCGAGGGACCAAGGAUGCUGAAGCUGGAGGAGCAUUCCUAUCACUCACCAUACCACAAGCCACAGCUCUUGUGGAGAAGAUGGUGUCCAACCAAGGCUGGAAUGAAGAAAGGACCCAGACACGCAAGAGAGGUGGAGGUAUGCACCAGCUCAAGGAGGUAGACAUGCUAUUUGCAAGCUAGACCUGCUCAUGAAGAAGCUCGAUGAUAGAGCUGGAGAUAAGAAAGAAGUUAUGCACGUCUACGACUCUCACAUGACUUGUGAGGAGUGUGGAGAUACUGGACACUCAGGCAAUCACUGCCCUGAGAUGCUUGAGGACGUGAACUACAUCAACAACAACAACAACUACUACUACAACCGUCCUCAACAAAAUCAAGGUUGGAAUCAACAGAGGCCUAACUACUCAGGUAAUUAUCAAGGUAACAAUUCUUACAAUAAUAAUAAUUUUCCACCUCUGAGGGAGUUAGUGUCUAAUCAAGGAAAGCUAAUGGAUAUCCUAUCUAAGAAAUUGGCAUCUAAUGACAAAAUGCUAGAAAAUAUAAAUAAUAGAAUGGAUAAUUUCUCUACUGCCAUCAAGAAUCAAAUUAGCUUUAAUAAAAUGAUUGAAUCUCAGUUAAAUCAAAUAGCUGCUGCUGUUCCUGCUACUAACCCCGGUAUACCAUCACAAUCGGAAGGAUUAGAAUCUACAAAUCUUGUAGACGUGUUUGAUACAGGUAACUACUGAAGUAAUCCUGUCGCGGAAGUUACUACUGACCUUCUGCAAGUCAAGAGAGGCGAUCCAGGACGCCCCGUCAUCCCGAUCUCCAUCGGCAUGGUGGACUUCCAAGAAGCACUCUGCGACUUUGGCUCUAGUGUCAACAUUAUGCCCAGGGUACUCUAUGAAAAAUUCUUUACAUAUCCUUUAUUAGAAACAACCAUGUGUUUGCAGUUUGCAGAUUGGACGUUAAGUUUUCCAAAGGGAAUAUUGAAGAAUCUCUGUGUCCGAGUUAGUACCUUGUACGCCCUAGCAGACUUCGUGGUGAUAGAGACCGGUAAUGAUGAGAGGGCACCCGUCAUCUUAGGGAGGCCAUUCCUGAACACCUCGGGAGCUGUCAUCUACGCUAGUGCUGCCUGUUGACGGUCCUUAAGUAUCAAAUUUAAUUAUCAAAUAAACAAAGAAAAGGAUCCAAAUGAAAUCAACACCCAGGCUUAGGGUUUUAUCAAACAGAAUUCCAUGAGUUUUGGUGUUUGUCUAUUUCUGCAGGGGGUUAUUAGGAAAUACGGAAGAAAGGCCCACACGUCAGGAUUACAUAGAGAUAUUAACGUACAAUGCAAUUAUCUUACAUCUAGAAGACUCCAGAAGCCACGGGAACGAACCGAAGGCAGAACGGGACCUAGCCCAGGGCGCCCGCCAUAGGGACCAGGGCGCCCGCCCCCUGUUGGUGCCCAAUCUGGACUCUCUUCGGGCAUCAUGCUCCACCGACCUAAAGGAUCAAGGAUAACCGUUCACUCAAUGUUGUUUUGAUCCGACGGCCUAUAUUCACUUGGAAGGACUAUAAAACCAGACCCCCUGGCCCCUGGAGGAGAGCACCUCUCAACCCCAAUUCAUUAUUCAUUAUGGAGAAGAAGCCUCUGAUCAAGCUCUAGAGCCACCACAUCAAUUAGAUCUCUAGAUUAGCAUAGCUAUAUAGGAUUAGAACUAGAAGGAGUCAAUGUUCGAUUGGUUUCCGGAUCUGUCAAGAGGAUUCUUGGUAAUUCUUUAUUGUUCUUCAAUUGUUCAUCUUUGUUCUUCGAUAUUAUGAAUAUGACUUUGUUAUACUACAAUAUAUUGAUUAUGACUUUGCUCUACUUGUUUAUAUUCGCAAUUAUAUUGUUCUUAGUUUAUCAUAGUUAUAUACUUGGCUUAGUUAGAUUGGAAUUAUAUACUUGUUUAGGAUCGUAUAGCGUUUAUCCAUCGGAUCCAUGGGUAAAUGAUAGAUAUUGUGUAGGCGUGGUGCUUAUACCAUAAUUAUCUAUGAUUGUACCCUAUAUGCCAGAUCGUGGGGUAGUUCGUGGUAGUGACAGCUCCACUGUUUCUUAUGUAGUCCCCCUCUCGUGUAUUGGGCUGGCAGAGCAACAUUAUUACAGGGGAGUGAUUGCGAUGUUUCUCAUAUUCCUUGAUAAUAUCACUAUGCAUGGGCGCAGUCCUGUCUCACAAUGAUUGCUUAGUAUAAUUGCACUAACUAUGAUAUGCUAGACUGUAUAGUUAAGAAUAACUUAGGAAAUAUUCUUGUAGUUCCUCCUAAUACCAUGCCAAUGACUUGCUAGAAUAUCUAAUUGAGGUGCUUAUCAUAUUUAUAUGUGGCUAAGUUAUGCUGAUCAGAUUAAUUAUCUUUGUCACUAUUCAUUACUUUAUAUAUCUUUUAUGUGACACUUAUCCCUGUAUGAAAGAGAUAGAUAAAUGUUCUCAAUUAUACAUGCAAUGAUAGAUACUCAAUCUUAUAUUCUAUUCUAUAAUCAACAUUGAUGAUUACUAAUCCCUUCCCAGUGGUAAAAAUAUAAAUAACGAUACCUGGAAUACCUCCCGGUUAAAAUGCUACAUCGGUAUUAAUCUGUGCGCUUGCAGAUCCCAUUUAUUAUUUAUUUAAGAUGAGCAAUUGCAUAUUUCAAUACCGUGUCUUUCAUGUCAUGCUGGGGAUGACAACUUGGCUUAAGUGGCAUGAGGGAUAUGUUUGGCAUUUUUGGGGCCGUUAUCAGAAUUAUAAAACUAAUUCUACUUUUGGUAGUGACGUUAAGAAUGCCUAACACUGCCAAGAUCAGUUUCUACAUCUAGGGGAGAAAGGAGACGUUUUUCUUCAAGAACAAGACUGCUCAAAUCCUAGAACAAUCCCGACAUGAACCAAGGAAGAAGACCAAUAGGAGGAAUAGGAACAAGCAAGUGUGGGCCAAGUCAGCUAAGAUGGUCACUGCAGUUCAAGGAGGUCAAGAUCGUCGACUCAAGUCACCGUUUCUGACCAAGAAGGACGAUCCAGGUGUGCCAAGCAUCCACUGCUCCAUUAAUGGAUACAACUUCUACAAGACACUUUGCGACAUCGGGUCGGGCGUCAACAUAAUGGCCGCAGUCACCUAUCAGCUUUUGUUCAGAACCAUGCCCCUAAAACCAACAUACAUUCAGCUCCAGAUGGCGGAUCAGACAUUCCGAAAGGUUGAAGGUAUAGUAACUGACGUCCCUCUCAAAAUAGAUGAUCAUUUUGUCCAUACAAACUUUCAGGUUAUUGACAUGGGAGAAGAUGAGUACGAUCCACCCAUCAUCCUUGGGAGACAUUUCCUCAGCACUGUUAAAGCAAUCAUCUAUAUUGGAACCGAAGAAGUCCAUUUGCACUUCCCCUCAGAGAAGGUACGCCGCUAUUUUACUGACCCUGACUAUAUAGUUGAAGACUCUAAGCAGGUUAGGACAACAAGAAGACAACGCAACUGCAACCAGAAGAGGCAAAUCAUUAAGGACGGAUGGGUAGAAUACGAAGGAGAAGUGGUAAGGUUUGAGGACAUACAGCUUGAACAGAAUUAUCCAGUGGAGACCGUAGCACCGAGUCAGGUGUGAAGAGAGAAGAUAGUUAUACACGAAGAGGAGGCGCUGUCGGAACCACCGACUAUGCCAUCCAGCAAAUCCAAGGACGACUGAGAAAACGAAGAGUCCCGUUCGGAGGACUUAAAAACACCGAACGCCUUGCCAAGAGGUAAACUUGGUAGUUAUCUUUUCCUUUCAAUUAUUUCAAAUAGUUUGCUUAGUUAAUCAUGUUAAUACUAUCCUAAAAAGAAAAUAAAAAUGUUAAAAAAAUAGUAAGCCCCACGUGAGUAUACGAGUGGCAUAAAAUCCAUAAGUACAUUCAUUGUGGUGGCAUAAAAAUAAAAUAAAUAAAUUUUUCUGCUCUAUAAAAUGAAAAUAAAAAAUAGAAAGUAACACUUAUUGAGGAGGCUCAACAUGAUAAAGGCUAGAUAUUUAUGCUAACACCUAAUCAGCUCCACAAAGCUUUGUUGUCUAUUUGAGCUCCACAGAAUUCAAGGAUCAAGAAGACUAGCAGACGGAGGACAUCCUAAUCGCUGUCAGGAUGCUGCCGACAUUCAAAUACACCUCCACCACCUGCUAGCUACAUCAGAAGAAAUUACGUCAAACUUCAGCUUGGGGGGAGCACCCCCAUUUAUCCCGCUAAGUAUUUCUAUCUAUCUAUAUACUUAUACUUUAUUAAAAUAAAAAUAUACAUAACCAUGAAAAACCAAAUACAGAUUUUUUGCUUAUAUAUAUAUAUAUCUUUGCUUAGUUUGCUUAAUAAAUAAAUAAAGUGGCUAUGCUAAACUAAAUCUUAAUAAAACUCUAGCAUGGAUAUGAUGAAUAGUUGCUCUACCUAAUUUUCAAAUUUGAAGUUCUCUCUCAAGUUUAGACAUAACUGUUAUAAUUUAAAGCUUGCUCUAAACCUGAACUUGUGGGAAGAGAACUUGAUCUGAAGUCUAAGUUGUUAACGAAUAUGAUAUGGCAAGGUUGUGACGUUGUUUAUCUGUUCCUAGAGAUGCUAGAAAUCUAGAGAAUUUUAUCUUUGAAAAUCUUUAAAAUAACACAUGAUGAGUUCCUGUAUGAUGAGAGUUUAAAUUUCUACCACAGCCAUAUAUACAUGCUUGCUAGACUUUGAGCCACACAUUUACUUUUUACUGCUUAUGAGCAUUGAGUAUGGUCAAGCUGUGUAGACCCUUAGGAGCUUGUCAUGUGGUUAAAUCAAGAUUCACUUGCACGUUUACUCACACAUGCUGCUUCUACUUCGGAAGUACGCAUCCAGAUAUAUCCACUCAUUUCCAUCUCCAGAGCCACUCAAAAAAUAUUCUACUCCUAAUCCGAGAGAGAAUAGCCAAAAACAAUCUCCUAUUUCUGUUUUCCCCUGUGAAAUAAAUGCUCAAGUUAUCUUGGUUACUACCACUUGCUAUAUUAUUUUAGGAGAUGAGUGCUUUAAAAAAAGAGAAAGGAUACGAGAAAAUAAAAAGGGGCAAGUGCCCGGAACCUCGAAAAAGAAAAAGUGAGACGAGAGGUAAACAUGGACAAGUGUCCGAUAGUAGAAUUAGGGGUACAAGAUACCCACCAGAGAGGAAAGAAAAAGAAAAUGUAGAGCAUCUCAUUCUCCUGAAAAGUUUCAAAAGAGCAAGAAAGGUAUGUGUCCCCUCAAAAGAGCACAAGUAGAAUUAGACUUUCACCAUUGUUAUUACCAUCAUCACCAUACACCAUUCAUUCGCCACACAUGCACAUCUUGAUUUGACUUAUUGACUUGUUUCUCUGGAUCCAUGGUUUAACUAUGCAAUAAAUGUCUUGUAAGUAUGUAUACUUUAUCUUCCACCUAUGAGCUCCAGAUAUUAAAAUCCUUAUUAGAGUAGGAUGAGAGAGAAGGCAAUGUCACUAUGCCUUAUACCACAAAUACUAUAUACAUUGAGAGAGAAGGCAUAUACCAUCACUGCCUUGGUAAGGAUCCAGAAAUACCACAAAAGAGAGAUCUGAGAGAGUCAUACAAGGAAUCUCUAAGUUUUAUUUGAAAAUCUGCAAAAACUCCAGAGCUAUAGUUGAUCAAGAAUAAGAGACAUGGCGCUUGACUAGACUGUUCUAUCUUUUAACUGCUCAAGACAGAAGUGACUGUUGCAAGUCCCAUGGUGAAAGGUAAAAUGAGUAAGUUUUAAGUCUUGACAGUUUACUCUAACUCAGAGAUGAGACCUCAUUUGAAAGCAUGUGUACCGUCAACUUUUAAAGGCAUUACAACAACUUCUGAUCCAUCGCUGAGAUUAUCCUUGCUCAGGGACGAGCAAGAGGUAAGCUUGCGGGAGUUUGUUGACGGUCCUUAAGUAUCAAAUAUAAUCAACAAAUAAACAAAGAAAAGGAUCCAAAUGCAACCGACAUCCAGACUUAGGGUUUUAUCUGACAGAAUUCCACGAGUUUUGGUGUUUGUCUAUUUCUGCAGGGGGUUAUCAGGAAAUAUGGAGGAAAGGCCCACACGUCGGGUUUACAUAGAGAUAUUAACGUGCCGCCCAAUUAUCUAACAUCUAGAAGAGUCCAGAAGCCACGGGAAAGAACGGGAGACCGAUCGGGCCCGGGGGCAGGGCGCCCGCCCACCCCCCUUGGCUGCCCGCCCUGGCCUGAGAGCCAAUUAGAUUCUACUUCAUAGAUCAUGCUCCACCGACCUAAAGGAUCAAGGAAAACCGUGCGAUUAAUGUCGGUUUGAUCCGACGGCCCACAUUCAUUUGGAAGGACUAUAUAAGCAGACCCCCUGGCCCAUAGAGGAGAGAGCCCUGAAACCCUAAUUCAUUUAUCCAUCUCAGGAGAAGAAGCCUCUGAUCAAGCCCUAGAGCCACCACAUCAAUAGAUCUCUAGUUUAGCAUAGCUACAUAGGAUUAGAAGUAGAAGGAGCCAAUCUUCGAUUGGUUUCCGGAUUUGUCAAGAGGAUUUUUGGUAAUUCCUCUACUGUUCUUCAUUUGUUCAUCAUUGUUCUUCAAUAUUAUGAAUAUGACUUUGCACUACUUCAAUAUAGUGAUUAUGACUUUGCUCUACUUGUUUAUAUUUGCAAUUAUAUUGUUCUUAGUUUAUCAUAGUUAUAUGCUUGGCUCAGUUAGAUUGGAAUUAUAUAUACAUGUUUAGGAUCGUAUAGCGUUUAUCCAUGUGUACAGUGGAUAAAUGAUAAGUAUUGUGUAGGCGUGGUGCCUAUACCGUAUUUAUCUGUGGUUGUACCCUAUAUGCCGGAUCGCGGGGUAGUUCGUGGUAGUGACAGCUCCAUUGAUUCUUAUAUAGCCCCCCCUCUCAUGUAUAGGGCUGGCAGAGCAACAUUAUUAGAGGGUUGUGAUUGCUAUGUUUCUCAUCUUCCUUGAUAAUAUCACUAUGCAUGGACGUAGUCCUGUCUCACAAUGAUUGCCAAGUAUAAUUGCACUAACUAUGAUAUACUAGACUGUAUAGUUAAGAAUAACUUAGGAAAUAUUUUUGUAGUUCGUCCUAAUUCCAUGCUAAUGAUUUACUAGAAUAUCUAUUGAGGUGCUUAUCAUUAUUAUAUGUGGCUAAGUUAUGCUGAUCAGAUUAAUUAUCCUUGUCACCAUUCAUACUUUAUCUAUCUUUUAUGUGACAUUUAUCCCUGUAUGAAAGAGAUAGAUAAAUGCUCUCAAUUAUACAUGCAAUGAUUAGUAUUGUGUAGCGUUUAUCCAUCUGUACAGUGAGUAAAUGAUAAGUAUUGUGUAGGCGUGGUGCCUCGUAUAGCAUUUAUCCAUGUGUACAGUGGGUAAAUGAUAAGUAUUGUGUAGGCGUGGUGCCUCGUAUAGCGCUUAUCCAUGUGUACAGUGGGUAAAUGAUAAGUAUUGUGUAGGCGUGGUGCCUAUACCGUAUUUAUCUGCGGUUGUACCCUAUAUGCCGGAUCGCGGGGUAGUUCAUGGUAGUGACAGCUCCAUUGAUUCUAAUAUAGCCCCCCUCUCGUGUAUAGGGCUGGCAGAGCAACAUUAUUACAGGGGAGUGAUAGCUAUGUUUCUCAUCUUCCUUGAUAAUAUCACUAUGCAUGGACGUAGUCCUGUCUCACAAUGAUUCCCAAGUAUAAUUGCACUAACUAUGAUAUGCUAGACUUUAUAGUUAAGAAUAACAUAGGAAAUAUUUUUGUAGUUUGUCCUAAUUCCAUGUUAAAGACUUACUAGAAUAUCUGUUGAGGUGCUUAUCAUUAUUAUAUGUGGCUAAGUUAUGCUGAUAAGAUUAAUUAUCCAUGCAACCAUUCAUACUUUAUCUAUCUUUUAUGUGACAUUUAUCCCUGUAUGAAAGAGAUAGAUAAAUGCUCUCAAUUAUACAUGCUAUGAUAGAUACUCAAUUCUAUAUUCCAUUCCAUAAUCAACAUUGAUGUUUAGCAAUCCCUUCCAAGUGGUAAAAAUAUAAAUAAUGUACCUGUAAUACUUCCCGGUUAAAAUGCUACAUCGGUAUUAAUCUAUGCACUUGCAGAUCUUAUUUAUUAUUUAUUCAGAAGAGCAAUUGCAUAUUUCAAUACCGCGUCUCUCAUGUUAUGCUAGGGAUGACAACUUGGCUUAAGUGGCGUGAGGGAUAGGUUCGGCAUUUUUGGCGCCGUUAUCAGAAUUAGAAAACUAAGUCUACUUUUGGUAAUGACGUUAAGAAUGCCCAACAAUGAACACAGUAUUUAUCCUUGUUCGGGGAAGAGAAGGCCCUAUAUCCAGCGGGGGGAGAGAGCUUGUAUUAUCUUGCACCUAAGUACUUGUACAGGGGUGGACACAAGAAUGGAGGAACAGGAUGUUCUAAGUCCUAACUGUAUGAAGCUAGGGCAUUGGCGAUCCUGUAUGCGCGAAGGAGGUAUUCUAUGUAUGAUGUCCUGUUUGUUCCAGCCUUGGCAUCCCCUUUUAUAGACCAAGAGGAGGCACAAGGUUACAUGUCGUAGCAGCUAGAGUAGGCCUCGAUAAGGGCAUGGGUGCAAGUCAACUCGAGGCCUCCGUAUCGGUGUGGCUUCAACGGGUCUUGUUACGGUGUACUCGGUGAUGAUGGUACGUGCGUUCCCUGGGCUGAAUCCCUGUAUAUUGCUUAGUAAUUGGUCCGUAUAUAUGCACGCCUGUACGUCCUCGCAGUCGCCUUGUCGGGAGUUGUUGGAGCGCUGACUUCCCCUUACAACUCCUUCCCUAGGAAGUGUCCGAUGGCCUCGAGGUUCAGGCCGACCGGGCUAGGCCCGUUGAAGGAAGAGCUGACCAUUACGUCUCGAGGAGUUGCCUGAUGCGAUGUUACGUUGGCCGUGAUGGUACUGGCACGUACCCUUUCCUAGGUUUCAAGAUAAAGCUAAUAAAAAUUGUGACAUGACGGGAGUACGACCCAUCAUCAUGGCUACGGCCGCCAUGGUGUUAGGUGGCACUGGUGCAGGACGGGGCAUUAGCACCGGUCGGGAAGGGCCUAUUGCCCCGGUUCCCGAGCCGGUGCUGCCCUUCCGGGACUAAAGGCCUACCCUUUAGUCCCAGUCUGGGGAACCGGGGCUAAAGCCACUCCCUUUAACACCGGUUGGUAAUGGAUCCUGCCAGAGCUGGCACGUUGCAGGACCCUUUAACACCGGUUGGUAUUACCAACCGGUGUUAAAGGGUUUCUUCUUUUUUGGUUCACUUCUUCGGUUCUGUUUAUUGUUUUUAUUUAAUAAUAAUAGGUUUUUCAAUACAUGUUUUUGCUAAUACAAUAGUAUAUUUAUAUUACACGCAUGUUAAGCAUAUAUAAAUGAAAAUUAUAGGCUUAGCUUUAUAAUUAAGCUUUGCCUAUAAUAAAAUGAAUAGGCCACAUCAAAAAUUAAAUAGAUAUGUAAAAAGCUUUAUAUAUAUAUAGUUUUAUAUGUACAAAAUUCGUGACACAUAUAUACAUAGAGUUUUUUCUCCCAAUGUCUACAAACGAUACAAAUGAUCAUCGUUGUUUGGAAUAAGAGUUUCGUUGCCGUUGAAUUGAAACUCGCCGUUUGGAUUGAUCACUUGCUCGCGGAGAAAUCCUGCUAUCGUCUCGUGGAUAGCUUUGAUUCGGUCUUUUUGUAUGACCUUUUCCCUCAAUUAUUUCGUCUUUAAUUUGAAAUAAAUAAAAAAGGUAUUAGUUGUCUAAGUUAUUCAAUAUAAUUUAGGAGAUAAUGAAAAGAGACAUGAAACGUACUCUGAGCGUCUCUGUGGGUGUUUGAUUGACUUGUGCCAUCAUGAAUUUGCACACGUAAUAUGCACAUAGAUUGUUCCCCCCUUCUUGUCUUAAACACCACUGUACGAUAUAUAUAAAAAAAAAAUAUUCACGACCAUGACAAUAAGAAGGCUAAAAGUUAGCGAAAGUUUGCUAGCUAGUAGAACUUACUUGUGGAUGUAUUAUGUUAAGCGGCGCUUUACAUCCACUGAGAUGUUCACGGUCAAUGAAUCUUUCCCAAACCCUACACACAGCCAUUGUGGAUCGUGAACUAAUAAUUAUAGAGUCAUAUUAUGAUAUUCUUCUAGCUGAGAUCGACAUUACGUACCUUUGAAUAAUGGUUACCAUUUGUUGAUAAUUUUCUUGUGGAUUUCUCAUUGAGUCAAAGAUUAUCAACCGGUUCUUGGGAAUUUCAAUGACCAUGAGUAUCCAGUGAAAGCUGUUUACACACACAUAUAUAUAGUCAGGCCUAUAUAUAACUAUAUAAAACUUGUCUCGAGUAAUAAUUAUUGAAAUAAAAUAUGCAUGCACUUAAUAACUAUAUAACUCACUCGAAGUUGAAGGGGAAGAGUAUUUGUUUUCUUUUUGGUUCACAAAGAACCUUAUAAUAUUGGUGUAGACUUCUGUCUCAUGAGCUGCUGUCCACAAUGCCUGCGGAGCCUUGAAAACAAUAUAAGGGUCAACGAACCCAAUACUAUUGUCAUUUCUGAUUCUGAGCUCUCUCAUUUGGUGCCUGCAUAUAUACAUAUAAAUCCUAAGUGUGUAAGGAUUAUAUACAUGUAAUUAAAGAAGUUAGAAGUAUAAUAAAAGGAAAAAAAUACUUACAGACAAAAGCAGCUGACAAGAGAUUUGUCGAGAGCGUCGAGGUGACAUAAUUGGUGCAAUUCUUCGAACUGCACGUAUAUGAGGUCAUCUCCACGGAAGUAGUGAUGUUGUCUAAUACGAACAUAAAUCCAAUUCUCUCCCCUUUUACACGCCUCGAUGCACCAUUUGUUUAUUGCAAACAUUUGUGUGCCGAGCUCAUGUAAACGCUGAGGGUCGAAUAGACUCCUGCCCGGUUCAUAUCUUGCCCUCCAUUGAUCAACUAUCUCAGCUUUUUCAAAUGUUUGGCAUCCAAUAAUGGCAGCAAUUUCUUCCAUAUUUAAACCGCUCUGUCCAAAGUAACGCUCAAGCGAGUCUAGCUCAGACAACACUAAGGAUUUCUUUGGCAUCAAGUCUUCAUUUGAGCCGUAUUGAUUUGGCACAAUCAAAGGGGGCACUGGUUUUGAUACUUCUCCGAGCUGUGGGACCCCCUUUCCUACUCUCUUUCUAGGCUGUGAAGACUUGACCAGAGACCGCUCAUAGUCCGAAAGUGUUGGCUUUUUCUGAGCUUCGCGUUGCUUCUUUUGCUGGUCCGCCACCUUCUGCCUCACUUCCGAUUGCUUUACAUAAAAGUACGGCUUUUCUGUGUUUAGCCGCUUUUUUCUAUCCUCCUUCAAUUUAUCAAAAAAUUGUUUCACCUCAGCUUUGGAUGCAACAAUUACCUCCUCUUCACUCUUUUCAUAAGAUAAUUUUUCUGGUGUCUUAGCUCUCUUUGCUGAGGCAACCUUCUUUGGAGGUGGGACCGAUGACUUCGGUCGUUCUUGGGCGGACCGCUUCUGACUACCUCGCUUUGGAGGCGAGGGCACCGACCGUGUACUCUUUGGAGAGGGCGGUGCAGGCGGUGGAGGUGGUGGGGCUGAUCUUUUUGGUGUUGGAGAACGCGGUGGAGGAGUUGGAGACCUCGGUGGAGGAGGUGGAGACCGUGGUGGAGGCGGUGGCGGGGUCAGUGUGGCCGCCGCACGUGUUGGAGGAGAUCUAGCAUUGUCACCGCCCGCAGCACUAUGAUGCGCUGGGGAGAGAACUGGACAUAGGUUGGAGGAGUCCCUGCAAAGAAAACAAUUACAAGUUUUGUGAGCAAACUUUUUUUUAAUUUCAAUACAUAAUAAAUAAUAUAAGAAGUAAAAUCACACACAAACCUAUGUUGAGGAAUAAUUAUGAAGCGCUUGCAUCAACAAAUAAAUGUCUUACCAGCUUGACCUAAGGUCUUCUCUCCGUCUCCCUCUUCUAUGUCUAGAGGCACAUUGCCACAACCUUUCUCAACCCUAUCAACCAAUACGCUAGCAUAUUCACCAGGUACUGGUCGAUUAUGAAUUCUUGGAGUUCUCGUUCGGUCGAUAGGGUUGACAACAGCGAUAGCCACAUUUUUGUUGCAUUCCCAUCUGGUACAUGCAGCUCACAGGUAGUCUCUCUGCUGCUCUAGAGAUUUCUUGGCCCCAAACUAGCGCCCCGGUGUCUGGGUCCACGCUUCCCCCAUGAUUGUAGAACUAAUGCUUGGAGCACUCGCUCCAAUUCUUUGCUAUUGUCUCGGGUGUGACCCCCCUGGCAAGCAUCUCCUGUUCCAUUCGGUCCCACUUGGGAACAGCACUCUUAUAACCACCUGAUCCCAUAUGAUGGUGGUAUGUCUUUUUACUUGCAUUCUCUUUGUUUCUAAUGGCUCGUUCCUCGCCCUCUUCUGAUGUUUUGUACUGCACGAAGUCAUCCCAGAAGGCCCUCAGCUUUACGUAUUGCUUGAGGUUGAAAUUUGGAGUCUCGUUUUUCUUGACAAAUUUAUUGUACAAAUUCUUCUUCCAAUUCUGGAACAGUACCGCCAUCUUCUUCAUAGUCUAGUCAUAAAUUCGCACCUUCAACUCUUCAUCGUUGGUGUCGAAGGUGAAAACGUCUGUGACGGCUUUCCAAACUAACUCCUUGUCACGAUCAGAGACAAAACUGAUCUCAGGAGCACCUUGCUUCUCUCUCCAUUCACGAGCACUGAUCGGUAUUUGAACUCUCACAAGAUAUCCACAGUGACUAACAUAUUUAUUUGCAUGUUCACCAAGUGGUUUGCCUAUAGCUAUCUCAAACACAGAGAUUACAUAGUGGCCCUCCAACGGCUUCUUUGGCCCUCGUGGAGGUACGCUUCUCCCCAUAGAGGUCGAUCCAGAAGGCUACACGUAGAUAUAGAAUUUAGGGUUUAGGGUUUAGGGUGGUUCACACGAAGAAACCGACGGUGGCCAAAGUACAUGACCUUUCAACAUUUUUUCAAAAAUACACAGUCAAGGUAUUCAUAACAAUGUGUGCAUGCAUUAUAUCCCUUGUUUGACUGGCCGAAAAGAUUACUCAGAGCUGGCCAAUCAUUGAUUAUUACAAACAGCAAUGCUCGCAGGUCAAAGUGCUCUUGUUUGUACUCAUCCCACACGCGAACUCCUGGUUUGCUCCAUAAAAGUUGAAGUUCCUCAACUAAUGUUCUUAGGUAGACAUCUAUGUCAUUGCCAGGUUGCUUCGGUCCUUGGAUAAGCACCGGCAUCAUAAUAAACUUCCGCUUCAUGCAUAGCCAUGGAGGAAGGUUGUAGAUACAUAGAGUAACUGGCCAAGUGCUAUGACUACUGCUCUACUCACCGAAAGGAUUCAUACCAUCUGUACUUAAGGCGAACCGCAAGUUUCUAGCAUCAUCUGCAAAAUCUGGGAAUUCUCUGUCUAUCGUUCUCCACUGGGAUCCAUCGGCAGGGUGUCUCAGCAUAUUGUCUAUCUUACGGUCUUCUUUAUGCCACUGCAACAACUUUGCAUUGUCCUUAUUUCUGAACAGACGUUUUAAUCAUGGUAUUAUAGGAGCAUACCACAUAACCUUGGCAGGAAUUUUCUUCCUAUGACGUUCUUCACCCUCAACAUCGCCAGGAUCAUCUCGUCUAAUCUUAUACCGUGAUGCCUUACAUACUGGACAUGCAUCCAAAUUCUCGUAUUCCUCCCCACGGUAGAGGAUGCAGUCAUUAGGACAUGCGUGUAUCUUCUGGAUUUCUAAUCCCAAAGGGCAAACAACCUGUUUUGCUUCAUACGUAGUGGUGGGCAAUUCGUUGCCUUUCGGAAGCAUCUUUUUUAUGAUCUUCAAUAACUGCCCAAAUGCCUUGUCAGAUGUACCAUUCUUUGCCUUCCAUUGCAGCAAUUCCACUGUGGUACCCAGCUUUGUUGCCCCUCUUCAGCGGUGGGAUAUAGCGAUUUCCUGUGGUCCUCUAGCAUGCGCUCAAACUUGGCUUUCUCUUUAUCACUUUCACAUUCUUUUUGUGCAUCACGGAUGGCAUCACCAAAAGCAUCAUCGCCCCGAUCAUCUUUUGCCGCUACCUCUUCUUCAUUAUCUCCCCCCAUUGCAACAUCGUUGAAGCCACCGUACUAAGCAAUAAUAUUGGCAUGGUCCAAUUCUUCUUCUUCUUCUUCACCUUCAUCCAUUAUAAUCCCGCUUUCUCCAUGUUUGAUCCAACAAAUAUAGUUUGGUACGAAACCAGACAUUAAUAAGUGCGAAUAAAGAGUUCUUGAGUUAGAAUAUUUCGUCAAAUUCUUGCACACAGCACAUGGACAGCACAUGAAAUCGUCCCUCUUAUUUGUCUCGGCCACACUUAAGAAAUAGUGCACGCCAUUAAUGAACUCUUCGGAGUGCCGAUCGGCAUUAUACAUCCAAUUACGUGUUACCAUCUGCAUUAAAUAUAACUUAUAUAUUAUGAAAACCAUGCACACAUAUAGUUUCUCAUCUUAUUGCACAACAUGUCUAAGAUACAUAGUUGAUUAAUUCAGGAAAGCUUGGCUACAACAAAUACAAUCGCAACUAGCACUAAAAAAACCAAAACUAAAAUGCACUUAAGCAACAUAAUUAGUUCGCGUCCGAUCCCAACUAUAAUAGAUGGAUCAUUCGCUUGAUCAACAUCAUUGAACUCCUUUCGUCGGCUCACUGCCUCACCACCUUCAGCCUCAACCACCUGUGCAAAAGAUUUCUUAAUGUGUUCAAUGUAUUCUUCCUCCCAGUACCAACCUGUACAUCCGCCGAUACCGUCCCACUGAAAUUAAAAGAGAGAAUCAAAAUUUUAAUUAAUACCAUUUAAAAAAUAAGCACAUAUAUAAGCAAAUGUCUGGAAAUAACUCACAUUACGAUCCGGACACUUGUAGAAUAUACGACCCUUGUUUACUCCCUCUUUCGACACUUUGUACUCCAUCACAAUCUUCUGCCCACACUUGCCACAAGUAAUGAGAGGGAGUUCCGGCCGGUAUCGCUUUUGAACCCGUGGAGAGACCGAAGAUCCGUUCACGGUUGCCAUCUACUAUCCAUACUCAAUUUUUAAACAAUUAUAAAUUCCACAUUUACUAGUAAACAUGUAUGUUAUUUUUAUUUUUAGUAUGUUUACAGUAAUUGCAAUGUUUAUCUCUAAUCUGGGUAGCGAUAAAAUUGCACACGUCCACAUAUAUGCCACCUCUUUAUUAUUUGUAAUUUUCUGGAUUAAAUCAAACAUUAAAAUGUCUAAAUUUCUAACAGUCCAAAAAGCUGAAAUUAGCCAUUUUUCUGUUAGUGGUUUUGCUGCUGUGUUAAAACUGGAUAAUUUUGAUGGUUCAAACUAUAAGCGGUGGCGCGCGAGAAUGAUUCUGUGGUUUACUGCUAUGAGUUGCUAUCAUGCUGCAGAGAGAAAGCCGGAAUAAUUUACUCCUAAGGAGGAGCAAAAGUUCCUGAUAGCCGAUAACCUCUUGAGAGGCGCCAUGAUACGUGCACUCGAUAAAAAGUAUGUAGACAACUAUAUCAUUUGCACCACUGCUAAGGAGUUAUGGGAUGGGCUUGAGGCCAAGUUUGGGGUUUCUGAUGCUAGUAUUGAGCUAUACCUCAUGGAGCAGCUGUUUGAUUACAAACUGAUGGAUAACUGUUAUGUGAUACAAGCACAUGAGAUACAGGCACUAGUAAAGGAACUCAAAAAAUUCUCUUGUGUGUUCCCUAAAAAGUUUAUGGCCGACGGUAUAAUCACUAAGCUACCACCUACUUGGAAUGAUUUUGCUACUUCUCUAAAACAUCAGAGGAAAGAGUUUGGUCUUGCCAAACUUAUGGAAACUCUUGAUAUUGAGGAGAAGACGAGAGCAAAAGACACACAUAGGAAAGGCGUUGAGUCUUCAAGUGCCAAUGUGGUGCAGAAAAAAAGCAAUAUGCAUUCCAUAACAAGAAAAAACAAGCAAGAGAACAAGAAAGGGACAAAUCCGAAGCCAAAGCAAACAACAACCUUUAAGAAGAAAAAUCCAGAAGGGGUUGCUUUGUUUGUGGUAGUGAUGAUCAUUGGGCAAGUUCUUGCCCAGACUGCAAAUUCAAGCGAGAAUAGAAAAAGUCAGUGAACAUGGUUGUUAGCGAGUCUAAAGAAGGUACAUCUAGGUGUGGUAAUUAUUUACCUACUGUUUUUUCAGUCUGUCAUACACUUGAGUGGUGGAUGGAUACUGGGGCUAAUGUACAUAUAUGUGCUGACAUCUCUUUGUUUAAUUCUUAUUAGGAAGACAACACUAGAGCCUUACUGAUGGGGAAUGGCUCUCAUGCGCGUGUUCUUGGUAUUGGUACGUUCAUUCUGAAGUUUACUUCGGCAAAGGCGGUGCUGAUGAAGAACAUGCAGUAUGUCCCCUUCAUCAAAAAGAAUCUAGUUAGCGGCUCUUAGCUUUGCAGAAAUGGCUACACAAUUGUCUUUGAAGCCAAUAAAGUUAUACUUUCUAAGUUUGGAACUUUUAUUGGUAAAGGUUAUGACUUCGCAGGCUUGUUCCACUUAUGCAUGCUUGAUGUGUGUAAUAAAGCUAUGAAUACUAUUAUUUCAAAUGAGUCAAAUAUUCGGCAUUCAUAAUUUUUUCAUGUUAAUUUUGGUUGUUUAACGCGGCUAGCAAAUAUGAAUUUAAUCCUGAAAUUUAAUUUAGUCAAAGGUUCUAAGUGCCAUGUGUGCAUGCAAUCCAAGGAACCUCACAAGCCUUACGAGGCUGCAGAGGCAAGGAACUUGGCACCAUUAGAAAUAAUCCAAUCUGAUCUAUGCGAGAUGAAUGGUGAAUUGACUAAAGGUGGCAGACGAUACUUCAUUACAUUUAUAGACAAUUGUACUAGAUUUUGUCAUGUGUACUUGCUUAAAACAAAGGAUGAAGCAUUACAUUAUUUUAAACCUAUAAAACUAAAGUAGAAAAUCAACUUGAGAGGAAAAUUAAACACUUAAGGUCCUAUCAUGGUGGAGAAUAUUUUCCUAGUGAUUUUUCUGAUUUCUACGUAGAACAUGGAAUUAUUCAUGAGAGGACACCACCAUACUCAGCACAGUCUAAUGGGAUUGCUGAAAGAAAGAAUCGUACUCUAACAGAGAUGGUUAACAACAUGUUAGAGACAUCGGGACUAUCUAAGGAAUGGUGGCGUGGGGCGAUACUGACACCAUGUCAUGUCCUGAAUAGAGUUCCUAUAAAGAAUAAAGAAAUCAUGCCUUUUGAGGAAUGGGAAAAAUAGAAUAAAUGUCUCCUAUUUGUGAACUUGGGGUUGUUUGGCCAAAAUGAAUGUGCCAAACAAGAAACACAAACUUGGACCUAAGAUAGUUGAUUUUAUUUUCCUUGGUUGUGCUGCUCACAGCGUAGGGUAUAGGUUUUUAAUUAUAAAUUCUGGAGUAUCACAUAUGCAUGUUGGUACUAUAAUGGAAUCUAGAGAUUCAAUAUUCUUUGAAAGUGAAAUCCCUAUAAAAAGUACAUCUAAUAUUUCUAGUCAUGAAUCUAUAAAUUCCCAUAAGCAAUUUAUUCCGAUAGAACAAUCUGCGGAACCUCAAGUUCACUAUCCUGAGGAGGAUGGUAAUAUAGUCACUCAAAAGAGCAAAAGACAAAUGAAGGUGAAGUCUUUUGGAGAUGACUACAUUGUGUACCUCGUGGAUGAUACCCCAACUACCAUUAAAGAGGCAUUUUCCUCUCCUGAUGUUGACUUGUGGAAGGAAACAAUAAGGAAUGAGAUAGAUUCAAUAAUGUCUCAUGGAACUUGGGAACUGGUUGAAUGACCUUAUGGGUGUAAACCUAUAGGUUGUAAAUGGGUGUUCAAGAAAAAGCUUAGGCCUGAUGCUACAAUUGAGAGGUACAAGGCUAGGAUUGAGGCUAAGGUUAUAGCCAAAGAGAACAGGAAGAUUUCUUUGAUACUUACUCACCGGUUGUCCGUAUGACGACAAUUCGAGUGUUACUAUCCUUGGCUACCUCUCAUGAUCUUCUCAUUCAUCAGAUGGAUGUAAGGAAAACUUUCCUAAAUGGGGAGUUAGAGGAAGAGAUCUAUAUGGAUCAGCCUGAUGGAUUUGUAACAAGUGGUCAAAAUGGCAAGGUGUGUAAGCUAUUAAAAUCCUUAUAUGGCCUAAAAUAAGCUCCAAAACAAUGGCAUGAGAAGUUUGACAGAACUUCUGUCGGCUUUGCUGUUAAUGAAGCUCACAAAUGUGUGUACUAUCAGUUUGGUCAGGCUGAAGGUGUGUUCUUUUGUCUAUACGGUGAUGACAUACUGAUCUUUGGGACAAGCCAUGAUGUGACCAAGGAAGUUAAAGACUUUUUGUCUAAUAACUUUGAGAUGAAAGAUUUGGGAGAAGCUGAUGUCAUUCCAAACAUUAAGCUUUAAGAGAAGGUAAUGGUGGGGUUACACUUGUGCAAUCCCACUAUGUGGAAAAGAUUUUAUGUCGCUUUGGUUAUAGUGACUGUCAAUCUGCUCCUACGCCUUAUGAUCCUAGUGUGCUAUUGAGGAAAAAUCGAAGAAUAGCAAGGGAUGAAUUAAGAUUCUCUCAAAUUAUAAGUUCACUGAUGUACCUUUCAAGUGCCAUGAGGCUUCAUAUCUCGUUUGCAGUUAGCAAACUUAGCCGGUUUGUAUCAAAUCCGGGAGAUAUUCACUAGCAAGCUCUUGAGAAAGUAAUGCGCUAUUUGAAAGGUACUAUGAGCUAUGGUAUUCACUAUACCAGAUACCCUAAGGUAUUGGAGGUUUAUUGGGAUGCCAAUUGAAUAUCUUAUGCUGAUGUUUUAAAGGCCACAAGUGGAUAUGUGUUUCUGCUUGGAGGUGGCACUGUUUCAUGGAAGUCUCGCAAGCAGACUAUCUUAAGAAAGUCAACCAUGGAAGCAGAACUCAUAGCAUUAGACACCACCAGUGUUGAGGCCGAGUGGCUUUGUGAACUCCUAAUGGAUCUAUUGGUGGUUGAGAAACCUGUGCCGGCUAUUUCCAUGAACUGUGAUAAUCAAACUGUGAUCACAAAAGUCAGCAGUUCUAAGGACAACAUGAAGUCCACAAGGCAUGUCAAACGGCUAUUGAGACUGUCGAAAAAUUAAGAAACUCUGGAGUUAUAGAACUGGACUAUGUCCAUACGUCUCAGAAUCUGGCAGAUCAAUUCACAAAGGGACUAUCAUGUAAUGUGAUCGAUAGUACAUCAAGUGAGAUGGGUUUGAGACCCAUGUAAGGUCUACCAUGGUAGCAACCUAUUUUAUAUGAUCGGAGAUCCUGUGAAGUAGAAUAGUGAAACAAACCAGAAGUAGAUUGUGAGGAAAGACCCUUUAUUUAACUCAUCUCAAUUGUACUUCUUUCCUAAGUAUGUAAGGAAGGCUGGUUAUACAACUUAAUGUAUUCCAAAGCGGCUUGUGAAGGCGAUAGAUGUUUUCCUACAGAACAUCUUUGAGGAAUACACCUAUAUGAGUUUGACUUCUAGACAUAGUCUAUGAGAUCUAGGUGGUCUCUAGAUACUCAUGAAUGGGCUUGAAGUAUGACUUACAUGCUUUAACCAAAGAGGAUGUUCUUGCAACCAAGUAUCAGUUAUGUGUUUAGAUGAAACUUAUUUCACAAAAACUUGCAAUUCAAGGCAUAGUCCAUUGUUCAAGUUGUGACUAAGUGUAAUCUUUAUUCUAGGUGGAAGUUCAACUUAACAGUCUCCACGGAAACAACUGAUAUAUGAAAUGACAUGGAAAUUUGAGAGGAUUUCUUAUGUGCUUGUUGACGGUAGAUAAGUACUCUUUUUAUCUGUCAACAUAGCAUGAGAAAAGAUUAAAAUCAGAAUAUUAUUUAGCUAUAGGCGUUAUCACUAACAGAAUUCCACAAGUUUUGGUGAUUGUCUAUUUCUGUAGGGGGUUAUCAGAAUAAGAACAAAAGGUGGUCCACAUGUUAGUUUUACAUAGAGAGAACACGUGAAAUUUCAACUCACGAAUACUCCAUAAGGCUCAGGAAGACACCACCUGAAAUGUGGGGCCCACCUGCCAUAGGGCAGGGGCGGGCGCCCCACCUGUCACGGGUGGGCACCCGGGGGCAGAAGCCAAUCAGCUUCAACCUCGCGGAUCCUGCCUCUAGUGACUUUGAGGAUUAAUCUUAAGCGCCCGUUUAAGUCGGUUUGAUUUAAAAGUUGUGGUGAUUCCUAGGGGGCUAUAAAUAAAGACCUUGACCCCCCUAGAGGAGUUCAUUAUUCUCUGAGAAGAUCAAGAGAAGAAGAAUUAGACAGAGAGGGGUCCCUCGAAUGGAUCUAUCUCUAUAGGAUUCUUAGCCACCAUCUCAAUUAGAUCGCUAUAGUUCUUUAGCAUAGCUACAUAGGAUUAGAUCUAGAAGGAGUCAAGUUAAUCUUGCAGUCUGGAUCAAUCUUUGGUUCUUGGUAAACUCUUAUUCUCUUUGUUAUAGUUAUAUUAGUUCUUUCUACUAUGAAUAUAACUUUGAUCUAUUUGAUUAUAUUAGAGUUGACUUUAUUCUAUUUUCAUAUGUUUUCAAUUAUAUUGUUCUUAGUCUACUGUUGGCAAAUCUUAACGCACACCAGUAAGAGUAAGAUGUGACAAGUAUCUAGAAAUGGUGGCGCCUGUUGAUGGUUCUUAAGUACCAAAUAUAAUCAUCAAAUAAAUAACGAAAAGGAUCCAAAUGCAACCAACACCCAGACUUAGGGUUUUAUCCGACAGAAUUCCACGAGUUUUGGUGUUUGUCUAUUUUUGCAGGGGGUUAUCAGGAAAUAUGGAGGAAAGGCCCACAUGUCGGGUUUACAUAGAGAUAUUAACGUGCCGUGCAAUUUUCUAUCAUCUAGAAGACUCCAGAAGCCAUGGGAACGAACGGGAAGCCGAGCGGGCUCGGGGACAGGGCGCCCACCCUCCCCCCUAGGGCGCCCGCCCAGCUCUGGCAACCAAUCACGUUCAACCUCACGGAUUACGCUCCACCGACCUAAAGGAUCAAUGAUAACCGUUCAAUCAAUGUCGGUUUGAUCCGACGGCCCAGAUUCACUUGAGGGGACUAUAUAAGCAGAACCCCUAGCCCCUGGAGGAGAACAAGUUCAUUAUAGAGUUGAGAGGUGCCCUCGAAGGAUAACCUUUCCUCUACAUAGACAGAGCAAAAGCUAGGGUUUGGAGACGGGAGCUGUCCUCUCAUCUCUAAACUAGAGUAGAUCUAGAUAGUAGCGAGAUGGAGAGCGAGGGAGGAUUGGAGGAGAGGCAGGCCUGUCGGUUCUUCCUCCGGUUGUACUUCACCAUGAUCAAGCUCUAAUCAAGCUUGCUCAUGGGAUGACUCUGGUAAUCUACUUCUAUUUCAUUAUGCAAUUACUAUCCAUGUAUGUUCUGGUUCACAACUCUUUUGAGUACUUUAAUAUAUAGGACGCUAUAGGUGAGAGUUGUAGUAUAGGUGUAAGCAUGGUGCUUAGACCUAGAUUACUUGUGGAUAUCCCCUGUCUAGCCGGAUCGUGUGGUAGGCCUCGUAGGUGAUAGUUACGUUGGUCCCCUGUAGUCCACCUCCUGUUAGCAGGUCUGGUAGGGUUUAUCGGCCAAUGGAUAAGCAUCCUUUGUGGUGUAUUCUUAUCACGUGGUUCGUCCCAGACAUAGACAUACCCCUUUGAAGUAGAGAAACCAUAGUUAUCCUCUCUAUUGUCCUACCAUCGCCCAUAUACUAGAUUCCUCUACUCUCUAUUCCCAUAUUAUCACCCAUUGUUAACUUACCUUUAACAUUGUUCUUAUUCAAUUCUACCAUCUUUCCUACUUACACCUACUUACCUAUCUAGGUUAAGUUAGUGCGUAGAUCAGUUCUCCCGUUUCCCUGUGGAUACGAUAAAACCUUUAACCGGGUAAAAGCUACAAUGGUAUCCGUGCGCUUACGGAUUUAUCUGUGUGUGUAUAAAUACCAUACUGGGGAUGACAACCUAGUAUUCAAGUGGUGUUAGCAAGUGUCAACAAGCAUUUUUGGUGCCAUUGCCGGGGAGACGGUUGCUGAGUUGACUACGAACUAGCUUAAUUAUUUUCUAAAAAAUAAAAAAAUAAAUAUUAUAUUUCCUUUUAUCCUUUGCCUCAUCUCUGCUAUUCUUUCUUCUUAUCUAAUCCUUGAUUUUUGGUCUAUCAUGAAUGCAAACUUGUCUGUCUAUCAGUUUCAUAGACCUACGGGCACAAAUCUCGAACCACCAAAAUCUUCAAAGCCUAUCAUGACAUCUAGUUUUGAGAUAGACCCCGAAUACAUUGAAUUUGUUCAAAAACAACGUUUCUCAAGAGAAGGUGAAGAAAACCCAUACACACACCUAAGAGAGUUUUAUCGAGUCUGUGACCUUCUUCGCAUAGAAGGCAUGUCCGAUGAGACCCUUAAAUGGAAGCUCUUCCCAUUCUCUUUAACAGGAAAAGCUAGACAUUGGUAUAAACACAAAGUAGGGAGUGUUCAUGGAGAUUGGAAGGAGUUAUAUAAUAAUUUUCUUUUUAAAUAUUUUCCAAUCUCUAAAGUGGCGGAACUUCGGCGUGAGAUUAUUUCUUUUAGACAACUGCAAGAAGAAUCUCUUGGCAAAUCAUGGGACUGCUUUAUUAACCUUACUCUCACUGGCCCAAAGCUUUCUAUUCCACAAGAAGUUCUUCUAAUUCACUUUUUUGAGGGCCUUAGUAGGGAAAAUAAGCAAACCUUGAAUACAGCCUCUAGAGGAUCCAUCUAUCACCUACCUGCUAGUGAAGCUAGGGAUUUAAUUGAUUCAUUGAGUGCAAAGUUUCCUAGCAUUUAUAUCCCUGAGAAAGAGAAAGAACCAAUUCCUAGACAAGAAGAAGAAGUUUCGAUAUCCAGAUCACAACCACUUCAAUCCCAAACUUUAGCUAUCGAUCCUAAACCAUCAAUACCCCAAAAUUUUCCAAGGGAGGAAUGAAUUUUGACCUUAAAUCUUUCAGAUGCUAAUGGUUUAGACUUUUGGUUCCAUAAGAGACCUUCAAGCAGGGAUAAUUCAAACCCUUGCAAUAAUGGUUCUCUUAGAGAAUGUCCUGGUUCCUGUUAUGAAGAAGUCGAGGAUGACAUAUCAAGUGAAGGAGAGCUAAACCAAAUAGAAGAUUCUAUCUCUUCCCCUUCAUGUUCAUAAAUUCUAAAUCCAUCGUUGACCUUAGAGACCCCUCUUAUCCCUCUCCUUUUUAGUCUCAUGAUGAUCUUAGCAAUCCAUCAAGACGACCAAACCAUAGGAGUCAUAAAGACCAUGAGGAUGACAUGUCAAGUAAUAUCAUAGAAGGAGAGCUAAGCCAUAUAGAAAAUUCUAACACCUCCCGUUUCCUGAUCACAAAUUCUAAAUGGCUAGAAUGUGUAGAAUGGAUGGAUAAGGAAGAAGCCUUAAUGGAUUCUGACUUUGGCUCAAUUUCAAAUGGUGAGUUUUUGACUCCCUUUGAAGAUGAGAUUCAUCCAACUAUAGUAGAGGACAUAGGUGAGACCAAUCCAGGAGAAACUCCGAACAUUCAGAUUGGAGACGAAGAUAACAUUAAUGAGCAUGGAAUUUAUUUUAUAGCCACUUCGUUUACUCCAUGCUCAUAGGCAACAUCUUCCCAAUCUAUUGGUCUCUACAACAUCACCACAUUUGAGAUCUCCAACCCCCUCUUCCUUUCUAUUUAUAAAAACUUUAAAAGGGCGGUUGUCGACGCAUAUGUCUAUAAUAAAUAUUGUACAUCUCGUUGAGUUGAUCUUGAUAUAGGUCAGCGUUGGAAGGGAAACCACUUCGCCGACAUAAAUUGAUGGUUUCCCAAGGACAAGCUUAGUGUCCUAAAAUAAGCACUGAUUAUAUCAUAACAUGAGCUUUUAAUUAUUUACAACAUUACCUUGUGUAUUGAGCAUAUAAGGAUAAUUGUAAAAAUAUUCCUUCGGGUAUUCUUGUCACUAACCUUUCCAGGAUUGGAGCAAGAAGAUUAGAUGAAUGACAAGCACAAGGUAUGUCCAACCAAUCAUCAUACAACAUUGAAUUAAUUUCAAACUUGAAUUUUGCAAAAUUCAAGCUUGGGGGAGUACUUUACAUAAAAACAUCCUUUGCCAUGUUGCUAUGUUGGUUGUCCCUACCUUUGAGACAUGCUCAAUUUGUUAAAUACUAAUCACACUACUUCAUCUCCACUUGAGUAGAUCUCUAUAAAUGCUCUCAUGCUACCUUUAUUUGCUUUAGUAUAUGUCUAGGUUUGGAGUAGUUUCAUUUAUCUCUUAAAUAAGCAUGGUGCUUAGGUUAAAAUGCCCUCCUAAAUCAAAUUAGACAUGGUGUCUAGGUUCAUUUUUGAGGUGAUAGUAUGCUAUAGUAGAUAUUGGAUAUUUUGUUGUACUAACCCUUGUAGGAAAACUUUCAAUAUCGACCUGGAAAGUCCUGAGAUAAACUCACAUUAGAGACAAAGAGAGAGACACAUCAAGUUUAACAAUUUACACAAGGAAGACGUAGCUCAUAAGAGAUGAUCCAUGGAGGGUGCCACAAACACGAUGCAGAACCGCUAAGAAAGGAAAGCUUCCACAAGGUGAUACUAUACCAUCACUCUUCAAAAUAAGGUAACAUCUUAAGGUACUUGACUAUCACUUUUAUAAGCUUCUCCUUGGUUCUAGCGUUCACAUAAAUAAAGAAACAAACAUGUAUGAUUUAUAACUCCAAAUUAACCAACCCAACUGAUUCAGCAUGUUUAGCCCUUUAAUCUUUGUUCCAACUACUACCUCCAUGAUCCCGCACUCCUAAUCAUAGGAGCUAAAAUGUUGCACACUCAAUCUUUGGGAAGAUAUAAAGAAAAUGACAUAUACAUAGAUAGAUUAUCUUUCCAUAAGGUUGAGCGAUCUGAUCUGACAAAUGUUUUAAAUGCUACACUCAUGAACUUAUCACCCAUCAACUUUGACUUGCUCCCUAUGCUUAAGGAUAGAGAAGAAUAAAUAUACUUUUAGUUCUGUUGGUGUUUUUCACCAACAGGGCCCAUGCAUUUGAUCUCUGCCUUGUCUCUAUGAGCAGGUACACUUCGAGAAAAACAUGGAGGAGUUUUACAACUCUCAAACUCCACCAAGUGAAGGACCUGGAUCUACGAGCACAAACACACUGAGCAGGAUGCUGCCAAUGCCGCACUUCGAACUGCUGGGCAAACGAAGAACAUGGGUGACACUGUAUCAAGAGGUGCAGACGUCAAGGUCCACACCUAAAUCAAAUGAAGCACCUGAAGAGUGAACACGGUAAGAAGUCUUGUUCAGAAGACUUAAAACAUUGAACCCUGACCGAAAGGUAAAAAUUGGUAGUUAUCCAUAUUUAUCCUUUCUGCAUUCCCUUUUCACUAAAAUUAUUGACUUUCCUUAAUAGCUUGUUAGUUAAUCAUGCUAUCUUGAAAAUAAAUUAAAAAUGUUAAAAAUAGUAAGCCCCAUGUGAGUAUACUCGUGGCAUAAAACCCAUAAGUAUAUUCACUGUGGUGGCGUAAAAAUAAAAUAAAUAUAUUCAUUUCCUAUAAAAAUGAAAAUAUAAAAAUAAAUUUAUGAUCAUAACAAAGAGAGUAAUAUUUAUUAGAGGAAGCUCAACAUGAUAAAGGCUAGAUAUUUAUGCUAACACUUAACCGGUUCCACAAAGCUUUGUUGUCUAUUUGAGCUCCACUGGAUUCAAGGAUCAAAGAAGACUAGCAGACGGAGGACAUCCUAAUCGCUGUCAGGGUGCUGCCGACAUUCAAAUACACCUCCGUCACCUGCUAGCUAAAUCAGAAGAAAUUACAUCAAAAUCCAGCUUGGGUGAGAGCACCCCCAUUUAUCCAGCUAAGUGUUUCUACUCGCGUUUAUACUUACUCAAAUAAUAAAAAGAUGCAUAAUCAUAAAAACCCAAAUAAAGAUUUUAUGCUUAUAUAUAUAUCUUUGCUUAGUUUGCUAAAUAAAUAAAUAAAGUUUGCUAUGAACCCUCAUGAUAAGCUCUCACAUGGAAAUGAUGAAUAGCUGCUCUGCCAUGACUAGUUCCCAAAAUUGAAUUUUCUCUCAAGUUUAGGCAUGACUGUUAUGAAUUAAGAUUUGCUCUAAACCUGAACUUGUGGGAAGAGUACUUUAUCUAAAGUCUAAGUCGUUAACGGAUACGAUAUGGGAAGGUUGAGCUGCUAUUUAUCUAUUCCUAGAGAUGCUAGAAUUAUGGAGCAUUUUAUCUUUGAAAAUCUUUAAAAUGUUGCAUGAUGAGUUCCUGUAUGAUGAGAGUUUAAAAUCCUACCAUAGCCAUAUAUACAUGCUUAUUAGACUCUGAACCAUACAUUUACUUUUUACUACUUAUGAGCAUUGAGUGUGGUCAAGCUGUGUAGACCCUUAGGAGCUUGUCAUGUGGUUAAAAUCAAGAUUCACUUGCACGUUCACUCAUACAUGCUGCUUCUACUCUGGAAGUACGCAUCCACAUACAUCCACUAAUUUCCAUCUCUAGAUUCACCCAAAAUUAUUCUACUCCUAUCCAGGAGAGAAUAGCCAAAAACAUUAUCCUAUCCCUGUUAUUCCCCGUGAAAUAAAUGCUCGAGAUAUUUUGGUUACUACCACUUGCUACAUUAUUUCAGGAGGGUGAGUGCUCUGAAAAAAAGUGAAUACGAGGAAAUAAAAAGGGGCAAGUGCCCGAAACCUCGAAGAAAAAAAAAGUGAGACGAGAGGUAAAAAUGCAUAAGUGUCCGAUAGUAGAAUUAGGGGUACAAGAUACCCACCUGAGAGAAAAGAAAAAGAAAAUAUAGAGCAUCUCAUUCCCCUCAAAAAGCUUCAAAGUGCAAGAAAGGUAUGUAUCCCCUCAAAAGACCAAAAGUAGAAUUAGACUUUCACCAUUAUUUUCACCAUCAUCACCAUACACCAUUCAUUCGCCACACAUGCACAUCUUGAUAUUGACUUAUUGACUUGUUUCUCUGGAUCCAUGGUUUGACUAUACAAUAAAUGUCUUGUAAGUAUGUAUACUUUAUCUCCCACCUAUGAGCUCCAGAUAUCAAGCCUUAUUAUAGUAGGAUGAGAGAGAAGGCAAUGUCACUAUGCCUCAUACCAAAAAUACCACAUACUUUGAGAGAAGGCAUAUGUCAUUAUUGCCUUGGUAAGGAUCCAGAAAUACCACAAAAGAGAGAUUUAAGAGAGUCAUACAAAGGAACCUAUGAGUUUUAUUUUGAAAAUCUACCAAAACUCCAGAGCUAUAGUUGAUCAAAGAACAAGAGACGUUGCGCUUGACUUGACCGUUCUAUCUUUUAACUGCUCAAGACACAAGUUACGGUUGCAAGCCCCAUGGUGGAAGGUAAAAUGAGUAAGUUUAAGUCUUAACAGUUUAUCCUAACCCAGAGAUGAAAUCUUGAUUGAACGCAUGUGUACCUUUAAGGCAUGAAACCACUGCAGAAACUCUUGAGUCCAUCCUUGCUCAGGGAAAAGCAAGAGGUAAGCUUGGGAGAGUUGUUGAUGGUCCUUAAGUACCAAAUAUAAUCAUCAAAUAAAUAAAGAUAAGGAUCCAAAUGCAACCAACACCCAGACUUAGGGUUUUAUCUGACAGAAUUCCAUGAGUUUUGGUGUUUGUCUAUUUUUGCAGGGGGUUAUCAGGAAAUAUGGAGGAAAGGCCCACAUGUCGGGUUUACAUAGAGAUAUUAACGUGCAGCGUAAUUUUCUAUCAUCUAGAAGAAUCCAGAAGCCAUGGAAACGAAUGGGAAGCCAAGCGGGCUCGGGGAUAGGGCACCCGCCAUCCCCCCUAGGGCGCCCGCCCAGCUCUGGCAACCAAUCACGUUCAACCUCACGGAUUACGCUCCACCGACCUAAAGGAUCAAUGAUAACCGUUCAAUCAAUGUCGGUUUGAUCCGACGGCCCAGAUUCACUUGAGGGGACUAUAUAAGCAGAACCCCUAGCCCCUGGAGGAGAACAAGUUCAUUAUAGAGUUGAGAGGUGCCCUCGAAGGAUAACCUUUCCUCUACAUAGACAGAGCAAAAGCUAGGGUUUGGAGAUGAGAGCUCUCCUCUCAUCUCUAAACUAGAGUAGAUCUAGAUAGUAGCGAGAUCGAGAGCGAGGGAGGAUUGGAGGAGAGGCUGGCCUGUCGGUUCUUCCUCCGGUUGUACGUCACCAUGAUCAAGCUCUAAUCAAGCUUGCUCAUGGGAUGACUCUGGUAAUCUACUUCUAUUUCAUUAUGCAAUUACUAUCCAUGUUUGUUCUGGUUCACAACUCUUUUGAGUUCUUUAUUCUAUAGGACGCUAUAGGUGAUAGUUGUAGUAUAGGUGUAAGCGUGGUACUUAGACCUAGAUUACUUGUGGAUAUCCCCUGUUAGCCGGAUCGUGUGGUAGGCCGCGUAGGUGACACUUACGUUGGUCCCCUGUAGUCCACCUCCUGUUAGCGAGACUGGUAGGGUUUAUCGGCCUAUGGAUAAGCAUCCUUUGUGGUGUAUUCUUAUCACGUGGUUCGUUCUAGACAUAGACAUACCCCUUUGAAGUAGAGAAACCAUAGUUAUCCUCUAUAUUCUCCUACCAUCGCCCAUAUACUAGAUUGCUCUACUCUCUAUUCUCAUAUUAUCACCCAUUGUUAUCUUACCUUUAAUAUUGUUCUUAUUCAAUUCUACCAUCUUUCCUACUUACACCUACCUACCUAUCUAGGUUAAGUUAGAGUGUAGAUCAGUUCUCCCGUUUCCCUAUGGAUACGAUAAAACCUUUAACCGGGUAAAAGCUACAACGGUAUCCGUGCACUUGCAGAUUUAUCUGUGUGCGUAUAAAUAUCGUAGUACACUCUAGUGCCAUGCUGGGGAUGACAACCUAGUAUUCAAGUGGUGUUCGCAAGUGUAAACAACGCCUAACGAGCACUGCUUUAGUGCAAGCCUGAGCUGUUACUAGGAUAGGUUGUCAAGCUACCCUGAGCAACAUCUCCAAAAAUGCUAAGCAACGCUAAGCUCUAGCGAUGACGCAAGAUGUACUAGGUAUAACUCUACAAGCGCACAGAUACCAAUGUAGCACUUCAACCAUGGUAAGUAUCCAUGGUGUCGUGAUUUAUAGUUCUUCCAAGGGAAAGCGUGCUAGAGGAGAUAGCAAGGAAGAGAAAUCCUAUCACAGCUAGAAUCAACUAAGGUAGUAAGGUAACGAAGACGUAGAGGAAGGUUCAUGUGGUUCUUGAUAACUCUAAGAUAACUAGUGUAGUGUAGCUAGGUGGGAGAACAACAAGUGAGAAAAGACUCCAAUGACUCUAACUUUACUCCUAUGAACCAAUCUAAUCUAGUAACAGACACACACUAACGUCGCUAAACUUUAACUAUUUGUUUGUUGGAAGUCGACUACAAUAGGAGGACGAAACUCCUAUCCAAGCAGACUCGUUUCUUAAGGGAGCCAACAGACCGUACCCGAUGUGAAUAGAACCUGUUGGGUAUUUUUAACAUCAUUACCAAAAGUAGACUUAGUUUUCUAAUUCUGAUAACGGUGCCAAAAAUGCCAAACCUAUCCCUCAUACGACUUAAGCCAAGUAGUCAUCCCCAGCAUGAUAUGAAAGAUGCGGUAUUGAAAUAUGCAAUUGCUCAUCUAAAUAAAUGACAAAUGGGAUCUGUAAGCGCACAGAUUAAUAUCAAAGUAGCAUUUUAACUGGGAAGUAUUCCAGGUAUCGUUAUUUAUAUUUUUACCACUAGGAAAGGAUUAGUAAUUGUCAAUGUUGAUUAUAGAAUAUAAUAUGAGAUUGAGUAUCUAUCAUUGCAUGUAUAACUGAGAACAUUUAUCUAACUCUUUUAUACAGGGAUAAGUGUCACAUAAAGGAUAUAUGAAGUAAUGAAUAGUGACAAAGAUAAUUAAUCUGAUCAGCAUAACUUAGCCACAUAAUAAAUAUGAUAAGCACCUCAAUUAGAUAUUCUAGCAAGUCAUUAGCAUGGAGUUAGAACGAACUACAAGAAUAUUUCUUAAGUUAUUCUCAACUAUAUAGUCUAGCAUUAUCAUAGUUAGUGCAAGUAUACUUAGCAAUCAUUGUGAGACAAGACUACGCCCAUGCAUAGUGAUAUUAUCAAGGUAAAUGAGAAACAUAGCAAUCACUCCCCUGUAAUAAUGUUACUCUGCCAGCCCAAUACAUGAGAGGGGGACUAUAUAAGAAUCAAUGAAGCUGUCACUAUCACGAACUACCCCACGAUCUGGCAUAUUGGGUACAAUCGCAGAUAAAUACAGUAUAAGCACCACGCCUACACAAUAUCUAUCAUUUACCCAUGGAUCCGAUGGAUAAACGCUAUACGAUCCUAAACAUGUAUAUAGAUCCAAUAUAACUAAGCUAAGUAUAUAACUAUGAUAGACUAAGAACAAUAUAAUCUUGAAUAUAAACAAGUAGAGCAAAGUCAUAAGCAAUAUAUUUAAGUAGAACAAAGUCAUAUUUAUAAUAUUGAAGAACAAGAUGAACAAUUAGAAGAACAAUUAGAGAAUUACCAAGAAUCCUCUUGACAGAUCCGGAAACCAAUCGAAGAUUGACUCCUUCUAGUUCUAAUCCUAUGUAGCUAUGCUAAUCUAGAUGUCUAAUUGAUGUGGUGGCUCUAGGCUUGAUCAGAGGCUUCUUCUCCCUUGAGGAAUAAUGAAUUAGGGUUGAGAGGCUCUCUCCUCUAGGGGCCAGGGGUCUGGUUUUAUAGUCCCUCUAAGUGAAUAUGAGCCGUCGGAUUAAACCGACAUUGAUUGAACGGUUAUCCUUGAUCCUUUAGGUCGGUGGAGAUUGAUCCCGAAAGAGAGUUCUGAUUGGACUCCAUAAGGGGGCGGGCGCCCUGGUCACCUGGGCGGGCGCCCAGGGCCAGGCUCCGUUCGGCCUCCGCUUCCUUCCCGUGGCUUCUGGAGUCUUCUAGAUGUAAGAUAAUUGCGCGGCACGUUGAUAUCUCUAUGUAAUCCCGACGUGUGGGCCUUUCUUCCGUAUUUCCUGAUAACCCCCUGCAGAAAUAGACAAACACCAAAACUCGUGGAAUUCUGUCAGAUAAAACCCUAAGUUUGGAUGUUGAUUUCAUUUGGAUCUUUUUCUUUGUUUAUUUGAUAAUUAGAUUUGAUACUUAAGGACCAUCAACAAACUCCCCCAAGCUUACCUCUUGCUCGUCCCUGAGCAAGGAUAGACUCAGUAAUGGAUCAGAAGUUGUUGUAAUGCCUUUGAAAAUUGACGGUACACAUGCUUUUAAAUAAGGUCUUAUAUCUGAGUUAGAAUUAAACUACCAAGACUUAAAACUUACUUACUUUACCUUUCACCAUGGGACUUGUAACCGUUACUUCUUUCUUGAGUAGUUAAAAGAUAGAAUAGUCUAGUCAAGUGCCAUGUCUCUUAUUCUUGAUCAGCUAUAGCUCUGGAGAUUUUGCAGAUUUUCAAAUAAAACUCAGAGAUUCGUUGUAUGACUCUCUCAUAUCUCUCUUUUGUGGUAUUUCUGGAACCUUACCCAGGCAGUGAUGGUAUAUGCCUUCUAUCAAAAUAUAUAGUAUUUAUGGUAUAAGGCAUAGUGAUAUUGCCUUCUCUCUCACCCUACUCUAAUAAGGUUUUAAUAUCUGAAGCUCAUAGGUGGGAGAUAAAAUAUACAUACUUACAAGACAUUUAUUGUAUAUUCAAACCAUGGAUCCAAAGAAACAAGUCAAUAAGUUUAAUCAAGUUGUGCAUGUGUGGCGAAUGAAUGGUGUAUGGUGAUGAUGGUGAUAAUAAUGGUGAAAGUCAACUUUUGCUCUUUUAAGGGGAUACAUACCUUCCUUGCUUUUUGAAAUUUUGUGAGGAGAAUGAGAUGCUCUUCUUUUUCUUCUCUCUCAGGUGGGUAUCUUGUACCCCUAAUUCUACUGUCGGACACUUGUCCAUUUUUACCUCUCGUCUAACUUUUUCUUUUCUUUCGAGGUUCCGGGCACUUGCCCCUUUUUAUUUUCUCGUAUCUUUUUUCAGAGAGCACUCAUCUCAUGAGAUAAUGUAGCAAGUGGUAGUAACUAAGAUAACUUGAGCAUUUAUUUCACAGGGGAAAACAUAAAUGUUUUUGGCUUUUCUUUCCCGGAUUAGGAGUAGAAUAUUUUUGGGUGGUUCUGGAGAUGGAAAUGAGUGGAUAUAUGUGGAUGGUACUUCCGGAGUAGAAGUAGCAUUUGUGAGUGAACGUGCAAGUCAAUCUUGAUUUAACCACAUGACAAGCUCCUAAGGGUCUACACAGCUUAACCACACUCAAUGCUCAUAAGCAGUAAAAAGUAAAUAUGUGGCUCAAAGUCUAGCAAGCAUGUAUAUAUGGCUGUGGUAGGAAUUUAAACUCUCAUCAUACAGGAACUCAUCAUGCAAUAUUUUAAAGAUUUUCAAAGAUAAAAUUCGCCAGAAUUCUAGCAUGUCUAGGAACAGAUAAAUAGAGGCUCAACCAUCCCAUAUCGUAUCCGUUAACAACUUAGACUUCAGAUCAAGUUUUCUUCCCACAAGUUUAGGUUUAGAGCAAGCUUUAAAAUAUAACAGUUAUAUCUAAACUUGAGAGAGAACUUCAAAUUUUAAAAAUUAGGCAGAGCAACUAUUCACCAUAUCCAUGCUAGAGUUUUAUUAUUAAGAUUCAGUUUAGCAUAGCCACUUUAUUUAUUUAUUAAACAUACUAAACAAAAGACAUAUAUAUAAGCACAAAAAUAUUUAUUUGGUUUUUCAUAGUUAUGUAUAUUUAUAUUUUAAUAUAGUAUAAGUAUAAAGAUAGAUAGAAAUACUUAGCGGGAUAAAUGGGGGUGCUCUCCCCCAAGCUGAAUUUUGACGUAAUUUUUUCUGAUGUAGCUAGCAGGUGGCAGAGGUGUAUUUGAAUGUCGGCAGUAUCUUGACAGCGUUUAGAAUGUCCUCCGUCUGCUAGUCUUCUUGAUUCUUAAAUUCUGUGGAGCUCAAAUAGACAACAAAGCUUUGUGGAACUGAUUAAGUGUUAGCAUAAAUAUCUAGCCUUUAUCAUGUUGAGCCUCCUUAAUAACUAUUACUCCCUAUUUUUAUAUUUUCAUUUUAUAAAGCAGAAAAAAUAUUUAUUUUAUUUUUAUGCCACCAUAGUAAAUGUACUUAUGGGUUUUAUGCCACUUGUAUACUCACAUGGGGCUUACUGUUUUUUUAACAUUUUUAUUUUUCUUUUAGAAUGGUAUGAACAUAAUUAACUAAGUAAAAUAUUUUAAAUAUUUGAAAGGGAAAGGAUAACUACCAAGUUUACCUCUUGGCAAGACGUUCGGUGUUUUUAAGUCCUCCGAACGGGACUCUCCGUUUUCUAGAUGUCCUGGGAUUCGUUGGACGGCGGAGUCGGUACUUCCGGCAGCGCCUCCUCUUCAUGUAUAGUUAUCUUCUCUCUCCAUUCCUGAAUCGGUGCUACGGUCUCCUCUAGUGUUUAAACUGUAUGUCUUCUAACCUUAUCACUUCUUCUUCAUAGUCUGCCCAUCCGACUUUGGUGAUUUCCCUCCUCUGGUUGCGGUUGCUCGUUUCCUGACCUGCUUAGAGUCUUCAACGAUAUAGUUAGGGUCAGUAAAAUAGCGGCGUACCUUCUCUAAGGGGAAGUGCAUAUGGAUUUCUCUGUUUCCAAUGUAGAUGAUUGCUUUAACAGUGCUGAGGAACGGUCUUCCAAGGAUGAUGGGUGGAUCGUAUUCGUCUUCUCCCAUGUCUAUAACCUGAAAGUCUGUGUGGACAAAAUGAUCGUCUAUUUUGACCAAGACAUCCGUUACUAUUCCUUUAACUUCUCGAAACGUCUGAUAUGCCAUCUGUAGCUGAAUGUAUAUUGGUUUUAUGGGCAUAGUUCCGAACAAGAGCCGAUAGGUGACUGCGGCCAUUAUGUUGACGCCCGAUCCAAUGUCGCAAAACGUCUUGUAGAAGUUGUAUCCAUUUAUGGAGCAAUAGAUGCUUGGCAUUCCUGGGUCGUCCUUCUUGGUCAGAAACGGUGACUUAAGUUGAUGAUCUUGACCUCCAUGAACUACAGUGACCAUCUUAGCUGACUCGGUCCACACUUGCUUGUUCCUGUUCCUCCUGUUGGUCCUCUUCCUUGAUUCAUGUCGAGAUUGAUCUGGGAUUUGUGUAGUCUUGUUCUUGAAGGAAAACGUCUCCUUCCUCUCCUUGAUGUAGAAAUUGAUCUUGGCAGCACUAGCGUAGAUGACAGCUCCCGAGGUGUUUAAGAAUGGCCUCCCUAAGAUGAUGGGUGCCCUCUCAUCAUUAGCGGUCUCUGUCACCACGAAGUCUGCUGGGGCAUAUAAGGUACCAACUCGGACACAAAGGUUCUUUAAUAUUCCUUUUGGAAAACUUAUCGUCUGAUCUGCAAACUGCAAACACAUGGUUGUUUCUAAUAAAGGAUAUAUAAAGAAUUUUUCAUAGAGUACCCUGGGUAUAAUGUUGACACUAGAGCCAAAGUCGCAGAGUGCUUCUGGGAAGUCCACCAUGCCGAUGGAGAUUGGGAUGAUGGGGCGUCCUAUAUCGCCUCUCUUGAUCGGUAGAAGGUCAGUAGUAACUUCAGUGACGGGGUCUGCAUCAAACAUGUCUACAAGUUUUGCAGAUUCUAAUCCUUCCGGUUGUGAUGGUAUACCGGGGUUAGUAGCAGGAACAGCAGCAGCUAUUUGAUUUAACUAAGAUUCAAUCAUUUUAUAAAAGCUAAUUUGGUUCUUGAUGGCAGUAGAGAAAUUAUCCAUUCUCACUACAAGAAAUGUGCCAUCUUUUGACAUUUGAUAUAUGUCAUAAUUCAUGCGAAAAAUGUCACAUAUCACCAUUUAUGACACAAAGUUGACGAAAACUGAAAUGUCAAAAGAUAUGCGUCUUUAAUAACAACUUGUGACGUUUAUGUGUUAAUGUCAUAAUAUUAUGACAUUGGUUUUGGAUGUCACAAGCGUUUGUGACUUCUACUUUUAUGUCAUAGGUUCUUAGGCCUUGUCACAUAGGAUGACUCAUUGACUUGGCUCGAUCCAUACCAUCACGUACACCACCCAAACAUCAAACAAUCCACAUUAACAUAUGCAGGUCCAACAAUAUAUUGCAUUCAUGGCCAAAUCAACAGGUUUCCAAGUCAUUCAUCAAAAAUAUUUAUUACAUUCAUCACGAACACCAAACUAUAGUUCAACAAGUGACCUUAGUCACAAAGUCAUCUCAUAUAAAAUAAACAAAUAAAAUCUCACAUCCCAAUCUCACAAGUGACCUUAGUCACCAAACUAAUAGUUCAAUAGGUGCUGGAAGCUAGGUCUUCUUGGUGUCAGGAGCAUGAGUGAAUACCUUAGGUUGCUGGAAUUUCUCUAUAUCCUAUAGAAAAUACAUCGGAAACAAAUAUCACUUGUUGAAACAAAUGAAAAAGUCAAAAGGAACUUUACAUAUGUAAGCCAGAACAAAUCAAACAACAGUUAUAAUAAUCUAUGCAUAUAUGAUCUCACUACACCAAACAUCUUGCAUUGUUUUCAGAACAGUAAAAACAUCAUGAAUUGUUUCCGGAACAAAUCAAUUUACCAAGGCACAUCUCCAAUCAACUUUAACAUCCCGAAGUUAAAAAUCAGGAAAUGUUUUCAAAACUGUUACAACACUUAUUUCAGAACAGUAAAAAAUUAAAGCUAUGUAGAUAGAUAUCCCUCCAAGCAGUGACACAUUCUUGACUCACAAUUGGAGCUUUAGAGCAGGAUAACAGAUUACAUAGUUGGAGCAGAUAAUUGAUAAAAGAUAUCUUCAACUUGCAGGAAGAAGUAUUACAGUAUUAACAAAGGUGAAGUAUAGUAUAGGAAAUAGAGACAUUCAUCUGAACCUUCACAACGACACUGAACCUGAAAUUAGGGAGAGCAGAGACACCUGCAGAAAAUAGCAAUCACACACACUACUACUAGUAUAGUGCCCGUGCUAACGCCACGGUGUCAUUUCAGGGAUGCAUAUGAAAACUUAGAUUGUAUAUAUACAUAUUAAUGAAAAAAGUUAGGCCUGGCACUGUUGAUGAAACUUGAAAUUUAUAUAUACAUAUUAAUCCAAAUUUAUAUAUGCACAUUAUAAUCAUAUGAACAACCCUAUGCUUCCUCCAAUUCUGAAUCUAAUAGUGAGGAUCACUGAGUGCCUUGACACUGUUGAUGAAACUUAAUGACAACCUUUCAAGACUACACCAGGUUGCUCAGCAGCAGAACAGCCUCCACUUUCAGUAAAAGUAUAAAUAAUGCAUCUGUGGUGCUGACCAUAGCGAGCAUUCCGACAUUUGGCAAAACCUAGGGUGACAAAUCAUGUUGACAUCUUAAAAGAAUGCAGCAUGCCGUAGUUCCUAAAAUAUUUCCAAAAACAGUGAACAAAACUAAAUAGUGAAAAUUAAGAUCCAAUGCACCACUAACCGGAUCAUGCGUCUUUAUAAGCCUCCAUACAGGGCAGCCUAACACAAAGAAGGACCAAAUAUACAUUAGUAUCCACACAUUCUCACUUAGCCAAAUUCCAUCUUUAUAAGCCUCGAGUUCAUAUUUCUGUCAGACGACUAUAUAUACAAAAAUUCUAGAUCAUCUCUCAUCUAUCAUCAUCGAGUUCACUGAAAAUACAAGGGAAAAAUUCCAUACAAACAGGUUUGGGUUGCUUAUCUGAAACUUUCCAAGUCUUGACAGCUUGGGAUUAACACCUUGUUUUUGAACUUCUGAAUGAGCUGCCCAAGUCUCUCCUCAAAAGCAGUUGUGUAGUUAUUUUCCAAAUGAAAUAUAACAUGAACAGAACUGGAAUUGCUUGUACAGAAGCACAAAUGAAAAAGCUUGGUAAUAAUCCCUAGCUACAGAUGAAAAAAGUUAGGCAUUGUAGUAAACUCUAGCUGCAGACCAGAUAAUUGGCAAAAAAAUUUAAUAAAUAGAAGAACACAUAAAUUUAUUGUAACAUUCAGACAAAGACACAAAUGGCAUAUAGCAAUUCAGAAUGUAACAUGUAGCCAUGUUCUCAGUAAAGAUAAUUAAAUGAACAGAUCAUGAGGAUGCUGUAGCAGACACAAGCUGAAUCCUAACAGGAAAUUUAAAGGUAUUCACUGUCUCACUAUCUAAUAGGAAAUACAAACUACCAUAUUUGUGCUGCUCCAUCUAUGAAGCCAUUAUGGUUUUUCCACACUAAUGUCAAUCAUGUUUCCUCGCUGCUUUGCACAAAAUCAAUAGUUGUACUACUGGAUCUAAAAAACAAACACCAGUUAUACAACAACACAAUAAACGAUUGUAUAUAAAGAAUGUAUAUAGAGAGGAUUUUGGUUCCACUGGAUCUACCCCUCCUCCCUUCUCCACUGGAUCAGCAGCAUGGAGAUUGAAAUCUAAGCCAAAAUCGCUGUCAAAUUUGAGGCCAGCAUCCUGCGUACAAGGUAGGAGCAAAUCACAAAACUGCAGAAAUUAGAACUGGAAAAUCAUGAGCACCCAGAUACUAGCAGCAACAAAAUAGUGCUGUCGAGCGUAGUGCUGCCGACAGUAGGGAGUGAAUGGGGCCUGCGAUUUGUAGGUCUUAAUCUCAUAAAUCCCAUCCUGCUCGACCUUAUCUUACCCCGUGGAAACAAUUUCAAUCUCCUCGAUCCUGAGCAAGACAGAUCCCAUAAAUCCCCAUCCUACUCUAUUUCAACAAAAUAUGCAGCUAGGGUUAGGGCCAUCACAGGCGUUGCUAGGCUUACACAUGAGCACACAGAGCACCAUGACCGAGGGGACUUGAGAUGGUUGGGCUAUAUGGCACGCACCUGGAUCUCGCCGCCGCCGUCACCCUUCUGUUGGAGGCUUGCCGUGACCGCCACCUGGGCUGGGAUCCUGCCACCAUCGGCUCCCGCACUCGAUUCCAGCCGCCCGCGCCUGGAUCCGGCCGCCCGCGCUUGGAUCCCACAGCCGGCGCCACCCCAUCCCGAAGCGCGCGGCCCUACCUCAGGGAGCCGCGGGGAGGAGCAGGGGCCUGCGCAGGUGAGGAGGAUGCCCGGCACCGACUAGGAAAGCCCAACUCCGAGUCCACAUCUCGUUCGGUCGUGUUCCGAUUCUCAAUCCACUCUACAAAACUGUUGCAUGCCGCACAGCCGUGCGUCCGUCGUGUCGUCGCAGAAGGAGUCGCCGCUAGCGCUUCUGGAGGAGGCAUGAGAGGAGAGCACACGAUGGGGAUAAGGGGCAACUUUGUGAUGGAUGUGGGCGUUUCUAUUUUUGUUUCUUCUUUCUGUUGGUGUGCAUCUAAAUAUUUUUCUUUUUCAACAAAGAUGGGUGCUAGGUUGAUUUUCUAUUUAAAAUUUUCGUGUUUUGCUAUUUAUUUAUUUAAAUUUUUUUUUAUCAAACAGGCAAACGAACAUGCGUGCAUCUAUUUAUUCUUUUACUUGUUGGGAAACAUCACGUUCAUAAUAUUUUGGAAGCUUUCCACAAUUUAUGAAUAAUUUCUAUGCAUAAAUUAAUUAUAUAAAGAAAAGGAAAUUUUUAGAACCCUAUUUGAAUUCAAGUUUUAAGGCAACAUAGGGAAAUAUGAUCAGUAAUCGAUAUAUUUUCCAAUCAAUAGCUCACUUUGUCGUGAUGCUACGCCAACAAAGUGUCCUGAAUACAUAGAGAGACAUAAGAAAAUGCUUGAGACCCACUUGACUAGGUGGCGGUGAGAAUAAUUGGGCCCUCAUGCCACCUCGAAAAAAAUGAUUACAAUCUAUCUUUGUCUUAGAUUUAUGACAAUGACAAUUUGACCAUUAUAACAUGGCAAAGAUUGUCACGAUAUGGAGUUUGAAUACAUUGACGACAUUUUUUGUGACAUAAAAUCAUUUAUGUCACUAAGUUGAGAUGGCUUUCAAAAGAACGUCAUAAACUUAUCGAUUUAGUGACAUUUUGAUCAAAUGUCAUGCCAUAAUCGUCAUAAGAUGACACAUUUCUUGUAGUGUCUAUUAUUUAUAUUUUCUAGCAUUUUAUCAUUAGAUGACAAUUUCUUAGAUAGGUUAUCCAUUAGCUUUCCUUGAUUAGACACUAACUCUCUCAGAGGUGGAAAAUUAUUAGUAUUAUUGUAAGAAUUAUUACAUUGAUAAUUACCUGAGUAGUUAGGCCUUUGUUGAUUCCAACCUUGGUUUUGUUGAGGACGGUUGUAGUUGUUGUUGUUGUUGUUGAUGUAGUUCACAUCCUCAAGCAUCUUAGGGUAGUGAGAGUCGUAGAUGUGCAUAACUUCUUUCUUAUCUCCAGCUCUAUCAUCGAGCUUCUUCAUGAGCAGGUCUAGCUUUGCAGACAGCAUGUCUACCUCCUUGAGCUGGUGUAUACCUCCACCUCUCUUGCGUGUCUGGUUCCUUUCUUCGUUCCAGCUCUGGUUGGAUGCCAUCUUCUCCACAAGAGCUAUGGCUUGUGAUAUGGUGAGUGAUAUGAAUGCUUCUCCAGCUGCAGCAUCCAUGGUUUCUCGGGCACUGUUGCCGAGCCAAUGAUAAAACGUCUACAUCAGUAGCCAACUCUCCAUUCCAUGAUGGCGACAUUCUAGGGUGUAGUCUUGGAAGCGCUCCCAUGCUUCUGGAACGGAUUCAUCAUGUUGUUGCUGAAAACUUGUAAUUUUCCCACGGAGAGCAUUGGUCUUGCCCAUGGGAAAGAACUUAGCUAGAAAGUUCGUGGAACAGAGUGCCCACGUAGUAUUCUUCUCCUUUGUAGCGUAAAACCACUUCUUCGCUCUUCCUAACAGUGAGAAUGGGAAGAGGCAAAGUAGUAUAGCAUCUCUGGGGACUCCUGAUAUGGUGAAUGUGUUGCAUAUCUCCAGGAAGUGUUGGAGAUGAGCAAUAGCAUCCUCGUGUGCCUUCUCAUAGAACUGGUUGGAUUACACCUAGUUGAUGAGUCCAGGCUUGAGCUCAAAGUUGCCAUCGAUCUCUGCAGCAGGUCCAGCGUGAGUGUUGUCCGUAGUGGGAGCUGAGAACUCACGGAUCGAUUUGUUCGCCAUGGCUUCGAACUCUGAAGACAAGUUCCGGUGAUCUUCUUGAUUGGAUGAAGCUUCUUGCUGAAGUGUUGAUAAUCUCUUCUUGAGCUUGGCUCUUGUUUUUCUGAAUAACGCUUCGGGAUUGUCAACAAAAUUUCCUAGAAGAUGUCUUCUAUUCAUACAUCACCCGGCAUAAGAUAAAAUAGAAAAAAUAUCGUGGUAAAACUGUAUAAGAGAAUUGAUAAGCUCAAUCAGAUUAGUGAUGUGAAUGAUGACUCAAAAUCCAAUAUUCAUUCUUGAUUAGUAAUCAACCUUCCCCGGCAACAGCGCCAAAGAUGCUUGUUGGGUAUUCUUAACAUCAUUAUCAAAAGUAGACUUAGUUUUCUAAUUCUGAUAACGAUGCCAAAAAUGCCAAGCCUAUCCCUCAUACCACUUAAGCUAAGUUAUCAUCCCCAGCAUGAUAUGAAAGACGCGGUAUUGAAAUAUCCAAUUGCUCAUCUAAAUAAAUAACAAAUGGGGUCUGCAAGCGCACAGAUUAAUACUGAUGUAGCAUUUUAACCGGGAAGUAUUCCAGGUAUCGUUAUUUAUAUUUUUACCACUGGGAAUGGAUUAGUAAUCAUCAAUGUUGAUUAUAGAAUAGAAUAUGAGAUUGAGUAUCUAUCAUUGCAUGUAUAAUUGAGAACAUUUAUCUAACUCUUUCAUACAGGGAUAAGUGUCACAUAAAGGAUAUAUGAAGUAAUGAAUAGUGACAAAGAUAAUUAAUCUAAUCAGCAUAACUUAGCCACAUAAUAAAUAUGAUAAGCAACUCAAUUAGAAAUUCUAGCAAGUCAUUAGCAUAGAAUUAGAAUGAACUACAAGAAUAUUUCCUAAGAUAUUCUCAACUAUAUAGUCUAGCAUUAUCAUAGUUAGUGCAAGUAUACUUAGCAAUCAUUGUGAGACAAGACUACGCCCAUGCAUAGUGAUAUUAUCAAGGUAAAUGAGAAACAUAGCAAUCACUCCCCUGUAAUAAUGUUGCUCUGCCAGCCCAAUACACGAGAGGGGGACUAUAUAAGAAUCAAUGAAGCUGUCACUAUCACGAACUACCCCACGAUCUGGCAUAUUGGGUACAAUCGCAGAUAAAUACGGUAUAAGCACCACGCCUACACAAUAUCUAUCAUUUACCCAUGGAUCCGAUGGAUAAACGCUAUAUGAUCCUAAACAUGUAUAUAGAUCCAAUCUAACUAAGCCAAGUAUAUAACUAUGAUAGACUAAGAAUAAUAUAAUCUUGAUUAUAAACAAGUAGAGCAAAGUCAUAAGCAAUAUAUUGAAGUAGAACAAAGUCAUAUUCAUAAUAUUGAAGAACAAGCUGAACAAUUAGAAGAACAAUUAGAGAAUUAUCAAGAAUCCUCUUGACAGAUCUGGAAACCAAUCGAAGGUUGACUCCUUCUAGUUCUAAUCCUAUGUAGCUAUGCUAAUCUACAUGUCUAAUUGAUGUGGUGGCUCUAGGCUUGAUCAGAGGCUUCUUCUCCCUUGAGGAAUAAUGAAUUAGGGUUGAGAGGCUCUCUCCUCCUGGCACCAGGGGGUCUGGUUUUAUAGUCCCUCUAAGUGAAUAUGGGCCAUCGUAUUAAACCGACAUUGAUUGAACAGUUAUCCUUGAUCCUUUAGGUCGGUGGAGAUUGAUCCCGAAAGAGAGUUCUGAUUGGACUCUGUAAGGGGCCGAGCGCCCUGGUCACCUGGGCGGGCGCCCAGAGCUAGGCUCCGUUCGGCCUCCGCUUCCUUCCCGUGGCUUCAGGAGUUUUCUAGAUGUAAGAUAAUUGCGCGGCACGUUGAUAUCUCUAUGUAAUCCCGACGUGUGGGCCUUUCUUCCGUAUUUCCUGAUAACCCCCUGUAGAAAUAGACAAACACCAAAACUUGUGGAAUUCUGUCGGAUAAAACCCUAAGUCUGGAUGUUGAUUUCAUUUGGAUCCUUUUCUUUGUUUGUUUCAUAAUUAGAUUUGAUACUUAAGGACCAUCAACAGAACCUACUGGGAAGCAAAGGCCUGUCACGCUUCGCAGCCGCCCAGUGUCACGCUUGAUACGGUGGUAUUCAAGGGCAGGCUUUAGUCUAAGCACCACGCUUAUGCUAACUCCUACUACUCAGACUAAGUAUACGACCUAGUCCAAGCACCGUGUUACCAGCAGAGAAAACAAUCCAAGCACUUAAGACUAACUUAGCUAUUAUAUAACUACUACUAGACAGACUAGGACACUACAAUAGAAUAUUGCACUAAGUAAAUACUGAAAGUAAAUACUUAGAAAAGUAAAGGAAAAGUAAAUAUAUUAAAUACUAAAUGUCUUAUACGAGAAAAGGUAAAGAGGAAUACAAGACUCUCUAGAAGACGACUCCGGAGACUCCGAGCUUCGCUCGAAUCCACUCUAACUCUCACACUAUACUGACACUUACAACUGGAAAGCUGGAGCUAAAUUGGAACACACCCUUCUCUUUAGAGAGGGUGGAUGCUGCUGUUGGCGCUUCUUAGCGACAUCAGAGAAAUCCGCAAGAGCAUGGAAGUAUCGUUGUAGCACUUGACCUGGAAGUAUUCAUGGUAUCGUAUUUAUCCACAGGGAAUGGCAAAAUGUCACUUAGACUCUAAACUAAUCACCCUAGAAGAUAGAAGGGAGGAGAACAUGGCUAAGAGGAUACACUAAAGUGAUGAACCACUAAGUGGAAAGACCUUCCCACUACUUGCUUGCUUCACGACCAUUGAGAGUCCUAGGUAACUAGGCGAUCCCAGUAUCAGCACUACGCUACGACUGGUCGUGGGGGAUUACUACGGAUGCCAGAUACUGUCACUACACUGACACCUACCCCUCUGUCCGAAAGAUGUACCACAUACGAAGGUAGCCCACAACUUAGACACGUCUACGAAGGUGACUACUGCUCUAGUGAUGCACAGGAUUAUCCGUCUUUAUCAGGAGUCCUCUUACUAGAGCACUCGUUCUAAGAACAAGCGACAAUCCCACAAGCAAAUAGCUUUAUGAAAGUAAUUCACUUAAUGGAUCAAAACUAAAAUGUAACACAAACCUCUUACUUCAAGUAGUAAGAACGAAUGUAGAGGUUCAAGAAGGGGCGAGAGCCGACAGGUCCGGCACUUCAUCCACCCUAGAGUAGAACUUGCUUCGACCCCGCUUCUACACUUCAACUAUUGCCUCUCUCUCUAGCCUAAGUCUAGAAUAGCUGGAGCUAAACUAAUGGAAAAUAAAGCACCAGUCCUUCUUCUAUUUUCUUGUAUCUUGAUAUAUUUCAAUGGAGGAGUAGGGGUCUCAAUUUAUAGCCCCAUAAGACGGUUCAGGGCGAUCUAUAUUUGGUAGUAGGUGAAACCGUCCUAUGCAUGUCGCCAUGCAACCACCUGAAAAAGGUGGGACCGAGUUGCCGCCACGGGGGGUGCGCCCGCACCAGGGUGCGGCCGCACCACUGGUGGGGCCCCCUGGCCACCGCCUUCGCGUGGUCGGUUCGUCUCUGGGGCCUGAUCCUUCCCGUGGUUACGGAUGGAUCUAGUUUGGUGUUUUGGUGGGCUUUUCAAUUUAAUCUUGAUUUGUGCCUUUUCUAAAAAUGCUUUCUUGAAGUGCGCUUUGUCGUGUCUUUUGCGCCUUUCCACGUGUCAUACCUGAAAUUGAUAUUUACAGCAAAGCUUAUGGAAAGGUUAGACAAAAGUCCUAUCAUCUAUUUAUUUUAUUUAUAAAAAUUAUGUUUAUAAUUAUAAGAUAAGAAGUGCCAACAAACUCCCCCACACUUGGUCCUUUGCUCAUCCUCGAGUAAAGGGCUAUGGACCAAAUGGGUUCAUCAUCCUUGUCAAAGAAAUCUCCAUACAAGUUAUUUCAAGCUUCACCCGGAUUUGUGAAUUUCAAAGUGUCUACCAAAUCAUCUUGGCUAAUUGAAAGAUGGAACAGCUUGAAUUCAAAUCUACUUACACAGUCCCUGCGCAGAAACUUGGGGUUUUGCAAAUUUUUGAAAAGAAAGAUAGCGUAUGUUCCCUGAAUGACUCUUCUCAAAUCGCUCAAAUUUUGUAAGUAGUUCCUCACCAAGGCAAAAGGAUUUGAUGCCUUCUCUUUGAUCAUCCUACCUCUAAAGGCUUAUCUAGAGUUUUGGGUAGGUCUGGUAAUAGUAGAAUCAUACUAACCCUGCAUAUAUUGUCGAGUCAAACCUAGGACCAUACUGGAGGGAGUGCGCCAUAUCCUUAGAUCAGAAUGUGCAUGUGUGUGGAAUUUUUGGUGGAAGUCCUAAUUCUAAAUAUUUUGGGUCACUCCUUGCAACAUGACUCUCUUUUAUUUGAAUAAUAUGAGGAACUGAGAAGGAAAUGGGCUAUAAUUUUAUUUUCAACAGGUAUGGAUUUUCCCCGGUUGCCUUUUGGCUUUUCACAUAUAUAUAUACAUUUGUUUUCGAAUAAGCCAUUCCUUUGUUGCUGACGAAAGAACAAGUGGAAGGGAGCCUCAUAGUAAUGAAUGCAAGGAAUGUAACUCGAUGCUCAAUUCUCAGGGUGAGAUAUUAGCAUUUUUAUUUGGUGGAUAUAUGGGCGCAACUCUCAGUGUAAGAGUUGGCGUAUUUUUUGGGUGGAUAGAAAAAACAUGUUGUGCGCAACUUCUCAGUGUGAGAGUUGGCUUUAUUUGGUGGGUGCAAGUGAAUUCUGAUCUUGGAGACAUGAAACAUCUCUCGACAGCGGUCCAAAAAUUUGACCAAACUCAACACUGAGUAAGCAGCAUAUGUAGAAGGUUCAUCAUAAAGAGAUAUAUUUGACCAUUGGUAGGUAAAAGCUUAAUCAUUCAAGGAAUUUGCUAUAUGAAUUUUUAGCUUUAUAAAAUAAAAACCCAAGUACUUUGCAAAGACUAGCAAGCAUCAUGUCAUCCUACUAUAUCACAUCGGUCACUUACUUAGAUAAAAUGGGGUCCCUAACAAAGUGUUCAUAAAUUCACGGGAAUUUUAGAGAGAAAUAAAAGGGAUGCAAAACAUUUUGAACAAAGGAGACAAGUUGAUGGAGAAUGUCGGUACAAUAUUUAAAACUUUUAUUUAUAAAACUUUUAUUAAAUUUAAAAGAGGGCAGCGUUUAUACAAACCGAGUUUUCAUGAUGAUGUGCUUCUCCUCCACACUUGUUAUCUUUCCCGUCUUUGAUUAGUCAUAGAAAAAUAUAUACAUUCCAGAAAACAAGUGCUCAAAUGAAAAGUUAUUUUCAUUGAUAACUUAAAUAGGCACAAUUACAUCAAAAGGGAAAAUGGUUGAAAAAGGGAAAGUGUGCCUAUUUUAUUUGCAGGGGGUUCUUAGAAACUCUUAAGAACAUGCUCCGCCCCUGCUGCCUUAGUGAUCCUAUGCAGCUGAUCGCCAUAGCCGCGGCGCAUCUCAUCUAAUUCGUCCUUAAGUCCUUUGAUGCUAAGAUGAGCCUUGGCUAUGCGAUCAUGAGCUCUCUCUACACUAGCGUGGGUGCUCCUAUUGCUUGCAUGGAGUGAGGCGAUGGUUGGCCCUUUGGGCGGCUGCUCAUCCUCACUAUCGCUAAAGAAACCUUUAGUCUGUCCCCUGAUGACAGUCCUAACGAACUUGCGUUUAGCACCUAAGGUUUCUGCUGAGGGCGCUGCUUUGCUAGCCGAAGCUUCAUCCUUACGGAAAAGUCCCUUCGCAUACCCUCUGUCAGGUUUGCGUAUCCCACUAAUUAUAUAUGAGUGAUUAUCAUAAACGGGAGACGAGAGAGACGGCUCUUCAGAAGACGGAGGCAUGACAGUAGCUCCCUUGCUAAGUCAACCACCACCAAAAGUCUUCUUUUUCGGUCCUAGUGUGCCGGUGGUUGGACGAACAGCAGUGGGCUUCUUCUUCUAGGCGCCAUCCUUGAUGAUGCCGGGGCGGGCAAUCGACUUCAGGCUUGGGCUAAAUUCCUGGCUUGGUGGGAGAAAGGCUAGUGGUGCCUCAACUGCCACCCGUGCUUCUUCCAACACAAAGGAACUCUAUCUAAAGGGGACGAUGUCUAGGUUUGCGAAGGAGCCAGGGGCUUGGAUCAGGGAGAGGGCAUAGCUAGACAUUCUUGCCUUGGAUCUUGGGAGAGCUUAGCACACUUGGUGAGAGGGAGAAGAGAGAGGUUCGGUGUGAAGAAUUGAGAGGCCUAGGGGCUGCUUAUGUAGGUUCUUCCGCGCACCUAAAUAAGGAAUCAAACUUGAUCGUAGGCGGUAACACGAUACUGGAGGGAUCAGAGGGAGGUACGAAAAAAGAUUGGGGCUGAUUGGCUUGGCCAGGGGUGCGGCCGCACCCAGGUCCGCCCGAACCCCUAGGGCCACCAGUCGGCCUCCAUUUUUUUGGCAGCUCGCGUUAUUUGUUUCCCUAAUCGUGAUCCCACUUAUGAUCAAUGUUGAUUCGCAGUGUAUUGAUGGUAAAGAGAAUAAUUUUUGAAUUUUGAAUCAUACUUUCUAAAACUCAAGAGAUUGCACUAUCAUGCAUUUAUGAUGAGAUGAUGCUAUGAUCAAAACAGAUUUUAAACAAGAUAUACAAGAUCAUAGGGGCAUUUUAGGUAAAACAUAAAUGCAUAAAUCAAGUGGCUUUAUUUAAAGUAAAAUGAAUACAACAACAAAAUAUAUAUUAUAUUUUUUUGACACAUUCCUUUGGUGUAUUCUUUAAACGAAACUAAAUUUAUUUCAUCAAAGGGAAUGGGGUUCGGGUUCAAGAAAUACCUUGAGACGUUGGCCAUUUACCUUGUGGAUGUUGCCACCAUCGUCCUUUAUUGUGACAGCUCCAUGCGGCGCCACCUCGAUCACUGUGUAAGGUCCGUCCCAUUUGCCCCUGAGCUUUCCUUUCCCGAACAAUUUGACUCUCGAGUUGAAGAGCAGGACUUUGUCGCCGAUCUAGAAUUCUUUAUGUAAGAUCUUUUUAUCGUGCCAUCUUUUUGUUCUUUCUUUGUAGAGGUUGGCAAUGUGAUAGGCUUUUUCUCACCAUUCUUCUAAUUCUAUGACUUGUCUUUGCUUGUUUCUUCCAGCGGCCUUGAUGUCCAUAUUCCAAGUCUUGAUUGCCCAGUGAGCUCUAUGUUCAAGCUCAACAGGCAAAUGAUAGCUUUUGCCAUAGACCAACUGAUAAGGUGACAUCCCGAUGGGAGUUUUGUAAGCUGUCCUGUAUGCCCAGAGUGCAUUAGGGAGCUUAUCUUUCCAGCCCGUUCUCAUUUCGUUCACCGUUUUCCGGAGUAUGUUCUUGAUCUACUUGUUGGAAGUUUCGUCCUACCCACUGGUUUGGGGAUGAUAAGGAGUAGCAACAUUGUGACGGGUGCCCAAAUCUCGCAAAAAUGUUCUGAAGGCUUUAUCAAUGAAGUGCGACCCUCCGUUACUUAUCACCAUUCUUGGUGUCCCAAAACGAGGAAAGAUGAUCUCAUGAAACAUCUUUCUUGCAUACUUUACAUCUGCUGCUAGACACGGAAUGCUUCUACCCAUUUUGAUACAUAGUCAACUACUACAAGGAUGUGCUCGCAGUCGCCUGAUUUCUUGAAUGGCCCCAUAAAGUCAAUUCCCCAGACGUCAAAAAUUUCGACUUGGAGAUUGAUGUGAAGUGGCAUGGCGUUGCGUGCACUGAUGUUGCCUUGUAGCUAGCACUGACGGCAUCUGUGGACGAACUUCUUCGUGUCUUGAUACAUUGUAGGCCAGUAGAAGCCGCACGUCCAGAUUUUGGACUGUGUGUGAAAUACUCCAUAGUGACCUCUGUAUGGUGAAGCGUGACACUUAUCGAUGAUUUGUGCACCCUCUGAGGUGGGCACACAUCUUCAUAGCAGUCCGUCAGCACAGAUCUGGUAUAGGUAGGGGUCGUCCCACAGGUGGCGUUGACUUUCAUAUUCAAGCUUCUUCUUUGAUUCACCUGGGGGUACAUACCCUGAAACCAUAAAGUUAAUAAUAUUUUCAUACCAUGGGUUCGUGUCGUUGAUCAUCAGGAGCAUGUCGUUGCGUAGGAAGUCAUUAAUCUCCUGUUCCUGCAUGUUAGUGACUUGCAUACGCGAAAGAUGAUCUGCAACAGUAUUUUCUACUCCUUUCUUAUCUUUUAUCUCAAUAUCAAACUCUUGUAACAACAAGAUCCAUCGGAGUAGACGAGGUUUAGCAUCCAUUUUGGUGAGCAAAUAUUUGAGAGCAGCAUGAUCCGUAUAAACAAUUAUCUUUGCUCCCACCAAAUAGGAUCUAAACUUAUCGAUAGCAAAGACUAUAGCGAGGAACUCUUUUUCAAUAGUGGCGUAGUUAAGCUAAGGUCCUGUCAAAGUCUUGCCAGCGUAAGCGAUCACGUGAUGCUUUUUGUCCUUGGUUUGGCUGAGGACCGCCCCAACAGCAUAAUCGCUGGCAUCACACAUGAUCUCAAACUGUAGCGACCAAUCCGGAGGUUGGAUAAUGGGCGCCGAGAUAAGUGCCUUCUUUAUGGUUUCGAAAGCUCUUAAGCACUCAUCUAUGGACUCAAAGGGAACGUCUUUUGCUAAAAGGGCUGUCAGCGGCCGAGUGAUUUGUGAAAAAUCUUUGAUAAAUCGUCUAUAAAACCCGACAUGGCAUAGAAAGCUGUGAAUUCCCUUGAUGUUCACAGGGGGAGGUAGUUGUUCUAUGACUUCUAUUUUUGCUUUAUCUACCUCGAUUCCCCAUUCAGACACUAAGUGUCCCAAAACAAUGCCUUCUCGGACCAUAAAGUGGCAUUUUUCCCAAUUAAGUACCAGGUCCUUCUCUUGGCAUCUUUGCAAAACUUUGUCCAAAUUUUCAAGGCAAUGAUCGAAAGUUUUUCCAUAGACUAAAAAGUCGUCCAUGAAAACUACCAUGACCUCUGUUGACGGUCCUUAAGUACCAAAUAUAAUCAUCAAAUAAAUAAAGAAAAGGAUCCGAAUGCAACCAACACCCAGACUUUGGGUUUUAUCUGAUAGAAUUCCACGAGUUUUGGUGUUUGUUUAUUUCUACAGGGGGUUAUCAGGAAAUAUGGAAGAAUGGCCCACACGUCAGGUUUACAUAGAGAUAUUAACGUGCCACGCAAUUUUCUAUCAUCUAGAAGACUCCAGAAGCCACGGGAACGAACGGAAAGGUGAUCGGGACCGGGGGCAGGGCGCUCGCCCUGAGGUAGAGACCAAUCAGGUCCCGUCUCGUGGAUUACGCUCCACCAACCUAAAGGAUCAAGGAUAACUGUUCAAUCAAUGUCGGUUUGAUCCGACGGCCCAGAUUCACCUGAGGGAACUAUAUAAGCAGACCCCCUGGCCCCUAGAGGAGAACAAGUUCAUCAUAGAUUUGAGAGGUGCCCUCGAAGGAUAACCUUUCCUCUAAAUAGACUUAUGGCUUAGCAUCCAAUGUGAGAGUAGACUAGAUCUACUAGAUUGAGUGAGAUAGAGUGGAUGUGUAGAUCGGAAGAAGCCCGACCUGUCGGUGUCUACUCCGAGGUUGUACCUGCGGGAUCAAGUUCUCCUAACCUGAGGCUUGCUCCUAGGAUUCUUGAGUAAUUCGACAUCUAAAUUCUAGUAAGUUCUUGUUUUAUUGUUCUUUGGUUUAUGAGUUUACUUUAAUCUCUUCCGGUUGAGUUUAGAGUAAUCAUUGCUAGCGUAAACGUGGUGUUUGGGCUAGGGUACUCAUAGAUAUCCGCUGACUAGCUGGACCGUGGUAGUAGUGAGGAACGUGACAUUUCCGAGUUAUAUUUGCAGCCCACAUCUCGUUAGCAAGACGGGUAGGGUUUAUAGGUGCGGGUCGAACAUCCUUUGUGGUGUCUAGAUUCCGUGAGCCUCCCCAAUAUAACAGUAGAUCAUCCUUACCAAUGUUAGAACGAGACUACGGUUGCAGUCUUCUCUAUACAUCACUCACAUCGAAUCACAUUCUUUGUAGCCUAAAGGGUAGUAGCAAUAGAUUUGGUUAGUCAGAUGCACGCUUUCUCCCAGUGGGAAAAAUAUAAAUACGAUACUCUGGAUAACCUCCCGGGUGAAGUGCUCACCGAUAUCCGUGCGCUUGCGGAUCAUUUCCUGAUGGCGUUACCAAAUAUCAACAAUCUCCUCAAUCGUUUCUAAGAAAAUGGACAUCAUGCAUCUUUGGAAUGAGGCGGGUGCAUUGCACAACCCGAACGACAUUCUUCUGUAUGCAUACGUUCCAUAUGAGCAUGUGAACAUAGUUUUGCUUUGAUCAUCUGGAUGGAUGGGAAUUUGGUGAUAACCAAAAUACCCAUCGAGGAAACACAAAUAGGAGUGUUUCGCCAAUUGUUCCAACAUCUCAUCGAUGAUGGGCAAUGGGAAAUGAUCCUUUUUCGUUGUCGCGUUAAGUUUUCUGUAAUCAAUACACAUUCUCCAUCCCGUGACGGUAUGCUGAAGGAUAAGCUCGUUCUUAGCGUUCUUAACUACCGUCAUUCCUCCUUUUUUCAGAACCACUUGGACGGGACUAACCCAGUUGCUAUGUGGUAUGGGAUAAAUAAUCCCGGCAUGAAAAAGUUUGAGGACUUCCUUUUUCAAGACUUCCCUCAUCGCAUUAUUGAGCCUGCGCUGUGGUUCACGUGUGGGCGUGCUUGCCGGGUCAAUAGGUAUACGAUGGGUACAGAGUGCUGGGCUAACCCCCUUCAGGUCUUGCAAGGAAUACCCGAAGACCGACAUACGCUUUUCUAAAAAUGGCGAUGAGUCGAGAGGUUUCGUCAUCAGAAAGCUUAUCACUAAUGAUGACGGGCGUGUUUUUGUCACCGUGAAGAAAAGCAUAUCUUAAUCCUUCGAGUAGGGUUUUUAGCUCAACUGGAGGUGGAGUCAGCACUUCCUCCUUAGGAAGUGUGAGGAUUUCUCCUGUGUCAUCCUCUUCUUCUAUAAAGAAGUUAGAGUCAUUUUCUAAGGACGUCUCAGGAGUUUCGAAUGGCAUUACCGACAUAACCUCCUCAGGCAUAUAAGAACAGGGAGGUUCUGCUAUCAAGUUUCUAGCUCGAGAGAAUGGGAUCGAAAAUUUAUUCCUCCCUAUUUUUACAUAUAAUUCAACUGUGUUGGAGGCAUCAUAAAAGAAUAUCUCUAGGGGGUGCCCGAUCAGUACAUCGAAGCCUAUGUCGUCAAAGAUAUGAAAAUCUAGAGUCAAGACAACAUCUUCGUGCUGAAUGUUCAUGUUAUAAACCACUCUUUGUCCCUUUUUAAUGGACCAUGGUUCAUUUCUAGAAGACAAGUUGGUAGGAGCUAAAGUCUUAUCACCAAGAUGGGUGAGUGCAAAGCCUGAGGAGAUUAUGUUUGCUCCUACCAUGGGAUUAUACAACGUCUCUACCCAAUCAUCCUAGAUCUUGCAGUCAAUGGUUCGUGAAGGUGAGCAAAUCUGAAUUACUUCAGAUGAAGACUCUCUUUCAUUCGUCCAUUCAUUGCUCAUGAUCGCUGUCAACUCCUUAACGGAUUCUUUAAGGGAAUCACGAUCAGGUUCUGGAGUGACAUGAACAUGAUUGAUCUUCUUUUUAUUAUACUUCGAAUAAUUACCGAAAUCGUCAAUGAAAUCGUGAUCGAAGCAUGGAAGGGCAUAGGGUUCUCUCUUAGCUCAUCUGGUUCGGGUGAGGAUGUCUUAGGUUGUGCAUUUGUUUCGGCCUCAGCCGAAGAGACUUCCUCAAAACACGGCUCUAGUUCUACGCGGAGGGGUUCUAAGGGGGGAGUAUUCUCUAGAAUGCGAUCUAGCAGAGCUUCUCCCUCCUCUGCAGUUUUAUAUGUGAAUGAUCCUCCUGCAAACGUGUCAAGCAUUAUGGCAGAUUCCUUGUUAAGCCCUAACCAAAAGUGCUGUAAUAGCACAUGGUUAGGGAUAGACAAGUCUGGGCUAGAUUUGGUCAAAGUUGUGAAUCUAUCCCAAGCUUCUCCUUGGGAUUCCUUCUCUUCUUGACGGAAGUUGAGAAUCUCUUGACGUAGGGCAGCAAUUUAGGAUUAGGGGUAGAAUGCUAGGCAGAAUUUGUUUCGCAAUUCUUCCCAAUCGCCAGCUACCUUCCCUACGUUCUGGGCGUACCAUUGCCUCACCCUCACAUUAAGAGAGAACGGAAACGAUUUGCACUGCAUUGUCUCGGGUGACAUGCCAGCAAUGGUGAGGCAUGCACAGAGCUACUCAAAUUCCCUCAAGUGGUGAUAUGGGUUUUCGUAAUCUAAGCCUGAGAAGGAUUGUUCCUGAACCAUGGCUAUAAAAGUCGGCCGGAGUUCAUAACUCGAAGCUAUGAUGGGCUUCGCGGAUUGUGGAGGUGUGGCGAACUCGGCCUUGGGAGCAGACAUAUUAGAGAUGGUAGGUUGCUCCAUCGGAACGAAGUAAGAAAAGAAAGGUAAAAACAAAAGAUACACGGGCAACUAGGUUCGGAGACUAAGACGACAACCGUUCCCCGGCAACAGUGCUAGAAAUGCUUGUUGGCGCUUCUUAGCGACAACAGAGAAAUCCACAAGCGCACGGAAGUACUGUUGUAGCACUUCACCCGGAAGUAUUCAGGGUAUCGUAUUUAACCACACGGAAUGGCAAAACGUCACUUAGACUCUAAACUAAUCACCCUAGAAGAUAGAAGGGAGGAGAACACGGCUAAGAGGAUACACUAAAGUGAUGAACCACUAAGUGGAAAGACCUUCCCACUACUUGCUUGCUUCAGGCCCACUGAGAUUCAUAGGUAACUAGGCGAUCCCAGUAUCAGCACUACGCUACGACUGAUUGUGCGGGAUUACUACGGAUGCCAGAUGUUGUCACUACACUGACACCUACCCCUCUGUCCGAAAGCCAUACCACAUACGAAGGUAGCCCAAAACUUAGACACCGCGUCUACGAAGGUGACUACUGCUCUAGCGAUGCGCAGGAUUAUCCAUCUUUAUCUGGAGUCCUCUUACUAGAGCACCUGUUCGAAGAAUGAGCGACGAUCCCACAAGCAAAUAGCUUUAUGAAAGUAAUUCACUUAAUGAAUCAAAACUGAAAUGUAACACAAACCUCUUACUUCAAGUAGUAAGAACGAAUGUAGAGGUUCAUGAAGGGGCGAGAGCCGAUUGGUCCGGCACUUCGUCCACCCUAGAGUAGAACUUGCUUCGACCCCGCUUCUACACUUCAACUCUUGCCUCUCUCUCUAGCCUAAGUCUAGAAUAGCUGGAGCUAAACUAGUGGAAAAAUAAAGCACCACUCCUUCUUCUAUUUUCUUGUAUCUUGAUAUAUUUCAAUGGAGGAGUGGGGGUCUCAAUUUAUAGCUCCAUAAGACAGUUCGGGGUGAUCUAAAUUUGGUAGUAGGUGAAACCGUCCUAUGCAUGCCGCCAUGCAAUCUCCUAAAAAAGGUGGGACCGAGUUGCCACCAUGGGGGGUGCGCCCGCACCAGGGUGCGGCCGCACCACUGGUGGGCCCCCCUGGCCACCACCUUCGCAUGGUCGGUUCGUCUCUGGGCCCUGAUCCUUCCCGUGGUUACAGAUGGAUCCAGUUCGGUGUUUUGGUGGGCUUUUCCAUAAUCUUGAUUUGCGCCUUUUCUGAAAAUGCUUUCUUGAAGUGCGCUUUCUCGUGUCUUUUGCGCCUUUCCACGUGUCAUACCUGAAAUUGAUAUUUACAACAAAGCUUGUGGAAAGGUUAGAUAAAAGCCAUAUCAUCUAUUUAUUUUAUUUAUAAAAAAUAUGUUUAUAAUUAUAAGAUAAGAAGUGCCAACAGCAGCCUCUAUUUAUAGGGGGAGUAGAGGGGGUGCCACGUCAGUGAUUCGUGUGCUUCCCGCUUUUCCACCCUUGGAUAAACCGUCAUUGGAACCGCCAUAGAUGGACGUCCAAGAUCAUCUUCACGUGUUGGCAAAGUCGGUGGAGUGUAACCGACCUUAUGUGGGCCCACAUCAUAGGUCUGUUGACCUGAUACUUUGUGAGGUGGGGCCACCCUGAGCCUUCUAGAAGGUCCAGGAGGUCGGUGGAGUGGAGCUGGCAGGUGGGACCCACCAAAGGCCGGUCGACCGACCGAGAUUUGGUGAGGUGGACCCACCAGCCUUGCUCCAUUGCUGUCCCCAUCUGUCAUGGAGCGUGUCUUGUGUUCAUCUUCGGUCUGGUUCUUCUACCUUGUACCUCCAUCUUUCACCCUUGUACCUCCAUCUUUCACCCUUGAACAGAAACACAAGUGUGAUGUGAGGGUCAGGAUGGACUUGAAUGUGUUGCCUUAGGAUCCUCGAAUUGAGCCAACACCUAGACCACCCCAAGUGUAGGUCGGCCGACCAGGACUUGGUGGGUCUAGGAGCUCAUUUUCCCCCAAAUGUAAGUGUACCUGCAUCCAAAUACUUAGAACACAAGUGGAACCCCUUAGUGAUUAAAGAUGCCUAUGCUAUGCCAUUCUUCCACUAUUUCUGGCCUAUUGACGGUUUUUUUCAUGUGUGGAUGUUAUAGCUUAUCCACCGUCAACAUCUACUUUGAUUAUAUGCUUAUCGUAGUUAGAUUAGAAUUAUGUUUAUGCGUAGGAUCAUAUAGCACUUACUCAUUAGGCUGAUAGGUAAGUGAUAGAUAUUAUGUAGGCGAGGUGCCUAGACUGUAUUUAUCUACGAUUACCCCUUAUAGUGUGAAGCUUGAGGUAGAUUGCGGUAAUGACAGUGCUAUUGAGUCCUUUAUAUUCCUUCUCCCGAUUAUAAGGAUUGUAUAGCACCAUUAUUAUAGGGAAGUGAUUGCUCUAUUCAUGAUCUUUAUUGCUAAUAUCACCAUGCAUAGAUAUAACCUUUUCUAGUGAUGAUUCUAGAUGUACUUGCACUAAUCAAUGUAUACUUUGACAGUAUAGUUAGAAUACUUAGAAUUUAUUCUUGUAGACUAUCCAAAUACCAUGCUAGUGCUAUAGACUUAGAGUACUCUUAGGUAUUUUAAACGCAAACAGAAAAUUCCGCAAGCGCACGGAUAUCGAUGUAGCUUUCACCCGGGAGUAUUCUAGAGUAUCGAUUAUCCACAGGGAAUGUGAGUGUACUAAUUAAGAUUUAAGAUCGCCCAAGGAUAACUAUAUAAUUAUUUUUGGUGGGAAGAAAGGAAGUUUCCUGAGAGUUCUCUAGUUGAUCUAAGAAUCAAGAAUUCCUUCAAAGAUUAUUUAUUUUGGGACAUCAGAACACUAACCACACAAAGAGAUGAGAAGGUGGCUAGGAAGCUCUGACUACGGUCCUACAACCACCGAUCCAAAUGAGGUGCAAUAUGUCGACCGUUAAGGCUGUCACUACCCUAGGGCUACCGCAACAAUCCACAGGAUUGGGUGCAAUUCGAGGUAAUUGCAAGACUAAACACCACGUCUAAUCUAUUAAUUACUACUCUAGCGUUGCAAAGACUAGAGCACUUGAUGCAAGUGGGAAUCCAAUAAAUAACUUGAAUGUAAAUAAAAGUAAUUAAAGAACUCAGGAAUUAUGAAUUGAAGAACUUGGAGAACGAUGAAGAAUGAACCAGUUGAUGCAAAAGUACAAUGUUGAGGAAGAUCCGACAGAUCCGGCUCCUCCUCCGCUCUCCUCUUCUCUCUCCCUAUUUUCUAGAUUACAACUAAAACUAACUAGAACUAGAUGAACUAGAACUAAAACUAGAUGAACUAGAGUGAUCCUCUCUACUUGGAUGAAUAAUUGAAACCCUAGCUUUGAUUCUGUAGAAGAGGUAUGUUCUCUAGGGGCCAGGAGGCCUGCUUAUAUAGCCCUUCCAAAUGAACGUGGGCCGUCGGAUCAAACCGACCUUAAUCGCACGGUUUUCCUUGAUCCUCAAAAGCGGUGGAGCACGAACUGUGAGAUCUGCCCUGAUUGGUCCCCAGGGCAGGGCAGGCGCCCAACCCCCGGGCCCGCUCGGCCUCCCGCUCGUUCCGAUGGCUUCUGGACUCUUCUAGAUGUUGGAUAAUUGCAAUGCACGUUAAUAUCUCUAUGUAAACCCGACGUGUGGACCUUUCCUCCAUAUUUCCUGAUAACCCCCUGCAAAAAUAGACAAACACCAAAACUCAUGGAAUUAUGUCAGAUAAAACCCUAAGUCUAGGUGUCGGUUGCAUUUGGAUCCUUUUCCAUGAUUAGUUGAUGGUUAAAUGUGAGCAUUAAGGACCGUCAACAACAACUCUAGUUGAGAUGAUUGUCAUGUUUAUCUUAUGGCUACAAAUUCUUAUUUAUCAUCUGUCCCUUAUUAUUCAUAUUCAUAUAUUUAUCUUACCCUGCAUGAGAGAUAGAUAAAGGCAGGGUUAAGGUCUCCAUUGAUUACAUGCAGUGAUCAUUGCUCAUUAUCCAUUGCAAGUCCCUUCCUAGUGGUAAAAAUAUAAAUAUCGAUACCUGGAAUAAUCCUCGUUAAAAUGCUGCAUCGGUAUUAUAUGUGCGCUUGUGGAUCUUUAUUUAUUUAUUUAUUCAUAGAAAAGCAUAUAGAUUUGAUACCAGCACUUCUACAUCAUGUUAGGGAUGACAACCUAGCUUAAGUGAUGUUAAGUAAUUUUGUCGCCAUUGUUAGGGAUAGGUUUAAAAGUCUACUUUUCGUAUUUGUGUUAAGAAGUGCCAACAAGCAUUUUUGACGCCGUUGCCUGGGAAGGUGAAAAGCAUCAAAGGAUAAUGAGCAUCACUGCAUCCACUCAUUUAGUGAGCACCAUCCACCCAUCUCACUCAUGCAGCUUUGCCCUUGUCUUUUUGUCUAUUUUUAUCAUAUGCAGGGUAAUGUAUGAACAGGUUUGAUGUCCCAGAUAACUUCGUUGAUAAUCCAGAGACAUUGAUCCGGAAGACGAAGGCUAAGUUCAGAAGGAAUCAAUCAACAUCAUCAACAUCUCAGCUUGCCAAUCCUCUUGAGUCAGAAGAUCAACCUAAUCAAAGUUUAACACCAGAGGUUGACGUCAUGGCUGACAAGUCACUUCAUGAGUUCUCGGCUCCCACUACGGCCAACAUCCAUACUGGGCUAACUGUGGACAUUAAUGGAUCAUUUGAUAUCAAGCUAGCGCUAAUCAACAUGGUGCGAGCAAGCUAGUUCUGCGGGAAAGCCCAUGAGGAUGGUAGUGCUCAUCUCCAACACUUUUUGGAGACCUGCAGCACUUGUACUAUCAAAGACUUCCCUAGAGAUGCUAUAUUAUAUUACUUUGCCUUUUCCCAUUCUCACACUUGGGCAAAGUGAAGCAGUGGUUCUAUGCCAACAAGGAGAAAAAUACUAUGUGGGCACUAUGUUCCACCAAUUUCCUGGCGAAGUUCUUUCCCACGGGCAAGACCAAUGCUCUGCAUGGGAAGAUAUCAAGCUUUCAGCAACAACAUGAUGAGACAGUCCCAGAAGCUUGGGAGCACUUUCAAGACUACAUACUCGAGUGUCCUCAUCAUGGGAUGGAGAAUUUGCUGCUCAUGGAGACAUUCUAUCACGGGCUCAGCAACAGCACUCGUGAAAUCAUGGAUGCUGCCAUUGGAGGAGCAUUCUUAUCACUUACUAUCUCUCAAGCCACUGCUCUUGUGGAAAAGAUGGCCUCUAAUCAAGGUUGGGGUGAAGAAAGAACUCAAACCCACAAGAGAGGUGGAGGAAUGCAUUAGCUCAAGGAGGUAGACAUGCUAGCUGCCGAGAUGGACCUACUGAUGAAGAGGCUUGAUGAAAGAGCCACUAAGAAGAAGGAAGUCAUGCACAUUCAUGAUUCAGGCAUGACUUAUGAAGAGUGUGGAGAAACUAGGCAUAUAGGUACCAACUGCCUAGAGCUGAGGGAGGACAUGAACUACAUCAACAACAACUACUACAACAACCGUCCUCAACAAAAUCAAGGCUGGAACUAGCAACAACAGCCUAACUACUCAGGUAAUUACCAAGGUAAUAAUUCUUACAAUAACACUAAUCAACCACCUUUAAAAGAGUUAGUGCUUAAUCAAGGUAAGCUAAUGGAUAGCCUAUCUAAGAAGCUAGCAUCUAAUGAUAAAACUUUAGAAUCAAUUAAUAUUAGAAUGGAAAGUUUUUCAAAUACUAUCAAGAAUCGGCUUAGCUUUAGCAUGAUGCUAGAAUCUCACUUACAACAGCUUGCUCCUUUUGCUGCCGCCAAUGAUCAAGGUAAGAUUCCUGGACAACCAUGAGAAUUAGAAACUGCAAAUCUUGUAGACAUCUUUAAUGGAGGAAGUUACUAGAGUGACCCUACGAAAGGAACAUGGUUGGACUCAUCUCUACCAACCAAGAAAGGUGAUCCAGGGAGACCGGUUAUCACGAUCUCCAUUGGAAGGCAAACUUCGACGGGGAAAUCAGUGACUUCGGUGCAAGCAUCAACAUCAUGCGUAAGGAGAUAUAUGAGAAACUUUUCAAUUGUCCUUUAUCAUGCACAACCGUGUGUUUGCAGCUUCCAGAUCAGUCACUCUGUUACCCCCAUGGGAAUCAAGGAAGAGAUUUGCAUGCAAUAAGCAACUCGUACGUACCUGCAGACUUCACAGUUGAUCACACAGGCACCGAUGAGAGGUUGCCUAUCAUUUUGGGACGACCAUUCUUAAACACUACUGGAGCUAUCAUCUAUGCUAGCAAUGCCAAGAUCACUUUCAACAUCAAAGGAAACAAGUAAGCCUUUUCUUUCAAGAACAAGACAUUGUCAACCCCUGCACAGAAGGAGACAGUCAGCGGUAGAAACAAGAGUAACACCUAGAAUAAGGCCAAGACCAAGAACAAGGGCAAUAUAGAAGGCCCAGAAGACUGAGAUAGCACAGAUAGUCACUGCAAUAUGUUUGGAGUAUGACCACCUGCUCAAGUCUCCACAUCUGACCAAGAAGGAGAACCCAGGUGUCUCGACUAUUCUAUGCUCCAUCAACAGAUGCUACUUCUAGAACAAUGUCUAUGACACUGGAUUAGGUGUCAACGUUAUGGCCAAGGUAACAUAUGAAUUCCUAUAUGGUACUAUGCCUAUGGAACCUACCUAUGCACAGCUGCAGUUGGCAGACCAAUCCUUUCACUUCAUGGAUGGGAUAGCCAAAAAUGUCCCUAUCUAGAUUGAAGACCACUACGUCCCCACUGACUUCUUGGUCGUCGACAUGGGAUAUGAAAUUGAUCCACCCAUCAUUCUAGGAAGACCAUCCCUCAACAUUGGAACCAGGGAGGUCUAUUCCCAAUUCACCUCAGAGAAGGUACGCCUGCACUUCAAUAGCAAUUAUAUAAUUGAGGAAGAUCCCAAGAAGAAUAGGUCAAGAAGAAGGUGAUGCACCCACCACCAGAAGAAGAAGAAUGUUGUAGACGGAUGGGCUGACAAUGAAGGAGAGGUUUCAAGAUUCAAAGAUCGAUUACCCUAACAAAAACGCCAUCAAGGAGGAAGUACCAGCAAAAAAAGAGCUAGUGAUUCCAGACACUCUCUCCUCCAAGUCGCCAUCACCUACAGAGCAAGUAUGGAAGCCUAAGGUAAAUUCAAAAUUGAAUCCUGCACAAGACACAACACCUGUGGUGAAAUCUGAUGCGCCUCUCAAUCAGCGAGCGAACAAGAAGGUCCUGUUCGGAGGACUUAAAAUCACCAAACGCCGUGCCAAAGGGGUAACUUGGUAUUUAUCGGCAUUUUCCUUUAUGCAUAUUUAUUUCUCUUAAUUGCUUUAUUAGUUGCAUCUUUAUUUUCAUUGUUGCAUUAGAAAAUAAAAUAAAUAUGUUUUGUUUUGCAUCUAGAAAAUUGCUAAGCCCCAUUUAUUUAAUGUGUGAUUACAACUCACAUACUUAUUUACUAUGGAAGCUUAAAAAUAAGUUUUAGCUUAUUUAUUUCACUGUAUGCAUACCACAAAUAUGUAAAGCAUAAAAAUAUUUUGAUCCUGCUACAAGAUAAAUGGGUAUAAGAAAGUUCUAGACUCCCAAGGCUUAGAGGAUUAUUACUAACGCUUAAUCAGUUCCAUAAGCUUUCUUGUCUAUUUGAGCUUCACAAGCUUCAAAGGAUUAAGAAGAAUUAACAGACAGAAGGAUGUCUUGUCCCCUGUCAGCGUACUAUCCACAUUAGGCAAGAGAUAUUUCUGACAGAAAGUACCUACGACGCACUAUUAGGAUCAGUACACCUUCAUUGCUUGUCAGCAACCUCAGUAGACUAUGCUAACAUCCAGCUUGGGGGAGAGCAACCCCCGUUUACCGAGCUAAGUAUCUCUUACUUAUUUAUCUAUCUAUUCCUAGUGUGUUAUGACAAGAUAAAAAGAUGAAUAACUUUAGAAACCUAAUAAAUAUUUUAUCUUUCAUAAUUAAUGUUGCUAGCUAUGGAGAGAUCUUAAGGAAUUUGUUAAAAUAAACCUCUAGAAUAAACUCUUACAUGGAGAUGAUGAAUAGUUGCUCUACCGUAAUUCCUUGCAAGUAUCUAGUUUUCGACCUUGUACUCUCCUGAGUUUUAGACACAACUGUUUAGACUUAAGAUUUUGCUUUGAAUCUGAAACUUGUGGGUAGCAAUUGAUUUAUCUAAGUUUAGGUAGUUCACGGAUAUGAUAUGGGAAGGUCUUGAGCUGCUAUCAAACUUGCUCUUAGAGAUGCUAGAUAUCUGGAGAAUUUAUUUUGAAAAUUUUAAUUGCUACAUGUUGAGUUCCUUUAUGAUGAGAGUUUAAAUUCCUACCACAACCAAAUACUCAUGCUUGCUAGAUUAGGAAAACCUCCACUUGUAUUUCAACCUAUAAGCAUUGAGGAUAGUUAAGCUGUGUAGACCCUAAGGAACUAGUCAUGCAGUUAAAGUCAAUAUUAUGUGCUCUCCAUCCAUUGAUCCUAGCUACUUCUAUCCUCAGAAGUACGCAACCACUUACAUCCACAACAUUCACUAUGUGCUACUUCUGUUCCUAGAAGUACCACCCACAUAUACGCACUACACUCUGUGCUAUUUCUAUCCUGGAAACACACACUGAUGCUACUCCUACCAUGGGAGUACACAUUCCUUCAUCCAUUGCCAUUAUGUCUUAUCCAAUAAACCUCCAGUUAUUUUAGUUGAUACUCCCUCCUAUUAUCAGUGCAUGAAAAAGGGAUUGCUGAUCUUAAAAAAAAUGAGAAAAGAAAGAAAGAGGACAAAAGUCCCAAUGCAUAAGAAAAUAAAGACAACCAAGCCCUUAUUCUUAAUUUAGGGAGGUAUGUUUUCCCAUGGAGCAAAUGUAGAAUUAGAUAUUCACCACCAGUUAUCACCCCUCAUAACCACUUCCAUCCAUAUCAUCCACUUUAUUCACUCACAUGCACAUAUGACUUGAUUGUAUAAUUAGUUUCUAUGGAUCCAUGAUUUAUCUAUGCAAUACAUAUAAGUAGGUUCGAAUAGUCUUUCCCACCUAUGUGCUCCCCAUAAGUCAAUUAGAAGUAGGGGGUGAGAGAGAAUGAAAGUAUGCCUUAGUCCUAUAAAUACCACAUAUUCUGAGGGAGAAGGCAUACUCACUUGCCUAGGAGAGGAUCCAAAAAUACCACAUAUGAGAGACUGGAAAGUGUCAUAUAAGAAAACUCUGAGUUUUAUUUAAAAAUCUUGCAAAACUCUGGAAUAAUAGUUGAUCAAAGGGUGAGUAGCAUAGUGCUCGUCUUAACUGUUAUGUCUUUCAGCUGCCCAAGACCUAAGUGAUAGCUACAAGCUCCAUGGUGAAAGGUAAUAUGGGUCAGUCUUCAGUCAGAAUAGUUCACUUUAUCUAGAGGAUAGUCCUUGUUUGAAGACAUGUGUACCUGUGAGGCAUGAAAGCAUUGUAGCAACUCCUGAUCCAUCACUGAGUCUAUCUUUGCUCAUGGACGAGCAAAAGGUAAGCUUGGGGGAGUUUGUUGACGGUAGAUAAGUACUCUUUUUAACCGUCAACAUAGCAUAAGAAAGGAUUAAAAUCAUAAUAUUAUUUAGCUAUAGGGGUUAUCACUGACAGAAUUCCACGAGUUUUGGUGAUUGUCUAUUUCUGCAGGGGGUUAUCGAAAUAAGAAUAAAAGGUGGUCCACAUGUCAGAUUUACAUAGAGAAAAAACGUGAAACAUCAACUCAAGAAUACUCUAGAAGGCUCGGGAAGACACCACCUGAAAGGUGGGGCCCAUCUGCCAUAGGGCAGGUGCGGGCGCCCCACCUAUCAGGGGCGGCCGCCCGGGGGUAGAAGCCAAUCAGCUUCAACCUCGCGGACCCUGCCUCAACCGACCUUGAGGAUUAAACUUAAGCGCACGUUUAAGUCGGUCUGAUCCAAGGGCUGUGGUGAUUCCUGAGGUGCUAUAAAUAAAGACCCCGACCCCCCUAAGGAGGAGUUCAUUAUUCUCUAAGAAGAUCAAUAGAAGAAGAAUUAGACAGAGUGGGGUCCCUCAAAUGGAUCUAUCUCUAUAGGAUUCUUAACCACAAUCUCAAUUAGAUCUCUAUAGUUCUUUAGCAUAGCUACAUAGGAUUAGAUCUAGAAGCCGUCAAGUUAAUCUUGGAAUACGGAUCAAUCUUCAGUUCUUGGUAAACUCUUAUUCUCCUUGUUAUAUGUAUAUUAGUUCUUGCUAAAAUGAAUAUAAAUUUUAUCUAUAUCGAAAUUGACUUUAUUCUAUUUGCUUAUGUUCUCAAUUAUAUUGUUCUUUAUCUACUUUGAUUAUAUGCUUAGCGUAGUUAGAUUAGAAUUAUGUUUAUGCAUAAGAUCGUAUAGUGCUUACUCAUUAGGCCGAUGGGUAAGUGAUAGAUAUUGUGUAGGCGAGGUGCCUAGACCGUAUUUAUUUGCGAUUGCCCCUUAUAGUCUGGAGCUCGAGGUAGAUCGCGGGAGUGAUAGUCUUGUUGAGUCCUUUGUAUUUCUUUUCCCGGUUAUAAUGAUUGUAGAGCGCCAUUAUUAUAGGGAAGUGAUUGCUCUGUUCAUGAUCUUUCUUGCUAAUAUCACUAUGCAUAGAUAUAACCUUUUCUAGUGAUGAUGCUAUGUGUAUUUGCACCAAUCAAUCUAUGCUUUGAUAGUAUAGUUAGAAUACUUAGAAUUUAUUCUUGUAGACUAUCCAAAUACCAUGCUAGUGCUAUAGACUUAGAGUACUCUAAUUGCAAUGAUUAUCAUGUUUAUCUUAUGGCUAUGAUUUUUUUUAUCCCUUGUCACUUAUUAUUCAUAUUCAUAUAUUUAUCUUAUGUGAGAGUUACCCUGUAUGAGAGAUAGAUAAAGACAUGGUUAAGGUCUCCAUUGGUUACAUGCAGUGCUCAUUGCUCAUUAUGCAUUGCAAGUCCCUUCCCAGUGGUAAAAAUAUAAAUAAUGAUACAUGGAAUACUCUUGGUUAAAAUGUUGUAUCGGUAUUAUUUGUACGCUUACGGAUCUUUAUUUAUUUAUUUAUUACUAAAAAAGCAUAUAGAUUUAAUACCAGCACUUCUACAUCAUGUUAGGAAUGACAACCUAGCUUAAGUGAUGUUAAGUAAUUUUGACGCCAUUGCUAGGGAUAGAUUUGAAAGUCUAUUUUUAGUAAUUGUGUUAAGAAGUGUCAUCAGUGCCCUAGAAAUAAGUGGGGAUUGUUGAAUAUUAUUUAGGGUUUUAGCCCAUAUUCUAUUUGAUGAUAAUUAAUUCAAGGGCCUAUAAUAAAUGCUAGAAUGAAAACGGUUUAAUACCGGAUUGAUUGUUGACUAUGUGUUAACUCAACAUAUAAAUAGGUGGCCUAUGAUAGCUCCUAUAUAGAAGUUAGAAAGGAAAAUAGGGUGCCACAUGCGCGCGCCGCCGCCGAGCCGAGCCGAGCCAUGUCGUGCCAUGCCGUGGCGAGCAUGCGUGUGUGCCAUGUCGCGGCGAGGUGAGCGAGCGAGCGUGCGUGUCGUGUCAUGUCAUGUCACGUUCUGACCUUUGUCUGGUUAAAGGCAAUUGAUUGUCAUUGAUUGCAAUUAAACUAGACGUUUCAUCUUUAGCCUAUAUAUUUCUUUCCCACAUCCUCAUUCCCUGCUAUAUACAACACAUCAGUCCUCUCCUCUAAUCUCCCUAUCGAGUUCCUCUGGUUCAUCUCCGUCCCGAACCUCUGCGCACACAGAGAUCGAGAGAGCAGGCCUCUGGAACCCGACGCCUUGCAUCGAGAGACCUGCUCGGGUGUCCGGGCAAUCAGGUUUUUGGGGAGCGUUUUCUGUGACUGCUCGCUACCUUGGAUCGACGAGAUCUGCUACUUCCUGCUACCUCGGAUCGGCGAGAUCGGCUGCUUCACUCAAAUCGACUUCUUUCUAGUGGUUACGAGAGAUCGGCUACAUCAUCUUCUUCCCGGUGGACGUUCGCAGGACUACACUGUGAACAUCUUCCUGCAUCGACUUUGGUCCUCUACUUCAAGCAACGCACUAUGUUGAUUAGUGCGAAUGGAGCCUCUAGUGUCUUCGGCACUGGUCCCUCCUCUUGGUAUAAUUCUAAACAACUAUAUUUUAUUUUCAGUAUGUCUACAGUAAUUGUAAUGUUUAUCUCUAAUCCGAGUAGCGAUAAAAUUGCACCCGUACACAUAUAUGCUACCAAUUUAUUAUGUGUAAUUUUCUGGAUUGAAUCAAACAUUAAAAUGUCUAAAUUUCUAACAUGUCUCACAAGCAACAAUCACAACUGCUGCUAGCCAUGAUUAUUACAACACACAAGGUUCCAAGUUAUUUCAGUCCAGGCUCACCACAUUGAGGUACAGUUGCCAGCCACAGUGGACUAUUCAUGCCGAUGUCAUGAAGUUUUCGAUACGAAGGGUACGAGAAAUGGAUGCUUAUGAUGUGGAACAAACAAUCAGGUUCACGAUCGGAGGAGGGUGUUUUGAGGAGGGGGAACACGAUCACUAGAUAAUUGGAAUUACAUACAUUUAAUAUAGCCAUAGCCAUAGAAAGAGAAUUGUGAUUGCGGCAUAUUUAUUUACAUAAAUGUUUACUAGUAUAUAUAAUUAUAGAUUGCAUGGAGAACAUUAACGUGUACAGAUAUAUAAAAAAGAGCAUGAACUACUACUAGUACAUGGGUAAUACUAUACCGGCGAUUGGUAACCUAUUUUUACUAGCGUUUGCCACCACCGUCUGCGCUAGAGGCCACUAGAAAUGGGCCAAUCUCACAGGCGGUUCAUUGUGAGCCACCUGUAGAAAAUAUUUCCACAGACGGCUCUCUUAGGGAACCGCCUGUGUAAAUGUGUCAUUUACACAGGCGGUUCUGUAAGAGAACCGCAUGUGGAAAUGAAUUUUAAAAUUUUAUUAUUAUAUAUUUAUUUAUUUAUAUUGUUAUUAUUUAAAUAUAUUGAUAUUGGUUGGUGUUCAAACAUAACAACAUGCAAUUUAAAUAUUUUAUUUUAUACAUACAUUUAUAUACAUCAAAGUUUGGUGCUCAAAGAUAUAAAGUUAAUUACAAGAGUAUAUACAUCAUCACACAUUAUAUAUACAUCAAAAUUUGUUUCUGUCCUCUAAUAAUCCUCUUUAGUAAAUUUGAGCUUACAAAUUUCUGUUAGCAUCCGGAACUGUGGCAUGGAUAAUUGACUUUCAUCAUCAUGAUAUUUGCCUUCACGUGGAAUAACAUGCUUCAUGAGGAACGAGUAGAUAUCCUCAACUAUGUUGUCUAAAGCACAUUCGUCCAUGCGCUCCGCCGUCCCUUGCUUAUAUACCUGAAAAAAAGUUUAUAAACAUCGUAUAUUGUAUGACUUGCAACUUUAAUGUCGGAACUGUAUAGAUGACUAUUACUUAUAUAACCAUGGCAGGGUUCCUUUCGUAUCGUCCGUUCUCUCUCAUUUUCUCGCACACAUAGUAGCCACAGAGGACAGAUAAGGGUGGUUGCUUCAUGCACUGUAUCACAUGAGAGUGGUUAUUUAUAGUUGCAGCCUUGGUCCUAUGUGUAUGAUUUGUAUUGAUAAGAGUAAAUUUUUAUACGUAUCGGCUAGUUAUGUAUAACCUCCAAUGGCGGCUCUGGUCUGUUGGACUCGCACUUUCCAUGAUUUAUCUUAUAGAACCUGUAUGCCCUUUGAUAUCAAAUAGAAUCACCAUGUUAUUAUCAAACUCUCACUAUCCUGAAGUAUGCAUGCAUAGCUUGACUUAUAGCUCUAGUAGUUUGAUGAAUGAAGCAUAGCUAUCUUUCGGGUAAUCUACAGAAUCUAUUACCAAUAGCCUUCCCUCGUUAGGAUAAAUGAUGAAGCAUAUCUAGUGGAUACUGCUCGAAUCAAAUUCAUGAUGCAUUUAUGCAUUGGAAUAGUUUAGAUAGAUAAAUGUAAACUCACACUUACCCAAAGUGGUACGGGGCCACCACCACUUUUCUAUCUUGAAACUUUUUUAGAGAAUCUCGAAUGUAGAAUGCGUAUUUGGCUUUAAAAUCAAGUUUCAACUUUUAGAGUUUCUCAUCCCAUUAUGCACAUUCCAAACCCUAUAACUCAUUGUUGCCAUCCUCAAUUUGGAAUGUGCGCCGAUCUUCGGCUAUAUUUACUGAGCAGAGAUAGCCAUUCCUUUCAUCGACACAAUAAUGAAAGUCCAAACCAAAAUACAUAUCUUGUUGAUCAUAUAACAUUCAGCAUGGCACAAACAUAUCGGAUAUUGAAAAUUGAUGCAACUACAAUGUGUCUAACUAUGUAACACUUACGAUGCAAAUGUCGUUACGAUCUGUAUGUCUAGCAUCCUAUGGUUCAUCAGUGCCCACAUGUCGUAGAAUGUAAGAAUGCAUUUCUUAGUACUCUUACUGAGAAAUGCUAUUUGUUGUAUGCACAUGCUGAUGGUGUUGAUGCCAACAGAAGAGGCUCUCAUGUACUAGUCAUGAAACCUUUUUAUACCACUUGGUUUCUUCAAGAGUUUGACACGACUGAGUAGAGGCUUUCCCCACACGUAUGUUUUAGGGAUAUGCUUGUAGUCUUCGGCACUUACACCUUGAAUUUGACAGGAGUUAUGACCUUAGGCGCUAGCACCUUUGACUUUGCUAGCUCAAAGAUCUCAUGCUCUUCUAUAGUGCAUUUCGAAGCAAUGCCUGACUAAAAUCUCACAUGGCGAGCUGAUUUUUUCUUCGGCUCGUAUGGUGAAACCAACUUAAGUAUUACAGAUUUCUUCUUUGGCACCUUUGGUGGCUCACUACUUGGUUCUAGAUCUUUGGGUUGUGCGAAGGGGUGGAAUUGAAUGGCAGCAGAGAUUGUGUUUUCUAUGGGGUAGGAAGAACAUGGAGAGGAGAAGGUUGAUGGUCAGGGAAAACAUGGAAAGGUGAUUCUGGUGGGUUGGGAAGAGACUGGGGAGGUGAAGGCGGUGGGUUAGGAAGAGGAUCGAUAUGAGCUGACAACUCCUAGGUGAGUGGCAUCUCUUGAGAGUGUGGUGGUCGCUCCCUUAAUUGCACGUCCCUCCAAGGCCAAAGGAUGAAAUUGUUUAUCGCCUGUCCGAGUUUCACAAUAUCCUUAGGACCAGGGAUGUCUAGAAUCUAGUCCUCAUAUCCUUGGACUACGGUCGAUACCUCUACUCUGUAGUAGUCUUUAGGAAUGUCAGCACCAUGGUAUUUAGGUCCUUCUGGGAUCACUUUGCCCAUGGCUGCUUCCUUUGUACGAUGAUUGUUAAUCCCAUAUCUUAUGACUAGGGACCAAGGCAUAGAAGUAACAAUGUCUUCAACUAGAUAGUGAUCCUUGUUUGUCAAAGUUGCGACACUACUUGGAAUGAUUGUUUCACUCUGUGCCACCAACGGUUGUGACACCACUAGGACUACCUGCAUUUUGGGAGCCUAAGUGCUGGUCUAUAGAUUUGACACCGCACUCGCCAGUUUCUGCAUCAACUCAGGAGGAGGGUUUUCUAGCAACUUCCCCAUCAUUGGAAGUCUUUCUUAGACUCUUCCUAAAAAAAGUUGCCAUUUGUUCCUUGUACUGAUCACGUCUCUUAUACUCAUUUUUUUAAUAAGGGACAAAUCCGUCCUUCCAUUCUUCUUUGGAUGAGAUGCCUCAAACAUGGCCAGGAUGCUCAAGGUUACCAAGGCCAACACUUAGGAUGUCCUCUCCCUUCGUGGUGUGAACUUGCCUUCCUACUGCAUGCCUGCCACUGCAAAGAUGCUCUUCGAUGCUUCAUCAAGCAUUGAGUCUUCAAAGGACACAUCGGUCUCGGUUUCCUUUGGUUUUCGAGCAUGCAUCCAAUUCGUGGACCUUUCACCGACUUCCUCGGACAGCGCCAGCAACCCUGCCGCCUUCUUCGUAGCGUCUUCUUGCCUCUAUUUGGGAAACUGGUGCUGGUAACCACCUUUGCCUAGAUGGUUGUGGUACUUGUUCCUCUUUGUGAGCUGGGAGUUGGCUUCGCUCCAAGCUAAGAGGUUAGGGUCAUUCCUCUACUCAAGUAAAACUACCCACUGCCCUUUAGAAAUCUUGUAUUUUGUUGUCUGAUCCAUCCCUGUCAUUGCAUACUUCACAUUCAUCUCUGACCUCCAACCUUGAAAACUAAUCGCACAAUGCUUCAUUGUAUAUACCUUCACUAGUUCAUCUGGCACAUUCCAAGGAAACUGGAACCUCAUCUUCAUCUUAGCCCAAAUUUUUUUUCUUGUCAUCAUUGGACACACCAGACCAAUUCUUAAUUAUGAUGUCAAGAAUGUCCCUCACACGAAAACCAACUGUGUUCCAAUAUUUGGGUAGGUCCUCCUUUGCAGCUAGGGGCUGUCUGAUCGGGCUCACAUAUGUGAUGGCAUAUGUGUCAUCUAGAAAUUGGUUCAACACUCUCUCUCCUCGUUUCAAACCUAACUGUAACACCCCAGUGCUAUGGUUGCAUCUUUUCACAUGCAUAACAUGAGCAUCAUCAUCUUCAUAAGCAUACCAUGAUCAUCAUUCACCUUGGGUCAUGUCAUUUUAUGCAUAAGUAUGAAUUGACUUGCUUAAUUAUGCCUUAUAUGCUUAUGUUUGUUUGUACUAUGCCCUUUUUUGUGUUUUAUGCUUUGGAAAAUAGUUUACCUAUGCUUAACUCAACUUUUUGAACAAUGUUCAUGUUGGUCACAUCUCCAAAUUAUGUCUCUAAGUCAUGGUUUCACUCAUAGGCCCUAAAAACCUCUUUUUUAGGCUUUUAAAAAGUGGUUCAUAGAAUGUUUGCAUGUCAAAACUUCCUAAAGCAAAGUUGUAGCAAUUUUUAUAAGGAACAAAAGUUGUUUUAUGGCCAUCUCAUGAAAAUAAUCACAACUUGCUCAAAAAGUGCUUACAAGGCAUAAUUGGGGCUGUUUUGACACCUAGCAAAAUUUUGCUAAGUCUUGGCGCCACCAGUUUUCCUGAUUGAUUUUGGAAGCUUCAUAUCUCUUCAUCCAGGCCAAAUUGGUCUUUGCUCCAGUUGACAAACCUGUAGAACUCGAUUAGAACUCCAACAAUGUCAACUACAUCAUCUCUUGUUUCGCUUUGGUUUGUAAGUUAAUCAACGCCAAAGUGUCUCUAUCAGACAAGCGAUGCAGACUCUGAAUGGACGUCGUCCCCGUCGACAUGGCCGACUGGCGUUAGCACAUCAGCGAUAUUUGGCAUCCGUACGCCGUUUCUGGCCCCUCUCGUCAGCACUGGAGGCGCGCAUGACCUCCACGGCGACACCCUCGAGCGCCUGGUUGCGUCCAUUCCCUCCCUCUCGCCUCUCUAACGCAUAAAGAUCGGCCGCAGUGGAGUCUCCGUCGCGAGCUCACUCCGACGAUCUCGAGCGCGCUCCAUGCUGCAUCGCUGCCCACCAAAGCUCGCCCACAGCUCCGCCAUGUCCUGCUCUCGAACUUACACCCGCAAUCUCACCGUGAAACCCUGCGGUGAGCCGAUAUUUCCAAUCUUCCCCAAAUCGGGUCACCGGAACCGUUUUCUCCGGCGAGCCCAAUGCUGAGCUCCCCGGAGCCUCUCAUCUUCUCAGGUUGGGUUCUAGGGGUAGCUUAGGACCAAAGCUAGCAUCUGCGCCACUUGGGGGACACUCUACUGUGCUCACCGUCGCCGGACACGACACGCAGCGCCGCCGUGUUUCCGCCGAAGUUCGGUCCUCUCGUGGCCAGCCCUUCCCACACCGUUUCAAGCCAAGUCACCUACCUAGAAAGCUUUGCCAUAGUUCACUGGUGCUGUAGGAAACCCUAAGUCACGCUUUACCGGUCUAAGAGCUCCGGCGUAUCGCCGAGCACCUCUGCCGAGCCGCCAUGGUCGACGGCGAGCCCCUUCCGGUGGCUCCGCCGUGGGGAAAAGGGGGUCAAUCGAUUCGCAAGUGUCUGGGGAUCACGUUGGUGCCCUCGGUUUGGCCGGAGACCUCGCCGUCGAGGAGAAAUCGCCGGUGAACGUCGCCUCGGUCGAGAGGAAGAAGAACCUGACACGCGGGUCCUGCUAUCAGUGACACAACGGCUCCCUCCUCUCUUUUAUUUAAAAUCCAGAUUUCUUGCAAUCUUGCAAAAAUCGUAUCUCUAGUUUCUGAGCUCCAAAAGUUGUGAAACAAAUUUUGUGAUGAUCCAUAGGAUGACUAUUUUUUAAUAAAAAUAUAAUAUGCACCAUGUUUUCUGUGAAAAAUAAUUGUUAUGAAUUAAUCUUGUUAUUUAUGUGUAAAUCCAUAUCUCUUGAUAUACUGCUCCAAAUGCUGUGAAAUGUUUAUGCUAGGCUCUGGAUAGUAUUAGAAUGCUCUGAUAAAUAUUUCAUGAUUUUUGGAGUGCUCUAUCUCUAAUAUGUAAUUUAUGUUAAUACUUUGGCCUCAUUCCAUAUUUAAAUCAAAUUAAAUGUUUUAUGCUUAUGCUGGUGUUCUCCUUUGGUGUCAAGCUUGUUCAUAGUAGUAGUAACAUGUAAAUAAUCUAAAAUCUGUUGUUUGACACUAUCUAAGCCAUGUUUCUUAAUUUAUGAAAUAAGCACCUUGUUAUAUGUCAAUUAAUUAUCUUAAGUUUGGCAUGUGCAAUUGCUCUAAAACUUUUGUGGUAAUGUCCAGGUGCCAUGUGGGUGCUUUUGUAAUUUUUGUAGAUUUUUCUGAGCACUCUUGCUGGUAUCUUUUAGUUAUGUCCUUUUAUGAAAUUAAAUUAAUAAAUGCCUUUUUGUUAAGUAUUUAGUUAUGAACAUGUGGUUACCUGGUAAUCCUAGUUUAUACUUGUGUUUAUGAGUCACUUGGUUGGUGCUAAAUAUGUUUGUGCUAUGUCAUCAAAUAAUUAACUAAGGGUUAUAAAGCUGUUCUGGACAGCAAAGGAGUAAUCUGAGUUUUGUCUAAAGAUAACCUUGUUUUCUGAAGGACUUGUCUAUAUCAAAGAUGUUGUAAACUUUAUAUGCUAGCUGCAGUUCAAAUUUGGGAUCAUUUGGUCCAGUAGUUUAAAAGUUAUGCUCUUCCAAGUUGAGUUCCAGAACUAGGUGCUCUCUGUCUUUCUGGAACAGAACCUGAAACUUUGUUUAUUUGGCCUGUUUCACUUAUGAAUCUUGCUGUGAUGUCUAAAGAUGAAUUGUAAACAAUUUCAUAAGAUUUCCAGAAUGUCCUAAUUUGUGUCUGUUGGAUCUACAUACCUCUAGUUAUGAAAUGUUCUUUGGGCUGCUCUGUUAUGUCGUUACUGCUGUUUUAUUGUGCUAGGCUGUGGUGGUGCUCUUUCUGAACUUGUCAUAGAAGCUUAUUCCGUAAAUGAGUGUCCAGUGAAGAUUUUAAUCAUGUUACCUAGCAUUCAUCAUCAUCUAGUAUGCACACAUUCCUCACUUAUUGUGCACGCAAUAGGUACAUCGGAAGCGGCAGCAUCGUUCGAGCUUGAGAGGGUGAACCACGAAGGCCCGGAGUUCACUCAGGAGCCGGAGGCCCAGCCAGCAGGACAAGAGGAGCCCGAAGAGGAGGUCGAGUGCCCUAACCAUGAAGCCCCGGAGCAUCUUAAGUCUCCCAUUUUUAUUUCAAAGAUUACUUGAAUAUGUUAUAUCUAAUGAUGCAUUACGUAUAGGAGUUGUGAUGAAGCCCUUGCUGCAUUAUAUCCUUUCCUUGUAUAGAUAUCUUAUCACUACCUAGUUGUAGGGUUAGGAUCGAGUAUCAGCUUAGCUAUGCUUUAAUCGGUAGAAGUCGGGUGAUAUCCUGUCACCUGCGCGAUAUAGGGCUGUUGUUGGAUCACGAUUGACUAUAUGUGCUAUCAUGGGAAAAGAACCUGGUUUAAAAUGACUUAAGCCAGGUGGAGUUUUGCAAGGUGGUAGUAACUCCGUCUGUGGCAGCUAAGGACCGAUCGUUGUACGUCCUAUUGUCAUGUUGAACGCAUGCCUAACACUUAGUUGGCCGGAUAACUCGUUCCGACUGUGAAGCCUAGUAGUAUGACUCAGGCCGGAAGACCGGCAAGUAUAAAGUGUGCACUACCGGAGGAAGUGCGGUGUGCGGGGAUUGGCGUAAGACCAAAGGCAGGUGAGUUAAAAUUCCUGACCUCCCUGGCAGAGUGGCAGCCCCGGGAGUGCGGCGCUGAUCGGAGCCGCGAUUCCUGAGUUGUACCAAAGGUGACCUGCUUUCUCUCCGACGGGGGUGCUUGGGUGAGUGCUUGGAAUAACCCUCCAGCUGGAUAGGAAUUGAUUCGAAUCACCGUCUCUCCCGGAUAGUGAGAACUUGACAGAGCAAUGGCAAACGUAGCAUUCACUAAAUACUAAUGGUUCUGAAUGAUGAUGUUGAGGAUAGCAAGAAAGAACAUAUGAUCGAACUUGAUAUGGUUAUUAUUGUUUGCUAAUAAUCAAGUGAAGUGCUUAGUAUAGGUGCUAAUCUAGUGGUAGGCUAAUGAUAAUCAAUAUGAUGCUUUUACGAAUUGUAUACUAUCCAACCUAAUCUUUUGGCAAUUGCUUGAGUCAAGCCAGCUACACUUUAUACUCAGCCUUGCAUGAUCAUUGGUGUUUUUUAUGUUUGGUUAGACGGGUAAGUCUAGCUGAGUACAUCCUCGUACUCAGGGUUUAUUCCCACCUGUUGCAGAUGAUGUCUUUUCUGAUGGCUUCUCCAAGACCUGUCUCCAUCCCGCUAGGGAUGAGGACUAUACCGUUGGGCGCGGUUCUCUAACAUCUUCGUACCCUGAUGCUUUUGGUGGAUGAGAUGAGAGUCUGGCAGUAACAAGAACUUAUGAAAUGUGUGUGUAAACUAUUUUGCAUUCGCUACUUCAAACUUGUGUUGUAAUAACUAAGUACUCCGAUGUGGUGCCGCUUCGUCGGCAAUGAAUGAGCUAUGUAACAUUCGCUGUGUUAUGUUGAACUAUUACGAUCUUGGUAUACUGCAAAGUUCGUUUGAAGUCCUUUGUGAUUUUGGUUGACUACCAGGAUUAUAUCGGCUCAAGUCUAGAAACUUGAUUGCUAGAUCGAUCGUUUCUACACUUGAACUCUUAUAAUUUGGUCGGUUCUGUGACACUAGCCGCUUCCUUUUCCUAGGCCGACAUAGCCUCUCAGUGCUCGUCAUUGCUGUCAUCGGUUCUAGUGCAUCUUCGUCUGCCACUUCUUUCUGAGACAUCAUCUCUCUAAACUAAGACAAUAUAGACAUGUGAAUCAUAGACGAGUUUAUAUGUAGAAACUUUGAAUUGAAAUCAUUUAAUAACAUGAAAUCAUGAGUGUCUCUAAUUUACCUCAUCCUCUUUUGGAAUAUAACCAGGGUCACAUGCCAAUUCACGAUGAGCCUUACUCGCUUCUGGAGGCUCCAUGUCAUUGAUAGCUUCUUGUUCGUAUGACGAUCUUGAUGCUUUGCCCAUUUCUACUUGCUUCGCAGGGUGGGAUGACCCCAGGAUGACCCAUAGAUCUUGUUCCAUAGGAUGGGAUGACCCUUCUACUUGCUCCGUGGGAUGGGACUAUAGUGCUCUGUCCUUGUGCGGAGAACUCAUCGUAGAAAUCUAUGUAAACAUGAAAUAUGAUUUAUAUUGCAUAUCGAAUUCAUUGGACCUAGAUCGAUCGCAUCUAGAGUCUCCUCGAGGUCUUAAACUAUAAUUCAUUGGACAUAUAUUUAUAAAAGGAUAGGCACAAAUAAUACAUACAUAUAUUUCCAUACAUUAUAAUAACAUAUGACAUAAUAAUUAUGAAUUCUAUUACAUAGACAAAGAGAAAUAAUAAUAAGUAUUUAUAAAAGAAUAGGCACAAAUAAUAAUUAUGAAUAAAAUUACAUGUAAAAGACAUAAGAAUAUUCUCUAAUUUUAUUUAUAUCUUUUCUGAUUUUUUAUAUUUUUUUGCUGUUUGUUAAUGGUUUUAUACAAUUUUUCACUAAAAAUGAAUUGCUAAAGUGAAAAAAGAAAACUCACUCUCCCCUCCCUCCCCUUCCUGGCCCAGUAGAUGGCCUAGCACAGCACGGCACCUCCUCUCUCCGUCUCUCUAGAAGGUGGGCCUCCUAUAUUGGGGUUGUCCCUUACCUCUAGCUCUCUCUGGCCGCAUGUCGCACGCCGCCGCACGCGCCCACCCCUUCCGUGUCCGCCGCCACCACCACGCCCAUCCCUUCCCAGUUCGGCCUCACCACAUCGCCACCACCUACACCGCCGCCACCUACGCCGCCGCACGCCAUAGCCACCACCACUGUCAUGCGUGCACGCGUAGAGAGAGAGAGUGAGGUGGAGAAGCUCACCAUAGUGCUCGAUGGCGGUCUGGUGUGAGGAAGCUAGUUUUUUCCGGCUAGACGGCGUCGAGGGUGGCGGCAGUGGCAUGGAAAAAUUGGGUAGCCUACCAGCUGUUAACGGUCCUUAAGUAUCAAAUUUAAUUAUCAAAUAAACAAAGAAAAGGAUCCAAAUGAAAUCAACAUCUAGACUUAGGGUUUUAUCUGACAGAAUUCCACGAGUUUUGGUGUUUGUCUAUUUCUGCAGGGGGUUAUCAGGAAAUAAGGAAGAAAGGCCCACAUGUCAGGAUUACAUAGAGAUAUCAACGCACCGCACAAUUUUCUACCAUCUAGAAGACUCCAGAAGCCACGAGACCGAAGCGGAGGCGAAACGGGGCCAGGACCUGGGCGCCCGCCCAGUUUCCUUGGGCGCCCGCCCACCUGUUGAGCCCAAUCAGGACUCUUUCUCUCGGGAGACCUCCACCGACCUAUUGGAUUCAGAAUAAUGUAGUACCACCUCGCCUACCGACCCAAAAAUGCAUAGAAGGGGAGGACUAUAUAAGGAGACCCCCCUGGCUCCUAGAGAAGACAAGAAAUUAUCAUAGAGAUUGAGGGGUGCCCUCGAAGGAAAACCUCUUCUCUAAAUAAUAUUUCUUUUUAGGCUUAGCAACCAAUGUAAAGUAGAAAUAGAUCUUCUAGUUUCUACUAGAUUGAGAGAGAUAGAGUGGAGGUGUGGAUCGGAGGAAGGCCGGCCUGUCGGUGCCUACUCCUUUGUGUUGUCUAGAUUCCGUGAGCCUCCCCAAUAGAACAGUAGAUCAUCCUUACCAAGGUUAGAACGAGACUACGGUUGCAGUCUUCUCUAUACAUCACUCACAUCGAGAGACAUUCUUUGUAGCCUAAAGGGAUAGUAGCAAUAGAUUUGGUUAGUCAGAUGCACCCUUUCUCCCAGUGGUAAAAAUAUAAAUACGAUACUCUGGAAAACCUCCCAGGUGAAAUGCUCACCGAUAUCGGUGCGCUUGCGGAUCAUUUUCUAAUUGCGUUACCAAAUAUCAACAAGCAUUUCUGGUGCCGUUGCCGGGGAGAAAGAUGGUUUGCUGAGAUGACUUUGAGUCUUGCUAUUAUCUUGUAUUAUACUUUUAUACUUUUAUUCUUUUAUCUUUUUAUUUUUAUGGAUAACUUAAAAUCUAUACCUAUUAUUGAAUUCUUUGCACCUUCGGAGACCAGCCAUAGACCAUGGGAGUCAACACGUUCUGCCCCUAAUUAUGAUCUGUGUCCGGAGUUGAUUGCAAUAGGUCAAAACCAACCCUUUUCUAUAGCCGAGGUCCUAUCUUUUAAUCAAGAAGAUAAUGCACUUUUAGCUACACCUAGGGAAUCUGUUAAUCUUUCUAUAAAUUCUGGUUUAGACCUAGCCCUACAAGACCAUGUUUUUUCUCGAUAUUUUCACAUUGGUCUUAAUUAUAUAACCAUUGGUAGAGUCUUUCAUUCUUUAUCUAUUAGUAAAGGAAGGUAUGUCUUCAUUCGUGGACAUCCUUCUUGUACUAGUCUUCAUAGAAAAAUCUUAGAGAUAGAGAAGGAAUCAUCUCCCAUACAAGGAAAGGAAGUUUCAAUAGCCGAUUUCCAAACAUUCCAAUCCCAUAAUUCGGCUAUCCAACCCAUCCUUGAGCUUAAUAAUUUCUACUAUGCUCUUUCUCUUGAACCUCCCGAUAAUCCUAUGAAUCUCUCUAGACAUCCCAUGCAUAAGAAGGAGGAUCAAGAAGAGCAACAUCAAUGGCUAGAGGUCAUUAAAAAUCCAUGUGCUAUCACCAUUGAAUGGAUAGGUAAAACAAACUUGAGAGACAAUCCUAGAGGAAUUUUAAGCAUUCAUGAAGAAUCAUCCUUGGAGUUUGAGAAUAAGAGAAACAACAGUGAGCAUGGAAGUUAUUUCAUAAAUUCCUUACCAAGUCCUUGCUCAUAUAAAACAUCUACCCAAUCAAUCGGUCUCUCCAUCAUCACCACAUUUGAGAUCUCCAACCCCCUCUUCCUUUUUAUUUAUAAAAACUUUAAAAGGGCGGUUGUCGAUGCAUAUGUCUAUAAUAAAUAUUGCAGAUCUCGUUGAGUUGAUCUUGAUAUAGGUCAGCGUUGGAGGGGAAACCACUUCGCCGACAUAAAUUAAUGGUUUCCCAAGGACAAGCUUAGCGUCCUUAAACAAGCACUUAUCAGAUCGUAACAUGAACUUCUAAUUAUUUGCAACAUUGCCUUGUGUAUUGAGCAUAUGAGAUAAUUGUAGAAAUAUUCCUUCAGGUAUUCUUGCCACUAACCUUUCUAGGAUUGGAGCAAGAAGAUCGGAUGAAUGACAAGCGCAAGGUAUGCCCAACCAAUCAACAUGCAACAUUGAAUUAAAUUCAUCCAAUCUUGAAUUUUGCAAAAAUUCAAGCUUGGGGGAGUACUUCACAUAAAAACAUCCUUUGCCAUGUUGCUAUGUUGGUUGUCCUUACCUUUGAGACAUGCUCAAUUUGUUAAAUACUAAGCACACUACUUCAUCUCCACUUAAGUAGAUCUUUAUAAGCCAUCAUGCUACCUUUGUUUAUCCUAGUAAGUGUUAGUUUGGAAGUACUGUACAUACUUCUAUUGGCUUUUAAAUUAAGCGUGGUGCUUAGGUUAAAUAGCCUCCCUUAAUCUGAUUAGACAUGGAGUCUGGUUUGGUUACUGAACUAAAAACUGCUUGAGUAGGCAUUGGUAUAUUUUGUCGGACUAACCCCUACAGGAAAACUUUCAAUAUCAACCUGGGAAGUCCUGAGAUACAAACUCACAUUGGAAAUGAAGAAAGUGACACAUGAAGUUUAACAAUUUGCACAAGAAAGACGUAGCUCAUAGGAGAUGAUUCAUAGAGGGUGCCACAAACACGAUGCACAACCGUUAAGAAAGGAAAGCUUCCACAAGGUGAUACUGUACCGUCACUCUUCAAGUAAGGUAACAUUUUAAAGUACUUGACUAUCGCUUUUAUAAGCUUCUCCUUGGUUCUAGCAUUCACAUGAAUAAAGAGACAAACAUGUAUGAUCUGUAACUCCAAAUUAACCAACUCAAUUAAUUCAACAUGUUUAGUCCUUUAAUCUUUGUUCUUAGUACUACCUUCGUGAUCCCACACUCCUAAUCAUAUAAGCUAAAAUGUUGCACAUUCAAUCUUUGGAAGAUAUAAACAAAACAUAAAUAUAGAUAGAUUAUCUUUCCAUUAGGUUGAGCUAUAUGAUCUUACAAAUGUUUCAAAUCCUACACUCAUGAUCCUAUCAACUUUGUCUUCCUCACUAUGCUUAAGGUUAGAGAAGAACAAAUACACUUUUGGUUCUGUUGGUGUUUUCCACCAACAGGGCCCAUGCACUUGAUCUCUGCCUUGUCUCUAUGAAUAGGUACACUUCAAACAAAACAUGGAGGUGUUUCACAACUCCCAGAUUCCACCAAGUAAAGAACCGGAAUCUACGAGCACAAACACAAUGGAGAUCAGAACACUUAGUUUCCCAAAGGAAAUAUUGAAGAACCUCUGUGUCCGAGUUGGUACCUUGUACGCUCCAGCAAACUUCGUGGUGAUAGAGACUAGUACUGAGGAGAGGGCACUCAUCACCUUAGGGAGGACAUUCCUAAACACCAGAGCUUUCAUCUACGCUAAUGCUGCCAAGAUCAGUUUCUACAUCAAGAGGAAGAAGGAGACUUUCCUUCAAGAACAAGACUACACAAAUUUUAGAGCAAUCCCGACAUGAACCAAGGAAGAGGACCAACAGGAGGAACAGGAACAAGCAAAUGUGGACCGUGUCAGCUAAGAUGGUCACUGCAGCUCAAGGAGGUCAAGAUCGUCGACUCAAGCCACCUUUCUUGAUCAAGAAGGACGACCCUAGUGUUCCAAGCAUUGAGUGCACAAUCAACAGAUACUCUUUUUAGAAGACACUCUACGACACCAGAUCUAACGUCAACAUAAUGGCCGGAGUCACUUAUCAGCUCCUGCAUGGAACCAUGCCCCUACAAAUAUAUAUUUAGCUCUAGAUGAUUUUCAGAUUAUUGACAUGGGAGAAGACGUGUAUGAUCCACCCACCAUCCUUGGAAGUCCGUUCCUCAACACUAUCAAAGCCAUCAUCUAUAUUGGAACCGGAGAAGUCCACAUGCACUUCCCCUCUGAGAAGGUACGCCACUACUUUAAUGAUUCUAACUAUAUAGUUGAAGAUUCUAAGCAGGUCAAGACAAGAAGAAGACAAUGCAACCGCAACCAGAGGAGGCAAAUCAUUAAGGACGGAUGGGUAGACUACGAAGGAGAAGUAAUAAGGUCUGAAGACAUAUAGCUUGAACAGAACUAUCCUGAGGAGACCGUAGCACCGAGUCAGGUGUGGAGAGAGAAGAUAGUGACACACAAAGAGGAAGCGCCGCCGGAAUCCCAAGACGGCUUAGAAAACGGAGAGUCCUGUUCGGAGGACUUUAAAACACCAAACGCCUUGCCUAAACUUGGUAGUUAUCCUUUUCCUUUCAAUUAUUUAAAAUAGUUUGCUUAGUUAAUUAGGUUGAUGCUAUCUUAAAAAGAAAAUAAAACUGUUAAAAAGCAGUAAGCCCCAUGUGAGUAUACGAGUGGCAUAAAACCCAUAAGUACAUUCACUGUGGUGGCGUAAAAAUAAAAUAAAUAUAUUCUUGUCCUAUAAAUAUAAAAAUAUAAAAAUAAAUUUACGAUCCUACUAAAGAGAGUAACAUUUAUUGAGGAGGCUCAACAUGAUAAAGGCUAGAUAUUUAUGCUAACACUUAACCAGUUCCACAAAGCUUUGUUGUCUAUUUGAGCUCCACAGAAUUCAAGGAUCAAAGAAGACUAGCAGACGGAGGACAUCCUAAUCGAUGUCACGGUGCUGCCGACAUUCAAAUACACCUCCACCACCUGCUAGCUACAUCAGAAGAAAUUACGUCAAAAUCCAGCUUGGGGGAGAGCACCCCCAUUUAUCCAGCUAAGUAUUUCUACUCACGUUUAUACUUUACUCAAAUCUCUACUAUAAUUCACCUAACAAAAUUAUGCUUGGUCCACCCAAAAAAACACUUCCGCUAAGGGCUUCAACCGUUGUGUACCCAGAAAAACAUACACAGAAUUUUGUCUCCAUUAAAAUCAAUGGCUAAUAAAACAUCCAGAUCAGAUCCGACGGCUAACGCAGAAAGUUUGAUGCCAGGCUUCAAACGCACCCGCAUCCCGUACACACACCCUGCGCCCACACACGCGAAACAUCUCCACGCCCCAAAGUUCGAUUCCCAACCCCACUCCCCUCAUGCCCUUUUUUUAUUUUUUUUUUCCUCCGAGAGCCUAGGCGCGGCGGCGCGGGCAGCCGCCAGGCCCCGGGGAGGCGAUGUCAUCGUCUUCGGCCGCGACAGAGCACUGCGGACUUAGGGCCAGGGCAGGCGGUGGUAGUAUGGAGCAGCGGCGGUGGCUCCACACCCUGCGGCUGUCAGCAUCAACGAGUGGGUGAAUCUAGCGUCGGCGGCUCUUGGCUUCGUGGAUCUCGGGGAGCAUGGGGCGGCAGCAGCACUUGGCCGCAGUUCUCGGCUCACGUGGGGCUGCUGCGUUGCUCGGCCGUGGGGCUCGGGGUGCGUGGGGCAGCGGCGCCGGCGGCGGCCGGAGCGUACGGCCGAAGGCACCACUGCCCUGUCCGUCAGGGCCGCAAGUCCAAACGCAUCCACAACGAGCGCCCCUCUGAGAUCCAUGGCCGCGCCAGCGAGCUUCGCGUGGCCGUGCGACACUACAUGAAAUUUUGGGUACUCAAGUGGAGUACGGUGCUGCUUCAGCUGGACAGCAAACGAGGGAAGAGGAGGACACUGCUAUAGCAGUUGAGGAGGAGAUCUGGGACACUACAGCGGACAAGAGAUGCCGCGACAGCGCUUGAGGAGCAAAUGAUUUCUGUGAUUUCUUCUAGAUUAUUACCUUGUUUAUUUAUUUGUCUCUUCUAAUGAUCACUGCUUUCCACAAACAUGCAGGACGAUGAGCCCCUCUCGGGAGCUAAUUAUUUUGGCUAGGGAGCAGGUGAAUGUGGCUCACGAUGGCUGAGGUGAAUGUGGCUUCAACGUUGGCGGUGGGAUUUGGAGAGGUUUCUCACAUCCACGAUGCCUAUGGUGCAUGUGCAGUACUUGUCCAAGGUAAUUCUCGGGCUUGCUCUUUCCUGAUCCGGUAGACUGCUUCUGUGGUCUUACUUCUUGGAGGUAUAUGUUGCAAUUGAUGGGAAGGAGAUCUAAUAGAUAUAAUUGUUCUAUGUAUAGCAUUUGUACUGCAUCUGCAGUUACAAGCCGACGACAUUACAGAUUGAAUCCUGACCUGAAUUUAGACCGAAGCAGAUCCUUCAGCUCUGGUUCACGGUUAGUAUAUUUGUUGAGUUAACCUCUGUAUUGCCAUGCCUAAUAAUUUGGUAAGACAAGCUAAAAUUGUUGGGUCUAUCAUAACAAUAAUUAAAUUAUUUGUUCAACAGAUGAUUCACAUUUUGCCAAAAUUGAUGUAAACUGAGUUCACUAUUAGGACUUGAGUUCACUAUUAGGACUUGGCAAAACAAAUUAUAUAUUUCCUUUAAUUUUGUGUUGUAUAUAUAUAACUAUUUUUCUUUCUAAUGGGUGGCCGGCCUGUCGGUGUCUACUCCGAGUUGUACCUACGGGAUCAAGUCUCCUAACCCGAGGCUUGCUUCUAAGAUUCUUCAGUAAUUCGACUUCUAAUACUAGUAAGUUCUUGUUUUAUUGUUCUUUGGUUUAUGAGUUUACUUUAAUCCUCUUCCGGUUGAGUGUUAGAGUAAUCACUUGCUAGCGUAAACGUGGUGUUUAGGCUAGGGUACUCAUAGAUAUCCCCUGACUAGCUGGACCGUGGUAGUAGCGAGGAACGUGACAUUUCCGAGUUACCUUUGUAUCCCAUAUCUUGUUAGCAGGACGGGUAGGUUUAUAGGUGCGGGUCGAACAUCCUUUGUGUUGUCUAGAUUCUGUGAGCCUCCCCAAUAGAACAGUAGAUCAUCCUUACCAAGGUUAGAACGAGACUACGGUUGCAGUCCUCUCUAUACAUCACUCACAUCGAGAGACAUUCUUUGUAGCCUAAAGGGAUAGUAGCAAUAGAUUUGGUUAGUCAGAUGCACCCUUUCUCCCAGUGGUAAAAAUAUAAAUACGAUACUCUGGAAAACCUCCCGGGUGAAAUGCUCACCGAUAUCCGUGCGCUUGCGGAUCAUUUUCUAAUUGCGUUACCAAAUAUCAACACCAGCGUUGUUUCAAAUGACCUAGGACCUAGAGACUUAGAAGAUUUUCAGGCAGACGAGCUGCAAUAUAUAGAGGGGUGUUUCUAUAGGCAUGUUGAUGCUGUUUUUGGACACGUAUCAGGAAAGUUAAUGAAGCUUGGAUCGGCAGAUUGGAAAAGUGGUUACUAGUCGAUAGGGAAGUUGCCGAUGGCCUAUAAUACCGAUGAUAAAUCAGCAAGAUAUGAUUAAGUUCGGGAACGGUGGUUGAUUGGAGCUGAUGGUUGAUUGUUGAUGGUCCUUAAUGCUCACAUUUAACCAUCAACUAAUCAUGGAAAAAGACUUAUAUGCAGCCAACACCUAGACUUAGGGUUUUAUCAUAUAGAGGGGUGUUUCUAUAGGCAUGUUGAUGCUGUUUUUGGACACGUAUCAGGAAAGUUAAUGAAGCUUGGAUCGGCAGAUUGGAAAAGUGGUUACUAGUCGAUAGGGAAGUUGCCGAUGGCCUAUAAUACCGAUGAUAAAUCAGCAAGAUAUGAUUAAGUUCGGGAACGGUGGUUGAUUGGAGCUGAUGGUUGAUUGUUGAUGGUCCUUAAUGCUCACAUUUAACCAUCAACUAAUCAUGGAAAAAGACUUAUAUGCAGCCAACACCUAGACUUAGGGUUUUAUCUUACAGAAUUCCACGAGUUUUGGUGUUUAUCUAUUUCUACAGGGGGUUAUCACGAAAUAUGAAAGAAAGGCCCACACGUCGGGUUUACAUAGCGAUAUUAAAGUGCCGCGCAAUUUUCUACCAUCUAGAAGACUCCAGAAACCACGGGAAUGAACGGGAGGCCGAUCGGGCCCGGGUGCAGGGCACCCGCCCAAGUCCCUUGGGUGCCCGCCCAGCUACAGUAACCAAUCAGCUUCAACUUCGCGGAUCGUGCUCCACCGACCUAAGGGACCAAUGAAAACUGUGCGAUUAAUGUCGGUUCGAUCCGACGGCCCAGAUUCAUCUGAAAAGACUUUAUAAGCAAGGCCCCCUGGCCCCUGGAGAGCAUACCUCUUCUACAGAAUCAAAGCUAGGGUUUCAAUUCUUCAUCCAAGUAGAGAGGAUCCCUCUAGUUCUUCUAGUUCUACCUCUAGUUCAUCUAGAUCUAGUUCUAGUUCAUCUAGUUCUAGUUCUAGUUCCUCUAGUUCUUGUUCUAGUUAGUUCUAGUUGUAAUCUAGAAAAUAGGGAGAGAGAAGAGGAGAGCGGAGGAGGAGCCGGAUCUGUCGGAUCUUCCUCAACAUUGUACUUUUGCAGCAUCUGGUUCGUUCUUCAUCGUUCUCCAGGUUCUUCAACUCAUAACUCCUGAGUUCUCUAAUUACUUUUAUUUACAUUCAAGUUAUUUAUUGGAUUCCCGCUUGCAUCAAGUGCUCUAGUCUUUGAAACAUUAGAGUAGUAAUUAAUAGAUUAGACGUGGUGUUUAGUCUUGCGAUUACCUGGAAUUGCACCCAAUCCUGUAGAUUGUUGUGGCAGCCUUAGGGUAGUGACAGCCCUAACGGUCGACGUAUUCCACCUCGUUCGGAUCGGUGUUUGUAGGACCGUAGUCGGAGCUUCCUAGCCCCCUUCUCAUCUCUUUCUGUGGUUAGUGUUAUGAUGUCUCGAAAUAAUAAUCUUGAAGUAAUUAUUGAUUCUUAGAUCAACUAGAGAACUCUUAGGAAACUUCCUCUCUUCCCACCAAAAAUAAUCAUAUAGUUAUCCUUGGGCGAUCUUGAGUCUUAAUUAGUACACUCACGUUCUCUGUGGAAAAUCGAUACUCUGGAAUACUCCCGGGUGAAGGCUACAUCGGUAUCCGUGCGCUUGCAGAUUUUUGUGUUUGCGUUUAAAAUACCUAACAAGCUUUCUGGCACCGUUGCCGGGGAACGGUAGCUGUGCUAGUUUCGAACCAAGUCGUCCGUGUAUCCUUUUUCUUUUCCUUUUUUACCACACUCACCUUAUCACUUUCACCAUACCACAUGGAUUUCACUCUAAGCAUUAAUGAGCAUGGAAUUUAUUUCAUAGCCACUUCAUUUGCUCCAUGCUCAUAUGCAACAUCUUCACAAUCCAUUGGUCUCUCCAACAUCACCACAUUCGAGAUCUCCAACCCCCUCUUCCUUUCUAUUCAUAAAAACUUUAAAAGGGCGGUUGUCGAUGCAUAUGUCUAUAUUAAAUAUUGCAGAUCUCGUUGAGUUGAUCUUGAUAUAGGUCAGCGUUGGAGGGGAAACCACUUCGCCGACAUAAAUUGAUGGUUUCCCAAGGACAAGCUUAGUGUCCUAAAACAAGCACUAGUCAGAUCGUAACAUAAGCUUUUAAUUAUUUACAACACUACCUUGUGUAUUGAGCAUAUAAGGAUAAUUGUAAAAAAAAAAUUCCUUCGGGUAUUCUUGUCACUAACCUUUCUAGGAUUGGAGCAAGAAGAUCGGAUGAAUGACAAGCACAAGGUAUGUACAACCAAUCAUCAUACAACAUUGAAUUAAAUUCAUCCAAACUUGAAUUUUGCAAAAUUCAAGCUUGGGGGAGUACUUUAUAUAAAAACAUCAUUUGCCAUGUUGCUAUGUUGGUUGUCCCUACCUUUGAGACAUGCUCAAUUUGUUAAAUAGCAAUCACACUACUUCAUCUCCGCUUGAGUAGAUCUCUAUAAAAGCCAUCAUGCUACCUUUGUUUAUCCUAGUAAGUGUUAGUUUGGAAGUACUGUACAUACUUCUAUUGGUUUUUAAAUUAAGCAUGGUGCUUAGGUUAAACAGCCUUCCUUAAUCUAAUUAGACAUGGAGUCUAGUUUGGUUAUUGAACUAAAAACUGCUUGUGUAGACAUUGGUAUAUUUUGUUGGACUAACCCCUGCAGGAAAACUUUCAAAAUCGACCUGGGAAGUCCUGAGAUAAACUCACAUUGGAGACAAAGAGAGACACACAUGAAGUUUAACAAUUUACACAAGGAAGGCAUAGCUCACAAGAGAUGAUCCAUGGAGGUGCCACAAACACGAUGCACAACCGCUAAGAGAGGAAAGUUUCCACAAGGUGAUACUGUACCAUCACUCUUCAAGUAAGGUAACAUCUUAAGGUACUUGACUAUCACUUCUAUAAGCUUCUCCUUUGUUCUGGCGUUCACAUGAAUAAAAGAGACAAACAUGUAUGAUUUACAAGUAUAAGAUUAACCAACCCAAUCGAUUCAAUAUGUUUCAUCCUUCCACCUUUAUGAUCCCACACUCCUAAUCAUAUGAGCAAAAAUGUUGCAUACUCAAUCUUUGGAAGAUAUAUAUAAAAGAAACAACAUAAAUAUAGAUAGAUUAUCUUUCCAUUAGGUUGAGCGAUCUGAUCUGACAAAUAUUUUAAAUGUUAUACUCGUGAUCUUAUUAUCCAUCAACUUUGUCUUGCUCACUAUGCUUGAGGUUAGAGAAGAACAAAUACACUUUUGGUUCUGUUGGUGUUUUCCACCAACAGGGCCCAUGCACUUGAUCUUUGCCUUGUCUCUAUGAGCAGGUACACUUCGAGCAAAAUAUGAAGGACUUUUACAACUCCCAGACUCCACCAAGUGAAGAACCUAGAUAUAUGAGCACAAACACGCUGGAGAUACUGGACACUCAUGCAAACACUGCCCUGAGAUGCUUGAGGAUGUAACUACUGGAGUAACCCCAUUGUGGAAGUAAUUACUGACCUUCUGCCGGUCAAGAGAGACAAUCUAGGACGCCCCGUCAUCCCAAUCUCCAUCGGCAUGGUGGACUUCCUAGAAGCACUCUGCGACUUUGGCUCCAGCGUCAACAUUAUACCUAGGGGAAGCCAUUCCUGAACACCUCGGGAGCUGUCAUCUACGCUAGUGCUGCCAAGAUCAGUUUCUACAUCAAGGGGAAGAAGGAGACGUUUUCCUUCAAGAAACAAGACUACACAAAUCCCAGAGCAAUCCCGACAUGAACCAAGGAAGAGGACCAACAGGAGGAACAAGAACAAGUAAAUGUGUACCGAGUCAGCUAAGAUGGUCACUGCAGCUCAAGGAGGUCAAGAUCGUCAACUCAAGUCACCUUUCUUGAUCAAGAAGGACGACCCUGGUGUCCCAAGCAUCUAGUGCACAAUCAACGAAUAUUCUUUUCAGAAGACACUCUACGACACCGGAUCUAACGUCAACAUAAUGGCCGCAGUCACUUAUCAGCUCCUGCAUGGAACCAUGUCCGUACAACCAACAUACAUUCAGCUCCAGAUGGCAGAUCAGACAUUCUGAAAGAUUGAAGGUUGUUGACAUGAGAGAAGACGAGUACGAUCCACCCAUCAUCCUUGGAAGACUGUUCUUUAGCACCAUUAAAGCAAUCAUAUACAUUGGAACCAGAGAAGUCCACAUGCAUUUCCCCUCUGAGAAGGUACGCCGCUAUUUUACUGACCCUAACUAUAUAGUUGAAGACUCUAAGCAGGUCAGGACAAGAAGAAGACGACGCAACCGCAACCAGAGGAGGCAAAUCAUCAAAGAUGGAUGGGCAGACUACAAAGGAGAAGUAGUGAGGUCUGAAGACAUACAGCUUGAACAGAACUAUCCUUAGGAGACCGUAGCACCGAGUCAGGUGUGUAGAGAGAAGAUAGUUAUACACGAAGAGUAGGCACCGCCGGAACCACCGACUACGCCAUCCAGCGAAUCCCAGGACGAAUGAGAAAACGGAGAGUCCCGUUCGGAGGACUUAAAAACACCGAACGCCUUGCCAAGAGGUAAACUUGGUAGUUAUCCUUUUCCUUUCAAUUAUUUUUAAAUAGUUUGCUUAGUUAAUCAGGUUCAUGCUAUCUUGAAAAGAAAAUAAAAAUGUUAAAAAUAGUAAGCCCCAUGUGAGUAUGCUCAUGGCAUAAAACCCAUAAGUACAUUCACUGUGGUGGCGUAAAAAUAAAUAUAUAUAUUCCUGUCCUAUAAAAUUGAAAAUACAAAAAUAAAUUUAUGAACCUACUAAAGAGAGUAACAUUUAUUGAGGAGGCUCAACAUGAUAAAGGCUCUGUAUUUAUGCUAACACUUAACCAGUUCCACAAAGUUUUGUUGUCUAUUUGAGCUCCACAGAAUUCAAGGAUCAAAGAAGACAAGCAGACGGAGGACAUGCUAAUCGGUGCUGCCGACAUUCAAAUACACCUCCGCCACCUGCUAGCUACAUCAAAAAGAAUUAUGUCAAAAUCCAGCUUGGGGGAGAGCACCCCCAUUUAUCCAGCUAAGUGUUCUACUCAUCUUUAUACUUUACUCAAAUAAUAAAAAGAUGCAUAAUCAUAAAAACCAAAUAAAGAUGUUGUGCUUAUAUAUAUAUAUCUUUGCUUAGUUUGCUAAAUAAAUAAAUAAAUAAAAUUUGCUAUGAACCCUCGUGAUAAGCUCUCACAUGGAAAUGAUGAAUAGUUGCUCUGCCAUGACUAGUUCUCAAAAUUGAAAUCUCUCUCAAGUUUAGACAUGACUGUUAUUAAUUAAGAUUUGCUCUAAACCUGAACUUGUGGGGAGAGUACUUGAUCUAAAGUCUAAGUCGUUAACGGAUACGAUAUGGGAAGGUUGAGCUACUGUUUAUCUGUUCCUACAGAUGCUAGAAUUCUGGAGAAUUUUAUCUUUGAAAAUCUUUAAAAUAACACAUGAUGAGUUCUUGUAUGAUGAGAGUUUAAAUUCCUACCACAGCCAUAUAUACAUGCUUGCUAGACUUUGAGCCACACAUUUACUUUUUACUGCUUAUGAGCAUUGAGUGUGGUCAAGCUGUGUAGACCCUUAGGAGCUUGUCAUGUGGUUAAGUCAAGAUUCACUUGCACGUUCACUCACACAUGCUGCUUCUACUCUGGAAGUACGCAUCCACAUAUAUCCAUCCAUUCCCAUCUCCAGAACCACCCAAAAAUAUUCUACUCCUAAUCCGGGAGAGAAUAGCCAAAAACAUUCUCCUAUUUUUGUUUUUCUCUAUGAAAUAAAUGCUCAAGUUAUCUUGGUUACUACCACUUGUUAUAUUAUUUCAUGAGAUGAGUACUCUCUAAAAAGAAGAAAAAAAAAGAAAGAAAAAAAGAAAGAAUACGAGGAAAUAAAAAGGGGCAAGUUCCCGGAACCUCGAAAGAAAAUAAAAAGUGAGACGAGAGGUAAAAAUGGACAAGUGUCCAACAGUAGAAUUAGGGGUACAAGAUACCCACCUGAGAGAAAAGAAAAAAAAGAAGAAAAUAUAGAGCAUCUCAUUCUCCUCAAAAAGUUUCAAAAGAGCAAGAAAGGUAUGUAUCCCCUCAAAAGAGCACAAGUAGAAUUAGACUUUCACCAUUGUUAUCACCAUCAUUACCAUACACCAUUCAUUCGCCACACAUGCACAUCUUGAUUUGACUUAUUGACUUGUUCCUCUGGAUCCAUGGUUUGACUAUGCAAUAAAUGUCUUGUAAGUAUGUACUAGUUGUCUCCCACCUAUGAGCUCUAGAUAUCAAAACCUUAUUAGAGUAGGGUGAGAGAGAAGGCAAUGCCACUAUGCCUCAUACCAAAAAUACCACAUACUUUGAGAGAAGGCAUACACCAUUACUGCCUUGGUAAGGAUCCAGAAAUACCACAAAAGAGAGACUAGAGAGAGUCAUACAAGGAAUCUCUGAGUUUUAUUUGAAAAUCUACAAAAACUCCAGAGCUAUAGUUAAUCGAAGAACAAGAGACAUGGCGCUUGACUAAACCGUUCUAUCCUUUAACUGCUCAAGACACAAGUGACGGUUGCAAGCCCCAUGGUGAAAGGAAAAAUGAGUAAAUUUAAAUCUUAACAGUUUACCCUAACCCAGAGACGAGAUCUUGUUUGAACACAUGUAUUGAAACCACUGUAGAAAUUCUUGAGUUCAUCUUUGCUCAGGGACGAACAAAGGUUAAGCUUGGGGGAGCUUGUUGACGGUCCUUAAUGCUCACAUUUAACCAUCAACUAAUCAACACCUAGACUUAGUGUUUUAUCUGACAGAAUUCCACGAGUUUUGGUGUUUGUCUAUUUCUGCAGGGGGUUAUCAGGAAAUAUGAAAGAAAGGCCCACACGUCGGGUUUACAUAGAGAUAUUAACGUGCCGCGCAAUUUUCUACCAUCUAGAAGACUCCAGAAGCCACGGGAACGAACGGGAGGCCGAUCGGGCCCGGGUGCAGGGCGCCCGCCCAAGUCCCUUGGGUGCCCGCCCAGCUACAGUAACCAAUCAGCAUCAACUUCGCGGAUCGUGCUCCACCGACCUAAGGGACCAAGGAAAACCGUGCGAUUAAUGUCGGUUCGAUCCGAUGGCCCAGAUUCAUCUGAAAAGACUUUAUAAGCAAGGCCCCCUGGCCCCU